rnacentral:lncRNA from 1 species
GCUAGUGUAGGAAAUUGCUUUGUGGGGGUUUAUUCUUGUUAAGAGUCCAUGUUCCAUGUUUUAUUAUGAAUCUGUGUGCUUUCCUCUGUUUUAUAUUACUUAUGGGUGCCGUAUUUAUGUUAUGUAAUCUUGUGCUGUGCUUUACUAUGUGUUUGUGUGGUAUCUUGUGUCUUGAGCCGGGGGUCUAUCGGAAACAGCCUUUCUACUUCUUCAGAGGUAGAGGUAUGGACUGCGUACAUCUUACCCCCCCAGACCCCACUAGGUGGGAAUACACUGGGUUUGUUGUUGUUGUAAUUUAUAAUAUACGUCAAACAAUUCAAUAAAUUUAAUAAAGCAAAUAAGUAGAGGCGUCGCAUGUUUCUCUCACAUCAUAUAAUCAUCAGAAAACCUAUGGCUUUCAAAGCCUUCUACAGUAAAUAAUUUCACCUUAAAACUACAUUUAAAAACUUCACUAUAAGAAAAUAGAGAGAAAUCAACUUACCUUUGCUUGGACUAAGUUGAAGAGAAAGAGACAAGCGGUCACCGAAAAAUAGCAAAGCAAUCCUUUUCCCGAAUUCAAAUUCUGUCAAAAAGCAACAUCAAAUUACUUUCUACUUCACAUCAACCAAUAACACCAACCUCUUAGAAAAGCAACUUGACUUAACUAUUUUCUGGUAACUAAUUCACAUUUUCAUUCAUUUUUUUAAUGUCAAUUUCAACAACAUUGCUCAUUUAAUGCCAAUCCAGUACCCUCAACGCCUCCAACAUAUGCACCAAACUUUUGUGCAAAAUAAUAAAAUAAAGAGAAAAGAAAUUCGUUAACAUAUAGGCACAGAGGCAAAAUUCUAACAACUCAAACACCCAUAAGAAAGAAAAAAAUGGAACAAAAUUCUCAAACUCAUAAACAAAAGUAGCUCAAAGAGGAAGACAAUCACCCUGAAAUACCCCAUAUUCAAAUCCCAUUUCCAUUUUCCAAAAAAUUUCGCAAUAAAAAUUCAAUCUCUACCAAAAAAUUCAAACACCCACAUAAGAAAAUGUCUUCAAUCACAUCCCAACAUAAAGAAAAAUCAAGAAAGAGAAACACAGCAACCAAUAAAGAAAUUACCAAAAGUUAAAGUCUAGUGGCGUGAGAUAAAUUCAAGAUUUUGAGGAUAAAAAUCUUGGUCAUCCGGUAGGAAAUGAGAAACCUUCUACAACGAAUCAACUUGGGAUUGAGGCAAAUUAAGCAGACCGAUGAGAGUAGUUGUCCGAUUGAAACCUUCAGGUAGGAAAAGGGAAAUUUAGAAACCUUCAGUAGAAACCUUCUUCAACUAAUCAACUUGGGAUUAAGCAGACCCAGCUAUAGGAGAUCUCGUUGGGAUUAAGCAGAUCCAGCUAUAGGAGAUCUCAUUGUCACACCUUUUUUUACCAAAAAGAAUAUAUUUUAAGUUCGAAGAGAGUUUUAUUUAUCAAAGUGACAAAAAAUGAAAAUUUGUUUCAAAAAGGACUUUUUACAAUCAAACUCAAAGUCACCACUUGGCAUAAAUCUAGUGUGUCAAGUCACCUUUGAAAAAUCUUUUUCAAAAUGAUUUUUUGAUUUUUGACUCUUUAAACCUGAUCCACGAACAAAGAUUUCAGUUAAGGAAAUCUGUUGACCGAGGAGAAGGUGCUAGGCACCCCUCGAUCCCGUGGUUCGACCAUGAUUGCUCCGUGAACUAUAUCAGCUAGUAUGACGCUAUGAAGUGAAUAAACCAACAAAACACAUAAAACAAACAAACAAACAAACCAAAAAUUCAAAACAAAAUAAUGUCCAGUCUAAAUUAUACAGUCCCUAAAAAUAGAAAAAUGUGAAAAUGUAACCCCUAUUCUAAACUAGUCUAGACUAAGCUCCCCCGAUGUUCUGGGCUUUGAUCACGCACCGUCUUCGAGAACAACUCCCUCGGGACAUUCCCCAAAUAAAACAAUACAAAUAACCUCGGGUCAUUCCCCGCCAAAUUAGUACAAUUAAUCCAAAUGCGGUGAAACAAAAUCAUUCAACAAACAUUCAAUAAUCCACAGGCCCUUAAAUUUGCCUAACCAACCUAUCGUUUGUCUACCCAUUUCGACCUAUCAUGAUACUAUUGAGUGUCAAAUUAAUAGCAAACACCCAAUUAACGAAACCACUUGUGUUAUGAAUUGAAAUUACCAAUAUUCACCUUUAUUAAUUUUUCAAUCCCGUCCCAAACAACCGAUUUUAUUUUUCAAACGAGAUAUCAUUCCAUCACACAAUCCAUAACAAAGGAACCAACAACGAAUCAACACCAAGCAACUAUUCACCACCAACAAGGAUCAACCAACACACAAUAUUCAAUUCAAUGCACCAAAUAUGAUAAAGAUGAAAUAAAAAGAGGGAGAGAAUAGAGUUGGACCUCAAUUUGGACCUUUCGAAAUCCAAUAUUACUCGAAUGAAAAGACGAAACCCACAGCCGGAGACCUCGAGUUGAACCUCAAAAACCAAAACCCCCAAUUCCAAGCAAAUCCAAACUCCACAAUUGGUUUAGUGACUGAUCGGAGCGGGUUAGCUAAUGGAGCGGAUUGGAUCUGGGCUGCCGUUUCCGUUCCGCCGACGCUCCAGCGAGCUCCGGCGAUGAUGAAAAACGGAGAAUCGAUCAAAUUUUAAGAUGGUGGUGACGUUUUUCGGCAGUUUUGGGGGAGGGAUGGCCGGAUUAUGUGGUGGAGCCACUAUUCCGGUGACAACUUCACCGAAAAAAGUUGUUCUCCCUCUACUCCGUUCAGUGUUCACUUUUCACACCCAUUCCUUACUGUUCACGCCGGUUUUCAGCCCUUUCUCGUCCUUCACUGAUUUCUCCCUCUUAAAAUUAGAAUUAGGUGCGAGUGGAUAAAAAAUUCUUUAAAUUAAAAAUAGUGAUAAUUUUAAAAAAUUCUUUAAAUUAAAAAUAGUGAUAAUUUUAACCGGUUUAAGUUAAAAUUUUAUUUAAAUUGUGAUUAAGUUAAUUGAGGCGUAAAGUAUAAUUUUUAAAAACUUUAAAAAAAUUUAAAAGUCCUCCAACUUCAAAUUUUAAAUUUUAGAAUUUUUUCCAUUUUCUUAUCUUUCAAUCUUUUUAUUUCUUUCUCUCUUCAAAUUUCUCUCUCCCCAUCUUUUUCUUCUUCUUAUGUUUUUUAUCUCACUCUAUAUUUUCCUCUCCCUCCAUUUUCUCUUUCUCUUUUCAUUUCGUUCUUCUUCCUUUUUAAAUUUCAUGGACUAUUUUUAAAAAAAUAUUGAAAGGUUUGAAAAGAAAAUUUUUGAUUUCUUUUAAAAAUGAUCAAGAAAUAAUUCAGCAAAUUUAGCAACUAUGAGAGUUACUUGAGCUACUACGAGAAUUGCUUCAGCAACUACAAGAGUUGCUUCAGCAAAUACGAUAAUUGCUGCAACAACUACUAUUAGUUGUUGUGUUACAGCAAUUAGCGAAGUUGUUGCAGCAACUCCGACUGUUGUUGCAGCAACUUUGAUAGUUGCUGCAGCAACUUUUACUGUUGCUGCAGCAACUUCAAUACUUACUAAAUUUCUGGAAAAAAAUCUGGUUGGAGGAGGAGCCCACAAAAAAUUGAUAUUUAUAAUAAAAAUGGAGGUGGUGGUGGUGGUGGUGACGUCGAAUGAAAAGAUGACAUUUGUUGUGGUGUUGAUAGCGAUAGUGGUGGAGGAAAAAGAAGAAAAAUAGGCGAUAGUUAUGUAGAGGGAGGAAAUAAUGGUGAAUCCGAAAGAUGUGGCACUGCAGGAAGAGGAGAUGGCGGCGGCGGCGACGGUGCCAACAAAAAGGGUGUGGAGAAGGAGUGAUGGUGAUGGUGUAGGGAUCUUUGUAUAAAUAUGGGGUAGGGAUCUUUGUGUAAAUAAUAAAACUUGAGGGUUUUAAAAUUAGUGCCAUCAACACUAAUCUUAAAAUUGUCACCUCUACUCAAUAUUUAACACUUGUGUCACUCUUUCUAGUUUUGAAACAUUUUUGUCACCCUUAAUUAAUUUGUCCUUCUCUCUAUACCCCAUGUUUUUUUCUCUUCUAUGUGUAUAGUGCUCUGUACGCAUCUAUUUUUCCAUGGUCAUAACUCAUAUGGGUGUAUUGUGUGUAUAUAUUCCUUUUCUGUUAUGGCUGAUGGAUUGUUGAUCGUGUAAUUUAUUUGAAAAAUACUUUUAAUAAAAAGAUUGUGUUUGGAUAAAUUUUUUCGAGAAGUGUUUUUUUGGAGGUAAAUGACAAAAAAAACAUGUAUCAAUAAAUUUUUGCUAUUAAAAUUAAUUUAUAAAGAAAAUUAUGUUAAAUAUCUAUUAUAAUAUUUUUAAUUAAAAUUAUUUUUAAUAUUAAAAAAUACGUACUCUAAAAUUGUCAAUCACGAUUUAUAUACAUAGAUAUAUUAUAAAAUAUUAAAGAAUGAUAUAUUACUUAAAUAAUUUAAAUUCUAAUUUAAAACAUCAAACAAAAAUAUAUUAAAAUUAUUCCAUAAAUUAAAUCAUUACAUAUGAAAAAAUUAACGACAAAAAUAAUUAGUACUUCAUACAUCAUAAAAAUUUCAACGAUUUCAUCUAUGAUUUUAUUAUGCAAUGUCUUCAUACUGGUAGAAUAUCUGUCUUGUGUUUCUGGUGUAUACCAAAAGGUUCAUCUCCUUCUUCAAUCUUUGUGAUGAUGUCUUUGUUAGCAUAAUAGGUAGUCUUUAUCAGUAGUAGAGCAUUGUCGUAUGAAAUCAUGUAUUGCCGUAGUAGUUGUAACAAGAUGAACUUAAGUGUCGAAUUUAAAAAAUGGCAUUGAGCGUAGGAGAGCCAAUCUAUUUUUUCAAACUCCAAAUAUUCUUUCAAUUGUACAUCUCAAAUUGGAGUGAAAAAACUUGAAAGUCUCGUUUGAAUUUUUGAAUUUAGAAUUAUGUCUGAAAUCAUGGAGAUGAUAACAUUCCCCUUUAUAUGGUCGCACUGAGUAAAGAAUGUGGGUCCACGUGGGGUAGGUAAUAGUGAGGUGGGUAAUUUGUUAGGAAUUAGUUAUAUUUUGUCCCUUUUUCUAGAAAAAAUAUGGAAUGAAGUGGGGUGCAUGGUAAAGUGAGUAAAAUGGAUGAAAUUACUUUUGAAGGGGCAAAAUUACACAUCUACACUCGUCGGAGUGGCCGGUUCAAGAGCGUUGUUGUUUGAGAGUGGCAGCCCGAUUUGAGCACUGGCAAGUUUUCGUCAGUAAAAGUUGUUUGAGUUGUUUUUGGCUACUAGGGUAAUUAGGAAGGGAAAAGAAGGUAACUAAGAUGGGUUGAGUCGGAUCAUGAUUGAGUUGGGUUGGGUAGUAAAAAAAUUUGAGAAAAUCGAUCACAAAUGAUUGAAUUAUUUUUUAAAAAAAUAAUUAUUUGAAAAAUGACCAUUUGUGAUCGUUUUUUGUUAAAAAAUUAAAAUUUAAUAAAUUGUAUAAUAUUUAUAAUAACAUCCAAAUAAUUUAAUGCAAUGUAUAUAAAUCGGAUAAUUAUUUAUUUUACUGUCACAUUAACACGAGUAGUAUAUUUUUUCAAUCAGAUAAUAUAUUAACGCAUUUCGUAAAUUAGGAUGAAAUUAUUGGUUAAUUAUCUUUUAAAUACGGUAUUAUAUACCUUGUAAUACAUCAUAUUAAUAAAAUAAAUUAUCAUUUAAUUAGCUUAUGUUAUCAUUAAUAGUAUACCCUUUUCUACAUUAACACAAAUAGUAUAUUUCCUCAAUAUUAUGGUAUCAACGUAUUAUUCAAAAUACUUGGAUAUAUAGAUUCAAUUAGCUAGCUUCUGAUUACUACGUACAUCACUACAUGAGAUAUAUGUAUUUAUACAUAUAUCCAAUUGACUAUCAUCUUCGAAAUUUGUACCGUAUACAUCACUACAUGAGACACACACACACACAUAUAUAAAUAUAAUGUGAGCUUUUGACUAUGUACUGCGUACAUCACUACAUAUAGUACGUAUAUAUGUAUAUAUCGCGCACAUACACACACUCACACUCUAUCGACUAUCAUAUUCUUAAUACGUACUAUGUACAUCAAAUACACAAGUAUAUUAUCAUGUAAUGCAAUGUAUUUCACAUAUACUCAUAUGAAUUAUCAGUUAAUUUAUCUUACGUUAUUAUAACUUCAACAUAAUAUUAUUACCUUGAUCGAUCAACCAUAUGAUAUUAACAUAUUCAAUAUAUAAUUGGAUACAUUUAGUUAGUUUUUGACUACGUACUAUGUAUAUCACUACAUGAGAUACACACACAAAGAGAUACAUAUAUAUACACCCCCCCACACAUUAUUGAUUAUUAGGUUCUAAAUGCGUACUAUAUACAUCACAUACAUGAGUAUAUUACCACGUAAUGCAACAUAUGUUGCAUUUCAUACAUACUCUGAUGAGUUAUCGAUUAAUUUAACUAGCUUACAUUAAUAUAAUUACAACGUACAAUAUAUUAUUACUUAGAUCUUUUCAAAUCAAAGUAUUCAAUAUAUACUUGGAUACAUUUGAAUAGCUUUUGACUUACACCAAUACAUGAUACACGCACACACUACUAUUGACUACAAGGAUCUAAAUACGUAUUAUAUACAUCACAUAUAAAUGAGUAUAUAAUUACCCCAUAUAAACAUAUAUAUAUAUACUCUGAUGCAUUAACAAUAUUAUAUUAUUAUAAUUUCAACAAUAUAUCGGUUAUAUAUGUACCUUAAAUUGUUAUAACUCUAAUAGUAUAUUAUUAUCUCAACGAUAAUAUAUCAACGUAUUCAAUAUACAAAGAUUAUGUUUAACGUACUUUAACACGUGUGUGUAUACUUUUACUUAUAUGUAAGGGAGAAUGCCUUACUUUGGUAGUCCUCACAUUCUCAGAUGGCCAAUCUUAGUCUUGCAAGUGAUUGUUGUAAUUGGUCUUUUAUCAUGUAUUGCUAUAAUUUUUUACAAAAUAAAAAUUAGGUAAAAUGACCUUCUGGACCCUUGUACUAUGUUGGUUUUGUAAGUUGGAUACUUCUACUUAUAUGUUUGUCAUUUGGACCCCUGAACCCACUAAAACGCAACAUUUUAAACCUUUUUUUGGUGAGUGUAAUAUACUCUCCCCACGUCAGCUGCCACGUUUGCCUCAUCUGCCAUGUCAUUUAAAAAAAAUAAGAAAAUAAAAAAUAAAAAAAAGUAUUACAUUAAAUUCCAAGUAAUUUUUAAAAUGCUAAAGAACAAAUUAAAUAUUAAAAUUAAUUUAAUUAAAUAAGAAAAAUUUAUAAUUGUAGAAAAAAUUGAAUAAUCAUGUUUUUAUUUUUGCUCACAAAUUAAACAUCAAAUUCAUUCCAAAUAAUUAAAAUUCUUCUCCAACUAAUUUAAAUUUUUAACUAUAAAUUCAUAUAUACAAACAUAAUAAAUUUUUGAUNNNNNNNNNNNNNNNNNNNNNNNNNNNNNNNNNNNNNNNNNNNNNNNNNNNNNNNNNNNNNNNNNNNNNNNNNNNNNNNNNNNNNNNNNNNNNNNNNNNNNNNNNNNNNNNNNNNNNNNNNNNNNNNNNNNNNNNNNNNNNNNNNNNNNNNNNNNNNNNNNNNNNNNNNNNNNNNNNNNNNNNNNNNNNNNNNNNNNNNNNNNNNNNNNNNNNNNNNNNNNNNNNNNNNNNNNNNNNNNNNNNNNNNNNNNNNNNNNNNNNNNNNNNNNNNNNNNNNNNNNNNNNNNNNNNNNNNNNNNNNNNNNNNNNNNNNNNNNNNNNNNNNNNNNNNNNNNNNNNNNNNNNNNNNNNNNNNNNNNNNNNNNNNNNNNNNNNNNNNNNNNNNNNNNNNNNNNNNNNNNNNNNNNNNNNNNNNNNNNNNNNNNNNNNNNNNNNNNNNNNNNNNNNNNNNNNNNNNNNNNNNNNNNNNNNNNNNNNNNNNNNNNNNNNNNNNUUUAAAUUUUUAAAAAUAUUUUUAAAUUAAAAAAGAUGGAGGAAAAAAAGGACCCUUUUUUAUUCUUUUUAAUUUAAUACCUUUUUAAUUAUUUUAAUGUAAAAUUGGCCAAAAAUUGACCUCCAUUUACACUCCUAAGCGAGUGGCUACACUCUUUUUGUCCUAAUCACCAUUUCAAUGCCACAUAGGCAAGGUCAACCGUCAAAGGGUGCAAAAUAUUGGUUUUUAAUGGUUUCAAGGGUCUAGAUGACAAACAUGCAAGUAGAUGUGUCCAACUUACAAAACCGACAUAGUACAAGGGUCCAGAAUGUCAUUUUGCCUAAAAAUUAAGAAUGCCAGUUUAAUACGUGGCUAGCCAUUUUUCGUCCUUAUUCAUUUCUUAAGGUGCACUAGCUCGUGUCUUUAUAAUUGGAGAAUAGUAUAAUUUUGUGAGAAUUUUUUUUUCUUGCACCUUAUUCCAGUUUAUUCUCUGCUAAAACAAAUUUCAGGUAUAAUAUCUUAGUUAAUGAUAUCAAUUAAAUAAUAGUAAUUUAUUAAUAUUGUCUUUUUAUAUUUUUUUUUUCCCAUUUUUGAAAUUACAGAUAAUUGAGAUUCCCAUAAAAAAGAAGAAGAAGAAGAAUUAAUAUAUUUUUAGACUUUGAAAAAUUCAUUCAUUUUUUAUCAUAAAAAAACUCAAAAUUUCAUUUAUUUUGGAACAUCAAAAAUAUAUUAUAUAGUGUUUUUAGUUCGGACACAACCCUUAAGAAAUCACUCACUUCUAAAAAGCUAAGAUGUGUUUUUCACUAAAUUAUUCUUUAUUAAAUAGUAUUAAUUUGGUAUGAUUUCUUCGUUAUAUAAAGAUUCACUUAUCUAAAUAAGGAUAAAAAGUUUUUUAGAAAUACUUUUUUUAAUUAUAUAAAAACCCAUUAUUGUUGUACUAAAUGGUUUUUUUCUUCUUCUUUUUUUGUAAAAUUAGAUAAUUUUGUAGUCAAAUUUUCUUUUUCAAAACGAAAAAUUUAUUAAAUUUUACUUUACAUUUAAACAUGUCACAUGUCGUAUGUUUCUCUCUGUGUCUCUUAACUUAGGGAUGGAGCCAGCCCCUUUUGAUAGGGGGUUUGAUGAACCCCCUUCGACGAAAAUAUAUAUCAUUUAUACAUAAUUAAAAUUAAUUUUUACGUGUCUAUAAUAGGUUUUGAACCCCUUCAGCUAGAUUUUCUUCAAAUAUUGAAUAUAUAUAUAUAUAUAUAUAUAUAUAUAUAUAUAUAUAAGUGAUUUGAACUUUUUGCCCUUCACUAAAACUCUUUGCAAUAGACAAAAUAGUCUUUUCAUAUUUUUUUUAAUUUAUAAUAUUAAACAUUGACUAUAAUAAAUAUAUAAAACAAAUUAAAUUUAAAAGGUUUUCUACUUAUAAGUAAAUUCUUAAAUUUAUGCGUGACUUUUUUUCCCCAAAAUAAAAACCAUCGGUUGACUUUUCAAAAUAACAAGUUUUUGUUUUGUAUUUGGUUACAAUACAAUACUUUUCCCAAACAAUAAAAGAAAGGUUUUGUUUUUGUAUUUGAUUAUAUUAUUGUACUUCCCCCCCCCCUUGUAUUUGGUUACAGUACUGUACUUUUCCCGCAAAGUAAAAAAGAUUUAUUUUUGUGAAGGUUUAGUUUUGUAACUUUUUGUCCUUUAUUAAAACUCCAUCCAAUAGAUAAAAUAGUUUUUUAUCUUUUUUUUUUAAUUUAGAAUAUUAAAUAUUGACUAUAAUAAAUAUAUAAAAAAUUUAAAUUCAGAAGGUUUUCUACUUAUAACUGAAUUCUUAAAUUUAUGGUAAUAUUUUGGUGUGAGCCUGACUUUUUUUCAAAAAAAAAAAAAAAAACAUUCGUUUGCCUUUUUGAAAAUUUUUGUUUUUGUAUUUGGCCUUACUAUUUCAAUGUGUGUUUUCUCUUAGUUGAUAGCAUUACAUAUUAUAUAUGAAUUAUUCAUAAUCAACAAUUUCGAAUGGAUUCACUCCUUCUGAUAACUUUUAGUGUUUUCUUUUUCAAAAAAAAAAUUUGAUAAAAAAAUUGGAUGAAACAAGCUUGUUGUUGGUGAAUGAAAUAGCCAGAAAAAAAAUUAAGGUUUAUCUCUUUGUUUCUUUCUUUCUUUUUUGUUUAGAUUAAAAUUUUGUAGAACCUUUUAUUAUAAGAACAAUACAAAACUCUUUUUAUGUAAUUAAGUUCAUCUGCAUAUUAAUUGUUUAUAGAGAAGUAACUUUACGGUUUCGAAGCUUAACAAACUAUCUUGCAGAGCUCAACUCAACAAGACAACGACAGAAUCAGGUUUAAGUGAACAAAACUGGUGUUUCUAAUGUUUUUUAGCCUAUUCACAUUGUUCAAUAGAUAUUUUCUUGACAAUUGAGAUGGAAGUAUUACACAGAGGGGAAUUCAAAAUUUAUAUGUAAAUGAAAACCUAAUUACAUAGGAUCUCAUUUAUUUCUAUUUGAUGAAGGUCUUAAUCUUAAUCAUUCAGAUUUCUAUUUAGCUAUUACAAUCAAAACUUUUGACUGGCAACGGCAAGUAUGAGAAGAAGGCGUACGUCUUGACAAGACACCUCGACAACAAGGUUGCUACCCUUCACCUUAGAGAUCUCUAGAGCCAAGCUUACCGAACUUUUCAAAGAUCAAGCUAACUACAUUAGCAUACCAGUUCUGUGUCCUUGCAAGCCUGCUCACUACAAGUACUGCGCGAAUAUAAAUUCAUAGUGGCUAUUUUUUUUUUUACUUGAUAUAUUAAUUUAUGUAUUAAAGUUUUUCUUCUAAUGUUCCGUAUGUCGGGCAGUAUCAGUGAUCAAAUGGUAAAUACAAGGUAUGUUAGUCAUGUGUAAAAGUAGGGCUGCAUUUACAUAUGUCUUGAAAAGGAUGAAUAUUGAGAAUGCAUUGUAGUAAACCAAAAGAUAUUAUAAGGAUAUAUGAAGUUAUUUUUUCUCCUUUUUUUUUUUUUAAAACAAAAAAAACUUAUGGAGUAAUCAUGUGUGUGUUUUUCUUUUGGUCGCUUUUUCAAAUUAUUUUAUUUUUUAAUUAAAAACCGACCACUUAUAGUCAUUUUUUCUGUAAAUAUUUUUCUUAAAUUUUUUUAAUCAAAAAGCGACCACAAGUGGUCGAUUUUUGCAUAAUAUUUUAAAUUUAUCUUUUAAUGUAAAGCUACCGCAAGUGGUCGCUUUUACAAAAUAUUUUUUUAAUCAAAACCGACCAUCGUUGGUCGCUUUAGGUUUUAAAAAAAACAUUAUUUUGAUAUAAAAAUUUAAGAAGAAUUUUGAAAUUAUUAUUUUAAAAUUUUAAAAUAUAAAAGAAACCAAAUGUGGUCGCUUUUCUUGCGACCACCCACAGUGGUCAUAAAAACUAUUUUUUCCAGUAGUGCAAAUUUCAUUUGAAGAGAUUCUGGGGGUAGGAACAUCAUUACAAAAAAAUUGCCACCUAAAACACUAGCAAAGCACAACUUUUUGACUUUAUUAAGCAUUAAAAUGAGUAAGACAUACAAUAGAGAAAGAAAAGAGUCAAAUCACUAAGAACUUGAAUAUUCAUGUAUUGUAAAUUUGGGAAGCUUUUUAUCAAGCAAAGAGCAGACGAAACCAACUCGAAUGGAUCGAAAUACAUACCAGAUAUGCAAAAACGUUUGACAGAAUGAAGAGCAAAAGGACUCGUUGCUGGUACCAAGGACUAGGAAUAGAGAAUAACAGAAGUCACGACGACUAUAAAUCAAAAUAUAUUCCCUCAAUGAAAAUACUUUGAGAUGAAUUAAGUAGAAAUGCUUUAGAGUAGAUAAAGGUUCAAAAGACUUGGUAAUAUUAGAUAUUCCAGCAGCCCCUGAAUAACAUAAUUCUCCAUAUGUAAGAUGUUAGAAUGCCAUUCGUAGAAAGCAAAAAAAAUUUCAAUUCAUCAAUAUUAAUGGAUAAAUAGAAAAACUAAAAAAAUGCAAAGAGUGAACUUUGUAAUUGGUCUUAAACGAAGGGUAAAAAUUGACGGACAAUCUUUGUAAAGUAAUUGCAAGAGGUCCUAAAUCCAUUAUCCUUUUCCAGAGUGUUUCAUAAAGUGUAAACCCACGAAGUCUGCACCAUAUAUAUCUCCUGUCUCUUUGAUAAGAUGUUUGGCCUCACAUCUUUAAAAGUCAAAAACAUAAGAAUUUCUUCAAUUAAGGUGCUUAAUGUGCGGAAGGUGAAGUUCGACAACAAUACUAUGUUUUGCCCAUCGAACUCGAGUAGCAAAUAGUGAAAAUCUGGAUGUGUUUCUGUGAAAUCCACAUUGAUUUCAAAGCAAACAGUGAGAAUAGUUGCAAAAAAUCAGUGUCUUGAAGCACCAAAAUUAUUUCUUUGGAACUUGUAACUGAAGUUAACCACACCGUACUUGAUAUUUUCUAGAACAAAUAAGACUUCGACCUUUCUAGCUACUAUAUAGUAGCACAAACAUGAAACAUGAAAAAAUUAUAGUAGUUUCACAAAGUUUGCUCAUUGUGAAGCUUCUAUAAUUUAACCAGGUGUUUGCUUUGCUUCAUUUUGGCUAGUUUUAAUUGUUGACAUGGUCGUAUAGCAUUCGUCAUGGGUAAAAAUAGUAUGUUAAAUCCAGAUAUUGCCUCCUCGGACAUGAUCUUUGUACAAGAAAACAAAGAGCUAGUGAGGGCCGAAAUAGAAUAUCGUAUGUAGUGUUGAAUCCAAUUUGAAGAUCUUUCGAACAAGCAAGGAAUGAGUGACCACAAGCACCGCUUAAGCGCUCGACAUACAGUUAAUCCGUCACAUAUGACGUAACAUAACAUAACUAGUUAGAGAACUCUAGAGGCAAUUUCAGAUUUACAGCAAAAAUGAAUAUUAGGUCAACUUAACAGAAAAAUAAAGAUACGUAGAAGUAAGACGACACACAAACUAGUACAAGUCUGCAUAAUUCUAAUUCCAAUAUAGGUGCCAUAACAGAUCAUUGGAACAUGAUAGCCACAUCCAAGUAAUCUUCUAUCUGAAAUUUAAGUUCACUUAGUGGUUUGCUGCCAUCAUCUGGUCGCCUUAUAUUGGGAUAAGAAAACAUUCUCCGCAUCUUUCUAACAAUAAAUCACCCCCUUUUAUCAGGAUAGACAAAUUUGUCUUGAUUCUGGAGCAACCUCUUUAACCAGAUCAGUUAGUUCGCGCAGAGUAGCAUCUAUCCAUGUAUAGAUUUGGACCUCAUCGUUGGGUUCCUUGCCUCUCACGACAAAUUCAUUCUCAAUGUGAUGGCCUCCAACCUUAGUGAAAACACGAAGCAACAGAGGACAAGUUUUCUCGCGAUCGACAGGUACAGGGAGUGGAAGAAUCCUUACGAGAGAUAUACCAAGCGGGCCACCUCUUGGUGAAGGAGAUGACAAUAGUCUUCCUCUUCUUUGAACAUCCGCCAUUGUUGUCACUCCCGUUUCGUCGUCGAUCUGUCACUCGCAACACAACCGCUCGACAUACAGUUAAGCUAGCUAUCCUUAUAUUAUUUCUGCUAAUGAAUAUCGAUAUGAGUGGAACAUUUGUUGAAUGCCAGAAACAACAAUCAAAUUACAGUCAUUUUUAAACAAAAACUUCAGCCAAAAUCCAACAAAAACAUCCAAAUUACAGUCACUUUUCAGCAAAAACAACAACUGAAUUCCAUCAAAAGCACUAUCUAAAUCGCAACCAUUUUAAGUAAAAAAUAACAACUAAAUUCCAACAUAAAGACCAACCAAAUUGUAGCAAAAAUAGUGUCCAAAUUGCUAUCAUUUUCAACAACAAAAAAAAAAGCCAAACCAAAAAUAUAGCAGUCAAUAUUUUAAGGGUUCAGCUCCAGCAAAAACAACAUGAAACAAUCCCUACGCCAUCUUCAAAAUCAACAAAAACAAUAGCAAGAUAUCAUCACUUGCAAUGCAUUAGAAACACCUUAAACUUACUAGAAAACCAUCGUAAUGGCACAAAAAUAUCAAUAAAAAAUAACAUAAAUGUCUAGCACGUGUAUAUAAAGAGUGAGUCAUUUUUACCCCAAAAAAUUGUUAUAGCUUCAAAAUGUAGGUUUAUUUUCUUUUGUGCAUUGAGAACUUUCCCAAACAAAAUAUGGUUCAAUGUCUACUUCGAUAUCUCCCAUUUGUUCUUGUUCCACUUUAUUUCGUUCUCUUCUAACUUGAAAAACAAUAACAAGUAUAAUAUUAACUCCAGCAUAAAAAUCGACAUUACAUGUCUUUUCUGACGAAAUACAGAGGUAGUUUCUGGCGUCACAGUGUAGUAACUGCAAGUUCUUUUAUUAUUGCCAGGUUUGUGACCUGUGCUGCAAUUUAGAGAGUCUUGCUUUCGUUUUAUCUUUGUUCGAUUAGCUCCAACUUCAUCUUCUUCCUUCUUUCGUGACUUUGGUUUUCUUUCUUUCUUAUUAACUUUUGUAAUUCUUGGAGGUAGAGGAGGAAGUUUACUUGACUUAAGGUUCCCUCAACAUCAAUUAACCUCUAAACAACUGUCUGCGAAAAACUCUAACAAAUGACUGAGUCAACUAACCAUAUAUAAACUGGGACAAGGCCCCCAGUAAACUCAAAACUAAAUAUAAGAUAAAAGGACUGCAAGACAUAAGACCUUCCGAAACAUAGAAGGCUCAACACUUGUCUCUGCAACUCUGUCUGAAUGAUCUACUGAUUCUCUUGACCCCUAGACUGGGCCUCUGAACCUGAGAGGUUGGAGAGGGGGGGGGGGUCAGGGCAAAAGUACUGGCAGGCAGGGGUAUCAAAAUAAAAUAUAAUAUUUUUACAAAUAUAGUUGAGAGUCAUUAUAAAGCAAUUUCGUAUCAAAUAAUUUGAAAGCACAUGUGUGUAAUGCAAUAGUUUUCUCAAUAACAAUGAAAUGCAACUGAGAUAGGGGGAAUACCCUACAUAAUUUACACCAACUGUCUAAACUCGGUUGCCGCCGAGAUUACAGUAUAAGUGAGGGAGAGACACUCAAGACCACAAAGCAUGGUGUCUCGAUCCACUGGUAGUGCUCAAGAUCACUUAGCCCGGGCUCCUACCUAUAGUCCCAAUUUGGGAAUGACAUGAAGUCAAGUACACAAUAUCACUUAGCCUGAUACCAAAAUUUCGUGUUGGCAAACACGUUUUCCAGCGAUGAGCCCUUAAUCUCAAACGCCUUCUUUGGGCAUCCACCUUUCUCAUGUAAAAAUUAAUGCAUUCAAAUUUUAUCUGAUUCAAUCACAUAUCAUGUUCUGUAGGGUAUCGUCAUACUCGACUUGAAAGUCCUCAAUAUCACUUCCACAUAUGCAUAACUAUGUAAAAAUCAAGGUGCUUCAUCAUUUACAAGUGGUGAAUAAUAUUUAUUUCAAAUUCAUGCUCUCUUUUGUUGAUCACAAUAUGAUAUGGGGUAUCAAGACAUUAUAAUGGGUAUUUGAAAGCAAUUUAUCAUUUAUAUUUAUCAAACUUCCAUGGAAAAUCUCAAAUCACAUAUGCAUGGUUUCAACCAUUGAAGUAUAUAAGCAAACAAUUCCCAUGACAUAAAGAAAGAUGACUUAGAAAUCAUAUUGAAAGCAAGUUAUUAGCAUUUGAUUGAAAACCCCCAUUUAAAAGCAUGCAUGUUCAUAAAAACUACACCCAUGAGAUUUUAGGAUAACCCCACGUACCUCUAUUUCCAAGGAUAAUAGAUGUUUCUUGAAGCUUGCGGAUUGGUGAUUCCCAAUAUGUAAUUAUCUUUGAAAACCUACGGUCGAAUCUUGAGCUAUUUGGGUUUUUUAUUUUGAAACCCUAAGGAGAAUCUUUGAGCACUUUUGAUGAAUGAAGGUGUAUUUUGGGGUCAUUGGAACUGAAUUUCAUGUUUUAGGGCUAAGUAAGGGUGGAAAAGAACCACUUUGUCCCCAAAACGGAGUGUUUAAGUCACUAGAAUUAUUUACAUAGGCCCCGCCCAUCCCAUUGCCUAUGUUCACAUAGGCGCCGCCUAGGCUGUCGCCUAUGUUUACAUAGGCACUGCCUAGGCUAUUGCCUAUGCUUUCCAGUGGCCAUGGGCAAUUGGUUAGGCAACGCAUAUCACUUUGAAAGUCCAUAGCUUCUUGCUCGGGUGUCAGAUUUUAGCCAAAUUGGUAUCGUUGGAAAGCUAACUCGAAUACCUAUCAUUUGACACAUAGUAGGCUUCCUAAUUCGACAUAUACAGAGAGUUAUGGUCGAUGGAAGCUGACACAAUUUACAACGUCCACUAAAACUUAGUCGAUCAAAAUAGUUUCAACUCGUCCAUGAGUUGAAGGACCUCUAUGGUCUAAAUUCAAGCUUGAAUGGAUUCACAUGUUACACAAAUAAUUAACAUGCCGUAUUGGUAUAGGAUUUUAUGGCUUCGGGAUUAUCAACACAUCGAAAUCAUGGUCCUUAUUGUAGCCCAAAAUGCGGGGCGUUACAUUAUGUCAGAAAUGGUUAGAGCUCGUACACUCUCUUUUGAAUUCGAAGAGAUCAUAGGGACACAUUACAACAAUUUCGACGAUGAAAAUAUCUUUUAGCUACCAUCUUAAGAUGCCAUAAGAAAAAUUAUAAUGUUAUAUAAAUUUCUAUAUCUAAUGUUUUAACAGCACAACUACAUACACAAGGCUAUGGAUCACAAAAGACAAACCCUUUUCGUGUUGAUUCUUAAAUUUAGACUACAACAACUUUAUAACAACUUAUACAAAAAGAGACUGUGAAAUGAGGCUUUAGGUUUCAGGGUGUACAUAAUUAGAGAUAUUACCAAAAAAUUUAAUGAUAGUUCGAGGAACUCAGUCCAAUGAAAGCAAGCGUAAGAAGAAUAUACAUUUCAAAGGAAAGUAAUAGAUAAUCAUGACUAUCUGAGACACACAUCAUUUUAUGGUGGUAUAAUUUUUUGUUAAUAGAUAAUCAUGACUAUCUGAGACACACAUCAUUUUAUGGUGGUAUAAUUUUUUGUUAAUAGAUAAUCAUGACUAUCUGAGACACACAUCAUUUUAUGGUGGUAUAAUUUUUUGUUAAUAGAUAAUCAUGACUAUCUGAGACACACAUCAUUUUAUGGUGGUAUAAUUUUUUGUUAAUAGAUAAUCAUGACUAUCUGAGACACACAUCAUUUUAUGGUGGUAUAAUUUUUUGUUAAUAGAUAAUCAUGACUAUCUGAGACACACAUCAUUUUAUGGUGGUAUAAUUUUUUGUUAAUAGAUAAUCAUGACUAUCUGAGACACACAUCAUUUUAUGGUGGUAUAAUUUUUUGUUAAUAGAUAAUCAUGACUAUCUGAGACACACAUCAUUUUAUGGUGGUAUAAUUUUUUGUUAAUAGAUAAUCAUGACUAUCUGAGACACACAUCAUUUUAUGGUGGUAUAAUUUUUUGUUAAUAGAUAAUCAUGACUAUCUGAGACACACAUCAUUUUAUGGUGGUAUAAUUUUUUGUUAAUAGAUAAUCAUGACUAUCUGAGACACACAUCAUUUUAUGGUGGUAUAAUUUUUUGUUAAUAGAUAAUCAUGACUAUCUGAGACACACAUCAUUUUAUGGUGGUAUAAUUUUUUGUUAAUAGAUAAUCAUGACUAUCUGAGACACACAUCAUUUUAUGGUGGUAUAAUUUUUUGUUAAUAGAUAAUCAUGACUAUCUGAGACACACAUCAUUUUAUGGUGGUAUAAUUUUUUGUUAAUAGAUAAUCAUGACUAUCUGAGACACACAUCAUUUUAUGGUGGUAUAAUUUUUUGUUAAUAGAUAAUCAUGACUAUCUGAGACACACAUCAUUUUAUGGUGGUAUAAUUUUUUGUUAAUAGAUAAUCAUGACUAUCUGAGACACACAUCAUUUUAUGGUGGUAUAAUUUUUUGUUAAUAGAUAAUCAUGACUAUCUGAGACACACAUCAUUUUAUGGUGGUAUAAUUUUUUGUUAAUAGAUAAUCAUGACUAUCUGAGACACACAUCAUUUUAUGGUGGUAUAAUUUUUUGUUUCGUACCUCUUAGUUUAGAUAACAAUUUCUAGAUUUUUAGACAGUAGAAGGGAGGAGGAAGAAAGUGCACAUCAGAGAGUUCCUAGGAUACAGUAGAAGUAGUUAUCUGGGGACUAACAUUUGUUCUAGCUUACAACAGAAGCACCGCAAUAAUUCUUUUGUCUAGAUGCGUACAAAGUGAUUGCAGUGUGAGCAGGCGAGCAAGUAAAACGACUGGAGGCGAUCAGGAAGUGAUAUUUUGCCUUCCAUAGAAAAAGUUUUUACCUGCAGUAGUAGUUCACAGUGACAUUAGAAAUUUCUUUGAAGAUAUUUAUGAUAAGGCAUUGGACCGGUUGUUGAUGGGGACAGAAAUUGGUUUAACAGAGCGACAGAGUUGGAACCGGCAGUGGUGAUUGUUAUAGUGAUGAUAGUGAACCGGAUCUGGCUGCUAUGGUUAGUGAGUUUCUGAAAAGUGGAAUAAACUGAUUGUACUAAUUGUAGAUGACAUAUACAUGUUACUAACGUAUAUACAAUUCUGAAAUGGUGGAUAUAGGAAAUACUUCAUCUUCAAUAGGUGCAAGAUUUAGUGAGAAAGGUGAUGCCGAUGAUCUUUGUAAAGUGUAAGAUACCAACAUUACGAUGAGGGGAUAAGUUAAUAGGUACCACUUCAUCAAUUGUAGCAGCCUGCACGUGCUUGGGAUUUACUAAGAUCGUUAUCUGAUAUCUUUUAGCUAAUCUUAUAGCUGUGUAUGUCAGAGAUAAAGAGGAAUUUUAGUUGAAUAUAGGUAAAGAAGCGUAGAGGUAAAAGAGAAGAGUUUCAGAGACUGAUGUAAACAACAUACCACCGCGAAAUUUAGUAACGCUUAAACGCUUAGCAAGAAUGACGGGGUGCUCAUACAGGUGAUGUUGUAAUGUAGCCCCUUCAUUGUUAGCUAAAUCAUCCCAUACAGUAAAUAGGGCAGGUUUUUUGCUGAUCGAUAUAACAGUCAUAAAAUUUUUAAGGUGUAAGUAUGCUUUAUUAAGCAGAAGGGGGCGACUAGCUCACCUCUGAUCCAUUAUGAUUGCCUCCUGAAAGUGCUUACUUCGGUCAGCGCUAUAUUGUAGCACGCUACAAUUAGCUACUACUGCUAGUAAAUCUGGUGUAAUGGAAAAUAAGAAGUUACCAGUUGAUUUAAUUAGUAGGGCACAGUUAGUUGGUGUGGAAAAGAGGCGAAGGCAUAAAGUGGGAGCUUACUAAAUUCAACAUCUGGACGUAGGCACUCAAUAGCUGAAAAAGGAAGUGUGUUCAACUUUCUUGGAGAAGGAAGGGGUACUUCCAUCCCACCGUUAUUGGUAACUGCCUCAACAAUUUUGUGUCUGUUGACCACCCAUUCGUACGCAUUGACUCGUAUUGAGUAACUGUGGGGCUCUCUAACUUUCAUGCAAGAAAUCAAAAUGUGUUGAAAGGAGAAAAUAGCCUCUCGUACUUGGGAAUAUCAUCACCAUAAAGUACUAUGGCAACCUGUUGUUCCUGUAGUCAAGUGAGGUAGAGAAAGGUUUAGGUCUGCGAAUAGAAUUUAUAGAGGAAGUUGUUAAAAUUUUCAACUGCUGUUGUUUUUAUGGGGCUUCAACUCGCACUUUAUGAAGUUGUCGUAGGUAAUAAUUUUAUUUAAAACAUCUUGAGUAUCAAGACCAUUUUUCAGUAUGAACAGGAGUAUAGGUAAACUUACGGUUUCAUCUUGCACAAGCAUUUUCUUAAACUGCACACUUUGAUCUCUUCUCUCACGAGGCCGAAACUUGUCAACCACCUGAACCUUACAGGUCCAAUCUGUAGUUUCUUUUGUGAUACCAUCAACAGGGAGUCAUUGAUCCAUUAUGCCAGGCUCUGUUUCAUUAUGGCGGGGGAAGGUGCACAUUAAAUAGCAACAUAUAGUAAAGAGUAAACUAAUGAAUGAACUUAUAUAGUGAUAAGAGUACAAAGCGUGAUGUAUGAGUUACAACCGUAGAUAUGACAGUAAAGCUAUGCAGACAAUCAAACUCGGAGAUAAAGAAUAACUACUAACAAACCAAGCAGUUGCCUUAGUAGAAUCAGAGAAAUUGACAACAGAGAACAAAGGAAGAAUGGAACUAAGUUGAAGAGAGAUUUAGGUGAAGCCGCUAAUAUUUCUAUACAAUUAACCAUUUCAAACAUCGAAGAAAAACUUUCUAAUGGAGACGUAAAUAAUCGACAACAAACAAAUGUAGUGAUUUUGGAGCAACGCCAAGUUUCUGAUAUAAGAUGUAUUUUCUAUUUAACAUAAAAAAAAUAAUAUGGAGCAGACAUCAUUCACAAAUUGCUAAUGCAGCACCAAGACUGUAACACCCUCAAAUUUUGGGUAUUUUAUUUUUGAUCAUCCCAUGCUUGAAAUAUAAAAUUUUUAACUCAAAUAUUAUUUGAGGAUGUUAAAGGGUAAUCCAGGAGAAUUUCAGCAUUUUUGGAUGAGAUAUGGGGGAGUUUCAGGACAUGGAGGUAGUAAGCCUCGGCGAUAGCCCAUCGCAAGGCUAGUGUCCGUAAUGGUCCCAUAUAAUGGAGGCUAAUGUCCGCGUUAGACCCCGCACCGCGGAGGCUGUGUUUUUCUUGCAACAUUAAUUAAGUCCCAGAGGGGAUAUUUGGGCAUUCUUCCCUUUUAAACUCAACCUCCACGACUUAAAACAUUCCCUAAACGUUAUUUCACCCCCUGGAAUUCCUAAAUAUCAUUUCAUAAGCAAGAGGAAAGAAAAUACUUAGGGUUUGAGAAUUUCAACAUCCAAGGGGUCAAAUUUCUCACCGUUCUCAUCGUAUUCAAGGUAUGUAGGACUAUCCCAAAUCUCAUAGGUGUAGUUUAAUGUUUUUAACAAGUUAUUGAGAUAUAUAAUUAAGUAUAUGUAAUGGGUUUUGGAAAUUGAUUGAAGAGCACGCGAGUUCAUGAACCCAUUUUUGAUGAAGUAUGUAUUUUAUCAUGAGAUUUUCCUUAAACUUGAGCUUUAUUCAUGAGUAUGUAAGUAGCGAGUCUUGAGAAUUUAUAUGAGAGCCUGAUUUAUGAAAUUCUCUCUCUUGUUAUGAAAUCCAUUGUCUUAACAUGUUGCGGUUUUGUAUACGAAUGAGUUUAACUGUUUCGUUAACAAUUGUGGAUUUGCAUUACUUUAUGAUCUAAAUGAGAGGGCAAUUUUAUUAAUUGUUAAAGGCUCUUGUGUCCUAAUGGAGAAAUUGUAUGUGAUUGAUGAAAGAUUUGACGAGGAAAGUAUUUUGCAUGAGUUUCAUAUGUUAUGAAAUAAGAACUCUCUCGUGAUGUUUAAAUCUUUUGGGUGGCCAUAAUUAUACUUUUGAAUAAAAAGGGCUAUGGAUAUGAUGUGGUAUGAUAUGAAUGACUUGUAAGUCUGAGUAUGACGAUACCCUGUUAUGAUAUGCCCUUAACACAAAGGAGAUAAUGUUUACAAGCAUGAAACAUGAUUUUAAAGAACUAAAAUUGGGCUUAAAGAGAGCUAGAUAGUUACCCGAAGAAGGCAGUUGAGUGUAAGGUCUCAUUGCUAAAAAUCGUGUUUUGCCGAUAUGGGUAUUAUCUUGAAAAGGGGGAUAAUUAGGACAUUAUGUGAGGGUGAUGCCACGGAAUACCUGUAAGGGGGUAUACCAACUUAUGAAAUCUUCAAUUCUUGCGGAAAACUUAGAUUGGAGGCUUGGCCACCGAGUUAAGGGCGGAUCCAUAUAGCCCGCGGGUAAUCAGAACUGUAGGGUGUACCACUUAGCUCAAAACUAAAACAAAAAGUUGAGAUCAUGAUUUACAAUAAUGUUUUGAAGAUUUUGAAUUAUGCCCAUGUGCUUUAUAUUAUGCUAAAUUGUUUUUCUCAAUGCUCCCAAUUAUGAUUAUACAAAAUAGAUAUUACUUUUUAUUGUUCUACAUACCAAUACUCUCCAAUUAUAGACCCCCUGUAUUUCAGAUUCUGAGGCACAGUCUGUGGUUCAGCUAAGCAAUAGAUUAUUUACAGAUAUUCAGAAUUGGUGAGUCUUCCUUACUUCGAAAGGUGUUUUAUCAGUAUGUUGUUUUCCCUUUUAAUUUUAUGAUCAGGCUGGGGGGCCUUGUCUCGAUUUAGACAGAUUAGUAUGUUCAGUUCAGUAAAGGCUUCGUAGAUUGGUUAGACUAGGUUUUGAAUUCUUUUGCUCGUGGAUUGAUGUAUGAAUAUCGUAUAUUGCUUAUGGGACCAUCCAAUUUUCAAUUUAUCUUCCGCAUUUUAUUUCAUAUGAGUUAUGCUUAUGAGCACAUACUAAGGGGUCUCUCAGGACUUCAUGGUUUGGGAGGCCCGUUGUGGCUAGGGCUUCGGUUCAGAUCAUCACAAAGACAUUGAAAAAUUUGGUGGCUGCAGUAUACCAGCUGUUAGAUCAAUGAAGUUUUGAUCAUUGACAUAUAAAUAAAAUAUGUUACUCAAGUUGGUCCAAUCACAUGAAGACAGGCACUAAGGAAAGCGAACAUGAAUGGAUAAGAUCUCUUGAGAAUGGAUAAGUUUCUUGCUCUCUUGAUGGAUCACGUGUGAUAAAAAAAAAGUUGUAGCUAAAUACAACACCUUAUCGAUAAGCUGAAGAGAAAGAGUUUCACUCAAACAAGGAGAUCAUGUUGAAAAAGGAGUUUUACCAAUGCAAGAAGUUGUACUCGAAGAAAGACUUUGAGUUGACAAAAAAUGCGGUUAAAUUAAAGAGUCCAAAGCAAGGUAGAAGACCAAUACUUUGAAGGACUCUUUGAAGAGUUGUUAUAUACCGAGGGAGUAACUCAUUUCGUUACUCACGCACUUAAGAAGAUAGAAACACAUCAACGAAUUAUUAGUGAAGUUCCAAAGCUUAAAGCAGCCUGAGUUGAACCUGUUCCUAUUACUUAGAGUUAAGGAGUCUUAGACUUUAUGUAUUAGGUUGGUUCUUGAGUUGUAUUGUUUUCUAGUCCUAGUGAAGUAUAAACUGAGUUAGGAGUAUUGUCUUCAAGUUUGGGAACACUCACCUUGGGAAGGUUUUUUUUUUUUUUGUAGAAAUAGGAGUUAGAGUUUAAUUCCUAGAUUACAAGAGUCUUGUAAUUUGUUGAUUGUUGAGGCUCAAUUGUUUUAGUGGAGUUGGGGUCAAUUCCUGUAGAGGUAUAGGUCGUGGUUUUUUACACCUCUUUGAGUCGGGUAUUUUCCACGUAAACAUCACUAUGCAAUUUACUUACUAUUUUAGCUAGAUAGGAACACGUUAGUUGACCUAUUCCAUUGAUAGGCAACUGCUAGGCUAAAAUAAGUAAUCAGUAGGGCACUUACUUUAAGAAGUGGUAUCAGAGCAGGUUAUCUUACAUUGGGUUAACACCUAACAAAAGAUCACUAUGAUGAAUUUCGCACCUCCUACUGGUUACAGUGAAAGCCAAUCCACUACGAGACCUCCUCUAUUUUAUGGCACUCAUUUCAGUUGGUGGAAAGUAAGGAUGAAAAUGUUCAUCCAAGGUGAAGACUAUAAAUUAUGGGAUAGAGUUACUGACGGUCCAACUAUUCCAAUGAAUCUAGUUGAUGGAGAACAAGUAAAAAAGGUGAAAAGUGAGUUCACUGUUGAUGAUCUGAAUUUAUUAAGGAAAAAUGCAAGGGCCAAGAACAUCUUAGUAUGUGGCUUAGGCCCUGCUGAAUAUAAUAGGGUAUCUACCUGCACCACUGCUAAGAAAAUUAGGAAUUCCUUGAUAAAAUCACAUGAAGGCACCACUCAAGUAAAAAAAAUUCAGAAUUGUUUUACUAUUUACUGAAUAUGAGGCCUUUAGAAUGAGGGAGAAUGAGUCUCUCCAUCAAAUGAUGUCAAGACUUGCUACCUUAACCAAUGAGUUGACAUCCUUGGAGAAUAUUAUUACAACUGAGGAACAAGUUAAAAAGGUGCUAAAGGUUUACCCAAUUCCAAAUGGGAUGUUAAGGUUACUGCAAUUAGGGAGGUUAAGGAUCUUGCUGGGAUGACUUUCAAUGAGCUUGUAGGAAAUCUCAAGACUUAUGAGAUGCAGAUUGAUGAAGCAAGAAGUGAAAAUAAAGCUCCUGAAAAAUUCUUGGCUCUAAAGGAUUCUGAAAGUGAUGAAAAGGCUGAACUGACUGAACAACAAGUGCCAUUCAUAACAAAAAAUUUCAAUAGUCUUCAAAAGGAAAAAUGGAACAAGUAGCAAAAAGAGGUCCAAUGAUGAUGUUAUAAGUGUGGCAAGACUGACCAUCAAAUCCGAGAUUGUCCUGUGUGUGAAGUUGAAUAGAGAAACGAGAGAGUUGAGAAGAAGUUGAAAGAAAAGGCUAAGAAAAGAGAAAAAGAAGAAUAUGCUAUGGUAGCAACUUGGGGAUCAAACUCAAAAGAAUAAAAUGAGGAAGAGAUUGAUGAAAUUACUCAUGGACAUUCAAGAUUCAGACAUGGAAGAAGAAGAUAGCACCUCUGAGGUAAGUGUUCCUGAACUUAAAAAUAAGUUGCAUCUAUUUUCUAAAGAAAAGCUCGUCUCUCUGAUUAGUGUUUUAAUUGAUGACUUCCAAGAAGUAAAUUAUUAUAGGGAUGAGCUAUUCAAUAGUUUUGCAAGUCUCAAGUUUGAUCUGAUUGAUAUGAAAGCUUGCAAAAACACUGUUGAAAAAAAAAUAGCACUCUCAAGGACAAGUUAGUUAACUUGGUUCUUCAAAUCUGAUUCUAAAAUUUGAAAUCCUAAAACUAACUCUUUCUAAAAAAGGAAAAAGAAUGAAAAAUGCUAAACAAGAGAAAAUUGAGGGUGAGUUUAUUAGGGUCAAAUAAAAAUGCAAUGAUGAACGAACAAGGAAGAAAAGUUUAGUCAAGAAAUUUCAAAAUUGAAACUGGAUCUUGAGAAGGCUACCAUAUGGACAAAUUCCUCAAGAAUUGUCCAUCAAUUGGGUGAAAAAACUCACAAUGAAAAGGAUGGAUUAGGUUUUCAUAAGAGUCACAGCGUUACUAACGAUCUAUCCUAUAUAUGUGGCAACCAUGAUCAUCCUACUACUGAAUGUCCUAUUGUCGCUAAGAGCAAAUCUAGGAGUACAAUGCUGUCUAUAAAAUUUGACUUCUUAAAAAUCCAGAGAAAUAAAAUGAAUAAAAGAUCUGGUUAGAGGAAAAGAUCACACAACCUGUUGCCUCAAUGGGCUAGAAGAAACUUGAUCCACCCUUUAUCUCAUAAAAAGGAUCCAAGCUUGUCUGGGUUCCAAAAUGUAAACCUUAAUUUUUUCGCAGGAGAAAGUGAAAGGAAUCAAGAAGCACUAGUACUUGGAUAGUGCUUGCUCAAUUCAUAUUACUGGCGAUAAGAAAAAAUUUUAUUCACUCUCUAAAAUAAGUGGAGGGGGAGUAUCUUUUGGUGAUGGCAAAAAAGGAACCAUUACAGGAGUUGGGAAGAUUGGGACCUCUGAAUCAAAGGCACUGGAAGAUAUCUACCUUGUAGAAGGACUGAAGCACAAUCUGCUUAGCAUAUCACAACUUUGUGAUAAAGGUAACAUAGUCAUUUUUACUUCUGCAGGUAUUGAAGUCAAAAGAGCGGAUACCAAGGAGGUGGUACUUACUGUAAGAAGACACAAGAAUGUGUACAAAGAUGAUAUAAUAAAUAUCCCAGCCAUAAGGCUAAAUUGCUUGAGCGCGAUAGAAAAUGAUCCCCUCUUAUGGCACAAAAGACUUGGACAUGCAAGUCUAAAAUAAUUAAACAAACGCUCUUCUAAAUACAUGAUGUUGGGCUUGCCCAAAACUAAGUUCAAAGAUGAGAAGCUUUGCAGUGCUUGUGUAAGGGGGAAGUAGGUAAGGUCCUCAUUCAAAUCAAAGAACCAGGUCAACAUAGUCAAUUGCCUCGACCUGGUCCAUAUGGAUCUUUAUGGACCAAUGAGAAUUCAAUGCAGAGGGGGGAAAAGGUAUGUCUUUGUAAUUGUUGAUGAUUAUUCCAAGUUUACCUAGAUACUCUUUUUAGCUUCCAAAGAAGAUUCUUUUUAUGUCUUCUCCUUAUUCAUUAAGAAAAUGGAAAAGAAGCUAGGAACUUCCUUACUUUCCAUAAGAUUUGAUCAUGGUACAGAAUUUGAAAAUGCAAAAUUUUUAGAAUUCUGUUUCACAAAUGGUAUAGAUCACAAUUUCUCUGCUCCUAGAAUACCUCAGCAAAAUGGAGUGGUAGAAAGGAAAAAUAGGACUUUAGAAGAAAUGGCCAGAGCAAUGAUUCUUGCAGGAAAUCUUGCAAAAAAUCUAUGGGCUUAAGUAAUUAGUACUGCUGCAUAUAUCAUAAAUAGAUGCAUGAUUAGGCCUAUUCUAGAGAAGACUCUCUAUGAAUUACUAAAAAGAAGAAAGCCUAACAUUUUCUCACUUUAGAACCUUUAGUUACAAGUGUUUUAUUCAUAAUAAUGGGAAAGAUAAUCUAGGAAAAUUUGACGCUAGAAGUGAUAAGGGAAUAUUCCUAGGAUAUUCACUUUAUAGCGAAGCUUGUAGGGUCUUAAAUAAUAGAACAAAUUAUGUUGAGAAAGGUGUGCAUGUGGUAUUUGAUGAAUCUUGUGAUAAGACUAACAUGCAGGAAAAAGUGACUCAGAAGAACAGACAACGGAAUAGGUUGCACAACCUGGUCUAUCAACUAGAGUAACUGAAUCUGGAAGCACCUCAACAUGGGGAACUGGAUCCAGAAGCAUUUAGACAGGGGGAACCGAAUCACCAUCUACUACUGCUCAAACUAGUCAUGAUGAUCCUAGCAGCUCUCAAAAAUUGAUCCCUAGAGGGUAUAAGUAUCAAGGAUCUCAUCCAAUAGAAAAUAUUCUCAUUGAUCUCACUUCAGUAAUCACCACAAGAUAGGAUUGAGAAAUUUGUGUGCCUUUAAAGCAUUCUUGUCUAUGAUUGAAGCAAAUGAAGCACUCCUUGAUGCUGAUUGGAGCAUAGUCCUGCAAGAAGAGUUCAAUCAGUUUGAAAGAAGUAAGGUCUGGAACUUAGUUCUACCUCUAAAAGAUAGAAUUAUGAUUGGGACUAAGUGGGUGUACAGAAACAAAGUUGAUGAAAAUGGAAUAGUUACAAGGAACAAGGCCAGACUGGUGGACCAAGGAUACAAUCAAGAAGAAGGCAUAGAUUUUGAUGAGACUUUUGCACCUGUAGCAAGACUUGAGGCCAUCAGGAUUCUUGUGUCCUUUAUAGCUCACAAGUAAUUCAUACUUUACCAAAUGGAUGUUAAGAGUGUGUUCUUAAAUAGUAUUCUUAAGAGGAAGUGUAUGUGAAACAACCUCCUGGAUUUGAAAGUAAGGAAUUUCCUGACUAUGUGUGCAAGCUUGAUAAGGCAUUGUAUGGACCAAAACAAGCUCUAAGAUCUUGGUAUGAGCGUUUGUCAAAAUUUAUUUUGGAGCGUGGACAUACUAGAGGUAAAAUUAACAACACUUUGUUUUUAAAGACUAAUAGGAAAGAUUUGUUGAUAGUGUAGGUAUAUAUUGAUGACAUCAUAUUAGGCUCAAUAAAUAUCAACAUAACUCAUGACUUUUCCAAACUCAUGAGUUGUGAAUUUGAGAUGAGUAUGCUGGGGGAGCUAACCUUUUUCUUAGGUCUACAAAUCUAACAAUCACCUUCUGGAACCUUGAUUUAUCAACAAAAGUAUGUGAAAGAGCUUCUUAAAAAAUUCUCCACGGAGGAAGUUAAGGUAAUCAGCACACCAAUUGCCACUGCUACUAAGCUGGAUAUGGAUGAAAUAGGUCCAUCUGUGGAUCAAAAGAUGUUUAGAAGGAUGAUUGGGUUACUGCUAUAUCUCAUAGGAAGUAGGCCUGAUAUUGUAUUCAGUGUAGGAUUGUGUUUAAGAUUUCAAACAAAUCCCAAGGAUUCUCAUCUAAAAGUUGUGAAAAAGAUCUUCAGAUAUCUCAAGAGAACUACUGAUCUUGGAUUGCGGUAUCCUAAAUGGAGUAAUUUUAAGCUUGUAGGUUACUCUAAUGCUGACUAUGCAGGGUAUUUAGUGGAUAGGAAAAACAUUACAGGUAUGGCACACUUCCUUGGAUCAUGUCUAAUUACCUGGUCUACUAAGAAACAAAACUCAGUAGUUUUGUCCACUGCUGAGGCUAAGUAUGUUGUUGCUGGUUAUUGCUGUGCCCAAUUGUUGUGGAUCAAGCAACAACUCAUGGAUUUGGUAUGGAUGUAGGUUGUGUCCCUAUCUUUUGUGAUUAUAAAAGUUCCAUCAAUAUUGCUAAAAACCUUGUGCUACAUAAAAGAACUAAACACGUAGAUAGCAGACACUAUUUCUUAGAGAUAACACUGAAAAGGGUCUUAUAUCAAUCAUGUUUUAUUCUACUGAGGACCAAAUAACAGAUAUUUUCACUAAGGCAUUGAGUAGAGAGCACUUUGAAAACAUCAUAUAAGAGUUAGGUUAAUUAAGAUCACAUGAACUUCCCUCAAUGAUUGACUAGAUAUCUUAGUGUUAUUCAUGACCCGGCUAAAAUAUUGAGUAAUUUAGUGUUGCACAUUAAGUUAUGUGUCCUAAUUUCAGAAUUUUAAAUGAACUAAAAACUGUAUGUAUUUAAUUGUGCAGAAAUAUUAGUUCAUACCAGUGAUUUUAGUUGUGUUUUGAAAUCUACCAGGUAUGAUCUCCAUUAAUCUUUCUGAAUUCAACUUGAUGGAACUACUAAGCUUAUUUGGUCCCCAAAUUAUUUUCCUUUAUAACAGUCAAGUCUCUAGAGUCUAUCUACUUUCAAAACACUGCAACCGUCCUCCCAUUAGACAUCUACUUCAUCUAAAAUUCCUUCAUCACCAUCUCUUAUAUAUCACACACUCACCAAUCAACUUUCACACUUCUUUCUCUCUUUUCAUCAAGAGUGUGUUUCCACUUCCUUCUCAAUAACUUUCUCUUCAUCCGCUUUCAAUGAUUUACAUUCAGACCUCUCUCCUACUUUUUUUCACAUCAGCAAAAAAAGGAGGGUUUCAACUCCUGUUACUACCCUUACCUCAUUUAUUCCAGAAGUGUUGUGUGGUUUAAUAAGUUUAGGCAAAUCAGUGAAACAUUCUAUGGUUCACCCUUUCGAUCAGUCACAGUCUAUCCUUCCUGUCAAGAAAUGAGUUGUAAAACUUAUUCCUUAUGAUUCCUCUAAUUCUGAUGACAAUCAGGAUGACAUAGUUCAGCAAGAACCAAACUUUAAAAUUAAGAAAAACUUUGGGUCAAUGGGAAGUCCUGUUAAUCCUAUGCAACGGUUGAGACAUAUGCUUGCUGAAUUGGUCCUGGAAAAAAUAGUGAAAUAUGAAACAUCGAUAAAGGGUCAGCUUACUUCCUGGGAAGUUCUAAAACUGAAAUCCUCCUUGAUCAAACUGUACAUAAUAGUGAAAAAGAGGAGCUCCUUGCUAAGAUUGAUGCUCUCCAAAGUGUUCUUGCUAAGAAGAGUGAUGCAUUGGUUGAUCAUGAAGCUGAUAAAAUACUGUUUCUUGCCAAAAUCAAUUCUCUUCAAGUUGAUAUUGCUCGUGCACGCGCUAAUGGUGACCACCAGACCACCUAGUUUUUUCUGUUCCCUCCACUUUCACCAACUCUUAAAGCCCUAUGAUUUUUUUUGUUUCAUCUAGUUGUAUUUGGUUUGAUUAUUUGUUAUUAUAUGUUGGUAAUUUUAAUAAUAUGACUUUUUUUCUUGAUUAAAGUCAAUUAUUGUACACUCUUAUGCAUGAUUUGUUUUGUCUUUCUGGUUCUGCUUGUUUUAGCGAUAGCCCCAGUGGCCAUGAGUUAUUAAACGUUUAUUUUUGGCCUAGGUAUAUCUUGAACCAGCUUUUCGAUGAUGUUAAAAGGGGGAAGAUGAGUUGAGUUGUGCAAUGUUUAUAACCUAAUGCCUAAUCAGUUUCAUUUUUUUGUGUUUCUUGAUUAAGUGUUUCAGGGACUUAAAGUUUGUCAAUCAUCAAAAAGGGGGAAUUUGUUAGAUCAAUGAAGUUUUGAUGGUUGAUAUAUAAAUGAAAUAUGUUACUCAAGUUGGUCCAGUCACAUGAAGAAAGUCACUAAGGAAAGCGGACAGGAAUGGAUAAAAUCUCUUGAGAAUGGAUAAGCUCCCUUGCUCUCUUGAUAGAUCACGUGUGAUAAAGAAGAAGUUGUAGCUAAAUACAACACCUUAUUGAUAAGCUGAAGAAAAAAAAUUUCAUCUAAACAAGGAGAUCAAGUUAAAGAAGGAGUUUUACCAAUGCAAGGAUUUGUACUCGAAGAAGGACUUUGAGUUGACGAAAAAUAUGGUUAAAUUAAAGAGUCCAGAGCAAGGUAAAAGACCAAUUACUUUGAAGGACCCUUUGAAGAGUUAUUAUAUAUCGAGGGAGUAACUCAUUUCGUUACUCACGCACUUAAAAAGAUAGCAACACAUCAAAGAAUUAUCAGUGAAGUUCCAAAGCUUGAAGCAGCCUGAGUUGAACCUGUUCUUAUUACUUAGAGUUAAGGAGUCUUAGACUUUAUGUAUUAGGUUGAUUCUUGAGUUGUAUUGUUUUCUAGUCUCAGUGAAGUAUAAACUAAGUUAGGAGCAUUGUCUUCAAGUUUGGAAACUCGAAGACUUGGGAGCACUCGCCUUGGGAAGGUUUGUGUUUUUGUAGAAAUAGGAGUUAGAGUUUAAUUCCUAGAUUACAAGAGUUUUGUAAUUUGUUGAUUGUUGAGCCUCGAUUGUUUUAGUGAAGUUGGGGUUAAAUCCUGUAAAAGUACGGAUCGGUGGUUUUUUAUACCUCUUUGAGCCGGAUAUUUUCCACAUAAUCAUCACUAUGCAAUUUACUUACUGUUUUAGCUAGAUAGGAACACGUUAGUUGACUUGUUCCAUUGGUAGGCAACUGCUUGGCUAAAACAAGUAAUCAGUAGGGCACGUACUCUAACACCAGCUAAGUACUCAAGCUUCACAAAUAGGCAAACAAUAACAUAAAUCAUUGUUCAACUUUUGCUCCUUAAAUAUCACUCUCUUAAACAUUCUCUAUGAACAUAAUUCGACCAACUUAUGUGCUAGUGAAAUUGUGAUUUUGUUAUGACAAUGCUAAAGUCGAUACAAUAAUUCAACCAACAAAACAGACCAACUUAUGUUCGAGCAGAAUCUUCCAAUGCUUUUGAACUGCCUCAAGAUUUCUAAAUGUUUCCUUUCAGUUCUCCAAUCUCUGUCACCUUUUUUCCCUUAUCUGUACAUAUUUCCAUCCUCAUAACUAUUCAUUUCACUAAUAUGAUCCAUUUUACUUAUUUUUUAUGUGCAUAUACUUGAAAAAAAAAAUCUAAAACAGACCCAAACAUUGCAUAGUGAUAAGCGUAUAAAGAAACAAAGUUCACUUUCGAAGCAACACCACUACAGACCAAAGCAGCGGAAUACAAGCUCGACGAUUCAAUUUGUUGGUGAAAAUAUUUAACCCAAAUGUCCCAACCUUUCUAACCUCUUUAACGCAAAGGAAAAAAAUAGGACACGCCCACAAAUUUGACAACCAUAAGAAAAAAAAUAAAGUUCAUUGCUGAAAUUAUCAGAUGUGAAACCACAUACCAUCAAAUAGAACACAUAUGUAGCAACUCAACAGAAAACUUGAAAUAAAGGAUAAUAAAUUAAGCAAGUUGCAAAAGUAAGAAACCAAAAAUAACAAUAUGCAGAUCAACAAAACAACCAAAGUGAUCACUGAAGAGAACUCACAAAAACUAUGGAAUCGCAAGCUUCAGUGUAGGAAAUUUCUUUACCAAAAGUUUUGAGUGUGAUAGAGCAGAGAUGUUAAAAUGCAGAAACAUCUCCUAAGCAAUUGUCACGUUUAACUUGGAACAAAAAUUUGAUAGACGCGUACCUAUUAGUCAGACAAACAAGGAAAAGACUAUAUUACCCCUUAGCAAAUGAUGAAAAUGCCCUUGUGAGGAAGCUGACAUGACAACCUUCACCAGCUUCCCACGGCACUUCUAUAUAUUAGUAAAGUAAAGUAAAAUAUUCUGUUGGAUUUUUUAGUGGUCCAUAUGUUACUAUCACCUUCGCACAGCCAAAAGCUUUAUAAAAAUGAGCUUAUUACCACAUAAAUGUUAUUGUUGGUAUUUAAGGUCAUAAAUUUCACAAUUUUUAAAUUUUUUGAACUUCUUUGAUUUCGUUUCGAAUUAAACUGUCCUAUAAUUUAGAAUAGAGGAAGUAGUAAUAAUCCGGAAUAGUAUAUAUCUUCUUUAUUUCAACUUGUUUGUUUGAUUUUGACUUAAUAUAUAAAGUCUAAAAAGAUAAAGAAAACUUUUAAAGCUUCAUCUAAAUUAAGAAUAUAUAGAGUGUACCAAAAUAUCUUUCGUAUGAAAAGUUGAAACUAAAAAUUUCUUAAAACAAGAGAUAUUCUUUUUGUAAAACACACGAAAAAAAGGUAAAACAAAAAAAUUUAAAUGGAGGGAGUAUAUGUUUCACUCUUCCUUCUUGUUUUGAAGGCAAAGCUAAUUUAAGUUGUUAGACGCAGAUGCAAAAUUUUAAAUUAGAGUGAAAAAUACCAUGUACAAAUUUGCUAGUACAUUGAAGCAAUGGAAGUGAACUCAAAAAGGGGCCUGCAUUCCAAGUAAUUAAAAUUGUUCAAUGUCAUGUUUUUUUUUUUUUUUUAAAAAGGACGUACCCUGACAAGGUAGUGGUUAAGAAGUUGACACACAAUUGACCCUUCCAAAUUGUCAAUAGUUAUCAGUCAUUAACAAGUCGACGACAACAACAAUAACAUUGGUCCAGUAUAAUUCCACAAAUAAAUAGAGUCUGGAAUGUUUACAUAGAUCUUAUGCCUACAAGAUAUAGAGAUUUUUUACGAUAAAUCUUUGGCUCAGUCAUUAACAAGAAUCAUAAGUAUUAAGUAGCCGUUUGACCAUGAAAAUUAUUUAUUUUUUUCUGAAAAAUAAUUUCACUUUAGUGAAAACAGUAUGUGUUUGGUUAUGAGAAUUCCGAAUACAAUUUGAAAUUGUAUUUGAAAAAGUGAAAACAAGUAAAACUUAUUUUCACCUUUUUCACUUCUACUUCUCUCAUAAAAGUUUAAAAACAACUCAAAUUUAUAUUCAUGAUCAAACAUAAUUUCAACUUCAACUUCAACUCUAGAAAAUUAUUAUUUUCAUGGCCAAACGGGGCCUAAAGUUCUUUGUCAAAUAAUUACGGAUAGAGUUAAUGGAGAUACUUAUUUAUAUGAAAAAAUUGCAUCAUAUUGUUACUUAAUUCAUAAUAACUAUUUAAAAUUUUAAAUCUUUUAAAAAAUUACAUAAAUCCCCGAUUUAUUUAAAAGUUAGGAUACAUCACAUAAGAAUGUGAUGUACCGUGUAAAAUUAAGUGAUACUCCCUCCGUCCAUCUUUACUUGUUCACUUUCUUAUUGGCACAGGACCUAAGAAACGGUAAAUGAUAGGAGGAAUUUUACCAUAUUAUCAUUUGUGUUAGAGUUUGUGACCCAACUUUUGUUAAUCCGGCCUGAAAAGUUCACGGUGUGAUCCAUGUUUGUGAUUUUUUGUGGUGUCUGUGAUGGUAGCGGAGGGAUCGGGCCAUUCCCCGCGGUAUGGACCUGUAUGUUUUUAGGCUUAGGAUUUAUUUGUACGCAACACACGUAUUAUAUAAGUGUGAUUUAGUGAAUCAUUUUGGACGUUUUAAAUACGUCAUUAAGACCCUCAUCUCCUUAUUGUACUCCUCCCCAUAUAGUGAAUAUCUCUUCCUCUGUCCGUGAUUUUUUCCGACAAGAAUUUUCACGUAAAUCUGUGUGUGCUCACCUUUCCUAGGUCUAAGAGGUGCAUCAGAAUUAUCACUUGUUUUUCUUGGCCUUCCCCUAGGUUUAGGAGAUGCAUCAGUAGUAGUAGGAGGAGUGUUUCUUGGCCUCCCCCUGGGUCUUGAAGUACUUGGUACAUCACUUGGUCCAACAUUAAGAAUACUUGAUCCAACAGAAUCCUACAAAAAUAGUUGAAGCAGUCACAUAUUAAAAAAUAAUUAAGCUACAAAUAAAUAAUAGAAGUCAUUUAAAGUUACACACCUUGAAAAGACAACCUUUUUUGUUGUGAUUUUGUCCAUGACAGAUGCUACAAGUCAUGUAAACCCCUUUUCUUGACAUCUUUCCACACUUUUUGGUCUCAUAAAACUGUCUAUUCCUUUUCUUCUUUGGCCUGCUAGGCAUAGAAACAACAAUUGAAGGCUCCACAUGAGGAUUUGUUGACUCUGGCCACAUGUUCAUGUUGGUCACUGGUUGAAUGUAAUGACAGUAAGUCUUGAGACAAGUCUCCUUACUAUAACAGCUAUCAACAAAAUCAAUUGGGUCCAAUUUCUUGUAGAGUAUGGCUCCAAUCCCAUGUGGACAUGGUAUUCCCUUGAGCAUCCAAGAUUUACAGCUACGUGUGUUGUCCUUCAAAUCCACACUAUGUAUAUAUGGUCCAUCUGAUAUUUCAAAACACCUCUCUCCAUUGAAGUCAAUAUUAUAUGUCAUUGACUUCUUAGUGUUUUUUUCUAACACUCUCAAAGCCAUUGGAGAUAUUUCAGUCACCCGUGUUUCUGGAAAGUUUGGGAAUUCAUCUAGUCUAGUCAUUACCUUCACCCUUAUCUCUUCUAGCAGAGUAAUAAUUAUUUUAUGCCUUGGUCCUCAUAUCCAAGCAUUAAAACUCUCAGCCAUGUUAUUAUCUAUACUAUCACACUUAAUGUCAGUUAUAAAGUACAUUUUACAACAACUUUGUACCUUGUAAUGAAUUAAAUCUGGAACAAUAUCUUCACCACCUAGCAUGGCCAAUUGGUUCAGAUUUUUCUUCAUUUCAGCUUCAAAGGUGCUUCUUGCACAUUUCCAGAACUGGUUUCUUCUUUGAAGACCUCUCCAUUUUUUUUUCCAAUUGGCAAGNNNNNNNNNNNNNNNNNNNNNNNNNNNNNNNNNNNNNNNNNNNNNNNNNNNNNNNNNNNNNNNNNNNNNNNNNNNNNNNNNNNNNNNNNNNNNNNNNNNNNNNNNNNNNNNNNNNNNNNNNNNNNNNNNNNNNNNNNNNNNNNNNNAGAUCAUAACAAAUUACAUAUUCAUAACUACACAUAAUAUUCAUUACGCAUAACUAAGUGAAGGUAAAAGUAUACCUUUUGCAUAUCUGAAAUGAUUGUGUAAUCUCUGUCAUCUGUUAAUCCCAAAUCCUCUAUCAAUAAUUUCACAAACCAUGUCCAAGUGUUGUUAUUUUCAUACUGUACUACAGGCCAAGCAAUAGGCAACAUUUGAUUAUUGCCAUCUUUAACCACAACAACCAACAGCUGUCCUUUGGUUACUUCCUUCAAGAAACAUCCAUCUAAACCAAUACAUAUUCUACAACCAUCUAAAAAAGCUUUUUUUCAUGCAUCAAAACAAAUGUAGAAACUUUGAAAAACAAGCUUACCACUAUCAUCAGAAUCAUCAACUUUUACAACACAAGUGGUGCCCGGAUUGGACCUCAACAUUUUAUCCCUAUAGUCAAACAUUCUUCCAAACUCUUUCACAUGAUUACCCAUUAAAUCUUAAAGUAUUUUACCUCUAGUUCUCCUGGCAGUACUCUUUCCAACAUGUAUACCCAAUUCUUUUCUAAUCAACUGUUGGAAUUGAAAUAUUUUCAUGUUUGAAUGCUCACUAAUUCUAUCUUUGAAAUGCUUGUGCAGGAAUUUUGCAUUACACAUGGAAUUUCUAGUGGUUUUGAUACACCUAUGCUUAGGAUUGUAGGUUUUAAUUUGACAAUCAUUGGUACACUUGUUAAUACUUUCAUAUAACAGCCAAGGACACCCUUCCCUUCAUCUAACCCUAACCUUUUUAGACUCAUUAAUAUACUUCUCUAACUUAACACCUCUUUGAAGUGCAUAUUUUGUAACAGCAUCUCUAAACUCAUUUACAUCCUCAAAAACCAUGCCCAAUUACCACACAACCUGUUUUGAAGAAUCAUCAUACACUACUUUUCUACUAUUGGUCCUUCCUAACCCAUCUUCUAAAUCAGAGUCCACACUAUAUUCAUCAGAACUAAAAUACACAGGCUCAUCCCCAACAACUUUACCUUUUAAACUUUUAUCAACAAUUUCUGUCUCCUUAAAUCCCAGAUCUGGACCAACUUCACCAACAGGAACUUCUGUAGGGUUAUUAGGUAUUCUUUCUCUUCUCUUUCUCCUCUGGUAUUUCCUCCUUCUAGCCCUCAAGUUUAUGUCCUCCUCAUGCACAUCACUUUCCAAUUCAGCAUCAUCUUCAACAAAUAGAUCUUCAUGGUCUGAAUCUAAGCUAUUUUUAGUUGAAAGGUCAGAAACAUCAGUAUUUGCAACCUCAGAAGUAGCUGCAACUUCACCACCAGCUGUAGCCUCACCACCAAUUGCAACAACACCAGCAGAUGAGGCCUCACCAAGUGCAGCGUCAGCAGUAGCUGCAGCUUCACCACCAACUGCAGCCUCUCCACCAGUUGUAACAAAACCAGCAGAUAAGGCCUCACUAGGUGCAGCCUCAUUUUCAAGCUCAACAUAUGCUGCAGUAGUUGGUGCUUCAUUAAAAUGACCACUCUCAACCCCUUUUUCAAUAACCUUAUCCCCUUCAUGGACCCCCUUGUCACCUUCUUUAUUAAAAACAACAAAAGAUUCCUCAUUGGUAGUAGUGUAUUCUAGUAAACCAAUAGGACCAUUAACUUGAUCAAGUUAAUCAAUCAUGUGACAAAUGUACACCUCAACAAUAUCCCCAUUUUCAAAGGAUUGUGAAAGUUCAAAAAUAUCCUCAUCACAUUGAAAAGAUAAUAAAAAGUCCUUUUUAGGUGGCCUUAGAUAAAACAUGCAUCUUGUUGUAGCAUACCCUAACUUUUUUAAAAAGCCAGUUAGAUCAAAAUAAGAUAACUUAUCUACAUCCACAUCAAAAAUAUCUGUGACUUCACCACCCUCAUAAUCUGGUUUUUUACUUUUACUAUUCAAAACACCAUCAUUAAAAUAUCUCAGGGUUAUCUAUGUAAAAUCACCCAUUCCUGAAAUUUAGUCACAUUCACAACGAGUUACAAUUAAGAAAAAUUUAAGUAUUCAAACAUGUAGUAAUUAGUCACACAGGAAAAGUCAAUUUAGAUUACAAGAAAGCCCUAACUCAUUGAUAAAAAUAAGAAUGAUUUAGAAUAGCAAAAAAUCCUAAAUUUGAGAAAUUAUGAAACUACAGACUUGUUGAACAAUAACCCUAAAGAAAUUGUCAUAAAGUUUCAAUUUUUAAGUUUAGAAAAGCUAACCUUCAAGACUUAUUCAACACUAAGACUCUCAUAGCUCCUAAUACGAAAUCACACCUCGAGGAACACCCGAACAGUUGUUAACGUUGAUCUUACAAGUAAUUUUUUUAAAAGAAUAGUGUAAGUGAGAAAUGAGGAUUAAGAGUGAAAGAGAUGAUUGAAAAGGUAAGAGUGAAAGAGAUGAUUGAAAAGGUGAGGUGUUUGUUGAGUAUAGAGAAGAGCAGAGAAGAGGAAAGGUCCAUUUUUAUUUAUUAAUUAAUUUAACUUUUAUUACAUUUGUGGAUAAGUAUGAGUUAAAAUAAAAAUUAAAUGGGAUAAUUAUUAUUUAAAGGGCGCGUGUAUCCACCGCUAUUGGGUUGACUGAGUAUGUGUAAAAGUUGGCCGAUAUAUGCCAUUAAAAUACAAAAAAAAAGUCUACGGGGGUAAUAGAACCCCCGCAAAGUUCAGUAUGCUCCAUUGGAAAUUUGGUCAAAGUUCAGGUAUUUACGUGGGUAUUAUCCCAAUUUUUUACUAUAUAUUUAUAAAAUAUUAUAAGAUGUUAAUAGUUAUGACUUAUAAUUAUUAUUUUUUUGCAUUAUUUUUAAAUAUAUAAUAUUUUACCAAAAUAAACUAAAUAAAUUAAAAUAAAGAAAGCACUACAUUUUCAAAACAUGUUAAAUUCAAAAACAUCAUUUGGAUCAACAAAUUACUAAAUUAAAACAUGAAAACAUGAAAAUUAUAAAAUAUCAAAAUUACCCCUGGAUUUAUGUGACACAAAUAUAAUUUAGAUAAUCAAUUAUAUUUUUAUUAUGUUUUCAGAUAUUUUAAAUUGUUAGCAAUUGUAAUUUAUAAUAUUUUUUAUGUAAUUUUUAAACAAUAUUUGUUACUCUCCUUAUUCAAAUUUUUGUGGCUUUGAUAGCCAAUUAUAUUCUUAAAAUAAUUUAAAUUUUUUAUUAUUAUUAUUUAUAAUUCUUUUUCUUCUAUUUUAAUUUAAGUGACACUGAAAUAAUUUCGAGAGUCAAUCAAAUUUUAUGAUUGAAGCAGCGAAGCGGAUAUGUCUUAAAUGGCUCAUAAUACCUAAAUAGAAGUGAUAUAGAAAAAUUACUAUAAAAAAAUUGUGAAAAAAAUUUAAAUGAUCUCAUAUAAGAUGUCAUGUUAAUUUAAAUCAUCAAGUAGAAAUUAAUUUAUCAUUUUAUGUCACUUUAUUUUUAUUAAAUAUUAUUAAUUUUUUAAUGCCUAAAUGACUUAUAAUCAUUAGUUAGCGUUGAUAUAGUAAAAUUACAGCUGAAGCAGUUGAAGCAGACAUGUCAUAAAUGUUUAUUUUAUUUUAUUUUUAUUAAAUAUUACUCCUUCUGUCCCAUUUUACUUGUCCCAAAUUAACAUGACACAUUGAUUAAGAAAAAUAAUUAAUAACAUGGCUAGUUUACCAUAUUAACCUUAUUAAAUGAUGUUUAGAUUUUAUUUUUUUUUUUUAAAAAGUAAUUAAUGCAAAGGGUAAAACAUGAAAAAAAAAAUUAUUUCUUCUUGAUUUGUGAAAAAUGACAAGUAAAAUGAGAAAUCAAAUUAGAAAAUUUGGGACAAGUAAAAUGGGAUGGGGGGAGCAUUAAUUUUCUUAUAUAUAAAUGACUUACAAUAAUUAAUUAGAGGUAGUAUAGUAAAAUCAUGGAACAAAUAUACUUGUGAAAUUUUUUUAAAUGAGUCUCAUAUAAGAUGUUCUAUUAAUUUAAAGUAUCAAGAAUUAAUUUAUCAUUUAUAUCUAUUUUAUUAUUUAUUAAAUAUUAUUAAUUUUAUUAUAUGUAAAUGACUUAAAAUAAUUAAUUAGGGAUAAUAUAGUAAAAACAUGGAGCAGCUGAAGUAGGUGAAGAAACAUGUAUAUUGACGAAGAGUUGUCUGGUUCUUCACACUUAUUAAUAGUAGUAAUAAAGUAAUAUAUGGUCCAUUCUCCUAAGACUUCAUUAUUGGUUAAUUAAUGUACUAAGAUAUAUUCCAUCUGUAUCAUACUCCCUCCGUCCCAAAUUUUCUAAUUUGAUUUCUCAUUUUACUUAUCUUUUUUCAUUAAUCAAAAAGAGACAAAAAAAAUUCCAUUUUUACCCUUUGCAUUAAUUACUUUUUAUUCAAAUUAAAAUAUAAACAUUAUUUAAUAGGAGUACUGUGACAAACUAGCAAUGUUAUUAAUUGUUUUUCUUAAUCAAUAUGUCAUCUCAAUUUGGGACGAGUAAUUUGGGAUGAGGGAGUAUAUAACAUAAGUCUAGCUAGCUAAUAACCAUGAUUAACAAUUAUUAUUGCCUUCAAACCCAUGUUUUAAUCCUGUUAUUAUUAUAUUUUGUUAACACAAUAAUUACAACGCAUUGCUUUAAAAUGGAAAAAUUACAGUUUAUAGGUAAAACACAUGGUAUGACAACGUUUAAAAAAAUUACAAUUCAUAAGUAAUUGUUAGUUAAAGAUCUAUUUUAUGUGGACCCAUUUAUACAAAUAUAAUUUGUAAUAUAUAUAACUAAGGUAAAUAAGAUUUUCUCUCAUAAUUAAUAUUUUAUUCUCUCCCUUAGUUGAUUGGAGAGAUAUGCGGCAAUAGAUUACUCCUACAAUCUUAUUGGAUGUUAUAGGCGGCAGAAGGUAUUACAUCCAAAUUUUAACAUUUUACUCAAAAAAAAUUUGCUGAAGAUUAUGAAAAUCUCAAACUUUUUUCCAUUGAAAUAUCAAAGAAUAUAUUUCUUCAUAUUUCUUCUCUUAAUUUUUCUCUAAUUUUGUAUUUUCAACUACACAUUAGCUGUAUUUUGUCCAUUGAAGAUUACGUUGAAGCCUUUUUUGUCCCUAAAACUCAUAGAGAUUUGAUUUGAAGAUUUUGACGAUAAAUUUUAUAUAUUUACGGAUAUACCGAUUUGUUCUUCUUUAUUUUUUGAGUUAUUCUCUACAUUACCCACUAAUUUUAUUCAAUUUUUCAUAGAUUUACAGUGUUAAUUAGGUCUUCAAGUAAUCAAUUUUUAGUUUUUCAAAUGGAUGGGGAAACCCCUUUUAGGAUAUUAACAAGAGGUAUUAAACAUGUAGAUAAGAUUAAUUGUAGUACUCCAUCAUUUGAUUUGGAAGCUUCUCAAUUAGACAGUGACAAUGCAAAAUUUCUAGCGGAAUUGAAAGAAGACAAGUUGAAAGAGACGCGAAGAAAAAAUGGCAAUGAUCAUGUUAAUAUUCGAAAUAGCAUGGUAGAUUGUCAAUCAAAAGAUGAUUUAAUCAACUCUUCAAAAAUAUCAAUGGUCAGUACAAGUGGAUCAAAAGAAAGAAAAGAAAAAGACUUUGCAACUUCCAGCAAUAACGAAAGAGCAAAAUGUUCCAAGGUUUAUCAGUCCAAAGUAGAGAGUAACGAUGUUGAGAUUCAACAUAAGGUAUUUUUUUGUAUUUAUCAAUUAGAUUAUAUUAUUCUUUAGUUGUGUAGAAUGUCGUAAUGUUAAAGUUUUAUAUGUGUACGUUUGUAUUUGUUGCAAAGAUAUAUUCAUAUAUCGACAUAAUACAGUUGUACUUAUUUAAAUAUAACUAUAUAUGCAAACAUAUACAUAUACAUAUAUAUGCAGUGAUACAUAUAUUCAACUCUGUCAGCAUAUACAAUUUUUAUGUGUGUUAUGAUAUAUAGUUGUAUUCAAUUAGUUUAGGGAUGACGCUUUAUAUACAUUUUUAUAAAUUUUUUUUUAUCAUUCGUGUUUUUUUGGUUGAUCAUUUGUGUUUUUUUGGUUCAACAGGAUGGUAGUUUUGUCAUCACAGAUCUUCCUAAGAAGUCCCCGAAUGUGGCUUGUUAUAUGGAGAGAAAUAUAUUUGAUACUUUAAAAUAAAAACUAUCCAGUGUUUAACUUAAAAGAUUUAUGGCAACAUGCUUUGGUCAAUACGCCACCAUGUCAGAUUCAUGGGUUCAAUCUCAAUUAUUUAGGUGCGCUAUAUCCCUUGAGUUGAAAACCAAUUCAACGGAUGCUAUAAUGAUGUGAUUUAAUGAAAACACGUUAAGGUUUACAAUAAGAGAUUUUGCAAUUAUUUCUGGUCUGAACGGUAUUGCUUCCAAAGGUGAUUUUGUAUUCGACACAAGUGUGCCGAAUAGAUUAAUGCAGAUAUAUUUUGAUGGUGAAGAAGAACCAUACAAAGCAACGUUAUUCCAGCCAUUUGAGGAUAAAGAAUGGGGUUAGAAUGUCGACAAUGCUUUGAAGAUUGCUAUUCUUUAUUUCGUUCAUCGUUUUAUUAUAUAUGUCAAGAUGCAUACUGUUAGAGUUCCAAGAUUUUAUUUUGAUAUUAUUGAGCAAGAUCGAUACAUGGAUUACUGUUGGAGCAAAGAAGCUUUCGAAGAGCUUGUCAAAUCCAUAUCAAGAAAGCUGACCUUCGAUGGAUAGUAUUAUUGACUUCAUGGCAUGCCAUAUGCUAUGCAAGUAUGGAUGUAUGAGUGUUGCUCAAAUGUUGAUAAGAGACUUUCCAAAAGGAUUGGCGAUCGAAUUUCGAGGCUGCUUAAUUGGAAAACCAUAAAAGAUCAUCCAUGGUACAAAUGGAUUAUGCAGAACAUGUUUAUGUACAAAAGGGUAAAAUUCAGUGUCUUAGUAACCUCAAAUACAAAGUUUUUAUAAACUAAUAUUUGUAUUUAUUCAUAUAUAAAAAACUAAUUACUAAUCCAUAAGUGACGUCCAGAUUUUCUUUCGAAACAUCAAGGCAUCCGCAAGUGAAAUUGCAGUUUUCCAACUCCCACUGAAAAUUAUUGACGAUGUUACCGUUGUGAAAUCUCCAAUGAAUGAUGUUGUUAAUUCUGAAGAAGACUUUCAAAAGAUGCCUCUAAUCUCUAUUGCUCGUAAGGAAAGGGAAAAAUAGGUAUCUCUGUAUCACCCUCAAAAAGGAACCAGAAGCAGAAACAAAUGUCAUCAGGUGCAUCAAUAUCAAUCAAGACUCCUACAAAGGUGGUUUCAAACGCGACAGCCUCUAACACAUCUCCAUUUUUUUUUAAUAAAAUAUUCAAAAAGUUCACCUUAAAUAAGAAGCUAGUAGAGGAUCAAAUUCAGUCGCCGUAUAGUAUUGAACCACCUGUGACCGAUGCAGCAGCGAAGAGAACCAUUUCGACUGAUAAUCUCAAUAUUCUCAAUCAGAAAGUCGAUGCGUUGGAGAGUUAUGUAAGUAUAUUAUAAUCAUCUUCAAAUUUUAGGAAAAUUCAUAUUAUUAAAUUACCAAUGCAAAUUUAUUAUAUAAAAUAUAGGUGAAGUUGGAAUUUCAAAGUCUACGCAAUUUGAUAAAUGCCAAUCAUAAGACUGUCAUGGAUGCUAUCUAAAGUAAAGAUAUUAACGAGAAGGUAUGAAGUAUACGAGCAUUAUUUUCGAAUAAAUCAUACAAUAUUUAAAUAAUGAUUUGUAAUACAUAUUAGGAUUUUAUAAAAAAAUCGUCGGUUGCUGAGCAAGGAGAAAUUCCAUCCAUGAAUGUUCAUUGUGCUCCUGGCAGUAGCAAUUAUUCAAAUGUAACUAUUUUUGAGAUGAUAUAAUAUGUAUUUACGACAUAUAUUCUUACGUACAUAUAGCAGUUGUUCUUGAUGUACGUCAUGUUAUUCAACGACCAUAUACCCACAAACCUGAUAAGAUAGUAUAUAUGUGUCAAAUUAAAUAUUCAUACAUAUACCUAUAUACUAUUACACUUUUUUGUUGUUUAGUUGUAUAGAAUGUCAUGAUGUUAAUGUUUUAUAUGUGUACGUUUGUAUUCUGUGUAAAAAAUUAUACAUAUAUUGACAUAAUACAGUUAUACUUAAUUAUAUAUAACUGCAUAUGUACAUAUAUAUAUAUAUAUAUAUAUAUAUGUACAAAUAUACACAUAUUUAAUUCUGCCAUCAUAUACAAUUUUUAUGUUUGUUCUGAUAUGUAGUGUUAACACAUUUAUAAUACAUAUAUGCGUAAUGCAUAUCUUCAUUUCAAGCUAAGUUUUGUAUUUUUAUGUUGAUCUUGUAUAUAGAUUUUUAGAUUUAUAAUAUAAAUAUACACACAGUUGUAUCUACAUACUUCUACAUGUUUUUAUGAUUAUAUUGGCAUCUGUACAUAGAAAUUCAUAUGAAUAUAUAUUGGACUACUAGAUUGAGACAAUUGCUUAUUUUUAUAUCUUAAAUUGAACCACAGUCUUAAUGCACGAAGUACUAACUUACCCAUAUUGCUUGUUAUAAGAGUAAUAUGGAUGUUAACAGUAUCCCUUCCUGUUUGAAUGUUCCUGUUGUACGUGAGCAUGAUACAAACGUAAAUGUUCAACUUGAGAAGCCCAUUGAUGAGGUAUUCUUUGCUAAGCCGCAGAUUUAACAUUACUUAUUUUUUCUUAUCAUUGUUUCAAUUAUGCUUAGUCAUUUAUUUUUAAGCAGUGAAUUGAUUUUAGUUAUCUUCUUUUUGAUUUCUGAAAUGCAUAGAAGUCAUUACUAAAUUCACACUUUUUAUUUUUUAAUGGAUUUUCUGGAUGACAUUUUAAUGAUCUUUUAUAUACAAGGUUCCGAAUACAGAAUCAAUUUUGAAGGUUCAAAAUGCUGGAAUUCAUAUUGAAGAGUCAUCCUGGAAUUCAUAUUGAAGAAUUAAUUGAUGACUUAAAAAACAUGGUUAGUGGUCAUGAAGAUGUUGAAAUAAAAGAUCAGUCAUUCGAUCCGAUGAAAGUACAUCUACUUUUAAUUGAAUUAAGUUUAUGACAUGAUAUAAUAUGUAUUUACGAUAUAUGUUCUUACGUACAUAUAGCAGUUGUUUCUUGAUGUAUGUCAACUUUAUAUUCAACUUUAAAUGUUUUAAAAUUCAACUCAAUAUAAAGUUGCUUACCAAUCAAUUGAAUCAAACCAUCGUAUUUUUCUGUUUCUUCAAUUGCAAUUGAUUCCAACUCGUAUUGUUCAUACUCAUUAUAACAGUUUCAUACGCCUGAAUAUUUCAGAAUAAUUGGUAAUUGUUCCUUUUUAAAAGAUAAUCUGUUAACAAAUACAAUAUGUAAAUUGUCAGUAACUAUGAACUCAAAAUAAACUAUCAAUUAUCAGGUUUCAGAAAUAAUAACAAUCUGUUUGUUAAAUCACAAAUUGAAAUUGCAGUAUAUAUAGUGUAUAGAUUAACGUAAAAUAAUGAUUCAAAACAUACUCAAAUUCAUAUAAUUUAGAUAAAAACAAUAAAUAUACUCGCAAAUUGACAAAUCGGGUUUUCAAAAAAUCAUUUUUCAAGAAUUUAUAAACAAAUUUUGAAUUGGGAAAAUACCUGCUAAAAAUUAUUGUUGAAUAACUCCUCUUUCUUCUCUCAAAUCUUUCCAAAAUAAAUUUUUUAGAUUAAUACAUUCGUUAAAUCACAGAUAAUGAUCUUUAAUGUUCAGUAAUGGAUGAGCAAUUAGUGGGAAGUUCGAGUAAUUUAAAAUUUACUGCUUUCAAAUUUCCUUUUUUAUCUCUUAUUUCAGUUAGUUUAUUUUUAUUCUGAUUUGUAUAAUUUGUUAUAUAUACAUAUAACUAUUAACUACUUUUGCAUAUAAUUUGUAAUUAUUGAAACUUUCACUAGAAAAUUAGUUAUAGGUCUUAUACUUUACCUAUAUGUGAAUUUUUGCCCUUUAAAAUAUCAAAGUUGGAUCAUAACUUAUAUGGAUGAAGGAAUGGUCCAGACGGUGAUUGUCUUUUUUUCUUGUUUUAUUAGGGUGUGUUUGGUACGACGGAAAAUGUUUUUUCGUGGAAAAUAUUUUUCUAGAAAAUAUUUUUAUGAAAAAUAAGUUGAUUUCUUACUUAUUUUCUUAUGUUUGAUUGGUGAGUGAAAAAUAUUUUUCGGAAAAGAAUUUCUAGUGUUUGGUUGGUAAAUGAAAAAAUAUUUUUCAGAAAAUCAUUUUAGUGUUUAGCUAAUGAGUGGAAAAUAAUUUUUGACCUUAGAAAAUACUUUUUUUGGGUAUGUUCGGUAUGGAGUAGGAAAAUAUUUUUUAGGAAAAUAAGUUGUUUCUUACUUAUAUUUUUGUGUUCGUUAUGCAAGUAGGAAAAUAUUUUCUAAAAGCAUUUGUAUAUAUUUAACAAAAAAUAAUGCAAACAAAUAGGGUAAGAAGGGUGAGUUACGAAAAAUAUUGAAACUUUUUUAUUUGCGGGAAAUUUUUUUUAGGGGGGAGGCUAGUAGGGGAUGGAGUCAGGAGGUAAGAAAAAAUUGAAUUUUUUUUUGGGGGAGGGGGUAGUAGGGGAUUGGGUCGCGGUAGGAGAGUAAGGGUGGGUUAAGAAAAAAAUUGAAUCUUUUUAUAAAAUUUAAAUAUUUCGAGGGGGUGAGGGAGGCAAAUUUAAAUACUGGGGGAAGGGGUAUUAGGGAGUGGGGUAGGGGUGGGGGAAUGAGGAUGGGGUAAGGAAAAAAAAUUUAAAAUUAAUUUUUUUUUGAGGGGGUGGUAGGGGUGGGGGGUAAGAAAAAAGUUUGAAUUUAAAAAAAAAAAUUUUUUUGGAGGGGGUAUGCAGGGGGUGGGGGGUCAGGUAGGGAAUGCGGUAAGAAAAAAAAAUUACACUAUUUUUUUGGGAUGGGGGUGGUAGGGGAUUGAGGGUCGGGGUAGGGCUGAGUGAUUUUGAGAGUUGUAUGAACAUUUGAACUUGAAAGUAAGGUUGAAUAGAGUAUUGAAAAAUGUUUUCCUUAUUUUUUGAAGGGAAACCGUUUUUCUUAAAUUUGAGAAAAAUAAAUUGAUUUGGAAACAUUUCAAACAUUUAGGCAAAAUGGUUUAAUGGAUCCUUGUACUAUAUCCAUUUUGUAAUGUGGAUACUCCUACUUACAUAUUUGUCAUCUGGACCCUUGAACCCACUAAAAAACAAGAUUUUAAAAACUUUUUUGGUGAGUGUAACACACUUGCCCCACUUCAGCUGCCAUGUCAGCUGCCACAUAAGCUUCCACAUCAUUUUCAGGCAUUUCAUUAAAUUUCAAGUCAUUUUUAAAAUAAUACACAGGAAAUUAAAUAUUAAAAUAAAUUUAAUUAAAUAGAAAAUUAUAAAUUGUAGAAAAAUUUAAAUAAUCAUGUUUUUAUUGUUGCUCACAAAUUAAAUAUCAAAUUCAUUUCAAAUAAUUAAAAUUCUUCUCCAACUAAUUUAAAUUUUUAACUAUAAAUUCAUAUAUACAAACAUAAUGAAUUUUCNNNNNNNNNNNNNNNNNNNNNNNNNNNNNNNNNNNNNNNNNNNNNNNNNNNNNNNNNNNNNNNNNNNNNNNNNNNNNNNNNNNNNNNNNNNNNNNNNNNNNNNNNNNNNNNNNNNNNNNNNNNNNNNNNNNNNNNNNNNNNNNNNNNNNNNNNNNNNNNNNNNNNNNNNNNNNNNNNNNNNNNNNNNNNNNNNNNNNNNNNNNNNNNNNNNNNNNNNNNNNNNNNNNNNNNNNNNNNNNNNNNNNNNNNNNNNNNNNNNNNNNNNNNNNNNNNNNNNNNNNNNNNNNNNNNNNNNNNNNNNNNNNNNNNNNNNNNNNNNNNNNNNNNNNNNNNNNNNNNNNNNNNNNNNNNNNNNNNNNNNNNNNNNNNNNNNNNNNNNNNNNNNNNNNNNNNNNNNNNNNNNNNNNNNNNNNNNNNNNNNNNNNNNNNNNNNNNNNNNNNNNNNNNNNNNNNNNNNNNNNNNNNNNNNNNNNNNNNNNNNNNNNNNNNNNNNNNNNNNNNNNNNNNNNNNNNNNNNNNNNNNNNNNNNNNNNNNNNNNNNNUCUUUUAAAAAAAAUUACUUAUUUUUAAAUUAAAAAAAAAGAUAGAGGGAAAAAAGGUCCUUUUUUAUUUUUUUAAAUUUUAAUAUUAUUUUAAUUAUUUUAAUAUAAAAUUAACCCUCACUCGCACCCUAGGAGCGUGUCUGCACGUGUGUCGUUCUAGUCAGCCAUUUUAAUGCCGCAUAGGUCUGGUCAAUGAUCAAAGGGUUUAAAAUGUUGCUUUUUAAUGGGUUUAAGGGUCCAGAUGACAAACAUGUAAGUAGGAGUAUCCACAUUAUAAAACGAACAUAGUAUAAGGGUCCAUCGAACCAUUUUGCCAAACAUUUAAACCAUCCAAACAUGAAAAAGUUGGAAAACAUUUUCUGAAAAAUGUUUUCCUUCAUACCCAACAUACUCAUAUUUUUCAAAACUCUUCUUCAACCUCACACUCAAGCUAAAAUAUUCACACAACUCUCUGACCCUCAAUCCCCUACCACCCUUAUCCAAAAUAAAUAUUUAAUUUUUUAAAAAGUAUUUCAAUUUUUUUCUUACCUCCACCCUACGCCACCACCCCCCACCUCAUAUCACCCCUUCAGCUAAAAAAAUAUUUAUUUUCUUAAAAAAACUCCAAGUUUUUUUCUUAUCCCAUCACCACAGCCCCCCACCCCCACCUCCUUAAAAAAAAUAAAUUAAAAUUUUAAAUAUUUUUUCUUAUUCCACCCUCCCCCCCCAAUCCCGACCCACCCCCUACCAGCCCCACCAAAAAAGAAAAUACAAAAUUCAUUUUAAAAAAAAUAAAUAAAAAAUUACCCUAUCUUGACUCCCCUCNNNNNNNNNNNNNNNNNNNNNNNNNNNNNNNNNNNNNNNNNNNNNNNNNNNNNNNNNNNNNNNNNNNNNNNNNNNNNNNNNNNNNNNNNNNNNNNNNNNNNNNNNNNNNNNNNNNNNNNNNNNNNNNNNNNNNNNNNNNNNNNNNNNNNNNNNNNNNNNNNNNNNNNNNNNNNNNNNNNNNNNNNNNNNNNNNNNNNNNNNNNNNNNNNNNNNNNNNNNNNNNNACCACCAAAUCUAUCAGCCCCCUCUCUAAAAAAAAAAUUUAAUUAAUUAAUUUAUUUAUUUUAAAAAGUUUCAAAAUCUUGUUUUUAUCUCACCCUUCUUACUCUAUUCCUUCUUAUUGUUUUUUUUUUUUAAAUUUAUACAGAACACACGAAUAUAAGUAAGAAAUAAUUUAUUUUUUUAGAAAAUAUUUUCCUCCUUCUUACCAACUACAUCCUAAAAAAAGUAUUUUUUUCGGGGUCAAAAAUUAUUUUCUACUCUUUAGCUAAAUAUUAAAGUAUAUUUUCUGAAAAAUAUUUUUCAAACAGUAGAGAAUAUUUUUUGAAAACUAUUUUUCACUCAACUAUCAAACAUAAGAAAAUAAGUAAGAAAAUAACUUCUUUUCCAUAAAAAUAUUUUUUUCCAUGAAAACGUUUUCAGAAAAUAUUUUCAAACAUACCAAACACACUCGAGAUGAGGUCAUAUUUGUCAUUUAAUAAAAAAAGGGGCAUUGUUUGAAAUUUCUAUCGAUCCGGAUUUAGGAUCCGAAUUGUCACUAUUUGUGGAAUCUCUUGAAUCAAACAAAAUUCUCUCUACCUGAGCAGUCCACAAAGCUUCUCAAACAGCACCACGACCCACUCAAUCAAUCAACAGCGAAGCUAAUGUUCUUCCUUGUUCCAUUUUACAAAAAGAGAAAAACAUCAAAUCCUCCUGAACUUGUCGUCAAAAUUUACUUUAAAUCCUAAACUAAUCGGGCAAUUAUUUACCCCCUUAACAACUUUCAAGUGAAUUUUUUACCACCAUAAUUGUUGAUGUGGCAAAAGUCAGAAAAUUCAGCACGUAAAUGGUUAAAAAAAGUGGAGUAAAGGUGGGGCCCACUUUUAAAUUUUACAAAUUCUUUUUCCUUCAUCUUCCUCACACCCCACCACCCCCUUUAUUAUCCUUCUUCAUUUUUCUUUCAAAUAUUCAACAAACCAAACUAAUUCAUGAUUAAGGCAUAUUUAAUUAAAAUUUUUAAGAAAUAGUUAAAAAAAAGGUUAGAAAUUAAAAGAACACCAACUAAUGGUCAAACUUUCAAUCUAUUAAUUCAAAAAUUAAAUUUUCAAUUAAUCCAAAUCCAAUAAUGCACAUGGAACCCUCCACUUUUUCAACAAGAAACUCCACUUUUCCACUUUUCCAACAAGGAACUCCAUUUUCGCGUUAGGAAUUAGACCUCAAUUUUGUCAACAUCCUUUUUCUUUCAUUUUCAAUCAUCUUUUCUUUUCUUUCUUCAUUCACGUAUAUUUGAUAAUUCUCUCAUAUUCAAGAAAAAAGAAGGAGACGGGUGUUUUGAUUGGGUGGGGGAGAGGGGAAGUUGGUGAAGCUGAAUUUGGGGGGGGGGUGGGGGGGGGGGCAACAGAUUUAAGAAAAAUGAAGGAAAAGGGCUGGGGGUAGGGUGAUAUAUAUAUAUAUAUAUAAUUUGAAGGAUUACUUAAAAAAAAAUUAUUUACGUGGCAUUGACGUGGCUCAAAUGUGGGAUGUGUGUACUUCACUCUCCGUAGUGAGAGUGGUAUAAUUUUUGUAGGAUGGUAUAAAAUUCACUUGAAAGUUGUUGGGGUAAAUAAUUGUCUGAUUAGUUUAGGAUCUAAAGUAAGUUUUGGCGACAAGUUCAGGGGGUUUUGAUGUCUUUUCUCUUUACAAAAAUGUACUUAGAAAAACUAGCAAGUAAAGGCCUAAAAUCAUACACAAUCUUUUGCUUUAGACACAAAAUAAUACAUAUUCUUUCAAUUAGGGCACUAAUAGUCCUUGUUAUUUAAUAAAGUGGUUCACUUUUAAUCAUAACCUUAACACCGUUAAUUUUCUUAACAACAACCUCCUUACCUUUUUUUCACGUUAUUUUUCUUUCCCUCCAAAAGUACCUCACCUGUGUAUAUUAGAUUAUUUUCUUUUCCUUCAAAAGUAUGUACUCUGUUUCUGUGAUUUCCUUUCUUCCUUCCUUUUGAAAAACAUAACUCUCCACCUAACUUCAAAUUAAAAAUUUGGAACAACAAAUCAUACAAGCCCGGAUUGAAUCUAUAGCAGGAAGUAAUAAUGUUCUUAAGGCGCAACUAUGACAGAUGAUCACCUCCUUUCUACUGUGAGAUUUUUUUAUUUUCUUAAAUUGAAAAAAAAUUGUUCAAAUUUGAGCACAUAAUGUUUCUGAUCUUGAUUUUGAGCAAAUAUAGUAGAAUAUAUUAUUUGUUUAUUUUGGUGAAAUAAAGUCUGUAACAACACUUUUUGAAGUUCACCUUUUGUAAUUUCAGGUUUGUCAACCGAGUCUUCAUUUAUCGAUGUGAAAACAUAUCAUGGGGGAAUUAUGAAGCGUACACUAGACAAACAUUAUGUUGGAGUAAACAUAGAUUACAUUGAUUAUGUAAAUGCGGCAGUACUGAAUCUUGUUGAAUUCAAGAAGGUGAUAGAGAUAUGUGGUUAUGCGAAUAAUUUGAUAACCUUUUGGCAUAGUUAUGGAAAGCCCGUUAAUAAAUGAAAGUUGAUCUCUAUAGACUUCGAAGCAUACACAGUUAGUAAAACCAUCUAAAAGGACGACAAUGUGCUUGAGAUAUACUUUGAACACUUGGACUCUUACUUCCUGAUGGACAAAGUGGAUUCAGUAAAUCAUUCAAAUAUUGGAGAAAAUGACAAACAAUAAAUAUUGUGUGAAAAUUCAUUAGGGGGAAAUUUUUGUAACUCGAAAGCUGAUUUAUCAAAUGAUGUUAUAACUGAUAUACAUGGGAAGAGGAACUAAAAUAUUCUGGAAGAGAGGGAGCUCCUUAGUGUAGAAAUAAAGAGAAAGAUGACUGAUAUAAAUGGUGGUUCUGAUUGUUGUGAUUCUGAAGACAUAAAGAGCUUUCUUAGUGAUUAUGAAACUGAAAGUUUCAACUUUCCUUAGCACAAUCCAAAGACUGAUGGGGAUAACCCAGUAUUAGGUCUAGAAUAUAUCUUUGAUACAAAGAAGGACUUUAAAAUAUUGUAGAAACUCAUGAGAUUACGAAUGGGAAUAUCAUGAUAUGAACCAGGGCCUGACCAUGACAGGUAUCUCAAGUCCCACAUGGACCGGAGAUCACCUCUUUCACCUAACUAAACCAAUACAACAUCUCCAAUAUUGGAUGAAUUUCGAACAUAUAACAAGAUAUUGUGAAAUAAAAUUAAUGAUAAUGCAUGGUGAGUCUGUACCAACCAUCGAUAACCAGACAAACCUCCGUCACCACACAAUCAACCAAACCACUCAAGUCCACAGUAAUCCAAUAAAGCCUCUACGAAACUGAAGUUAAUAAAAUAUUGGGACAUGUCCCCGACAAUAACCAAAACUAAGUCCUAAAGUAUAGAAAAUAUGUGAAGGAACCACAAUAUGAAAUGGGGUCUUCCAGAAUAUAAAUGCUCACCACUUUAAUCUGAAUCGCUAGCUGAUCUCGAAUCCAAGUCACUAAGCAGGAGAUGUGGAAGUAUGGCCCAUUUCUGCAUCGCAUGGGGAUACAACAUCAGAAGACAGUUAGCAAUUGGAGCACUAGCAUAUAACUCAGGGAUAGAGGAAUAAAAUAAUGUCAUGAUAACAGCUCAAAACCAAUACAAUAUGCAAUGUAUAAUACCGUAUGGAGUACAUAUAUAAAAAAAUCACAUGCUGGGUAGGGAGUAAACCUUAGCAUGAACUUCAAAAAUCAUAAUCUGGGUUGUGUAGCAUGACCGUCAUGAAACAAUCCACCCACGGUCUAUAUGGCCCAGCUUUUCCCCAACUGGAAGGGCCCCAGUGCGUGUAGCCGUACGAACUAAAGAAUAUCCAUAUCUGUAUAUGCCUUUGUGGGGGACUCUAACCUCUUGGCAUAAUCAAGGUGACUUAAGCACCAAUGUUUACAACAUGGAGGACUCGAACCUCCCAUUCAAAUAAUCAAUACGGAAGACUUAAACCUCUCGGUCAUUUAGACACCCGCAUCGGCUAGCGUGGUUUCCAGUGUUAGUCCUUUGAGACCUCCACUUUCACGGCCCAGCUACACAUCCUAAUUUUAAACUCAAUUUAAAACAUUUAAGAUGCAUCACCAUUUAUUAAACCCAUUAUACAUAUAGGCACCCCGUUGGUAUUUUCAUACCAACCUUACUUGUAAGCAUAUAAUAUGCCAUAACAAUAAUUUCAUCAAUUGGGACUCAAACCUAUUGUCCAAACAAAGACAUCAAAUUAAUUCAAUAUUUGGGACUUAAAUUCAUUUAGCCAAUCAAACCCCAAGGUUGCAAUUUAAAUCAAUUUAUGUCCACUAAGGCCUUCAUACAAUCAUUUAUCAAUAUCAAUCGUCUUAUGUCAAUGCAUUAGUUCAAAAUACACAAUUCAAACUUGUGACAAGGUCAUUCUCAUUAACAAUUUUACAAACAGGUUGAGGGCAUACCAACAUCAAGCCACAAUUAAUGCAAAAAUCAUCAAAUUGGGAGUUAACCAUGAUCCCUCAGUUAAAUCACCAUUCCCUCAUGCACUCUCAUGUGUGAAACCAUAUUUAAAGCAUGAAUAAUCAUAAUUAAAUCAUGAGAAAGUAUUGUUCAACAAUAUGCAUUCAAAACCCUCAACCGUUAUUUCAAAACCAACAUUAAUGUCUCAUGAACAAUACUUUAAAACAUAUGCUUUUAACAAAUUAGCAAUGAGGGAAGAGUCACAUGCCUGAAUCACAAAAAAUUAUGGAGAGGACUUAACCCCUUGUGCCCCUAGAUGACCACUUUUUGUAAACCCUAAGUUUCUUCCUUGAGAGAAUUUUAAGAGAGCUUUGAGAGUGUUUAGUCCAUUAAAAUGUGGAAUGAAUGCCCUAAAAGUAUUUUAUGGGGGUGGGGUCAAAAAGGUUUUAAGUGAAAAAUGUCUAAAGUGACCCCAACUUAAAAGUUGUAAAAGUGUCAUCCUUGGUUAUGAGUCCACCAUCGACUCGUAACCACACCUUAAGACUCGUCAUCACGAGUCAUAACCAAGACAGUGACUAGGUACCCAUAUACUAUCGACCUUACGACUCGACCAACCCACUUGUAAUGAGACUCUACAACUCAUAGGGUCCAGUCGUAGUUAACACAGAACCCAAAUAGGUUGAACACAAUGUUGGGUUCGAAAUUGAGAUGACAUCAUGUGGAAGAUAUUAGUUGCAAACCAUCGUGGUGAUAAUUUAGACGACAAAGAAAAACAUAAUAAAAAAUAUAUUAUUGAUAUGAUUUAGUCAAGUGACCUACAUAUUGAAAACUAAUAUCAAAAUGCAUAAAAAACUAUUAGGAGAAAAUCUCCCUCUAAACAAGACUCAUAAACGAUUACAUUGUGGAUGUUAUUGUAUUAUGGUAUGAGAAGGGGGGUCUUCUAUUUAUAGAUGUCCAAAACCUUUCCUCCAAGAAAGAGGUUUGCCAAAUAUGAAAAAGUUUUAUAUUUUCCUUUUAGGAAAAAUAAAAGUAAUUAUGGUAUUACUUUUAUUUUUAUUCCAAGAAAAAUUAAAAACUUAAACUUGAUAAGAAAAUCAUGGUAAAAACCCUAACACACUAGACAUCCUACGAUUUCAUCCUAUGACUCGUAACAAGUCCUUAUGACUCGUACUGAGCCACUCAUACUCAUAGCAAAACCAUGCCACAAACUUACAUGAUUUGGUUACGACUCGUCCCUACGACUCAUCAUGUGACUUUACGACUCGUGCCCCCAAGUCGUACCCCAAAUAAUAACUUCAACACCUCUCUCUGGACACCUUAAGACUAGGGUCAUAUGACCCGUCAAGACACUCUAUGACUCGUAGGGUGAGUUGUAAUAAAGGCAAUGAGCCUAAAGCUCAAAAAAAUUUCAAGGGACAAAGUCCGGAGUGUUUCAAGAAAGUAUAUCCAAUGGUGUAGGAAUGAUAAUUUAAGAGUGGAAGCAAUUUGCAUACUUCAUCCAGAAUGUAAACGGAAAAUCAAGACUUCUAAAAUGCAAAGAGAUAAGGCUUUUAAUGUUAGAACUUACGAUUCCAUACAUACUUAUAAGGAGUGGCAUCAUGAAAAUAGAACGAUCACUUCAUCUUUCAUUGCAAGAAAGUACCUCAAAGAAGUUGGAUCAAAUAGAAAUUUGAGAGUGGUGGAAUUUCGGGAUAAAUUGUCAAACUAAGAUCUCAUGUGACCUUAUCUCAAGAUAAAAAGGCUAAGAUGAAAGUGAUUGCAUUAAUUGAUGGUGAUAUUAAAGAUCAAUACAAAAUGAUAUGGGAGUAUUGCAAAGAGAUUAAUAGAACAAAUUCAGGCAGCUCAAUAUACAUACAACUCACCGACAAUAUAAUAAGGUCCCCAAUGAGCCACAAAGAUUUCAAAGAAUUUGUUAUUUUCAAUAGUUUUGGGUACAAAAAUCUGUAUAUAUAUGCAACAAUAACUUUAACACAAGUUCAAGUCUAAGACAAGAACACUUAUGAAGUUCUUUUAACACCUUUAACACAAGAUUACAAAUAAUCUAUCCAGGAAGUAUAUUAAGUUUUAGAAAUGAGAUGAAAUAGAAUUUUUGUAAGGCCAAGUCCCCCGACUUCAGAAGUGUCCUUAAAGAAUAAGUCUCCUCAUUGUACCCGAGGUUAUGGAAUCUUUCUUUCAGGAUAAAGUGGUCAAACAAACUAACUGUAGCGGUACCUCAAACAAUUAGAAUCUCUUCGAACUCACUCAACGAUUUGAUUGAUCACACGGAAUGUUUUUGAAGACAAGAAGAGUUUAUAUGUUUAGAAAAAAAAUUUGUUCCUAAACCUGUAGAUGAAAGCAGGUUUAUAUAUAUAGCCAUCAGAUGCCUCUUCUAAAAGGUGGCAAUGGUUCACUUAAAAGGUGUAACCUUUCUGGAAAAUCAUGUUUGUUCGUCUAAAGAAUGCAUCUUUUUCGAACAGGCAUACCAUUUCAUGAAUCAGUGUAUCAUUUCGUUUAAGGGUUGCAUCCCUUCCGAAGCAUCAAUUCGCUUCUGCACUACAUUCUGAAACAAUGUUUUCGCCACUGCAUCCAUGUAUAUAAAUGGAGGAUCAAAACACAGAAUUAAUUUGUUACGUUUUCCCUUCAGUAUUUUCAAAUUAAAUUUCUGUCAAAUAAACUUUGUCCAAAAAGAUAGAUCUCAUCGAUCGAUCAUUUGACAAAUCCAAAUCCGAAGCCGAAGUCAAAGCCGAGCCGAGCAAGUGACGACAACGAUGGCGUGAGGCACCACCUUGUUCUUGCCUCACUAUCCAUAUGGAGUAAGUGCUUCUUAUUAGAAACACUUCAAAGUUUCUUUCUCCCACCAAUGUGGGAUAAUUAGCCAACUUUCCCUUAAAAGAGUACAUUUUCCAUUUUAGUGUCUCUCUUUCUCUGCACUAUUUUUCUUUCUUUUUCCAUUCACACUUUUCAUACAUAUUAAACCCAAUAAUCCCCCAUAUGAAUGGGGAAUGACUACUUUUUCAUAAAAUUUUAUGAACAAGUAUGUGAUCAUCAAGCAAAGACUAAUUGCAUCUGGAUAAGUGAGUUUUCCUUUGAACUUUCUGUGGUGAACAUGCAUUGGAUGUACUCGAUCAAUCAGUAGAUUUGAUAUCUUUGAACCGUCGAGCUUUAAUGUACACCUAGAAAACAUACGUCAUACAACCAGACUUUUACCGUUUAUGGUUCUCACGAUUUUGUUCUUUUCAGCCAUGAACAUGUCCCGAUUUCAUGGGAGCUUAGAGAAUAGACCUUUACUAACAUUCUCCUUGAAGCGGCUUUCACUUCUCCCUCACAUAGGUGAUCUCUAAACGUUCAAUCCUAUAGAUUAAACUAUUGGUCAAAUCUGCUAAAUUUAGAUAAUCAUUAAAAGACUUUACACCAUAAGUUUCAUCCUUGUUUACUAAACAUUGUCUACAUCAUGAGAAUUGGUUGGGUAUUUGACAAUGUUGAACCUGUUAGACACAACUUUGUUUGAUCUCCUUAAACCUAACUCUUGGGAUCUCCAGUCUGCUAGGUAGAGUUACCGCCAUGCUGACUUGUCCUAGUCCUUAAAUCCAUUCCCUUAGAUGUCCUUUUCACUCUCUCUCUAGAUAGGCGUUUUGUAAGUAGAUCCAACAUAUUAUCCUUUGAAUUUACAUAGUCAACAAUGAUAAUUCCACUAGAGAGAAGUUCUCUAACGGUAUUAUGUCUCCAUCUUAUCUGACGAGAUUUACCAUUGUACAUCAUGCUCCCUGCCCUACCUAUUGACGCUUGGCUAUCACAGUGUAUACAUACUGGUACCACUGGUUUGGGCCAAUAAGGAAUAUCUUCUAAGAAAUUCUAGAGCCAUUUUGCUUCUUCACCGGCUUUAUCCAAUGUGAUAAUGUAAUACCCCAAAAAAUUUUUCGUCGAAAUUUUGUGCGUAAACUUAUUAGAUCCUAUCUUCGAGAAUAAUUUAUAAUUUUUCUGUGUAUCAUUUCUUGGAUUUUAACCUGCCAUUUUGUAGAGCAUCGAAUAGUCUUUCCAACGAUAUGUGGAUCACCCAAAACGGACACUUGAGUGAUGAGUUACGACCAUUACGAUCAAACUACGACCAUUCCGAUCGAACUGUGAACAGUAAAAAUGUGCAGGAAAAAAAAAUACUGCAGCCAGGCGAUUUUUUUGGUCAACUUCAAAUGAUCAUAACUCCUUGUACAUAAUGAACUGUGUGAGAUGCUAUAUAUCAACGAAAAUCCCUGAGAGUCUUCUUUCCAAUAAAAUUGGUUUCAUCCAAUUUGGACAUCGAAGUAAAAAGUUAUGUACAAUUUACUUCAGCCUAUCGGAUAGAUCACUGAAGGAAAGAUUCGGAUUUUAUUUGUUUCUUAGGGGCAUUUUGGUCUUUCACCACUCUUUUAAACCUCUAUAAAUACCCCAUUCAGCUGAGAACUUGUAUUAUUUCCUCUCAUUUCUCUUAUAUGUGUAUGUAUAUAUAUAUAAAGUUAGGGUUAGGGUUUUGAAUUGGGGGAAAUUAAUUGGAGGCUUUGAUUCAAGAAUUUCUUCCGUCAAUNNNNNNNNNNNNNNNNNNNNNNNNNNNNNNNNNNNNNNNNNNNNNNNNNNNNNNNNNNNNNNNNNNNNNNNNNNNNNNNNNNNNNNNNNNNNNNNNNNNNNNNNNNNNNNNNNNNNNNNNNNNNNNNNNNNNNNNNNNNNNNNNNNNNNNNNNNNNNNNNNNNNNNNNNNNNNNNNNNNNNNNNNNNNNNNNNNNNNNNNNNNNNNNNNNNNNNNNNNNNNNNNNNNNNNNNNNNNNNNNNNNNNNNNNNNNNNNNNNNNNNNNNNNNNNNNNNNNNNNNNNNNNNNNNNNNNNNNNNNNNNNNNNNNNNNNNNNNNNNNNNNNNNNNNNNNNNNNNNNNNNNNNNNNNNNNNNNNNNNNNNNNNNNNNNNNNNNNNNNNNNNNNNNNNNNNNNNNNNNNNNNNNNNNNNNNNNNNNNNNNNNNNNNNNNNNNNNNNNNNNNNNNNNNNNNNNNNNNNNNNNNNNNNNNNNNNNNNNNNNNNNNNNNNNNNNNNNNNNNNNNNNNNNNNNNNNNNNNNNNNNNNNNNNNNNNNNNNNNNNNNNNNNNNNNNNNNNNNNNNNNNNNNNNNNNNNNNNNNNNNNNNNNNNNNNNNNNNNNNNNNNNNNNNNNNNNNNNNNNNNNNNNNNNNNNNNNNNNNNNNNNNNNNNNNNNNNNNNNNNNNNNNNNNNNNNNNNNNNNNNNNNNNNNNNNNNNNNNNNNNNNNNNNNNNNNNNNNNNNNNNNNNNNNNNNNNNNNNNNNNNNNNNNNNNNNNNNNNNNNNNNNNNNNNNNNNNNNNNNNNNNNNNNNNNNNNNNNNNNNNNNNNNNNNNNNNNNNNNNNNNNNNNNNNNNNNNNNNNNNNNNNNNNNNNNNNNNNNNNNNNNNNNNNNNNNNNNNNNNNNNNNNNNNNNNNNNNNNNNNNNNNNNNNNNNNNNNNNNNNNNNNNNNNNNNNNNNNNNNNNNNNNNNNNNNNNNNNNNNNNNNNNNNNNNNNNNNNNNNNNNNNNNNNNNNNNNNNNNNNNNNNNNNNNNNNNNNNNNNNNNNNNNNNNNNNNNNNNNNNNNNNNNNNNNNNNNNNNNNNNNNNNNNNNNNNNNNNNNNNNNNNNNNNNNNNNNNNNNNNNNNNNNNNNNNNNNNNNNNNNNNNNNNNNNNNNNNNNNNNNNNNNNNNNNNNNNNNNNNNNNNNNNNNNNNNNNNNNNNNNNNNNNNNNNNNNNNNNNNNNNNNNNNNNNNNNNNNNNNNNNNNNNNNNNNNNNNNNNNNNNNNNNNNNNNNNNNNNNNNNNNNNNNNNNNNNNNNNUUGAGAACUUAACAUGAAUUCCGUGAGAACUUAGUAUGUGGGGUUUUGAACAAGAAUAUCUUUUCAUUCUUGUGCCCAAAGAAUUGAUUUUAUCAUUGGAAUUUCAUGAUUUUGUAAAGUGGGUAAAUACCCAAGAUGUUUUAAUGACGAAUUAUGAGGUUAUGAAAAAUAUAAAUUGUUUAAGCUUUGAUGUACAUGAUUACUUUAUUAUUCCCAAGUUAUGAUUUGAUACGGUGAAUUUCAUAUUUCUACCAUGAGUUGAUAUUUCAAGUGUUUUCAAGAUAUGAUUUAUGGAACUUUGAAUCGUCCAAUAUUGGUAUAAAUAAUAACCUUAUUAUCUUGUUUUCUUGAAUUGAGAUUUUAUGCCAUAAAUUGNNNNNNNNNNNNNNNNNNNNNNNNNNNNNNNNNNNNNNNNNNNNNNNNNNNNNNNNNNNNNNNNNNNNNNNNNNNNNNNNNNNNNNNNNNNNNNNNNNNNNNNNNNNNNNNNNNNNNNNNNNNNNNNNNNNNNNNNNNNNNNNNNNNNNNNNNNNNNNNNNNNNNNNNNNNNNNNNNNNNNNNNNNNNNNNNNNNNNNNNNNNNNNNNNNNNNNNNNNNNNNNNNNNNNNNNNNNNAUGUUGAUGUUGAGGAAAAUUAAAAUGUUUUGAGCUAAAAUGUGUUGAGUUAGGAAUCUAAAGAUUGAUAUGAUUUGAUAAAUGAGAAAGAGAUUUGAUUUGGUCUUUAUGAUAGACCCUUACGAUGUUGUGGUGUAUUUCCUAACGAGUUCUGAGCUAGUCGGGGAGUAUUACUUAGCACCGAGAGGGAAAUUUGGUAUUUUCCCAAACCUAUAUGCCACCAUAGGGUUGUUGAUGAUGAUAUUGUUGGUAAGAGAGCCGAAUUGUGAUUAUGAAAGCUUUAAGGUUGUACUCCCAGGCAAGAGUACAACACUCCCGUUAAUGGGAGUGCUCUCCCUAGGAGGGCAAAGGUUGGUAUUCCACGCGGCUCACGUGGGGUUGUCGGUUAUAGGAAACUCCCCUGUCCAUAAGAGUAUGUUUCUUGAACUAUCGAGUCGCUCCGAAUGAUUUUAUGAUGAUUUAUGGGAUUUUACUUAUGUUUUCCUCUCAAUAAUAUUAUGAGAAGUAUGAAUAAUGAAAUUCAAGCUAUGUGAGUCUUCAUUUUUCGUACGCAUGUUUUACGAAAUCAAAGAUAUUAUUCAAAUUAUUGUGUGCACCCCCACAUAUUCAGUUGCUUAUGAGGAGUCAUGGUGAGUUAUGUAACUACUUCCCACGGUUUUUGUGUCAGUAUAAAUCUUCAGGAGUCAGGGGUGUAAGUGUAUUCGAUUGAUCAGUGUUGGUAUCCUGUGAUUCAAUAAUGCAGUACCCUAGUACAGUAGUGAGUUCCGAGGAUAGUAAAGUGAUAUCUGAGCUGUGGUAUCUGGAGUCACUAUAAUUGUUAUAGUGGUUGUGAACUGUGCAUUCAUAUAUGUGUACUCGUUCGUUAUUCUCAUGAUUAUUCUGUUGAUUAAACGUUCAUGCAUAAGCCCUUGCAUUUAGCCCUCCCUGCUUGCAUUCUCAGUACAUCUUAGUACUGACGCAUUCGCGCUAUGGUGUUCUUUUAUUUUGGGGGCACCAUAGGUUCAGAGGAGUAAAACUUGGAGCAUCUUAGAAGUCACUUGUAUAGCAGCAGUGGGUGCAGCAGUGAGUCCUCAUCAUCCGAGGAUGUUGUUAUUAUAGUAUUUGAUUUUAGUAGACGAAGUUAGUUGGGGGAAUUAUCCCUUCAACUCCAUAGUUCAGGCAGUGUAGAGGCUUUUCAGACAGAUGUAUUAGUGUGUGGUUUAAGGUAUUGUAUAUUUCUAGAUGUUUGAACUUUAUGGCAAGUGUUAGUUAGUUUUCACAUGUAUUUUAUUAUAUUAUGCAGUGAACAGGUACAGAUAUCAGAAAAAGGGUUAGCUUGUGGUCCUUUGGGAUCAUAAGCACCGUGUGGCGGUCCGGUUCUCGAGAAUCAGAGCAUUACAAACUUGGUAUCAUAGCCUAAGGUUCAACAGUGUCCUAGGGAGUCUAAAAAGCCACAUCUAGUAGAGUCUUAUACAAGAGUGUGUUUCGCGCCACAUUCAUGUAUGGGAGGCUAUGGGAUGUUUAGAAGAGUUUCCGUUCGUUUAUGAUCCAGAUCGUGCUAUAGCAAGAUUUUCCAAGAGAGUUAUGUAGACUCUUGUAAUGAUCUACUUAUGUCAGAUUUACCUUACUCUUAAGGUAACAGAAGUAGUGAAGCCAAAGUCUUUCAGAUAGAACUUUCUCUGAUGGUCCCCUUUUGGGACAGUGUUCUCUAAAGUGAGCAGAGUAUGCCUUAUUGGGUUAGCUGUUUAUAUGGUGAAUGAAUAAGCUUGAAGUUAUAUAUGUAAGAAUCUAAGUGUGGAAGUUGGGAAUUAUAUGUGUUGAUUGAUAGAGAUAUAGCUGCGAUUCUCAUGGUGUGGAGAAGUAUAAGUUUAAGAAAUGUGAUAUUUGAAGGCUAGAAUGAGAAUAGUAUGUUUGUUAAAGAUUUUUAGAUAUUCAUGUUAUGUUUUAGAAGCUAAGCUUGAAUCUUUGAAGAAUGUAAGUUUGUGGACUCCAAACUAAGUAUUAAGAUGUAAGUGUGGUAUUAGUAGCCUAUGAAGAAAUCGAAGCAGAUAAUGUNNNNNNNNNNNNNNNNNNNNNNNNNNNNNNNNNNNNNNNNNNNNNNNNNNNNNNNNNNNNNNNNNNNNNNNNNNNNNNNNNNNNNNNNNNNNNNNNNNNNNNNNNNNNNNNNNNNNNNNNNNNNNNNNNNNNNNNNNNNNNNNNNNNNNNNNNNNNNNNNNNNNNNNNNNNNNNNNNNNNNNNNNNNNNNNNNNNNNNNNNNNNNNNNNNNNNNNNNNNNNNNNNNNNNNNNNNNNNNNGGUCCCAAGGGAGAGAUACCCCAUAAUGUUAUAAUAAUUGCAUGUCCAUGCUCUUUUUAUGAUUUUAACCUCAUUGUUCAUUGCAUUUCUAGUUAUACUUUCAAAAAUUUGGUAUAUUAGGUAUAUUCGUAUUUAAUAUGCACGUUUAAUAGAAAGGAACUCGAAUUGUGGGCAUGUUUGAACAUGUAUUGAAGAUAUUGGUUGGGUUAUGAUUCUGUGCAUUUGAGAUACAUGUAUGUUGUGAAAAUUUACCCAUGAGUGGGUUGUUGAAUGUUUUAUGCGAUAGAUGUGUAUGACUAGUGAACGUACGCAGAGUAUUGGUUGCUUCAGUCGUGUGGUUAUGUUUUGAGAUGUGUUGCUGUCUUGAAUAAACCUAGUUGAUUAGUGUUCUUGAUCUGGCCUUCACAUUCGAGGACGAAUGUUUCCAUGGGGGAGAUGAUGUAAUACCCCAAAAAAUUUUUCGUCGAAAUUUUAUGCGUAAACGUAUUGGAUCCUAUCUUUGAGAAUGAUUUAUAAUUUUUCUGUGUGUUAUUUCUUAGAUUUCGACCCACCAUUUUGUAGAGAAUCGAAUAAGCUUUCCAACGAUAUGUGAAUCACCCAAAACGGACACUCGAGCGAUGAGUUACGACCAUUCCAAUCAAACUACGACCAUUACGAUCGAACUGUGAACAGUAAAAUGUGCAGGAAAAAAAAUACUGCAGCCAGGCUAUUUUUUUGGUCAACUUCAAACAAUCAUAACUCCUUGUACAUAAUGAACUGUGUGAGAUGCUAUAUAUCAACAGAAAUCCCUAGGAGACUUCUUUCCAAUAAAAUUGGUUUUAUCCAAUUUGGACAUCGAAGUAAAAAUUUAUGGCCAAUUUACUUUAGCCUAUCGGAUAGAUCAUUGAAGGACAGAUUCGAAUUUUAUUUAUUUCUUAGGGGCAUUUUGAUCUUUCACCAUUCUUUUAAACCUCUAUAAAUACCCCAUUCAGCUGAGAACUUAUAUUAUUUUCCUCUCAUUUCUCUUAUAUGUAUAUAUGUAUAUAAUAUGUAUAUAAUAUGUAUAUAUAUAUAUAUAUAUANNNNNNNNNNNNNNNNNNNNNNNNNNNNNNNNNNNNNNNNNNNNNNNNNNNNNNNNNNNNNNNNNNNNNNNNNNNNNNNNNNNNNNNNNNNNNNNNNNNNNNNNNNNNNNNNNNNNNNNNNNNNNNNNNNNNNNNNNNNNNNNNNNNNNNNNNNNNNNNNNNNNNNNNNNNNNNNNNNNNNNNNNNNNNNNNNNNNNNNNNNNNNNNNNNNNNNNNNNNNNNNNNNNNNNNNNNNNNNNNNNNNNNNNNNNNNNNNNNNNNNNNNNNNNNNNNNNNNNNNNNNNNNNNNNNNNNNNNNNNNNNNNNNNNNNNNNNNNNNNNNNNNNNNNNNNNNNNNNNNNNNNNNNNNNNNNNNNNNNNNNNNNNNNNNNNNNNNNNNNNNNNNNNNNNNNNNNNNNNNNNNNNNNNNNNNNNNNNNNNNNNNNNNNNNNNNNNNNNNNNNNNNNNNNNNNNNNNNNNNNNNNNNNNNNNNNNNNNNNNNNNNNNNNNNNNNNNNNNNNNNNNNNNNNNNNNNNNNNNNNNNNNNNNNNNNNNNNNNNNNNNNNNNNNNNNNNNNNNNNNNNNNNNNNNNNNNNNNNNNNNNNNNNNNNNNNNNNNNNNNNNNNNNNNNNNNNNNNNNNNNNNNNNNNNNNNNNNNNNNNNNNNNNNNNNNNNNNNNNNNNNNNNNNNNNNNNNNNNNNNNNNNNNNNNNNNNNNNNNNNNNNNNNNNNNNNNNNNNNNNNNNNNNNNNNNNNNNNNNNNNNNNNNNNNNNNNNNNNNNNNNNNNNNNNNNNNNNNNNNNNNNNNNNNNNNNNNNNNNNNNNNNNNNNNNNNNNNNNNNNNNNNNNNNNNNNNNNNNNNNNNNNNNNNNNNNNNNNNNNNNNNNNNNNNNNNNNNNNNNNNNNNNNNNNNNNNNNNNNNNNNNNNNNNNNNNNNNNNNNNNNNNNNNNNNNNNNNNNNNNNNNNNNNNNNNNNNNNNNNNNNNNNNNNNNNNNNNNNNNNNNNNNNNNNNNNNNNNNNNNNNNNNNNNNNNNNNNNNNNNNNNNNNNNNNNNNNNNNNNNNNNNNNNNNNNNNNNNNNNNNNNNNNNNNNNNNNNNNNNNNNNNNNNNNNNNNNNNNNNNNNNNNNNNNNNNNNNNNNNNNNNNNNNNNNNNNNNNNNNNNNNNNNNNNNNNNNNNNNNNNNNNNNNNNNNNNNNNNNNNNNNNNNNNNNNNNNNNNNNNNNNNNNNNNNNNNNNNNNNNNNNNNNNNNNNNNNNNNNNNNNNNNNNNNNNNNNNNNNNNNNNNNNNNNNNNNNNNNNNNNNNNNNNNNNNNNNNNNNNNNNNNNNNNNNNNNNNNNNNNNNNNNNNNNNNNNNNNNNNNNNNNNNNNNNNNNNNNNNNNNNNNNNNNNNNNNNNNNNNNNNNNNNNNNNNNNNNNNNNNNNNNNNNNNNNNNNNNNNNNNNNNNNNNNNNNNNNNNNNNNNNNNNNNNNNNNNNNNNNNNNNNNNNNNNNNNNNNNNNNNNNNNNNNNNNNNNNNNNNNNNNNNNNNNNNNNNNNNNNNNNNNNNNNNNNNNNNNNNNNNNNNNNNNNNNNNNNNNNNNNNNNNNNNNNNNNNNNNNNNNNNNNNNNNNNNNNNNNNNNNNNNNNNNNNNNNNNNNNNNNNNNNNNNNNNNNNNNNNNNNNNNNNNNNNNNNNNNNNNNNNNNNNNNNNNNNNNNNNNNNNNNNNNNNNNNNNNNNNNNNNNNNNNNNNNNNNNNNNNNNNNNNNNNNNNNNNNNNNNNNNNNNNNNNNNNNNNNNNNNNNNNNNNNNNNNNNNNNNNNNNNNNNNNNNNNNNNNNNNNNNNNNNNNNNNNNNNNNNNNNNNNNNNNNNNNNNNNNNNNNNNNNNNNNNNNNNNNNNNNNNNNNNNNNNNNNNNNNNNNNNNNNNNNNNNNNNNNNNNNNNNNNNNNNNNNNNNNNNNNNNNNNNNNNNNNNNNNCAGAGAUGAAAUGCUGUGUUAUUGAUACCAUGUUGAUGUUGAGGAAAAUUAAAAUAUUUUGAGCUAAAAUGUGUUGAGUUAGGAAUCCACAAAUUGAUAUGAUUUGAUAAAUGAGAAAGAGAUUUGAUUUGGUCUUUAUAAUAGACCCUUGCGAUGUUGUGGUGGAUUUCCUAAUGCAUUCUGAGCUAGUCAGGGAGUAUUACUUAGCACCGCGAGGAAAUUUAGUAUUUUCCCAAACCUAUGUGCCACCGUAGGGUUGUUGAUGAUGAUAUUGUUGGUAAGAGAGCCAAAUUGUGAUUAUGAAAGCUUUAAGGUUGUACUCCCAGGCAAGAGUACAUCACUCCAGCUAAUGGAAGUGCUCUCCCUAGGAGGGCAAAGGUUGGUAUUCCACGCGGCUCACGUGGGGUUGUCGGUUAUAGGAAACUCCCCUGUCCAUAAGAGUAUGUUUCUUGAACUAUCGAGUCGCUCCGAGUCUUGAGUUGAUGAGUUUGGUUGUCUAUGAUGAGUCAUGAGAAUUUAUGAUGAAUAUUGAUGNNNNNNNNNNNNNNNNNNNNNNNNNNNNNNNNNNNNNNNNNNNNNNNNNNNNNNNNNNNNNNNNNNNNNNNNNNNNNNNNNNNNNNNNNNNNNNNNNNNNNNNNNNNNNNNNNNNNNNNNNNNNNNNNNNNNNNNNNNNNNNNNNNNNNNNNNNNNNNNNNNNNNNNNNNNNNNNNNNNNNNNNNNNNNNNNNNNNNNNNNNNNNNNNNNNNNNNNNNNNNNNNNNNNNNNNNNNNNNNNNNNNNNNNNNNNNNNNNNNNNNNNNNNNNNNNNNNNNNNNNNNNNNNNNNNNNNNNNNNNNNNNNNNNNNNNNNNNNNNNNNNNNNNNNNNNNNNNNNNNNNNNNNNNNNNNNNNNNNNNNNNNNNNNNNNNNNNNNNNNNNNNNNNNNNNNNNNNNNNNNNNNNNNNNNNNNNNNNNNNCGAGCUGUGGUAUCUGGAGUCACUAUAAUUGUUAUAGUGGUUGUGAACUGUGCAUUCAUAUAUGUGUACUCGUUCGUUAUUCUCAUGAUUAUUCUAUUGAUUAAACGUUCAUGCAUAAGCCCUUGCAUUUAGCCCUCCCUGCUUGUAUACUCAGUACAUCUUAGUACUGACGCAUUCGCGCUAUGAUGUUCUUUUAUUUUGGGGGCACCAUAGGUUCAGAGGAGUAAAACUUGGAGUAUCUUAGAAGUCACUUGUAUAGCAGCAGUGGGUGCAGCAGUGAGUCCUCAUCAUCCGAGGAUGUUUUUUUUACAGUAUUUGAUUUUAGUAGACGGAGUUAGUUGGGGGAAUUGUCCCUUCAACUCCACAGUUUGUAGAGGCUUUUCAGACAGAUGUAUUAGUGUGUGGUUUAAGGUAUUGUAUAUUUCUAGAUGUUUGAACCUUAUGGCAAGUGUUAGUUAGUUUUCGCAUGUAUUUUAUUAUAUUAUGCAGUGAACAGGUACAGAUAUCAGAAAAAGGGUUAGCUUGUGGUCCUUCGGGAUCAUGAGCACCGUGUGGCAUUCCGAUUCUCGAGGAUCGGGGCAUUACAGAUAAAUUCAGAUUCCAUUAUAGAGCGAGCAAUACAAGUCUGUUUGGAUGAUUUCCAAGAGACUGCUCCUCCAUCGAUAGUAAAUACAUAUCCACUCGUGAAUUUUACUUUGUUCGAUCCGGUGAUCCAAUUUGCAUCACUAUAUCCUUCAAGUACCGCGGGAUAUUUAUUAUAAUGCAAAGCGUAGUCUUGAGUGUAUUUAAGAUACCCAAAAACUCUUUUCAUUGCCAUCCAAUGAGUUUUAUUAGAAUUAAUCGUGUAUCAACUCAACUUACUUAUAGCUCAUGUUAUGUCUAGUCGUGUACAGUUCAUUAUAUACGUUAAACAUUCCAAUACUCUUGCCUACUCCAAUUGUGAGUCACUUUUACCUUCAUUCUUUCGAAGUGCAAAGUUCACAUCCAAUGGAGUCUUGAAAAUACUAAAUUCCAUAUACUUGAAUUUGUCAAGUACCUUUUCGAUGUAAUGAGACUGUGACAAUGCCAACCCUUGUGGAGUUCUAUGGAUUCUUAUCCCUAAGACCACAUCCGCAACUCCAAGGUCUUUCAUAUCGAACUUGCUCUAGAGCAUUUGUUUCAUUGCAUUUAUGUCUGAAAUGUCUCUAAUGAUGAUCAACAUAUCAUCCAUAUAUAAACACACAAUGACUUGGUGAUUUGGAGUAUCUUUAUUAUAAACAGAUUUAUCACAUUCAUUAAUUUUGAAUCAGUUUGCCAACAUAGUUUGGUCAAACUUUGCAUCCCAUUGCUUUUAGUCCAUAAAGUGACUUAACAAGUUUACACACCUUAUUUUCUUUUCUUGGAAUCAGAAAACUCUCUAGCUAUUCCAUGUAAAUUUCUUCCUCCAAUUCUCCAUUUAGGAAUGCGUUAUUCAUAUCCAUUUGAUGGAUUUCAAGACCAUAUACCACCUCCAAGGCAAUUAACAUUCGAAUCGAUGUUAUCCUUGUUACCAGCGAGUAUGUAUCAAAGUAAUCAAGGUCUUCUUUUUGUUUGAAGCCUUUUACUACAAGUCUUGCCUUGUAUUUGUCAAUAGUACCAUCCGCUUUCAUUUUCCUUUUGAAGAUCCAUUUAGAUCCUAAAGGUUUGUUUCCUGGAGGAAGAUCAACCAACUCCCACGUAUGAUUGCUUAAGAUUGAAUCAAUCUUACUAUUGACUACCUCUUUCCAAAAGGAUGAGUCCGAAGACGCCAUCGCUUCCUUAAAUGUUUGAGGCUCAUUUUCUAAGAGAAAUAUUACCAAAUUCGAUCCAAACAAAGUUGACGAUCUUUGAUGUGUACUAUGUCUUGGAUUCUCAUCAUUAUGUACAUUCUCACUUGGUUCAUCUCAAGGUCAUUUAGAUCCUCCACUAGACUAUUCAUGUCUAGUUUUAUACGGAUAAAUUUUUUCAAAGAAUUCAGCAUUAUCUAAUUUAAUUACCGUAUUUUCAUUAGUAUCCGAAUAUCUAAAUUUAUGAACCAAAAAUCGACAUGCUUUACUACUUUUAGCAUAUCCUAUGAACACGCAGUCCACCGUCUUAGGUCCUAUCUUAAUCCUUUUAGGCAUCGGAACUUGGACCUUUGCUAGAGACCCCCACACUUUAAAAUAUUUCAAGUUGGGCUUCCUUCCUUUCCAUUUUUCAUAAGAAAUUGAUUGUGUCUUACUAUGGGGAACUCUAUUGAGUAUUCGGUUGGCUGUAAAGAUAGCGUCCCCCCACAAACUUUGCGGUAAAUCUGAAUUUAUAAGUAAGGCAUUCAUCAUUUCCUUCAAUUUUUGAUUUUUUCUUUCCACAAUUUCAUUAGAUUGAGGUGAAUAUGGGUUCAUAGUUUGAUGGAAAAUUCCAUUCUCUACACAUAUUUCGGCGAAGGGAGAUUCAUAUUCUCCGUCCCUAUCACUUCUUAUAGUUUUAAUCUUUUUCUCUAACUGAUUUUCAACUCCAGUUUUGUAUUACAUAAACGUUUUUAUUUCUCCACCCUUACUGUUUAGUAAAAAGACAUAACACUAUCUAGUGCAAUCAUCAAUAAAAGUUAUAAAAUACUUUUUUUCCACCAUGUGAUGGUGUUGACUUCAUAUCACAAAUGUCAGUGUAGAUUAAGGCUAAGGGAUUGGAAUUUCUUUUGACGGACUUAUACGAAUACUUAGCAUACUUUGAUUCCACACAAGUUUGACACUUUGAUUUAUUGCACUAUAAGUUUGGCAAAACUUCUAAGUUAAUAAGUUUUCAUAAUGUUUUGUAAUUAACAUGGCCUAGUCAUUCAUGCCACAAAUUGGGAGACUCAAGCAAGUAAGAAGAAUUUGAACUCUUAUUGAUUUCAAUAUUCAUUACAUUCAUUUUGAAUAGGCCCUCAUUGAGGUAGCCUUUUCCUACAUACACUUCUCCUUUACUAAGUACAAUUUUUCCAAAAACAAAUACACAUUUGAAUUCAUUCUUGUCUAGAAGUGAAGCAGAAAUCAAAUUCUCUCAUAACUCAUGAACAUAUAAGACAUUGUUAAGUGUCAACACUUUAUCGGAAGUCAUCUUCAAGCACACUUUUCCUGUUUCUUCCACUUUUGCAGUAGCGGAGUUUGCCAUGUUGAUCUUUUCUUCUACUUGAUAUGGAGCGAAGGUCGAAAACAACUCCUUGUUAGCACAAACAUGGCAGGUGGCAUCAGAAUUCAUCCACCAUUCGAGAGGAUUUCCCACCAAGUUGCAUUCGGCAAGCAUAGCACACAGAUCAUCUAUUUCUUUCUUAGACUCAGCCAAAUUUGCUUGGUCCUUCUUCUUCUGUUUCUUCAGGGCACGAUAAUCCAUAGACUUAUGACCUAUCUUGCCACAGUUGAAUCACUUUCCCUUGAACUUAUUCUUGGGUUGUUUGCUUUUAUUUCCAGCUUUUUUUCAUUUUUUUAGAGUUGUUUUGGUCAUUUUCUACAAUGUUUGCUCCACUCAUUGCAGAAUUGCCUCGUGACCUUCUUUCUGCAGCCUUAUUAUCUUGUUCAAUGUGUAGUUGUACACUCAGAUCUUCAACUAACAUCUCCUUACGUUUGUGUUUCAAAUAGUUUUUGAAGUCUUUCCACAUAGGUGGUAGCUUCUCUAUUAUUGCUGCUACUUGAAAUGCUUCAUUCACAAUCAACCCUACAAUAAAGUUCAAGUGAAUACUAAGAACAUUUUAAAAUUGUUUAACAACGGUAUUUGUCAAAAUCAUAUGUUCUGCUAGGAGAUCAUGGAUGAUCACUUGCAGUCCUGCACUUGUGAAACAACAGACUUGUUGUCUAUCAUUUUGUACUCCAGGAAUCUUGCAACAAAGAACUUUUUAGUUCAGGCAUCCUCUGUCUUGUACUUCCGUUCUAGUGCUUUCUAUAACUCUUUUGCAGUCUUGGUUCCGCUAUACACAUUGUAAAGGUCAUCUUGGAGACCAUUCAAGAUAUAAUUCCUGCAAAGGAAAUCUGAGUGUUUCCAAGCCUCUACAAUCACGAAGCGUUCUUUUUCAGGGGUUCCCUCGGGCACCUCUAGAGCUUCCUCAAUAGUGAACCUUUGAAGACAGAGAGUUGUGAGGUAGAAGAAUAUUUUCUGCUGCCAUUUCUUGAAGUAAAUACCAGCGAACUUUUCGGGUUUGUCCGCCGGUUUCAUAGCUUGCGGAGCAUUAGUACGAUUCGCCGUGGCAAUACUAGUUUCCGCCAUAGUUGUUCUAGCAUCAUGCAUUUGACUAUCAGUUGUCAUAAUUUUUCUGUCACCACAAGACAGUACCUUUAGUAUAUCGAAAUACUUAUUAAAAAAUUGCAGCAACUUUAAACACUUCUUGUUUUUAUUUUAACGAUGAAGUUUUUAUGACUUUCAAUCUUCAAUCGAGUGAUCUUUAACUUGUGAUGAAGAUUUUAUGUCUUCAAAUCACUAGUUAAGUUCAAACGGAGUAGAAAGCUUAAAGCUUUAAUCUCCAAAAACAAGCUAUACAGAUUUCGAAAGGUUUAUUCCUUAAGAUUGUUAUUUCAAUGUUGUCGGGUAUAAGAAUCUGUAUAUUUAUAUAUGCAACAAUAACUUCAACACAAGUUCAAGUCUAAAACAAGAACACUCAUGAAGUUCUUUUAACACCUUCAACACAAGAGUACGAAUAAUCUACCCAAGAAGUAUGUUAAGUUUCAGAAAUGAGAUGAAACAAAAUUUUUUUAAGGUCAAGUCCCCCGACUUCACGGAGUGUCCUUAAGGAAUAAUUUUCCUCUCUAUACCCGAGGUUAUGGAAUCUUCCUCCCAGAAUAAAAUGGCCAAACAAACCAACUGUAGUGGUACCUCAAACAGCUGGAAUCUCUUCGAACUCACUCAAUGAUUUGAUUGAUCACACGGAAUGUUUUUGAAGACAAGAAGAGUUUGUAUGUUUAGAAAAAAAAUUCGUUCCUAAACCUAUGGAUAAAAGCAAGUUUAUAUAGCCAUCAGGUGCCUCUUCUGAAAGGUGGCAAUGGUUUACUCAAAAGGUGUAAUCUUUCUGGAAAAUCAUGUCUGUUCGUCCAAAGAAUGCGUCUUUUUUGAACAGGCAUACCAUUUCAUGAAUCAGUGUGUCAUUUCGUUGAAAGGUUGCAUCCCUUCCGAAGCAUCAAUUUGCUUCUGUACUGUAUUUCAAAAUAGUGUUUCUGCCACUGCAUGCAUGCAUAUAAAUAGAGGAUCAAAACACAGAAACAAUUUGUUGCAUUUUUUCCUUUGGUAUUUUCGAAGCCGAAGCCAAAGAGAACAGCACGAGGCACCACCUUGUUCUUGCCUCACUAUCCAUGUGGAGUAAAUGCUUCUUAUUAUAAACACUUCAAAGUUUCCUUCUCCCACCAAUGUGGGAGAAUCAGUGAACUUUCCCUUAAAAGAGUACACUUUCCAUUUUAGUGUCUCUCUUUCUCUCCACUAUUUUCCUUUAAUUUUUCAUUCACGCUUUUCAUACAUAUUGAACUCAACAGAAUCUAUAUCUAUUUUGCUGCUUGUAAGCUUGGCUUUGGAGCAGGUUGUAGAAAAAUAUAGUUGUGGAUGGAUGUUGGUUGAAGGGUCCAAUGUAUGGGACUCAACUGUUAUCCGUCGUUGGCCUCGACGCUAAUAACAAUAUAUUUCCCGUUGCCUAUGCAAUUGUAGAAAAGGAAUGUAAAGAGACAUGGACUUGAUUUUUAAAUCAUUUGGCUGCUGAUUUGUAUAUAGAUGAGAAUGGUUGGACUUUUAUGUAUGAUAAGCAAAAAGGUCUUAUUGAAGCAUUUAAUGAUGUCUUACCUUAUGUGAGUCACAAAUUUUAUGUUAUACACCUUCAUAACAGUUUAAAAAGGAUGGUUUUGGCGGUGUCACGUUAAAAAAAGAAAUUUGGGCUAUUGCAAAGGCUAGUACUGUCAAAAGGCUUGAUGAUUGCAUGAAGAAUAUUGCAAAGUUAGAUCUUGAUGGUGCUACUUGGUUAAAUGAAAAAGAAUCUAGUGAAUGGUCUAGAUCUCAUUUCUCUUCAGAUGUUAAGUGUGACAUCUUGUUAAAUAACUUGUGUGAAGUGUUUAAUAGCAUGAUACUUAAUGCUAGAGACAAGCCAAUUGUGACACUUUUGGAGAAGUUGCUGUAUCUACUCAUGGCUAGAAUGCAAGCUAAUAGAGAAAAAGCACAAAAAUGGAAAUCGGGGGAUGUUUGUCUUAGGAUCAAGGAUAUAUUACAUAAGAAUCAAUUUGCAACUACUGAAUAUAUCCCUAGAAAAUCUAAUCACUUGAGCUAUAAAAUCUUACGAGCUACAAUUAUGGACAAUUGGACAGUUGACUUAGAGAACCAAACUUGUAGUUGUAGAAAAUGGAGUCUCUCCGGAAUUCCUUGCAAGCACGCUAUUUCAGCAAUAUGGGCUAAAAAGUAUUACAUUCUUGACUAUGUUCAUGAUUGUUACAAGGUGGAAACAUAUAGAAGAAUCUAUUAUUCUUCCAAUGAAACUAUCUACUAGGUUGUGAGUUAGUUUAGAGUCUUUUUCUUCGUUCUUUGUGUGCUUUUUUCAUUUUGAUCCGUUGUGUUUUGUUGGUUCAAGUUCAAAAAUGAGAUUUCUUUGAGUUAAUUCAAACAAAAAUCUAUUCUAUGCAAAAGUAGACUCAUCCCUCAAUCACUCUUGAAGUACAAGCCAACUUUCAACACUUGUGAAACCAAGUGUGAGGUAAAUCUGAGAGUGAGAGUAUGGUGAGGUUAUUUUGAACUAACUUGUUCUUUGUUUUGUAGGUUUGAUUUUAGGUACAUUGUGAUGGAAUGUGAGGAUACAACCUCCCAAACCUUUGGAAAUGAUGUUGCUAGUGCAAUCUUGGCUCAACUUGAGUCCAUUAACCGUGAUAUGAAGGUGAUGCAAACAGGCAUUAGUAAGCUAGAGGUGUAAGUAGGAUCAAUGAAAGGGGAUAUGAAAUCAAUGAAGGAGGAUGUGAAAACAAUGAGUGGGAGGUUGGAACUAGAAGAGAGUCAAAGAAACUCCCAACUCACUACUCCUCAACACUACCAUGCGUCUUCUAGUGGACAAGUACAAAACACCUCUAUAACCAUUACACCCGAGACCCUCCAUCAAAUGAUCUAUCUACCAAGACCUCCACAAAACCAAGCUCAAACCCGAGACCUACAUAGACCACUAUAUGUUCAAUUAAACCAAGUCCAACAAGAAGGACUUGGAAACCAAACUCCACCCCAAAAUUUGAACUACUCAGUCUAAAAUCCACUUGAUCAAUGGCCAAUCCCUCCACAAAAUCCAAUGCCUCAAGCCCAAUCCCCACUUAACCAAAGACACUACCAUCAACCAAAUCCAAUACCUCCUUACUAAGCUCAACUUAACUUAAAUCAAUCCAUCCAUGUAGAAGACUAUAGUAGAGGGGGAACAAGAGGGUCAUGGAGUUAACAAUGAUGACAACAUAAUUAAAGAGGAGAUAAGAGGUAGGUAUGAGCAAAGAUAACAUCAAGGUAGAUACCGAGGGCAUGAAGGUAGAAAUGGUCAUGGAAAUUCUCAAGGAAAUCGAGAGGUUGGCAUCAAUUCUAUCAAGGUUGGUAUUCCUAUCUUCAAGGGUGAGAGUGAUCCCAAACUAUAUCUUUCAUAGGAGUCUUCUUGUGAAAAUCUCUUCCAAGUUAGUGAUAUUUCCGAAGAGAAGAAGAGUUGCUAUGCUAUAGCCUUGAGAAUUUCCAUGACCAUGUCUACCUUCAUGCCCUCGGUAUCUACCUUGAUGUUAUCUUUGCUCAUACCUACCUCUUAUCUCCUCUUUAAUUAUGUAGUCAUCAUUGUUAACUCCAUAACCCUCUUGUUCCCCUCUACUAUAGUCUUCUACAUGGAUGGAUUGAUUUAAGUUAAGUUGAGCUUAGUAAGGAGGUAUUGGAUUUUGUUGAUGGUAUAUGCCAACACUUGGUGGGAUUAUACUAAAAGAUUUGGGAAUGUGAUGAUUGGUGGUAAACCUCCCCCUUGGGAAAUAUUAAAGAGGCUUAUAAGGGAGAGAUACAUACCGGAAGGGUAUAGACAUGAGCCCCUUACCAAGCUAUACAACUUAAGGUAAGGAAGAAAGAGAGUCAUGGCUUACUAUGAUGAGUUUCAACAAUUGAUUUUGAAGAUUGAUCACCAGGGAGAACAAGUACAUCAUGACAUCAUACACUUCAAAGUUGGGUUGAACAAAGACAUUUAUUCGCAAAUGACUCUUCACCAAUUUGAAACCAUUGAUGGUAUCUUCCAAGCGGCUCUAGAAGUUUAGAAAGAUAUCAAAGAGAAGGCUGCCUACAAAUCAAAAAAUAUCUAUCAUCCUAGGGUUGGUCUAAAAAUAAGGAAUUGGCUCAAUCUAAUGCUAAGGAACCCGACAAUAAGGCUGCCCCAAAGUACCCUCCAAAAUAUAAAGGUAAUAAAUAUUCUACUUCCAAUUCUAAGGGUUUUCAAUGCUUUAAAUGUCAAGAGUGGGGACACAAGGCUACGAGUUUCCAAACCAAAGUAAUGUGAUCCGUAGAGAAGGGAAGAUAUACUAUCUUAUAAAGGAGGUGGAAUUGGAAACUGAGGGGAAUAAGGCCGAACCUCAAGAUGGAGAGAAAGUGUAUGAUGAGAUGUAAAAUAAAGAAGGUAAAGAAAAUGUUUGGCCAUUUGAUGGUGAAUAUGAAGUAACUAGCUAUGUAGUGAGAAGAUCCAUGUUAGUAAGGCCUUGGAUGAUCCAAGUCAAAGAGAGAAUCUCUUUCAUACCAAGUGCCUUAUUAAAGGAGGUGUGUGAUCAAUGAUCAUAGAUAGUGGGAGUUGUUUUAACAUUGCUAGGGUCACCAUGGUUGACGACUUGAAACUACCCACUACCCCUCACCCAAAUCCUUACAAACUUUAAUGGUUGAAUGCUUGUGGUGAGUUGAAGAUCAAUCGAUAAUGUGUGAUUCAAUUUAAGGUAGGGAACGAUCAAGAAAAGGUGUUAUAUGAUGUAAUCCUUAUGCAAGAAUGUCACUUAUUAUUGGGUAGGCCAUGGCAAUUUGAUAGGUCCACAAAGCAUGAUGGGAGGACUAAUAGGUACACUCUUGAACUCAAUGGAUGAAGGUUCACUUUUCAUCCUCUUUUACCAUCUAAAUUGAAUAAAAUCCAUCAAUAAGUGAGGGAGUUGAGGGAGAAAUAGAAGAGGACAAGAGAGGAUAAAUUCGAGAGUAGAGGAGGUGAAGAGGGGAAGAAAUAAUGCAACAAAAGGGAAAAAAACAUGAUUAUGGGACUUGCCCACAAAGGCCCCUUGUUACUCACUAACCUAGAUACUAGCAUUUUGCCUCGUAUCCAUUCUUCUUAUGUGCAAGUUCAAGGUCAUAAACUCUAAAAAGAGGAUUCAAAGAGAGUUCCUCACAAACACUUGAUUGAUGAUCUAAUGGAGCCCUCGUCCAAGAGUUCAAACAUUAGGAAAGGUGAUGAGGAAAUGACUCCAAGGGUAAAUCUUGACACAAGCCAUUGCGAUGUGAAUCAUGAAGGCUUCCAUGAAGCAAAUCAAGGUAACAAUGCUACUUCCUACACAUUUUUAAGUUUAAAAUAUUGUGAUGUGGCUAGUAGUAGCCAAUUUAAUGUGGUUGCGAGUUUUUCUAGUGUAGAAGUGUAUGAUAAUUUCUUUAGUGAAACCCUUGAUGUGUAUAAUGAUCAAUUCACUCUUAAAUGUCAUUUAUUACUUGAGAAUGUGCAUGGUGUGCUUGAAGAGACUAAACGUAGUGAUGGUGUCUAUAGUGUUGAUCAUGAUAAUGAACAUGAUUCCUUGAACCUAGUGUGUGAUGAAAGUUUUGCUAUUUGUUUUGUUCAUAGAAAUCACGUGAAUGGAAAUAUUAUGAAUAAUGUCAUAUAUUUUAUUGAGGGAGGACUUCUAGGCCGCAACUCCUCAUUCUUGAAAAUUAGACCUAUCUUAAAGACAAAUGUUUGAGUGAUCUUGAGAAUAACACUCUAGUGGUAGAAAAGAGUGGCCUCGGCUUGUGUCCUUGGCUACUUCUACCAUUUGAUCCCGGUGCCCUCUUGGGAUGUGGAAGUCUCUACACUUCCAACUUGAUGCUUGGUCAGAACGACAAGCAAUGUUUGAUUGUGGAAGCUAGUGUACAGAGUCAAAGUUUUUUCUUAUCUCUUUAUGUUCAUCAUGACCACUUCUUUUGUUCCAUUGUACUAAAUUUUUCAUGUUCAACACAAAGGACCCGUGGAUAUAUUUCAAGUGUGAACCACCUCGACUUGAUGAUAAUAUUUGUUGCCCUAACACUAACCCUCGUGCCUUGAGGAUUUCAUGCUUGUUUGCCUUCUCUUUGGUUUUUCAAGGUGUGAAUUUAAGGUUAAAUUCCUUUCAAUAAGGAGAGGAUGAUACGAGUGCAAAGAGUACAAGACCUUUCUCAAGGAGUCAAGUUCAAGACAUACUCAAGAAGAAGAAAGUAUGCGAAUGCCUUUUGAACUAAUCCAAAGAAUUGCACAAGUUUAAGAGAGGAGAAGGAAUCUUACACUGCAAUGGCGCCUAUUUCUUGUCUUUCAUUAAGGGCAUUAUGGUCUUUCACACUCCAAGACCUACACUCCAAGGGUGCCUAUUCCUUGGCUUCAUUAGGGCAUUGUGGUCUUUUAUGUAAUAGUUAUAAAUAGACUUUUAGGCUUCUAUUUUCAUUAGUUAUUGAUGAAUAUUGAGUGAAUACUUUUGAAACUUCUUUCUUCUCUCUUAUGAGUUAAAAUCCAAAACUAGGGUAGCCAUGAGUAUGGAUUCACUUGGGUUGCAAAUUGGCUUAGAAACGUUGGUACUUGGGGAAUCUUUAGUCCCUUUUGUGUCAAUGUAAGACUGUGGUGUUGCUAUCGUGAGUUUUAGUGGGUUUUGGUGUUUGAUACACACCUUAGUUUCUAUUGCUUGUAAUAGUUUAUGUAUCACAAUCUAUCUUUCAUUUUAUGCUAGUAGCUUGUGUUUUAUUCUUGAAUCCGUGUGUAUGUUUGCCUCUUGUGUGUUUUUUUCAUCUUCAUAUCCUUUCUUUAGGUGCAUUUUCAGUUUUACAGCUUAGAUCUAUAUCAAUUUCGGUGAUUUUGAAGCUAGAGUUAGCUUGUUAUAUCAGUUAAAGUUAGCUGAGAUGUUGGUGCAGUAGAGGUAUUGCACAUUUCUCUUUGUAAUAGAGUUAUUUCUAGGAGAAGAAGGAUUGGGAGUUUAAUCCUUAAUGUCAUGAAGUUUGAAUUUAAGUUUUCUUGAAUAUUAGUGAAGCUUUAGAAAUCUUAUAGGCAGAUCAUGGUUUUUCUCCCAUGAGCAGGGCUUUUCACGUAAAGUUGUUGUGUCUCUCAUUUACUCCUUUCAAGUACUUUACUAUUAAGUUUCCUACUAUUUAAAUCUAUUUGGAACCAAGUCCCAAAGUUGGAGGGAAACUCAUUACAACUCUUCACUUAAUAUAAGUUUUAUUUUCUAUCUAUAUUUCAUUUACUACAAUUGAUAAAUACAUUGGCUAUAUUUGAGUAGCCUAAAAUGUCUAGUGAAGAGGUUUAAAAGUGCCAUGCCACACGACAUAUCUCCAUACAUCUCAUCAAAAUGUCAUUUCACUUCCGUCUAUGUGUGUACAUGCUGUAAUAUUAUAAAUUAUAUAAGAAAAUGUCCUUGUUAACUUGAAGAAAUGAGUUGAUCUCAUCUUCAAUAUACCACAUAAUCUUAGAUGUUGCAACUAGCAUCUAAAUGCCUCUUAAUUUUAAUGUCAAUCUCAGCAGAAUAUUGAAAUGGAUAUGGGGCCAUUGGGUUGACUACUUAUUCAUCAAAGCUUCGAUUGUGGUGGUUUUGAUACAUUUUUUACCAGAAUGGAGGGGACGACAGAGGGGGUCGUUGAAAUAUUAAAAUGGAGAGGGGAUGAAAGUCACUGGGUUGACUACUGAAUUGUCAGAGCUUUGAUUGUGAUGUUUUCUGGUCAGAUAAAAUAGCGGAUAUGGUGGUUUUGUUGGUGGAUCCAAUCGAAGAUCGAGUUCGAUGGUGGGGCAGCAACGUCGGAGAGAGGACGUCUUAUAUUGUUGAGUUCAGUUCUAGCGUGUUGCUGGCCGAUGUUUGGUGUGGCACAAAGGUUGUUGAAUUUAGCAAAGUUCUAGUGUGUUACUGAGAUGAGAGAAAGAUUGAGAAAGGAAAAAAAGUGGCUAAUAUAGAUUUUGUUGAUGUAUCAAAUACAAUGGAGAGAGAAAAUAAAGAAUGUGGGAUGUGAUGUAAUUAAUUUUUAGACUUAAGUCAUUGAUAGGAUCCUAAAAUUAUCUCAAAAUUUCACUUAAACCUCUCAACUCAGGCUUGUACCUAUCAGGCCUUUAACCUAGCUGAAAUUUGAUCCACCCAGGCCUUUUUUCCAACAUCUCAUUAGAUCACUUGCGUGUGUCACCAAACUCUGCUUAUGAGGAAACUAGUCCACCCAAAUUUUUCACGUGGAUUAAAUAUAUCCACAUAAAAUUCUUGAGAGUUAAAAGGUCAAAAGUCCAUUUAGACAAAAGUUUUAACAUCAGUUUCUCUCUCCUUGACCUUCACUCUCUCUCUCUUUCUUUGAUUUUUAGCUCUAAUUUAACCAAAAUUCUUGUCAAAUCAAAGAAGAAAUUUAGGGGUUUUGCUCACAUCUUUCUCGUGUAAGCGUUUUAAUGAUUUGUAUUUGUUAAAUUUGUUAAAUUUUAGCAUAAUUUAGUUUUUAGGAUUUAAAAUGUCUCUGUAUGAGAUGUGUUGUUGGGAAUAUUCCGUCAUUUUCUUCAUAUGCAUUAAAGGUUGUAGCUUUUAGCUUAUUGGUGUGUUCUUUGGUUAUAAUAUUCCAUUUACUAACUUUGAUUUUUUACCAUUUGUUGCAGGUGACCUAACAAAUGGAGAUUAUUUUUAUAAAAUUUCACCAUGGGGGGCCUUUUCCAAUAUUCAUGUCCCAACAUAUGUUUGAAACUGUGUGCCAGAACUAAGGUAUAUUGAUAAGGACCAUUUUUCAUUACUGGAAUUUCUAUAUUAUACUAGAGAAUUAGGGUAUGAAACUGUUGGGGGGUUUUAUUACCAAGAUGUAGUAACAAAAGAGUUCAAAUUGAUUACAAAUGACUGACGUAUCCUAGAACUAGUUAAAGACUUAAAACAUGAGGACUCUAUUGACUUUUAUGUCUGUCAUAUUUUAGAUGAACCAAUACUUGACCCUGAUGGACUUGCAGGUCUUUUACCUAGACCUGAGGUUAUAGAUAGUGAGAGGGUGUCAGUGAAUGAGGUUGGUGAAGGUGUCAACUUAGAGAGAGAAUCUGUUAGUAUUGAUGAGGAUGUUAACAUAGAAAGAGAGUCUGUUAACUUAUGUGAAGAGAGGGAGGAUUUUACCAUAAGUGGAGGCAGAGAGACUUCUAACAGAGUAGAUGAGGCUGAUGUAGAAGAUGUUAACCUACAAAAUGUUAAUAUAAAAAGUGAUGAGGCUGAUGUAGAAGAUCUAGAAGAUAUCCAUGUACAAGAUAUUAACAUAGAAGGUGAGUUAUCAUAUUACUUGAGUAAUGAUUCAGAUCUUAGAGAUAUUCCUUCAGAAGAUGGCUUAUAUGUUAAUGAGGAGUUGAGGCUUUGAGACAAGAAAGAAGAAACAACAAAGCCAACAACAAAGAAAGAAACAAAAAAAAGGUUGUUGAAACUGAAGUACCUAUAGGAGUUGUUAUGCCACGACCCAAAAACAAAGGUCAUUAUGGCACUUGUCACGACAAUCCUUGACAAGUUUUCCUCUACCUAAACUGAUACACAUGAGAAAAAGACAGAAAUUCUCCCAGGGUAAGGCUUCUAGAACAAAGUCGAACCACAUAGAUAUAAUAAAAGCUGAAAGAAUAAAAUCAACACAUGCAACCAUAACUCCCAAAAUCUGGUGUCAAAGGUGCAAGAACUACUAAUACUAUCCAGGAGUCAAAUACAUCUGAAAAAUAACUAUAAAGGAAUAGUAUUUUUCUUCGAAUACUAAUAAAAACAUAACUAAUACAGAAAGAUAGAGGUGAACUCCAGACGUAUGAAUGUCCAACCAUUAACUUGAGCAAUCUAAAGGCGCCCAAAAAUCAACUAGUUUAAGGCGCACCUAAACCUAAAUCUGCACCGAAAGGGUGAAGUAUGAGUGAGUAUGGUCCAUUUGUACUCAGUAGGUAUCGUAGGACGAUCGAGCAAAGUAGAAAAUAAAGCAUACAAAAUACAUACUAAUGGCACGCCACCUGCAAUAAAAAAAUAUCCCACAAUGGUAGCCCACACCGCUUGCACUAACAGUUCUAAUAUAUCACAUAUCUUGCAACAUUACACCAAAAUAGAACACAAGUACGGAUUAUAUCAUAUAUAAGUAGUUAAAGGGAGAACAUGUAUAUACAAGAUCAUCAAAUAUAGGUAAAGAAAGACACGAAAAAUACAUAGAUGACAAGUCAAUAUGGAAAUACAACACAACAUAACACAAGAAAGUAAGUGCAAUGUAUAUGAUAAUAAUGAUGCACAAGGUCGUCACAUAACCUCCGUGAUAGUCACACAAUCCCCAUAUACACCUACAGAGCUAAAGCUUUCCGACGUAGGACCCAUGGGGGUUUCAUCAACCCAUAUGUAAUCCACAUAUCUCAUAUCUCUUUUCUAGCACAUCCCUCAAAAAGUUUUAUAAGGUGUUAGAAUGUCUCCUCCCCGACACUUCCCUCGAGGAGGGUUUUAUAAAAGGUGUUGUCAGUGUUUCUCAGAUGUUGCCACGAUGGUACCAAUGCUUUAUGAAUGAGUAUUAUAUGAGGAUGUAAUGAUUACAACUAAUCACAAUGAGUAUAACCAAUCACAAUGAUAUAUUUUCACAACCGACCAUAAUUAUACAUUUUCAUAACCACUGAGCCAAUAUUCACUUAUUAUUUUUGUUUCAUCCAUGAAUUUUCACAUGUCUCAUAUAAAAAGUAUGAAUAUAUCACAAUAUACCAAUGGUACCACAUUAGGUAUUUCAACAACACAAUAUAAUUAUUCAUAUAUAUAUUUAAGUCUAUCAACAUCACAUAAGACCCGACACGAUCACGCAUAUCACAUAAUAUCUCAAUUUCAACAAUUAUAUUUCAUAUAAGCCCUCACACGGGCAUAACACAUAGAUAUUCAUUUUCAUGAUUAGUUUCCACCCUUAAAAUGCAUUUUGCAGCAUCAUUUACUACCCAACCCAGUCUGAAAGAGUUAGGCCAUAACCUACCUCAAAAGUCAAAACUAGUCCGCUACACUUUGAACCCACGAUUUUACUUUCCACGAAUGAUUCCGAACUCUACACUCUAAACUUUUUGGGGUUUUGAAAAAUUAAUCAAGAAAUUACUAAAAAGGGGAAAUUCUUACCUUAAAUCCAUAAUAGAAUUAAGAAAUAGAUGUUAAUCUAGCUUCCCAAGCUCCCACAAGCUUUACUCUUAAGCUCCCACACUAAUUUAGGAUUUAACUUCCAAGAGGAAAGAUAAAAAUAAGCAAAAUAGGCCAAAAAGGUGGUAAAAAGCUGCUAUAAAUAGUGCAGAUUUUCUGGACCAGCUAUAGCAAAAAUGUUGUUUUAUUAAGUCCAAUCCGGACUUCGACGGAGUGUCCGAUAUUUGUUUGGAGUCCGAUAUGUACAAACACAAACUAUAUAACCACACUAAAUCUGAUGAUCCAGACUCAAUGGCGAAUCAUAUUUUUUAAAAAAUAUCAAUUUCACAAAGUUGACCCUCGAAACUUGAAAUCACAAUUUUUCAAAUCGAAGAUCGAAAUGAGAUUUAAAAGCUAUAAAAUAUACCAAACAUACUACCACCCUAAAAUCGACAUUCUGGAUCUGUUGGCAAAGUUGAAUUUUCCAUACGAGGUCAUUUCGACUAUAUGUGGGUCCCACACUUAUAUUUCUAAUUUUUUAACUUUUCAAUCAACAGGUUAAAAUGAGCUCGGAUGUACCGGGACCCGAACCAAAGAUAUACCUAGCCUAAAAUAGAUAUUCCAAAGUUGUUGGUGUAGUCUGUUCAAUCAUAUGUCGCACGGAUAAAAAGAUAUCUACAUAAGUCCAAAAUAAGGCUCUUGAAGCUAUCAAAAACCACAAUUUCGCAUAAAUAGUAAUAAAGUGCAUUGAGAACCAUGCCAAUCACCCCCACACCCCAUAAAUACCAUAAUGCAACUACGGGAAGGGGUAAAACAAUUAACUCACACAUAAAUACAUAAUUCAUAUAUUACAUCAAAAAGCUGGUUGUUACAUCAUCCACCACUAAAAUCUAGUUCGUCCUUGAACUAAAGACAAAAGAAAUGCCUGAAUCAACAAAGAGUUGGGGAUGAGAACUAUCAGACUCGACCUCCCAAGUAGCCUCAUCUAUAGGUCAAUGUCGCCACUGAACCUUAACCACAGGGAUAACUAUAGAGCGUAACCACCUAAUAUCCCUAGCCAAAAUGGAGAUCGACUUCUGAAUAAAGGAUAACCGCUCAUCUAACUAAACUGACUCCCAACGAAUGACAUGAGACUCAUUAUUAAUAUAGCGGCAAAGCAUAAAAAUAUGAAAAACUAGAUGAAAAACUGAUAGAUCAGGGGCAAAACCAACUCAUAAGCCAUAUUACCAACAGUUUAAAGAAUCUCAAAUGGGCCGAUAUAUCUAGGGCUAAGCUUUCCCCUCUUCCCAAACCUAAUCACAUCCUCCAUGGGUGAAAAUCGAAGGAAGAGAUGAUCACCAACACCAAAUGUCAAGGCACAAAGUGUAGGAUCAGCAUAACACUUUUGCCUACCCUAAGCCGCUUUAAGUCUAUCCUGAAUGACUCGGACUCUAUCCAAAAACUCAUGAAGAAAGUUCAUACCUCGAGGUUUAACCUCAAAAACAUCAAAUCAACUAACUAGAGAGAGACAACAUCUACCGUACAGCACCUCAAACGGAACCAUAUCACUAUUGGAAUGGUAGUUAUUAUUCUAUACAAACUCUGCUAAAGCCAAAUGUUGCUACCACUGGCCACCAAAAUCUAUCACACAAGUGCGGAGCAUAUUCUCCAAAACCUUAAUAGUCCACUCUAACGUCAGUAUGGGGGUUAAACGUCAUGCUAAGAUCAACCUGAGUGCCCAACUCAUACUAAAAAGUCUCCCAAAAGUAAGAUGUGAACACAGAACCUCAAUCUAAAAUAAUAGACAUUGGCACACCAUGAAGACACACAAUCUCACGAAUGUAGAUACGGGCCAACCUUUCAACACUAAAUAAGACCUAGACCAGAAUAAAAUAAGUUGACUUGGUCAAUGGAUCCACGAUGACCCAAACACUAUCAGAACCAUGAUAUGUACUAGGAAAACUACUUAUAAAGUACAUGGUGAUCCAUUCCCACUUCCACUCGAGAAUGUGCAACCUCUAAAUCAAUCCAUCGGGUCUCAUAUGCUCAGCCUUCACCAGCUAACAACACAGGCAACAAGCCAUAAAAUUUGUUUUAUCUCACCUCAUACCACCAUACAGUAGUGCUGUAUUAGAUCACGAUAUAUCUUAGUCACACUUAGAUGGAUGAAAUAUCUGAAACAAUAGACCUCCCCCAAGGUCAACCUAAUCUAAUCACCUACUCUCAGUACACAAACUCGGCCCCUAAUCCUUAAAACUUCAUCUGAAUUAAGUAAGGCCUCCUUAGCCUCUCCACUCGACACCUUAUCUUAAAUCAACCUUAAUAAUAUCAUCAAACAGAUGAGCAUGAAUCUGCUCCAUCAAAGAAGAUCUAUCCUUCACAAAUGCCAAAACACGCUCAGGUGUCGAAAUAUCAAGCCUAACCAUCUAGAUAGCUAAAGAAUGAAACUUUAAGGCCAAAGGCCUCUCCUGUUUCAAAAGAUGCGCCAAGCGACCCAUGCAGUCGACUUUAGGCUUAAGGCAUCUGCAACUAUAUUAGCCUCUCUCGGAUGAUAGAGAAUAGUCAAGUCAUAAUCCUUAAGCAACUUAAGCUAAUGAUGUUGCCUCAUAUUAAGAUCUCACUCGAAGAAGAAGUAUUGAAAGCUACGAUAAUUUGAGAUGAUCUCACAACAAACUUCAUACAAGUAGUGCCUCCACAACUUCAAGGCAAACACCACUACUCACAACUCCAAAUCAUGGGUUGGAUAAUUCCUCUCAUGAGGCUUUAACUGACUAGAUGCAUAAGCAAUCACCUUGCCUCCUACAUCAAUACCGCACCCAGUCCAACAACUGAAGCAUCACAAAAUAUGAUAAAGGCUACGUCCUCCUUAGGAAAAGACAAUAUAGGAGAUAAAGUCAACAAAUUCUUAAGCUUUUAGAAGCUCGUCUCACAAGCAUCAGUCCACUGAAAGAAAAUCUUUUUCUGAGUCAACUUAGUCAAAAGAGUUGCAAUAAAAUAAAAACCCUCGACAAAACACUAAUAAUAACCUGCUAAGCCAACAAAACUCCAAAUAUCAGUGGGAGAAGUAGAUCUAGACCAAUCACAAACCACUGCAACCUUGGAAAAAUCAACUAUAAUACCUUCCUUAGUCACCACAUGACCCCAAAAAAUAGACUCCAACCAAAACUUACACUUAGAGAACUUGGCAUAAAACUUUUCAUCCCUCAAUCUCUGAAGCACAAUCCAUAAAUGCUCCUUAGGCUUAACCUCACUCUUGGAAUACACCAAGAGAUAAUCUAUAAAUACAAUAACAAAUGAGUUGAGAUGCAGUCAAAACAACCAGUUCAUCAACUCCAUGAACGCGGUAGGGCAUUGGUCAACCCAAAGGACAUGACCAAGAACUCAUAAUGACCAUAUCGAGUUCAAAAAGCUGUCUUUGAAAUAUCCGAAGCUCUAAUCCUCACUGGUGAUAACCAAACCUCAAAUCAAUCUUCACAAAUACCGCAGCACCUUGAAGUUGAUCAAAUAAAUCAUCAAUAUGGGGAAGAGGAUUAUUAUUCUUAAUCGUCACCUUCUUUAACUGUCGAUAAUCAAUACACAUCCACCUAGACCUGUCUUUUCGCUUCACAAAUAAGACAGGUGUACCCCAAGGUGAAAUACUAGGUCGGAUAAAUCUCUUAUCCAAUAAAUUCUGCAACUAAUCCUUCAGUUUCUUCAACUCUGUUGGGUUCAUCCAAUAAGGAGGAAUAAAAAUGGGCUUGGUACCCGGAUUAACGUCAAUAGCAAAAUUAAUAUCUCGAUUCGGAGGCAUACCAGAGAAUUCUGUAGGGAACAUAUCCAUAAACUUAUGAACAACACGAGUAGAAUCUAAGAAAGAAGGCAAAAUAAUACUGGUGUCACGAAUAUGGGCCAAGUAAGAUAAACAUCCUCUCUCAACUAAUUUCUGAGCUUGAACAUAAGAUAUAAUCAUCUUAGGACCCAAAUGAAGUUCACCCUUCCAAGUUAUCCUUGGCACACCCGUGAAGCUAAAGUUAUAGUCUUAGCAAAACAAUCUUCGACAGCAUAAUAAGGAGCCAACUAAUCCACACCUAAAAAAUAUUAAAGUCAACCAUAUCUAACAAAAGUAAAUCAACUAAAGUCUCAUGCUGGUAAAAGUCACAAUACAAGAUCGGUACACCCAAUCCACUACUAAAGAAUCACCUACUGGGAUAGAUACACGAAUAGGCAUGGCAAGAGGCUCACUAACAAAAUCAAACCCUGAAGCAAAAUAGACAAACACAUAGGAGAAAGGUUUGAAACAAACGGGGAUGAUACCUAUAAUCAUAGUAUAAGAAGCCUCUACCUCAGGUCUGGCUGGUAUAGCAUAGCACUGCCUAUGACCACCAACUGCCUAAGUGGCCCUACGGCUACCAACCGCUUGAGUGGUCCCACGAGCUCUAUUACCUCUGCCCUUCACUUCUCUGAUAGUAUCUCUACCCCUUACCGCUGAAAUAAAAGUAGCCCGAAUCACCCACUGUUGACACCCAACUUUGACCUCCCAAUUCUCCUCUUAGGCUGUAAUUUUGUCAAAAGUAUUAAUUUUAAAUAUUAAUAUUCUUUUUAUCCAUUAUUCUAGUAGUGAAUAAAUUUUGACGUGUCACAUUCACAAUUUGGAAAUAUACAAUUUAUUUUAUUACUUUUACAUUAUAAUUUUUAAUUUAAAUAUAAAGUUUCAUGUAAUUUGUUCACACUUGUAAUAUACAAAUAUUUGGCCUCAUUAUUAUUAUUAUUAUUAGUAGUAGUAGUUGUAGUAAAAUAGCAGCCACUUUUAUUCAAUUUUUUCUCUGUGUUUAAUGUUUAGUCAUUUUUAUUUUACUCAAUUAAUGUUAAUUUUUUCCAAAAUUGACAUCACUUUUGACCUAGAAUUAAGCAUUAAUUUUUGACCCACUUUUAAAUCCUUUUAAUCUCAGUCGUGGAUCAAAAUUGAUCCAAUGGUUGUGAUCAAAUCUCUCAUUCUUUUCCUUUUUAACCUAACACCCAAACCCUAACACAUUUUUUAGGGUUGGGCAUAUUUUGGUUCAAACCAAAAAGACUAAAAAAACAAAUCAAAAUUUAAUUUUGGUUCCGAUUUUUCAAUUUUUCGGUCAAUUUUGAUUUCAAAAUUUAGAAAUUCAGUUAAACGGUUUGGUUUUUGGAUUUUGAAAAAAACUUCGACCAAAUCAAAAAACUAAAAUUAUAAUAUAUAUAUGGUGCUAAGAUAAACCCGAGUAUCCAACUUAUCAUGAAAAGUCUUCCAAAAGUGAGAUGUGAACAUAGAAUCUAGAUUCAAAAUGAUACACACCAUCGCAGCAUGAUGACGCACAAUCUCACAAGUGUAGAUACGGGCCAACCUCUCGGUAUUAAAAGAGACCAGGGCUAGAGUAAAAUGAGCAGACUUGCUUAAUCGGUCCAUGAUGACCCAAACACUAUUAGAACAAUGAGAAGUGAGAGGAAAUCCAGUCACAAAGUCCAUAGUGAUCCUUUCCCAUUUUUACUCAAGAAUGGGUAAUCUCUGAAGUAAUUUGCCAGGUCUCAAAUGCUCAGCCUUUACCUGUUGGCAACAAAGGUAAUGAGCUAUAAAAUUUUCUAUAUCCUUCCUCAUACCACCGCAUUAGUAAUUAUAUUUCAAGUCACGAUACAUCUUAGUUACUCCCAGAUGGAUGGAAUACCUGUAAUAAUAGGCCUCCUCCAAAAUCAAUCUAAUCCAGUCACCCACUCUUGGCAUACAAACUCGACCUCCAAUCCACAAAACUCUAUCAAAAUCAAGUGAGGUUUUCUUAGCCUCGCCACUCAACACUUUAUCCCAAAUCAUCCUCAUUCUAACAUUAUCAAACUGAUGAGAUCGAAUCUGCUCCAUAAAAAUAGACCUAGCCUCUACAAAUGCCAAAACACGCCUAGGUGUUGAAAUAUCAAGCCUAACCAUCUGGUUAGCUAAAUUAUGAACCUCUAAGGCCAAAGGCCUCUCCUGGGUCAAAAGAUGUGCCAAGCUACCCAUGCUAGUCUACUUCCAUCUCAAGGCAUCUACAAUAAUAAUAGCCUUGCCCGAAUGAUAGAGAAUAGUCAAGUCAUAAUCCUUAAGCAACUCAAGCCAACAAUGCUACCUCAUAUUGAGAUCUCAUAGGGUGAAGAAGUGUUGAAGCCUACAAUGAUCCAAGAAAAUAUCAUAACAAACUCCAUACAAAUUGUUCCUCUACAACUUUAAAGUAAAAACAACUGCAUACAACUCUAAAUCAUGGGUAAGGUAAUUCUUCUCAUUAGUCUUCAACUUAUGAGAAACAUAUGCCAUCACCUUACGAGAAACAUAUGCCAUCACCUUACCCUUCAGUAUCAGCACAACACCUAACCCAACACCUGAACCAUCAUAAAUGAUGAUAAAACCUAUGCCCUUCUUGGGCAAACUAAAGAUAUGAGCUAGUCAACAAGUCCUUGAGCUUUUGGAAGCUUGCCUCACAAGUAUCGGAUCAUUAAAAAGAAAUCUUCUCUUGAGUCAACUUGGUCAAUGGAGCUACAAUAGAAGAGAAACCCUAAAAAAAGUCGAUAAUAACCUGCCAAGCGAUCAAAAAUCUUAAUCUCGAUAUGAGAAAUAGGUCUAGCCCAAUCAUGAACCGCUGUAAUCUUAGUUGAAUCUGUAAUAAUAACUUCCUUAGUCACCACAUAGCCCAAGAAAGAGACAAAUUCCAACCAAAACUCACACGUAGAGAACUAAGCAUACAACUUCUCAUCCCUCAUUCUCUAGAGCACAAUCCGCAAAUGUUUUUUAUGAUCAGCCUUGCUCAUGGAAUAAACCAAGAUAUCAUCUAUAAAUACAAUAACAAAUGAGUUGAGAUGCAGUCAAAACAACCAGUUCAUCAACUCCAUGAACGCGGUAGGGCAUUGGUCAACCCAAAGGACAUGACCAAGAACUCAUAAUGACCAUAUCGAGUUCAAAAAGCUGUCUUUGAAAUAUCCGAAGCUCUAAUCCUCACUGGUGAUAACCAAACCUCAAAUCAAUCUUCACAAAUACCGCAGCACCUUGAAGUUGAUCAAAUAAAUCAUCAAUAUGGGGAAGAGGAUUAUUAUUCUUAAUCGUCACCUUCUUUAACUGUCGAUAAUCAAUACACAUCCACCUAGACCUGUCUUUUCGCUUCACAAAUAAGACAGGUGUACCCCAAGGUGAAAUACUAGGUCGGAUAAAUCUCUUAUCCAAUAAAUUCUGCAACUAAUCCUUCAGUUUCUUCAACUCUGUUGGGUUCAUCCAAUAAGGAGGAAUAAAAAUGGGCUUGGUACCCGGAUUAACGUCAAUAGCAAAAUUAAUAUCUCGAUUCGGAGGCAUACCAGAGAAUUCUGUAGGGAACAUAUCCAUAAACUUAUGAACAACACGAGUAGAAUCUAAGAAAGAAGGCAAAAUAAUACUGGUGUCACGAAUAUGGGCCAAGUAAGAUAAACAUCCUCUCUCAACUAAUUUCUGAGCUUGAACAUAAGAUAUAAUCAUCUUAGGACCCAAAUGAAGUUCACCCUUCCAAGUUAUCCUUGGCACACCCGUGAAGCUAAAGUUAUAGUCUUAGCAAAACAAUCUUCGACAGCAUAAUAAGGAGCCAACUAAUCCACACCUAAAAAAUAUUAAAGUCAACCAUAUCUAACAAAAGUAAAUCAACUAAAGUCUCAUGCUGGUAAAAGUCACAAUACAAGAUCGGUACACCCAAUCCACUACUAAAGAAUCACCUACUGGGAUAGAUACACGAAUAGGCAUGGCAAGAGGCUCACUAACAAAAUCAAACCCUGAAGCAAAAUAGACAAACACAUAGGAGAAAGGUUUGAAACAAACGGGGAUGAUACCUAUAAUCAUAGUAUAAGAAGCCUCUACCUCAGGUCUGGCUGGUAUAGCAUAGCACUGCCUAUGACCACCAACUGCCUAAGUGGCCCUACGGCUACCAACCGCUUGAGUGGUCCCACGAGCUCUAUUACCUCUGCCCUUCACUUCUCUGAUAGUAUCUCUACCCCUUACCGCUGAAAUAAAAGUAGCCCGAAUCACCCACUGUUGACACCCAACUUUGACCUCCCAAUUCUCCUCUUAGGCUGUAAUUUUGUCAAAAGUAUUAAUUUUAAAUAUUAAUAUUCUUUUUAUCCAUUAUUCUAGUAGUGAAUAAAUUUUGACGUGUCACAUUCACAAUUUGGAAAUAUACAAUUUAUUUUAUUACUUUUACAUUAUAAUUUUUAAUUUAAAUAUAAAGUUUCAUGUAAUUUGUUCACACUUGUAAUAUACAAAUAUUUGGCCUCAUUAUUAUUAUUAUUAUUAGUAGUAGUAGUUGUAGUAAAAUAGCAGCCACUUUUAUUCAAUUUUUUCUCUGUGUUUAAUGUUUAGUCAUUUUUAUUUUACUCAAUUAAUGUUAAUUUUUUCCAAAAUUGACAUCACUUUUGACCUAGAAUUAAGCAUUAAUUUUUGACCCACUUUUAAAUCCUUUUAAUCUCAGUCGUGGAUCAAAAUUGAUCCAAUGGUUGUGAUCAAAUCUCUCAUUCUUUUCCUUUUUAACCUAACACCCAAACCCUAACACAUUUUUUAGGGUUGGGCAUAUUUUGGUUCAAACCAAAAAGACUAAAAAAACAAAUCAAAAUUUAAUUUUGGUUCCGAUUUUUCAAUUUUUCGGUCAAUUUUGAUUUCAAAAUUUAGAAAUUCAGUUAAACGGUUUGGUUUUUGGAUUUUGAAAAAAACUUCGACCAAAUCAAAAAACUAAAAUUAUAAUAUAUAUAUAUAUAUAUAUAUAUAUUAUACUUUGUAUAAAUAUAUAAUAAGUAAUUCAAACUUUUGAAUAAUGUAUUUAUGCAUUAUGUUAAACUUGUGGUUAUUUCAUUUCAUUUCAUACAUGUUGAGUUAUUUGUAUUUGAAAAUGAAAAACAAGUUUGAAACAUAUCAUUUUUCUAAAAAUAUCAUCAAUUUUAAAUGGUCAGUCAUGACAAAGAAAUACUCACUACUUUAAUCUUCAAAACCGAAAUAAAAAUUUAAAAUAACUGAAUUGAAUUUAUAGAAAUUAAACCAAACCAAAUUUAUUUUGGUUUGGUAACAAUUGUAAUUUUCAUCAAUCUGAAAACUAAAAAAUCAAACUGAUAUUAAACAAUCAAAGCAAACAAACCGAAUCCCCACCCCUACAUUUUUUUCACCAUAACAGUGAAAGCUUAUAUUAUACUAAUAUUAUACUCGUUGUUGUUGCCACCAGCGAUCUCCUCCCUCCACCGUCGCCAACCACCCUUGCCGAUGAAGCCAUCCCAAUCCAUUUCUCCAUCUCCGCCACCAGUCUUCCACUCUCUCCAUCCUCUUUUAUCUCUUCUCUAGUCAGAGAAAAAUGACCAGUCGCCGCCCAUUAUGGAACCCCCCAGUGGAGCCAUCGGUUGCUCCAGCCAGCUCCGCCGAUGAAACCGCCUAGCCAUGCAUUCAUUCACCAUCCCGUCAUCUCCCCAUCUAUGGCAACUCUGACGAUGCCAUUAUUUGCCUCUUUCUCCUCUCAUUCAUUACUUCCUGAUUGAAGUUGAUGACCGAUGAGGUUUUCAAUGAACUUCACUGCGAUUAUUGUUUAGUUUGGUUUCUCAACACCUUAAAUUUCAUGUUUUGUUUGCAUUGUCAUAUUCAUACAUCAAAAUUUGUGAUGUUUGACUGUUAAUAUUGGUUCUAUUUCUUCAAUUUCAUAUUUAUUUACACCAUGGAAUUAACAUAUGUGAAAAAAAUCUCAAUUUUAACUUUGAACUAAUCUUUGUCUGUGUUGUGAACCGGUUUUGAAGUGGUUAUUGCUAAUCUCAUUUAGAAUAAUUCAUGUUGAAAAUAGUGAUUGUAGAAUGCUGUGAUACUUGUUUUCUUGAUCUCUAUUUUUCAUUCAGAAUUAUAAAAUAGACUUAAAAAUAUAUGUUUAUAUGGUAAGUUUUUCAAUUUGCCUUCAUCUUUGCUUAAGAUUGAUUAUAGCAGCAUCUUUGGAGAUUUUUUAGUAUAUGUUUAGUUUUGACAAGUCUUGAUUGAUUAUCUGUUUAGCCAAUUAAGUAUGGUACAAUUAAUAGAAUGUUUACGUGAUGAAUUAUGUUUUUCUUUUUUUGCAAUCUUCUUCUAUGUAUGGCAAGUUUUUUGUCACGACUCGAGGCUAUCCCCUAGUCGUGACAGCGAUGCUUACGGUCACAAGUGAUAAUAAGCUAACCCAUAAGCUGGUACUUACUAUGAGCACUGAGUAAAACUGAUAAUAAGAGACACAUGCGGAAAACAACUAAUAAUGCCAUAAGGUUUUAAAAACUAAAAUACAACUGAAUCAUAAAUCUGGAUAUCUAAAAACAUGCUUAAAAACUGAUAAACAACUGAUAUACUAACUAUCUAAAUGUAUGUAAAUCCUCUAACUGACUGACUAUGAAAUUGAUGGGCAAAACCGGAAACUAACUCCAACUGAUUGAAAUAGAGGAAUACUGAAAUAACUGAAUGAAGAUAAACUUGUCCUCAAAAGAUGAGGACUCACCACUGCUGCUGUUGUUGUAAUGCUUAACUAUCUAAGCGCGGUCAGAAAACUAAGCAUCCAAACUUAAGAUAUAAGACAUCAUAGCUCGAAUAAAGUAUAUGAUCAGUACUUUGAAUGUACUGGUAUAUGAGAUGAGGUCAGGCUAAAAUGCAUAGGUUUAUGUGCAUGAAAUGCUGACUGACUGAGUAGUAUGAGAUAAUGACUGACUAAAUAACAUGAGAUAAUUGAUGCAUAAUAUGUAUGAAAGCUAUAAAACUUGAGAAUGCAUGACCAAGCAUAUAACAUGACACUAAAAUAGCCUAUAAACUGAAAUACUGAAAUCUAAAAACUGAAUAACUAGUAGUCUAUAUGCUAUGGUCGAGUAAAACUGGACUGAAUUCUGUACUGAAUACUGAACUGAGACUAUGGGAGGUAUCAUCUAAUUGAUAUACCCCAAUCUGAGCUAAGUAGGGUCCAACCUGUAACCCUAGUUGAAAGGGUGUCAGUACCGUGCCACGGGUACUAACACUGGCUGUGUGGAUCCAUUGAGUCAUCCUUAUCUAGUAGGUGCUCUAAUGAGAUAUGUGUUACUCUCAACUGGUAGGUAAAUAUUUUAUCAACCCUCAACUGGCAGGUUGACAUCUCUAAUCUACGAUGGCUAUGUAGUUCUGGAACUAAAGGACUGCUACUAAAGGUCACACCCUCUACUGGCAGGUGAGCCCUUAUCCCUAGGUUUUCUCGGUGCUAAAUCCUACUCCCAACUGAACUGACACUGAUUAUUGGACUGAGCUAAGUUUUGAGCAAAAUAACUGAUCAUGAUAACUAACUGGAUGACAAUGCUCAUGGUUUAUCUGAAACGAUUCUGAAAAUACUGAAACUAUGGAAACAGCUAAGUAUCGGGUAUUCAUAACCUCUAGCACUGAAUAUAAAUAACAAUAAAGGAAUGUAGAAACUUUGAAAAAACAUAAUGGGGAAUCAUUCUACAAAAUCAUUCUCUUUGGUAUUUCAUCAAACACAUGCGGAUUAAGACUUUAACAUGGGGAUGCUUUUAAACAUGAUGAGAUAGAAUGAUUACAUGAAGAAAAAUCAUAAUUUAUAAAUUUAUCCUGAAUUGCAUGAACUUGACAUGGGAACUUCAACAUAUUAUAACCCAUACCACUUGAAAACAAUUGUAAUCUUAACUUGAAAUCAAAAUAACAAGUAAUUCAUGGAGAUAAUUCAUUUAAAACAUGAGAAAACCCAUAAUUUAACAUUUAAAAGGGGAUUCUAGGACUCCACGGUGAAAAGAAACCAUGGAUGAAGAUCACACAUACCUUUAACCUUUACACUUGAAAGGGAAACACAAUCUUGAAAGCUUUCUUGAAAGUUCUUGAAUUGAGAAGCUUGAGUUCUUGAUUUUCUUGAAAAGAAGAUAAUUAAUUUUAACAUUCUUGGGAGGUAGUUAGGGUUUCUUUGAGAGAAAAUUGAAGGAAAAUGGGAAAAUUACGCCCCACUUGUUGAUAUAAGUUGUGUUAUGAUGACUUGGAUUGAGAGGAAAAAAUGCUACUGCCCCUCAAACAUUUAAAUUCGCAACUGAAAUGUGGAUUAAGGAGGUACCACGACACGAUGAGUCAUCCAUCGUUAUAAUGACCACGUCGCGAUGCUAUCACAAUGACUUGUUGUUUUCGAAGUCCAAACAUGACCUAAUCCUCGUCCAAAAAAUCAGAAACUUCUCCGAGACAUGCUCGUUACACCCCUGAACAUGAAUUAACUCAAACACUUACGUCUCGGGGUCGGAAAGGUCACUUUAAAAAUUCUCGAAGUUAAGAGGCAAAAAAUAAGACUAAGUCCCAAACACUUAGCUAAAUUUUCAGGUUCUAAGCCUCUUAUACAUGCACUAUAAGCUGAGCUGAACUGAACUAGGAAAAAGUAGGGGGUAUUAUAUUUUCCUAUGACCUUAUGUUGGACAGCUUUAUUAUUGUGGUAUUUUGUUAGACAAUUUUAUUAUUAUGAUAGGUACUGACUUAAUUGAUUUUUCUAAAUAUCCUUUAAUUGAUUUUCUUACGUUGUUUUUAAUUAGGACAACUUUAUCCUUAUUUUAUUAUUGGUAGUCUUGACAUAAUUUAUGAUAUUAUUUGAUUCACUUUAUUGAUUUAAAGAUUUUUGAAAUAUUCUUCCUUCCUUUUUAUUUUCUUGACUACUCACUAUAUAAACACCCUUUUUCUUAUCUUCACUUUCACUUUUUAAUCAAUCACCUUCUACUCUCUUAUAUACAAAACGUUUCUCCCAUAUACUAUCAUACAAAAGAAAAGCAAGUUUUGCUCUCGGUUCUUUGAGAUAUUAAGUUCACUUUUCUGGUUUUUGCUACUGGGUUGCAUUACUUGUUUAUUAUUUUGUUACUUCUUUGGAAGGAACAACUUGAUUUUGCUCUACUUGUUUCGUGGUAUGCUUAAAGUCUUUGUUAUUACCUAUUGCUGCCUACCGGUAUGUCUUCUUCAUGGCUCAAUUGCUGAAUGUUAUCGCUUUAAAUUAUGUUCUAACAUGUUGGUUGUUAGAUGUUAUAUUGUCCAUAUAAUAUUUAUCAGCGACUUUAGGAUUUGAGAAUGCAUUUGGGUUCCUGUAUAUUUUCUAUGUAUGCGUUGGACAGGUUUUGAUUUUAGUUAUCAGGUUCCAGAGGUUUGGGAGGUGAAGAGUUGUCGGGGAGUUUGGGGAGGGCGGUUUAUUUCUUCUUAACUUAGUCUUUUCUUUUUCUUUUUAUCACUUAUCGGUCUGUAAUAAUGCCCUGUAUAAAAGCCAUUGAUGUAAUAAAAUUAGGGGACUACUUAGGGGUGGGAUUUAUGUGUUCUUUAUGCUACAUGAAUCACUUAGGCAAACUUUAAAUUAGGAUUGAUAACAAACUUAUUCUUGUCACCUAGAAAUCUUGCUUUAGGUGUUUAAUUAACCUUCCGACAUAAAUUAAGUUCUAGCAUGUUAAUUUAGCCGACAACAAAAUGACUAAUGUAUUUUAUUUUACUAUAUGUUCUUUUAUUAAUUCCAAUAAUUCAACAUUAUCUUUCAUUAUUUAAAAAAUGAUUUUCAGCAGUUAACUUUACGUACGUUUUCAGUCUUUCGAAACAACUCCCAGUAAUUUAACAUUAUUAAAAAGGAUUUUCAGCAAUUAACUUUCUGUUUUCAACUCUUUUUAAAAAUAAUUUACAACAAUUAAAUUUCAUUUUCCAACAUUUUUUAAAACAAGUUACAGCAACAUAAAAAUCACUUUUCUAGCAAUUAAAUUUUUAUUUUUUAACAGUCUUCUCAAUUUUCAGCAAAGUUAAAGCGAUAUUUUUUCAACACUAGAUGUUUUAACUUUCAACUUCCAAAUAUUUCCGCGCAUAUUAGAUACGGCUGACGCCAUGUUUGUUUGGUCCCCGACAUGUUUAUUUAAUGCGAUGCGAAUAAAUAUUAUCACUUUGUAGCAUGCCUAUAGGUCUAACCAUAAUAAGUACUUAUUUUUCUUAGCAUGCUAAUCACCUUAACCAAUUCUUAAUUAAUCAAGAGGCCUAUUUGAGAUUAUUACAUGCUACUUGUCAUCCAACGUGUAUUAUUUGCCACGCUUUGAGCCUAACUAGAAAAUCUAGUUUUAUUUCUUUAGACCCCAACUCCAAAGUAGAAAGGUCCAAUGUUUCUUGGACGAUAGGUUGGGACGAUAGGAAUUUUAGAGGCGUUAGUUUUAUCCUUUCUUUUUAGAACGCUUUUAGGUUUAGCAAUCAACCUAGGUGGGAGGUGGGUAGACAUUCAGAGGUUAUGAUAACCCAAGUAUAAUUGGACAAUGCAACAUACGGAACUGUCAUCCGCUUAUAAUUCGGUUGUUAGUUAAUGGGUCGGAUAAUGAUUAACAAAUUGGGUACUGAUCCGAAUUAAAACAACUCCUUUGUCCGAUCUUUCGAACUUAUUUUUCUCUUUUAUUUAUUUUAUAUGUUUAUUUGCUAGGUAGUUUAGGUUCUCUAAAAUUAUAUAAAUAUUUUGUUAUAAAUUGUGUUUCCUCUAUCUCCUCACUUAUCUACUUUACAUUAUUUGUUCCUUUUUUUUUUUUUUAAUCUCCACUUAGAUAAUUAACAAUUAAAAAUGAUUAAUAAUAUGUCUUGUUUAUCUAUUACUUUGUCACAUAGUAACAUUAAAUUAAAUUAAAUAAGUGAUCUUUAAUUAUCACGUAGAAUCCCCACGUAAAGCAUGAAUUCGGUCGGGAACCACAUUUGUGGACCUCGAAAGGUGCCUAACACCUUCCUUUUGAGGUAAUUUGAACCCUUACCUGAAUAUUUGGUGAACUAGACUAAACAAAGAUAGGUUCUUAGUUAGCCUAGAAUGGUUCCCUAAUGCACCUUAAUACGUUAGGUGAUGACUCUUUACUCUUUAAACAAUCCCAAAAAGAGUUAUCAUGUCGAAUCUCGCUUUUCGCGAGAAAAAUGAGGCGCGACACCUGCCGGGGAUAGUUCCUGGCUACAUGGCCAAUCUCAUUACACACAUAGCAACAGCUGCGACUAGUCUCAAUAGGAAAAGGUACAACUGGGGCCGAACGACCACCUUGAACUAUUGAACUAGAAAAUUCACCACCUGAACUCUGUAACGCUGCCUGCACUGGCCUACUAUGGUAUCUACGAGAACCUCUAAAAUCUCUACCUCGAGAGAUCUGACUCCUGAACUCACUAAAACGUUACACCUUCUUAGCGCCUCCCUGAGAUGUACUAAGAAUACCCUUUGUCAUCUUAGCAUGAUCCAUAAUACUCUGAAAAGAAUCCCCAAACACAACCAUCUGAGACGUAGCCAACUGAAGGGACAUAUCCAAACCCUUCACAAACUUCCAAAUCUUCUCAGAAUCAGUAGAAAUGAUAUCACAGGAAUAUCUAGGCAGGGCAUGAAAACGUUCCUCAUACUCAACAACUGUCAUGGAUCCCUGUUCUAAAUGAUCAAACUCGUCGCGUAUCCUAUCCCUCAAAAUGUAAGGCACGAAUUCUCUUGAAAGAUAUCAAUAAAUCGAUCCCAUGACAACUUAUGAGCAUUAACAGGCCUACAAUCGACAAAUGAUCUCCACCAAUCUCUCGCAGCAUCUCUCAAUUGCUAUGUAGUAUAAGCCACACUAUCCAUGCAGAAAGAGUAAAACACAACUCAGAACACAAGAUAUGAAAAAAUUUUGCACGAUAAGAAAUAAAAUGAGAGAGGUUUCCUAAAGUCAUCCUAUAGCCUCUCGAAGAUAGACAUGGAUGUCUACAUAUCGAUCCGUGAGACUCUAUUAGAGAUCCAGUUCUUACACCAUUGAGACCAACGAAACCUAGCUGCUCUGAAACAAAUUUGUCAUGACCCAAAAAUAAGGUCAUGAUGGCACAUGUUGCAGUAAACCUUGACAAGUUUGCCUCUCACCUAAACUGAUACACACAAAAAAAGACAGAAAUACCCCUAAGGUAAGGCUUCCAGAAUGAAUUUGAACCAUAUAGAUAUAAUAAAAGCGUAAAGAAUAAAAUCAAUAAAUGCAUCUAUAACUCUCAAAACCUAGUGUUAAAGGUGUAAGAACUACUAAUACUAUCCAGGAGUCAAAUACAUCUGAAAAAUAAUCACAAAGGAAUAAUAUUUAUCUCUGAAUACUAAUAAAGACAUAACUAAUACAGAAAGAUAGAGGCAAACUCUGGAUGUAUGAAUAUCCAACAGCUAUCUUGAGUAAUCUAAAGGCGCCUAAAAAUCAACUAGUCUGAGGCGCACCUGAACCUGAAGCUGGACUGAAAGGGUGAAGUAGGAGUGAGUACAAUCCACUUGUACUCAGUAGGUAUCAUAGGCCGACUGAGCAAAGUAAAAAAUAAAGCAUACAAAAUAUACACUAAGGGCACGUCACCUGCAAUCAAAAAAUGUUCCAUAAUGGUAGCCCACACCGCUUACACUAGCAGUUUUAAUAUAUCACAUACAUUGCAAUAUUAUACCAAGAUAGAACACAAGUACACGUUAUAUCAUAUAUAAGUAGUUUAAGGGAGAACAUGUACAUACAAGAUCAUCAAAUACAAGUAAAGAAAGGCACGACAAAUACAUAGAUGACAAGUCAAUAUGGAAAUACAACAAAACAUAACACAAAAAAAGUAAGUGAAAUGUAUAUGAUGAUGAUGAUGAUGAUGCACAAGGUCAUCAUACAACCUUUGGAAUCGUUGCAUAAUCCCCGUAUACACCUACGGAGCUAAAGCUUUUUGAUGUAGGACCCAUGGGGGUUUCAUCAACCCAUAUACAAUCCACAUACCUCAUAUUUGCUUUCUGGCACAUCCCUAGAAAAGGUUUUAUAAGGUGUUACAAUAUCUCCCUCCUCGACACUUCCCUCGAUGAGGGUUUUAUAAAAAGUAUUGUCAGUGUUUCUCAGUUAUUGCCAUGGUGGUACCAAUGCUUCAUGAAUGAGUAUGAUAUGAGGAUGUAAUUCUCACAACCAAUCACAAUGAGCAUUUCCACAACCAAUCACAAUGAUAUAUUUCCAUAACCAACCAUAAUUAUAUAUUUUCACAACCACGUGAGCCAAUUCACUCAUUAUUUUAAUUUCAUCUAUGAAUUUCCACGUCUCAUAAACAACAAGUAUGAAUAUAUCAUAAUACAUCAAUGGUAGCAAAUUAGGCAUUUCAACAACACAAUAUAAUUAUUCAUAUAUAUUCAAGGCUACCAACUCACAUAGGACCCCACACAGUCAUACAUAUCACAUAAUAUCUCAAUUUCAAUAAUUACAUUUCAUAUAGGUCCUCACACGGGCAGAACACAUAGAUAGACAUUUUUCUUGAUUAGUUCCCACGCUUAACAUGUAUUUUGUAUCAUCAUUCACUACUCAACCCAGUCUGAAAGAGUUCAGGCAUAACCUACCUCAAAGUCAAAACCGAUCUGGUACACUUCGAAACACGAUCUUACUUUUCACAAAUGAUUUUGAACUCCUCUAAAAACAUAAAAUAUAAAAUCCAUGCAUCAAACAAAACCAAAAGUACACCCAUAUUGACUGAUUUUGGUUUAGGAUCAUAACGGACCCCCGAAAUGGAUUUUCAAAAAAGAAGGGUAAAAUCAUAACUUUACAUCAAAAGUGUGUUUUUCAUAUUUUUAGGAACCUACAGCUAAAAAUCCAAGUCAAAUAAAGUCAAAAACAAGGUUCAAAUUAAAGAAAAACUAUUUUUAAGCUUUACUGGGUUAAAUCUUUGAAAUUUGAGUUAAAAUCAAGAAACGUAUUUGUUUUAAAGGUUAAAUUGAAGAAAAACUAGUAAUUACAAGAUUAAAAUAUUAUUCAAGGGAAAUGGAGUGAAAUUUGAGUUUAAAAUCACGCCCUAAGAUUUUUUGGGUUUUGAGAAAUUAUAAGAAAUUACUAAGAAAAUGGUGAAUUCUUAUCUUAAAUCCAUAACAGAAUCAAGAAAUAGAUGUUCAUAUAGCUUUCAAGCUCCCACGAGAUUCACUUUUAUGAUCUCAUACUAUUUUAGGGUUUAACUCCCACGAGACAAGAUGAAAAAUGAGCAAAAUGGACCCAAAAAAGGGGGGUAACUAGCUGCUAUAAAUAGUGCAGAUUUUCUGCACCAGUUACAGCAAAAGAGCUAUUUUUUUAAAGUCCAAUCCGAACUCCGAUAGGGUGUCUGGGAUUCUUUAAAAGUUUGAUAGAUACAAACGAACUAUAUAACCACACUAUAUUCGACGCUCCAGACUCAAUGGAGGUAUCAGAUUUUUAAAAAAAAUAUCAUUUUCACAAAGUUGACCCCCAAAACUCAAAAUUAUAAUUUUCUAAACUGAGGGUCAAAAUAAGAUUUAAAAGUCGUAAAAUCAAACCAAACAUGAUACCUUCCUAAAAUCAAUAUUCUAGAUCUGCUGGAGAAGUCAAAUUUUCUAUCCGAGGUCGUUUUGACCAAAUGUGGGUCCCACGCUCAUAUUUUGAAUUUUCCAACUUUCCGACCAACAAGUAGAAAUGAGAUCGAGUGCACCAAGACCCUAAUUAAAGAUCUACCUAGCCUGAAAUCGAUACUUCAAAGUUGCUGAUGCAGUCCGUUCAGCCAUCCGCCGCACAGAUUAAAAGAUAUCCACAUAAGUCCAUAGUAAGGCUUUUGAAGCCAUCAAAAACUACGAUAUCAUAUAAAUGAUACCAAAAUAUAUCGAGAACCAUGAAAAUCACCUCCAUACCCCAAAAAUACUAAAAUGCAACUACGGAGAAAGGUAAAAUAGUUAAAUCACACAGAAACACAUAAUUCAUAUAUUUUAUCAAAAAGUAGGACGUUAUAUGCUAGUUGUGUAGAUAAAGGCUUUGGGGAUAUUGGAAAAAAUAAGGCUAAAAAAUAUGUUGGACAGUUGGGUGAAGAUGAGGAAUAUGUUGAUAGUUCUGACUGUUGGAGUGAAGAUAGUAAAGAAAAGCUAGAUCUAGAGGUUGUUAGAGGAGUAGAUCUACCUAGAAUAAGGAGAAGCAAGAAAGUUAGGUAUAAUGAAAAUUGUGAAUUUAUUGUGUAUGAGCUUGGAAUCAUUUUUGAGGGUGUAAAAUAAUUUCAAAAAUCUUUUGCAGAUUAUGUUGUAGAUUAUAGAAGGCAUUUAAAGUUAAAACCUAAUGAAAAACAUAGAAUAAGGGUAAAGUGCAUGGUACCUAAUUGCAACUUAUUACUAUUUGCUUCUACUGAUAGGGAUUCAGGUGAUUUUAUUGUUAAGAACUAUAACCCUAUUCAUAAGUGUAUUCCUCUAAACAAGAACAAGAUGUGUGAUUCAAUGUUGAUUGCAAGAAAGUUCAAGGACAGAAUUAUUUCUCAACCAUACAUAAGGAAUUGAGAAAUUUAGGAUUUGGUAAGAGAGGUGUUAGGUCUUUAUGUAGAUAAAACUACUUGUUAUAGGGCUAAAUAGAUUGUUAUGAGGGACUAUAUGGGUGAUUGGAAGAUGGGAUUUGCCAGAUUAUGUGACUAUACAGAUAUGAUCAAGAAAAUAAAUCGUGGAAGCUUUUGCUGGAUAAAAAUUGACAAAGAAAAUAAACCAGGAAAAAACCUCUUUAUUUAUUUUUAUGUGUGCUUUCAUGUUUUCAAGCAAGGAUGGUGUAACGACCCGUAUUUCGAGCUAGAAUGUAAAUCAUCUUUCCCACGCAUAAAUAUUUCAAAAUCUGUAAAUCCUAUAAAAAUUUAGUUUGUUAAUCAGUUAGUGUGGGAAUCUGGUUAAGUAUGGAUUUAUAAAGGUGUUUUGGAUCUUAUGUUUAAGUUAUGCAUUAGAACCUUAUAAUGGUAGAAUUGUUUUGGCCUUGUGGUCUUUUCCCUUAAAUUGAUUUAUACCUAUAUGUAUAUGUGUGAAAUUAAAGAUUUGAUUGAGCAUUAUUAUUGAAAUCCCUGUCUUUUGAUGAAUUAGAGUUUAUCAAAUUAUUGGGAAUGAUUUGAAAUACAUGUUUUAUGAUUUGAAAGUGGUCUUUUCAAUAUCCAAGUAUUUGACAUAAUUUAGAGAUGAUGAGAGGGAGUUUUUUGUUAUACCUAUAUGCUUGUUUAAAAGAAAGAAUUGCAUGCUAUUGAGUAAGUUGACAUGAUCACCUUAUGUUAUAGAAAUGUUGACAAAGAGAAAGUUCCUUGCAUGUGUUUACAUGAAUUUAAAGAAAGAGGUCUUUGAACUGAUUUAUUGAUAUAGUGGUCCCAAACUUAUUUUUUGAAAACAAAGAUUUUAAUAUGCUAAUAAUGGCUCAGAGAUGUGACUUGUAAGUCAAUGGUAUUACGAUACCAUAUGAGUGUAUUCCAUAAAAGAGUAAGAGUUUUUAGAGUUUGAUUUCAGAGAAUACAUAUUUUAAAAAGUUAAAAAUGGGCUCAAAGAGGGUUAGGUGGUUGCCCAAAGAAGUCUUGAUUUCAAGUAACUCUUAGCCCAAAACCUUGUUUGGCCAAUACGGGUUCAUUAUUUCUCCAAGAGGGAUUAUACGCUGGCCUAGUACCCUGUGGCGUAAAGAGACAGAGACUCCAACUCUUGCAGCAAACUUGGGUUGGGGGCUUAGCUACCGAGUUAAGGGUAGAUUCCAUAUAGCCUGUGGAAUUUCAGAGUUGUAGGGUAUACCACCUAGCACAGAAGUAAAAUAAAGAGUUAGUCACAGAUUUUUCAGAUGAUUGUUCAGAGUCUUUUAAAUAUGCCCAUGUAUUUUCUCAUCAUAUGUUAUGUUUAUGAAAUGUUUUCAAAUCGCUCUCACUUAUGUUAAAUAAAAAUUAUUAUUUUGGAUUUGCUUUGCGCACCAGUAUAAUUGUAUUGGCCCCCUACCUUUCAGGAUCUCAGGCUCAGUCUAGAGGUUCUGCUAAGCCGUAGAGUUUCCAGAUUGCAGUGAAGUGUGCAGUUGGUGAGCCUUCUUUAUUCCGGAAGGCCUAUGUCUUUCAGACUUUUGUUAUUUAUGUUAAUUUUGGUCCAUUAGGGGCCUUGCCCCAGUUUUCUAAUAGCUUUGUUUCAUACGUAUUAGAGAUUUUGCAGAUUGAGCCAAAUGUUAUCUAGAUGUUGUUGAAUUGUAGUCUUCAUUAUUAUUUUGAACUCAGAUUAUUACCAUGGUUCCGUAUUGAUUUAUGUUUUCCGCAUCUUCUAUUAUUGUAUGAAUAUUUUGCAUGAUUACCAGAUCGAAAAGGGCAUCCGGUCCUUUAUGGUUCAGGAUGUUUGUCAUGGCUAGGGUCCUAACUUGGGUCGUGACAAACUUGGUAUCAGAGCACGGUUCAUAUUCCCAGGGUUUCUACAAAAUUGCAUCGGGUAGAGUCUUGUUUAUGUGUGUGUAGCAUGCCAAACCUAUAAAUAGGAGGAUACUAGAUAUUUAGGAAUGUUUUCCCUCAUUGUGGUUUAGUUCAUGCUUUAGAGUCUAAACUGUCCCCUAAUUAAUGAUCUCUUGUAUUUCAGAAAGGCAGUCAUUCCUCCUCGUCGCUCCAAUAAUCAGAAAGCCCAGACUGAUGAUAUCCGUUCCACUCGUGGGAUGAGGACAUGUAACAAGGUUCAUACUCCCAAAUUUACUGCUACUCCGGGAGUCCCUCCUGUCCAGACCAUCCCACCUAGAGCUCUCCGGUCUGGAACUAACCGUACCCAACCUCCCAAGAGGGAGAUAUCAAAUGCUAAGUUCAGACAGCCGAUGCACAUGCUUGCAUAUUUGGUAGCUACACAGACCCAGCGGUCAGAGGAUGUUGGGUCUGCGUCUGGUGCAUCUGAGACUUCACGGGUGAGUCAGUCUAUGAGGUUGAACCCACCUAAGUUUACUAGAACAAAAGUAGAGGAGGAUCCAUUAGACUUUGUAUACGAGAUGGAGAAAAUCUUUCAACUAAUGCAUAUAGAUGAGGUAGAAGGGGUUGAAUUGGCGACUUAUCAACGGAAGAAGGUAGUGAAUCAGUGGUACAAUAAGUGGGAAAAUUUGAAGGGUAAGAAUAUUGAUCCCUAUGUGUGGGGUGAAUUUGUAGAAGCCUUCCUGGAUCGAUUCUUUUCUCUGCAGUUGAGAGAGUCCAAGGCUGAAGAAAUCAUGAGCUUGAAAUAAGGAAAGAUGAGCGUUAAGGAGUACACUUUGAAAUUUAACCAACUAUUCUUUUAUACUCCGGAGAUAGCGGACAACAUGAGGGCACGUAUAAGAAAGUUUGCAUCCGGUCUUUCGGAUAAUUUAGUUUUGGAAUGCAAAGGGCAAUAUUGAACAGGGAUAUGGACUUCUCCAGGCUGUUUAUUCACAUACAAUAGGUGGAGGAGCAGAAGAAGAAAGUUACUGAAGCAAGGGAGAAGGACAGAUAGUCCACGAAGUCCAGGCCAGCAAAUCAAAACUAUAGUCAACACCAGGAUAGCAAUUGGGGUAACAGGUGGCCAAAGAAGAAGAAUUGAAAUAAUGCUCAGUCUACAGUCAGUGCUCCAGUUCCCAGACCUCCAGCUGAUCGGCAAUUUCAAAAAUUUUAGUCUAGUCAGGGACCGAUAGUACAGGGUACACAGUCGCAAGGGAGUAUGGCACAACCUUCUAGAUCAUAUCCUUGAUGUAACACGCGUGGAAGGCACCACCCAGGGAGAUAUCAGUUUGGCACCAUGGUAUAUUAUUUGUGUGGCCAACUAGGUCAUAUCUAGAGAAAAUGCCCGAGAGCAAGAGGUAAUGUUUGGGGAGCUAAGUUAUAGGCAAAUUCUUUCGCGCUACCGCCACCUCAAAAGGGCACCACUUUAGCUGUCGGGAGCGAUCGCAACCGGUUGUAUGCUUUGUCAAAUUGCCAGGAGGCAAAGGCCUCACCAGAUGUGGUCACGGGUAUGUUACAAAUUUUCUCUUAUAAUAUGUAUGUGUUGAUUUAUCCCAGAUCUACCUUAUCUUAUGUGACCCCAUAUGUGGCAGUAGAUUUUGGGUUUGAGCCCAAUGUUAUUAUAGAACCUUUCUCUAUUUCCGCUCCUUUAAGUGAUUUUGUUAUAGAUAAGAGGGUAUAUAAAAAUUAUGUUGUGUCCAUUUAUAGCCGUGAUACUGUGGUAAACCUCAUAGAGCUUGAUAUGGUUGAUUUUGACGCUAUACUAGGAAUGUACUGGCUCCAUUCGUGUUAUGCCAUGUUAAAUUGUAGGACCCAAAAGAUUACCUUCUCUUUUUCGAAUGAACCAGUGAUAGAGUGGGAGGGGCAUUCUGUAGCUUAGAGAAGGAAAUUCAUAUCUUACCUCAGAGCCCGUAAACUUAUUUCCAAGGGUUUCUUGUAUCAUCUUAUUUGGGUUAAAGAUUCAAAUAUCGAAAGUUCUUCUCUUCAAUCAGUCCCUAUGGUUAAUGAGUUUCUAGAAGUUUUUCCCAAUGAUCUCCCAGGAUACCACCCGAUAGGGAGAUAAAGUUUGCUAUUGAUUUAUUGCCAGACACUCAUCCCAUCUCUAUUCCACCAUAUAGAAUGGCUCCUGCAGAACUGAAAGAGUUGAAAGAAUAGCUGACAGAUCUUCUUGACAGAGGUUUUAUCUAUCCUAGUAUUUCCCCCUGGGGUGUACCUGUGGUCUUUGUACGUAAGAAAGAUGGUUUCCUCCGUAUGUGUAUAAAUUACCGUCAGCUGAAUAAGGUCACUGUUAAAAAUAAAUAUCCUCUUCCUAGGAUUGAUGAUCUCUUUGACCAACUUCAUUGUGCUAAAUAUUUUUCAAAGAUAGACCUUCGUUUGGGAUACUAUCAGUUGAAGGUUAGAGAGUCAGAUAUUCCCAAAACAGCUUUUCAAACCUGAUAUAGUCAUUAUGAAUUCUUAGUCGUGUCCUUCGGGUUGACUAACGCCCUGCAGCUUUCAUACACCUAAUGAAUAGGGUAUUCCAUCAGUUUCUAAAUCUGUUUGUCAUAUUUUUUAUUGAUGACAUUUUGAUUUUUAUUAUAAGAGUAAGGAGGACUAUGCCAAUCACUUCCGAAUUAUCCUUCAGACUCUCAAAGAUCAUAAGUUGUAUGCAAAGUUUUUGAAAUGUGAAUUUUUUCUUAAUGCUAUUGCUUUCUCGAGGCAUAUUGUAUCUAGUGAGGGAAUUAAAGUUGAUCCUCAAAAAGUUGAGGCAGUGAGAAAAUGGCCCAGCCCCACGACUCCAAUCAAUAUUCAGAGCUUCUUAGGUUUGGCAGGGUACUACUGAAGAUUUGUAGAGAGUUUUUGCUCCAUAGCUGCUCCACUUACUAAGUUGACAUAGAAAAAGGUAAAGUUCAUGUGGUAUGACUCCUGUGAGAAUAGUUUUGAGAAGUUGAAAGACAACUUGACUACUGCACCUGUUUUGACUCUUUCGGAUGGUACAAAGGGUUUUAUUAUGUACUGUGACGCAUCUCGGGUGGGAUUUAGGUGUGUACUUAUGAAGCAAGUAGGGUGGUAGCUUAUGCAUCUAGGCAGUUGAAGGUGCACGAGCGAAAUUAUCCCACAUGACUUGGAGUUAGCGGUUCUGGUGUUUGCACUUAAAAUUUGGCGGCAUUAUCUGUACGGGGUACAUAUUGAUAUAUUUACUGACCAUAAAAGUUUACAGUAUGUUUUCUCACAGAAGGAAUUGAAUUUCAGGCAGAGGCAUUGGUUGGAACUGUUGAAAGAUUAUAACAUGAGCCUGCACUAUCAUUCGGGCAAGGCAAAUAUGGUAGCCGAUGCCCUCAGUAGAUUAUCUAUGGGCAGUCUUUCUUAUGUUGAGGAAGGGAAGAGGGAGAUGGUGAAGGAUAUUCAUUAUCUUGUAAAUCUAGGAGUGCGACUUCUGGGUUUCGAAGAUGGAGGGUUAGUUGUGCAUGAGAUAGCUAAAUCUUCGCUAUGUGCUGAAGUGAAGGAAAACCAGGCCAAAGAUCCCAUUUUGAUGCAAAUUAAGAAAGACGUGGGUCAACAGAAGGUGAUGUAUUUUGAAAUUGGUGGUGAUGGAAUUUUGAGAUACCAAGGUAGGUUGUGUGUUCCGAAUGUGGAUGGUCUACGAGAGAGGAUCCUUGACAAAGCUCACACUUCGAGGUAUGUUUUUCACCUAGGUUCUACUAAAAUGUAGCAUGAUCUUAAAGCUAUAUAUUGGUGGAAUAAUAUGAAAUAUGAUAUGGCUGAGUUUGUUUCCAAGUGUCUGAAUUGCCAACAAGUUAAAGUGGAGAAUUUAAGACCAGGUGGUACUUCCCAAGAGAUAUCCUUGCCUUUAUAGAAGUGGGAGAUGAUCAAUAUGGAUUUCAUCAUAGGACUUCCGAGGUCCCAAAAUCAAUAUGAUUCUAUUUGGGUAAUUGUGGACUGGUUGACCAAGUCAGCUCACUUUUUGCCUGUGAGAACAAACUAUUCAGGAGAUGAUUAUACUAAGCUAUACAUUGAGGAGAUAGUCCGUUUGCAUGGGGCAUCCAUAUCCAUUUUAUCCAAUUGAGGUACACAAUUCUCUAUGCAGUUUUGGAAAUCUUUUUAGAGGGGUUUAGGAACCUAAGUACUAUAUUCCACCCUCAGACAGAUGGAGAAGCUGAACUCACCAUUCAGACCCUUGAGGUUAUGUUAAGGGUCUGUGUUAUUGACCUCAAAGGUAGUUGUUUAGAUUACUUGUCACUGAUAGAGUUCACCUAAAAUAAUAGCUAUCAUACCAGCAUUAAGAUGGCACCUUUUGAGGCAUUUUAUGGGAGAAGAUUUAGAUCACUAAUUGGGUGGUAUGAAGUGGGUGAGACAUGACUGUUUGGGCCCAAUAUUGUUCAUCAGGCAAUGGAGAAGGUAAAAGUCAUUAGAGAAUGACUCAAGAUAGCCCAGAGUCGCCAGAAAUCCUAUGCCGAUGUCAGAAGAAGGGAGCUGGAAUUUGAGGUUGGUGAUUAGGUGUUUCUAAAAGUCUUUCCUAUGAAAGGAGUCAAGGGAUUUAGGAAGAAAUGGAAGAUGAGUCCUCGUUAUAUAGGACAUACUAGAUUGUGAGAAGAGUAGCUGGAGUCACCUAUGAUUUAGAGUUGCCCGUAAGUCUGGCUUCUGUUCAUCCGGUAUUUCAUGUGUCUAUGUUGAAGAAGUGUAUUGGAGAUCAUUCCGUAGUGUUGCAUGAAGAGGAUAUCACUGUGAAAGAUUCCUUGUCAUAUGAGGAAGAACCCAUUGCAAUCUUGGAUUGCCAAGUUUGUAAGUUGAGGAGUAAGGAAAUAGCUUUUGUUAAGGUGAUGUAGAGGAAUCAAAAAGCCGAGAAGGAUACUUGGAAAUUAGAAGAUGAUAUGUGGGCGAGGUACCCGACUCUUUUUGAAACAUGGGUGAUGAGUUAGAAGGUACAAAUCCUAUACUACUUCUUUCUUGCAUUUAGUUUUUGAAAUCGUGUUUGUUGUGUCCCGAGUCAUCAUUCGGGGACGAAUAAUCCUAAGGGGGUGAUAAUGUAACAACCCGCAUUUCGGGCUAGAAUGUAAACCUUCUUUCCCACAGAUAAAUAUUUCAAAAUCCAUAAAUCCUAUGAAAAUUUAGUAUGCUAAUCAGUUAUGUAGUGUGGGAAUCUGGUUAAGCAUGAAUUUAUAAAGGGGUUUUGGAUCCUAUGUUUAAGUUAUGCAUUAGAACCUUUUAAUGGUAGAAUUGUUUUGGCCUUGUGGUCUUUUCCCUUAAAUUGAUUUAUAUCUAUAGGUAUAUGUGUGAAAUUGAAGAUUUGAUUGAGAGCAUUAUUAUUGAAAUCCCUCUCUUUUGAUGAAUUAGAGUUUAUGAACUUAUUGGGAAUGAUUUGAAAUACAUAUUUUAUGAUUUAAAAGUGGUCUUUUCAAUAUCCAAGUAUUUGACAUAAUUUAAAAAUGAUGAGAGGGAGUUUCUUGUUAUACCUAUAUGCUUGUUUAAAAGAGAGAAUUGCAUGCUAUUGAGUAAGUUGACAUGACCACCUUAUGUAAUUGAAAUGUUGACAAAGAGAAAGUUCCUUGCAUGUGUUUACAUGAAUUUAAAGAAAAAGUUCUUUGAACUGAUUUAUUGAUAUAGUGGUCCCAAACUUAUGUUUUGAAAACAAAGAUUUUAAUAUGCUAAUAAUGGCUCAGAGAUGUGACUUGCAAGUCAAUGGUAUGACGAUACCAUAUGAGUGUAUGCCAUAACAGAGUAAGAGUUUUUAGUGUUUGAUUUUAGAGAAUGUAUGUUUUAAAGAGUUAAAAAUAGGCUUAAAAAGGGUUAGGUGGUUUCCAGAAGAAGGCUUGAGUUCAAGUAACUCUUAGCCCAAAAUCAUGUUUUGCCGAUACGGGUUCAUUAUUUCCUCAAGAGAGAUUAUACGCUGGCCUAGUUCCCUGUGGUGUACAGAGACAGAGACUCCAAAUCUUGCGGCAAACUUGGGUUGGAGGCUUGGCUGCUGAGUUAAGGGAAGAUUCCAUAUUGCCCGUGGAAUUUCAGAGUUAUAGGGUAUACCACCUAGCACAGAAGUAAAAUAAAGUGUUAGCCACAAAGUUUUCAGAUGAUUGUUCAAAGUCUUUUAAAUAUGCCCAUGUAUUAUUGUAAUACCCCGAAAAAUAAAAACCAAUAUUAGAGCCAUGUACCAAGCUCAUGCAUAGUACAUUAUGGUUCUUUUAUAGUUUUAUGAGUAGGUUGGAUGUAUAAUAAGGCUUCAAAUAUCUUCCAGCUAUCAGACGAAUCAAAACAUUCCUUACCGAUUGAAUUCUUGAGAAGGAUAUUGGUAUAGUCAACUUCAAACGAGCAUAUCUCUCACUAUACUUGGAAUUUUUGAGCUCAUGACCUAUCAACAGAUAGAUAAUUGAAUUAUUUUUCCAACGAUACCAAUUUUGCCUAAAUCUAAUAUCGGAUCAAAGAGCUAUUCCUAUUUUACUCUAGCAUGUCAGGCUGAAAAUAGUGUAACGACAUUCGUGAUAGCUUACCACAUUUGUGACACCUUAUCACGAAGGUCGUCAGCCUUAGGCAGAAACCAGCUCCUAAUGACAACAUUCGUGACAGCUUACCACAUUUGUGAUGCCCUAUCACAAAGGUCGUCAGCCUUAGGCAAAAACCAGCUACUAAGUAACGACAUACGUGAUAGCUUACCACGUUUGUGACGCCCUAUCACGAAGGUCGUCAGCCUUAGGCAGAAACCAGCUCGUAAGUGAUAACAUUCAUGACAGCUUACCACAUUUAUGACGCCCUAUCAUGAAGGUCGUCAGCCUUAGGCAGAAACUAUCUCCUAAGUGAUUACAUUCGUGACAACUUACCACAUUUGUGCUGCCCUAUCACGAAGGUCGUCAGCCUUAGGCAGAAACUAGCUCCUAAGUGACGGAAUUCGUGAUAGCUUACCAUAUUUGUGAUGCCCUAUCAUGAAGGUCGUCAGCCUUAGGCAGAAACUAUCUCCUAAGUGAUGACAUUCGUUAUAGCUUAUCACAUUUGUGAUGCUCUAUCACGAAGGUCGUCAGCUAUGAUUUUUCAGCAACUGGGAAUUUAUUUCAUAAGGGUAUUUUGGUCAUUUUAUUCACCUUCCACGACUUAUAAACCUAAAUAGGUGUAAUUUUUCCCAUUUUUUUCUUCAGUUAAGCAUCUCAAAAACCCUCUCAACCACUAGAUUAGGGUUUCCAUCAAACUCAUCUCUCAUAAGCAAGAUUCAAGCCUUUUUCCAAGAUAAUUGAGAAUUAAGUUUCCCAAUCCAAUAACUCUCCAGCAAAUCAUCAAGGUUUCCUUUUUAAGGUAUGUGUAUUGCUCAUCUAUGGAUCCAAUCCAUUCAUAGAGCUUAACAACCAUGUUUUAAAUAUUAGUUUAUAAACUUUUUAUGGUGAUAUGAGUAUGUACAUGUUGAUGAUUGUUGUUUAAGUUUCAAUGUGAUGUUUAAAGGUGUUUUCAUGGAAUAUAUAUGUUUGUUAAUUCAAAACCAUGAACUUUAGGUGGUUUAAUAUGGUGCAAGUAUGAAACUCACCUAUGCCUUAAAGAAUGCAUGCAAGGUGUUUGAUAAAAUGCAUAGGAUGCUAGAAAUUCAUGUUUGUAUAGUUCUAUGAUGUCUAAAUGACAAGUCCAUGUUAGCUAUAUACUUCAAUAUGAAUCCCAUGCUUUUCAUAUAUUGCUAUUGUGGUAGUAUGAAACAUGUAAGGUAAUGGAGAUAUACAAUAUGUACAUGAAAUAUAUCUAUGCAUUCCCUACAAUGUUUAAGAUGUUGAAUAACUAUAUGAAAUAUGAUAUCCCUUACUUAUGAUAUUAUGAAUUGUGGACUCAAAUCUUGUGAUCAAGUCAUGUCAUGUGUAUUAGUUUCCUUCUAUUGAGUCCUGGGGGUAUUCGUACCCGAAAAACAUAGCUGUGUGCCUAAAUCUAUGUCAUGUUGUCAUGAUAAUCUCAGUCAAGUUAUAAUCUAUAGAACUCAGUCAAUCAUGUGACUCAGGAAACCUCAGAAAUCUCAUGAUCUCAGUUAACUCUCAGAUAAUAGUACUACUCCAUCAUUCAAUAGAAGUCAGUUAAUCUGUCCAUGUACAGUCAGUUUAAUCAUGUUUAGUCUCUUCAGAUGGGAGUAGAAGUUAGCACCGAGUGAACCCAAGGAUGGGGACUCACCUAUCAGUUUAGGGUGUGAUUCUUAGCAGUCAUCCUUGUGUUUCAGAACUACGUAGCCAACGUAGGUUGAGAUAUCUUAGCUUGUCAGAUUAGGUUUAAUGAGGUGGCUUAACCUGUCAGUUUAGGGUUCUCACCAUUCUUCUUUCGAAUACCUGCCAGCUAGGGUCACCCACAACUUUCCUUACCAGUGGUGCGGUAUUGACACCCCUUCAGUCAGGGCAGAUAUUGGACCCCAACUUAGCUAUAUGCGUUAUUGGGGAAUGUCGGUUAAACAACUACCUCCCACAGUUUCAGAAUCAGUCUCAGUAAAAAAACUCAGAUAGGUCUUCAGAUUCAGUAUUCAGACUUAUGUUCAGAUUUGAUUUAGUUUUCAGUUGCUUUGGGUAUCUUUCACCCAUAUGGAGGUUAUGUUUUGAUAGAUUCUUUAUUCAGUUGAACCUUAUGGCCUACAUAUUUAUUUUUUCUACAUUAUUACGUUAUAUAUUGUAGUGUAUAGGUACAGAUAUCAGUCAUGGGUUAGCUUGUGAUCCUUCGGGGUCAUAAGCAUCGUGUAGCAUUCCGGUUCAGAAAAAUUGGGGCGUUACAAACUUGGUAUCAAAGCAUAAGGUUCAAUAGAGUCCUAGAAAGUCUGAAAGCCGCAUCUAGUAGAGUCUUGUACAUGGGUGUAUUGCGUGCCACAUUUAUGUACAGGAGGUUAUGAGAUAUUUUAGGAAUAAUUCACUUUCUUUAGUAUUCAUGUCGUGCUAGUAAACAUAAUUUCAAGUCAGUCUCUCAGUCAAAUCCAUUUUUCUUCUAUUUCAGAAAUAUGCCUUCAAAGAGAAGAAAUCAGCCAGCUCCUCAGCCCGAAGAUACUUUGGGCGAACAUGUUUCUCAUGUGGAGUUUAGGACCGCAUUUACUGGUCUUGCUCAGUCUGUAGCUGCCCAGAAUGAAUGACCAGCAGUUGUUCCAGCCAAUCCAGUGGCCAAUUCAGCAGCAGCUAGGAUUUAGGGCUUCACCCGAAUGAACCCUCCAUCCUUCUUUGGGUCUAAGCCAGACGAGGAUCCUCAGGAAUUCGUUGACCAAGUCUAAAAGGUCAUUGAUAUUAUGGAAGUCACUUCUUAUCAGAGUGCCGAGUUAGCCGCAUACCAAUUGUAGGAUGUCGCUCACACUUGGUACAAGCAGUGGUUAGCAAAAAGAUUAGAGGAUGCAGCUCCUGUUGAGUGGGAAGAAUUUGUCACGGCUUUCUUAGACAGAUUCUUUUCCCAAAAGCUGAGAGAGGCCAAAGUUAUUGAUUUCAUCAAUCUUAGGCAGGAAAAUAUGAAAGUUAGAGAGUAUUCUCUUAGAUUUACUCAGCUAACCAGAUAUGCCCCUCAUGUGGUUGCAGACAACAGGGCUAAGAUGAGCAAGUUCGUGUCAGGGGUGAAUGAUAGCAUGGUAAAUGAGUGUAGGUCUGUGAUGCUGAACAGUGAUAUGACUUUAGCUAGGUUCAUGACCCACGCUCAACAAAUAAAGGAGCAGAAGGUUAAGACUAGGGAGAGGCAGAACAAGAGAGCAAGAGCAGGCAGUUUUAGUUUUGCUCAGCCCAAAUCAGAGGGAGAAAAUCGUUCAUAGUUUCGUCCUAAGUCAGCAGUUUCAGCCCCUUCCUUCGCUAGUGCCCCAGUUCCGAAGUUCAGGGACGGCAACAGAGAUAGAGCACCAGGCUCUAAAUCUCAAGGCAGUAUUAGCAGUGCCAGAACAAACCCCCUUUGUUAGACUUGUGGUAAGAACCACAAGGGUAUUUGCAGAGCUGGUAGUGAUGUCUAUUUUAAUUGUGGUAAGCCAGGCCACAGGAUUAAGGAGUGUCCUCAUCCAGGCUCUCAGGAUCAGCAAAAUCAUUCCAUAGCUCAGUCUGGUCUCCCGAACCUGCAGGGUGCCACUUCCAGUGCUACUAGUGAGCAACGCCCAAAUUGACUCUAUGUUCUUCAGACACGACAGGAUUAGGAAAAUUCUCCUGAUAUUGUUACUGGUACGUUACAAUUUUUCUAUGUUCAUGUUUAUUCUUUGCUAGACCCAAGUGCAUCCUUGUCUUUUGUCACUCCAUAGAUAGUAGGCAAUUUCGGAAUCAGUCUCAAAAUUUUAGCAGAGCCCUUUUUAGUAUCUACCCCAGUCAGUAAAACCAUCAUAGCUCAGCGGGUAUAUAGGAACUGCCCGGUUAUGAUAUUUCAGAAAUCCACAUCAGCAAAUUUGGUCGAGUUAGAGAUGACUGAUUUUGAUAUCAUUCUCGGCAUAGAUUGUCUUCNNNNNNNNNNNNNNNNNNNNNNNNNNNNNAUAUUUCAAUUUCAAUUCCCGAAUGAGCUCGUCCUAAAGUGGAAGGAUAGCACUUCAUCUUUCAGGGGUCAGCUUGUUUCCUACCUUCGGGCAAGGAAAAUGAUUUCUAAGGGGUGUGUGUAUCAUCUUGUGCAUGUUAAGGAUUCCAGUUCCAAAUCUCCCAGUCUCAAAUUAUUCCCAGUGGUUAAUGAAUAUUCAGACGUCUUUCCCGAAGAUCUUCUAGGCAUUCUUCCCAAAAGGGAAAUAGACUUCGGCAUAGACCUUCUCCCAGAUACUCGGCCUAUUUUUAUUCUGCCAUACAAAAUGGCACUAGCAGAACUCAAGGAACUGAAAGAUCAGUUGAAGAAUCUCUUAGAUAAGGGAUUCAUCAGGCCCAGUAUAUCCCCAUGGGGUGCGCCAGUCUUAUUCGUAUGGAAGAAAGACGGUUCUUUCAGAAUGUGCAUUGAUUAUCGUCAGCUCAACAAAGUCACGGUCAAGAACAGGUAUCCGCUUCCUAGGAUAGACGACUUGUUUGACCAACUUUAGGGUGCCAAUUAUUUCUCCAAGAUAGACCUCAGAUCAAGCUAUCAUCAGCUCAGAGUUAGAGAAUGUGACAUUCUGAAGAGAGCUUUUCGUACUCGGUAUGGUCACUUUAAAUUUCUAGUCAUGUCCUUUGGUCUUACUAAUGCCCAUGCAGGUUUCAUGGACUUGAUGAACCGGGUGUUCAAGUAGUACUCGGACACAUUCGUCAUAGUCUUCAUAGAUGAUAUUCUGGUCUAUUCUCGCACAGAGCGUGAUCAUUCAGACCAUCUCAUAAUUGUUCUUUAGACUCUCAGGGAUCACCAGUUGUUCACCAAGUUCAGUAAGUGCAAAUUUUGGCUAAGAUCAGUAGCAUUCCUUGGCCACAUUAUUUUUGGUGAUGGCAUUAGAGUAGAUCCUCAGAAAACCAAAGCGAUAAGAAACUGGCCUCGCCCCUAUCUCUACAUCAGAUAUUAGGAGUUUCUUAGGUUUGGCUAGAUAUUACUGACGGUUUGUCGAGGGAUUUUAUUCUAUUGCAUCUCCUAUGUCUAGAUUUACUCAGAAUAAGGUCAAGUUUCAAUGGCCAGAACCUUGUGAGAAGAUUUUUCAGGAGUUGAAGACUCGACUCACCUCAGCUCCAGUUUUAGCACUUGUCGACAGUUCCGAUGGAUUUGUAGUAUACUGUGAUGCAUCUAGAGUAGGUUUAGGUUGUGUCCUCAUGCAUCAUGGUAGAUUCAUAGCCUACUCCUCCAGACAGUUAAAGCCCCAUGAGAAGAAUUAUCCUACUCAUGAUCUUGAGUUAGCAGCAGCUGUCUUUGCCUUAAAGAUUUGGAGGCAUUAUCUAUACGGUGUUCAUGUAGACAUCUUCACAGAUCAUAAGAGCCUUCAGUAUGUCUUUUCCUAGAAAGAUCUCAAUCUUCUUCAGAGAAAGUGGUUAGAGCUCUUGAAGGAUUAUGACAUGAGUGUAAGGUGGUUAGAGCUCUUGAAGAAUUAUGACGUGAGUGUCCUUUAUCAUCCUGGCAAAGCCAAUGUAGUGGCCGACGUACUCAGUAGACUAUCCAUGGGUAGUGUUUCCCAUGUUGAGGAUAGUAAGAAGAGACUAGCUCAGGAGAUUUAUCAGCUUGCCAGACUAGGCGUUCGCUUAGUCGACUCUUUAGAGGGUGGUGUAUGUGUUCAGAGUAGUUCAGAGUCAUCUCUACUUUCUGAGGUAAAAGAGAAGCAAGACAGGGAUCCUAGCCUUGUCAAGCUAAAAUAGUUAGUUCCGAGUUAGGAAGUAGAGGUUUUCUUCCAAGGGGAAGAUGGUGUUCUUCGUUGUCAGGGUCAUUUGUGUGUUCCCGGUGUAGAUGACUUGAGGUAGCGAAUUCUUAUAGAAGCGUAUGGUGUGCGAUACUUUAUUUAUCCAGGGGCCACUAAGAUGUACCAUGACUUGCGGGAGAUCUAUUGGUGGAGUGAGAUGAAGAGGGACAUUGCAGAGUUUGUGGCUAAGUGCUCUACAUGUCAGUAGGUUAAGAUAGAGCAUCAGAAAUCUAGUGGUUCUAUGCAGGAGUUCACUAUUCCUACUUGGAAGUAGGAAGAAGUGAACAUGGACUUCAUGACGGGUUUGCCUAGAACACAUCAUCAGCAUGAUUCAGUUUGGGUCAUUGUAGAUAGAAUGACCAAGUCAACUCAUUUCCUUCCAGUUCAUACCUCUUACUCAAUUGAGGAUUAUACCAAACUCUAUAUCAGGGAGUUGGUUAGAUUACACGGUGUUCCACUAUCUAUCAUCUCAGACAGAGGUACCCAGUUCACCUCUCACUUCUGGAAAGCGUUCCAAAAGGGUCUUGGUACCCAAGUUCAUCUCAGUACAACAUUUAAUCCUCAAACAGAUGGUCAAGCAUAAAGGACCAUUCAGAUUCUAAAAGAUAUUCUAAGGCCGUGUGCGAUUGAUUUCAAGGAAAGAUGGGAUGACCACUUGCCUUUGAUUGAAUUUGCAAACAACAACAGUUAUCAUUCCAGUAUUCAGAUGGCUCCAUUCGAAGCUCUCUAUGGUAGGAGAUGUAGGUCUCUGAUCGAUUGGUUUGAAGUUAGUGAGACCACAGUCAUAGGGCCUGACUUAGUAUUUGAUGCCUUAGAGAAAGUUCAGUUGAUCAGAUAAAGACUCCGGGCUGCUCAGAGCCGACAGAAGUCUUAUGCGGAUGUUCGUAGAAAGGAUCUCGAAUUCGAGGUCGAUGACUAUGUCUAUCUCAAGAUCUCUCCCAUGAAGGGAGGGAAGAGAUUCGGCAAGAAGGGAAAGCUCAGUUCCCGAUAUGUCGGUCCCUUUAGGAUUCUCAGUCGCUUCGGCAAGGUAGCCUAUCAAAUUCCCUUCAGAUCUAGCCUCAGAUCAUCCAGUCUUCCAUGUCUCUUUGCUCAAGAAGUGCAUAGGUGACCCAGCAGUUGUAGUCCCUAUUCAGAGUGUUAACAUUUAGAAUAGCCUCUCUUAUGAAGAUAUUCCAGUCGAAAUCUUCUACUAUCAGACUCGUAGGCUAAGAAACAAAGAAGUCCCUCUAGUCAAGGUUCUUUGGCGGAAUCAGUCUAUGGAGGGAGCUACUUAGGAAGCAGAAGCAGACAUGCGAACCAAGUACCCUUAUUUUUUCUUCGCUAAUUCAGACUUAGCUCGAGGUAACCAUUUUCCUUAAGCUUAUUCAGUUAUAUGUUCAAAAUUCCAGUAUAAAAUUGGUAUCAAGUAUCAAUGCAUAGCUUAUCAUGCAUUCAUGAGUUUAGCUUAUCAGUCAUGCAUCAGAUAUGCAUGUUCAGUUGGGCUAUAUUCAGUUUAGAAUUCAAUUCAGUCCUAAAAUCAUGUGCCAGUUGAGCAUGAUUAGUGUAUGGAUCAUUUUAUCUUUUCUCCCCUCUCAAGCUGUCAUCAUUCGAGGACGAAUGUUUCCAACGAGGAGAUAUUGUAAUACUCCAAAAAAUCAAAACCAAUAUUAGAGCUAUGUACCAAGCUCAUGCAUAGUACAUCAUGGUUCUUUUAUAGUUUUAUGAGUAGGUUAGGUGUAUAUUAAGGCUUCAAAUAAAUCCUAGCUAUCAGACGAAUCAAAACAUUCCUUACCGAUUGAAUUCUUGAGAAGGAUAUUGGUAUUGUCAACUUCAAACGAGCAUAUCUCUCAUUAUACUUGGAACUUUUGAUCUCAUAUCCCAUUAACAGAUAGAUAAUUGAAUUAGUUUUCCAAAAAUACCAAUUUUGCCUAAAUCCGAUAUCAGCGCAAAGAGUUAUUCCUAUUUUACUCCAACAUGUCAGGCUGGAAACAGUGUGACGACAUUCGUGAUAGCUUUCCACAUUUGUGACGCCCUAUCAUGAAGAUCGUCAGCCUUAGACAGAAACCAGCUCCUAAGUGACGACAUUCAUGACAACUUACCACAUUUAUGAUGCCCUAUCACGAAGGUCGUCAUCCUUAGGCAGAAACCAUCUCCUAAGUGACGACAAUUAUGAUAGCUUACCAUAUUUGGGCUGCCUUAUCACGAAGGUCGUCAGCCUUAGGUAGAAACAUAUUUGGGAUGCCUUAUCACGAAGGUCGUCAGCCUUAGGUAGAAACCACUCCUAAGUGACGAUAUUCAUGACAACUUAUCACAUUUGUGACACCCUAUCACGAAGGUCGUCAGCUAUGAUUUUUCAACAACUGGGAAUUUAUUUCAUAAGGGUAUUUUGGUCAUUUCCUUCACCUUCCACGACUUAUAACCCUAAAGAGGCAUAAUUUUUCCCAUUUUUUUCUUUAGUUAAGCAUCUCAAAAACCCUCUCUUAUGCUCUCAACCACAAGAUUAAGGUUUCCAUCAAACUCAUCUCUCAAAAGCAAGAUUCAAGCCUUUUUCCAAGAUAAUUGAGAAUUAAGUUUCCCAAUCCAAGAACUCUCUAGCAAAUCAUCAAGGUUUUCUUUCUAAGGUAUGCGUAGUGUUCAUCUAUGGAUCCAAUCCGUUCAUAGAGCUUAAGAACCAUGUUUUAAAUAUUAUUUUGUAAACUUUUUGUGGUGAUAUGAAUAUGUACAUGUUGACAAUUGUUGUUUAAGUUUCAAUGUGAUGUCUAAAGGUGUUUUCAUGGAUUAUAUAUGUUUGUUAAUUGAAAACCCUAAACUUUCGGUGGUUUAAUAUGGUGCAAGUAUGAAACUCACCUAUGCCUUAAAGAAUGCAUGCAAGGUGUUUGAUAAAAUGCUUAGGAUGCUAGAAAUUCAUAUUUGUAUGAUUCUAUGAUGUCUAAAUGACAAGUCCAUGUUAGCUAUAUACUUCAAUAUGAAUCCCAUGCUUUUUAUGUGUUGCUAUUAUGGUGGUUGAAGCAUGUAAGAUAAUGGAGAUAUACAAUAUGUAUACGAAAAAUAUCCAUACAUUCCCUAUAAUUUUUUAGAUGUUGAAUAACUAUAUGAAAUAUGAUAUCCCCUACUUAUGAUAUUAUGAAUUGUGGACUCAAAUCUUGUGAUCAAGUCAUGUCAUGUGUGUCAGUUUCCUUCGAUCGAGUCCUGAGGGUAUUCGUACCCAAAAAACAUAAUUGUGUGCCUAGAGCCAUGUCAUGUUGUCACGAUAAUCUCCGUCAAGCUAUAAUCUAUAGAACUUAGUCAGUCAUGUGACUUAAGAAACCUCAGAAAUCUCAUGAUCUCAGUUAACUCUCAGAUAAAAGUACUACUCCGUCAGUCAAUGGAAGUCAAUUAAUCUGUCCAUGUACAGUCAGUUUAAUCAUAUUUAGUCUCUUCAGAUGGGAGUAGAAGUUAGCACCGAGUAAACCCAAGGAUGGGGAUGCACCUAUCAGUUUAGGGUGUGAUUUUUAGCAGUCAUCCUUGUAUUCCAAAACUACAUAGCCAGCGUAGGUUGAGACAUCUUUGCCUAUUAGAUUAGGGUUGAUGAGAUGGCUUAACCUAUCAGUUUAGGGUUCCCACCAUUCUCUUUUUGAAUACCUGCCAGCUAAGGGUCACCCACAACUGUCCUUACCAGUGGCGUGAUAUUGACACCCCUCCAGUCGGGGCAGAGAUUGGACCCCAACUUAGCUAUAUGCGUUAUUGGGGCAUGUAGGUUAAAUAACUACCUCCCACAGUUUCAGAAUCAGUCUCAGCAAAAGAACUCAGAUAGGUCUUCAGAUUCAGUAUUCAGACUUACGUUCAGAUUUGAUUCAGUUUUCAGUUGUUUUGGGUAUCUUUCACCCAUAUGGAGGUUAUGUUUUGAUAGAUUCUUUAUUCAGUUGAACCUUAUGGCCUACAUGUUCAUAUUUUCUGCAUUAUUACAUUAUAUAUUGUACUGUACAGGUACAGAUAUCAGUCAUGGGUUAGCUUGUGAUCCUUCGAGGUCAUAAGCACCGUGUAGCAUUCCGGUUCAGAAAAAUUGGGGCGUUACAAUUUUCUCAUCAUAUGUUAUGUUUAUAAACUAUUUUCAAAUCACUCUAACUUAUGUUAAAUAAAAAUUAUUAUUUUAGAUUUGCUCUACGUACCAGUAAAAUUGUAUUGGCUCCCUACCUUUUAAGGUCUGAGGCUCAGUCUAGAGGUCCUGCUAAGCCGUAGAGUUUCCAGAUUGAAGUAAAGUGUGCAGUUGGUGAGCCUUAUUUAUUCCGGAAGGCCUAUGUCUUUCAGACUUUUGUUAUUUAUGUUGAUUUUGGUCCACUGGGGGCCUUGUCCCUAUUUUUAGACAGCUUUGUUUCGUAUAUAGUAGAAAUUUCACGAACUGAGUCAGGUAUUAUCUAGAUGUUGUUGAAUUACAGUCUUUAUUAUUAUUUUGAACUCAAAGUUUGACCAUGGUUCCGUAUCGAUUUAUGUUUUCCACAUCUUCUAUUAUUGUAUGAAUAUUGUGCAUGUUUACCAGAUAGUAAAGGGCAUCCGGGCCUUCAUGGUUUGGGAUGUUCGUCAUGGCUAAGGUCUCAGCUCGGGUCGUGACAGAUGAAUAGAUGGGUGUAGAAAAAUUAUUGAUUUUGAUGGAUUUUUUUCUCAAAGAAGUAUGUAAAGAUGAGUUGUUGGUUGUUGUGGAGAAAAAUAGAAACAACCCAAUAUAUCCUAUUGCAUGGGCAGUUGUGGAUACAAAAACAAAGCAUAGUUGGGAUUGGUUCAUAAGGUAUCUGAUUGCUGAUGUAAAUUUGAGAACUGGUGAAAGCUUGACUAUAAUGUCAAACCAACAAAAGAUACCACUAUUUAAUUAUUUUUCUUAUUAUUUGACUUUAAUUUCCAUUAAAAUUCCUGUUCUAAUCAUACUUAUACUUAUUACAGGGUUUUUUUUCUAUUUUGAUGAAUUUGUUAUCAAAUGCUGAGAGAAGAAUGUGUGCUAGACAUAUUUAGAAUAAUUGACAUGUGCACUGGAAAUAAAAAAAAAAAUAGUUUUGGAGGUAUGCAAAAGAAAUAUUUGAAGUCAAGUUAGAGACGAGAUGCAAGCAAUGUCAAGACUAGGUAAGAAGGAAAUAACUAAGGACAUGUUGGUUAAUCCUCCUUUUUCUUGGUGUAGGGCAUAUUUCAAAACACAUUCUAAAUGUGAUAUUAUAGAAAAUAACAUAUGUAAGACUUUCAAUUCUUAGAUCUUAGUUGCUAGACAUAAGAAAAUAAUCACGAUGUUAAAGGAUAUCAAGUAUAAAAUGAUGAAUAGACAUGUAGAUAUGAUCAAAUCAUCUGAAACAUGGAUUCUAGACGUUGCAUCUAUGGCAACAACUAUUUUAGAAGAUAAAAAGGAAUAUUCAAAUAGGUGUAGAGUACUAUGGAAUGGAGUUAUUGGUUUUGAAAUUGGGGAUGGGGGGUACACAUUUGUUGUUCACUUGGACAAGAAGUAUUGUGAGUGCUAUUGAUGAUUAUUACUUGAAUAAAGAUCUUGAUCAAUAUGUAGAGUACUGGUAUAGGAAAGAAACCUUUCUUAAAUCUUACAACCAUUUUAUUCAACCGAUUCCCAAUAUGAGAAUGUGGCCUGAAACCACAAACCCAUCAAUUAAGCCUCCAAAACCAAGAAAGAUGCCAGACAGACCUAGCAAGAAUAGAAGGAAGAAUAAGGAUGAGCCAAAAAAGUGGGAAAAACUAUCCAAAAAAGAUAUCAAGAUAACCUAUUCAAAAUACAAUCAAGUUGGCCAUAACAAAACUGUCUGUGCGAAAAGGGUAAGCCUUAAAUUAAUUUCAUAACAGUUAACAAUUGUUGUAAGGUUAUUAUAUUUCUGAACGUUUCAUAUUUUUAUUUGUCUGCUAGAAUGGGGUGCGGAGCAGUAACAUCACUCAACAUAACACUCAGCUUGCAUCCUCAUGGAAUCCACCACAACCACCACAAUCAAGUUCUAUUUGUGGUGACAUUAGUGCAAUGCCAAGAAAUACCUACAGUGAAAGUCAGGAAGUAAGAGUAAGUGAUAUAUGUUUUGCCUUUAUAUUAGUAGUAUUAGUAUUAGUAAAAACUGCUGAAAAUACAGUGUUUUCCAAUAUCAUAGAAUUAUAGUCUAGGAUGGGGCAUCAUUCACAGCUAAGCUCAACCCUCCAUAGAUAUGCAACUACACAAUUCAGCCAAUCAAAAUCUAUUUAUGCUCACACAACUUUUGUGCCAAAAGUACUCAAAGAAAUAUGUCAAGUGGGGCUGGUAGAGGUCAAGGUGAUGCUAGUAGAGGUAAAGGUAGGGCUAGUAGAGGUUAAUGUGAUUUUGGUAGAGGUGAAUGAGAAACUAGUAGAUGUCAAUGUGGUGUUGAUAAGGGAGGUGAAGGUGGAACCGAUAGAGGUCAAGUAGGCACUGGUAGAGGAUUGGCGAGAAAAAUAGCUAAUGCAAGAGUAACCCCAUUUGAAAGAGCAAGAAAUACUUCUUCUUGUCAAGUUUCAACUUUGUCAACCAAUAAGAGGCCAUACAGUUCUACCUCAUUUGUUGUUUCUACUAGAUACAAAAGGCCUACAACUGAUUUUGGUGUUUACUCUGAUCCAACAACUGAAACCCAAGUGUACAAUGUAUUUCUCUCUGUCUCAUUCUUUAUCGAUAACUAUGUUUUCAUUCAACUUUUCAAUAUUCAUUGUCUUACAAUUUGGUCUAAUUUUGCGCCUGGUACAUCAAGUGACAGAGUUCUUUAUGGAGGUACAAAUUUAAAGAGUGCUUCACUAACCAAUAUAGAUAUUGAUUUUAAACCUCGUGGCCUAAAGUGAAAUGGAAAAGAUACAGUUACCAGCACACAAUUACAACAAAUGAAAGCAAAUAAGAGAAAUAAAGUGGAUGCAACCAUGUUUUAUUCAUCAGUUGGAUCUUCCAAGAAGUAGUUCAUUUAGAAAUGAUCUAUAUGUAUGAUACUGUAAUGAGGGUUAUACUCUCAUUUUGAAACAAUUAUGUUAUUAUUUUUUGAACAACUUUUUCUUAGGCAGCUGUUAAUGACUUUGUGGUAUGCUGCAGUAGUACUAUUAUCUUUUUUUAUGAACAUUUAGGUUGAACACCUUAUUUAGUGAUGUGAUAUAUUUUUUAUCUCAACUUAAAGCAGCGUUAAUAUGAUGUGCUUCUAAAGUGUUUUAGUAGUUACAAAUAUUUGUAUUUUAGUUUAUUUUUUAGCAAUACUUUUAGUAGUUACAAAUAUGUGGUUAUGCUUAGUUGGGUGGCAAUACUUUGUUGCACAACUGGACACAAAGUAAUUGAUAAUAUGAUUAUGAUGCAAAACAUAUCAACUCAUUCACAUUAACAAUGUCAAAAUGAUACAAAAUAGACUGCCCAAAUAACUCCAUUACAUAUUAACUAGGAUAAACUACUCAAUACCCAAUUUUCUAUUCAAUACCCAAGCUUAACUACUAGCUUACACCAUAGUAAAGAACCACUUUACUGUAAGAACAAAGAGAAGAAGCAGAACAAGUCUAUUAAAUUUGAGUUUUGCACAUUCCCUUUCAAGUUUAGUUUUUUUUUGAGUUUUUGCCUCAAUGCAAUCAACUUCUCUUCACUAUCUUUUAAUUUCUCAUACAAAGUGUCCCUCUUUUAUUCAACCUAUUUGAGCUUUUUCUUCAGUCGAUCACACGAAUUUUCACCAUCUUUGCACCUAUUCAUUAAGCUCGAUUCCACCCCAGGAGAUUGAUGCUCAAAAAUUAAAGGUUUUGGAUCAAUUCAUCUAAAAUAGUCACAUCUACCAUUUUCCUAGAAUGCGAAAGCAGUAACAUUACCAAAAAAUCAAUCAAAAAAAAUUUAAAUCUUUGAAAAUGUUACAAAUCUUUGAAACUUUACAUCCAAAAAAUCUACGACCUGAAUUUGAUGGAUUCCUUGAAGUUCUCAAAGGACAAAAUUCGGAACAGUAACACAAAUUGUAUAACUCAAGAUUAACUGAAUUUUGCGACAUUCGUGAAUAAAAUGAGAAAAAAAUUGGUUUAAGAGAAAGAUGAGAGAAAUUAUGAGAUAAAUGUGAGAGUGAGAUGAGAGAAAUUAUGAGAGAAUGAGGCUAUGAGAGAUUAGAGAAAAGUUAGAGAAUGAGAGAAAUGUGAGAGAAUGAGAGAAAUUAGAUUUUUUAAUUUGGGGGUGAGGGGAGAGAAAGUUAACGUUAAAAAACGUUAACUUUUUGCCACGUCGAUUGAUUUUCAGGGUUUACGAGCCCACAAUAAGUAAAAAACAUGCAACGUGUCAUGUGGGCAAAAAAGACCUGGUGGAUCAAAUUUUGGGUGGGUUAAGGGCCUGAUAGGUACAAGUUUGAUUUGAGUGGUUUAAGUGAAAUUUUGAGACAAAUUUAGGAUCCUAUCCAGGGGCGGACCCACGUGAUUAUAAGUGGGUUCAAUUGAACCCACUUCGUCGAAAAAUUUAUUAUUUAUAUAAGGGAGAAUAUUGUGAAAUAUGCUAUAAGGAUUUAAUUUUAAUCCACAUAACACAGAAAUUAUCGCGGAGCAGUGGCCAAGUGGGUUCAAAUCAUCCUUGCUACCCAAGUUCGAAUCCCCACAGCUAAGUUUUGGAUGAUACAAUUUUUGGCUUUUAUUUUUUUGAGUUCAGUGUUCUAUGUAGCGCUCGUUGGCUAACAGUUUGCCAAAAAAUUAUUUCCAUUGGUUGUGUUACCAAAAAUAAAAAAGAAAAGGUGGCCUAUAUAUAUAUAUAAAGGUCUAUUUCACCUUUAUUUUAUUUUUUUGCUUAUUCAAAUUAUAUAAAAAUCUAAAAUCUAUUUUACUUCGAAAAAAACCAUUUAACUUCUUAUAAUUGAAUUUUAGCACUCCCUUUCAUUAUGUUUUGCUAAAACAUGCUACUAUUUUAGUUGAAAUUAUAUAUAAUUUCUUAAUUUACUAUAAUAUUUAGUUUAAGAAAAUGCUAAUAGGUUCUUUAUAAUUUUUUUAGAAUUUUUCUCAACUUUGUAAAUUAAAAUUUGGUUGAGUUUUUUUUUAAAAAUGAAUGAAUUAUUUUGCUAUUAUAUUAUUAACAAAAAGAACAAGGAGCAAAUCUUUGUUUGUGCUUGAAGGUACUUUAUCAAGAUAAUUCCCUAUUUACUAAUUGAGCCCACUUGUAUAAAAUUUUGGGUCUGCCACUGAUCCUAUCGAUGACUUAAGCCCAACUUUUAAGAUGUGAGAUAAUGUGUUAGUGAUGUGAUGUAAUUUACCUAUGUUUAAAAUCAUUUUACGGGUCAUUUGGUUUGAAUAGAAGUUAUGUUGGGAUAAGCUAUGCUGGAUUAGUUAUACUGGGAUUAAUUAUGUUGGAAUUAUUUUUUAUUGAGUGUUUGGUUUGUUGUAUUCAAAAUAAUAUGCAUGGUAUAAUUCCUAAGAAAUAAGUUAAUUGAUUAUAAAAAUACCCUCCACCUUAUUUAGCUUUUUUAUAUAUAUAAUUUCUUUUCAAGCUUUAACUAUUCAUUCUUAAAAAUAAAAUUUCCCACUUAUUUACCUUAAUUUUCUGUGUGCAUUUUCAUGAUUAUGUUUUGUGUAUUUAAAAAUAAAACUUUCAUCUUAUUUAGCUUAAAUUUUUUGGUGUGCGCCUUCCCAUGAUUAUGUUGUAUGUGUUUAAAAAUAAAUCUUACAUCUUAUUUAGCUUGAAAUAAAAUUUUCAGCUCAAGUUUGUUAAAAUUAAAAAGAAUUUAUUGUUUAUGUCCCUUCACGUGAACACAUUAUCACUCAUAUACUAUAAAAUAUCAAAAUUUAUUUUAAUUCGUAUAUACAAUAUCAAUUUUUAAGUGAUUAAAAAAUUAUUCAAUUUAAAAUAUGUAAUUCAAUAAUGGAGUUAACAUUUGUGUUAUUAUUAAGAGAAAUCAAAAUAUAUAAAUAAACAUAAUAACCAGUCAAAUAAAUUUAACGUAUAAUAUAUUCAUAAAUAAAAAAUAUAUUUAUAUAGUGUAAUUUGUAAUUCUUUUAACAAAAAAUAUGAAGAUUUAUCAUAAAAUAACGAGUAGGGAAGGUUGUGAACGUUAUUAUUAAAUGAUAUUAAAAACAUUGUGAAUAUGCUUGAAUGUGAAAAGUGACUAAAAAAAUUUGUGGGAGGUAUUUUUGUCAUUUUAAUUACUUAUCCCAAGGACAACUUAUCCUAGUAUUACUAUACCACCAAGAGGGAGGGAUAACUUAUCCUGAUACUAAUUAAUAAUCCCAUAUAAGUUAUCCCAAGUUGCACAACCAAACAAGCAAUUAUGAGGUAUUAAAACUUUAUCCCAGAAUUAUGUACUCUUAUCCCUUACACCAAAUGACCCCUUACAGCUUGUUUGGAUGAUGGUUUGUCAUGGUUUCAUAAUGUAUGGUACAAUAUGAUUUGGUACAAUAUGAUAUGGUAUAGUACCAUGUUUGAAUUGAUUGUAUCGUUCACUGAGGUUUAAUAAUAAUUUUUUUUGUUUGAUUUGAUGGUAUGGUAUUGUAUCGUAAAGGGUAAUUUUACUAAAAUACCCCCGAUUAUUAUAAAUUUUAAAUUCAAUUUAUGUAGGCUAUUUCUUCUAAAGCCUUGCCUGUGUACAGAAAACAAACAAGCAGAGCAAUAAACUGUUUCUUUGAAGCAAUUCCAGUAAUGCAAUAAACUAGAAUCUUGCUCUUCAUCACCUCCGUCUUAGGGUUGUGUCUAAUCUCCCCAAUUUAGUAUUAUUGUUUCUCUUUCAUAAUAUAUCACUUGACCAAGGUAGAAUAUCUUCCUCUUCGACCAUUUAGUAUUAUUGUCCGUAGUUCUUUUCAAGGUAUCCACCUGAGUUCAAGCUUCCAAAUAGAAAUAGCUACUAUUUGUUUAAGAAGUAGUGAAGGGUAAAAUUGAAUUACAGAAAAUUAUAUAAGGACAUAGUUGGAAAAAAAAAAAAAAAAAGACCAAUUUGGUGGUUUAAUAAAUUGAUGGAUUCCAUGGUUAUCAAACCAUGAAAUAGUACCAUAUCAUACCACCCUUUUUAGGAAAUCAUGGAAACAAACAUGUUCCCAUGGUAACCAUACCAUACCAUACCAUGGAAACCACUAGGCAGAUCUGCAAAGUUGAUACCUUUUUUUGGGGGGUAAUCAAAACAAAGUCGAUACCAUUCUGCAAAGGGGUUUAUGAACCAUAAUAAUAUUAUCCCGUCAUUCUCAUAAAACAAAGAUCCAAAGACAUCUCUAUCGCAACUCUGGACCAACUGAGUUUGUCAGCCAUUUUUUUGUCUCUUUGAGUUCUGGCUCUCUUCUUCCAUAGCCUUCAAUUUGUUCUUAAUUGCAGCUAUUUUGGUACUCUUGCUCAUUUGCGCUGAGGAGCCAGCAACAAAGUUUGAUUUGCUUGUCUCACCACCAGCUCCGAAAGAAGAAUUUCCAGCCCCUUCUAUCAAAUAUUUCUCGCUGGCAAGCCUAACGAUCAAAGGUCGCCCACAGACCAAUCUUCCAUGCAUCUUCUCCUUGGCCAAUACAGCUUCCUGCAUGCUCACUUUAAACAUAGAAAUCAGUAACUACUCUCACUGAUGAGCAACUGAGAGUUCUGCAACUUACCCCUUUAGUGCUAAACUGGACAAAAGCAUAGCCACGUGGCUCCCCACGCUUAGGGCCACGAGUGUGCCACAGGAAGUCUUCCGCGACAAUCUUUCCAAAGGAAGAAAACAUCUUAAUCAAAGCAGCCCUGUUGUAGGAAAACAAAUUUAUAAUCAGGAGAAGUCCUGGGCAAUAUAGUAUUCCAAUGCUACAAGAUCACCAGGGGAUUCGAUUGCAGAGUUCUAUCUAUGCUUACUCUGAUAUUCUAAGAUCAAGGUUUCCAACAUAAAGUCUGCUUUCGGACUUAUCAUCCAAAGAGUUAUGAGGAUCCUGCAAUAACAUUAAAAACAGUUAAUAAUCAGUUGCCAGAAUCACUAUUACAAAUGAAACGUUCUAGAGUUCUUUCUUUUCUUUCCUUAUUUGGCUAUGAUCAUUCUGGAGUAACUUAUAUUAAAAAGUGUGUGAUUGGUAAUAAGACGGAAAAUGUUUUCCAAGAAACAGUUAUUUUCUGGUGUUUGGUAUGAUUAAAGUUUUUUUACAUGGAAAUGUCUACCAUCAAAAGGAGGAAAAUGACUUCACUUACUAGUGGAAGUCAUUUUCCUUACAACUAUAUUAACUUUUAACUUCAUAUUACUUGUUUCAACUAAGACUCACAUUCUUAUAAAAUCUCUAGUACUAAUAGUUUCAUCAAAAGAGUCUCCAAUUUACUAAUAUGAUUAUUAAUCUUUGGUACAUAUUUUUUAACAAAAAAACCCAGAAAACAUUUUCCAAGAUGGUUUUAAGAAGGAUCAGUUUCCAUGAAAAUGCCUACCAUUAUAUACCAAAUAGGCAAAUACAGCUUAAAUGUAUGCAAUUAUACUUUUUCACUGAGAAAUCUUUUAGGAAGUGAUAUUUCUGUAAAACUUUUUUUCUGUAACCGAGAAAAAUCCUGAAAGCCAAUGGUGCGCAGGUCAAAACUCAGUGGAUAAUGGGCCCUUCCCUCUACCCUUCUCCACUUAAAUACUUGGCUUUCUCUGCAACAGAUUGCAAACACAUGAUGUGUACCUAAUCCAACCUCACCAGUUGCAUUCUUACCACUACAGGAAACCCCUUGGGGAACAACAAUUCUGUAAAACUUCUCAAAGCAGAAGCUAUUUUAAUCAGCAUAAGCUGCGCACUCAUAAAACCUAAAUAAGAAAGGGCCAGACUAGACCCCUAUAUUCAAUCUGAAGUAAAAAUGGAGUUUAAUGGACUUUAGUGUGGACUGUACCAUGCCGAAGAGAUGGACCCGGUAACCUAUGCAGCAUCAAUCCACAAGAAAAAUAGAAUGUUGGUGUCUAAAAUACUCUCGCCGCGUAAGACCUGCAUUUACAAAGAGAGUUUUAGUUCAAAAUACUCCAACUAAGUAGUCUAUAUUUCUAAGUUCAGCUGCAACAUAGCUGAGCAGAAGUCCCACUCUCUUUCCCUGCAUUGUAACCAUGAAAAGGAAGAUAAAUUUCAUGUGAACUUAAGAAUUCAGCAUAACUCAUUAUGUUUAGGCAUAUCAGACAGUGAGGUACUACCAACAUCUCCCCCUCCUCUCUUCAUCCUCUCUCAUCCCAACCCAAAAAGAAAAGCCACUCUUAUUCUCCUUACCUUUUUAUUCUCGAAUUUUCACUGAUCCCGAAGGUCUUGUGGGCUUCCUAAAAGCAAAGGCAUCUUUCCCAGAACAUAGGCAUUUACCCCAUGCAUCCUGUCCUUGGGAGGACAAGAGCUAAUGGCAACCAAGUUCACUUUAAAGCACUGAUUUCAUGUUUCAUAUUUAGUUGCCUAUUGGUUUCAAAAAAUAUUAUUCCAUUCUCUACAAAGGCCUCGCACAUCUAGGUUGCUCUCGCCUCCACUGAACCUCACAUUAGGCUGGGGUGGACGGGGAGACGAGAGCUUGUCUCCUACUUCACCUUUGGACCAUAGAUGUAAAAUGAACAAUUUCCUCUAUGAAUUAUAAGGCAAUACCAACUAGUUGGAAUUAGGGCAUAAUCAUGUUGGUAUGAUUGCAGAUGAUCCCGUGCUACGAAAGAGUCUCUUUUGUCUUUUCUUUAUUUUUAAAAGUCUUUUUAUGAAUCGAAAGUUAGUAGAAAAAAAUAUAGAAUUCCAAGUUAUUGAACACUGGAAUGGACCAGGUACAAAUGGAGUGAAACGGAUAAUACUGUGAAAAAUAGAUCUUGGGCCUAACUCAACCCCAAAAGCUAGCUCAUGAGGGGAGGAUUGUCAAAGUCCAUAUAAGAAAACCAAGUACUCAUGCUUUUUCCGAUGUGGGACUCUUUAACACUCUUUCGCACGCCCAGACCUUGUUAUUUGUUACCUGGAGCGAGGAAAAUAUAAUAUGGGGCCCAACAUCAGUGAACAAAGAAUUUGGAUGGGUCUGGCUCUGAUACCAUGUUGAAAUGUAUAACCAUCUUAUCUAAAAGCUUAAGCUGUUUCAGAGAGCAUACCUUUAUAAUUUACUUAUAUUCACAACAAUACCUAUCUUGCUCGAACUCUACAAAAAUGCACUAAUUUUGGAGGAUACGAUAGGUACCCGCGGUAUUUUUGAAGAGUCCGAGCAACAUUGGAUAACACAAUUCAUAACCUCAACUAGCUUAAGAUUGACGUAUACUUGUUAAUUCAUCAUAAACCAAUACCAAGAUGUAAUCCCAUGUCAUCUAGCAAAACUAAGAAAGCUAGGGAGGGGAUGGAGACCAACUUCACCUUUCGGCCAUAGAUAAGAACUAAAACAGCUUAGCAUAUGAAAUUUAAAGGCGAAAAUUAGAUUCUUAAGACCUUGUGCCGUCUAUCCAUAAAAAAGAAUGAUCUCCUCCCCAGCGCAAAUGUAAACAGAACAAUUUAUCUACUUUAUCUGUGGAAAAUAAAAAGAGAAUUGAGUUCUCAAAAUGAAUGACAGGAUGACCCCAAACCCAUCUAUUAAGAAAUAUUUUUCUCCCGGGGCAAUUGCAUCUUUUGGCCAAUAAAAUCAUUUUCGAAGUAUAAAUACCAGAACAGUAACAUGCCACAACCCUCAAUCAUUCAGAUCAUGUUUCAUAGUCAUGAAUGACUUGUAAUUGUCUGCUAACCACUCGACAAUGAUACACAACUUCCCCUUUCAAAUCCAUCCCUCCUCAGUCUUCAAAAUUUUCACAAUUUAUGUCAGGUAACCUUCAUCUUCCAUAUUGACAAUUUUCUAUUUUUUCCUCAGUAUCAUAAACUUGAGGAAAAAACAAUACAAAUCAGCAUUCUACUCCAAGUAGAUCAUUAUGCUUGAUUAGUAAAGCAAGAUCUCGAAUCCUAGUAAUAAAUAAGCUAUUUAACCCCAGCAAGUUGGAACUCACAUGAGACACACAUACUCCCUCCGUUUCAUAUUUCUUUGCCCCCAUACUAGAAAUAGUUGUUUCAUUUCCCGGUCUUGACAGGGUUGCACCAGGGAUCAACUCUUAGUCCGUUUUUAUUCGCUUUGGUGAUGGAUGUGUUGACGCGAAAUAUACAAGGCGAAGUUCCUUAGUGUAUGCUUUUCACGGAUGAUAUAGUUCUGAUUGAUGAGUCGCGGCAAGGGGUUAAUGAUAAGCUGGAGGUUUGGAGACAAACCCUGGAGUCUAACGGUUUCAAGUUGAGUAGGACCAAGACGGAGUACUUGGAAUGCAAGUUUAGUGACUCGAGGCAAGAGGAGGAGGUGGUAGUGAAGUUGGAUUCUCAGGCAAUUUGUAAGAGGGAUAGUUUUAAGUAUCUUGAGUCUACGAUUCAGGGAAAUGGAGAGAUAAAUGAGGAUGUCUCUCACCGUAUUGAGGCAGGUUGGAUGAAAUGGAGGCUCGCUUCGGGAAUUCUAUGCGAUAGGAAGGUGCCCCCAAGUUGAAAGGCAAAUUCUAUAGAGUUGCAGUCCGGCCUGCUAUGUUGUAUGGAGCGGAGUGUUGGCCGGUUAAGAAUUCUCAUAUCCAAAAGUUGAAGGUGGCGGGAAUGAGGAUGUUGUGUUGGAUGUGUGGAUUCACAAGGAAUGACAGGGUUAGGAAUGAAAUUAUUCGGGAGAAAGUGGGAGUGGUACCAGUGGAGGAUAAAAUGCGGGAAGUGAGGUUGAGAUGGUUUGGUCAUGUGAUAAGGAGAGGCACGGAUGCCCCAAUUCGUAGGUGAGAGAGGUUGGCCUUAGGAGGUUUCAAAUGGGGUAGGGGUAGGCCGAAAAAAUACUGGAGAGAAGUGAUUAAACGUGACAAAGCAGUUACAACAGACUGAGGAUAUGACCCUAGAUAGGAAGAUAUGGAGGAAAAGCAUUAGGAUAGAGGAAUAAGGGUGUGGAUGAGUCGUAGGCAAUAUUUAGGUGGACUUUGGGGUCCUUUGUUUGGCAAUGUACAAAUUUUUUUGUGAAUGUCGUAACUAUGUUAUUUUAUCGUGUUCUAUGCUUUUGAUGCUUUUGUAUAUUGCCUUUUAUCUUGAGUCGAAGGUCUAUCGGAAAUAGCCUCUUUACUUCUUUAGAGGUAGUGGUAUGGACUGCGUACACUCUACCCUCCCCAGACUCCAUUAUGUGGGAAUAUACUAGGUUUGUUGUUGUUGUUGUUGUUGUAAUUUAUGAAAUCAAGAGAAUUUUAUUAUAUAUUUUUCAUUGUUACCCUUAGUAUUAUUCAAAUAACUACAUAAAAUAGUACUUGAGCUAGUUUAAUAAAAUAUACCUCUAAUUAAAGCUUUAUAAAGGAGCGUGAAAGUUUGACAGAGACAAGUAAUAUGAAACACUGUGGAACUCUGGAGCUCUUAAAUACAUGUAGAAAGCAGGCCAAGAUGCAAAUCAACCGAACAAAAAGAUAGUAUAACCAACAAUUUCUACUAUGGAAAAAGAAAACUGGAGCUACAGACAAGACAUUUCAUACAAUGUCAAUAUAAUAUUGUUAAAGCUCCAAUAACAUGGAAACUUAGUAGUAUUAAACAAUCAACAAAUCUAGCAGAAAACUGGAACAUACAUAUAUAGGCAGGACAUUAAACUGAACUUACUUGAACUUUUGCUGGAUUAUUUUUGAUGAACAAAAACAAAGAAGAAAGGGGAUCAAAGGAACCAAAUUUGUUCACGUAGAAGGUUUGUAUUGGAUUAGUAUUAGUUUUGUCCCAUUUCUUUCUUCUUCUGUGCCCUUCUAUCCGAACAGUGAGUUCACUGGAUGUGUUCUAUAACUGGACUUCCUGCUCCCACUCAGCCCAAUAAAGACUUCAAGCCCACCAACAAUAAUGUUGUUUUUCUUAUUUUUGUUAAUUAAUAAUUUUAAAUAAUUACCUAAUAUAGCAACAGAACAAAAAUCUUUUGUAAUAGAUUUACCCUCUAUAUAAUAAGUGACUUUUGAGGACGACGAAAGCUAAACCUGUAAUUUCACUUAAAUUAUAACCCUGUAUGUUGCUGUGAUAAGUGUCCACAUCCUUUAACUCUAAGGUGUCUCUUUCAUGCCUUUCUCUUUCCUUCAUUUUUUAUUUAUAUUAGAUGUAGAAGCCCGCGCUAGCACGGGCCUAACAAUAGUGACGUUGCUAUGAUUUGUAAUUGUCAAGUUUGUAUGUCAUUACCAGAAUUGCAUCAGAUGGACUGUUUGAAAUGUCAUAUUUCGUUAAGCAAGAGAAGUAAGAUUUAAAGUAUACGCAGAUAUCUCGUGCAAAAACUGUAACACCCCGCAAAAUCGUCCAUGCGUUAGCUCAUUGUAAUAUGCUCUUAGAGUUAAAUGACUAGAAUAGUGUCAAAGAGACUUAGUCUUAUUUUUGGCUUCCAAAAUGAGUAAAGUUUAAAUCAUAUAUAAUUUUCCUAAUUUUGACUUUUUAUCAUGUGGGAAAUUGAAUAAGCUUUCCGUUGAUAUAAGAUUCGCCCAAAUCCAAUACCCGGGCAAGAAGUUAUGGCUAAUUUAAGUCAUAAUCGUAAAACACCGUCAUUUUGGUGCUUGGCGCGUCGCGGAGUGGGCCUAUUUAUCAAUUGUCAAAUUCCAGUAGCAUAGCGCAAUUGCGGUGCAUCGCGCUGAAGUUCCAGGUCUCAACCAGCGGGACAACGCGAUGGCUCCGCUUCGUGGUGACCAUAAAAAUCCCAUUCGUCAAUUUCCAGUGAACUACCGCGAUCGUGGCGUGUCGCGGUAGCCCAUAAAAUCGGGCUCCCAAUUAUAUUUUUAUUUCGUCUCAUUAAGGGUAUAUUGGGUAUUUUUCACUCCCCUUAUCAGCUUAAACACCGAAUUUUAAUCCCAAAUGACCUCAUUAUUAAUAUUUUCAUUAGAAACCAUCAAGAACACCCCUUAGGGUUUCAAACAAGAAAACCCAAACAACUCAAGAUUCAACCGUGGGUUUUAGAAAUUGAUUGAAGAUUUGGAAUCCCCAAACCGUGGGCAUCAAGAAUCAUCCUUUAAUUUCCUAAAUAGAGGUACGUGGGGUUUAUCCUAAAAACUACAUGGACUUAUCAACACUAGAACAUGAUUUAAAGAUUAUCAAGCAUGAAUUUUAAAGGGGCUUUGGAACUUAUGAUUUAAAUUUCGCAUCUUGAGUGUGUUGAUGAUAUUAUUGUUUUGGUCUUUAGGACUUUCUCCCUUAAAUUGAUUUAAACUUAUAUGAAUAUGUAUGAUGUUGAAGAUUUGAUUGAGAGCAUUAUUAUUGAAACCCCUCUCUUUGAUGAUUUAGAGUUGAUGAACUUGUUGGGAAUGAUUUGAGAUGCUUGUUUAAUGUUUUGAAGGAGAUCUUUUCAAUAUUUAAGUAUUUAACAUGAUUUUUAUGAUGACGAGAGGGAGUUUCUUGUUAUGAUUUCGUCCUUGUCUUAAAAAAGAAAGAAUUGCAUAUGAUUGAUAUCUGUGACAUGACCACCUUGUGUAUUUGAAAUGGUGAAAAAGAGAGUUUCUUGCAUAUGUUUACAUGAGCUUUAAGAAAGAGUUUCUUGAAAUGACUUAUUGAUAUGGUGGUCCUAGAUUUAUGUUUUGAAACAGAGAUUAUUAGAUGCUAAUAAUGACUCAGAGAUGUGACUUGCAAGUCAAUGGUAUGACGAUACCAUAUAAAUGUAUGUCAUAUCAGAGUUAGAGUUUUCAGAGUAUGUUUUCAGAGAAUGCUUGUCUUAAAGAGUUAAAAAUGGGCAUAAAGAGAGUUAGGUGGUUGCCUGAAGAGGGCUAGAGUUCAAGUAACUCUUAGCCUAAAAUCGUGAUUUGUUGAUCUGGGUAUAUUAUUUUUACGCUGGUGACGGCCGUGUGGCAUAGCAGAGUCAGAGACUCCAACCCUUGCGGCACACUUGGGUUGGAGGCUUCCACACCGAGUCAAUGGCGGAUUCCAUAUGGCCCAUGGAAUUUCAGAGUUGUAGGGUAUACCACCUAGCGCAGAAGUAAAACAAAGAAUGUCUUAGAGUUCAGAUGAUUUUCUUUCAGUGUCUUUCAGAAAUGCCCAUGAGAUUUCUUACUAUAUGAUAUGUUUAUGAACUAUUUUUAAAUUGCUCUCAUAUAUGUUAAAGAUAAAUUAUUAUUUUAGAUUUGCUCUGCGUACCAGUACAUCUGUAUUGACCCCCUACCUCCCAGGUUUGGAGGCUCAGUCUAAGGGUCCGGCUAAUCAGUAGAGUAUCCCAGAGAGAAGGGAUCUGUGCAGUGGUGAGCCUUCUUUGUUCUAGUAGGCCUGUUAUUUCAGAUUAUGUUAUUUCGUUGUUUUGGUCUACUGGGGGUCUUGUUCCAGCUUUCAGAUAGUUGUCAGAUUUUCAUGCAGUAGCGACUUCGCAGACUGUUCCAGAUGUUGUUUAGUUGAGUUCGGAUUUCAUUCCUUAUUGUUAAACUAAAUCCAUAGUAUGAUAUUUUUGCAUCUCCUUUUAUUAUGUGAAUGUUGUGCAUAAUUACUAGAUAGAGUAGGACGACCGGGCCUUCAUGGAUCAGGAUGUCCGUCACGGCCAGGCCCUAGUUCAGGUCGUGACAAAAACCAUCACUAUAAAAGUUCAUUCUUCUUAUGACCUAUUUACAUACCAAAAACUAUGAAUAUGUACGUCUGCCAUGGUACAGAGAAAGUUUGUUCAUGCAGUCUGUGAUCUGAUGUUGGUAUAGGCAAGCAUACAAAUGUCACAUUUUCUUAAGCAAGAGAAGUAAGAUUUAAAGUAUACGCAAAUAUUUCGUACAAAAACUAUCACCAUAAUAGUUGAUUCUUCUUAUGACCUAUUUACAUACCAAAAACUAUGAACAUGUACGUCUACCAUGGUAGACUGUGGUUGCAGACAGCAAAACGCAGAAAGUUUGUUCAUGCAGCCUGUGAUCUGAUGUUGGUAUAGGCAAGCACCUGUACAUGCUAUACCGUGCGAUGAAGUUGGUGGAGGCAACAAAAAUUUAGCUGUACAUGACACACCACCUGACCCUACCGCAUUUAGUUUUGGGUUUAACCACCUACGAGGGAAAUGUAAGAGGUUUAGACAUGGUUAUUUGGUACAGUAAGCAGUAAAUUUGAGGCCCAUAUUGCAUCCAAAUAUGAAACGGUAACAUUAUGAAUGAAAUUGUAAUAACUUAAGAGGAGGAUUUUUUUACUGACCAUUAUCCAGAUUAGUUCAAUUACAUUAAAUCAGGUUUGUGUUUUUCCGAUAAGCCUCAACAAAUAAGUCGUGGACAAAUAGUUGAAAAUAUGAACAAUUCCAUGCCACUGAAAGUUAUGCGAACAUAUACAUUGACAAAAGGAAAAAAGACAAACUAAGGGCUAGUGUUGUGCUCGAUAAAAUCCAUUAACGGAAGUUAUUCAGGAAAAGGAAUUAGCAGUAGUAACAAGAUAAGAGGCAUGUCCUAAUAGCGUCGACCUCUUUUGGGAAAGUUGCCCUUGUAUUCCCAUAAAAGAUUGUUUAAACUAAUUGAGACGGAAAAUUUUGGUUUAGACAAUUUCUUUCAAGCACUUUCAAGUUAUGUAUUACACAGAACUGACUAUUUCAUUAUUGGACUUGCAUAAGGUAAGCAGGGAAACUGGUAGAGUGCGGAGAUCAAGUAGUUUAUACCACAGAUUGCUCAUGAUGUAAUGCCAUUCAACUUACCUCUCUGAUUUUAGAGUCCUUGACUCCAACAUUCUCAAACAUAGAUAUGCUGGACUAUUAGCAGCUUCAAAUCGUCUCUUUCUAAUCUCUAUCACUCUUGCUAUGCCAAAUUUUAUAUAUAAAAAUACUAAAGUUUUUUUAAUCAAGGAGAAGACUUCCAUGAAUAUUAAGAUUAGCGGACGCACGUUUUCUGUUGCAGCUUCAAAUCCUCUCUUUCUAAUCUCUAUCACUCUCGCUAUGCCAAAUUUUAUAUAUAAAAAUAUUACAGUUUUUUUAUCAAAGAGAAAACUUCCACGAAUAUUGAAACCAGCAGACGCACGCUUUCUUUUACCGUUUGGUUCAGAAUUACUAAGCUCUAUAAUGUAGCAACUAAAAUAUUAAAAGUGCAGUUACCUCUAAUUCUUUUUUGCUGGUGUGGGUGGUUUAAUUCUCUGCUUCUUACCUGUCUCUGUUGAAGUCGUGGGUAACGGUGAUGUUGCGUGGACUGAGCUUUCUACUUCAUUGAAGGACGCAAGACCCAGCAUACUAGGUUUUUGGUCUGGAAAUUUGAAAACUGGCUUUCCUAACUAAAGUUUAAACAGUUAAUGAGUGAGCUGGUGAUUUAGAUGGGCAACAGAGAAUGGUUGUUGCUAAAUGCAAAUAGUAAAACAUAUCACAUUAAGUAGGAGCAUGUGUAACAUGGUAUUUUUAUGUAUCCAUAGAAGAUAAUUGUAAAAGAAGGAGUUUUCGUCGUUGGUAGUGGUAUGAAAUUCUGUACCUGAACUGCAGCAGAUUCAUAUAUUUGUUCAGCAGUUAGGGACAAUAAUCUUUCUCCCAACGCUUCAGAGAUGGUUGCUGUAAUUGUGCCAGUUGCAUCCUUGAUGUCAAAGUCGAAGUGGCACCUGUGAAUAAAAUAAAACCAUGUUAAAAUACAUGGGCAAAUAUUUUUUUUAUAAAGAUAAGAAGUAGCAGUACAAAAGUUUCAGCCAGAAUGGAGUCGUAACAUGUAGACAUGUCUAAGUGUAUCUGUUUGGAUUUUUUGUGUCUGCUAGAACCGUUUUAUGUGACCAAUUUACGACAAAGCGAAUAAAAUUAUCUGUUUAGAUAGCAAAGCAGCCAACUAAGGUAGUAUCUUGUUCUGUGGGCACUGAUAAAUUCAAAGGGAAGGUUAUAGCAAGCUAGAGUAUUUAAAAUAUUUUUUGUUCAGUGUAUUCAUGCAAUUUGGUGAGAUAACGCCGGAAGAGAAGACAAAAACAUCCUUGACAUUUUCGUAAACUUUAAUGGCAUUACACAUUGACGCCCGUGGAUAUGAUCUAUAAGUAAGAGUGGAGCACAUGAUGUGUGCGAUGGAUGCACAUUAACGGAGAAAUAGUUAAAACAAAAACUCUAUCAAAACAAAAACUAUGUGGGAUAGAUGCACAUUAAUGUGAAAAUAGUUAAAUAGAAAACACUGUCAAAACAAAAACUAUGUCGACGUUUCUUCUGUGUGAAAUGGUAUUUCCUCCAAGUUAAACCGGAAAUAAUUUCCAGUGACGUCUCUUGAUUAAAAAUAAUUGCUAGUGAAGCCUAAGAAUAAUUUCCAGUGACGUCUCUUGAUUAAAAAUAAUUGCUAGUGAAGCCUAAGUUUUCCUCAUAGAUCAUAAUGUUUUUGUUGUCUAAGCUUUAUUUAGUUGCUUAUAUGAAUCCAUGCACUGCACGAUUGGUUUCGGGGCACCAGUUUCAUGGAUCGGCCAAAUAAUGAUUGGUAAAGACCAACGAACUAUUAUAAUUCAUGACUCUGCCAUGCGACAGUGAUACUUGAGCACUCUUUGUAAUCAAAUCAUCUUAAUUUCACUGAAAAGGAUUAUUGUUUGACAUGGGGGAAAAUAUUAAGCAGUGAAUAUAUUUGCAUACUAAUAUUAUUUUCUCAGGAUUGGUUCUUACUUAGACUAAACCAGGAUUGCCAUACCUCAGAAGCCGCUUGAGGUAAUUCUCACAUGCCACAUGCUUAUUCCCUACAAACACUGUAAAUUGAUGCAGGAAACGACUUCCUAAUCUAAAUUAAAGAAAAAUGACUCCGUACUAUAAAACAUUUUCGACAUAAGACAUUUUCUACAAAAACAUAAUGAUAAGUUUGUUCAACUUCCCCAAUUUAACUUUCUACAACCUGCCUAAACAAGAGACCUGAAACAUCUCGGUGGAUGUACACGAAAUAGAUGGAUGAAUGUAAGGUUGUUACACUUUUGGUUUUGUUAUUUUUUUCGUUUACACCUACUGGCUUUUUUCGCCUUCUGUUUUCAGCUGAACAGAUUGCAGUAGAAUUCACACCAACAUAUGAUGUUAGUGUGAGGGAAUUGCAGAUAACAUCCCUUCAAUUGAUAGACGGAGGAACAACAAAGUGCACGUUGGAGAGAUUAGAUAAUGCGGUUAAAGUAGCACUUACCUGGGGACCAAUACCCGACGGAGGUUACAGUUGAAGCACUGAACUGUUUUUAUAGUCUUGGGACAUACAUAGUGACUGCAGGUUGAGAAAGCGAGCAAGUAAAAUGAUUGAGGGUGGUUCGGAAGUGAUAUUCUGCCUUCCACGGGGAAAGUUUGAACCUGCAAUAUUAGGAUACACUAACAUUAUCAAGUUGAAGAUAUAUGUGGUUAGACCAUGGACUACACUUUUGAAGUACCUAUGCGUGUAUGAUUGCAUUGUGGUUUUUGUCGGAAGCGACAACCACCUGUAAAUUUAGUUGGUUGGCUGAUGCUUUUUCUAUUAGAUAUUAGGUGUACAGUACCACAAAAGUAGACUUUUGCCUCUGUUGGUGUGAUGCGAGUAAGGCUAGUCAUUUUUUUUCGCUCAUGGAAAUAAUUAACACUUACAUGUACAUUGUGGAGUAAACUAACCGUAGAUAACAACUCUGUAAUGGCUGAUAUAGAUAACACUUGAUCUUCAAAAGGCGCCAGAUUCAGCGAGGAAGGUGAUAAUGAUAAACUUUUUGGAGUGUAAGAUACUAACAUUUGUUCAUUGUGCCUCACCCUGAAAAUGUUAAGUAAACAAAAAUAUUUUUAUAUAGUGCUAUUAAAGGGGAGUAAGCUAACGAAUACCAGUUCAUCAAUGUAGUAGCUUGCACGUACUGAGGAUUUAUUAAAAUUGUUGUUUGAUAUCUUCUUGUCAAUCUUAGAGCUGUGUGCGUAAAAGAGGGGAAGCCUCUUUAGUUGAAUAGACAGAAGGAAGAAUUAACAAAGAAGAGUUACCGAGAGUACGGCAAAUGACAUACUACAGCGAAAUUCAGUAACACCUAUAUGUUUGGCAUGAAUGACAGGGUAUUCAUGCAGGUGGUGUAAUAAUGCCGCUCCUUCAUUGUCUGCUAGAUCGUCCCAUAUAGUAAAUAGAAAAGGUUUAUUGUUGUUCGAUAUAGCAGAUGCAUUUAUUACUGCAAUGCAAGUAUGUUUCAUCAAGUAACCAGGAGAUUUGGUGAACUCUAUGUAAGGAGUCGAGUAACUUUCCUCUGGCCCAUCACGAGUAACUUUCCUCUGGCCCAUCACAUUCGCUUUCCUGAGAUAUUUUUUUUGGUUAGCUGUAUAUUGUAUGUCACUGCAAUUAACCACCACCGCCAGUAAAUCUAAUGUAAUGACAAGUAAAAUGUUAGGCAGUAAGUCAGUUAAUAAGGCGUAUUUACAGAUAAAGGUGCGAAGUGAGAGCUUACCAAAUUCAACACCUGGAUGUUGGUGUUCAAUAUGCAAGAAUGGAAGUGCAUCCAGUUUUGUUGGAGCAGGCAGAGGUUCUUCCAAUGCUGGUAAUGGGCUCGUAUUGAAUAAUUGUGUAUCCACCCAUUCGUACGUAGCGGCUCGUAUUGAAUAACCACGGGGAUCCCUAACUUUCAUCGAAGAAACCAAAUAUGUUUGAAAAAGAACAAACAGUUUCUCGUAUUUGGGAAUGUCAUCACCGUAUGGUACUAUGGAAACCUACUGUUCCUGUAGUCAAGUAAAGGAGGAAAAGUUUUACAUAUGCAAGAACAAUUUAUAGAGGAAUGAAGGUAAGUUUUCUGUCUGUCCAAUUCUGAGAAAAUUGUUUUGUUACAUUUGCUUGUGUAUCAAUUCCGUAACAAUCUUCAUUCCACAUGAUAAAUAUUUUGGAAAGACACAAGAGUAUGAAGAAGAGAAGUACGUAAAUGCGGAUGUACUAAGGCAGAUUAAGCACAAUGAAGAUCAUCAGACAUCUUCUUUAUUUAUAUUAAUAUAUUUAAAGCCCAUGAUUUCAAACGGAAACAACGGGAAUAAAGAUUGACACAUCUUUUUUUUUACAUGUAGUUCCCACAAAGGAACAAAUGCUUUCAGGCAGUGAUAACUGAACACAUCAAGAGAAGGAACAAACCUGAGAAUGGGAAGAAAUAUUUGACCAAAUGCGGAUAUACUUGAUAAGGGAAGAGAAGAGUUCACGAGAUGAAGGUAUAGCAGGCAAGGGAUAUAACGGAAGCAACUGUAUCGCUACCAAGACAACACCAACAAUAAGGAAGCAGAAAUAUUAUAAUGUACCCUGAAUAACCAUUAAAGAGUUGGAAUAACCUGUGACAGGAAAACUUACGCUUUCAUCUUGCACGAGUAUUGUUUGGAAGUGGACGAAGGAGUCUUUGCUCUGGCGAGGCCAAAACCUGUCUACUACUUGGGCCUUACAAUUCCAGCCUAUAGUUUCUUUUGUGAUGGCGUUCACAAGAAGUCUCUGGUCCAUUUUGUUGGUCCCUGUUUCAUUAUGAUCCUCUGUAAGUUAUGAGAAUGAAAACAAUAUAUUGUUAAGUAAAUUGUCUUUAGUCAGUGUUAAGUACUUCUAAUCUUCCUGUGGUAGUUAAAAGGCAAAUUCUGUCGGAAGUUUAUAUAACCGUGUUCAGCUCAGUGGUUUCUCAGCGUAGUUACUUAAGUGUGUUCUCUUUACGUGUUCUCUGCUGAGCUCUCAUUUGGAAGAAGGUGUUGGUUAUCGGUAAUCUUGUUGAAAUCUGUAGGAAGCAUUAUAUAAUGAUGGAAGGGUAAAUGUGAUUGUUCAACCCGAUGUUCUCCCUGAAGGCGCUGACAUUUCUAUAUGAUUAACCAUUUCAAACGCAACGUAAGAAUUUUGUAAUGGAGCUCUAAAUAGUCAACAAGAAACACAUGUAAACCUUACCACGGGACACUUACUGAAGAACGUAACAUGUCAUCCUCAUAACUAUUCGUCUGGCUAAUACGAUCCAUUUUACUGAUUGUUGAUGUGCAAAGACGGGGAAAGGAAAUUCUAAAAUAGUCCAAAACAUUGUAAGCUUAUAAAGGACAAUUCAAUUUGUCAGCGAGAAUGCUUAACCAAGACGUCCCAACUUUUGCGACUUUUAGCUAAAAUUAUCAUAUGUGAAAGCACAUACCAUAGCAGCUCAGUAGAAGAGUCGAAACAACGGAUAAUAAAGUAACCAACUUGCAUAAGUAAGGAAUCCAAAACAACAAUAUGCAGAUCAACGAAACAGCAAAAGUUAUCACCAAAGAGAACUCACAGAGACUGUUGAAUCGGAAGCUUCAAGGUUGGGAAUUUCUUUACCAAAAGCUUUAAGGUAGAGUACAAAUGUUAAAUAAAAAUACAGAAUCAGUCUCCUAAACAGUUGCCUAAUACAACAGAAAUGUUUGUUUAAUACAGAAACACUCAAGCGAUGAAGUCGAAAACUAAAAUGUUUAACAGAACUCACAUAGAAGCAGGAAGCUAUUCUAUGCCAAAGUGUGAGAAACUACCUAUGAACUAAACCAUUACAUUAUUAUCAGUUAUUAGGAAUGGUAAGAUUGAAAUUAAGAAACCGCCUUUGUUUUUCAUAGUUACGCCGUGUACCAGAUGAUGUUGGAGAACAACUCGUAUAAAAGUUUUAAUGAAAAGACGUAACUGCCCUUGGAAGCUGGCAGGACGACCACCAAAAGCUUCCAAGGCUCUUCUAUAUAUUAGAAAGAUAUUAGAAUAUAUCAUUGUUCGUUUGCAUUUUAAUUCUUUUAUAUUUUUUGUUCAGCCUCAAUUCUCACUAUAUAAGUUCUACUCUUUUCUUUAUAGUUGAAAAUUCUUUGCUUAUUAUUUUCUUUUUAGAUUAUUCUGUUCUUUUUAGAUUAUUCUGAUCAUAUUCUGGCUGGUAUAUUUUUAUCCCAUUUGUUUCUUCUCUGUUUGAUGUUUUGAUUUUGUUCAUGUUUUGGAGUUAUGAAUUAUUAUUUUCUUAAUUUUUUAUGUCUUGAUUUAAUUUUGGUGUCAUUCAUAUUUCUUUGAUGCAUAUUUUUUCUGAUUUCUUUGUAGAAUAUUGUAUAUGCAAUGAUUUCAGUUACAUGUUUUUGUUUGAUCUUUAAUAUUUUUUACGGGUUCUUUACAUUCCUCUUUUACAUUCAAUUGAGAGAGGAGUUUGUUGAUGUCCAUAAUGUGUCUGAUAGAAUCUCUGAUAGGUAAUAAGAAUUUGCACGGCGUGUUUCUUUCUAAAAAAAAAAAACAAGUUCUAUUUGUCUUUAGUUAGAUUUAAGUUUCCUUCCUGCUAUUUAAAAUUCAUUCAGCGUGUUGCACCAUCGAAUCAACAUUAUGACCACUAGUAUUUAUUAUGAUUGAUAGCUACUAUUUUGAAGUUGUAUUCGAUCGCUUUUAUGUCUGUUUGAUUGAAGAUGUGUUUGUUGGAUACACUUUAUAUUUUCACUUUAACUUAGUUGUAUCAAGACAUAUAAUUCGUUAGAUACAUUGUGUCUAUUUGUUCGAUCUUGUUGAUGCAACUUCGUUGGAUACAUCGCGUAUGUUUGUUCAAUCAAGUUGUAUAAACACAUAAAAUUUCAUUAGGUAUAUUAUAUCUAUGUGCAAGUGAAAUAUACCAUAUCUGCACUUUAUAUGAGUUGUAUUCGAAUAAAUAAGACUCUUCAAUACGUUCAAAACAUCACACAUAUAGCUGUCGUACAUAUAAUAUAUACUUUACAUGUACGCAACAUACAUUGUAUUUUCUAGUAGAUGCAUUGUGUAUGCAUUAGAAAAGGACUUUUGAUUUAUAUACAUACCAUUUAUAUACGCUAUUGGAUGUAUACAUUUUUUAUGAAUCAUCUUUUUAAUUGGGUUGUGCAUAUUAAAUUGGUUUCAUGUAAGAUCAUGGGUAUCAAUUAUCACAUUUCAAAUGUGAUUUUACUAAAUGUGAUGUAUUACUGACCUCUGUCAUGCACAUUCUCGGCUUACUUUAUGAAUAGAUAUUGUCUCAACAUAAUUUGAUCAAGUAUCAUGAUAGAUUUUGUAGAUCACCAACUUAUAAUAGUAUCCCAUAUAUAAACAUGUAGCAUGUUUAAUUUAAGAUCGAGUUUCGUAUGAAUCAGAUAAAUAUCAUACAUUAGACUACAAUUAUUAAGAAUAAAACAAGCUCCAAAGUGGGAUAUCUCAAUCGAUCAUGUCAAAGUACGAAGUAUUUUUGAAUCAGUUCAUUUACGACAAAAUAUUCCUCAAUUGUACUAAUCUUUAUUUGAUAUAAGUCAGAAGACAUUAUUAAACUUUUAUAUAUCAAAUUUAUGGCUAGAGACAUUCUUUGUAUUAUUAAUAUAUUCAAGAUUAAUUUCAUUCUCUAUCCUUAAUAUGAUAUACAUUUAUUUUGAUUAGCAUCUUUAAAACUCAAUAAGCUCCUUCGAGACUUAGAAAAGAAUAUGACAUUGUUUAUAAUAGGUUUUAUUUCCUUAGGUAAAAUUGAUUUUUUUUUCAAAACCUCCAAUCAAAUUAGCAUUAUUUGAAACUCUGAUUACAUUCACCUUAAUCAUAAGUAAAUCAACAAAAUACUUUUUUUAUCUUUAAAUAUCGUGUGUGUUGUAGCAUAAUCAAUCAACACAAAUGUCUAUAUAAUUGAAUUUUAGUCCAAACUUACUUAAGAUGAAGCAUCAUUAUGUCUAUGUUAAAGGCAUGCUUGGGACUAAAUCAAGUCACUUAGAUAAUGUGGUUCUUCUCUUGCUCGCUUCGGGGAUCAAGAUGUUUGGUGGGUGAGAAAAGAGCAACACUGGUCAAAAUGAACAAGUGCUACAAUCGCAAUUCAUGAUCAUAUCAAGGUAAGGUUUGGGUGGAUUUUGUACUCAUAAAGAGUUAGAAAUAAAAAGGCAAGAAGAAGACUAUUGUAGAAUGUCAUGAUUCAAAAUUCAACGGUCAUGUUGGCACUUUCGCCGUGUACCUUGACAAGUAAGCCUAUCACCCAACUAAUACACAAAGAAAAAAAGAUAUAAGCACCCCCAAGGUAAGGCCUCUAGAACGAAGUCGAACCAUAUAAGCAUAACAGAUGCAAAAAGAAUAUAAACAACAAUGCAUCCAUAUCUCUCAAAAUCUUAUGUCAACAGUAUAAAAACGUAUCUAGUACAACUCGAAUCCAAAUAAAAUACAUAAGAAAAUUCAACAGCUACAACUUUGUCUCUAAAAACUAAUAAAGACAUAGUCUGAUGAUAGAGAAGAUAGUAGAAGACAUCCGAACACCUGAAAGUCAUCCACUACCUUGAAAACUCCAACAAUCGCCCAAGCCAAGCAAUGUGGGGUGCACUCGAACCUAAAUUUGCACCAGAAAGGUACAGUAGGAGUGAAUACAGUCCACUUGUACUCAGUAGGUAUCAUAGGCCAACCGAACAAAGUAGAAAAUAAGACAUACAAAAUACACACUAAGUGCACGUCACCUGCAAUCAGAAAAUAUCCAAGAAUGAUAGCCCACACCGCUUCCAAUAAAAGUUCUAAUAUACAUAUAUAAUAUAUUGCAACAACAAAACCAAGUAGAACAUAGUAUACAUUAUAUUACAUACAAGUAGAGACAAGGAAGAACAUGCACAUACAAGAUUGUCAACUAUAAUUAACGAAAGAUAGCACGAAUAAGGUAUGAUAAGUCAAUAUGGAAAUUCAAACACAACUUAAACACAAUAAGGUAAGUUCAAUAUAUAAGAUGCUGAUAAUGAUGAUGAUGAUAAUGAUGAUAAUGAAGAUGCACGAGGUUGUCACACAACCUCCGUAUACACCUACGAAGGCAAGCCUCUCGACGUAGGACCCAUGGGGGGGUCGUCAACUAAUAUACAAUCAGUAUAUCAUAUUUCCUCCCCAGAACAUCUCUCGUAGAGAGUUUAUAAGAUGCCACAAAAUCUCUUUCCUAAAACAUCCAUUGGGAAGGAUUUUAAAAGAAUGUUGCCAGUGUUUCUCAGAGGUUGCCACAGUGGUACCAAUGUUUCAUGAAUGAGUAUAGUAUGAGGAUGUAAUGCUCACAAACAAUAACAAUGAGUAUUCCCACAAUCAUCCACAUGAUGUAUUUCCAUAACCAUCCACAAUGAUAUAUUUCCACAACUACAUGAGCCAAUAUUUACUCAUUAUUUCCACCAUCCAUGAAAUUUCACAUGGCUUAUAUGCCAAUAAAGUUUGAAUAUAACACAAUACACCAAUGGUACUACAAUAGACAUUUCAACAACACAAUACAAUUAUUCACAUGUAUUUCAGGUUAUCGGCAUCACACAGGACCCCACACGAUCACACAUAUCACAUAAUAUCUCAAAACCAACAAUUACAUCCCAUAUAGGCCCCCACAUGGGCACAACACAUUGAGAUAGACAAAUUCGUGAUUAGUUAUCAUACCCUUAACAUACAUUUUGUAUACAAAUUAACUACCCAGCCUAGUCUAAAAGAGUUAAGUCAUAACUUACCUCAAGGUCAAAAAUCGAUUCGCAAUACUUCAACCCACAACCUUAAUUCUCACAAACGAUCCCUAAAUCAACUAAAAUUAAGAAAUAUAGAAUCUACGCGUCAAAAUAAAGCCAACGAUAUCCAUAUUGCCUACUUUUGAAUCGAGGUCAAAACAAACCUCCAAAAUAACUUUUCAAAAAAGAAAGGCAAAAUCAUAACUUUAUUUCAAAAAUGUGUUCUCCAUAACUUUAGGAGCCUACAGCUGAAAAUCCAAAACAAAUCAAGUGAAAAACAAGAUCCAAAUUGAAGAAAAAAUAUUUCUAAACCUUAUCACGCAAAACCUUUGAAAUUCAUUUUAAAAUCAAGAAUCGAAGUUGUUUUGAAGGUGAAAUCGAGGAAAAACAAGUAAUUAUAGAAUUAAGAAUAUUAUUCAAGUAAAAGGAGUGAAAUUGAGGUUUAAAAUCAAGCUCUAAGGUUUUUGAGGUUUUGAGAAAUUAAUCAAAAAAUUCAUCUAAGAAAAGGGUGGAUUCUUACCUUAAAUCCGUAAGAGAAUCAAGAAAUGGAUGUUAAUCUAGCUUCCUAGCACCCACAAGCUUCACUUUUAAGCUCUCACGCUAUUUUAAAGUUUAGCUCUUAAGAGGUGAGAUGAAUAAUGAGCUAAUUCACGACCAAAGGGGUCUACUUAUACCCCUUUCAGGUAAUCAGGUGCUGUAAACGUACACCCUGGCAGUAGGAGGAGGUGUGGCAAUCGCCAACACCCUUAGUGCGAUCGCACUACCCUCUCUGCAUACACUGGUGUGAUCUCCACUCAAGUGGUGAGGUCGCAGAUGCACCAGAAACCAGCUGAACCUUUAAUACUCUUCCAAGUUUCCACCAAAGCCUCGAGAUUUGUUCAGAAUCCGAUACACGCAAAUGAACUAUGUAACCACACUAAAUUUGAUGCUCCGGAGUCAAUACAAAUAACAGAUUUUUGAUAAGACAUCAUUUUCACAAAGUUGAAUUCCGAAAUUCAAAAUCACAAUUUUUCAAAUCGAGGGUCAAAAUGAGAUUUAAAAUCCAUAAAACUACACCGAACAUGUUACCACCCUAAAAUUGAUGUUCUGGAUCGGCUGGCGGAGUCUAUUCAACCAUCUUUCGCGCGAAUCAAAAGAUAACCACAGAAGACCAUAAUAAGGCUCUCAAGGCCACCAAAAACCACGGUAUUGCAUAAAUGGCACCAAAACACAUUGGGAACCGUUCUAAUCAACCCCACACCCCAAAAAUACCACAAUGAAACUAUAGGGAGGGGUAAAAUAGUUAAAUCAUACAAAAACACAUUUAUUACAUAUAACAUCAAAAAUUCAGGUUGUUACAUCAUCUGCCAUUAAAAUUCUAGUUGGUCCUCAAACUAAGGCAAAGAAAUACUAGGAUCAAUGAAGAGUUAGGGAUAAGAACUAUGCAUAUCAUACUCAACCUCCCAAGUAGCCUAAUCUACAGGUCGAUGUUGCCUCUGAACCUUUACCAUAGGGAUAACUCUAGAGCACAGCCGCCUAACAUCCUUAGCCAAAAUGGAAAGCGGCUCCUCAAUAAAAGACAACCUCUCAUCUAACUGAACCAACUCCCAAUGAAUGACAUGAGACUCACCCAGAAUGUAAUGGCAAAGCAUAUAAACAUGAAAAAUUGGAUGACGACUGGUAAAACUGGGGAAAAGCUAACUCAUAAGCCACAUCACCAAUAGUUCGAAGAAUCACAAAUAGACCUAUAUACUUGGGGCUAAGAUUGCCCCUCCUCCCAAACCUCAUCACACUCUUCAUGGGCGAGACUUGAAGAAAAACUCGAUCACCAACACCAAAUCCCAAGGCACGAAGUCUACGAUCCGCAUAGCACUUCUUCCUACUCUGAGUUGCACAAAGCCUAUCCUAAAUGAUUCGAACUCUAUCUAAGGACUCACGAAGCAAGUCCGUACCUCGAGGUCUAACCUUAGAAAACAUCAAACCAACCAACUAACGAACGACAACACCUACCAUACAAUGCCUCAAAAGGAGCCAAGUUGAUCUGGAGUGAUAUCUGUUAUUAUAAGCAAACUCCGCUAAAGCCAAGUGUUGCUCCCAUUGGCCACCAAAAUCCAUCAUACACGCGUGGAGCAUAUUCUCUAAAACUUGGAUAGUCCGCUCGGACUGACCAUCUAUCUAGGGGUGAAAUGUUGUGCUAAGGUCAACCUGAGUACCCAGCUCAUCCUGAAAAGUCUUCCAGAAGUGAGACGUGAAUAUUGAGCCUCAAUCUGAUAUGAUAGACACCACACACUAUGAAGUUGCAUAAUCUCACAAAUAUAGAUACUAGCUAGCUUCUUAGGACAAAAGGAGACCUGCACCAAAAAAAUGUGCAGGCUUAAUCAAUCGAUCUAUGAUGACCAAAACACUAUUAGAUCCAUAGAAAGUGCGAGGCAACCCGAUCAUGAAAUCCAUAGUGAUUUGUUCUCACUUUCACUCAAAAAUGGGUAGUCGCUGAAGCAAUCCACCAGGCCUUAAAUGUUCGAACUUCACUUGCUGGCAACAAAGACAACGAGCUAAAAAAUCCACUACAUCCUUUCUCAUACCACCCCACCAGUAAUGCAGCCUCAAAUUAUGAUACAUCUUAGUCACUCUUAGGUGGAUGGAAUACCUAGAAUAAUUGGCCUCCUGUAAAAUCAAUCUAAUCCAAUCACCCACUCUCGGCAGAUAAACUUGACCUCCAAUCCUCAAAACUCCAUCAGAAUCAAGUGAGUCUUUCUUAGCCUCACCACUUAACACCUUAUCUCGAAUAGAUCUCAAUACAACAUCAUCAAACUGAUAAGCUCGACUUUGCUCUAUCAACGAAGUCCUAGCCUCUACAAAUGUCAAAACACACCCAAGUGUCAAAAUAUUAAUCCUAACCUUCUGGUUAGCUAAAGACUGAACCUCUAAGGCCAAAGGCCUCUCCUGGGUCAAAAGAUGCACCAAACUACCCAUGCUAGUCGACUUCCGGCUCAAGCAUCUACAAUGAUAUUAGCCUUGCUCGAAUGAUAGAGAAUAAUCAAGUCAUAAUUCUUAAGCAACUCAAACCAACAACACUACCUCAUAUUCAGAUCUCGCUGGGUGAAAAAGUACUGAAGGCUAUGAUGAUCUGAUAAAAUCUCACAACAGACUCUAUAAAAGUAGAGCCUCUAUAAAUUCAAAACAAAAACAACUAUGCACAACUCUAAAUUAUGGGUAAGGUAAUUUCUCUCGUGGAGCUUCAACUGACGAAAAGCAUAGGCAAUCAGCUUACCCUUCUGCAUCAAUAUUGCACCUAACCCAAUACCUCAAGCAUCAUAAAAAUAGUGAAACCUACACCCUCAUUGGGCAAAGUCAAGAUAAGAGUUGAAAUCAACAAAUCUUUGAGCUUUUAAAAGCUCUUCUCACAAGCAUCGGACCACUAUAAAGAAAUUUUCUUCUGAGUGAACUUGGUCAACGGAGCUGUAAUGUAUGAGAAACCCUUGACAAAAUACCGGUAGUAACCUGCCAAGAUGAUAAAACUCCAAAUCGUGGUGGGCGAAGUAGGUCUAGCCCAAUUAUAAACUGUUGUAACUUUGGCUAGAUCAACCAUAAUACCUUUCUUAGUCCCCACUUAACCCAAGAAAGAAACAGACUCUAACCAAAACUCACACUUGGAGAACUUGGCAUACAAUUUCUCGUCCUUUAAUCUCUGAAGCACAAUUUGAAAAUGCUUCUCAUGCCCAGCCUCACUCUUGAAAUAAACCAAGAUAUCAUCUAUAAAUACAAUGAUAAAGGAGUCAAAUUACGGUUGAAACAUAUAAUUCAUUAACUCCAUGAAUGCGGCUAGGGCAUUGAUCAACCCAAACCAAGAACUCAUAAUGACUAUAUCGAGUUUGAAAAGCUAUCUUCAAAAUAUCUGAAGCUCUAAUCGUCAACUGGUGAUAACCGAAUCUCAAAUCAAUCUUUGAAAACACCAUAGCAUCCUAAACUGAUCAAAUAGAUCAUAAAUACGAGGGAGAUACUUAUUUUUAACUGUUACCUUAUUCAACUGCUAAUAAUUAAUACACAUACACAUAGAUCCAUCCUUCUUCCUUACAAACAAGACAGGCGCACCCCAAGUCGAUACACCAGGUCGGAUAAAUUCCUUAUCCAAUAACUUCUGCAAGUGAUCCUUCAGUUACUUCAGCUCGACUAGGCCAUCCUAUAAGGAAGAAUAUAAAUAGGCUUGGUGUUCGGCUCAAUAUCAAUAGCAAAAUUAAUAUCACGAUUAGAGGCAUACUAGGCAAAUCCAUAGGGAACAUAUCCAUGAACUCAUAAACAACACAUACAAAAUCCAAAGAAGGGGUGAAACAAUACUAGUAUCACGAACAUGAUCCAAAUAAUAUAAACAUCCCCUCUCAACCAAUCUAUGAGCCUGAAUAAAAGAUAUAACCCUUUUAGGACCUAAAUGAAGCGCACUCUUUUAAGUUAUCCUUGGCACACCCGAUGAGCUAUAGUCACGGUCUUAGCAAAGCAAUCUAGGAUAGCAUGAUAAGGUGCCAACCAAUCUAUACCCAAAAUAACAUCGAAAUCCAUCAUAUCUAAUACAAGCAAAUCUACCCAAGUCUCAUGCCCAGCAAAAGUCACAACACAAUAUCAGUACACCUGAUCCACCACUAAAAAACUCCUAUAGGGGUAGAUACACGAAUAGACAUGGCAAGAGUCUCACUAACAGGAUCAAAAGCCAAAGCAAAAUAUACAGACACAUAGGAGGAAGUUGAUCCAGGAUCAAAUAACACAGAUGCAAAUCUGAAACAAAUGAGGAUGAUACCUGUAAUCAUAAUGUUAGAAGUCUCCAUCUCUGGUCUGGGCGAUAUAGGAUAAUACUAACCACGACUACCAACUAGAUGGAUAGCCCCACGACCACCACCGCAGGCUCCACCACCACUAUAUUUCGCACCUUUAUUAGUACCUUUACCUCUUAUAAUUGAAAUAGAAGUAGCUCUAAUCAUACGCCGAGGGAAGUUCUUGGCCAAAUGGCUAACCUCAUGGGACACAUAAUAAGCUCUACGUCUCUCCUCAAUAGGAGAAGAUACCACUGGGCCCCGAUGGCCAUCCUGAUCUACUAAAUCAAAAGAUCUACCACCUGAACUCUAUAAGGGCGCAUGCACCUAAUAUCCAUGAGGACCUUUAACAUAUCUAUCACUAAGAGCCUGACCUCUAAACUCACCAAAAUAGUGCACCUUCUUGAUGCCUCCCUUGAGAUGCUUAUAGAAUGCCCUCGGUCAUCUUAGCAUGAUCCACUAUACUUUGAAAGGAUACUCGAAAUACAACCAUCUAAGAUGUGGCCAGCUGAAGAGAGACAUCCAACCCCUUUAUAAGCUUUUGAAUCUUCUCAAACUCAAUAGAAAUACAAGCAUAAGCAUACCUGGAUAAGGCAUAGAAGCAGGCCUCAUACUCAACUACAGUCAUAGAGCCCUACUCUAGGUGAUCAAACUCAUCUCACAUACGAUCCCUCAGACUGUAAGGCAUAAAUCUCUCUAAAAAGCAUUGGAAAACUGAUCCCAUAUCAUAUCAGGAGAAUUAAGAGGUAUAUAACCAACAAGCGACCUCCACCAAUCUCUUGCAGCAUCUCUCAACAAAUAGGUAGUAUAAGCAACCCCUUACAACUCGAGCAAACCCAAAUUAUGCAACUUUUCUUGACAAUCAAUCAAGAACUCAUAAUCAUCCUCAUCCACAACACCACUAAAUCUAGGAGGACCCAAACAAGUAAAUCACUCAAACCUCUUCUGAUCCUCAGAAGACAUAACAGGACUUGCAGCAAAAGAAGGCAUCGUAAAUCUGCAGACAGAGAUCCCAUCUAUGGAGGUAACAUAGAUGAAGGUUAGGCUCCCAAUCCCAUAAAACCAUACUAAGAUUUUGGUACUGAAAUAGGAAUAGGGCUCGAGGUUUGAGGAGUACCCAAAAUAAAAAUAGGUACAACUGUAGUAUCCAUACUCGGAACAGGAAUAACACCCAACAUAACCAAAGGAGAAACCUCUAAGCGGGUCAAUAACUGCACCAACAUUCCCUCCAAGACUAGGUCAGAUGAACUAUGUGGAACAAAAACUAUACCUACUCCCCAACAUGCUCAACCUGAGGUGCAGGGGAAAGUCCCCUAGCACCCUUUCUAGAUGAGGCUAAUCCAAAGGCCAAUCCACUCCCUCGAGUCUGUCCAUGACUCGAGGUUUUCCCUCUAGAAGAAAGCUCUACAUCUCUAACCUCGCGGGACCUAGUCAACACCAUCUGCACAAAAAGAGUGAAACUUAACUCAAAACACAAGGUAUAUAAGAAAUUCACAUGAUAAGGAAUAAAAUAAGGAAAUUUUCCUAAAGACAUCCUAUAGCCUCUCAAACAUAGAUAUGGAAAUCUACAUACUGAUCUGCGAGACUCUAUCAGACAUCUCAUUCUUACACCGCUGAGACUAAUGAACCUAGCUUUAAUUUAUCACAGCCCAAAAUUCAAGGGUCAUGAUGGAACUUGUCACGACAUAUCUUGACAAGUAAGCCUAUCAAACAAUUAAUACACAAAGGAAAAAAGACAAUAAAAACCCCAAGGUAAGGCUUCUAGAACAAAGUUGAACCAUAUAAGUAUAACAAAUGCAGAAAGAAUUGAAAUAAUAAUAUAACCCUAUCUCCCAAAACCUGAUGUCAAAAGUAUGAGAAUGUAUCUAGUACAACUCAAAUCUAAAUAUAAUACAUUUAAAAAUCUAAUAGAUAUAACUUUGUCUCUAAAAACUAGUAAACACAUAGUCUAAUGAUAGAGAAGAUAGUAGAAGACAUCUAGAUACUUGAAAAUCACCCACUACCUUAAAAAUCCAACAAUUACCUAAGUCAAGCAAUGUGGGGUGCACUGGAACCUGAAUUUGAAAGGUACAGUAGGAGUGAGUACGGUCCACUUGUACUUAGUAGGUAUCAUAGGACAACCGAGCAAAGUAGAAAAUAAGAAUAUAAAAUACACACUAAGGGCACAUCACUACAGUAGCCCACAGCGCUUGCAUUAACAGUUCUAAUAUACAUAUCUCAUAUAUUGUAAAAACACAACCAAGUAGAACAUAAGUAUACAUUAUAUCACAUACAAGUAAGGAUAAGAAAGAAUAUGUACAUACAAGAUUGUCAAGUACAAUUAAUAGAAGAUAGCAUGAAUAUAAGUCAAUAAGGCAAUUCAAACACAACAUAAACACAAUAAGGUAAGUACAAUAUAUAAGAUAAUGAUGAUGAUGCAUAAGGUUGUAGCACAACCUCCGUAUACACCUGCGGAGGUAAAUCUCCCGACGUAGCACCCAUGGGGGGUUCAUCAACUCAUAUACAAUCUAUAUAUAAUAUAUCCUCCCUGACAUAUCCGUCAGAGAGGGUUUUAUUAGAUGUCACAAUAUCUUCUUCCCGGCACAUUCCUCGAAAAGAGUUUUAAAAGGGUGUUUCCAGUGUUUCUCAGAUGUUGACACGGUGGUACCAAUGUUUCAGUAAUAGGUAUGGUAUGAGGAUGUAAUGCUCACAAACAAUCACAAUGAGUAUUUCCAUAAUCAACCACAUAAUGUAUUCCCACAGUGAUAUAUCUCCAUAACCACGUAAGCCAAUAUCCACUCAUUAUUUCCACCAUCCAUGAAAUUCCACAUGGUUCAUAUGCCAAUAAAGUUUGAAUAUAACACGAUACACCAAUAGUACCACAAUAGACAUUUCAAAAACAUAAUAUAAUUAUUCAUAUGUACUUAAGGCUAUUAGCAUCACACAUGACCACAUACAAUCACACAUAUCACAUAAUAUCUCAAAAGUAAUAAUUACAUUACAUAUAGGCCCCCUCAUUCAUGAUUAGUUUUCACCCUCUUAACAUGUAUUUUGUAUACAAAUUAACUACUCAGACCAUUCUGAAAGAUUCAAGCCAUAACCUAACUCAAGAUCGAAAAUCAGUUCGCAACACUUCAAACCACGACUUUACUUCUCACGGACGAUACCAAAAUCAACUAAAAUCAAGAAAUAUAAAAUCUACGUGUAAAAAUAAGUUCAAUGAUACCCAUAUUACCUAUUUUUUGUUCGGGAUCCAAACGAACUCUUAAAAUGAAUUUUUAAAAAGAAGAGCAAAAUCAUAAAUUUAUUUCACAAAUGAAUUGUACAUACAUUUAGAAAUCUACAGAUGAAAAUCCAAGUCAAAUCUAGUUAAAACCAAGGUAUAAAUUGAAGAGAAACCAUAUCUAAACCUUACCGGGCAAAACCUUUGAAAUUCAUUUUAAAAUCAAGAAUCAAAGUUGUUUUGAAGGUGAAAUCGAGAAAAAACAAGGAAUUAUAGGAUUAGGAAUAUUAGUAAAGUUAAAAGGAGUGAAAUUGGGGUUUAAAAUCAAUCCCUAAGGUUUUGGGGGUUGUGAGAAAUUAAUUGAGAAAUUUAACUAAGAAAAGGAGGGAUUCUUACCUUAAAUCCGUAAGAGAAUCAAGAAAUGAAUGUUAAUAUAGCUUCCCAAUCACACAUAAGAUUCAGUUUUAAGCUCUCAUACUAUUGUAGGGUUUAGUUCUCAAGAGGCAAGAUGAAUAAUAAGCUAAUUCAUGACAUAAGUUGUCUAAUUAUACCCCUUUCAGGUAAUUAGGUGCUUCAAUCGCACACCCAGGUGUACAAUCUUACACCCAAGCAGUAGGAGGCAGUGUGGAAAUCACCAACACCCUUGUGCGGUCACACUACCCUCUCUGCACACACUGGUGUGAUCGCCACUCAAGUGGUGUGAUCGCAGAUGCACCAGAAACCAACUGAAACUUGGAAAUUCUUCCAAGUUUCUGCCAAGGCCUCGGGAUUUAUUUGAAAUACAAUACAUGCAAACAAACUAUGUAACCAUAUUAAAUUUCAUGCUCCAGACUCAAUGGUGAUAUAAAAUUUUUAAAAAAUAUCGUUUUCACAAAGUUUACCCCCAAAAUUAUAAUUUUUCAAACUAAGGGUGAAAAUGAGAUUAAAAGCCAUAAAACCACACCAAAUAUGUUACCAACCUAAAAUCAAUGUUUUGCAUCUUCUGGCAUUGUUUGUUCAGCUAUCCAUCACACGAAUCAAAAGAUAACCACAAAAAUCCAUAAUAAGGCUCUUGAAGCCACCAAAAACCACAAUUUCGCAUAAAUGGCACCAUAAUGCAUUAGGAAUCAUGUCAAUCAAUCUCAUAUCCCAAAAAUACCACAAUGCAACUACGAGAAUGGAUAAAAUAGUCAAAUCACAUAAAAACACAUUUUUUACAUAUAACAUCAAAAAUUCAGGUUGUUACAUAGAAAGAGGCCGAAAAAAAUAAAGAUUAUUAUCUUUAUUGAGGAAUAGCAAUGCAGUGCCCUAUUAUUUUAAAGUUGUAUUUGAGAAUGUGUCGUUGAAUACACUAUAUAUGUUCACUUUGUUGCAUCAAAACAUCAAUUUGGUUGGAUACAUUUUGUCUAUUUGUUUGAUUUUGUUGUAUUAACACAUGCAAUUUUGUUGGAUACAUUGUGUAUGUUUGUUCAAUCUAAUUGUAUAAGCACAUAGAAUUUUGUUAGGUAUAUUAUAUCUGUGUGCAAGUGAAAUGCACUAUAUCUGCACUUUGUAUGAGUUGUAUUCGAAUAAAUAAGACACUCAAUACACCCAAAAUAUCACACAUACAGCUGAAAUACAUAAAAUACAUAUUUCAAAUGCAUGCAACAACACUGUAUUUUUUGUAUAUGCAUCGUGUAUGCAUUUGAAAAUGACUUUUAAUUCAUGAACAUACCAUCUAUGCACGCUAUUGAAUGUAUACAUUCUUUGUGAAUCAUCUUUUUAAUUGGGUUAUGCAUAUUAAAUUAGUUUCAGUAAUAUAUCAUGGGUAUGAAUUAUAACAUUUUAAAUGUGAUGUAUUAAAGACCUCAAUCACAUACUUUCUCAGCUUAUAUUAUGAAUAGAUAAUGUCUCGCCAUAAUUUGAUAAAAGUAUCCUGAUAGACUAUUUUGUAGAUCACCAACUUAUGAUAGUAUCCCACAUGUAAACAUGUAGCAUGUUUUAGAUUGAAUUUUGUGUGACUCAGAUAAAUAUUAUACUUCGGUUGAACAAAUAAAAUUGAACUACAAUUAUUAAGAAUAAAACGAACUCUAGAAUGGGAUGGCUCAAUCAAUCAUGUCAAAGUACAAAGUAUUCUGAAAUCAGCUCAUUUACAGUAGAAUGUUCCUUAAUUGUACUAAUCAUUAUCCGAUAUAAGCCAGAAGAUAUCAUUAAACUUUCCUAUAACAAAUUUUUGGCUAGAGACAUUCUUGGUGUUAUCAAUAUAUUAAAAAUAAAUUUCAUUCUCUAUCCUUAAUAUGGUAUAUAUCUAUUUUGAUUGGAAUCUUUAAAACCCAAUAAGCUCCUUUGGGACUUAGGAAAGAAUAUAACAUUGUUUAUAAUAGGUUUUGUUUCCUUAAGCAAAUUUGUGAUUUUUUUUCAAGACCUCCAAUCAAGUUAGCAUUAUCAAAAAAUAUGAUUACAUUCGCCUGGUGCGGAUAACUUUAAUAGAUAUAUUGUAGCUAUGGAUCUAUUUUUAUUUGUGCGUGGAUAUUUCUUAACUUCUCUAAAUAUUUUUAUUUUAUUUAGGUUCAUAUCUUGGGAGAUGAUUAAAUGGUAUUUGAUUAAAUGUUUUACUGUAGUAUUCUUUAGUUUUUACUCUUAGUCUUUGUAAUUCUUCUAUAUUAUUUUUGAGGUAUUCUAAAUAUUCUAUAUAUUUUGUUCUAAAAUAUUCGAUUAAAUUCUCUUUCAUAAGAAUUUCUUCUAAUCUUAUUUCUUCCAUAUCUUGUCUCCAAUAUUUUAAGUACUCAUAGUUUAUCAUUUUAUUCUAAACUAGUUGCUUAUUUACUAAUUUUCGUGUAAUAUUCUAUUCUAAUUGUAUUAUAAUUUAUAUCUGAAUUAAGGUUAUUAAUCCUAUUAAUUAUCUCUCUUUCGUCUUCUCUUAAUGAGUUUUUUAUAUAAACUAUUAUCUGUAUUUUUUUCUAAAUUUUCUAAGGUUUCUUUUAUCCAUAUUAAUUUUUCUUUUAGAUUUUUCAUUAUUUCUUUGAGUUAGUUUCUAUAAUUAAUUUCUUCAUAUAGGUCACUUUGGUUUUCUCUNNNNNNNNNNNNNNNNNNNNNNNNNNNNNNNNNNNNNNNNNNNNNNNNNNNNNNNNNNNNNNNNNNNNNNNNNNNNNNNNNNNNNNNNNNNNNNNNNNNNNNNNNNNNNNNNNNNNNNNNNNNNNNNNNNNNNNNNNNNNNNNNNNNNNNNNNNNNNNNNNNNNNNNNNNNNNNNNNNNNNNNNNNNNNNNNNNNNNNNNNNNNNNNNNNNNNNNNNNNNNNNNNNNNNNNNNNNNNNNNNNNNNNNNNNNNNNNNNNNNNNNNNNNNNNNNNNNNNNNNNNNNNNNNNNNNNNNNNNNNNNNNNNNNNNNNNNNNNNNNNNNNNNNNNNNNNNNNNNNNNNNNNNNNNNNNNNNNNNNNNNNNNNNNNNNNNNNNNNNNNNNNNNNNNNNNNNNNNNNNNNNNNNNNNNNNNNNNNNNNNNNNNNNNNNNNNNNNNNNNNNNNNNNNNNNNNNNNNNNNNNNNNNNNNNNNNNNNNNNNNNNNNNNNNNNNNNNNNNNNNNNNNNNNNNNNNNNNNNNNNNNNNNNNNNNNNNNNNNNNNNNNNNNNNNNNNNNNNNNNNNNNNNNNNNNNNNNNNNNNNNNNNNNNNNNNNACUUUGCUAAUAAACUUCUUAACAUGCUAUUUUUCAAAUAAUUCUACUAUAAAGCAACUAACAUGAACUUAUUUUAUCAUAUCAUGAUUGUUAGGAAUUUAUGAAUUUAGCUUUUCAUAAUCAUAAAUAAAUAUACCUGUUCUGGUAGGUUUGAUAAUUCUAAUCUUUGUUCAUCCAUAGUUUUUUUCAUUGAAAUAUACUUGUUUGUAAUAAAUGUUUUAAAAGUUUGCUGUGAAAGAAGAGUGUUUGCUUUAACGCAUAAAGGCUUAUAUUUUUCUGCCUUCGAUGCCUUCAUUUAUAACGAAUGGUUUACAUUUUUCUUACUUACUAAUGUUUUACACGUUUCUCAAACUUUACGUCCUAUUCUAUCUUUACAAAAAGUCUAAAAACUAGACUAAAAAGUCUAGUCUAUUUUUUACAAAGUCUUUAUCUACCUAACCUAAUUAUUAUACUUUACAAAAAAGUCUUCUAAAGUAUAAAAAAGAUAAAAACUAGAACUUUACAAUAAUUUACAAGUUACGUAGAAAAUUGUGAAAGUUUGUUACAUGUCGCUUUCACAAUUUAAUAGUUUAUCUUUUAUCUCCAUUAUUGCUUCCGUUGAUAUCUUCUUCUUGUCGUAUCUGUUGUUUUUCUAUCUUCUUUCCAGCUGGCAUGCUUAUCUUCUUUAUUCUUUUAUUCUAGGCGGACUUUUGGGAUAAUAUUAUCUUCUCCAUUACAUCUCGAACAUUGAUGGUCUGGAUAUUUGUAUCCAAUUAUCUUGCAAUUUCUUGUUAAUAAUCCGUCUGAAAUAAAUCCUUUCCUAAUUGCUCUUGCAGUAGAUUAUUUUUCUGGGUUAAGUAACGUCAUUAUCCAUUGUCUAACAUCUUCCAUAUCUGUUUGUCAUAGUUCUGUUGAAUUUGAAUAAAUCAUCUGAUAGUCUCUUGAAUAAUAGCUCCUUAUUUGAUUUCUAUUGGUAUAAUUAUUUGCUAAUUCUUGAAUAAUUGUUGCUAGCCCAAUGAGUUGUUUAUUUGCGUAGAAAUCAGGUAUCUCAAUUCUGUGUAUCUCUGGCUGCUGCACAAUAUCUUCUGGUAUAAUCAUAUCUCUGGUUAAUCCUAUUUUUACAACUUGUAUAACUGGUUUGAUCUCGUCGUAUAAUAUCUCUGCUGGUGCAGUAUAACACUUUAUAUAAAAUAGAUUUUCUUUGGUUAUUCUUUUAUAGGUGGUGAAUAUUUUAUGUAAUUCUUCCAUAGCUGUUAGUUCUUCUCCGUCUUGUUUAUAUAUGGUAUUUAAUAAUCCAUAGUCAAAACAAGUUUUUAUUAAGCUUUGGUUGGUUUUGGGUAGUGCGGUUAGCUUGUUGUAACCUUGUAAUUUUUGGGUUAUAUAGUUUGUGUUUGGUCCUUGGGUAUCUGUAGCUCUGGGGUUAAGGUUUAGAANNNNNNNNNNNNNNNNNNNNNNNNNNNNNNNNNNNNNNNNNNNNNNNNNNNNNNNNNNNNNNNNNNNNNNNNNNNNNNNNNNNNNNNNNNNNNNNNNNNNNNNNNNNNNNNNNNNNNNNNNNNNNNNNNNNNNNNNNNNNNNNNNNNNNNNNNNNNNNNNNNNNNNNNNNNNNNNNNNNNNNNNNNNNNNNNNNNNNNNNNNNNNNNNNNNNNNNNNNNNNNNNNNNNNNNNNNNNNNNNNNNNNNNNNNNNNNNNNNNNNNNNNNNNNNNNNNNNNNNNNNNNNNNNNNNNNNNNNNNNNNNNNNNNNNNNNNNNNNNNNNNNNNNNNNNNNNNNNNNNNNNNNNNNNNNNNNNNNNNNNNNNNNNNNNNNNNNNNNNNNNNNNNNNNNNNNNNNNNNNNNNNNNNNNNNNNNNNNNNNNNNNNNNNNNNNNNNNNNNNNNNNNNNNNNNNNNNNNNNNNNNNNNNNNNNNNNNNNNNNNNNNNNNNNNNNNNNNNNNNNNNNNNNNNNNNNNNNNNNNNNNNNNNNNNNNNNNNNNNNNNNNNNNNNNNNNNNNNNNNNNNNNNNNNNNNNNNNNNNNNNNNNNNNNNNNNNNNNNNNNNNNNNNNNNNNNNNNNNNNNNNNNNNNNNNNNNNNNNNNNNNNNNNNNNNNNNNNNNNNNNNNNNNNNNNNNNNNNNNNNNNNNNNNNNNNNNNNNNNNNNNNNNNNNNNNNNNNNNNNNNNNNNNNNNNNNNNNNNNNNNNNNNNNNNNNNNNNNNNNNNNNNNNNNNNNNNNNNNNNNNNNNNNNNNNNNNNNNNNNNNNNNNNNNNNNNNNNNNNNNNNNNNNNNNNNNNNNNNNNNNNNNNNNNNNNNNNNNNNNNNNNNNNNNNNNNNNNNNNNNNNNNNNNNNNNNNNNNNNNNNNNNNNNNNNNNNNNNNNNNNNNNNNNNNNNNNNNNNNNNNNNNNNNNNNNNNNNNNNNNNNNNNNNNNNNNNNNNNNNNNNNNNNNNNNNNNNNNNNNNNNNNNNNNNNNNNNNNNNNNNNNNNNNNNNNNNNNNNNNNNNNNNNNNNNNNNNNNNNNNNNNNNNNNNNNNNNNNNNNNNNNNNNNNNNNNNNNNNNNNNNNNNNNNNNNNNNNNNNNNNNNNNNNNNNNNNNNNNNNNNNNNNNNNNNNNNNNNNNNNNNNNNNNNNNNNNNNNNNNNNNNNNNNNNNNNNNNNNNNNNNNNNNNNNNNNNNNNNNNNNNNNNNNNNNNNNNNNNNNNNNNNNNNNNNNNNNNNNNNNNNNNNNNNNNNNNNNNNNNNNNNNNNNNNNNNNNNNNNNNNNNNNNNNNNNNNNNNNNNNNNNNNNNNNNNNNNNNNNNNNNNNNNNNNNNNNNNNNNNNNNNNNNNNNNNNNNNNNNNNNNNNNNNNNNNNNNNNNNNNNNNNNNNNNNNNNNNNNNNNNNNNNNNNNNNNNNNNNNNNNNNNNNNNNNNNNNNNNNNNNNNNNNNNNNNNNNNNNNNNNNNNNNNNNNNNNNNNNNNNNNNNNNNNNNNNNNNNNNNNNNNNNNNNNNNNNNNNNNNNNNNNNNNNNNNNNNNNNNNNNNNNNNNNNNNNNNNNNNNNNNNNNNNNNNNNNNNNNNNNNNNNNNNNNNNNNNNNNNNNNNNNNNNNNNNNNNNNNNNNNNNNNNNNNNNNNNNNNNNNNNNNNNNNNNNNNNNNNNNNNNNNNNNNNNNNNNNNNNNNNNNNNNNNNNNNNNNNNNNNNNNNNNNNNNNNNNNNNNNNNNNNNNNNNNNNNNNNNNNNNNNNNNNNNNNNNNNNNNNNNNNNNNNNNNNNNNNNNNNNNNNNNNNNNNNNNNNNNNNNNNNNNNNNNNNNNNNNNNNNNNNNNNNNNNNNNNNNNNNNNNNNNNNNNNNNNNNNNNNNNNNNNNNNNNNNNNNNNNNNNNNNNNNNNNNNNNNNNNNNNNNNNNNNNNNNNNNNNNNNNNNNNNNNNNNNNNNNNNNNNNNNNNNNNNNNNNNNNNNNNNNNNNNNNNNNNNNNNNNNNNNNNNNNNNNNNNNNNNNNNNNNNNNNNNNNNNNNNNNNNNNNNNNNNNNNNNNNNNNNUUUUAGUUAUUAUAUGUGGGUAUAAUUUAUCUAAAAAUGACAUUCCUAAAAGCAUAUCUUUUGAUGUUAGUUCAUAAUUAUAGAUUUCUUCUAUUGUUAUUAUUUUAUCCUAUAUCUGUAUUUUUACAUUUUUAGCUUUAUAAGUAAUUAAGCUUUCUUCAUUAUUAAAUCUUUUGACUACUAUUGGUGAUUUUAAUUUUCUCAUUUACUUUCUGGUAAACAGUUGUAUCUACAUAAGUUUUCUUCUGGUCCUGUAUCUAUCAUAGGUGUAUAAUAUCUAUUAUAAUAUCCUUCUACUAUUAUUUUUACAAGUACAUAUAUUUUCAUAUCAUGUUAAAGUUCUUUUCAUAAAUAAUCUUUCUUUAUUAUACAUUAUGGAUAAUUGUGUAUGUUCUAUAUUGUAUGGUUUUACUUGUUCUAACCAUUUUAAUGCUAAUAUUAUAUCUGUUUUUUGCAUUUCUUCCUUUAUUUCAAAUUCUAUUUUUAUUUUUCUAACUCCUAUUAUUAUUAUUUUUUCUGUCGUAUCUUUAAUGUUUAUUAGGCUCCUUGGUAAAUCUGGGCAUAUAUUACUAUUAGAUUUUAUUUUUUCAUUUUUUACUAGAUAUUUUGCAAUAUAAUUUUCUUCUUGUCCUGUGUUUAGGAGUAUUAAAUAUUCUUUUUCAUUUAUUGUUUCCGUUAUAUAAUAUUGAUUUAAAUUAANNNNNNNNNNNNNNNNNNNNNNNNNNNNNNNNNNNNNNNNNNNNNNNNNNNNNNNNNNNNNNNNNNNNNNNNNNNNNNNNNNNNNNNNNNNNNNNNNNNNNNNNNNNNNNNNNNNNNNNNNNNNNNNNNNNNNNNNNNNNNNNNNNNNNNNNNNNNNNNNNNNNNNNNNNNNNNNNNNNNNNNNNNNNNNNNNNNNNNNNNNNNNNNNNNNNNNNNNNNNNNNNNNNNNNNNNNNNNNNNNNNNNNNNNNNNNNNNNNNNNNNNNNNNNNNNNNNNNNNNNNNNNNNNNNNNNNNNNNNNNNNNNNNNNNNNNNNNNNNNNNNNNNNNNNNNNNNNNNNNNNNNNNNNNNNNNNNNNNNNNNNNNNNNNNNNNNNNNNNNNNNNNNNNNNNNNNNNNNNNNNNNNNNNNNNNNNNNNNNNNNNNNNNNNNNNNNNNNNNNNNNNNNNNNNNNNNNNNNNNNNNNNNNNNNNNNNNNNNNNNNNNNNNNNNNNNNNNNNNNNNNNNNNNNNNNNNNNNNNNNNNNNNNNNNNNNNNNNNNNNNNNNNNNNNNNNNNNNNNNNNNNNNNNNNNNNNNNNNNNNNNNNNNNNNNNNNNNNNNNNNNNNNNNNNNNNNNNNNNNNNNNNNNNNNNNNNNNNNNNNNNNNNNNNNNNNNNNNNNNNNNNNNNNNNNNNNNNNNNNNNNNNNNNNNNNNNNNNNNNNNNNNNNNNNNNNNNNNNNNNNNNNNNNNNNNNNNNNNNNNNNNNNNNNNNNNNNNNNNNNNNNNNNNNNNNNNNNNNNNNNNNNNNNNNNNNNNNNNNNNNNNNNNNNNNNNNNNNNNNNNNNNNNNNNNNNNNNNNNNNNNNNNNNNNNNNNNNNNNNNNNNNNNNNNNNNNNNNNNNNNNNNNNNNNNNNNNNNNNNNNNNNNNNNNNNNNNNNNNNNNNNNNNNNNNNNNNNNNNNNNNNNNNNNNNNNNNNNNNNNNNNNNNNNNNNNNNNNNNNNNNNNNNNNNNNNNNNNNNNNNNNNNNNNNNNNNNNNNNNNNNNNNNNNNNNNNNNNNNNNNNNNNNNNNNNNNNNNNNNNNNNNNNNNNNNNNNNNNNNNNNNNNNNNNNNNNNNNNNNNNNNNNNNNNNNNNNNNNNNNNNNNNNNNNNNNNNNNNNNNNNNNNNNNNNNNNNNNNNNNNNNNNNNNNNNNNNNNNNNNNNNNNNNNNNNNNNNNNNNNNNNNNNNNNNNNNNNNNNNNNNNNNNNNNNNNNNNNNNNNNNNNNNNNNNNNNNNNNNNNNNNNNNNNNNNNNNNNNNNNNNNNNNNNNNNNNNNNNNNNNNNNNNNNNNNNNNNNNNNNNNNNNNNNNNNNNNNNNNNNNNNNNNNNNNNNNNNNNNNNNNNNNNNNNNNNNNNNNNNNNNNNNNNNNNNNNNNNNNNNNNNNNNNNNNNNNNNNNNNNNNNNNNNNNNNNNNNNNNNNNNNNNNNNNNNNNNNNNNNNNNNNNNNNNNNNNNNNNNNNNNNNNNNNNNNNNNNNNNNNNNNNNNNNNNNNNNNNNNNNNNNNNNNNNNNNNNNNNNNNNNNNNNNNNNNNNNNNNNNNNNNNNNNNNNNNNNNNNNNNNNNNNNNNNNNNNNNNNNNNNNNNNNNNNNNNNNNNNNNNNNNNNNNNNNNNNNNNNNNNNNNNNNNNNNNNNNNNNNNNNNNNNNNNNNNNNNNNNNNNNNNNNNNNNNNNNNNNNNNNNNNNNNNNNNNNNNNNNNNNNNNNNNNNNNNNNNNNNNNNNNNNNNNNNNNNNNNNNNNNNNNNNNNNNNNNNNNNNNNNNNNNNNNNNNNNNNNNNNNNNNNNNNNNNNNNNNNNNNNNNNNNNNNNNNNNNNNNNNNNNNNNNNNNNNNNNNNNNNNNNNNNNNNNNNNNNNNNNNNNNNNNNNNNNNNNNNNNNNNNNNNNNNNNNNNNNNNNNNNNNNNNNNNNNNNNNNNNNNNNNNNNNNNNNNNNNNNNNNNNNNNNNNNNNNNNNNNNNNNNNNNNNNNNNNNNNNNNNNNNNNNNNNNNNNNNNNNNNNNNNNNNNNNNNNNNNNNNNNNNNNNNNNNNNNNNNNNNNNNNNNNNNNNNNNNNNNNNNNNNNNNNNNNNNNNNNNNNNNNNNNNNNNNNNNNNNNNNNNNNNNNNNNNNNNNNNNNNNNNNNNNNNNNNNNAGUUUUCUUAUUCUGAUGUACUAGGUAUUAUAUUUUUAUCUAGAGUAUUUACUUCUGUAUUUAUUAAUUCUAGAUUUUCUUUAUUAAUUACUUCUUGUUUUUCAUUAAUUUCUAGUUUUCCUAUGUUUUCUAGAAUUUCUGUAUAUGUUUCACUAUCUUCCGAAUCAUAAUUAUCUGUUUCUUCAGCAUAUAUUGCAUUUAUUUCUAAUUCACUGGUUCCUGGUUCUUUAUUUUUUAUUUCUAAUUUUUCUUUAAAUUGAUUUAUCUCGUUUAAUAAUUUUUGUUCUUUAUCUUUUUCUUCUUUUUCUUUCUGUCUCUUUUCAUAUAAAUCUUUUAGCAUUUCCAAUUCUUUUUCUAAUUCAGCAAUUCUACUAUUUUUAGUUUCUUCUAUUUUUCGUAUGUCUUCUGUGGUUUGUUGUUUUAUUUUAUCUAUUUUUUUUUCUGUCUAUCUCUUCGUUUUCUCUUUCUAUUCUUACCAUGGCUGCCAACUUAUCUUCUAAUUUUAAUUCUUCUUUUUCUAACAUUAAAUAUAAAUGUUCACCUAUUUUCUUAUAUCUUCUUCCUAAAUUAGAGAAUAUUAUUUUUAUUUUGAAUCCUUUGUGAUUUUCAUAUGUUUUUUCAUCUAUUAUAAAUUCUUCUUUUUUCAUUUUAUUUAAAUAUAUAUAGGUUAUGUUGGUAUAUAUAUUCUAGACUAUCUAUUGUUGAUUCUAAAUUUGAUAUUUCUUCUUUUUGUGCAUUUAUUGNNNNNNNNNNNNNNNNNNNNNNNNNNNNNNNNNNNNNNNNNNNNNNNNNNNNNNNNNNNNNNNNNNNNNNNNNNNNNNNNNNNNNNNNNNNNNNNNNNNNNNNNNNNNNNNNNNNNNNNNNNNNNNNNNNNNNNNNNNNNNNNNNNNNNNNNNNNNNNNNNNNNNNNNNNNNNNNNNNNNNNUUUAGGAUGACAUAGUUCUAAUUAAUUUUUCUCCUUUUCCACUUUGCUAAUAAACUUCUUAACAUGCUAUUUUUUGAAUAAUUCUGCUAUAAAGCAACUAACAUGAACUUAUUUUAUCAUAUCAUGAUUGUUAGGAAUUUAUGAAUUUAGCUAUUCAUGAUCAUAAAUAAAUAUACCUGUUCUGGUAGGUUUGAUAAUUCUAAGCUUUGUUCAUCCAUAGUUUUUUCCAUUGAAAUAUACAUGUUUGUAAUAAAUGUUUUAAAAGUUUGCUGUGAAAGAAGAGUGUUUGCUUCAAUGCAUGAAGGCUUCUCUUUUUCUGCCUUCGAUGCCUUCAUUUAUAAUGAAUGAUUUACAUAGUUCUUACUUACUAAUGUUUUACACGUUUCUCAAACUUUACGUUAAAAAUAUAUUUAUUUCUUCUUUAAAUAUCGUGUGUGUUGGAGCAUAAUCAAUCAAUACAAAUGUCUUUGUAAUUGAAUUUUAAUACAAACUUACAUAAGAUGGAACAUCAUUAUGUCUAUGUUGAAGACUUGAUUGGAAUUAAAUUAAGUCUGUUGGAUAGUGUGGUUAUUCUCCUACUCACUUCGAAAAUUAAGAUGCAUGCGGGGGUGAGAAAAGAGCAACACUAGUCAAACUAAACUAGUGUUAUGAUCGCAAUUUACGGUCGUUGAUGAGUGGCAAUUUUGCCACUCAUUGAUACCUCAUUUAUUAUGAUUUAUUAUGGUUAAAUUAAUAAUAUGAGUCUAUUUACCUUGUGAAAUGCACUAAUUUUGGGUAUUUGUGGAUUUUCAAGAAAGUCUAGUGAAAAAGGAGUUAAGUCGAAGCUAGAAAGGAAAAAAAGAGAAGAACAGGAAAAGCCUAAAGAUGUGUCUCAAAAAUGACCCUCAGAUACAGCUCAUGCGAUAUGAGGAUCGCGAAAGUGAUCAGUUUUGAUAGUGGAAGAAGUCACGAUCGCGAUGUUAUGGCUUGCGUAAGCGACAGGUCAGAAAAGUCAAAGAUAUCAUAUUUGCGAUCGCAUUCAUCGUAUAAGCAAAUGGCCAAUGCAGACAAAGGAGUCACGAAAGCGAUCUGUUGAGUCACGUAAGUAAUUGUUGGGCAGAUUACGGGCAAUGAUGUAAUUUCCCAUGGUUCGAUCCCAAUACAUAAAAGGCACAAGCCCUAACAUUUCAAGCAACUAAUUUUCAUCUUUAAAUAUUUAAAAUACAUUUUUGCACUACUCUUGAGUGAAGAACAUUCUUGGAGUGAUUUCCAAGUGAGGAAUUAAUGAUUUUCAUUUAAGAAUUAUUGAAACUCAAAGCAUGGAAGUAUAUUCCCUUUAUUUUUCAUGGGUUUAUUUAAUGAAAAUCUUGGUAUAUCUUUACUUCCUCUCUCUAUGAGUAGCUAAUUCUUUAUCUUGGGGUUAUGCUUGAAUAGAUUGUAAUUAGUGCAUUGUUGUUUAUUUAUUCUCAUAAUUAGCUAGCUGUUAUGAGUUUUGCAUUUAUUCUACUAUUUAACUAAGCAUAGGGGGUUGCAAACCCUAAUUACCUUUGAACCCAUAUCAUCCUUUAAAGAGGAGAUAUGGGUAAGGAAUAAAUGUAAUCAAUAGCUUGAAGUAUUUCAUUUAAUAACAUCUUUUAGACAUAAGGAUGUUUGUUAAGGCAAUAGAUUAGUGAAAUCGUUGCACUUGUGAGGUGUUCGAAAUAACCUAUUUAUGAAAUUUGGUAUUUUAUUGAAAUAUUAACAUCAAUACCUCUAAAUCUAGCCUAAUCAUGAUUCCUAACUAAAUUUGGAAAUAUUUCAAUUACCCAUGCAUUGACUCACACCUAAAAUUGCAUAACCCCAAGGCCUGUUCCCAAUUGAUUGCACUCUUGGCCUUUUCAAUCUCAAAAUAGUAUUCUAAAAGUAAAGAAAUUAUUACUUUAAAAACAUUCAAACUAAAUCCCCCAUUUUACAUUUAUGUUUAUUAUAUACACAUUACAGGUCAACCUCUAGUUGACUUUCAACACCUUAGAGAUUUGAAUUCCUUGUCUUCACUCCUUGUGGAUUUGACCCCAACCUCUGUUGGGUUAUUGUAUUGACAACAAUCACUUACACUCAUUUAAGAGUAUAACUAGAGCAUUAUCAAAAAUUGUGCCUUUGUCGGGGAGUAAAACAUAGUUUUCACUCUUAUAGUGUUUUUAGUCACUUUGGGUUAGCCUUAGUGUUUUAGUUUACAUUGUUUGUUGUAUUUGUUCUUUAUUAGGUGGGAAUAAUAGUAUACAUGAUACUAUGAGCCAACACGAUACUAAUAUCGGCACUAUUGAUGGGUUUCUCAAUGACGAGGAUCACCUCAGAGAUGCGGGUUGAGCAAGUGUUAUUCGUAUUUCACCGAUGGAACAAAAUGGAGUAUUUCACAUUUCUAAUGUGAUGCUUCAUUUGCUUCAAAUUAAAGGGUUAUUUUGAGGACAAGCAUAAGAUAAUGCUAAUCUAUGCUUGAAGAAUUUUAUUGAUGUGUGUUCUCUAUUUGACAUAGUCCACAUAUCUUAAAAAUCAAUCUGGUUGCGUCUUUUCCCAUUCUCUUUCACAAGAGAAGUGGUCUAAUAGUUAUGGUCUUUGCCCAUGGGAUCUAUCACUUUAUGGAUUGAGCUCACAGAAGAAUCUUGGAAAAAUACUUUCCUUCUUUUCAAAUAUUGCAAUUAAGGGAUGAAAUUAUCAACUUUCACCAACUUAAUGGCGAACCAUGAUAUGAGGCUUGGCAACGAUUCAACAAUAAUAUAAUGCAAUGCCCAAAUCAUGAGGUUCCAGAUGAAAUGCUUCUUUAAAUUUUCUAUAGGGCAUUGGAUAAAUUGAACAAGAUGGUAGUCGAUAAUGUGGCAGAUAGUUGUAUGGUCAAACUAUCUUAUGGUGUUGUGGUGACUUUGUUAAAUUAAGUGACCAAGCAAAGUAGAGGUUGGAAUACAAGAGAUAUAAGGUGGCCAUGGGGCUCCCUUCGCAUCUUUUGUAAGCCACGAGCAAAGUAAAAGGGAUAAGGAAAAAGAUGAGAACAAGGCUAAAGUAAUGACUCAACUUGAUCUUCUCAGCAAACAUGUAAUGGGAGCUCCUUUUAAAGCAGUUAACAUUGUUACUUCUAAGAGUGUUAAAGCUUAUGAUGAUGGAGAAUUAGAGUCUCUUGAUGAAGAAAUUCUGUUCUUGUCGAACCAAUCGAGGGUUUCCCGCCCUACCUAUCAAAGGCAAGGUAGGAAUCAAGGAUGGAAGGCAAGGGAUCAUGAUAGAAAUUAGUAUGAUAGAGAUCGUGAUUGAAUAGAUAAGGAUAGUGACUAUGAUCGAUACGUACCUUCACAUGAUAGGUCCAAGGUACAGAGUCAAGAUCCAUUGACCUGAAGAAGUUCAAAAGUGAAAAUGUCCUUGCUCAUAUUUUAAUGGGUGUUGAGGGGAAUGAUAAGAUGGUGAGAGAAAUGAAAAGUGAUUUAUAAAAACUCAAUCAAAUGAUGACAUCUUAUUUGGCCUAUAUCAAGCAACUUGAAACUCAAUUAGGACAAAUAUCGGCAUAACUUAAUGCAAGACAAAAGGUGGAUUGCCUAGUGACAUGAUUGUAAAUCCUAAAAAUGAUGCUAACAUUUUGGCCACUGUUAAUAAGAGUGGUAAAACUCUUGGUAAAGAUAUUGUUGAACUUGACGAAGACCCCAAUGAAAAGGAAAAUGUCUCUAUUGAAGAGAUAAAGAUAGAAACUAUGACUGGUACAUACCUCUACAUGAUAGGUCCAAGGGUAAAGAAUCAAGCUCCAUUGACCUGAAGAAGUUCAAAAGUGAAAAUGUCCUUGCUCAUAUCUUAAUGGGUGUUGAGGGGACUAAUAAGAUGGUAAGGGAGACGAAAAGUGAUUUCUCAAAACUCAAUCAAACAAUGACAUCUCAUUCGACCUAUAUCAAGCAACUUGAAACUCAAUUAGGCCAAAUCUCAUCACAACUUAAUGCAAGUGAAAAUGUGGAUUGCCUAGUGACAAGAUUGUAAAUCCUAAAAAUGAUGCUAACAUCUUGGCCAUUGUUAAUAGGAGUGGAAAAACUCUUGGUAAAUAUAUUGUUGAACUUGACUAAAACCCCAAUGAAAAGUAAAAUGAUGAACAAGCUAAUGAAAAGAAAAAAUGACUAGAAAAGUCAAAUAAUGAUGUUCCAAAGCCUAAUGAGACAAUUACUGAAAAACCAAAGGUAGUCGAAGAAAUGAUUGAAGGUGAGGAAGCUCCUAAAGCAGUUGAUGGUGGUGCUCUAAAUCGGAUGAAACUCCAAUUGAUCCAUUAUCAUAAUUCAAAAUUCCUCCCUCAUUCCCAUAAUAUUUCAAGAAAAAAGAAGAUAAUACCAAGUUCAAGAAAUUCCUUGCAAAAUUUAGCAACUUGUCGGUGAAUAUUUCUUUGUUAGAAGCUUUACAAGAGAUGCCCGGGUAUGCUAAAUUCAUGAAGGACUUGGUAACAAAGAAGUGAGUCAUGAAUUUUGAAACUAUUGAGGUAACCUACAAUUGUAGUGCCAUAAUGUCUAGCACAAGGUGGCAAAGAAAGAAGACCCGGGUGCGUUCAUUAUUCCUUGCAUUAUCAGAGUGUAUAAAUUCAAAAAUCAUUGUGUGAUCUUGGAGAAAGUAUUAAUUUGAUGUCAUUUGCCGUGUUUCAGAAGUUGGGCUUGGGUGCUCCUAAGGCUACCACUAUGAGGCUUUUAAUGGUCGAUUGUUUAAUCAAAAAGCCCAUUGGUGUGUUGUAUGAUGUUUUGGUAAGAGUUGAUCAAUUUAUCUUUUCGGCAAACUUUGUUAUUCGUGAUUGUGAAAUCGAUCAUGAGGUCCUAAUCAUUCUUGGUAGGCCAUUCUUGGCUACCAAAAGGGUUGUAGUUGAUGUUGAAUGUGGUGAAAUAAAGUUUUGGGUGAACAAUAAAGAGGUCACCUUCAAUGUGUGUGUCGACACAUAAUUUUGUCCCUCCUGAACAUCAUUGUCAAAAUUUGAUCCAUUUACUGUAACAUUACCAUACACACUCACCCAUGUGAUAAGUUUGAUACAACAAAUCCAAUAAAUUCAUAAAAACUUUGGACACCUCACCCUAACAAAAAUAACCAUAUACACCACACCCCAUCACCCUUACCCAUAUCACCUCAUCCUACCCCAUCAUGUUUUUUAUUCCACUAACGACUUCAUAUAUAUACUUACUGGAAAAAGAGGGGAAUACUCAUACAACACCCACUAACAACAAUAUACAUACCCAUAUCCACACAUAAAAAAAUUGAUUUCUCCUCCACUGGAAUUUACACAAAGCAACAACAAAAAUACACAUAAGGUACAGAUUGGAGGGAGAAAGAUUGAGAGUAAAAAUAGGGGAGAUUGACAGAAACACAGGAAGAGAUCGGGAUUGAGAGAGAUCAGGGAGAGAGAGGAGAGAAGAGAAAGAAGAAAGAUAAUAGCCAGCGAAUCAGUAAUUUUCAGUGAGUUUCUCGCCGAAAAAUGUUACAACAACAGAAAACUUGACCUAUUCUCCAAUUUUGUCACCGUCUGAGCUCGCUGGAACUCUAACAAAAUAAACCAGUCAUUGCUCUCUUAUUUCCGUCCAAAACCGAUCCCUUUGGGUCAAUUUUAAUGAAAUUACGCUAGAAUAAUCUCAGAUAUGUAACGCCCUAAUUUUCUGAACCGAAAUGCUACAGGUGCUCAUGACCCCGAAGGACCACAAGCUAACCCAUGACUGAUAUCUGUAACUAUAUACUACAUAAUAUAUCAUAAAAUGCAGAAACAUGAACAUGAAAGGCCAUAAGGUUCGAACUGAAUAAACGUCUGAUAACAAAAUGUCUGAAAAAGGUGUAAUAAUACCAAAACAAGUCAUAAAUACUGAAAAUAAUAAGAUCUGAAUAUCUAAUCCGACAUCUAGUCUGAAAGCCUCUAACUGAACUGAAUAAGGUAUUGAAGGAACAUGUCUCCAACUAACUCCAUCUAGCAACUGAAUAGUAAAUGUAGCAAUAAUCAUAUCAUCCUUGAAUGAGAAGGACUCACUACAAACUCUGAAUAUUGGAAUACUUCUGCUGAUCUAGAGCUCGUGCCUCUGAAUCUAUGAUGUAACAUAAGAGAAAGCACCAUAGUAGAAAUAUGUCAGUACGUCUAAAUGUAUUGAGUAUAUGAGUGAGGUAGGCUAAAUGAAAAGGGUUAUAUGCAUGAAUAAUGCUGACUAAUAUGACCGUGAGAAUAUAUACAUCCAUACAUAAUUGUAACUGAACUCGUGGAGAUACUGACUACUGAUUCUGAAUACUGACAACAUGAGUGUACUGAUAUUGAGAUACUGAAUAGAUGAAUGACUAUUUCUGAUAGUUCAAAUUAUGAAGAACCGAUUUGGUUGACUGUGUCUGACAGUCCUGAAGUUAAAUACUGAUAUCAUGAAUUCUAAUAAUUGAUAUGACUAAUACAUGAGUUCAACAAACUGAUAUAACUGAUAUAACUAUGAUGAUCGGCCUAACCGAUAUAACUAAUAUUGAGUGACUGUAUCUGACAGUCUAAGUUCUGAUGGAACUAUCUGAGUUCCAUUCUACUUGGAGUACCUAAAUAUGAGAUCAGACCUAUCUAACGGGUUAUCAUGAGUAUACUAAUAAUAAGGAUGAAUUGACUUAGUCUGAGAUCAGUCUAUCUAGUGGGUGAUCUUUAAAUCUAAUGAUUCUGAUACUGAUUAAUCAUAGUUGAGAUUAGUCCUAGCUAAUGAGUGAUCUUGAAGUCUAUUUACAACGAUAAGCAUUGACUGUAUCUAAUAGUACUGAAUCUGUACUACUAAGCUGAGUUGACUGUGUCUGAAAACCCUGAUUUUAUAACUGAAACUGUGGGAUGUGUUUAUCUAACCGACAUGCCCCAAGCUAAGCUGACUGGGGUCCAAUCUCUGCCCUAACUAGAAGGGUGUCAAUACCGCGCCACCAGUAAAGACAUCUGCUGUGGAGUCAGUCCUAAUCUAACGGGUGACUCCUGGGAUCAGUCCUAUACAUAUAAAUGUGCGAACGGGUGACCCUUGAGUAUGUCAGUCCUAUCUAAUAGGUGACAUCUCAUACCUACGCUGGCUACGUAAUUUUGGAACUUAGGGAUUGCUUCUAAGGAUCUCAGUCCUAAUCUAGUGGGUGAGUCUCCAUCCCUAGGCUCACUCAGUGCUGAAUCCUACUCCCAUCUGAAAGACACUGAACUAAAUAACUACGCUGAACUGAAUAACUAAACUGAAUUGAUUAGCUGAACUAAUACUGAUUAACUAGACUGAUACUAGUGAUAUUGUUUAGCGGAGCUAAACUAAGUUUACUGGAUUCCGAUAAAUGAUGGAAUGUAUUGAGUUCUGAGGACUGGUUAAGAGUACUAAAAUUACUGAGAUUGACUUUGAAUACUGAGGUUACAGAUAUUACUGAGCACUGAGAUCACUGAGAUUACGAAACUACUGAGAUUACUGAGGUUACUGGAUUUUCCUAAGUCACGUGACUGACUGAAUUCUAUAGAUCAUGGAUUGAUUGAGAGUAUCAUGAUAACAUGACAUAGCUCUAGGCACACAACUAUAUUUUCGGGUACAAAUACCCCCAGGACUCGAUGGAAGGAAAUUGACACAACAUGACUGACUUGAUCAUAAGAUUGGAGUCCAUAAUUCACAUUAUCAUAAGUAGGGGAUAUUAUACUUCAUGUAGUUCUUCAACAUCUUAAGAAUGGUAGGGAGUGCAUGGAUAUAUUUCAUGUACAUAUAAUAUAUCUCCAUUAUCAUACAUGUUUCAUACCACAACAAUAGCAAUACAUCAAUAGCAUAGAAUUAGUAUUGAAGUAUAUAGCUAACAUGGACUUGUCAUUUAGAUAUCAUAGAACCAUGUAAACAUGAAUUUCUAGCAUCCUAAGCAUUUUAUCAAACACCUUGCAUGCAUAAUAUCGAGUAUAGGUGUACUUAAUAAAUUUAGAAAUCUUGAACCACCCAAAUUCAUGGGUUUCCAACUAACCUAUUCACAUGAUUCAUGAAAAACACAUCAAGACACAACCUUGAAUCCAAACAACAAUCAUUAACAUGAAUAUAGUCAUAAAACAACAAGGAAAUCACAAUUUAUAAUUUAAAACAUGAUUCUUGAGCUCCAUGGAUAAAAGGGACCCAUGGAUGAAUACUACGCAUACCUUAGAAAAGAAACCUUGAUGAUUUACUGAAGAGUUCUUGGAUUGGGAAACUUAAUUCUUGAUUAUCUUGGAAAAAGGCUUGAAUCUUGCUUUUGAGAGAUGAGUUUGAUGGAAACCCUAAUCUUAUGGUUGAGAGUGUAAGAGAGGGUUUUUGAGAUGCUUAAAUGAAGAAAAAUGGGAAAAAAUUAUGCCUCUUUAGGGUUAUAAGUCGUGGAAGGUGAAGUAAAUGAGAAAAAUACCCUUGCAUAAAUGCCCUUGAAUUGCUGGAAAAAUAUACUUGACGUCAUCCGUGACAGGCCAUCAGGUCCGUGAUAGGACGUCAUGAAUGGUCGUCACAAAAGGGGUCCAAAUUCUUGAUUUUCUACCCAGGGAUGAUGAUGUCAUUAGAAAUAUCAUUAGAAUGUGACGACAUCAUCAAAAAGGUCGUCAGAAACGUGAUAGCCUAUCAGAAGCGUCGUCACCGUUUUCCAGUUUGACAUGGUGGAAUAAAAUGGGGAUAACUCUUUUCUCCGAUAUUGAAUUUAGGAAAAAUUGGUAUAGUUGGAAAGCUAAUUCAAAUAGCUUUCAUUUGAUAUAUAGUAAACCACCCAGUUUGUCAUAUUCAACUAGUUAUGGUCGAUUGAAUUUGACCCAAGUUUUGACGCUCACUAAAACUUGAACGAUAGGAAAGCUUUCAACUUGUACUUGAGUUAGGGGACCUCUAUGGUCUAAAUUCAUGCUCAAAUAGAUUCUCACACUACAUAAUUGAUUAACACACAAAAUUUAUAUAGUAUUUGAGCCUUUUGAAACAUCCACGCAUAGGAAUGACGGAUUUUCAUUCUAGUCCAAAAUUUGGGGUAUUACAGGAUAUUAGCCGAAAAACGCUAGUCAGUUCCCAUACUUAUUUCAGUGAAAACCAUUGGAAAAACAUGUGGGUUGCUUAUUUUUUAGGGAUUUGAGUUGGCAGGUUUGCUGUUGAAGUUUAAUGUGAGGUAUUCCAGUGGUGCUCUAGUCGGAUGAUUCGAGAUUGAAUUCAAAUUGAGGUCCAAUUCUUCUCUUGUUCUCUUUUAAUUUCAUUAUAUUUAUUUGUUUUCAUAUGCUUACGAUGGAAAGUUCUUGAAUAUGUGUUCGAUGUGAUCAUGUUAAAUUAUUGAGAUUGUUUUGAAUGUAUUCGGAUAAGGAAAUCGAAUAUGAUUUGAUUAAUAAUUGCUUAAUUUUGAUUUGGAUGAGAAAUUGAUAAUUUGAGAAUAGAAUUAAGGGUGGUAAUUGAAAAUUGAAUAAGUGAAUAUUGAUUUAUGUCAAUUAAUUAAUGGUUGUUUAAUUUGAAAUAAAUGUCGAUUUGUUGAACGCGAUAGUAUCGUGUCUAAGUCGAGACUUGGUAGGCAAACAGUAGGUUGGGUAGGCAAAUUUAGGAAUUGUGGAUUGUGGAAUGUUUGAAUGUUUGUUGAAUGAUUUUGUUUUAUCGCAUUUGAAUCAAUUGUACUUAUUUGGCCGGGGAAUGUCCCGAGAAAAAUUAUAUUCAUUCAUUGGGGAAUGCCCCAAAGUGUCAUGUACACAAAUGUGGCUUGUGAUCAAGGCCCAAGGCUUCAUGUAAAUCAUAUCUAGGACAAUUAUAAUAGUUUAGAUUUUGUUUCAGCAUUUUUAUUUCGGUUUGUAAUAAUUUGGACUGGACACUGUUUUGAAUUUUUGAUUAUUUUUGUUAUUUGUUUCCUUGUUUAUGUGUUUUGUUGGUUUAUACAUUACAUAGUGUCAUACUAGGUGAUAUAGUUCACGGAGAGACUGUGGUUGAACCAUGGGACCGAGUGGUGCCUAACACCUUCCCCUCAGUCAACAGAAUUCCUUAACUGGAAUUUCUAUUUGUGGACCAGUUUUGAAAGAGUCAAAAAUUAUUUUGAAAAAGCAUUUCCAAAGGUGACUUGGCACACUUGAUUUAUGCCAAGUGGUGACUCUGAGUUUUGAUUAAAAGUCCUUUUGGAAAUAAAUUGUUUUCUUUUUGUCACUUAAUAAUAAAAACCCUUUCAAACUUAAAAUCAAUCUUUUUGGUAAAAAAAAAAAGGUGUGACAGAUCUGGUGACUCUGUUGGGAAAUUUUUGAAUUCGAGCUUUAUUUUGAGUUGUAUCGGCUUAGUGUGACACUAUAGGUGUAUAGAUGUUUUGUUUGUGUUAUCGUUUGUGUUAUUAUUUUAUCAUUGUUGAGUGCCUACAUGCUAUGUGUUUAUAGUUUUUCUCUUAUGUAUUACUGUUUUAGGAGAGGGAGCCGUCAGCUGGUAUGAAGUUGGUGGAAAGCUAUCGCAGCUACCAUCGUCUAUACGCUCCCCCGAACAGCCUUUUUAGUGGACCUCAACCUUUAGGUCAUGCUUAUCUACAUCAUAUUGAGAUCUAGCAGGACCCACUCGGUCUUUCGCAGGAGACUCACCCAUAAAGCAUCCUUACGUGCUAAUUAUUGCAUCUUUGAAGAUAACAGGGUCAUUUGAUGGACUGAUUUAAGAAAAAGCAUGAGCUAGAAUUAAAGAAAAGUGUGUAGGCAAAUAAAGGUUGAAAAAAAAGGGAAAAAAAAAAAGAAAAAAUGAGUCAAGAAAAAUAGUUUCGUAGUUUUUAGAGUUCUUUAUGACUUUUGUUUUUCAUAAUCCAAAAAUUUAAAAAUGUUUUUUAUCUUUUGCACUCAUUCUCUCAAAAAAAACAUCAAAAAGAUUUUUCUUUUAUUUUUUUAGCAAGCAUUCAUAAUUUGAAAAUUUUAAAAAAGAUUUUUUUCAAUAGGAGCUUUUUAUAAGAGAAAAAAUCAAAAAAAGAUGGUAGAAGUUUUGUAGAUUUCAUAUAACGAAAAUACUAAAAAAAAAUUAUUUCAUAGUUUUUGGUGUCAGUUUUAUGUGAAGUAUCAAAUUGAAAAUGCCAAAAAAAAUUUAUUGACGUUUUUCAUCGUCUAUCUUUCGUCGUGUCUCUCAAGUCAUGGUUUAGUUGGUUAUUUAAUCCUUAAUUGUCCAAUCUGGACAAACUACGCACACCUGAUUUUCCUCUCUUGAGAGUGAGAUACGUAUGAAGACCUUCGUGGGUUCGAUGAUAUUAUUUUAAAAAUUCAAAAAAGAUUUUCUUCACUCUUCAUUUAGAGUAUGUUUUUCAAUACAUCUUUAAAAAAAAACUAUAAAAAGAUUUUCUUUAAUAGUUUCAAGUUUUAUUUUCCUAUGAAAUUCUAAAAAAUCCAAAAAGAUUAUUCUUUGAUAAUCAUAGGUCUCAUUUUGUAUAGGCAUUGUAAGGCUAAAAAUAAUUCAAAAAAUUUUUUGCCAACUCUCUUGACAAUUUUUUUUCUUCUUAAAGUUUAUAGAAAAAAAGAAAGAGAGUUUGAUUGGUCAUUUUGUGGACAAACUUCAUGAACUACGAAAAACUGAUUCUACCCUUUCGGGGGUGAGAAACGUAGGCGCCCUUUUUGGGUUUAGUGAUCUUUUCAAAAGCAAAAAAAAAAAGAGAAAAUGAUUUUGAGGAAGUGUUGAACUCUAAUGCUUUUGUUAUCUCUUGUUUAUUUAGUUUAAUGUGGUUGGUUUGUGGCAUUCUGGAUGGUCCUCCAUAUCACACCAAAUCCAAGGAAAGGUUAGUUGUGUCUAACAAGGAUAUAGAGAGUGACAUCAUAGAUCAAACAAAAAGUCAGUAAAGUUAGAGUUUAAAGCAAGAGAUUGUAAGGCUAAGACAACAAAUGAUGGAAAUGUAUCGAGCUUGGGUCAGUGAGCUGCCUCCUCCUCCAUUCCCCAUUAUUGACCACGUAAAUACCUUAAUCUUCAGUCAUAAUUGCAAAGUUAGUUUCCACUGUUAUUGAUGCACCACGAUAUGCCUCAGCAUUCACUCCAAGCCAAAAGCAUCCCAAUGCUUCCAUCACUCAUUCUCUAGCUCUUUAGUAUAAAUCUACAAUAUUGAUAGCACCAUCUAUCGUCUCUGCUUCUGCUGCUCAACUCUCUAUUGAGGCUCCUACCUUGGCUUUUCAUCCAAUGAUUGUGCUUUCCCAAUCUUCUAGUGAGUCAAUAUUCAAUACUCUUGAUGAUUACUAUUAUAUUCCUGAGCCCAUAUCUACGUUAAUUGGACCACCAAAAUUUCUUACCAAGAAGUCUGACAUGGCAGAAGAGCAAGAGAAAAUGGCUAGGAAAAUUAAGAGUGUAGAAAAGGCUAUGAAAAAUUCUCUGGGACUUAGGAAUUGAGAAGAUUUUGCAUAUAAGGAUUGGGGCAUGUCUUCAAGUAUUAACCUCCUUCCCAACUUUAAGGUAUUAAAAUUUGAGGAGCAUAAUGGGUAGGAAUGAAGAAAAGAAGAAGUAGAAUGUAGCUAUUGUUGUGUCUGGGCCACAACGGAGCUUGAGAGGGUUAAAUCAACAAUACCGUCAGCCUCAGCCCCAAACCUGUACAUCAGAUCCACAUGCUCACCUGCAACAAGGUUCCUCGUUGCAAAAUUCAAGAUAUUUCAUUCCACUUCCUCGGUAUCUUUUGAAUAAUGCACAACGGUAUACUCAUCCGUCUUCUUAUCCACAAUAGCAUACACUGAUCCCUCAACAUCGUCCUCAACCCCCAUAUAUUUACCAAGAAACUUCUAAGUCCAAGUUUCAACCAAGUCUGGAGUUUGCAAGAUAUUUCACACCAAUUGGGGAAUGUGUUUGAUAGCGGUGAAAGUUCUAGUCAUGAUGAUGUGUAAAUCAAGGGCUAAGAUGUCAAGCUCAGCAGUUGGAAAGUCACUCCCCUCCUUACCAGGAAAGAUUAUUGGUAGUUUGUUUUAUUUUUCUUUCUAUUUUCUAAAUUAUAUGAGGGUUGUAGUUCAUAAUCUAUCUUGUUUUGUUUCUCUUUCAUCUUUAUUUAAACCUUUAAAUCUUUCCUUCCAUUUGAAAUGUGGUGUCCCUUAUUGUUUUGUCUUAUUUAAAGGUAUUUGUUUGUUUUCUUUACACAAUACAUUUUAUGUUGGUUCUAGUGUUAUGAUAUGUCUGUGGAAUUUUCAGUCAGAUCUUAAAAUCUAGGUUAAUCAAGAAACACUAAAUCAGAGGGCUAAAGUUAGAAAAAAAAAGACAUCUGAGAAAUAAGAGAGUGUUAAGACAUUUGGUGACCAUGUUGAUGCCUUUUUUCAAAAUUAAUACAAUUAUUUUGAAAACCACAAGAAUAACUUGGUCAUCAAUGAAAAAGCAUAGCUCAAUUAGGUUAAAUAGUAGAUGCUUGAUCCCUAUAUCAAGAGGAAUAGAAAGAUAAUCAGCUCUACGAAAGCAUGGAUCAUUCGAUGUGAGGGAUGUGUAACAAAGGUGGAGUUGUAUGUUUGACAAGUGUAGAAGAAGAAGUGGCACACAUUCUCAGUUAAAGUUAGUGUUGUCAAAGUGUCACAAAUGACAUCUUUCACUUCAUAUUUCAUGAUGUGUACUGGCAUUUUCAAGGAUUGAUAUGACGAAGGCAUUUUAUUCUACUAUCCAAACAUUGUGUCAUUCUAUGUUUACCCUAUUUGGGUUUUAGUGUUAUUUUCAUUCAUAUCCCUCUUUUGGAAUCAAGAUAGAGUCAGCAAAGCUCAAAAGAAAAGUGUCGAGCAAAAUAAUAGAGUCAAAAAAGUUUUUUUUUGUAAAAGAAAAACAUGUGUCAAAAAGGAAGAAAAGAGAUGAGUGCCAAGAAAAAUAAAGUAAGAAAAGUUCCAAUAAUAAAAAGAGUCGAUAAAAAAGAUACCAAAAAAAAAACAAGAAAUUAGAGUCAAGCAAAAAAACAAGUUAUCAGAACUACGUUUGACCUAAUUCACCUCUUUCGAUGGUGAGAUACAUAGGUAGCCCUACUUUGGGUUCGGUCCAACCAAAUAAACAAUUCUAAAUUGCCUAGUUAAGAAAACUGGGGCAUAGGUUAAUUUCCAUUAUUUCAGUUGAUUCCAAAAGUUGUAAGUCCUAACCUACUUCAAGUGUCGUUUGAGCCUCAUACCAUUUUUUUAUAACAUUUAUCCAAAAGCCAAGUUACAACCAAAUAAAGAUCUUCAGAUCAAUCUUUGAGAAUGAUAAGGCUAAGCAUGCAAUGCAUAUGAUGAUACAUUUUGGGAACUACUUGUCUUCCUUAGCAUAACGAAUCAGAAAAGAAAUAAAAUGAAAGAGUUUUAUUAGUGAAAACCCUCACGGACACCGUAAGAUGAUUGUGAGUUGAGAGAAUGAAAUAAGAGAGUCUUAUUGGUGAAAACCCUCACAGGCACCAUAAGAUGAUUUUGAUUUGGAUAAGAAUAAAAAUGAGAGAAUCUUGAUGGUGAAAACCCUCACGUACACUGUAAGCAAUGGUGAGCUGAGGAAAAUAUAAAUGGGAGAGGCUUGUUGGUGAAAACCCUCAAGACGCAACUAGCCGAAUGAGGUCUAUGAGUGCAAUUGGCCUAUGGAAGCAACUCAAUUUAGGGUCAUUAACUCAACAACAAUUGGUGAAAGUUUGGAUGGAAAGAUAGGGAAGCUUAAUCCAAAAUGCAUGUCAUAAUCAUUAGUGUUGACUGCCACUUUCAGAUAAAUUUCUCUUUUCUCUAUUUCAAUGAAGACAUUCAUUGUCUGUUCUUUCUUCUUUAUAUUUUUAUUUUUGUUAUCUUGAGUCAGUUAUUCAAAUGAAAAGUCAUUUUUCUUAUAUCUUUGAGUCAAAUCAAUAUCAAAGCACGUGAGAAAAGAUUUCAAAAUUGGCUACCAAUGUAAUGCCCCGAGUCUGUACCCCGGACGCUACAUGGUGCUCAUAAUCUCAAAGGACCAUGAGCUAACCCAUGACUGGUACCUUCUAUAAUAAAUGAGUAAUAACAUGUUAUAAUGCAGAAUAAUGGGCUAAAAUACCAUAAGGUUCAAAUAACUGAAAUAAAAAUGAGAUAAGGUAUCUCAAUACCAAAACUAAACAACUGUCUGAACAUCUAGUCUGAAAAGCCUCUAGCUGAACUGUCUUAACUGUGGAGUUGAUGGGAUAAUCCCCCAACUAACUCCAUUUACUGAAAUGUUGAAUGUAAUGAGAUAAUAAAAUAAAAAAAUAUCCUCGAAUAAUGAGGACUCACUGCUAGUCUACUGCUGCUGGUUGAAUCUAAAUCUAUCUACGCGUGAUUGAGAACUUGAGCAUCCGAACCUAUGGUAUAAAACACCAUAGCGCAAGAGAAAAGUAUGUGUCAGUACGUGUGAAUGUACUGGUAUGCAAAGUAAGGUAAGCUGAAUGCAAGGGUUCACAUGCAUGAACUAUAACUACUGAAUAACAUGAACAUGGCUGAGUGAGAAAUAAAUGCAUGAAUACAGGAGCUGUAACUAAAGUCAUAAUAAUACUAAAUAUUGAGUUUAUUGGUAACAUGGAUUACUGAUAAUUGAUGUACUGAUAACUGAUAUACGGUUACUGAGUGACUAUUUUUGACAGUCCUGGCUCUGAUGGAACUAGCUGAGUUCCAUACUGAGCUGAAUAAUUGUAUCUGGUAGUCCUAAAAUCUGUAGAACUAUUUGAGUUCUUUACUGAUGACUGAGACUAAGACUGUGGGAAGUAAUCAUCUAACCGACAUGCCCCUUUUUAACUGAUUUGGAGUCCAACCUAUAACCCUAGUUGGAAGGGUGUCAAUACCAUACCACGGGUAAGGAGAGUUACCCUCAUUUGUCAAGUACUCUAAUGAGAAUGAUGGGACCCUCAACUAACAAGUUAAGCCACCUCAUCAACCCUUAUCUGGCAGGUUUGAUGUCUUAACCUACGCUGGCUAUGUAAUUCUGGAACAUAAGGACUGCUUCUAAGGAUCACACCCUCUACUAGCAGGUGAGCCCUCAUCCUGGGGUUCACUCGGUGCUGAAUUCUACUCCCAACUGAAUAGACACUGAACUGAGUACACUAGACUGAACUGGACUGAGUUUACUGAGUUUCGUUGGCUGAUGGAAUACUACUGAAUUCUGUUGACUGACUGAGUUUACUGAGGCCUAAACUAAAUACUACUGAGUUUUUUCUGAAUUCUGAGACUGGCUGAGAGUACUACUGAUCUUGACAUGACUGAGAUGAAUUUUGUAACUGAUACUAGAUCUAGGCACACAGCUAAUUUAUUGAGUAUUAAAUACCCCCAGGACUCGAUAGCAUGAAUAUAAUAAGACAUGACAAUUAUUGAAUACUUGACAAUGGUCAACAACUCACAAUAUAAUUUAUAAGGCAUUUCAUCAAGCACUUGAAAGUCAUGAACUUGCACAUAAAUAGGAAUACAUGCUAACAUGCCAUAAUUUCAUUAAACUAAUCUCAUGAAUAUUCCAUCAAACACUUACAAGGCAUAGUUUUAUACUUGGACAUGAACAACAAUUCUAAUACAUCAUGACUACCAUAUUAAUUCAUAAUUCAGGGUUUUCUACCUAAGAGAAUCAAAAUUCAACUUGCAUGCCACCAUAAUAUCAAGAAAUACAUUAAAGAUUUCAACUUGAAAUAAUACCACAACAUCAACAUGAUUACAUUCAAACCCACAACAUGGACAUCACAACAUAUGUUUUUAAAAGAAGUUUCUUAAACUCUAAGGGUGGAAGGGACCUUUGGAUGAACACUUUACAUACCUUAUUGCUUGAAUUUGGAAAGAUUGAUGGUGAAAUCUCUAAGAUUUAAUUCUUGGAUUGAUAGCCCUAGGGUUUUAUUCUUGGGGAUUUUAUGAAAAAUGAUUGUAUUAUGCCUCUAAAGGGGCUAAACUUCGUGUUAUGGGGGUUGAAGGCCGUGGAAAAAAGACCCAAUUACCCCUUGAUACGUGACUUUUAAAUGACUAAAAAACUGGGUUAUCGACGCGUAGGUCGACGCGACGUGUCGAUGGCAUCGAUGCAAUAAUCAAUGCAUCGGGCCAAGUUAGCGCCGACUCACUGGAAUUUAAUGCUGGUGGCUGGGAAAAAUAUUAACCAAUGCGAUAGUCGAUACGACACGCCAAGAUAAUGUUGGUUCACUAUUUUGGGAUUCCAAAGGAUGUUCAAACGAAGUUCGAAAAAUCCAAAACUCGUUUGGGUUCACCUAUUGACCUUCCUGAUCAAGAAUUAACUUAAAUAUAGAUAUUUAAAGGACAUUAAGGUCGCGAAGUAUAAGCGCCAACUUUCGAAGGCUAAAAAUAUAACUAAGUCAGAAUACUUAGCUAAAUAUUCUAAGUUUGGGACCCCUUUACAAGCUUAAAAGACUGAAUUAAGUUAGAAAUUUUGCUGGGUUUUACAAUAUCUCCCCCUUGGGAACAUUCGUCCUUGAAUGUGAUGGACUGAACUGAGAGUACUAGUAAGCUAAAUCUACUUACUAGACAUGGACAUCUGGGACAUGACUAUAGGACUGGUAUUACUGAUAUACUGAAUUACCACACUAAACAUGCAUAUCAGAUGCAUGAGUACAUAACUGAGCUGAUUCAUGAGUACAUGACUAGGAUUUCUGAUAAGCUAAGUUUCUCAUACUGAACAUGCAUAUCUGAUGCAUGGAUAUAUGAUUGAACUAACUCAUGAACAUAUGACUGAAUAUGUAAUGGUAUUUGAUACCAAGUUUGUAACUGAAAUCUAAACAUGAAACUAAAUAAGCUUAGGGAAAACUAUUACCUUGGGUUGAGUCUGAGUUUGCAGAGAAGAGGUAAGUAUACUUGGUCUGCAUGUCUGCUUCUGCUUCCUAAGUAGCUCCCUCAAUGGACUGAUUCCGCUAAAGAACUUUGACUAGAGGGGCUUCUUUGUUCCUCAAUCUGCGAGUCUGAUAGUCAAGGAUUUUGACUGGAAUCUCUUCGAAGGAGAUUUUGUUUUGAAUAUCUAUGCCCUCUAUAGGGACUACAACUGCUGGGUCACCGAUGCACUUCUUUAGCAAGGAGACACGAAACACAGGAUAGACUGAAGCUAGAUCUGAAGGCAAUUUGAGAUCAUAAGCUACUUUGCCAAAACGACUAAGAACUUUGAAGGGACUGACAUAUCGGGGACUGAGCUUUCUCUUCUUAAUGAACCUCUUCACUCCUUUCAUGGGGGAGAUUUUCAAAUGCACAUAAUCACUAAUCUCAAACUUGAUAUCUUUUUUACGCAUAUCUGUGUAUAAUUUUUAUCAGAUCUGAGCUGUCUUAAGCCUUUCUCUGAUCAAUUGAACUUUUUCUAAGGUAUCGAAUACUAGGUCAGGUCCUACAACUGUGGCCUCACCUACUUCAAAUCAAGCAAUUGGAGAUCUACAUCUCCUACCAUAGAGAGCUUUAAACGGAGCUAUCGGAAUACUGGAAUGAUAGUUGUUAUUAUAUGCAAACUCAAUCAAAGGCAAGUGGUCGUCCCAACUACCUUUAAAAUCUAUCGCACACGCUCACAGCAUAUCUUCGAAAGUAGGAAUGGUCCUUUAUUCUUGACCAUCUGUCUGGGAUUGAAAGGUUGUACUGAGAUAAACUCGGGUACCAAGUCCCUUUUGGAAUGCCUUCCAGAAAUGAGAGGUGAACUGGGUACCUCUUUCUGAGACAAUGAACAAUGUAACACCGUGUAAUCUGACCAACUCUCUGAUAUAGAGUUUGGCAUAAUCCUCGACUGAAUAUGAGGUAUGGACUAGAAGAAAGUGAUAUGAUUUGGUCAACUUAUCUACGAUGACCCAAACUAAAUCGUGUUGACGACGAGUACGAGGCAAACCCAUCACAAAGUCCAUGUUCACUUCUUCUCACUUCCAAGUAGGGAUACUAAACUCCUGUAUGGACCCACUUGGCUUCUGAUGCUCAGUCUUAAACUACUGACAUUUUGAGAACUUAGCCAUGAAUUCUGCAAUAUCUCUCUUCAUCCCACUUUACCAAUAUAUCUCCUACAAAUCGUAGUACAUCUUAGUGGCCCCUAGAUGAAUAGAGUAACACUCACCAUGCGCCUCUGCAAGAAUUUGCUGCCUCAAGUCAUCCACACCUGGCACACAAUAGAUGACCCUGAUAAUGCAAAACACCAUUUCCCCCUUGGGAGAAAACCUCUACCUUUUGAUCUCUGACUGACUCAUUCAACUUGACUAAAUUGGGAUCUCUAUCCUAUUUUUCCUUUACUUCAGAAACUAGAGAUGAUUCUAAACUGUUUAAAACCCACACAUUACCUUCUGCUGAAUCGACUAAGCGGACACCUAGUCGGACAAGCUGAUGAACUUCCUGAACUAACUUCUUCUUACUGUCCUCAACAUGAACAACACUACUUAUAGACAGUCUACUGAGAUCAUCAGCCACUAUAUUGGCCUUGCCCAGGUAAUAAAGGACACUCAUGUUGUAGUCUUUCAAAAACUCCACCCAUCUUCUCUGAUGGAGGUUUAAGUCUUUCUGAGAAAACACAUACUAAAAGCUUUUGUGAUCUGUGAACACAUCUAUAUGCACCCUAUAUAAGUAGUGCCUCCAAAUCUCUAAGGCAAAUACUACUGCUACUAACUCGAGAUCAUGAGUCAGAUAAUUCUUCUCAUGGGGCUUAAGCUGUCUGGAGGCCUAGGCUAUGACCUUACCAUGCUGCAUGAGAACACAACCCAAAACUACUCUGGAUGCAUCAUAGUAUACCAAAAACCCAUUCGAACCAUCUGGAAGAUUUAGAAAUGGAGUUAAGGUGAGUCAAGUAUUCAACUCCUAAAAACUCUUCUCACAUGAAUCUGACCACUGAAAUUUGACUUUCUUCUGAGUCAAUCUGGACAUAGGGGAUGCAAUAGACAAAAAUCCCUCAAUAAACCACCUGUAAUAGCCAUCCAAAUCCAAGAAACUCCUGAUAUCUGAUGGAGAGAUGGGUCUGGGCAAGUUUCUCACUAUUUUGAUCUUUUGGGGAUCAAACCUAAUGCCAUCACCGGAGACAAUAUGACCAAGGAAUAGCCAAAAUUUUCACUUACUGAAUUUGGUGAACAACUGACAAUUUUUGAGAGUCUACAAUAUUAUUCUGAGAUGGUCUGCAUGAUCAUGCUCACUACGGGAGUAAACAAGAAUGUCAUCUAUGAAGACUAUGAUGAACAUGUCCAAGUACUGCUUGAACACACGAUUUAUCAAGUCCAUAAAGGCUAUUGGGGCAUUGGUAAGACCAAAGGACAUGACUAAGAAUUCGAAGUGACCAUACCGAGUUCUGAAAGCUAUUUUUAGGAUGUCACACUCUCUGACUCUGAGCUGAUGAUAGCCCGAUCUGAGGUCUAUCUUAGAGAAGUAAUUGGCUCCCUAAAGUUUGUCAAACAAGUCAUUAAUUUUGGGAAAGGGAUACUUGUUCUUAAUUGUGACCUUAUUGAGCUGACGGUAGUCUAUGCAUAUUCUGACAGAACCAUCUUUCUUACGCAUGAAUAAAAUUGGCACACCCCACGGGGACACACUGGGUCUGAUGAAUCCCUUGUCUAAGAGAUUCAUCAACUGUUCUUUUAAUUCUCUGAGUACUACAGGUACCAUUCUGUAUGGCAGAAUAGAUAUGGGCUGAGUGUCCAGGAGAAGGUCUAUUCCGAAGUCAAUUUCCCUUUUAGGAGGAACUCCGAGAAGAUCUUCUGGAAACAUAUCUAAAUAUUCAUUCACCACUGGAACUGACUCAAGACUAGGAGUUUCUAAACUAGAGUCUCUGACUCACACAAGAUGAUAGACGCAUCCCUUAGAUAUCUUUUUUCUUACCCUUAGGUAGGAAACAAGCUGACCCUUAAAGGAUAAAGUACUACCUCUCCACUCAAGGACAGGUGUAUUCAAAAACUAAAAAUAGACAAUUCUAUUUCUACAGUCGACUGAGGCAUAGCAGGAAUAAAGCCAAUCCAUGUUGAGAAUGACAUCAAAAUCGAUCAUCUUUAAUUCGACUAAGUCUGUUGAAGUGACUUUCUGAGAUAUCAUAAUCAGAUAGUUCUUGUAUAUCCGCCGAUCUAGGAUAGAUUUACCCACUGGGGUAGAGACUGGGAAAGGCUCUACUAGAAUUUUGGGACUAACUCCAAAAUCAACUGCUAUAUAAGGAGUAACAAAAGGCAAGGAAGCUCUUUGAUCUAGCAAAGCAUAAACAUGUAUAUGAAAGAUCUGUAACGUACCAGUGACCACAUUAGGAGAAUUUUUUUGAUCCUUUUGGGACUGAAGAACAUAGAGUCUAUUUGGACGCUGCCUACUGGUGGCACUGGAUGAGCCACCCUGCUGAUUCGAGCGACUGGACUGAGCUGGAGGAUAAUUAUGCUAACCCUGAAAACCUGACUAAGGACAAUCUCUAACUCUGUGGCCUGAAUUACCACAUUUGAAACAUACAUCACUGCCAGCCCUACAGACACCCUGAUAGUUAUUACCGCAAGUCUGACAAAAAGGAUUGGUUCGGGUACUGCUUACACUGCCCUGAGGUUUAGGGCCUGAUGCCUUAUCUCUAUUGCAGUCUCUAAAUUUUGGCACCGAAGCACUGGCUGAGGUUGGAGAUGGAACUAAAGAUUUCGAGAUAAACUAAGAAUGGUUCCCACCCUCUAACUUAGGCUAAGUAAAGUAGAAGCUACCCAUUCUAGCUCUCUUAUUCUACUUUUCUCUCUCCUUAUUCUUCCGCUCCUCUAUCUACUAAGCAUGGAUCAUCAGCCUAUCCACAUCCAUCUAACUGAUCAAUAUUGACGUCUUGCACUCUUUAACCAUACUAUCAUUUACUUCAGACAUAAACUUGCUCAUUCGGGAUCUACUAUCUGUCACCACAUAAGGAGAAUAUCUAGCUAAUUGAGUAAACUUGAGAGAAUACUCUUUCAUUGUCAUAUUGCCCUGCUUUAGAUUAAUGAACUCUAACACCUUAGCUUCUCUCAGCUCUAGGAGAAAGAAUCUAUCUAGUAAAGCAGUGGCAAACUCCUCCCACUCUAUGGGCCCUAAAUCUACUGUCCUCUCUACUUUCCACUAUUUGAACCAAGCGUGAGCCACAUCCUAUAAAUGACAUGCAGCUAACUCAGCACUCUCACAAGAUGUCACCCCCAUAAUAUUUGUAACCUUCUGCACCUGAUCAAGGAAUUACUAAGGGUCCUCAUCUAACUUAGACACUGUGAAAGACUGAGGGUUCAUUUGGCUGAAGUCCUAAAUCCUGGCUACUGUAAUAUUAGCCACUGGGUUGGCCGGAACGACAGCUGGACAUUCAUUCUGAGUAGAAAUUGAAUAACCUAGGGUGGUGAAAGUUGCUUUGAACUCAGCAUGGGAGACAUGCUCACCCAAAGAAUUUGGUUGUUCUGGCUGAGGGGCUGACUGAUCUCCCAUUCCUCUUCCCUGAGUCCUUUUUGGAGGCAUUUUCUAUAGAUGGAAGAGAAACUUAGAUUAAAAGAGAGUUUAUCUGGAGCUCAUGCUCACUCGCAUAAUAUGAAUACUAAAAGAAAGGAAACUAUUCCUAAAAAAUCUCGUAGCCUCCUAUCCAUAAGUGUGGCUCGCUACACAGCCAGGCACAAGACUAUACUAGGUAUGACUUACAGACUUCCUAGGACACUGUUGAACCUUAGGAUCUGAUACCAAAUUUUUAAUGCCCCAAGUCUGUACCCCGAACGCUACAUGGUGCUCAUAAUCCUGAAGGACCACUAGCUAACCCAUAACCGGUACCUACAGAAAUAACAGAGUAAAAAUACGUUAUAAUACAGAAUAAUGGGUUAAAAUUCCAUAAGGUUAAAAUAACUAAAAUAAAACUGAGAUAAGGUAUCCCAAUACCAAAACUGAACAGCUGUCUGAAUAUCUAGUCUGAAAAGCCUCUAGCUGAACUGUCUGAACUGUGGAGUUGAUGGGACAAUCCCCCAACUAACUUCAUCUAUUGAAAUACUAAAUGUAAUGAGAUAAUGAAAUAAAAAAAUAUCCUCAAAUAACGAGGACUCACUGCUAGUCUACUGCUGCUGACUGAAUCUGAAUUUAUCUAUGAGUGAUCGGGAACCUGAGCAUCCGAACCUAUGGUAUAAAACACCAUAGCAUAAGAGAAAAGUAUGUAUCAGUACGUGUGAAUGUACUGGUAUCCAAAGUGAGGUAGGCUGAAUACAAGGGUUCACAUGCAUGAACUAUAUCUAACUAGACAACAUGAACAUGGCUGAGUAGAAAUACGUGCAUGAAUAUAAGAGCUUUAACUAAAGUCAUAAUAAUAGUGAAUACUGAGUUUACUGGUCAUAUGGAUUACUAAUAACUGAUGUAUUGAUAACUAAUAUACUGUUACUAAGUGACUAUUUCUGAUAGUCUUGACUCUGAUGGAACUAUCUGAGUUCUAUACUGAGCUAAAUGACUAUAUCUAACAGUCCUAAAAUCUGUAGAACUAUCUAAGUUCUUUACUGAUGACUAAGACUGAGACGGUGGGAAGUAAUCAUCUAACCGACAUGCCCCUUUUUAACUGAUUUGGGGUCCAACCUGUAACCCCAGUUGGAAGGGUGUCAAUACCGUGCCACGGGUAAGGACAAGCUGAGAGUUACCCUCAUCUUUCAGGUACUCUAAUGAGAAUGGUGGGACCCUUAAUUGACAGGUUAACCCACCUCAUCAACCCUCAUUUGGCAGGUUUGAUGUCUCAACCUACGCUGGCUAUGUAGUUCUGGAACACAACGACUGCUUCUAAGGAUCACACCUUCUACUGGUAGGUGAUCCCUCAUCCUUGGAUUUACUCGGUGUUGAAUCCUACUCUCAACUAAAUAGAUACUGAACUAAGUACACUAGACUGAAUUGGACUGAUUUUACUGAGUUCCGUUGACUGACAGAAUACUACUGAAUUCUGUUGACUAACUGAUUUUACUGAGGCCUGAACUAAAUACUACUGAGUUUUUCUUGAAUUCUGAGACUAGCUGAGAGUACUAUUGAUCGUGACAUGACUGAGAUGAAUUCUAUAACUGACACUUGCUCAAGGCACACAGCUAAUUUAUUGGGUAUUAAAUACCCCCAGGACUCGAUAGCAUGAAGAUAAUAAGACAUGACAAUUCUUGAAUACUUGACAAUAUUCAACAACUCACAAUAAAAUUUAUGAGGCAUUUCAUCAAGCACUUGAAAGUCAUAAACUUGUACAUAAAUAGGAAUGCAUGCUAACAUGUCAUAAUUUCAUUAAACUAAUCUCAUGAACAUUCCAUCAAACACUUACAAGGCAUAAUUUUAUACUUGGGCAUGAACAACAAUUCUAAUACAUCAUGAACACCAUAUUAAUUCAUAAUUCAGUGGUUUCUACCUAAGAGAAUCAAAAUUCAACUUACAUGCCACCAUAAUAUCAAGAAAUACAUUAAAGAUUUCAACGUGAAAGACAUACCACAAUAUCAAAAUGAUUACAUUCAAACACACAACAUGGACAUCACAACUUAUGUUUUUAAAAGAAGUUUCUUGAACUCCAAGGGUGGAAGGGACCCUUGGAUUAACACUUUACAUACCUUAUUGGUUGAAUUUGGAAAGAUUGAUGGUGAAAUCUCUAGUAUUUGAUUCUUGGAUUGAUAUCCCUAGGGUUUUAUUCUUGAGGAUUUUAUGAAUAAUGAUUGUAUUAUGCCUCUAAAGGGGCUAAACUUCGUGCUAUGGGGGCUGAAGGGCAUGGGAAAAAGACCUAAUUACCCCUUGAGAUGCAGCUUUUAAAUGACUGAAAAACUGGGUUAUCGACGCACAGGUCGAUGUGGCACGUUGAUGAUAACCAACGCAUCACGCCAAGUUAGCGUUAACUCACUAGAAUUUGACACUGUUAGCUGGAAAAAAUAUUAACCAACGCAAUAGUCUAUGCGACGCGCGAAGAUCACUUUGGUUUACUAUUUUGGAAUUCCAAAGGAGCUUCUAACGAAGUCCGAAAAAUCUGAAACUUGUCUGGGUUCACCUAUUGACCUUCCUGAUCAUGAAUUAACUCAAAUAUAGGCAUUUAAAGAACAUUAAGGUCUCAAAGUAAGAGAGGCAACUUUUGAAGGCUAAAAAUAUAACUUAGUUUGAAUAUUUAGCUAAAUAUUCUAAGACUGGGACCCCUUGACAAGAUUAAAGGACUGUAUUAAGCUAGAAAUUUUGCAGGGUCUUACAACCAACUUCUUUAAUCGUACAAAAUAAUACAAAAGUUCAGCACGUGAAAAAGACAUGAUUAUGAGCUGAAACAAAGCAUGCAGAAAGUUUUGUCAACAGAUAAGUCUGGAAAUUCAUGAAAAUAUAAAGGUUCAAAGGAUUCAUCUGAGAAGCAUAUCAAAACAGAGAUAUUGUGUUUGUUUUAGAGUCACUCUUAAUAAUCUGAGUUUGGAUCAAUGGUGCAGCAAGUCAAUGACAUAUGCUAAUGAUUAUAAGCGAGAUUAAAUAUGACAAGUGCAAAACGAUCGCCGCGAAAGCUAAAGCCACAAACCAGACACCAUGUUUUUAAACUCACAAGUUUUCAUUGUAUGAAAUAGGAACAUAUUUUACCUUCAAAUCAAGGAUUCCAAAGCCUAAACAUCAAAGGUUGUAAUUUUUCAUUUCUACAAAUGUAAGAGGAAAAGUUGUUGCACAGGUUUGGUAAUCAAAUCCAUGGUAAAACUCAUAAUCCAAUAUCUCUAGGGGACAGACUUCCUUGUCCAGGUAAUUCAGGUUCAUUUAUUAGGUGAUGCACUUCCUAAAUUGAACCUUCACUCUUAGAAGUCGAACUUUCUAGUUGAUUCCUUUCAUAUAAUCUUUAGGAGACGCACUUCCUUGUCUGAGUAAUUUAAGUGACAUUUGUAACGAGACGUAUUUCUUUGUUUGAAUAAUUCAAGCAACAUUUGAAAAGAGACGCAUUUCCGUGUUUGGAUAAUUUAAGUGGCAUUUGUAAGGAGACGCAUUUUCUUGUGUUGGUAAUUCAAGUGGCAUUUGUAAAGAGACGCAUUUUCUUAUUUAGGUAAUUCAAGCGGCAUUUGUAAAGUGACACAUUUUCUUAUCUGGGUAAUUUAAGUGGCAUUUGUAAGGAGACAUAUUUUCUUAUUUGGGUAAUUCAAGCGGCAUUUGUAAUGAGACAUAUUUCCUUGUCUGGGUAAUUCAAGUGGCGUUUGUAAGGAAACAAACUUUCUUGAUUAGGUAAUUCAAGUUUUAUUUAUUAGUUGAUUCACUUCCUGACUUAGGCCUUGACUCCUAGAAAAUGCACUUUCUAGUCAAUUCAUUUCACUUGACCCUUAGGAGACAUACUUCCUUGUUGGGUAUUCAAGUUUUGCUUAGGAGACACACUUGCUAACUUAAGUCUUGAUUCCUAGAAGAUGCACUUUCUUAUCGAGUCAUUCCACUUAACCCUUAGGAAACGCACUUCCUUGUCAGGGUAAUUCAAGUUUUACUUGUUAGGUGGCUCACUUUCUAACUUAAUCCAUGAUUCCUAGAAGAUGGAACUUCUUGUCAAGUUAUUCCACUUAACCCUUAGGAGACGCACUUCCUUGUCAGGAUAAUUCAAGUUUUGCUUGUUAGGUGGCUCACUUUCUAACUUAAGCCUUGAUUCCUAGAAGAUGCACUUUCUUGUCAAGUCAUUCCACUUAACCCUUAAGAGACGUACUUCCUUGUCAGGGUAAUUCAAGUUUUGCUAGUUAGGUGGCUCACUUCCUAGCUUAAGCCUUGAUUCCUAGAAGAUGCACUUUCUUGUCGAGUCAUUUCACUUAAUCCUUAGGAGACACAGUUCCUUGUCAAGGUAAUUCAAGUUUUUCUUUUUAGGUGGUUCACUUCCUAACUCGAGCCUUGAUUCCUAAAUAAUGUACUUUCUAGCUGAGUCAUCCCACUUAACCCCUAAAAGACAUAUUUUCUUAUUUGUGUGUGUCAAGUUUCACAUUUGUCGGAUGAUGCACUCCCUAACUUGAACCUUCACUCCUAGAAGUCAAACUUUCUAUUUGAGUCCUUCCAUGUAACCUCUAGGAGACACGUCUCCUUAUCUUCAAGAGAUGAAUUCAUUGAUCAGAGUCUAGAGUCACCUUUGCAUUAUGCAAUUUGUAAGUAAUUGUGAUUGGGUUUGACACUCACAAAAUUUUUGAUGAUAAAUUGGGUCCAAAAAAAUUAAUUCAUGUUAUUGAAAACAUCAUUUCAGGACUCUCUUGAAAAAUGAAUCUUUAUUUUUAAAAAGUGAGAUCUCUCUUUAUCAUAACCUUUGUUUGGGAUAAUUCUCUUUCUAGUUUUGAUGUGAUUUCAGAAGCCUGCCUAGAUAACAGGGUGAUGAAAUUAAAAAUCAAUAUAUUGAAGACAUAGUAAUUCAGAAGCCUGACUAGAGAAUAGGGUGAAGAAAUGUAAAACCAACAAAUAUGGUGAAGAAAUUAUAAGUCAGGAGCCCUUCUGGAGAAUAGGGUGGGGAUUUUUAAAUUCAAGUUCAAAGUUUAGAAAUCCCACAUGAAAGAACAUGGUCAAUGUUGGAAUUCAUCUCUAACACCAAAUUUUGUAUGGCUAAAGAAUCUAUUCUCAAGUUCAACCCAAGGAGGAUCAGAUCUUCUGUCACUUUUGAAAGCAUCAGAGACCGAAGACAAGAAUCAAGAGAUGUUGCAUAUAUAGGACUUUUGUAAUUUCAUUUAUCUUUUUAACUUAUAUUUUUCAUUUUUAUGUAAUGACAAAGUCACAGAUCAAAACCUCGAUAGGACCUCACUCGACUCUCCAACUUGGUAUAGUCCCUCUUCUUUCAACCCUUUGAGGUACCUAUGACUUGAUUCUCUCAUAACUUGGGUAGGUAGAAUGUCCAAACUCAAUACUCGGUGGCACUCUGUCCUUCUUUGUCUCUCCCUUAUGAAUAAUGGUUGGGUCAAAAUUUUGUCUCAUUCUCUACUUGUUUGUCUGCAAACACUUUGUGUUCACAAACAAAGAGGGGCAUAUUGUAGACACGUAAUUUUGUCCCACCCGAACAUCACUGUCAAAAUUCACUCCAUUAAUUGUAUCAUCACCAAACACACUCACCCAUGUGAUAAGUUCCACACAACAAAUCCAAUAAAUUCAUAACAAUUUUGGACACCUUACCCUAAUAAAAAUAACCAUAUACCCUACACCUCCCUCACCCCAACCCCACAUUACCUCACCUCACCUUAUCACCACCGAAGCUCCGACAAAAUGAACCAAUCACUUCUUGCUUAUUUCAGACCAAAACUGAUCUCUUUGGGUCAGUUUUGGUGAAAUUAUGUCAAAAUAACAUAGAAAAUCAUCUAAAAAAUACCAGUCAGUUCCCAUAUCUAUUUUAGUGAAAUUCAUCAAAAAAAUAUGUGGGUUGCUUAUUUUUUGGGGAUUCGAGUUGGCAGGUUUGCUGUUGAAGUUUGAUGCGAGGUAUUCUGGUGGUUCUCUAGUUGGAUGAUUCGAGAUUGAAUUCAAAUUGAGGUCUAAUUCUUCUCUUGUUAUCUUUUUAAUUUCAUUAAAUUUAUUUAUUUUUGUAUGCUUACAAUGGAAAGUUCUUGAAUAUGUGUUCGGUGUGAUCAUGUUGAAUUAUUGGGAUUAUGUUGAAUGCAUAUGGAUUAGGAAAUUGAAUAUGAUUUGAUUAAUGAUUGCUUAAUUUUAAUUUGGAUGAGAAAUCGAUAAUUUGAGAAUAGAACUAAGGGUGGGAAUUGAAAACUAAAAAAGUGAAUAUUGAUUUAUGUCAAUUCAUUGAUGGUUGUUUAAUUCAAAAUAAACGUUGAUUUGUUGAACACGAUAGUAUCGUGUCUAAGUCGAGACUUGGUAGGAAAAUAGUAGGUUGGGUAGGCAAAUAUAGGAAUUGUGGAUUGUGGAAUGUUUGAGCGUUUGUUGAAUGAUUUUGUUUUAUCGUAUUUGAAUCAUUUGUACUUAUUUGGCCGGAGAAUGUCCCGAGAAAAAUUAUAUUCAUUCAUCGGGGAAUUCCCCAAAGUACCAUAUACCUAAAGGAGGCUGGUGAUCAAGGCCCGAGGCUUCGAGUAAAGCAUAGCUAGGACAAUUAGAAUAGUUUAGGUCUGAUUUCAAUUGUAAUAAAUGAAACUGGACACUAUAAAGAAUUUUUGAUUGUUUUGGUUGCUUGUUUCUUUGUUUAUGUGUUUUAUUGGUUUAUACAUUACAUAUUGUUAUACUAGCCAAUAUAGUUCACGAAGCGACUGUGGUCAAACAACGGGAUCGAGAGAUGCCUAACACCUUCUCAUCGGUCAACAGAAUUCCUUAAUUGAAAUCUCUGUCCGUGGACCUAUUUUGAAAAAGUCAAAAAUCAUUUUGAAAAGGUAUUUUCAAAGGUAACUUGGCACACCAGAUUUAUACCAAGUGACAACUCUGAGUUUUAAUUAAAAGUCCUUUUCAAAAUAAAUUAUUUUCUUUUUGUCACUUUAUAAGAAAAAUCCUUUCAAACUUAAAAACAAUCUUUUUGGUAAAAAAAAAGGGGUGUAACAGUGUGUAAGACUAUGAAGCAACCUAUGAACUUGUAAGUUAUUUUGGUGAUUGAUGUGAUAGAUGAUGAGGUGACUAACACAAUAGAAGUGGAUCUUAUAGAUUAUCCCUUGGUGGGUGUAUUGUGGAACUUGGGGGGUAAGGAGGUUGAAUAAUAUGAUGAGGUAGUUUCUUCGUUGACGGGUCUUGGCUUGUAUACCAAGAACCUAGCCAAAUUAGAUCUUGAUUUAAAAAAUCGUGAGAGUACACCCGCCAAACCAUAUAUUACUGAACUACCUCAACUUGAACUUAAAUUGUUGCCUUCCCACCUCUGGUAUAUUUUUGGGUAAGAAUAAUACAUUGACAAAUAUUAUUGCGGAUGAUCUUGAGUCUUGUUAAGUGGGUGCCUUAAAAUCUGUUGUGAAAAGUUCAUUCGUGCAAUCUGAUGGACCAUAGCAGACAUCAUAGGCAUUUCACCAGGAAUUUUCUCUUAUAAGAUCAAAUUAGAGGUCGAUCAUGUUCCUAGUGUGGAACAUCAAAGAAGGCUUAAUCUACCGAUACAAGAGGUAGUCAAGAAGAAAAAUAUCAAAUGGCUUGAUAUGGGUGUGGUCUACCCGAUUUCAAAUAGUAUAUGGGUUAGUCUGAUCUAAUGUGUUCCCAAGAAGGGUGGCAUGACAGUGGUCCCAAAUGAGAAUAAUGUUUUUUGUCUAUUUUCCCGAUCACGGGUUAGAGGGUAUGUAUGGACUAUCAUAAAUUAAACUCAUGGACAGAGAAAGAUUAUUUUCCUAUGUCUUUCAUGAAUCAAAUAUUGGAUCGACUAGCUGGUUGUGGAUGGUAUUACUUCUUUGAUGGAUAUUCGGGGUACAAUUAAAUUUGCAUCGCAUAAGAAGAUCAAGAAAAAACCAACUUCACUUGUCCCUAUGAGACCUUUGCUUUUGAACUCAUGCCUUUUGGGCUAUGCAAUGCACCAGCUACAUUUCAACGAUGUAUGUUGUCCAUUCUUUGAAUAUAGUAGAGGAUACCAUGGAGGUUUUCAUGGAUGACUUCUCUGUGGUUGGAGAUUCAUUCGAGUCUUGCCUUGAUCACUUAAGUCCAGUCCUCAAACGAUGUGGAGAAAAUAAUCUCAUUUUGAAUUGGGAGAAAUGUCACUUUAUGAUCAAGGAUGGCAUUAUGAUUGGUCACAAAAUAUUGGGAAAAGGCAUCCAAGUCGAUCUAACAAAAGUUGAAGUGAUUACUAAGUUACCCUCACCUAUCUCUAUGAGGGGCGUCAGAAGUUUUCUUAGUCUCGCCAGGUUAUAUAGGCGUUUUAUUAAGGAUUUCUCGAACAUAGCUCAUCCUUUGUGCAAACUCCUUGAAAAGAAGGUGAAGUUUGAAUUUGAUGGUGAUUGUCUAAAGGCUUUUAAUUUUCUCAAGAAACUCCUUGUGUUGGCUCUUACCAUAGAAACUCCGAACUAGUCGUCGCCAUUCAGAAUAAUAUGUGAUGCAAGUGGUGUUUCCCUAGGUACGGUAUUGGGACAAAGAAGAAAGAAGUUGUUUCACCUGAUCUAUUAUGCAAGCAAAUCAUCGAAUGGUGCCCAACUUAACUAUACGAUUAGGGAUCAUAAGAGUUAUUAGCGGUGAUGUAUGCUUUCGAAAAAUUUUGGUCCUAUUUUUUGGGUGCGAAAGUGGUUAUGCACAUGGAUCACACUGCUCUUAGAUAUUCAUGGAAAAGAAAGAGGCAAAACCUCAUUUGAAUAGUGGAUAUUGCUUUUGCAAGAAUUUGAUUUUGAAGUGAAAGAUCAAAAACGGUGUGAAAAUCAAGUUGCCGACCAUCUUUUCCAUCAUGAAUUUAAUUAUGAGAAGUUUGGUGAGAUUGAUAUUGAUGACACUUUCCUCUAUGAGUUAGUUAUGUCACUUUCGGGAAGUAUUGCGCCUUGGUAUACAGACUAUGCUAACUAUAUUAGUAGUGGUGUGCUUCCCAAUUAUCUUAAUCAUUACCAAAAGAAGAGGUUCCUAUUUGAUGUGAAGAAGUAUUUUUAGAAUAAACCAUAUUUAUUUAGAGAGUAUGUGGAUGGUAUGAUUCAUUGGUGUGUUAUGGAGUCAGACAUGAGGGCUAUUCUUGAAGCUUGCCACUCUUCUUCAUUUGGUAGCCAUCAUGGUGGGUCCGAACAGUUGUAAAGUUUCUUCAAAGUGGAUAUUAUUCACCUACCCUUCAUAAAUAUGCUUAUGAGUUGGUCAAAACAUAUCCUCAAUGCCAAAUACAAAGAGGUGUUUCAAGGAGGCAUGAGAUACCUCUUAAGCCUAAUCUCAAGGUUGAAUUAUUCGACGUGUGGUAGAUCGACUUUAUGGGUCCCUUUAUGAGCUCAUAUCGUAAUAAAUACAUUUUGGUAGUUAUUGAUUAUGCCUCAAAGUGGGUGGAGGCCAUUUCUCUGCUGAAAAACGAAAGCAAGAAUGCUACCUUCUUCUUGAAUAAGUAUAUCUUUACAAUAUUCGAGACUCGACGAGGCAAUUAUUAGUGAUGAUGGUUCUAAUUUUUGUAAUUAAACUUUUGGUGCCUUACUUCAUAAGUAUGGGGUGAAGCAUAGGGUUGCUACUCAGUAUCAUCCUCAAACUAGUGGCUAAGUUGAGGUUUCAAAUCAUGAAAUCAAGUUCAUUCUUGAGAAAACCGUGAAUGUUGGCCGUACAAAUUGGGCAAGACUACUCGGUGAUGCUCUUUGGGCAUAUAGGACGGCCUAAAAAACUCAUAUCAGUAUGUCAACCUAUCGAUUAGUGUUUGGGAAGGUUUGUCACUUACCCGUUGAGUUUGAGCAUAAGGCUUUAUAGGCUUUAAGGAAGUUGAAUAUGAAUUGGGAGGACGCAUUCAAAUCAAGAGUGAAUCAACUUCAUGAGUUGGAAGAUUUCUGACUUAAAGCAUAUAAAAGCUCCGUGUUGUAUAAAGAAAAGAUAAAGAGGUGGCAUGAUGCUAAAAUUUUAAGAUGAGAGUUUCAUGUGGCUGUUAUGUGUACCUUUUUAGUUCUAGAUUAAAACUUUUUAUGGGUAAGCUUAGAUCAAAGUGGUCGGGUAUGCUCGUGGUCUCAAAUGUUCAUUCUAGUGGCGCUAUUGAGUUGUAAGACCACGAGAAGAAAAUAUUUGUGGUAAAUGAGAAAAUGUUAAAGCAUUACCAUAUUGGUGGACCCGGAGCGGGUAAGGUUGAGUCGCUUCGCUUCAAGGAUUCAAAAUGGUGAUCAAUAGGUAUCAUGCCACAAUAUUAAAUCAAGCGCUAGAUGGGAGGCAACCUAUCAUUCCCAAUUUUUUUCAUUCCUUGAAUUUUAAUUGUUAGAAUACUUUAGGAUUUUAUUUUUGACUAAUCCACACAAAUUUUAGAAUUUUAAAAGUGAUUUGAGCAGGUUAAGAUGCAUAGAGUUGAAUGGGAUUGAGUUUGCGGCUACACCACCUUGGAAAAAAUGGUAAUUGAGCAACUUCAUGAUGGCACCUGAAGGUCUUAGGUGUCGCGAAUGUGACAGAUAGAUUGCAUAAGCAAUUCAUUAAUUUCAGUCAUAUAUCGGGCAAGUGAUACACUUAUAGUGAACACAAUACCUGGAGGUUUAAAAGGCCCACACAAGGUGAAAGAUUUGAAACAGUUUAUUUCACUUUCCUCUCAUAAAUAUCCAAAUUUUAUCCAACCUACUCCCUCUAAAAAGUCUUUCAAAGUGCUCUACAUUUACAUUUGCACACAAAUUUUAGGUAUGUAUCUUGCUCUCUUCUUCGAUUGGUGAAAUUUCUCCGUAGUUUCUUGGUUAAGGUCGAAUUUAGGGGUAAUUUCAUUCAUUUUUUUGUGCUUUAAUUCUAUUUAUUUCUGGGUAUCAAGUGGCAAAUAUCUUGGUGUGUAAAUCAUUAAGAAAGUCUUGAGUACCCAAAGGCAUUCAAAAUGAGUGAGAAUUUAAAUUGCACACCAAGUGUUUGAUGAUUUGCUUAAAUAAAGUUUUCAGAAUUAUUUUGUGGUUCCUCAUGAAUAACUGAGUGAUAGUGAGUCAUAGUUCAUGUUCUUUGGUUUGUAAAUUAUAUAUUAACAUGUUUGUGUAAAAAUGGUUCAAAUCUGAGUUGGGAACUUUUGGGGAUGUCAAGUACGCAGGUAUCAUGAUUGCGACAUCAGAUCAUGAAAGCAAUAUCUGAGGCCUAUCACGAUCGCGACCUUAAAUUGCAAAAGCGAUAUUUGAGACAUGUCUAUAGGUCUGAGCAAAAUUUUGGAAACUAAUGUUUGAGCCCAAAUUUGAUUCUUAAACCAUUUCUUUAGAUUUUAUCAGUCACAUUGCAUUAUUUUUACAUGAUAAUCUUGAAAGUUUAUGCAUAUGUAUUGUUUUCAAACUUUCAAACCAAAGGCCAAGAAUAGAGCAUCGACCCAUUGAUAAAUUUGAGGUUGAAAGAGAAUAUGAUCAUAACUAAUUCUUCUCUCUCGGCUACCAAGAAACAUACUAUGAAGACUUGGCCAGGAAGAAGUUGUUCCCUUAAAAAGGGAUCUCCCUUGAGCGAGUUAUUGAAACCCUCCUGGCUUUCUAUUACAGGUUGGAGACUACGGGGUGGUUGUACUUUGCAUUAGAACCGUGUCAUGCCAAUGAACAAUGGGUGAGGGAGUUUUAUGCCAAUCUCAAGUCCAUAAAACUUUCCACCCUUGUGAUGAAGAUAAGGGAAAAGGUAGUCCAUAUCAAAGAUGAGAAGAUCAAAAGGAUAUAUGCUUUGUUGGAUUCUGAUCAAUCACUGUUUACCACAAAGAAUUGUGCUUGGGGCAGUUGGUUAGUCUCAAAGCUUUGCCCUGGUAAGAAUAUACCUUGGGCAACCACAAAAGCAGGGAUUACUUCGAGUGAGUUCAUGGCUUAAGCGAGGAUUUGACUGGGUAUCAUUUGCAGUAGGUCUCUCCAUGUGGGAAUAUGACUAAUAUCCCGAUAAUUAAAGCUCAUAUGAUCUCCUGUAUUCUAGACAAUAUUCCAUUGAAUGUUGUUCUUUUUUUUAUCUUAGAGCUUCAUGCGUAAAAGUCACGGAUAGACCCACUAUGAUGUUUUUUCCUUGAUCACCGAAUUAUGUAAAUGGGCGGGAGUCGAGGAGUUCGAGGAGGAUAAUUAGAUAGCACAAAAGACACUGAUUGACCUACUAAAAAUAUGCAAUAAAGGAGUUACUUCUAAAAUAUAAAGGAGAAAUAUUGAUACGGGUAAGUCAGUGCAUAAUGAGUUCGACUCUUGUAGACCGUCAUCCGAGGAACCAUUUAAGGUGUUGACUGAUGAGUUGCAAAUAAUUCAAGAGUUGGUGCCUAGAUUGCCCAUAAAUCCUGAAGAGACUUUUGAGGUCCCCAUCUCAUAUGGUCUACAGAGAGAUAAUGAUAAACUCCUAAAGGACCAGAAGCAAUAAGGGGCUCACAAAGUUAGAGAACACAUAUAUUUCCUUAUCCAAGUCACACUGGGAUUUGAGAUAAGUCUCACACGAAGAAAAAGAAGUGAGAAAAAAAGGGACAAAUUUUUCACUCAAAUGUGUAAGGGUGUGAAGGGUUUGUAAAAAGGGCUGAAGCCCAGAGAUCCACUCCUCUCUGCGAGGCAAGUGGAUCCUGAUGAUAUUCCAGCACAUUGGUCCGAGGAUGAAGAGUCUGAUGUUGAGGGCGUUGAGGAUGAGGAGACUAACAGUGAUGAUAGUCAGUGAUGCGAAUUUAGGGAGCCCCUUUACUCUCUUAUGUUUUGAUGUCAUGCUGUGAGGACACUGCGAUCUUUUAGUUGGGGGUGCCUUGUGUUUGUAUUUUUUAUUUGUGUAAUAUUGUUAUUUGGAUAUUUUUGAUGUAUGGUUAUGGAUAUUGUGUGCCUUUAUCAGGCUUAUGCUUUAUGUGAAUUUUGUUGAAUUAGUCGCUUUUCUUUUGUUUUCAUUUCUAGAUUAGUUUUUCUUUUGGUAGUCAUCUUGGAUGAUCCUUUUCCUAUGAUAGAUUGAACGACGAUAUUAUUAAAGUAAAAUCAUCAUUUUAGGGUAUUAGAGUCGUUUAUGCAGGGAAGUCUGAGUACCCGUAGCAUUAUAAAGUGGGAUUGGCAUUGUAAUUAUUGUGAAACCUGAGUAUCCAAUUGUUGCGGUGAAGUUUAAGUAGUCGUAGCAUUAUUGCCCUUAUUAGAGCUGGAAUGAGAGCUUGUGACUUGUUUGGUACUAACAAUAGUUAGUCUUGCAUGGUAAAAUGUGAAAUGAGCAUACCCCUUCAUUUAAUUUAUUUAUUUUUAAAAAUCAAGAGCAGAGAAGUUAAUGAUGUUGUGACAACACUUUGACUCUUUUCGUGACUCCUAAUUCUUUAGUUGGUGGUAAUGUGGAAAAUGACUUUUGUUCUUAAGUAGGAAGUGAACUCGAUCAUUCUAAAAUAGUUUGCAUGUCAUGUUUGGUGAGUAUUUGUUGAAUGAUUCUUGUGCUUACUUGUGUCAUCUAUAGUUUUUCCUGUUGGUCUUUCAAAGCUAGUUUUGAUUAUACGUGGUUGGUGAAAUGAUCUUAGGCCUUCUUUGUGAUUGUUGGAAACUACUUUAACCUAAAAAGCCUAUUCGUGCAUGAAAAGUAUCACUAUUCACCUUAGUUGAGCCAAUUAAACUUUUUUGGCAACUGCAUUACAAGCCUUGAACCUUUUAAAAAUUAUCCGUCUCUUGAAUCCUAUCCUACUUGAACUUGAAAUUACCAACUUGAGGCUAAAAGGACCAGUCUUAUAAAUGAGUGUCUUAAAGCAAAUCAAUGAUUGAAAAUGAAGGAGAAAAAGAAAGGAAAGAAAAAAUGAAAAAGUAAGAAAUGGCAAAAAGGAAAGAAAAAAAGAAAGAAAAAGUAAGAAAUUAAAAAAAAUGCUUUUAAUAGACGGGUGGGCUAAAAUAAUAAAGGUAGGCAAGUGUGUGAUAUAAAAAUAAAGUGGACAAUGAUUCAAGUUUGAUUUAUUUAGUGUUUUGUGGAGUUCAAUGAGGGUGUAGUCACUUUAAUCCCAAAUGCUUAUAUUACCCUUCCCCGAGCCUACAGUACAAGAUAGAAAAAGUCUUUUGAGAUCUCUAACAAAGUAUUUUUGAGUUAGUAGCGAUCGAAAAUAAGGGCAAGCAUAUGGUAUGAUACUUGUUUGCAUUAGAAAAUCCUUGUGAAUGUAAGUGUUUGAGCAUUUGUGUCUUGUUGAAUGGUGUAAAUAUGGUGUGUUUGAGACUUUAUUUCAUGAGAAGGCAUGUAAACUAAGAUAGAUUGAUGAGUUGAUAUAUUUUAAAAAUAAGGCGAAGGAGCAUAUUUGAUUUACUAUUGAUUGAGAGUCACUUCUUGAUAAUUGGUCAUUGUGACUUGAUUAUUCUAGAAAUUUUAUUGUGUUCUUGAAAGUGUGAUUGAAUUCGAGGGAGUUGUUUAGUUAGCACUUCGCAUACUUGUUGAUUAAUUGCUAGUACCAAUCAAAGUCACAAUCAUUACGAUCGUUUGAUGUAAGAGUGUUGGCUUCGGUGUUGAGCUUAGUUUGAUAGUCUCAUUGAGUUGUGAAGUUGUAUUGCUAGAGGACAAGCAAAGUCCUUAAGUUGUGGGUGUUGAUGAGUGGAUAUUUCACCAUUCAUUGAUACCUCUUUUCUUAUGAGUUAUUAUGGUUAAAUUGAUGACAUGAGGCUAUUCACCUUAUGAAAUGUACUAAUUUUGGAUAUUUGUGGCUUUUUAGGAAAGGCUAGUGAAAAAAGAGUGAUGUUGAAACUACAAAUGAGAAAAAAGAGUUAAACAAGAAAAAGCUUGAAGAUGUGUCUCUGAAACAACCCUCAGAUACCGCUUAAGCGGUCUGAGGAUAGCGAAAACAACCAGUCAUGACAGUGGAAGAAGUUAUGAUUGCGAUGUUAUGGCUCGCGUAAGUGAUAGGUCAGGAAAAUCAAAGAUAUCUCAUUUGCGAGCGGAUGCAUCGCGUAAGCGAAUGGAAAAUACAGACAAAGAGUUGAGAAAGUGAUCUAUUAAGUCGCGUACGCGACUGUCACGAUAAAUGCAAAAGUCGCGUAAACGACCACAAGAAUCGUGUAAGCGAUCGUCGGAUAGAUUUUUAGGGGCAAUGAUUGAAUUUCAUGUGGUUCAAUCCUAAUACAUAAAAGGCACAAGCCCUAACAUUUUCAGCAACCAAUUUUCAUCUUUAAAGCUUUACAAUACAUUUUUGCACUACUCUUGAGUGAAGAACAUUCUUGAAGUGAUUUUCAAGCGAGGAGUUAGUGAUUUUCAUUUAAGAAUUAUUGAAACUCAAAGCUUGGAAGUACAUUCCCUCUAUUUUUCAUGGAUUAAUUUAAUGAAACUCUUGGUAUAUCCUUACUUCCUCUCUCUAUGAGUAGCUAAUUCUUUAUUUUGGGGUUAUGCUUGAAUAGAUGUGAUUAGUGCAUGGGUUCUGUUUAUUUAUUCUCCUAACUAGCUAGCUAUUAUGGAUUUUGAAUUUAUUCCACGAUUUAACUAAGAAUUGGGGUUGCAAACCCUAAUUAUCUUUGAACCCAUAUCAUCCUUCAGAGAGGGGAUAUGAUUGAGGAGUAAAUGUAAACAAUAACUUUAAGUAUUUCAUUUAAUAACAUCUCACAUAAGGAUGUUAAUUGCAGCAAUAGAUUGGUGAAAUCUAGCCUAACCUUGAUUUCUAACUAAAUUUGAAUAGAUUUUCAAUUACUCAUUCAUGAACUCACACCUAGAAUUGCAUAAACCCAAGGUCUCUUCCCAAUUGAUCACACUCUUAGCAUUUUCAAUCUCAAGAUAGUGUUCCAAAAGCAAAGAAUUUGUUACUUUAAAAACUUUCAAACUAAUCCCCCAUUUUACAGUUAUGUUUGUUUUAUACACAUUACAGGUCAACCCCUAGUUGACUUUCAAUACUCUUGAACUUUGAAGUCCUUGUCUUCACUCCUUGUGGAUCCGACCUCAACCUAAGUUGGGUUAUUAUAUUGACAACGUCGCUCACACCCAUUUAAGAAUGUAAUUUGAGAGUUAUCAGUCAUAUCAAGGGAAGGUUUGGGUGGAUAUUGUACUAUAAAGCGUUAUAAGUAAAAAAGCUAGAAGAAUAAUAUUGUAGAAAUAAGCCGAAAGAAAAGAGAAAGAUUAUGAUCUCUAUUGAUGUACAAUGCAAUGACUGAGAAGUCAUUUAUUGAAGAAGUAGUUAACUUAGUCCUUAAGUAACUAAUAUUAACUUUUUUUCAAAGAAAUAAACACAUUUACACUAAUAUAUAGCAUAUAUUUGUAACAAUAAUAUUAUUAGUUACUCUUAAGAUAAUUAGAAACCUCUUUUGGCAUAUCUAUCAAAUAUCUCUUGUCUAAAUCAACAAUUACUCUAUUUCAUUAUCUUUAGCCUGGAAUAGUCUAUUCCAGACUAUAUAUGGGUGGAUUUAUCUUAGGACUUAGGUCGAUGGGUGUCAUGUGACACCCCUUCAUCAAAAAAAACUAUUAAAUAUGUAUAUAUAAUUGAAAGGCAAAAAUUUAAAUGAAAAUAAAUACGAUACAAUAUCACCACUUGACAUAAAAAUAUUGGAGCUCUAACGAUCAGUCGCUUUAUUUUUCAGUUUGAGGUGUUGAGUUCGACUCCUAAUAGUUUCAGGUACAUUUAAAAAAAAAUUAUUAUCGUGUGGUCUCUCUCUCUAUGUGUAUGUAUAUAUAUAUAUGUAUAUAAGUAUAUAUAUUGAUAUUUAUAUAUAUAUAUAUAUAUAUAUAUAUUAUUAAAUUUAAAUUUAAAAAUAAUAAAUUAAAGUUUAAAAGAGCUCCACAAAGUGGGUAUAUAUUUGAUACAAAAAGAAUGAAGUAUAUAAUAUUGUAGAAAAGUGUUUUUAAAGCGUGUGUUUUGAAAAAAGUAUUAUUGAGAACUAAUUAGUGUUUGACGGAACUUCUAAAAUCAACUUAUUUUGAAAAGUGUCUUUCCAAUAGUAUUUUUUAAAAGAAUAAAAAAGUAUUCUUUUUGUGCGAAAAACUUUUGUUUGACCAGUGAUAUUUAAAAAAAAAAAAAAAAGUAAUUAGUUUUUGACCAAAUUUCUCAAAAUGCUUUUAAUGUGUGUUGCUCAGAAGUGAUUUUUCAAAAAUAAUGUUUUUAUGGAAAUCUAUUUUUAAGCUUUUGAAAAAGAACUUCUUAUACUUCCAAAAAAUACUUACUUUCUCCAAAAAAAAUUUAGUUAAACAUCUCACUUUUUAAAAUAAGCACUUUCAACCUUUCAAAAACUUGAUCAAACAAAUUCAUAUAUAAUAAUAAAGGAGACAUUGGAGGCUGCUGAUGUGGCACCGCUCAAUGAUCUCCAUUUCCAUUUUUCUUUUUUCUCAUUUUUUUUGGACUUUUCUUAAAAAAAUUUAUACAUCGUCUAGCAACUAAAUGUCUAAAAAAGCCACACAAAAUAAAUGUUAUCAAACUUACGUUUCACUAAUCACUUCUAAUGUUUAACUCUUGAAGUUAAACAUUUCCAAUAAUGUCCACGUACAUGGACCAUUAAUACCAAUUGAAUGGGAAUUGAAGUCUAAUCGUAAUUGCUCCACCAUUUCUUAUAAUUUCAGUUUACGUUCAUUUCCCCACUAAUACCUAAACAAUCUCACUUAUAAAAGAUUAUAUGUGAAGUUUGUCGUCUUUAUAGCAUAGGGAUGAGGAAUGAGUAAAUAUUGAUCCACCAUAAUGAUUUCUAUCUUCACACAGAUGUACCAUGGUUGGAGAAGUUAGAAAAAAAAAAGGCCCAUUGUUUGAUUUGAUAUACCCAGCACAAUAUGUUUCUUUCUUAUCUUACAUAUUUAUGCAGACUAGAUUCUGAGAAGCACUCGGUACUUCAGUGAGGAAGUUUACAUAUCAAAAUCAUUAUUGUAUCAGUAAGGUAUGGUUAGUUAUACGAUAUAUAUAUGAGACAUAUUUUCUCAUAUUUUUUAACCUUUAAAUUUUAGCUGACUACAUAAAAAGUGGUAUGCAAAUAGUUGGCGGGUUAUGAGAGAGUGGAUUAUAUCGAGAUCGGCUUAGAGAAAGAUCCAUUUCAGACAAGAAGUUUCGAACCGUAAUUCAUGUAACAUAUAUUUUCUCUUUGAUACGGGUGUCACGGGCUCUAGACCAUUUACUAGAAGUCAAGCUCGGGAACUACAAAGGCUUCAAGGCGUGUUUAUGAAAAUGGACGCGGUUGAGCUUGUUGCAAACUCGCCCAAGGGAGUGUACGUAUUGACAUGUGGGGGCUAACAUUAGGGACCCAAAAUACACUCCCAAGGCUGCCCCAAACACUCCACUCCCCUUUCAUUAAGGGCAAAGGGGUCCUUUUACUAUCCUUUUUGUAAAGACUAUUUAAGGUGUUUCUUUAAUCUGGUUCUCCUAGUUAGCUCAUUUUAGAAUCACUUUGUAACAUUGAACACCAUAUUUCCUCUCAAGAAGAGAGUAGACCACCAAACAUUUUAAGCUUCACAAGUGAAAGGUUCUACUUGUGUUGUGAGAUGGCUAGAAACGAGAGUGCUUAAGUGAACCGAGUUUCUCUUGUGUUCCCAUAAGAACUUGGUGCUUGUUAAUGUGAUUUGUAGAGGUUUUAGAGUUUGAUACACUCUUUAGUUGCUACAUUUUAUAUUCUCUUUGCGUCAAGUUAUCUAUCUCCUUAUCUUUCAAGUUUGUGUGUUUGUUGUUUUCAUUUGAUGUCUUGUACGUAUGGACUAUUUUUGUGAGUUUGUGGACUGUUUUGUGCUCUUGUAGAUAUCGUUUGGUAUCAUUUGGUAUCAUAGCUAAGGCUGAUUGUGUUCCUACACUACCAAUCUUGGGCUCUCUAAGUCGAAAAAAAAAAAGGUGUUGAAAAGCUAAAAAUUCCAAAAAGAAGCAAAUCUGUCCAUGUCUUGGUCGAAAUUUUGUCUUGUUGUUUUGGCCGAGAUUUGUGCCUACUUUUCUUGUGAAUUUUGUGUGUUUUGUGUGUUAUAGUGUUAGAUCUUUGUUUUCUAACAUUAAAAGAGGUAUCCAAGGUCAAAAAUCUUACAAAAAGAAGUUAUUCUAUGGGUUGGGUGUCUUGGCCGAAGUGGUGUUGUUGUUUGGUCGAAUUUGUGUCUAGAUUAGGUGUUAUUUUGCUUGUCUUAGUAGUUUCGUGUGUUAGCUUGUUGUCCCUCUAGCACACUUGAGUCUAAGGUCCAAGAUUUGAAGCUUUGUUUAGUGUUGUUGAAGGGUUGGACAGUGUGAAUGUUGUUGUUGUUCAUAAGUGUUCUUAUUGUUCUUCAUAAUGUUCUUGAGGUGAAUUUUUAACAAAAGGGGUGUUUGAUUUGAAAAGAGGAAAAGAGAGGUUACGUCUUGUAUUUGUCUUGGAAUUAGUUUCAAGACAACACCAAAGAGGCAAAUAGACAAAGGGCCUCCCAAAAAGCUUACUUACCAUAAGGGUUUCAACCCUUUUUAAAAAAUAUCCAAAAGGGGGAAGGGACAAACCAAAGCCAAAAAGGUGAUUUACCAUUUUGGUGCAAGUUGGUGAAAAGAUUAUUGACACCUUGACCUUUGAAAAAAGAGUUCCAAGUCUUGUUUUUUUUUCACUCCAAAAAAACCAAAAAAAUCCUCACCAAACAAUCAAGAUUGAGUCAUUCAAGUGGAACAACAUCAAACUUAAACAAAAACAACAAUACCAAAUGGUCAAAAUAAAACUUGUGGGCCACAUCAACAACAAACUCAAGUCAUAGGACCUUCUAAGUUCUUUCUUUGUCUCUACUAGUUUCUUUCUAUUUGUCUCCUAUAUUAGUUGACAACUAAGUAACAACCUACUAAGUUGUGAACUAGUUUUUGAGUACGUCUUUUGUGUCAACGUUCUUUGUGGUGCUUUGCUCGUUUACAAUUCGUACUUGUUCUUGGUUCAAGUGCAUACGAAACUUCCUUGAGUCUUCAAAACUGAAAUCCAUUCUAACUCAAGAGUAGACUCAUUCCUAAGCACUCAAGGAUUGAUAGCCGGCUUACAACAUUUAAAGGGCCAAGUGGGUGAGCUGAGUGAAAGGAGUGUGUGAGAGUAUUUUCAGCUAAUGUUUGCUCGUUUUGUAGGUACAUUUACAAAUGGAACCACCACACAAGGAACCUGAAAUGUCCAAUGCACAAACCAUGGAUCAUAAUGUUAUGAAUGCCCUUGUAGCUAAUCUUGAGUCCUUGUCUCGGGACGUGGCUAGAGUGAAUGCUACGAUUGAGAAGUUAGGAAUGGAAGUGCCCCCUAUUAGUGGCCGAAUGGAAAGGGUAGAAAGUCAACGGAGUUAUCGACCCUCAACUCCCCAAAACACAUCCUCAACCAUUACCCCCGAAGACACACACCAAAGAAUGUACCCACCAAAUGUCAUACCUUAAGCCAACUAUUAUUCACAAGGCCGAAGCCUUGAAAGACCUAGCCAUUCUCCACAUCCGCAAGUCCCACAUGAUGGAUUUGGAACCCAAAUUCCACCCUUAAAUCCAACUCAUCCAAACCAAAAUCAUCCAAUCCAAAUACCUCCACCACUAAAUGCCAAUCCGCCAUACCAAAUUUCAAAUGCCCAAAACCCACCAAUGCGAGAAGAGGGAUUUGUGAGGGAGAACCAAAGGGGAGAGGGUAUGAAAUAUAUGAUGAUCCUUAUUUGAUGGAAUAUGGGAUGAGAAGUACAAGGGUACAACCUAGGGAGAACCGGGGGCUUGAAGGUAGGGGCGGCCAAGGUGUUCGGGAAAGGGAUGUUGGCCUCAACACCAUAAAAAUGGGGCUUCCGAUCUUUAAGGGAGAAAGUGAUCCUGAAGAUUUUGUCGCAUGGGAAUCCGCAUGCAAGAGAGUAUUUCAAGUGAAUGAUCUCAUGGAGGAGAAGAAGAGCUGCUACGCCAUUGCUCAUUUUGAGGGAUAUGCUACCACGUGGUGGGAGUAUGUCAAACGUUUUGGCAACGUAUUGAUUGAGGGGCAACCCCCUCCUUGGUUUCGAUUAAGGUAUCUUAUGAGGCAAAGGUACCUUCCCGAAAGCUAUCAAAAUGAACUCCUUACAAAGUUGUACAACUUAAAGCAAGGAAAUAAAAGUGUGGCAGCUUACUAUGACGAGUUUCAACAACUCAUCUUGAAACUUGAUCAUAGAGGAGAGUAAGUGAGCAACGAUAUCAUCCGGUUCAAGGUCGGCCUAAAUAAGGAAAUCUCUAUGCACAUGACACUUCAUAAGUUUGAAACUAUUGAAGGGAUCUUUCAAGCGGCUUUAGAGAUUGAACGAGAGAACAAAGAAAGGUCGGCAUACAAAACCAAAUCCUACCAAGGGUCCUCGGGUUGGAUCAAGGGGAAAGAAGUGGUUCCAUCAUCUUCGGGGUGGAACAAAUUCAAGCAACAACCAGUCAAGACCCCUCCACCCAUGAGCAAAGGUGCUCAACCACCUCUUCCCUGAUUUGAGGGCAAACCGAAUAUUUUUUCUAAUAUCAAGGAAUUCCAAUGCUUCAAAUACCACGGAUGGGGACACAAGGCUAGUGAGUGUCCUAAUUAGAGAAAUGUGAUAUUAAGGGAAGGAAAAUUAUAUUUCUUGGGGGAAUAAUUGGGGCUUGAACGGGUUGAAAAUGAAGAAGUGUCGCAAGAUGGAGAGGUAGGGGAGGCCGAGAGGCAUAGUGAUGAUGAUGAUGAAGAGGAGGUUUGUCCUCAAGAAGGCAAACUUGAAGUACCUAACUAUGUGGUACAGAGAGUUAUGAUUAGCAAAGCGUUGGAUGAUCCUAGCUAAUGGGAAAACCUCUUUCACACCAAGUGCCUCAUUAAGGGGAGUGUGUGCUCCUUGAUUAUUGAUAGCGGGAGUUGUGCUAAUAUAGCUAGUGCCUCGAUGGUGGAUCACUUAAAAUUACCAACUACUACACAUGUGAGUCCGUAUAGGCUCCAAUGGUUGAAUGAUUGUGGAGAGUUAAAGGUGACUCAUCAAGUGGUGAUUCGGUUCAAAGUUGGAAAUUAUGAAGACGAGGUGCUUUCCGACAUCAUUCCUAUGCAAGCUUGUAAUCUUUUGUUGGGUCGGCCAUGGAAAUAUGCUUGGCCGAACCAACUAUUAUUCCUUUGAGUUCAAGGGUCUUAAGUACAACCUCCGACCACUAUCACCAUCACAAGUGUGUGAGGUGCAUCAACAAAUGAAGAGCUUACAAAGAAAGGAAAAAAAAGGAAAAAGAACCCAUGGGUAGGGAGGAAGAACCCGAGAGUGGGAGAAAUGAGGGUGGAGAAGGAGUUUCGGCAUUGAGGGGUAAGGAUUCGAUGGUAAUGUUGGCUCGUAAGGGCGACAUUUUCAAAGAGUGUGAUGAUACUACUCCAAUGCUACUUUUGGCUCAUGUUUUGAAUGCCAACCCAUCCACUUCUCCUAUCCCGUCUUUUAUUUCUAAUGUUUUGUAGGAAUUUGAUGAUGUAUUUCCAAGAGAUUUGCCGCAAGGACUUCCUCUACUUUGAGGAAUUAAGCACCAAAUCGACCUUGUUUUGGGGUCGCAAUUAUCAAACAAGCCAGCUUAUAGGAGCAACCCUACGGAUACGAAGGAACUCCAAUGGCAAGUUGAGGACCUCCUCAACAAAGGAUACAUCGAGGAAAGCAUGAGCCCGUGCACGGUCCCGAUGUUGCUUGUGCCGAAGAAGGAUGGGACGUGGCAAAUGUGCAUGGACUGUCGAGCCAUAAAUAAAAUUACGGUAAUGUAUCGUUACCCUAUUCCAAGGCUAGAUGAUAUGCUUAAUAAACUAAAUGGCUCUUGUGUGUUUUCUAAGGUUGACCUUAGGAGCAGAUAUCACCAAAUCCGUAUGCAACCGGGUGAUGAAUGGAAGACCGCAUUCAAGACUAAAUUUGGUCUAUAUGAGUGGAUGGUCAUGCCAUUUGGUCUUACCAAUGCUCCUAGUACCUUUAUACGGCUAAUGAAUCAUGUAAUGAAGUCAUUUAUUGGAAAGUUUGUGGUCGUGUACUUUGAUGAUGUUUUAGUUUACAGUAAGUCUCUUAAUGAACAUGUCUUGCAUCUAAGGAUUGUGUUUGAUGUUCUUAGGAAAGAAAAUUUGUAUGCUAAUAUUGAAAAAUUCUCCUUUGGUGUGGAUAAAGUUGUAUUUUUGGGAUUUGUUGUGAGCUCGAGGGGAGUGGAGGUAGACGAAUCCAAGAUAAACGCCAUUAAAGAUUGGCCAACCCCAAAAACCGUGGGUGAAGUUCAAAGCUUCCACGGGUUGGCAAGUUUUUAUAGGAGGUUUGUCAAAGGAUUUAGUACCAUUGUCGCACCCUUGACCGAAAUCACCCGAAAGGACCAACCUUUCCAGUGGGGUGAAAAGCAAUCUAAGGCAUUUAAGACCUUGAAAGAUAUGCUCAUUUCGGCACCGUUGUUGCAAUUGCCUAACUUUGAUAAGAUGUUUGAAGUUGAAUGUGAUGCUAGUAAGGUGGGCAUUGGGGCUGUUUUGAUGCAAGAUUUAAAGCCCAUUGCUUAUUUUAGUGAAAAGCUCAAAGGAGCAACUCUAAACUACUCUACAUAUGAUUUGGAGUUGUAUGCCUUGGUUAGAGCGUUAGGCAAUUGGCAACACUAUCUUUGGACCAAGGAGUUCAUAAUCCGAACGGAUCAUGAAUCCUUUAAGCACCUUCGGGCAUAAAAUAAACUUAACAAACGGCAUGCCAAAUGGAUUGAAUUUCUUGAAACCUUUCCCUAUGUGAUUCAAUACAAAAAGGGGAAGGAUAAUGUAGUAACCGACGCAUUGUCUAGGAAGCAUGUUCUUGUGUCCACUUUGUCUUCCAAGUUAUUGGGGUUUGAGAGCCUCAAGUCUUUGUAUCCCGAGGACCCUUACUUUACUCCUAGCUUUAGGGAAAGUGAAGCCGUGAGGAGGGAAAGGAGGACAUUAAAGUCUAGUCUGUAUGCAUUUCUUGUUUCGGGGGAGACGAUUGUGUGUACCUUCUAGCUCUUGGAGAGAGUUGUUUGUGAGGGAGGCACACGACGGCGGUCUCAUGGGUCACUUUGGAAUUGAUAAGACCCUCGGGAUAUUGGAGGAGCAAUUCUAUUGGCCAAAGAUGUGCAAAGAUGUUGUCAAAAUCUACGGCCAAUGCAUGGAUUGUAGGAGCGCUAAGUCGAGAAUCCAUCCUCACGGGUUAUACACCCCACUUCCCACUCCAUCACGCCUGUGGUUUGAUAUUUUUAUGGAUUUUUUGUUAGGGCUGCCAUGGAUUCAAAGGGGUUGGGAUAUCAUCUUUGUUGUCGUUGAUCAUUUCUCCAAAAUGGCACACUUUAUUCCAUGCAAAAAUAAUGAAGAUGCGUCUAGUGUAGCUUCUUUGUUUAUUGAAAAUAUUGUUAAGUUACACGGCAUCCCAAGGACCAUUGUAAGUGAUAGGGAUUCUAAAUUUCUUAGUCACUUUUGGAAGUCAAUGUGGGGUAGGCUCGGAACUAAAUUAUUGUUUUCUACAUCUUGCCACCCACAAACCGAUGGCCAAUCAGAAGUAGUGAAUAGAACCUUGGGUUCCAUGCUACGUUCCAUGGUUAAAGGUAAGUUGACGUCUUGGGAAGAUCACCUACCUCUCAUAGAAUUUGCUUACAAUCGGGUGAUCCAUUAGAGUACGGGCAUUACGCCCUUUGAAUGUGUCUACGACUUCAAUCCCCUAAUCCCCUUGGAUCUAACUCCUUUGCCAAGUGAUGUUGUUAUUAUCUUAGAUGGAAACAAGAUGGCUGAAGCCAUGAAAAUAUUGCAUGAGAAGGUGAGGAUGCGUCUUGAGAAGAAGAAGCAAGAGGUGGCCAAAUGAGUCAACAAAGGGAGAAGGCGUCUUGCACUUGAGCCAGGAGAUUGGGUGUGGGUACACCUACGUAACGACCGAUUCCCCAACCAAAGAAAGGGUAAGUUGCUGCCAAGAGGUUACGUCCAUUCCAAGUUCUUGAAAGAAUCAACGAUAAUGCUUACAAGAUCGACUUGCCACCGGAAUACCAAGUGCAUAACACAUUCAACGUGUGUGACCUCUUACGGAUUGAUACCAUUGAAUAUGAGGAACCCGUGAGUUUGAGGUCAAACUCCUCUCAAGAUGGAGAGGAUGAUACGUGUGUCACGGGCUCUAGACCAUUUACUAGAAGUCAAACUCGGGAACUACAAAGGCUUCAAGGCGUGUUUAUGAAAAUGGACGCGGUUGAGCUUGUUGCAAACUCGCCCAAGGGAGUGUACGUAUUGACAUGUGGGGGCUAACAUUAGGGGCCAAAAUACACUCCCAAGGCUGUCCCAAACACUCCACUCCCCUUUCAUUAAGGGCAAAGGGGUCCUUUUGCUAUUCUUUUUGUAAAGACUAUUUAAGGUAUUUCUUUAGUCUUGUUCUCCAAGUUAGCUCAUUUUAAAAUCACUUUGUAACAUUGAACACCAUAUUUCCUCUCAAGAAGAGAGUAGACCACCAAAAAUUUUAAGCUUCACAAGUGAAAGGUUCUACUUGUGUUGUGAGAUGGCUAGAAACGAGAGUGCUUGAGUGAACCGAGUUCCUCUUGUGUUCCCGUAAGAACUUGGUGCUUGUUAAUGUGAUUUGUAGAGGUUUUAGAGUUUGAUACACUCUUUAGUUGCUACAUUUUAUAUUCUCUUUGUGUCAAGUUAUCUAUCUCCUUAUCUUUCAAGUUUGUGUGUUUGUUGUUUCCGUUUGAUGUCUUGUACGUGUGGACUGUUUUUGUGAGUUUGUGGACUGUUUUGUGCUCUUGUAGAUACCGUUUGGUAUCACUCUUCUUUUUCUCUCAUCUAUAUCUUGGGGUUACAUAAAGACUUAUAACCUGAUUUUAGGUGUUCAAGGGUGAAAAAUUUAAGGAUUGAGAUGGAUCUAAAUGAGAUUUUACACAUAAGCAGAUAGCAAAUGGCAAAAAUUCAAGUUUAAUAACCAUACCAAUCAAGCGGAUAGCAAAACUGAAGCAGAAGACAUAAAAGUGCAGAAGGUUGAGAAAAUGCAAAAAAAUGACGGAGUAAACUAUAUACUAUUAAAGUAGUUUUAUCUUUUUCCUUUUUUCUUCUUAAUUAAAUAAGAAAUUGUUGUACAUUCAUAUUUUUGUUAUGUUAAAACCGUAAUUGGCCCUUGAGCUGUUUUUGACUAUGUUCUUCUAAUUUUUUAAAAAUAAUUUCGCUUGUGGCAAACUGUCUGAAACAUUCACUACUUUUUGAAAAAAUUGGCAUGUAUCUACUGGCAUUUUUAGAGAUCCAUAAAUAUUAAAUUUGAAUUUUUGCAUUUAUUUUAGAUUUUUGUUUACAUAUGAAAAAUAUUGUAUGUUCAUUAAUAAAGAAUUGCAUAUUAUAGUUCUCACAGAGCAAGUGGUGUUGAAAAUUUAUUUUCCUCCCUUUAUGAUUAGCAUAGAAAAGAUUACCCACUUGAUUUGAUAUAUCAGUCUCGAUUUAGUGUUUUUGAUUGUUGAUAAAAGUGUUACAGUAUUUCUUUUCAAAAACUAAUUAUAUAUAUCAAAUUCAAAAUAACAAACAAACAUAACAAAUUAAUUAACAACUAUUCAACUUUCGCAUGCUGCAUCACAUACACUUAGAAAUAAAAUGGCUCCUUUAUCUCAUAUUAGUUUUCCAUUCUUUUUUUAUAUAUUCUUUAAAAAUUAUAAUUAAAUUUAAUAAUUUUAUUAAUUUACCCCUUAAAAAAUCUUUUUGAAACCUCAUAAAUUUGAUUAUACUUUCAAAAAAGUAAUUAACUAUAAUAAUAAUGGAAAGGACUUGUUGCUACUUUAGAAUAACUAUUUUAAUAAUAUGAAUUACUAUAUAAAUUUAAGGGAGUUUACUUUAUAAUUACUCAAUUAAAAAGUUAAUGAUACAUUUUCAACUACUUCUAUUAAAACUUCGUGGGUGCUCUCUUCAGAGUCUUGCUUUUGGCUCUCUCCUUAAUUCCGUUGAAUUAAAUGUAUUUUUAUUAAUUUUGAAUCUUAUAUCGUAAUUUAUAGGAAAGUGCGAAAGGAAGUGGUUUUUUUCAAUUUAUUGUAGUAAUCACAGAAAAAAGAGAGUAAACAAAAAGAAAAAAAGAAAAAAUGGCACAUAAAAAAGUCAUCCAUACUAAAAAUAAAUGAUUCAAAAUUAUUCUUUAAAAUAAUAAACAUUAAAUAAUUAGCAUAGAAAAUUGUGACUGCUAAAAUUAACUUUUUGUUAUUUAUUGAAGAUCACAUAUACAUACUCAAAUAGUGAAAUAUUGUAAUUGCUUAAAUUAAAUUUUUUUAAGAGAAAUUAAAGAGGCAAUAUAUAUUAAAGAUAUUAACAUUUUAAAUGAUUAAUAAAUAAGAAUAUAAUAAUUAAAACACAAAAUAGUUUAAGGAGUGCGUAAAAUAAAAUGUGAUAAGUAAAAUGUUCUGAGAAAGUAGAUUGUUUAGGGAAUGAACAAUUGACAGAGAAAUUAAGGAAUAAAAGGAAUAAUAAAUAAGCAUGUGAUAAUUAAAACACGAGUUUAAUUGAUAUCCGUUGACAGUGAAAUUCUUUUUUACAUGAUCAAUGUCUUUAAGGCUUACAAUGAUAAUCAGUUUUUAAUAUUUAGAUUAAUACUAUUAAAAUAAAGUGAGUAGUUGGGCAACUUGGAUCCUAAAAGAAUUAGUCGUGCCAAGUUUAAAAAAUGUUUUGCAAAUUUUAAUGAGAUAUUUUAUGAUCGCGUGAAGCGCGACCAAAUUUACUAGUUAUAAAGAAAGUUGAAAGUGUUAGAGAAUUUGAUCUAAUAUAAAAGACACCAUGAGAACUCACAUUCUUUUUUUUUUCUUUUAAAAAUUUUAAAUUACUAUAUGCUUUAGAACCCCACCUAUAUAUGUUCAUGAAAAUGGAUACUCUAUCUCUCUAUCUCUCGUUCGCAUACACAUUUCAAAUACAUGGAGUAACUCAAUAAGAUAGGUGAUUUAAAAUCAGCUUUAAUGGAAGGCCUUAUUUUUUUCUGUUGAAUACUUUUUAAAAGAAAAAUUAACGUAUAAAUCUAUUAUAGGUAAAAAUUGGAUCCCCUCCUCUCCUAAUUAGGGGUCUUGGGUUCAAGCCUCAAUGAAAAAAUAUUGCUAGAUAGUAUUUUCCUCUUUAACCGGCCUUGCAUGUCUCAAAAUCAAAUUAAUUAAAAAUUCAAUGCAGAUAUCCACAUCGGAUUAAAAAAAAAAUUGGAGCCUAAAGCGGUCGCUUUAGUGGUUAUGGCCAGCACUUUGACAAAUAUUUGUAACUUUGUUUUAAAUUUAUGAGCCCAAUAAAGUUGUUUAUACGCGUUGCCGCCCCAUAAAAUAAGAAUUCUAUGAGGUCUCUUGUUGUUUGGUCUGUCACUUUUAAAAAAAAAAAAAAUUCUUACAAUAUUUGCAGCUCCCGAAAUAAUAAAUUUUCUAUUGUUUGCGGGUCAUCUACAUCUAUUCGUGGAGAAAUAUAAUUAUUUAAAUUGAUUAAAAAAAUUAAAAUACCUCUUAAAAAACUGUUGAAUAUAUUUUGUUGCAUAUGAAAUACACAUAAAAGAAACUAAACAUAAUUGUUGCAAUGCUCAUGCCCUACAAAGCGGCUUCUCGACAUCUAUAAACUAUAUCUAAACCUUUAAUAUCUCAAGUUCAUCCAAGUUUUCUUGUAUCCUACAACUCCCAAUAAUUUGCCAAUUUUAAUUAUGAUCUAUACUCUCCUCCAUGCUUUUUGAUACUCCUCAAGUAACCCUCGAUCGUAAUAUCAAAUACAUAUUAAUUGCCAUCUAUUUCUUAAGUGAAUUUAGCAUACACUAUCUUCUACAUAUUUUCUGUCUUUUUUUCUUUCAUUGACUUUCCCUAUACUAGGAUGAAGCUUAAAUUUUCAAAAACUAUUUUAACAGGAGUCGUUUUUCACUUAUACCGAUUUAUAAAGAUUUUCUUCUCAUAUAUUUAUUUUACAUUAUGAGACUUCUCUCAUAUAUUUUAGGACUUUUUUUUAUAUUCCACCAGGAAAAAAAAUAUCAUAUUUAUUCUCCAAUAAUAUUUCUUAUCAUAUAUUUUAGGAGUCAUAAUUUAGUACUCUUGUCACGUACGCUAAGAAAAAAACAUAAAGCGAGAGUCUAAUGUUCAAUUAUGUCCUUUGUUUAUAUGGUGAAUUUUCUAUCUAUAGGCACUUUAUCUCGUCGAGACAAGCUUGGAAUCUCUAUUGAGAAAAAGUCAGUGUUAUAUGGCCAUUAUUAUGUCGGAAAACAACAUGUAUAGUGUAAUCCCAUACAGUGGUUCUAGGAAGGAUAGAGUGUAGGCAUAUUUUAUCCCUACCUCAAAAAUAGAGAGGUUGUUUCUGAUAGAUCCUUGGUUCAAUAUGCAAAAUCAUGCCUUGAAAGGGUACCUCAAGAAUAAUCAAGAUGCAUGCUUUCCUUAUUAUACGUGCUGGCUCUUUAUUGUGCACAACUUUUUAGAGAACUACAUGGCGGAACCAUCCACUUAGAGGAACCAGUGUAACACUUAUUUGCAUCAGUGUAACACAACUAUAUAAUUUGAAAUUAAAUCUAUAGAUCGAUAUAUUUUUGAAAUUUGCAUCAUAGAAUCAUGGAAAACUGACAAAGAUGUAUUUAGAAGAAGUUUAGUCAUAAAGCCUUUUUUGGAAGAGGUACUAAGAAACACAAGUUUAGACUCUAGCACUCGUGAUUCAUGAAACUUCCCACACCGCAGACCUGUUUUCAAAAAUGUUUUAAGGCCUAGAAAGAAAUGUAAAAAGGUCAAAACAUUGUUUUCAAAAAUAUUUUAAGGCCUAGAAAGAAAUGUAAAAAGGUCAAAAUAUUUGAAGAUAUAUGGAGAUUUCAAGCUGAAAUACCAUAACAGAAGCAACAUACCCAGUAUAACCUCAACAAGUCUAAUCUGAGGAUCAGGUCUAGUGUAUGCAGACCUUACUGUAUCAUACCUUAUCGGAUAGAGAGACUAUUUCUGAUAGAUCCUCACCUCAAAAAGAGAUUCGCAUUUAAGGAAGCUAAUCAUCAAACCUGUUGUCAGAAAGUGAUUAAAAAUUAUUCUCAAGCCACAUGAUCUAUACAGGUCUGAAAAUUAAUGAUCCAUCAAACCUCUUAUAGAGGAUUAUACACCAAAUAUUUGUUCAAUGGGGUGAUCCAAAGAAAUUUUAAUUUUUUGUAUUUGCAAUCGAAACAAAAAAAAUCAUAAAAAAAGUGAGCACAUAUAUCUUAUUCCCAAAGUCACCCAGCAAACAAAUAAAACCAGUCUUUUUCUUUUGACGCAAACUCAACUUCAUCCGAGUCGAGAUUUUUUGAAAACAGCCUUUAUAUCUGUGAACUGGGUAAGAUAUGUAUGCACUUUGCCCUCUAUUUGCCCCUCGAUAACUUCAAUAAUAUGAAUAUUAGAUUAUUUAUAUAGAACUAAAAUUAUUUUUUAUUUUUAUGUGGUAAAUGCUGAAUUUUUUUCUUAUAUUUUAAACUUUCUAAGUGAAAAUUCUGAUUCCGUCAGAAAUUUUAAUACUCUAAGCUUUUAAUAUUUUAUUUUUUGCUCAAAAAAUACUAUCAUGUAUGAACUUGGUGGGUCAAAAUUUAAAGUUGUUAACCUAUUUAAAGAUAUUUGUUUUUGUUCAUUAUCAAAUAAUUUUACAAAAAAAAUUUAUUAAAUCAGUUUAUAAAUAUUUUACUAGAAAUGAAAUAGAAUUACAUAUGUAAUAUUCAUAUAAGGCUUUGAACGCACAAUUUUUAUAUUUACUUACAAUUUGUAGGUGUAAUCACAAUUGAUGUGCAUGUCAAUUCGCAAAAUAAAUAUUUAAAAGAUACGAAAUUUUUAAAAAAAAUAUUGAAGUACAUUAAAUGGAUAGUGUAAAGAAAUUUUACUAUAUUAUAUAAAUAUAUUUAUAUGUAAGCUUUUCAUAAAAUUGAGAUUUGUAAUCUUAAAAAUAAGAUAUAUAAUACUCCAUUCAUUCCUUUUUAUUUGCUCCAUUUGGAUUGUACUUAUAUUCCUAAAUAUUUGCUUCUUUAAUCUUUGAAAAAUAGUUUGAACAAAAUCUUUCUAUUAUGGGUUUGUUCAAUAAAUAUAAUCAUCAUUGAUUUGAAAAGAGGUAUAAAAUUUAAUUAAUGGUAUAUUAGUGAAAUUACUUUUACUUUUAUAGGAGUAAGAGAUUAAGUUGUGUGUCUAACCUAAAUAGAGAGCAUAAAAAGAAAUUAAGAGGGUAUGAUAUAAUAGAUAAGAGAUUAAAUUGUGUGUCUAACCUAAAUAGAGCACAUAAAAAGAAAUUAAGAGGGUAUGAUAGAAUAGAUAAAUUAACCAAUAUGUAAACUAACAUUAAAUAACAUUUAUUUUUUUAAUCCCUUUAAUAAAAAAUUUAAAUCCACCAAUAUUAAUUUGAUUAGUGCUAUAUUUUUUUUAUAGAUAAUUUUUAACUAUCAAUAAUAUAUCUUUAGUAUUUUUAUAUUAUUUCAUUAUAAAAAUGAAUGUAGGAUAUAUUUAUAUGGAUAAAACAAUGUCUUACCUCCAUAAUAGAAAUAUGUUAUUUACUUUUAUUUAUAUAGUAUAUUAGGUAAACAAGACCUUAUUUUAAGGAAAUAUUGCUCUUAAGAUUUUAUAAAAAAUAUUAAUAUAACGAUAUUUAUAAUUUUAACUUAUCCUCUUGUAUAAUUUUCAAAUAAAAUUAAAAAAUAAAUACAUUAAAGUUAGUUACUUAAUUCAAGAAAAUGUGUUUGACAUGAUGUUAAAAUAAGCAUUGAAGCAUAUUAUGUUUUAAUUUUAAUUAGAACAAUUUAAUUAAGUUGUAAGCUAUUAUUGAUUUUAUAAAAAUAGAAAAUAUAGAUUUUUUGAUUUUAUAAAAAUAAAAAAUAUAGUUUUUUAAAGUGUGAUCUCUAUUAUCAUUUUCUAUCGUAUUUAUUUUGAAAUAUUAAUUUAAUUUUUUUGAUAACUAAUUAAAUAUCGAUAAAUAUAUUUAAAAAGGUAAUAUUGGGCCCGUAAAACAGGCCUUUCAUUAUCUAGUAUAAAUAUAUAGGGAAAAGGACACUCUAUAGAACUUUUUAAAAUAAAUAGCCCAAGUUUGAUAUCUUUCCGAAAAGUAGCCAGUCAGGUAUACUAUUUUCAAUUUAUAGCCAUUCCUAAUUUGGGUCAUUUUGGCUCACAUAGUUCGGAUACAGUCUAUAUACAAUACUAAUAUAGUCCAUAUGUAAUACUGAUACAGUUUUUAACUUGGGUCAUUCGGCCUUUUAAAAAUAUUUCAGUUUUUCUUUUGGUUUUAAAUUUUUUAACUGGAAAAAUAUUCCACUUUUUUUAUUGUUUAGAAAUAAUAAUUAAAUAUAAUUAGAUAAAAACGAUAUAAUUGUUAUGUAUAAUAUGUAUCUAUAUAAGAUAUAUAUCAAAUAUGUAUAUGUAUAAUAUAUAUAUAUAAAAAUAUAUAGAAAGUAUAUAAAAAUUAUAUAAUUGUUGUAUAAAAUGUGUAAAAAAGAAUGUACAAUUAUUGUAUAAAUUAUGUAUCAAAAUUGUAUAAUUUUCGUAUGAAAUAUUUAUAUGUAUAAGAUAUGUAUAGAAAUUGUAUAGAAGGUGUGUAGAAACGAUCUGCAACAAAUACAAAGCCAACGUGUACUUCUUUUAAUCCCCACAAAAUCAACACAACAUUGAAACCUCAAUCAAUUCACUCAACUGGUACUUCCUCUAGUUCUAAGCACAUUACUAGACAACCUACCUACUCUCUUUUAAAUUCUACCCAAUCAACUAAUAUUAUCAAAUCUAUAGACUUCACUCCAAAUCUACCAAAUCCUCCUUGUACUGGUUCAAUUACUAAUAACCUAGUUGCUACUAAGAUUGAACAUGAAACUACCCCUACCAUUAAUACUCGUACUACUACCAAUACAAUGGACGAAGGAAGAGUUAAAAAUAUUAUAACUUCCAUUAAUGAAAAUGUUCACAAUGUUCGCCAAAAUGAAUUCACUAGGUUAACUAGGAAGACUAGGACACCUGAGACUACUACUUCAAUCAUCAAGGCUAUUAAUGUACCUAUGGAUCAUACUAUUACUUCUACUGUAACUCAAGAUAACUUUUUAGAAAACAUUCAGAACAACUUAUCAAGUGCCCAAAAUGCCAAGGAGAUACCCAAAAAAGAACAAACAUUUCAACAACAUUCCAAACCAUCUCAUGGAAAACAACAACGACAUGCACGACCAACCAUGGGAUGCACAAACCAACCAUUGGAACAUUCCCAACCAAAAUGUUCUGCCACUACACCAAACUCCUCAACCAAUACCAAUUUACCAGUCGAAUUGAAGCACCCCUACGCAACAAAACCAGCCCCCAAUCAUACCAUAUCCAACUCCACUAUAUGAAAUAAAAUUGAUGAUGAACAUACAAUACGGACACAACAUGAAUAGCUACAUUCUAAUGGAUCUUAUGCCACCAAUAGAGACAAUGAUGGAAAUUGUGCAAAGUUACCAGAAUCUGUUGCAUGCUCACUUUAUUCAAAAUCAACAUCUCAUCGAGUUUGGAUGGAAUAUGAUAUACUUGCAAGCAAGCAACCAUGAUCACAUAGAUGGAAAGUUUGAACUCAUUCUCACACCAACCAACGAACUACUCAGACUGGUCAAUGCCUCAUCUACCAGCAACACUGAAGGAUACUUACACUCACGACCAGGUGGUCCCACAGAUCAAUGAGACACCAACUUGGAAAAAUCCAUCGUCUUCUAUGCAGGUUCCAGAAAUAACACAAAAACAGGAGGAGGAGGAACAACCAAGAGACAAAGAGCCAAAAUUGAAUCCCAUAACACUGGAGGACUCCCUAACUUUCACUCUUCUCGUAAACAAAGAAGAAAGAAUCAUGGUGCAUGUCCAACCACCAAUGCUGAAGAUAGCGAUCAACUUACGCUCAUCCCCCGACUCAAUGAUGCAUCAAUAUGUUGUGGUAAUCUCAGCAACUCCACCGGAGUUUUCACUUUUUCAUAAUCAAUUCUCUUUGAACCUGGAAAUGUCACUAGCUCCGGAAGGGUCUCAAACAAUACCGAAUAAGUUUUCCAUGAAGAUAAUAGUAUGGAAUUAUAGAGGGGCCAACAACCCCACCUUUAGAAGGAAUGUGUUAGACUUGAUUAUAUCUAACAAACCUGCCAUUCUAGCCUUAACAGAGACUAAAAUGGUGGAUCAUGAUUCACUUUUGCAGAUGCUACCCUAUUCUGACAUGUUACAGGUACCUGCAUCUGGAUUCUCGGGAGGCAUAGCACUUUUUAGGAACAGUAAUGAGUUCAUCAUAAAUCCAAUGGUACUGACAGAGCAAGAGAUUCAUGCAUCGCUUAAGGUUAGCCCAAACUCAACUCCUUGGAUCAUUACUAUUAUAUAUGCUAGAAAUAACUCCUUUUAUAAAAAUGUUCUCUGGAAGAACCUUCAAAACAUUAAUAAUUCAAAUAUGGGACCUUGGUUUAUGUGUGGGGACUUUAACAAAAUAACUAACUCGUCUGAAAAAUUUGCGAUAAUCCGAUCAAUAACAAAAGAGUUUCAAAUUUCCUAGAAUGCAUUAAUACGCUUAGUAUGAUUGAUUUAGGCUUCGCAGGACCUACAUUUACUUGGACUAAUAUGAGUAAGCAUAAUAAUAGUAUCAUUAUGGAAUGGCUUGAUAGGUUCUUAUGCAACCCUUCUUGGCUAGACCUUUACUCGGACUCGAACGUAAUGCAUCUUCCUAGAACUCAUUCCAACCAUUGUCCUGUAAUUCUUAAUCUUAUAAAAAAAUAGUGGUAAACCUAACUACUCCUUUAAAUUUGAAACUAUGUGGCUUCGCCACCCGAACUUUACUCAUAUCGUUAAAAAUUCAUGGCAUAAUAACUACAGCUAUCAUACUGCGGUUACUAACUUUGCAAGGGAUACUAACGAUUGGAACAAAAUAUUUUUUGCAAUAUUUUUAAAAAUAAAAAAAGAAUUAAAGCAAGGAACCAAGGCCUUCAAAACAAGGAUCCUAUAAGAAAAAUUAGUUUUCACUAUAAUCUUGAGAAUAGACUAUCUCAUGAAUUUAAUAACAUCCUACGCUAAGAAGAAGAUUAUUGGAAGCUUAAAUCAAGAAUUCAAUGGCUUAUGGAAGGAGAUGCUAAUACUAAAUUUUUCCAUACUACUACCACUAAUAGGAGAAGAAGGAAUAAAAUCAUGGGCCACUUAGACUCUGUGGGUAAAUGGACUUUCGACCCUGAUCAGUUACGAAGCUCUAUUAUAAAUCACUUCAAAAAUAUUUACACUACGGAGCAAAAUACCUCUGAGCGUAAAAGUUUCCCAAAGGCGGGAAACUAUCUAAAAAUGAAUGACCAUAACAUUCUAAACUCUAACCUCACUAUUGAGGAAAUUCAUAAUGCUAUUAAGUCCUUUAAACCUCUAAAGGCCCCGGGUCCUGACGGUCUUCAUCCUAUCAUUUUUUCAACAAUUCUGGGAAGAUACCAAGUUCUCCAUAACUCAAACUUGUAUGGAUGCCUACAUAACGGAAUCCAUCGACCCUGAAAUAAAUAAAACAAAUGUUGUUCUCAUCCCAAAAAUUAAUACCCCUGAACAAAUUCACCAUUUCAGACCCAUUAGUCUUUGCAACACUGUUUACAAAAUCAUAACAAAAAUUUAGUUAAUCGUAUUCACCCUUUCCUGGAUAAUAUCAUUAACCCCGCGCAAUGUAGCUUCAUCCUAGGUAGAAGAGCCUUGGAUAAUGCUAUUAUAGUACAAGAGGCCCUUCACUUUUUUCACAAGUCUAACAAUAACUUAAAGAAAAUGAUGUUAAAGAUUGAUUUAGAAAAAGCGUUCUAUAGAAUGGAGUGGUCUUUUAUUUUCCUAUCUACAAAGCCUAAAUUUUCCUCAAAAAAUCACUAACAUAAUCAUGGAAUGCAUCACUAGUUCCUUCAUCUCCAUCGUAAUUAAUGGAAACCCUACAGAUACCUUUACGCCUAGUCGAGGUAUUAGACAAGGAGAUCCAUUAUCCCCCUACAUUUUUAUCAUAUGUAUGGAUUCACUUUAACGAUUCAUCCACCAGGCUGUUGAUGAAAAAAAGUUGAACCCCUAUUAAAAUCUCUACCUCUUCUCCGGUAUUAUCUCACUUGCUUUUCGUUGAUGACUUAAUCCUUUUCGCAAAAGCAAACUUAGACAAUGAUACCACCAUUCAUACUUUAUUCCAGGACUUUGAAAAACUAUCUGGCCAAAAAAUCAACUAUAACAAAUCAAAAAGUAUUUUCUCUAACAACACUCCUUCCGAAAUUACUAGCCUAUAGUUAAACUUCUUAACAUGAAUUCUUCAGCUAACUUUGGUAAGUAUCUAGGUAUGCCUAUGACAAAAAAACUUCCAAAAAGAAUGGAAUAUCAAUUCAUUAUUGAUAAUAUGAAUAACAAACUCAAGGGUUGGAAACCAAAAUGCUUAAUAUAGCUGGAAGAACAACCCUUAUAAAAUCUGUUCUGGAAGUUAUCCCCACUUACGGAAUGCAAAUUAACUUACUUCCUUCAAAAAUAAUCCAUCACAUCGAUCAUAUCGAAAGGAAUUUUCUUUGGGGUACAACUAACGAGAAUAAAAAAAUCCAUAAUGCAAAUUGAAAUCUCAUAACUCUUCCAAAAGCACGAGGAGGACUGGGCAUUCACAAAUCUGAAGGAAAAAUUUUAGCCCUUAUUUCAAGUCUUAACGGGAGAUUCCUUAAGAACAAAUCCCAACUAUGGGUCAAAAUCCUCUAAAAUAAGUAUAAAAACAGACUCACUGGUAAUCAAAUUCACUACAUUGCUACUGACUCUUACAUAUGGAAGAGUCUUAGCAAAAACCAAAAAGUUUUCUCUAAGGGUAUCUCGUGAAAUGUGGGAAAUGGUAACAAUAUAAACCUGUGGAAGGAUAGAUGGCUCUGCAACAAUAGUAAUCUUUGCGAGCUCAUACAGGGUCCUCUAACACAAUUUGACAUUAAACAAACUCUCUCGGAAAUCAUUUCUAAUGGUUUGUGGGAUACUUCAAGUGUAUCCUUUCAAAUAACGUCGAAUAUUUUAAAAAUUAUCCAUAAUACCUAUACCCAAAAAAUAGAGCCUAAACGGGAUAAAUUUUUCUGGAAUCCUUCCUUUUAGGUACUUUCACCACAUCCUCAGUCUAUAUGCUCUUUCUAAAUUCAUCAACCAAAUCACUUCCGGAAAACAAUCCUUCUAAUCUUUGGGUUUGGAAAGGAAAAAAUCAAAAUAAGAUUAAAAAAAAUUUGUGGCUCACCACUUUAUACAAAUUUCCUACAGUUGAGGUCCUAAAUAAGAAGAAUGUAAUUCCGACAAACUUUUGCCGCUCAUGCACCAAUAUAACGAAGUCUCGUACACAUACUUUACUAACUUGUCCCAAUGCUAUACAAAUUUGGACUCAAUUUAGAUUUUCUCCUUCUGCGAACCACUUCAUACGUGACAUCAAGAAUUUAUGCUCCUCCAAUAAUACCAUCAAACUUUGCGGUAGUAUCCCCAUACCUUUCUCUGUUUUUACCUCUUUAAUUCUUUGGUCCAUUAGAAAAAAUAAAAAUGAUUAUCUCUUUAAAAUGCGACCAACCAAUUAACUGCACCAAAAAUUCAAUUGGAUACUAUCUAAUACUUUCAUCUUGGGCAUACUAAAGAAAAUUCAAAAAGGCAUUAUAGGUUUAACAUUGAUAGUGCAUAUGAUCUUACUAACAACCAUGGGGGAGACGGAGGGAUUAUCAAAAACCACGAUGGGAUUUGUAUAACUGAAAUGGCUUUCUCACACAUGGCCACAUCGGCUAUACAAAUGAAAAUUUUGGCUAUGUACCAUGGGCUACGUUUGGCUCUUGAAAAGAACUUGACUUAUAUUAUUGUGGAAACAGAUUCCCAGGUAAUCAUUCAACUCUUAAACUCAAAAAAUGAGGAUCACUCACACAUGAUUUCUGAUUGCAGGUCCAUCAUUAAACUGUUGAAAGAACCUAAAAUCCGCCAUAUCUACAGAGAAGUAAAUGGUGUAGCGGACAAGUUGGCAGCAUUUGAAAAGUCUCAAAUGCAUUGCAUGGAGAAUAAUUCAAUAACUUUUAUUUUGCCGCCGCUUUUUAUUUUGCAAGAACUCCUAAAAGACUCUCAAAGUCUGGGUUCUACCUGGACGAUUUAUGUCUAUAAUAACUUUUAAAUUUCCAUGUUAUAAUAAAGUUCCUUUUGCAGCAAAAAAAAAAAUGGCUAGAAAGUGGAAUUUAAAUUACAUGGUCAUUUUCGUGAAAAUAGUUUAAUUUGAAGUGUCGUUUCUGUCUUCUCCCCCUGUAUAUAUAGAUCCAAAAAAGAAAGAAAACUUUAAAAAUACUCCCCCUCCCCCCCCUCCCUUUUUUCCUUUUCCCAACCUAUUUCAACCCUUACUUUUCUAACUCCGGCAAUCACUUUCACCAUAAACAGCCCUACCCCCUUCAUAUUUAUGUCACAUUUGAACACCACGAGCUUGCGUUGAUUUCAAUUAUUUGAAAUUAUAAGCCAUUAAAGUAGAGCACCGUGGUGUAAAUUUGAAAAGGGUCCUUUGAUUUGAAUUUUAAUGUCCAAUAUUCAUGUUGAUCUUCAUAUUUUUAAUGUUUUACUAUUUUUAGCGGAGCUUUACCGUCAGAAUUUCUGAUUUGAUUAUAUUUGUGAAUAUGAAAAAUUGGAAUAAAAUUAGAAUUGGAGGGGAGUCUGAUUUGAUUAUCUUUGUGGAUAUGAAAAAUUGGAAUGAAAAUAAAAUUAGAGGGGAUUCGUUAGCGCGGGUCUAAAAAAUGUGGUGUGUUAAUGGUAGCGGUAAAAUGUUAAUGGUGACAAUGUUAAAAUAUACAUAGAGAAUGAACGAAGAGAGGAGGUCCACAGAUUGAGACGCGAAAAAACAAUAGGGAAUCAACGAGAAAACAAUGAAAAAGGGAGAGGAAUUGAAGGGCUAGAAGAUACGUAUAGAUUGAAGGAAUUAGAGGGGAAGAGGGAGAGAAGAAGGGAAGAGAGAUCGAAAGAAGGAGAUGGAGAAAAAGAGUUGAGAUUUUCUGACGAAGUUUUGCCGAAAAUGACAUCUCCGACCGACGAGGAGAAGAGAGGGGGUUGAAGAAGAAAGUGGAUUUUUUUUUUAAUUUUUAUUAUAUAAUAUUAGUGGCAUUAUUUUUUUAAAAUAUUUUUUUAUGUGAUAAUGAUGUGGCAAUGAUGUGAAAGUGAUGUGGCGAUGAUGUGGCUCGUGUGUAACGCACCUCCCUUGAUGAGAGAGGUGGUGUAUUUUUGGGAUUGUAUAUAAUUCACUAUAAAGUUGUUAAGGGGUAAAUAAGUAUCGAUAAAAUUAAAAAAAAUAAAAUAAAUUAUGCGGAUAAGUUACAGACGUUACAAUGUCAUAAAAUGCACAUGGAAAAAUUCCGGAACACAUUUAAAAGCAUUCUUAAGAUACAUUUAAAUUCAAUUCGAUACAGCAACAUAUUUGCCAACCAACUUUAGAUUAAUGCCUAUCCUCUCACAGUUUUCUUGCAGAUCGUCAUGAUUAAAAAAUGCUAUUUGUGUGAUUUACUACUUUAUUCUCGUUAGUAUAUUUUUAAUGUAUGACUUCUUUUCUUUUGCUUAAUGAUUGUGAAAUUCGAAUAUAACUCGCAUUCAUUUCGAUUAAUUUCACCUACUAAUAUCUUUUCGUGAUUACGUUGUUUUCUUUUGGCUGUUUCGUAACAAACAAAGCGUUGUAUACUCAAUUAAACAAUGAAAAGUAGGAUAAACAUAUUCUUAUCUUUGUUUCCAUUAACAAUUACUUACAUAUUUUUUAGUCCGAAAUCAAAAUAUGCCAUGAAACUAAAAAGAAUAUCAAAAUAUGUCAUGUAUUUAAAAUGUUACCAUAAUAUACUUAACUUUCUUAUAUUUUUUUUUUUAACAAAAAUUGUCAAACGGAGUUAAAUUUCUAAAAAAGUACAUAACUCACUUAAAAAGAGAGUCAUACAUUUUUUUCUACAUAACUCACUUUUUAAGUGAGUUAUAGAAUAAAAGUUACAUAACUCACUUAAAAAGAGAGUUAUACAUUUUUUUUCUACAUAACUUACUUUUUAAGUGAGUUAUAUAAUAAAUAUACUGCUUUACCUUUUCUCACUUUACCAUUCAUCUUCACUUUAUCCUUUUACUCCAAAAAAAAAAAGUAUUAUACUGAGUUAAACGAGCAUCAACAAUAUUAGUUGGAUCAUUAAAUUGCGUAUGCAAAUUCGUCUGCGUCGGAGAAUGCGCAUGACGAUUUUUACACUCCUUCUUAACAUAAAUUUGAAUAAUGUUCAGCUAUAUUUGACUAGCAUAGUCACGAGGAGCCCUCAGAAAUUCAGUCAACGACUCAUCAUCACUGAUAAUCCAUUCUCCAUAAUUUAUCAAUCCUUGUGAUAAGAACGAAUUUGGAUACUGUCCAACAAUAAACAAAUCAAAAUCAUCAUUUUUUUAUUUUCAUUCUUCUACAAAUAGAUUCUACAAAUUCUCUGUAACCAAUUGAAAUUGGAUACUUGACGUUGAACUUGGGGGAUACUAUAAUAUAUUGUAUUUCCCUCGCGGAUAAUUUCGUCAUUCCAAAAAAGUGCAACUUUAACACGUUCAGCAUUCAUUCUUUAAACUUUGAUUAAGUUUUGAAAAGAAGAGUCGAAUUUGAACAACUUUGAAAAAGAAGAAUUGAAUUUAAACAAGAAAAAUUCAGUUUCAAAGAGGAGUUGAGUGAAUAAAGAAUAAAGAGUCUUGAAUGUAUACAUGUUUAAAUAGGAGAAAUCUGAAUGCCGGUGGAAAAGGUUAUUUACGCAUAACUCAUAAAUUUUUAGAGUUAUAUUCAUAUAAUGGAUAACUCACUUAAAUAGUGAGUUAUGCAUUUUAUUUCUACAUAACUCAUAUAAUUAGUGAGCUUUAUAUGAUAAAUGUGUUUCUGUACCCCACUUUGUGGGAAUACACUGGAUUUGUUGUUGUUGUUUGUUGUUGUUGAUACUAGUUUAUGUGUACGCGCCUUGUGUGUGUACCUCACUUUAUUGUGUUCAAACGUUACACUAAAUAGAAUAUUUGUUUAAAUAAUAAAGAUGAAUACAAUAAUUAAAUUCAACAUCUUUUAGAGAAUUUAUUUAAUUAAACCUAAUCUUUAUCAAAAAAAUUUUCAAAGUCGAUCGACAUCCAUCGAACACCUGUAAACCUUAACAAAACAAUACUAUGAUAGAGACAUUAAAGCAAUAUAAUUAAAUCUAACUUUUACACAAAAAUUUUCUCAAAGUCAUUCGACACUCAUCUACCACCUGUAAACUAUAACAAAAUAAUAUGAUAAUAGAGAUAUCAAAAUAAUACAACUAAACUUUACCUUGACACAAAAAAAAUCUCAAAACAGAGAUAUAAAAAUAAUAUAAUUAAACCUAACAUUUACCUAAAAAAAUUCCUCGAAGUUGACCGACAUUCAUCUACCACCUGUAAAUUCAUUUACGACCUAUAAAGUACAACAAAAUAAUACAAUAGUGAUCACAAAACUUCAGUUUUGAUGAAAAUAAUUAUUUUCUGAGCAAAAAUUUUGACACUAAAGAAUGGCUUGAAUGAAAAUAAAGAAGAUACAUAAAUACACACACGUUGAAUUCUAUUAUAUUGACAAAAAUAGUGAAGAAGAUGAGGGUUAGAAAAUUAAGCAUCCAUCAAUCUAGACAUGCAACAGAAUCAAGUUAGAUGAGCAUCAAUCAUAAUUUUCACAAUAAGUAAACCAGUUUCUUCUCUAGUUUAACGUGCAUCUCAAUAUUUAUAGAAAUAUUUCUUUAAUAGAGUUCUAUUUUAGGAGUAUUUUUUUAAUCCUAUUUUAGGAGUAUUUUUUCUAAUUGAUCAUUACAAAGGAAAAUAUUAAUUGAUUCUACUUCCAUAUAUUUUAGGAGUUUACUUAAUAUAGUAAAAAUAAUUAAAUAAUAAAUUAAAGAAAAUAAUGAAAAGACAGUUUUGUCUAAAGGACAGUCUUUUAAUUAAGGAUAAAAAGUUCAAAUCAUUUUUCCAAGGGUCUUUACACUUUUAAUAUAUACUAGUCUAACUGCACGUGCCUCGCACGUGUAGCUUUUGAUUAUUCAAAAUUAAAUGAUUUUAUCUAUUACAGAGAUUUUUUAUGAAUUGUAAAAGUUUAAAUCACAUUUCAAUGAUUUUUCAUACUUUAAUAUAAUAAUAUAAAUAUAAACAUAUAUUUUAGUGUAAGCAUAUAUAUAUUUUACAUCAUUGCUUUUGCGUUUGUCAUAAAGAUUUUUUGCCUUACUGUCAGAGGGUAAGAGAGACGUAUCAAUUUGAAUCAUAUCCAUGGUACAGUUAUUUUUCUUUUUCUUUCCAUAUUUAAAACUUUCCUUGUGUUUAAAGUUAAAUCUUUACAAAAUCAUCGAUUAGAUUCUUAUUACGUACUUAAAACUUUUACUUCUUAAAUAUUGUUCUUAUUCUAAUGAUAAAAAUAAAAAUAAUCAUAAAGUACCAAUUGACAUUAAAGUAAAUAUUAAACCGAUUGUAAUAAUAUAAAUAAAUAUUGCAUCUCAAAUAUGUUCUUGUUGUUAUGAAAUCAGGUGUCAUGUGGAAGUUAACAAAUCAAACCCCAAAAAGAGUCAAAUAAGAAGACACGCAAGAAAUACAUCAAAAGAGACAAUAAUUUAACGUGAUUCGAGCAAUUGACCUACAAUCACAAAAGCACAUGAACAAUCCACCAUAUAAAAUAGAAUAUAAAAUAUCAAGAGAGACAACCUCAAACAAUUCAGACACAAUAAAAAAAAGGUUCACAACACCUGAAAGAUUGACACUCACCUUCAAAUCUUUAUUAUCAUCCAGCAAAGGUUUUCGUUUCUCAUGAAGCAAGCAAAAUUUACCCACUUAGUCUAUGUUAAUAACUUUAAUUAUGGUUGUACCAUUAAAUUUUUCUUAUAUUAAUAUGUUCACGAACGAAAAAGUUUAUGUUUAUACCUUUUGACUUUCUUUUUAUGCUGGCUGUUUCAGCAUCGCAGUAUAUCUCCUUCCGCCUAUGAAAAAUUAUUUAGCCUAACAUGAGGCACAAUUUGCAUCUUUUGAUGAUAUACAAUACUUGGGAUAGUAGGUGAAUAGUAAUUUGGUAUAAGUCAAAUUUUCUUUAAAAAUUCCUAGAUUUUCUUCUCUGGUAUUAAUAAAUCUUUCGUUCGAAAGGUUAUUUACUAUGGGACAGUUUAUUCCUUCAUUAAAGGUGGAUUUAACAAUUAUUUGGAUAAAAUAAAUUUUUAGAAGCAUCUGCUUCUACUGUAAUUUUACUAUAUCAGCUCUAAUUAAUUAUUAUAAGUCAUUUAUGUGUUAAUAAAUAAUAAUAUUUAAUAAAAAAAAUAAAAUAGAGAUUUAUGACAUGUUUACUUCAGUUGCUUCAACUGUAAUUUUACUAUAUCACUCCUAAUUAAUUAUUGUACCCCUAAUUAAAUACUAUAAAUCAUUUACGUAUUAUAAAAUUAAUAAUAUUUAAUUAGAAAAAAAGUUAAAAUAAAUAUUUAUGACUGUUUCAGCUGCUUCAACCAUAAUUAAAUACUAUAAACUUACUUUUGCCUCCAAUAUUCUUGAAGAACGGUAACAAUUCAUCCAGUUUAUAGUACCCACAAAAUUAAAACCUGGUCAAGCACAAAGGACAUAAAUUUUAGAUUAAGAUUAAAGAAGAAGAAAAAAACAACACAACAUUUGAUGCUCAAAACCAAAAAGAAAAUAAAAAAAAUAAUUUAACCAAAAACAAAUUGGAAGAAGAACAUACUAAUAACAAUUUAAGAAAGGUAACAAUUUAUUUAACCUAAAAAAAUUGUACUUUCUUGGAAGAAUUUGUACGCGAGGGUAGAUUUAAAGACAUUAGGAUUUAAAUAAGAAAAUAUUUGAUGACCAAAAUUUAAAUUUGUACGAAAAUUUAUAAUUUUAACAUAACUAAACUAGAAAAAAUACAUAUUCUCAAAAUUAGAAGUUUAGUACUAAUAAAUUUUCUAUUUUUAUUCUCAUAUUAAAUUUUCCUUGUUAUUUUAAGCUACGCCAAUUUUAAAAAUUUUUAUACUUUUUUAUGUCCAAAUCACGGUUUAUCUUUUUUAUUUACCUUCGUGUUGUUCAAACUGCACCAAUUGUAAUGACUAUUAACUUUUAGCCAAACAUAAUAACCUUAUCCCUUUUUUAUUUAGUGAAAUUUUAUUUUGACUAAAGUUAAUUAAAUAAUAUCUUUGAGUAGGAUUUUUAUUUGAUUAAUAUAGUAAAAGACCAUUUCGUCUAUUAGAGAGACUUUUAAUGAAGGUCAAAAAAUUUAAAUCACUUUUUAUAGGUUUUCGCACUUUUAAUAUACUAUAGAUAUAGAUAUAAAUAAAUUUAGAUCUCUAGCUUUUUCAAAUCUUUUUAAUAUUAAAUUUAGUCGAUUUAGAAUUCUUAAACUAAUGAAAAAAAAUAUUAGUUGUCAUCAAUCCUAAUGACUUUUAUAAUAAGAAAAGGUUUUACCAUAAAUAUAUUUAAUUAAUUUUCACUCUUAGAUAUUAGGAAAAAAUAGUGAAAAGACGAUUUUGUCUAAAACAAAGACUUUUAAUGAAGGGCAAAAAGUUCAAACAAUAUUUCUAAGGCCCUUCACACUUUUAAUAUAUAUAUAUAUAUAAAAAAUAUGUGAGUUUUAUAGGAAUAAGAAGGAUAACUUAUUUUAUUGUGAAUUUUACACUUUUUCUAAUGGUACCUUUUAUGACUGACAAACGUUUUUUAUGAACAUGUUAAUUUUUUGCAUAACUCAUAUAUUUUUAGUACCAUAUUCAUAUUUUAUAUCACUAAUAAAGUUAUGCACUUUUUUUUUUAUUUUUUCAUUCGGUGUCCGGUACCCACAUUGGAGUCCGACUAAUCCGGAUUCGCGUCAUGUAGGGCCACAUUCGUGGGGAAGCGCUCCCAACAAAAUUUUCUUCAUGCCCAGGGUCAAACCCUCGACCUCUGGUUAAGGGUGGAGCAGCCCCAUCCGAUGCACCACAGCUCAUGUUGGUAAAAUUAUGCACUUAUCACACAUAUUUAAAAUCUAUAUUCAAUGAAUUACUCAUUUUUUUUACUUAUUUUAUAUUUGAAUGAACUCACAUAAUCAGUCAGUUUUACUCUCUCCAUUUCGUAUUAGUUGGUCUUCCUUCUAAAAAAAAUAAAACUUUAAAAAGAUGAAUAGAUUAUUCACAUAAUAUGUAAGUUUUAUAAAGUGAGUUAUAUAAUUUUUAUUAUAUUUAUGUAAAAAAAAAAAAAGUGAGUCAUGUAACUUUUAUUAUAUAAAGUGAGUUAUGUAGAAAAAAAUGCAUAAUUCUCUUUUUAAGUGAGUUAUGUAUUUUUUCAGAAAUUUAAUUCCAUUUAAUAAUUUUCGUUAAAAAUAAUACAUAUAACUCUCUUAAAAAGAGAGUUAAGCAUAUAAUCAAAAAUUUAAAGUUUAGGUUUACUAUGAAUAAAAUGUGUCAAAUUCAAAGGGGUACAUGUAGCAAAUUAUAUAUAAGAAAAUAAGACACGUGAUUACGGAAGAGAGGAUAAUGUUUUAUUUUGAAGGAGGGAGUAACUAGCCACUUGACAAUGAAUAAGAUUUGAUGAUGAAUUACCUAUAAAGGUUGUAGGAGAGCGAUAAAUAUAUUUUUAAUCAGAAAUUUUGAAUAUGUGUGUUGCUCGCCAUUGUUAGAGCAAGCUUUAAAUCUAAAUGUUGGACUUCUCGCAAUCUAUAAUUAGUUGGGUUUCGAUGUAUAUACCUAACACAAAUAAAAAAAAAAAUUGAUUAAUUUAUAAUAAUGAUAUUAUUUUAAAAUAAAUUUCUAUUAUCAAAUUGAUCAAUUGUUUCAGCUUCAAACUUGAAAUAUAAAUUUUAAAUUUUAAAAAAGGGAUGAUAUGAGUUUUCAAGUUUUUAUUAUGGCUUCACAUAAUUUUUCAUAUUCAAAUGCAAUUUCAAUUUUUAAGUAUUUCAACUUUAUUUUAAAUACUUUCUACUUAUCAAUUUAUGUAACACUCUUCUCUUCUAGUUAGUCGUAAAUAUAAUAACAUCUUCUUAAUUUAAUAACAAUUUAAUAUUAAAGUAUUUAUUUUAUCUUUAAUAAAACAAUUUAUAUAUACACAAACGUCUAUUACUUAUAAAAUAAUUUAUACACACAUAAAUAUAUACUAAUUUAUUUAAUUAAAAAAUUGUAAAGUCCUUUUUUAUGUAAGUUGGGAUAAACACUACUCAAAAAAACUGAAAAAAUGACCACAAAAAACCAACCACACAUUGUGGUCGGAAAAAACCGAUCAUUUUUAAUUUUUUAAAAAAAUCAAAAUAAUUAUUUCAAUAAUUUUAUAUUAAUUAUUAUUUAUUUUAUAAAUAAAAAUUAAAAAAAUAACAAAACCAACCACUAGUAGUCAUUUUUUAAAAAAAAGACAAUUGAAAAAUAUUUUUAAAAACCGACCACUUGUGGUCGAUUUUUAAGAAUUCUUUUUUAAUUAAUUUUACAAAAAACGACCACUAGUGGUUGGUUUUUAAUUUUUUAAAAAAUAUAUAUUUUUACAAAAAUCGAUCACUUGUGGUCGGUUUUUUAAUUAAAAUAAAAAAAUAAUUUAUAAAAACCGACCACUAGUGGUCGGUUUUUCCCUCAAAUCAGUAAAUACCAACUAGCAGCGGCAAUCAAUUACUGCAAUUUGAUUGGGGUUCACGUUUAAAAGAAAAACAGAUGGUGUACCAAAUUUGGAACAAAAAAUAAAGGUCGGAUUGAGUUGGUUUGAAAUCGGGUCCGAUGGGGUUAUUGUAGGGGUGUGCAUCGGUCGGUUCGGUUUGAUUUUACGUGUUAUUGGUUCGAUUUUUGAAUAUGUAAAACCAAUAAGAUAUUUUCUUAUCGAUUUCAGUUUAUCGGUUUUUGAUCCUUAACGGUUCGAUUUUCAGUUUAACCAAUAAGAAAAUACUUAAUUAUAAAAUAGAAAUAGUAACAACUAACAUAAAAAAAAAUGAAAUCUUAAUUACCGCCAAAACCUACACAAUGCAUUUUAGUUUACAAGAAUCUUCAAACUUGAACUAAAUAUUAGUUAGGAAAAAAAUUGAAUCCUAAUUGUUGGAAGCUAUAAAUGCUUCAAGCUUUUUAUUACGAUAAUAGCCGAACUUUAUAUUGCGUCUUUAUUGUCCUGAAUAGGUUAAUACUUUGUGAAUCACUAAAUUAUGAAUUAGUAGUGCGUAUAAUCUAUAUAUAUAUAUAUAUAUAUAUAUAUAUAGACAGAGAGAGAGAGAGAGAGAGAGCUAUUAUGCAGUGAUCGAUUUAUGAACGAUGUAGUCAAAAUCUAGUAUAUUAAAUUAAUCAAAUAUAAUUAAUCGAUCAUUCAUCUGAGUAUGUAUAAGAAACACAUCGGAUUAUAUUAUAGGAUAAUAUACUUGUGUACGUAUGUGCUAUAUAUAGUACGUAUUUAGAAUUUAAUAUAGUCGAUAGUGUGUAUAUGUGUGUGUACGUAUAUAUAUAUAGUAUAUACAUAUUAUACAGUGAAGGUAUAUUAAUGACAUAAGAUAACGUAAUCCAUAAUUGAUCUCAGUAUUUGUGAAAUAUGUUGUAUAUUAUUAUGGGGUAGUAAAAUUGUGUGUGUGAUGUUUAUAGUACGUAUGUGAAAGCUGAUAGACAAUUGAAUAUAUGUAUAUAUACGUAUAUCUCGUGUAGUGACGUAUAUAGUAAUCGAAAGCUAGAUAACUGAAUCUAUAUAUCAAAAUAGUUUGAAUGAUACGCUGAUAUAUAUCAUACUAUUGAGGAAGUAGAUAUACUAUUUUGGGUCAAUGCAGACACACGUAUGUUGUUGAAGUUGUAAUAACGUAAGGAUAGUAUUACGAGGUGUAUAUACGAUUAAGGUAUAUAACCAAAAAUUUAUUAAUUUACAAAAUUCAUUGAUAUUAUUAUACGAUUGAGGAAAUAUACUACUCGUGUUAAUAUGAUGAUAAAAUAACUACUUAUCUAAUUUAUAUAAAUACGAAUUGUAUUAAAUUAAUUGGAUGUUGUCCCGGUCCCAUACACAGUGUAUGUAUAUAUGUAAGAAUUGUAUUAAAUUAAUUGAAUGUUGUUAUAACUAUUAUAGAAUUUAUUAAAAAAUAAUUUUAAUUGAUUAACUUAUUUUUUAAUUUAUUAACUUAUUAAUUGUAAUUUGUUAAAGUUUAAUUUCAAAAAUAUAUUUUUUAAAAUAUUACGAAAACCGACCACAGUCGGUUUUCGUAAUAUUUUAAAAAAAAAAUUGAAUAAUCCGACCCGACCUAUAAUACAUAAUAAUAACACAAAACACACCAAAAAUCCGCCAUUUCACCCGUCCAAAACAACAAAAACACUCCAAAACCCUUCAAAUCGCAUACUUUAACAUUAAACCCUCCAAUCUCCAUUGUUCUUUCUCUUUCAAGGAAGUUUCUACUCAACUUCUUGGAUUCUUUUUGACUUUAAUCAAAUUUUCAAGGAACUAUUCCAUCCUAACUUUCAAUUUUGGGCAAGGUAACAAUUAACUACAACUCAUUAACUAAAUUUAGCUUAUUUUAGUAUCCACAAACUCGUUUUUUAAUAUCUAAAAAUGUUAAAAGUCUACAUACAAAUAUCUUAGUGCUAAUUUCGUCAAUUGGUUGUGGUUUGAGUUUUAGGGUUUGCAUAUUUAUUUUAUUUAGCUAGAUUUUAGCUAAUUUUUUGAAUUUGAGAUUGAAUUAGCUAAUUUUAGGCUUGUUCCUACAUUAAUUUGAUUUUGAAUUACCUAAAUUUUGUUUAGUCUUGACACUUAUUUCUCCAUUUUACUCAUUAAUUAUUUAAUUUUUUUGGGGAGAAAUCUUAUUCGUAUUAUUUUACUAAAUUAUUGUAAUAAUUUAAGCGAAAGAUUAUUCUUUGUAAUAAUUUUACUAUUUGACAGAUUCUAAAUUCGGUAUAAGGAUUGCUUUGCUAUUUUUUCUCGUGACCACUUAUCUCUUUCACUUUAAUUUAGGCCAAGCAAAGGUAAGUUUUUAUCUUCUUGUUAUUGUUCAUAUUGAAGUCUAGUGAAGCCGUGUGUGGCCUUAUUCGAUUCAUUAGCAUUGUUUUUAUCUUCUUGUUAUUGCUCAUAUUGAAGUCUAGUGAAGCCGUAUGUGGCCUUGUUUGAUUCACUAGCAUUGUUGUUGACAUCUUGUUGGUCUUGUUGCUUAUUUUGAAUGUGGUUUAGUUGUUGACUUAGUUACUUAAAAAUGAUUAAAUGUAGGGACUUUAAAGGAAAUUUUUUGUAUUGAAUGUGGUUUGGUUUAGAUACUUAGUUACUUGAAAAUGGUUAAGUGUAGCGACUUUAAAGAAGAUUUUUUUCUUUAAAUGUGGUUUGGUUAGUGACUUAGUCACUUGAAAAUGGUUAAGUGUAGCGACUUUAAAGAAGAUUUUUUUCUUUAAAUGUGGUUUGGUUAGUGACUUAGUCACUUGAAAAUGGUUAAGUGUAGGGACUUUAAAGGGAAUUUUUUGUUUUAAAUGUGGUUUGGUUGUUGACUUAGUUACUUGAAAAUACUUAAGUGUAGGAACUUUAAAGGAGAUUUUUUGUUUUGAAUGUGGUUUGGUUGGUGACUUAGUUACUUGAAAAUGGUUAAGUGUAGGACUUUAAAGGGGAUUUUUUGUUUUGAAUGUGUUUUGGUUGGUGACUUAGUUACUUGAAAAUGGUUAAAUGUAGGGACUUUAAAGGAAUUUUUUUUUUUUGAAUAUGGUUUUAUUUUGAUACUUAGUCACUUGAAAAUGGUUAAGUGUAGGGACUUUAAAGGGGUUUUUUGUUUUGAAUGUGGUUUGGUUGUUGCCUUAGUUACUUAAAAAUAGUUAAGUGUAUGGACUUAAAAGAGGAUUUUUUAUUUUGAAUGUUGUUUGGUUGGUGACUUAGUCACUUGAAAAUAGUUAAGUGUAGGGGAUUUUGUGUUUUGAAAGUGGUUUGAUUGGUCACUUAGUCACUUGAAAAUGGUUAAGUGUAGGGACUUUAAAGAAGAUUUUUUGCUUUUUAUGUGGUUUGGUUGGUAACUUAGUUACUUGAAAAUGGUUAUGUGUAGGGACUUUAAAGAAGAUUUUUUGCUUUUUAUGUGGUUUGGUUGGUAACUUAGUUACUUGAAAAUGGUUAAGUGUAGGGAUUUUAAAGGGAAUUUUUUGUUUUGAAUGUGGUUUGAUUGAUGACUUAGUCACUUGAAAAUGGUUAAGUGUAGGGGCGUUAAAGGGAAUUUUUCAUUUUGAAUGUGGUUUGGUUUAGAUACUUAGUUACUUGAAAAUGAUUAAGUGUAGGGACUUUAAAGAAGAUUUUUUGCUUUUUAUGUGGUUUGGUUGGUGACUUAGUCACUUGAAAAUGGUUAAGUGUAGGGACUUUAAACGGGGUUUUUUGUUUUGAAUGUGGUUUGGUUGUUGACUUAGUUACUUGAAAAUGGUUAAGUGUAGGGACUUUAAAGGGGAUUUUUUGUUUUGAAUGUGGUUUGGUUUAGAUACUUAGUUACUUAAAAAUGGUUAAAUGUAGGAACUUUAAAGAAGAUUUUUUGCUUUGAAUGUGGUUUGAUUGGUGACUUAGUCAUUUGAAAAUGGUUAGGUGUAGGGACUUUAAAGGGAAUUUUUUUGUUUUGAAUGUGGUUUGGUUGUCGACUUAGUUACUUGAAAAUGGUUAAGUGUAGGGACUUUAAAGAAGAUUUUUUCUUUUGAAUGUGGUUUGAUUGGUGACUUAGUCAUUUGAAAAUGGUUAGGUGUAGGGACUUUAAACGGGGUUUUUUGUUUUGAAUGUGGUUUGAUUGGUGACUUAGUCAUUUGAAAAUGGUUAGGUGUAGGGACUUUAAACGGGGUUUUUUGUUUUGAAUGUGGUUUGAUUGGUGACUUAGUCACUUGAAAAUGGUUAAGUGUAGGGACUUUAAAGGGGCUUUUUUAUUUUGAAUGUGGAUUGGUUUUGAUACUUAAUUACUUGAAAAUGGUUAAGUGUAGGGACUUUAAACGGGGUUUUUUGUUUUGAAUGUGGUUUGGUUGGUGACUUAGUCACUUGAAAAUGGUUAAGUGUAGGGACUUUAAAGGGAAUUUUUUAUUUUGAAUGUGAUUUGGUUGGUAACUUAGUUACUUGAAAAUGGUUAAGUGUAGGGACUUUAAACGGGGUUUUUUGUUUUGAAUGUGGUUUGGUUGGUGACUUAGUCACUUGAAAAUGGUUAAGUGUAGGGACUUUAAAGGGAAUUUUUUAUUUUGAAUGUGAUUUGGUUGGUAACUUAGUUACUUGAAAAUGGUUAAGUGUAGGGACUUUAAAGGAGAUUUUUUGUUUUGAAUGUGGUUUGGUUUAGAUACUUAGUUACUUAAAAAUGGUUAAAUGUAGGAACUUUAAAGAAGAUUUUUUGCUUUGAAUGUGGUUUAAUUGGUGACUUAGUCACUUGAAAAUGGUUAGGUGUAGGGACUUUAAAGGGAAUUUUUUGUUUUGAAUGUGGUUUGGUUGUUGACUUAGUUACUUGAAAAUGGUUAAGUGUAGGGACUUUAAAGAAGAUUUUUUCUUUUGAAUGUGGUUUGGUUGAUGACUUAGUUACUUGAAAAUGGUUAAGUGUAGUGACUUUAAAGGGGAUUUUUGUUUUGACUGUGGUUUUGUUUUGAUACUUAGUCACUUGAAAAUGGUUCAGUGUAGGGACUUUAAAGGAGAUUUUUUAUUUUGAAUGUGAUUUGGUUGGUGACUUAGUCACUUGAAAAUGGUUCAGUGUAGGGACUUUAAAGGAGAUUUUUUAUUUUGAAUGUGAUUUGGUUGGUGACUUAGUCACUUGAAAAUGGUUCAGUGUAGGGACUUUAAAGGAGAUUUUUUAUUUUGAAUGUGAUUUGGUUGGUGACUUAGUCACUUGAAAAUGGUUCAGUGUAGGGACUUUAAAGGAGAUUUUUUAUUUUGAAUGUGAUUUGGUUGGUGACUUAGUCACUUGAAAAUGGUUAAAUGCCGGGACUUUAAAGGAGAUUUUUUGUUUUGAAUGUGGUUUUAUUUUGAUACUUAGUCACGUGAAAAGGUUAAAUGCAGGGACUUUAAAGGGGUUUUUUGUUUUGAAUGUGGUUUGGUUGUUGACUUAGUUACUUGAAAAUGGUUAAGUGUAAGGAGUUUAAAGGGGAUUUUUUGUUUUAAAUUUGGUUUGGUUUUGAUACUUAGUUACUUGAAAAUGGUUAAGUGUAGGGACUUUAAAGGGGAUUUUUUGUUUUGAACGUGAUUUGGUUGGUGACUUAGUCACUUGAAAAUGGUUAAGUGUAGGGACUUUAAAGGAGAUUUUUUGUUUUGAAUGUGGUUUUCUUUUGAUACUUAAUCACUUGAAAAUGAUUAAGUGUAGGGACUUUAAAGGAGAUUUUUGUUUUGAAUGUGGUUAUGUUUGGUGAUAAUUGAAUUUUUGUGACUUGAUCUAAUUAGUUGAAUCUGAUUGAUUGCGUAGAUGGAAGUUGAUUAUAGCUGGUCUAUUAAUGGAACAAUGAUAAUAGAAUUGGUAUUAGAGAGGAAUUUGUUGAAGUUGUCAAAUGAUUUAUUGAACAUGCUAAGACACUUGAUGUCUAGACACGUUUUUGGGUUAUUCGUUGUCCUUGUGUUAGAUGUGAUGGUAUAAAUCUUGUAAAUGAAAAAGAUGUAAAUGAACAUCUUUAUAGAAAGGGGUUUCUGAGGACUUUUUAAGAUUGCGUGGUAUUCAUGGUGAUGUUGCGCAAAAUAACUUUGUUGUUGGAGAAAGUAGUAGGUCUGUAGGGCAUAAUGAAUAUCAAGAUACUAGGAUGACAGAAAUGCUGCACGAUGCUUUUGGAAUGCAAUACGGGGGCGACUUUAGGAAAAAUGUCGAAGAUGUUCCUAAUAGCGAAGCGGGCAAAUUCUAUGAACAAUUGCAUGCUGCUAGUCAUCUUUUGUUUGACGGAUGUUCGCACUCUCGUUUGUCUGCUGCUGUUAGAUUAUUAAGUAUUAAAUCUGGAAUAUUGCUGAAGAAGGAAUGAACUCAAUGAUAGAACUUAUUAAAGAGUUAGUUGACCCCAACUUGGAUAUUCUUGAUUCUUUCUAUAAGUUAAAAAGAUAGGUGUCAAAGUUAGGUCUCUCCUCGGUUAGAAUUGAUAGUUAUGAAAAUGGUUGCAUGUUAUACUUUAAGGAAGAUGCUAACCUAGAGUCUUGUAAGUUUUGUCAGCACCCUCGAUAUAAGUGUGGUUCUAGUGAAAAUUAAAUUGUUAUUAAGCCGAUACAUUAAUUACCUCUAAUACCAAGAUUGAAGAUGUUGUAUGCUUCAAACAGCUCAGCUCCUUAUAUGAGAUGGCAUAGUGAAAAUAGAAAGCCCACUGGUGUUAUGUGUCAUUCAUCUCAUGGAGAGGCUUGGAAGCAUUUUGAUGCAACUUAUCCAGAUUUUGCAGCUGAGCCACGAAAUAUUCGUUUGGGAUUAUGUAUGGAUGGCUUUUCUCCCUUUUCAGUUGGUGCUGCGCCAUAUUCAUGUUGGCCUGUAUUUAUCACCCCUUAUAAUCUUUCUCCUAAAAUGUUGAUGACUAGUCCCUAUAUAUUUCUGAAUUGCGUUGUUCCUGGCCUGCAUAAUCCAAAAAGCGAAAUAGAUGUCUACUUGCAAUCUUUGAUUGAUGAACUUCAAAUUUUAUGAUAUGAGGGGGUUGAAACUUGGGAUAUCUUACUUAAACAGAAUUUCAAUCUGUGUGCAUAUCUAAUGUGGACUGUUAAUGAUUUUUUGGCUUAUGGAAUAUUGUCUGGGUGGAUGACAGCUGGAAAGCUGGCUUGUCCAUACUGCAUGGAAAAAAUAAAAUCUUUCACAUUGAGACAUGGCAGGAAAAAAUUAUGAUUUUAUUGUCAUCGUUGUUUCUUGCCACAUGAUCAUGAAUUUAGGAGACUCAAGAAUGCAUUCAGAAGGAAUAGAAGGGAACAUGAUAGUCCACCUCCAAGGCUGCCUAUCAUGAUAUCUGGGAGAUAGUUCAAGAUUUGCCUAAAGUCAGCGAGGAACUACUCUACAGGCUUGAUGGAUAUGGCGUUUCGCAUAACUGGACUAAGCAAAGUAUAUUUUAGGAGUUAGAAUAUUGGUCAGAUAAUUUACUUAGAAAUAAUGUUGAUGUCAUGCAUACUGAGAAGAACUAUUUUGAUAACUUAUUCAACGCAGUUAUGGAUGUCACCGACAAAACAAAGGAUAAUCCUAAGGCCGGACUUGACUUACCAGAAUAUUACAAACGCAGAGAAUUACACUUUCAGAAGGAGCCCAAUGACAAUUUUCUUAAGCCCAAGGCUAGUUUUACAUUCAAGUUGGACCAAAAUCGUCAAAUAUAUGGGAGGGUCCAAGGUUUGAAGAUGCCUGAUGGAUAUGCCUCAAAUUUGGAAAAGAGGGUUGAUAUGGCACAAGAAAUAUUGCAUGAAAUGAAAAGCCACGAUUGUCAUGUUUUCAUGGAAUAAUUACUUUCAAUUGCUUUUAUUGGUUUACCUGAAAACAUAUGGAAACCAAUAGCAUAGAUCAGUUUGUUCUUUAAAGACCUAUGUGCCACCAUAUUAAAAGAGGGAAAUCUGGCGCGAAUGGAAUGUACUAUUGUUGUUAUCACCAACAAACUGAAGAAUAUUUUUUCACCGGCGUUCUUCGAUGUGAUGGAACAUCUUCCCCUUCACCUUAUGCACGAAGCUCGGCUAGGUGGUCCAGUUCAAACUAGGUGGAUCUAUCCAUUCGAACGAUAAACAAUUGCAACAUAUUUAAAUUCAUACUUAUCUUUUUAAAAUCUAGUAAACAUCUAAUCUUAAGAUUGUGCAGAGCAAUUGGAAAAUUAAAAAGGGGUCCCAAAAACAAACAUAGGGUGGAAGGCUCUAUAGUUGAGGUAUAUAUUGCAACAGAAACGUCUCAAUUUCGUUCAUACUACUUUCAUGAUGAAGUUGCUUGUUCAAGAAACCGACUAAAUUGUCAUCAGGACGAUGUGAAUGAUCCUUAUUUGCAACCGAUAUCAAUUUUCAAUCAAUCUGGUUGUAAGGCUAAAAAGACCAUACGUCACCGGCUCACUCCCAUGGAGCGCAAAUCAGCAACUUUGGAUGUUUUGCUGAAUUUUCCAAAAGUUGUUCUCUUUCUGAAGUAAGGAAAUUAAAAUUUUAACAUAUCUUAUUUGUUUACACAUUCCCUUAAAGAAACUAAUUGUGUUUCGCAUGUUGGAUCUUCAGUUCAUUUAAGACUCAAUUCCACGAAAAUCAAGUGUAUGUAUCCUUUGCAACAUGGUUUACAUAUAAGGUUCGUAAGUGUAUUAAUAUUUCUACAAAUUUUAAACAUUUACACAUUCCUCAACUAACAUAUAUAUAAUAUAUAUAUAUGUAUAAUAUUCUUAGGUACACCAGUCACCAAAUGCAACCGCAUACGAUCAACUCUUGAGAUAUAUUUUUUUGGUCCAGUUAAGGGUGUUAAGUGGGCUGGACCGGGUCAAUCCAGAACCAGCCAGUGAAUUAUAGUCGGGUUGUGGGCCGGUCCAGAUUCGGGCCUGGUUAAAUAGGUCGGGCCAGUUCCGGGCCCAACAGUAAUUCUUUUAAAAACAACCUUGAACCGGUCCACUUAAUCUAACUCGGUCCAACACACCUAAAUCCGGUCAAAACCGGUUAAAAAUUCAGUCAAAACCGGUCUAAAAGAAAAAUAAUAUCCAAUAUUUACUAUAUAUACCUACCUAUAUACAUUUAAAAAAUGUUAAACAAUAUAUAUAGUAUAUACUACAUUUGAAUUUAAAAAAUAUAUACACAUAUACACAAUUACACAUGUAAUCGUGUGUACGACUAUACGUUAGUUAAAUAUAUAUACUACUCUAAAUAAAACAUAUACUACAAGAUAUAUAUAAUAAUUUAUAAAACAUAUACACAUGUAUACGUUAAAUAUAUACUACUUUAGAGUUUAUAGAAGAUAUAUACACAUAUAUACGUACCAUUCAAUAUAUAUGUACUACUUUAAAUAAAUAUACUACAAUAUAUAUACUACAAUAUAUACACACACUAAAUAUAUAGUUAUAUACUAAUUUAUAAAAUAUAUACAUAUGUAUACGUUAAAUAUAUACGUACCAUUCAAUAUAUAUGUACUACAUUAAAUAAAAUAUACUACAAUAUUAUACUACAAUAUAUACAAAAACUAAAUAUAUAGUUGUAUAAUAAUUUAUAAAACAUAUGCACAUGUAUACGUUAUAUAUAUACGUCUAUAGAAGAUAUAUACACAUAUAUACAUAUCAUUCAAUAUAUGUACUACUUUAAAUAAAACAUAUACUACAAUAUAUAUACUUAAAUAUAUACACACACUAAAUAUAUAGUUAUAUACUAAUAUACGUACAAUUCAAUAUAUAUGUACUACUUUAAAUAAAAUAUACUACAAUAUAUAUACUACAAUAUAUACACACACACACACUAUAUAGUUAUAUACUACUUUAUAAAACAUAUACACAAGUAUACGUUGAAUAUAUACGUCUAUAGAAGAUAUAUACACAUAUAUACGUACCAUUCAAUAUAUAUAUAUAUACUACUUUAAAUAAAAUAUACUACAAUAUAUAUACUACAAUAUAUACACACACGAAAUAUAUAGCUAUGUACUAAUUUAUAAAAUAUAUACACAUGUGUGCGUUAAAUAUAUACUACUUUAGAAAAUAUAUACAUAUAUAUACGUAUCAUUCAAUAUAUGUACUACUUUAAAUAAAACAUAUACUACAAUAUAUAUACUACAAUAUAUACACACACGAAAUAUAUAGCUAUGUACUAAUUUAUAAAAUAUAUACACAUGUGUGCGUUAAAUAUAUACUACUUUAGAAAAUAUAUACAUAUAUAUACGUAUCAUUCAAUAUAUGUACUACUUUAAAUAAAACAUAUGCUACAAUAUAUAUACUACAAUCUAUACACACACUAUAUAUAUAGUUAUAUACUAAUUUAUAAAACAUAUACACAUAGUAAUAUAUUAAAACUAAGUAUUUAAUUUAAACUAGAAAUUCAAUUUAAAUCAUUAAAUGGAAAAGUUUACAAAGUAAGGACUAAGGAGUGAAUGAAUGUUGAAUUUUAUUGAUUGCAAAAUGAUCCAAAAUUUAUAAUUUACAUGAAUGAAAAAUCUAAAAAUUUUGCAUCAUUUUUUCCGACUCGUUCAUGUUAAUAUUAACGGAAACUUGUAUAGGAUAGUCAAAGUCAACGGGGGGCAUGCAUUGGACUUGAUUCUGCUGAGUUCUCCCGUGAAGUCAUAAUUUUUUCAAGUCUCUGCUCGUCGUUCGGCUCCGCUUCCAUUUCUUGAUUUCUUCGUUCCACUCUAAUUCAAUCUCUAAGGCAAACUAGAACAUUCUUUGUAUUGCUUUCCAAUGAGUGUCGGUUGUCUCCAAGCUGUUGUCGUCCCUGACUAAAAGGGCUCUCCGAUGCAACGGUUGAUAUUGGAGCAUUCAAGAUAUCUCUAGCUAAUCUUGAAAGCACAGGAUAUUGUGUUUUAUUAUUCUUCCACCAAUCUAACGCGUUGAUCCAUCGUCUGCGAUCCUCUAUCGGCUUUCAGAGAUAAUACUUCAGCUCUUCCCAAUAAUUUGUUGUGUAAGCUCCCUCCUCAACAUUGUUCCAACAAGGUAAAUCAUAAAAGUAAUCAGGAAAACCACUAUGUGCCAGCCUUUUAGAAGAUGAUGGCUCCUCGGGAGGAUGAGGAGCGAUAGUUGGAGUGAUAUUUGUCGGUACACUAAAUCAACUAAAUUAGCAUAGUGGUUAUAUAAUUUAUCUAUGUAAUCGUUCGCAUCGGCCAUAGCCGUCCAUCAAUCAGGUUGUUCUUGUUCUUUAUCAUCAGAAUCAUUGUUAGUAUUUAUCUCUAAGUUAGCAUAAAUAAGAGUACUAAAGUGGCACAUAGUAUUAUAUUUCAUGCACGGAUUUAGCAUAGCACCAACCAAGUAAAUAGGGAGAAUCGGAAAAAAAUAUUUUUUAAAUUUAGCAAACAUGGCACCAACAGCUUCUUUGUAACCUUCUUUAUUUUUAUAUUCUUUAAGAAAACCAAAAAUAUCUGCUAUAUAUGCCAAAAUAUUACAUACAAUAGGAUUAUAAGCACCGUAAAAUUCAAUUGUAGCUAUAUAAAUUUUUUUCAAAAACUUAACAAGAUCAUCAAUUACAGCCCAAUCAGAACCAUGUUGCAUGCAGUGGGCAGAAUUAGCAAAUGAACCACAAUGUCGGUUAAAAGAUAGUGUAAUAGAAACUCUAUAUUUAUGACAAGUUUUUAAAAAAUCAUACGUAGCAUUCCAUCUAGUAUCAUAUUCUUCAGGCAUCACUAUCGGUGCAAGUCCAUUUUGUUCACAUUUAAGUUUAAAGUCUCUAAUUCUUUUUCUACGAUUAUUUUCUUGAAUAAAACCAACGGCAAGCCGAAUUUUUUUAAUAUAAAGCUCAAAAAACUCAAAAUCAUCUCUUACAAUUAAAUUAUAUAUAUGACAAACACACUUACCAUGAAAAAUUUCAGGUAACGGUAGAGAUAACUUAGAUUUUAACUUUGUUAUAGCAGUCUUGUUGUUAGAAGCAUUAUCAAAAGUAAUACAUAAGAUUUUAUUUUCAAUACCAUAAAAUUCUGCAACUUUAGCAAUCGAAUCAGCAAUAAAAUCUCCAGUAUNNNNNNNNNNNNNNNNNNNNNNNNNNNNNNNNNNNNNNNNNNNNNNNNNNNNNNNNNNNNNNNNNNNNNNNNNNNNNNNNNNNNNNNNNNNNNNNNNNNNNNNNNNNNNNNNNNNNNNNNNNNNNNNNNNNNNNNNNNNNNNNNNNNNNNNNNNNNNNNNNNNNNNNNNNNNNNNNNNNNNNNNNNNNNNNNNNNNNNNNNNNNNNNNNNNNNNNNNNNNNNNNNNNNNNNNNNNNNNNNNNNNNNNNNNNNNNNNNNNNNNNNNNNNNNNNNNNNNNNNNNNNNNNNAAUACAUUUUUGCAUAACAAAAUUACUAUCUAUCCAGUGACAAGUAAUGGUUAAAUAAUCAUUUUUAUUUACAGCAUGACCAAGAUCAGAAGUUAGGGACAUUCUACAUUGAAUAUUUUUUAAUAAUUUUGAUAAAUAAAAAUAAUAUUGUGAAUGAAGUCUAAAAAUAUCGGCCCGACAAGUACUUCUAGGAAUACCAUUAAACAUAGGAUUAUAAAUUGUUUGAAUAAAAUGAAUAAAGGCAUCAGAAGAAAGAAAACUAAAAGGCAAACAACCCAUAACUACCAUUUUUGCUGUUUCUUCCCGGUCCCUCAAUUUAUUAUACUUCUUCAUUACCUGAUCGGUUGCUGGGUCCAUUCUAGUUUGUGUUGGCCCACCAACAUCCGCACCACCUUAUGCAAUUUUUAACUCUCUUUCAUGAUAAUCACUUAUAUGUCUCAUUAACGUACUCAUACCACCUUACUUACCUCCUCUUUUAUGCUUAUAUAUUUGUUGACAAAUAUUACAUUACACCUUAAUAUCUGAUAUACGUUCAAAAAAUUGUCAUGCAAUACUAGUUGUUUUACAAGCUCUUGGGGCACAGGGAGGACGGGGAAGGAGAUUAACUGAUUCAGAUCUAACGUUAGCAUUUCCUACUGCGGGUGUCUCACCAAUAUUUUUAUCAUCAUCAUCUAAAUUAAUCGCAUCUACUUCAUUUUCUUCUUCUAUACCGUAAUUUUUCUGAGCUUCUACAUAAUCUAUAUCGUGAGCACCUACACCUAUUUCUUCCUCAAAAGGUUGACUAAGCGGUACCGAAGGUGGAGGCACACGGGUAUAUCUACUACUUGAAGUACCUCUACCACUAGUAAUUCGCUUUUUACUACCACUUUCGGGACAAAUUUUUUUAACACCUUUAGUGGCGAGGUUUCUUAAUUUAUCCAUAAUAUAAAUUAAACUAAAAAAAUUUAAAAUACACAAAUAUAAUAAAAUUAAAUAUUCAAAAUUAAUACACUAAUUAAAAAUUACAAGUAAGAGAUGAAACGACAAUACCAAAUUUUAGAAGUAUCUGAAGGUUGCGACUUUAGGAACUUUCACUCGUACUUUGUAAUCGCAAAAUUAAAAAAUUAAAGUGAACACUUUAGGAAAUAUAUAGAAUAUUUGAGAAUUGAGAUUUGAGAGAGAAUGAGAUUUGAGUGAAUGAAAAUUGUGUGAAAAAUGAUUUGAAAGUGUAGGGUAUUUAUAGGAAUUUUUUUGGGUUUAAAAAGUAUUUUAAUUGAAUUUAAAAAAAAAAUGGCCAAUUAGCCAUUUUUGGGGCCUAAACGGUAAUAUAGCCUUUGGGCCCAACGGGCAAAAUCAAUAAUUUUUUUUAAAAAAAAAAUAUUUGGGCUGGUUAACCGGCGGGCCUGGACCGGGUUUGGUCUGGGCUAGGUUAAUCGGGCUCAAAAUCAAAAGUAACUCAGCCCGGGACACAGUACCCUAUAACCCGUGGGCUGACCGGGUCGGGUUUUCUAAGUGGAUCGGGUCGGGCUGGAUCAACCCGGCCUGUUUGACAAGCUUAGGUCCAGUUGAAGCUUAUGCAAUGUCCCAUUACACAAUAAAUGGGUUCAAAUUUUCUACCGAACAACACUCCAAAACAAGGAAAACAAACAAUAGUAGUGUUUGGGUUAAGGGUGAUGAUGAUGUUGAUUACUUUGGCAUCAUACACGAGAUCUUAGAACUAGAGUAUGCUGGUUUUUCAAUAAAAAAAAUUAUCCUCUUUCGAUGUAAGUGGUUUGAUCCAAGCAUAAGAGUACAUAAGGAGCAUAACAUCAUUGAAGUGAAGCACAAUAGAUCGUAUCCUUUUUACGAUCCAUUUAUUCUAGCUCAAAAUGCUAAAUACGUGUAUUAUACUCCUUAUUCGUUGUGCAGUGAUAAGUCUGAUUGGUGGGUUGUAAUCAAAACAAAGCCUAUAGGAUGGGUGGAAGUGGAAAAUGUGUUAGAGAUUGUGUAUCAAAAUGAAAUGUAGAUUGAUCACCAGCUAGUGGAAGUUGACUUAGUGGAUACUUUGAAUCACCCGAAAAAUAUAUUUGAAGAAGUUAAUAUUGCGAAAGAAGAGGUUAAGUGGGUAGGAGAUGAGAAAACUUUCGAAGAGGGUGAAUGGUUUAGUGGAGAGUCUUCAGAAGGGGAGGAUUAGUUUGUGUAGGUUGUAUUUAUUAUGUAUUGAUUAUGUCUUUAUGCUUUGUACUAUAUAUUUACCUUUAUGUUUCUUGUUUAAGAUUGAUAUGUAAUAUAUUGUUUAAGAUUGUUGUUUUGUUUUUCCAUGAUUUAUAUAGUAAUAAAAAUAUUCUUUUCUAUCUCGUGUUGUUGGAGCGAUUUGAAAUGUGAAUUAGUAACUUGAAAUUAGUUACUUGUAAUAUUUUCUUAUAUAUUCAUUUUGUAGGAACUAACUACUUGUUAACUUUACAUAAUUUAAAUGUCAGGCAGAGGUGACAAAAGUAAGAAAAAAGUUGUUCUUACGAAAACAAAAAAGAAAAGAGAACCUCCGCCGUAUAAACGACCGACAGGAAUUCAUAUAUCUGAGGGUCGGUUUGCUGACGCGGCAGCACGACCCUCAUAUUCUAGGUCGUCUCAGCAGUCAGUUCCUACUCCUACGCAUGUGGGGCCACUUCAUGGGUCUACACUGACUCAUUCUGCUCCUAUCACUGUGUCGCCUCCAUUGCAGUACUAUCGGACGACCGUUGGCCCAUCCAGAGUACUAACAUCGUCAAUACCCUCUUGUAGCAGUCACGCAACUUCGCACAGUGGUUUUGCAGGAUCUAUUAGGUUGUCGGAUAUUCAGCUUGGAGGCACUUCAUCUGGUGCAUCAGAUCCGUCACGCCAAUGCAUCUACCAUCACUUACUCCGCAUCCAGGCGACAGAGAUGAUUUUGAGAGGCGUUACCUUACUCCAUAUGCGACAGGGUAAGAUUUCUAAAUGUAAUAACAUUAUUCAUUUUUUCAUUACUAUAUUAUUAUACAACAACAAACCCAGUGUAUUCCCACAAAGUGGGAUCUGGGGAGGGUAAGAUGUACUCAGUUCAUACCGCUACCUCAGAAGAAGUAGAGAAGCAAUUUCUGAUAGACCCCCGGCUCAAGAUAAAGAAUAGCAUUACUAUAUUAUUAUGUUCUAUGAAAUUAAUGUUGGAUCUUGUGUUGUAGGUUUAGGCCGGAUGUUGGAGUUGGACAAACUACAAAAAAUGCACUUGUCGGAACUUCAACGGCUACUAGACCAGUGGGCAAAAGGUUCCAGAAAUUGACAGGGAAAGAAUGUUUUAAGAAUUUAAUGUAUGGAUUUAACGUAUCGACUACUUAACACUUUGUUAAAACAAAAGAUUGAAUAUUAUAUUUUUAUUUUUGUUGUAGAAAUUUUACUGGUGGGAUGAUGCGAAUGCAUGUCAUAUCAAGAUUUAACGGUCUGUUGAAUUAUGCCCGAACCAACUUGGUACGACUUGACUAGAUUAGUGAACCCUUAUGGCAACAAUAUAUUCGCUAUUGGAAUAGCGAAGAAUAUCAAUUGCUGAAGGACAAAGGAAAGAAAGCCCAGGCAUCAUCCAGGGGUGGCUCCCUACAUACUGCGGGUGCCAAAAGUAUAAUUAAUGUGGAGAAAAAAUUGGUAUGUAACUUUUACGAUUUUAAUUGUUUGUUUUUAUUUACAUUUUUAAUUAUUUGAACAUUGAUAAUUUUUUGAUAUGCAGGAAAAAGAAAAGGGUAGGAGCAUACCACAGGGUGAUUUAUUCGAGGAGACUCGUCUGAAAAAAAAAAGAACCCGACUGAUGAAGAUUUCUGGGUUGAACCUCGUGCAAAAGCUGCCCAUGUAAGAAUCAAAUUUUGAAUUUAUGAAUCUUUUUCUCAAAGUUGAUAUUAUUCAAGUAUAAGUACUUUAAUAUUUUCUUACUUUUAAUUUUAACUUUACUUUGAAUAUAUGACAAAUAUACGCAAAUCAUUAGUGAGUAUUGUAGUACUCAGCCUCCUGAAAGUCAGGGUGACCCACUACCCCAACAUGUAGAGGAGGAGUUAUGGGAUAAAGUUGUAGGUCCUGCAGUUAGAGGCCAUUACUGCGGAUACCACAAAAAAAAAAUUUGACGAGAAUAUUAGGUGUUCGUCCAGCCUAGAAAAUACGAUUUCCAAACUCACUGAAGAGCUUGCUGGACAGAGAGAGAGGGCGCAAAAAAGGAGGAGGAAACAUCAUCACAAAUCAGGAUGUUGCAGAAGCAGUUCAGCUUUUUCAUUCAGACUGCAGGGAUUAUUCCUCCGUGUCUUGGUGAUGCAGUUCAGGCUGCAAAAGGUCAACGCCCCCCGGAUGAUAUCAGCACAGAUGUGGAUAUGGAAAACGAGAACGAAUUCGAUGAAGAUGAAUUUUAGUUUUUUGACUUUUGUAUGUGUUGUACUUUGAAUUUAGACAUUUUGUUUGGCUUAUCAUUAAAUAUUUUUCUUCAUUAAUUGUAGGUAUAAAGAGGCCAUCACCAAUUUUGAGAAUUGCUCCUUUCGAGAAAUUUAUUUUAAUUUUAAUGUGAAUCUGUAUAUCUACCUUCCUUUUUAAAAAUUUAUUUGCAUUAUAAUUUGAAGUGUUCUGUAUCUGCAUUGGAGCUCGAUUGAAUUUGAAUUCACAUCAAAAAGUUUCAUAUUAGAGGUUAAGCGCUCUCUAUUAAAGGUGACUUGGAACUUAUUGUUCAAUUCUAAGAUUGUCAUUACAAUAAAGUAAUAGUAACUUAUAUUAUCAUCAAGAACCAUGCCUUUUUUGAGUGAACCUGAAGAAAAUAUUAAAGAUAUAACAUGUAAAAAAAAUUGAAAUAGAUGAAACAACAAAUUCAGGUGUACUGGCUCAUUGUAAGUUUUAAUUAUAUGGAUGAAAUUUUCUUAUUAAGUGCUUGCAUGGUUUAUGUUUAAUCAUUGUAAAUUAUAUGGCAUUUGAAGUAUAAUUUUGUAAACGGGUUAUUUGAAUAAGUGAGUUGCCGCUUGCUAUUGUUUUCCAUUAAUUUCAUGUUAGAUCUUACUCUUUCUAUCCUAUAAACAAACAAAACACAUAUAUUCAUUUAAUUAGUCUCAAUUAAAAGGAGGAGUGGUAUUUUAAAACUCUAUAAGACAUGAAACCUAAAAGAACUCUAAAAAAAUAGUACUUGUUGGCUCAAUCAAUGGUCAGAGUAAAAGAAAUUAACAAAAGUGUCUUCUGCUGUUUAUUUUAUUUUUUAUUUUUAGUUCGUUUCAAUAUCUUUUUUUUUUUAAUAGAAUUUCUAAAUUUUCAUAUAGCAUAUUUAAAACUACAAGAUUAAAGUAUAUUUUAAUACAUUUUACAUGUCUAUAAUAAUUAAAAUAGACAUUAGAAAAUGUAUGGUGAAUUAUCAUAUUCUUCUUCAUGUUGAUUUUUUAAAUUUUUUACUUAACAAUAUAACGUACACAAAGUAAUUUAUUUUUUUGAUAUUCAUUUAUUGUUAAUUAACUAUAUACACAUGCGAAGCAUGUACAUCUAAACUAGUAUAUUAAAAGUGUGAAGAUCCUUAAAAAAAUGAUUUAAACUUUUUACCCUUCAUUAAAAUACUCUACAAUAGUUAAAAUCUUUCUUUUACCUUUUUUCAAUUAUUUUCAUAAUAUGUAGAAUUAAAGAGUCCUAAAAUAUAUGGUAAGUGAAAUUAUAUGAGAAAAGUUAUUAAGAAAAUUAAUAAUUAAAGAGUCCUAACUUAUAUGGUAUAAUUUUUCUUUUAUUACUGGGAUAUUAACAAAUUUUUUUGCCUCAUAUUAAAAGUGACUACUUAAGUCAUUAAAUUAUUAUUGAAAACAAAUCAAUAUGAAGAAAGGAUAAAAUAAAAGGGGAAAUUAAGUACAAAGAGACAAAAGAAGAGUUUUUUCUUUUCAUUAUGGCAUAAAUUGCAAAAAUUUACCUUAUAUUUAAUGAAAAUUUUAGCUUAUAUUUAAUGAAAAUUUGUCCGAAAUUAAAUCUCUUAAAUUUGAAUACGUAAGCGGAACUAAAAUAAAAAGACCAACACAACAUCAAAAGUACUUUUAUAAAAACAAAUCUAAAAUAAAACCUUUCAAAAUAAGCUAAUUUUAGAAGUUUGGCCACAUGCUAAAAAGGCUAGUUACUUUCUUCUAUUUUUUUCCUCUUUUUUAAUUCAAUAUAAAUAAUAAUUGAUAUUGUAGUAUUAAUACACGAUGGACUUGGAGAACAACUUCAUUCGCUUAAUGAUGGAACAAAUUAGCUCAACACGUUUAGCCGGCAAGGAAGGAACUUGUGCGAUACACAAGAUUAUAUGAUACCUCAUAAAAUAAAUAAAUUUUAUUAUAAAUUAUGUAUCUCACAUUCCUUUUCAAUACACCCUUAAUCCUAAAUAUUUUACCUACUUUUAAAAAUUAAUUUGUACUUGUUAAUGUAACAUACUCAUAACAAUUAUUCACUUUAUAAACAAUAUUCAUGAUUAACGUUAUACAUACGUGUAAAGCACGUACACUUGACUAGUGUAUCUUAUAAGAGGGAAUGGGAAGGAGAAGCCUGCCUGCUUCAAGAGCAGUUUCUCCAUAAUUUUAUUAUAUCAUUUCUAAUUAAUUAUUAUAAAUUAUUUAUGUAUUAGAAAAUUAAUAAUAUUUAAUAAAAACUUAUAUUUUAUAGAUAUUUAUGACAUGUUUGCUUCAACUGUUUCACCCAAGUAUUUUUGUAUAGUAAUUUUAUUAUAUCACUUCUAAUUAGAUAUGUCUGCUUCAUUGUUUCAAUCGUAAAUUUACUAUGUCACUCCUAAUUAAUUAUUAUGAUCAUUUAAAUUUUUUCAUAAGUAUUUUUUAUAGUAAUUUUGCUAUAUCACUUUUAAUUAGUUGUUGUGAGUCAUUAAGACAUGUCUGCUUCGCUGUUUCAAUCGUAACUUUACUACAUCACUCAUAAUUAAUUAUUAUGGUCAUCUAAUUAUUUGAAAAUUACAUAAAAACUAUUAUAAAUUACAAUAAUUAACAACUUAAAAUACCUAAAAAAAUAAUUUGUUAUAUAUUUUUAAAAAAUAUGUAAAAGAAAUAAUUAUAAAUCACAAUAAUUAAAAUAAAUUUUUAAAAAAUAUUUGUUGGGACCGUGCGUUUGCACGGGCUAUUAGUAACUAGUUAAGGAUAAAAACGAACUUCUGACCAAACCUUUUGGACUAAAAAUUAGUUUUAAAUUUCAGUUAAAUAUACAAACAACAACAACAAUAAAUUUAGUGUGUUUCCUUAAAGUAGGGUUUGAGGAGGAUAGGAUAUUCGCAGUUCAUACUGCUAUCUUUGAAGAAGUAGAGAGGCUGUUUUCAAUAGACCCUAAGUUCAAAAUAUAAAGUAGUAAACAAGGUCGUAAUGAAACAAUAAGUAGGAUGGAUGACAUAAUAAAAAUAAGGAAUAAAAUAACACAAUUAAAUAUACAACUUUUAUAUUUAUAUAUUCAAUAAAUAAAUAAUUCCAAGCUGUCGGUGUGAACAAUGAGUACACACCUUAUCCCUCAAUAAUGAUGACCAUCUCUCAUCUCUACCUAUUGACUAACGGGUCCCACAAUUCAUCAAAACGGGCCCAUCCAAGCCAAGCCCGGACCCACCUCCCACCAUCGUAUAGCGUGUAUCCCACUUCCCCAUUUGUCCCUUUUGCCUCAGUCGGAAACAACCAAAAAAAAUAAAAAAAAUUUAACAGUGUGGAGGAACGAACUAUGUAGUAUACUAAACAAUGAAGCAAAAUAAAGUUUUUGAGAGCCAAAAUCCAUAGAAAGAAAAUUCCACAGCGAGAAAAAACGAUAAAGGGGAUCGCUGAGGCAACUUUAUUUUUUUUCAUUUCAUUUCAUUUUUAUUUGUUCUAUCAAUUUUGGGGAUUUUAGGGUUUAUAUUUUUUUUUGGGAGGAAGAAUUUUGUGAAGGAUGACGGAGGUGGUCGUCCAUAUAUAUGAUGUGACGAAUAGUGGCAACGAUAAGACCAACAACACCAUUAUGCAGAUCAACAAGUUUUUCAAAGACGGUAUUGGUCUUGGUGGCAUCUUCCAUAGUGCCGUUCAGGUUCACCUCUUCUUUGGGAAUUUUAAUUGUAUUUUUUUUUUUUUUGCUUUUUUCUGUAUAUUUUUUUUUUCCAAUUUGGUUAAUUGGAUCUAGGGUUUAGUGUUGGUGGUAGUGGAUUCUAUAUUGGUACUGAAGUUUAUUUACUUUUUGUGUGGUAAAUCAUAUAUUCUGAUGCUUAGGAAUAUUUGAUAAAAGGGGAUCUGGUUGAAUGUGUGUAUGGUAUAUUUUCGAAAAUACCCCUUUUUUUGGUCAAACAACAUCUGUGUUGAACUUACUGGUUAUGAGGAUGUGUGAAUUGACUCAAUUUAAGCUAUUUAACUCGUUAGGGGGGCUUCAAGUUCCUUUUGUUUUGUUUGUCUUUUCUUUUGAUACAGAAAGGAGCAUUAGAGUAAAGUUGCUGCCAUGUGACCCGAAUUUCACGGGUUCAAAUCAUGGAGACAGUUUCUUGCAGAGAUGCAAGUUAAUAAACCCUUGUGGUUCGGCCUUUCCCCAGACCUGGCGCAUAGCUGGAGCUUUAGUGCACCAGGCUGCCCUUCUCCUCUUUUGACACAAAACUUUCUGUUAGUCCUCAGGUUUUUGAGUUCAUAGUAGAUGCGAGCAGUUGUAACUAAAUACCAUCUAGAAUUACUAAAGAAGUUGAAAUUAAGUUUGAUGUGCAUAUGACUUACCUUUAUUUUAAUUUUUGUCUCCCUUUACGUACCUACUUGGAUUCGCUGCACUUGAUCCGGAAACAAGCUCUCUACCUCCACGAGGCAGGGGUAAGGGCUAGGUACACACUACCCUCCCUAGACGCCAGUUAUGGGAUUUCACCAAGUAUGUUAAUGUUGUUGUCUUUGAAAUGUGUUAAUAUUUGAAAGCUAUUUAGUUCCCAAGGGGUUGCCUACUGGUUGAGGCAUAGGAGUAAUAGCCUGGAAAGACCCCUAGGUUCUGAUCCUAGCUAUAACACAGGCUGUGAGUCUAUCAGCUCCAACCUUGGUGGGGCAGGAUUACCUUUCAUCGUCAACUAGAAAUGAAAUAGACUAGUAAUCUAAACACAAUAGUUUCCUUUUCACCAUUAGGAUUCACACAUCUGUAAAUAUAGAUUCUUGGAAAUCUUAGGUUUCUAUCGUUUCUGCUGUUAGCUAAAACAAAUUAAUCUCAUCUAUUGUCUUUUCAAAGAUACAAGUUUUUUUUUCCGUCCAUGGCAUUUUUAUUCUCAAAAAAAAAAAAAAGAAAAAAGAUACAACUUUUUGUUUUCUUCAAUUCAGAUUAGAAGGGAACGAGUUCCUACUUGAGCAUUGGAAAAUGUUUCUCCAAAUUUUCAAGCAAUAUUUAUGGUACUAAUGUUGUUGAUAAUGUGUGAUCUGUAUGAAAUGAUGUCCACUUGACGCUUCCAUAUUUGGGGCUACACAUGUAAAAUAAGCUUUAUGGUCCUUGCAGUUUACCCAAAAUGAACAUGGUGGCAUUGUUGCUUCCAAGAACUCGAUAUCUGAUCUCAUUUAUCUAACUUCAGAAGUAGGGACCUUCAAAUUAAGUUUCCAAGAACUCACCCCAGGGUGUAACCUUGUGGUCAAUGAAGUUGGUUGAGAAUCAUGAGGUCUCACGUUCAAAUCUUACACUAGAUUAUGUCUUUCCAUCUGGUCGAGCUUUGUGGAAAUAGUUACUUGAUACUUGUUGGUGGGAGGUAGUUGGUACCAGAUGGAAUUAGUUGAGGUGGGUUCAAUUCGACCCUGGACGAUAUGGCUAUGAUAAAAAUCUGAGAUAUACUGGUUAUUCUGUGAUGAUAAAACUUGAAAAGUAUUGGUUCUCUUUAUUCUUCUUGAACUACUGUUAACUGAUCCUUUCACAUGCUUACAUCUUGAAUAAAAUUUAAAACUAUGUUGACCCUUUUUAAAAGCCUCACACUUCGUCUGACCUAGUUUUUUUUUUUUUUCUUUUUUUAUAAUUGAUUUAGCAAAGAUUUAGGCAUGAAUUCUGUAUUCUUGUUCUUUCUAUUAUCAUUUAUCAGGAUAUGUUGAUCCCUAUUUGCAAAAGUGUUGCAUGGUCUCAUCUUAUGUAGUGUUCAUUUAAGCUCAUCAGUUAUUGUAUUCAGUAGUUCUUUAACUUUUUGCUGAAUGUUCGUCUCUUGUUCGUCAACUAGUUUAUUUUUGUCAAAUUUUGCUCUGGCUUAUACUGUAUAUAGCUCUGCUUUCUGUUAUAUCUUUUUCAGCUUGUGUUAAGUGUUAACAUGUGAUAGAUUUGGUGUAUAUUUUACAUAGGUUUAUGGAGAUGACGAGUGGUCCUUUGGGUUCUGUGAGCAAGGUACUGGAGUUUUUAGCUGUCCUGCUGGGAAAAAUCCAAUGUAUACAUACCGUGAAUGCAUUGUACUCGGAAACACAGACCACUCUAUUUUCAAAGUGAACCAGAUACUGAGAGAGCUUAGUAGAGAAUGGCCCGGACACUCAUAUGAUUUGUUGUCAAAGAAUUGCAAUCACUUUUGUGAUGAAUUUUGUGAAAGACUCCGUGUUCAAAAGCUUCCUGGUAAUCUUUUUCUUCCUCUCUCUAUUUCCCCCCUGCUUGUUGAUCUCUGUUUGUGCUAUAACCAUUUUCAUCGACAAACUCUUAGUGGUGAACUUAAAUGUGGCGCAAGUGUAUGCCCACAACUUUUGGUUCUUUUGGUUUCUGGAGAGAUGCUCUAAUUAUUAAGUAUUUGCUAUCUCAUCACUCUUAAUUGGGUAAUGUCUGUAACUGGUGAGAUGUUUUACUCGGGAGACAGUUCUUCGUUCCAAUGCUCCUCAUAUUUAUCAAUGCUCAUGGAAACCAACUUUCCUCGACCUUCGGAAUCGACAUUUUUUAUGAAUGUUAUUCUUUCAUUUCAAGUUUAUUUCCUCUUAUUUCUCUUUUAUAAGGUUAUGCCCAGUUUCCUAGUUUUGACUUGUAUGAAAUUAUUGAUUAGCAGAUGCUUAAGCUUAGAAACAAGGUGCACAAACAUGAUGGUAACAUUUGCAAAUUCCUGAUUUAGAUUUGCCAAGAAUAUGAUCAUGAUCCAUGGUUAUAGAUAAAAUAAUUUGAGAAAGUUCAAGUUUGAAGUUGAAUCCCUAAUCGGGGGUGCAGGGAACAAUCACCUAGUAUAUUUUGAUUAUCCCUUUGCACCAUUAAGCAAGCAAAUAUUUCAUUACCAUUAGUAGCCAAGCACUAAGAUGGUGCUUGGCAUUAUAAAACAGUUAUUUUAUAGAUUACAAUAUGGCAAUAUUGUGUGAGCUGCUAUAUGUAUAACCAUUUUUUCCACAUAUUAAAGGACAGUCAAAUUACACUGUAAUGCUAAAUUACAUAAAGUUCUAUGUUAUAAAACUUGUACUUGGCCUUUCCUUCAAAGCAUCUCUGGUUCCUUUCCUUUCAAAAUAAUGGUUCUCCAUUUUCUUAAAACUCUUUAUGCCGGCAUCGAAGUGUUUCAGCUCAUUAUAUUACAGGUUCGAACCCUGUUGCAGACGAAAGUCUUGUAUUUAAGUGGAGCAGGGUAGAGCGGUUGUCCAGUAUCCACAUAAUUUUGAACUGUGCGCCACAGGCCCUCGGGAAUUUCUCGGUUUCAAAAGACGUGUUUAAUCACAUGCUUGUUAAAGAAAGUUUUUUAAGAGCAUGAUAAUUUUUGCUUGUAUGCUGUGUAAUUCACGCUAGUAAGAACCUUUUAUUUGAUCUGAAGUCGUCUGUCAAAUUUGCUUUCCAAAAGUAGGUGCUCUUUGUGUUAGUUUGUGGGAGUGGUGAGGUCUUAGAUGUGAGGGUUCUCUGAAGUCUUCCUGGCUCUAGUUCUGAUUGUUGCUUGUAUGUAAAGGUUCCCAUCAUGUUCACGAGAUUAAUAAGUUCCAAACAAAUUGAGAUGUUAUUUGCCUUAUCAAUACAAUUUAAUUAUGCAGGCAUUGUAUUUCAUGCAGUGUCCUGAGCUGGGGGUCUAUCGGAAAUAGCCCUCUCUACUUCAUCUGAGGUAGUGGUAUGGACUGCAUACAAUCACCCUCCCCGGACCCCACUUUCUGGGAAUACACUGGGUAUGUUGUUGUAUUUCAUGUAGUGAAGUUGGCCUGAAUGCUUAAUUUUGCUUCCUCUUCAUCUGUUAGGGAGCAGUCUUAAAAGUGUCUACGUAAUAUCUAGCUAUACAAUAAAAAGUUAGAUAUCCACAUUGAGUGUUCUUCUGAAGGAAGCACAAAUUUAACACCUAUCUGUAAGCAGGAAUCUUGUUAUAUAACUUGUCUCUUGGAGAAUAUUUGUGCUAAGUAUUCAUUGCAAUAUUAGUGUUGAUUUGUGGAUCUUUUUGCGAUUGUUAUGCUGUUCGAAUAUAUCUCCUCCAGAAAUAGAUUUCCACCAAGAUAGAUGCAUGAAACCAAACUGACCAUUCUGACUCAAGCGGUUUCUCUAAUCAUGAGUUUAACUACCCAUGUUUCUUAUGGAUCUUUGCAAUCUCACUUGAUUCCUGGAGGUACUGUUUGGAUAUGUCACCUCAAGAAACAGAUUUCCACCUAAUGGAAGCACAAUGGCCAAAAACUGUCAGCGGUGCUAGAGUGCAGUAGUUGAGCGCUGAUUCAAGCAACCUCUUUAACAAACACUUAUAUAGUGUGCAGCGUAAAUUUUUUGAAUGUUUAAUCUUCUAUCUGUAACUCGCAUCAUAGACCAUAUUCUUAUAGCUUCUGUAACAGGUUGGAUUAACAGGUUUGCUCAUGCUGGUGACGCUGCCGUUGAGAUAGCUGGAACUACUGCUUUUAGGGUGAGAUACUUCUACUUUUGGAAGUGCAUUUCUUUAUCUCUAAUGCAUGUGUAGUUAGUUACUACUGUCCUAGUUCCCACUGCCAAGCGACUGCUGGCUGGGCGAAUCAAAGUUAUCUUCUGCAUCUACUUCUCUUUAUGUGCGCAAAUUGUUUGACCCUUUCUUGAAAGGAAAAUUUCUCUCAUAUGGUUAAUUUUUAUGUAAGAUUAAUCUACUUGUAUGACAGGAAUCUUGAUAUGUUUUUCAACGUAAUUUCCACAUCAGCUAUUCCUAUUUUUGUCAAAAGCAAGUGCAAUAUUGUAUUCAUAUUUUUUUCCUUUUACCUGCAUGUAACUCAAUCGAAGUCUUUAAAACAUGAAUUAAGCAGCUUAUAGAAAUUAUUGAUUCAUAUAUUCCUUUAAUAAAGCACCUUGACAUAAUUUUGUAUGGUUUUAACUCGGCUUGCCAGUUUAGCACAACUUUUGCUUCAACUCGACUUCUUUAUCUCUUUGUAGCUGAGGCAAGCUAAAACAGAGAUUGUUACAGCGAGUAAAGUGGCUUAUAGGUUCUUCGCAGGAGUGGCUUCCAAUAAUUCCGUUGGCCCCGAGUCUCCUGGCAGCUCUGGUCGGGGAGCUCCUAGGUUUCAAGCUAAUUGGUUUAAAAAUUUUAUCACCACUGGUGCCAAACCAUCUAGUUCAGAAUUGGAGAAUCACAGCGAAGAAGUGCUAGGACAGCAGCAGCAGCAUGUCACAGGGACUCCUUUGAGGCAAAACUCGCGGCAGAACAGCUAAAAGAGUUCCACUCAUCUGCCCCGUUCCGUGUUAUAGUUCAUGAUGUAGUCGGACACGAGGAAUAUCGUUUCUCACAUCAAUCCUUGUUAUCGUCAAGAAAAUGCAAGCUUAUUGCUGUUGAUUUGUUGUGGAAUUAUGUAAAUCAUUUUGUUUUUUGGUGCUGCUUAAAUGUUGUAAUUUGUUAUGGGAUUAUGCAAAAUUGCUCUGCUAUUUUGGUUCUGUUGAUUAAUACUAGAAAACUGUACGGACAAAUUGACAAUUUCAUAGUAUCUUUAGGUACUUUUCUUCAAUUUCAAUUUACAUAGCAGCUAUACCGCUCUUCCUUCAGUUUCAUUUACAUGUCAGAUGCGAGAUCUUUGGGCAGGGUGUUUCUGCAUGUCGGUGUGAUUGCAUCUCUAUAGCUGAUUGUGGUUUGUGAUAACUGUUCUUCCUUCAGGUUGCAUUUAUAUGUCAAAUGUGAGAUCUUGAUGGAGUGAUUUUUGUGAUAACUGUUCUUCCUUCAGGUUGCAUUUAUAUGUCAAAUGUGAGAUCUUGAUGGAGUGAUUUUUGUGAUAACUGUUCUUCCUUCAGGUUGCAUUUAUAUGUCAAAUGUUAGAUCUUGAUGGAGUGAUUUUUGUGAUUACUGUUCAUCCUUCAUUUUCAUUUACACGUCAAAUAUCAGAUCUUGAGGGGUUAGGGGGUGGAGUUAAUUGUAUCUAUAGCCAAGUUUCCUCUGUGAUCCAGAUGAAAUAAAGAGUGGUAUGUAUCCGACGCUUGCCUCAUCCACAAACGAAAGGCUCAUGUAAGUCAGAAACUGAGGAUUUGCAGAAAUCAAGUUAUCCAUUGUAACAAAAAAAUUGAUAUUAAGAGUGGUAUGCUUACAGAAAGGAAGUAGCCCAUCCUUCCCUAAUUUCUAAUUUUCAGAUACUCUCAUUUUUCCGACUUACCAAAUCAAAUAUUUUUCCUAACGCCUACAAAGUAGGUGUCUAGGCCUACAUAAAUCAAUCAAGAAAUUAACACUCCUCAAACGAUUUUUCCAAGCAAGGAUUUUGAGACCACAAUAAGAAAAUAAAAACUCACCAGUGCAUUACUUAUAGAAAUGCCAACAGUAAAAGUCUAAAACACAAGCAAGAGCAAAUGCGUACAUAACGCACACGAAGAGGUGAGUUCACCUUCAAAUAUAUACAGGGGAUUAUUCAAACCCAUAAAGUUAAAAAAGAAAUCGGCACCACCAACUGGAUUACAGACAUAAGACUUCCGUUUAGUUCACUCCCUCAACACCUGAUUGAAGACGUAAGAGUCCACUGGAGCAUCUUCAGCUAUCUGAAGAGAUGAUAAGGACUGUGCUGCAAUGAAACCAGGAGAAAUUCUUGCAACCUCCCAAUUUCCGUCAUCAAAAUAUUGAUGAUUAAUAUCAUCCCGUAACCAAGGUUCUGAUGAGACCAUCCACUCCGAAUUUCCCCACUCAUUCGACAUGCACCUGUACCCGCUUGCACCAGAAACCAAGUCUGUUCCUUCAACUGAAUAUGUCGAGAUGUCAUGGUGCGGAAGCAUGGGUCUUCCUCUGCCCACGAAGAAGUCAAAACUGCUAUUAAGAUCCCACGUGUUCCAUCCUUCUUCCUUCUUCAGGAGUAGCUUACAUGAAUCAUCUGUAUCUUCGCCAAGUAGAACCUGAAGAGCAACUGCCUCAGCAAUUGCGGCGCCCUGUUCAUCAAGCCUUUGCUGUUCUUCUUUCUUCUUCUGCUUCUUCUUUUCCAGUUCGGAACGGAUGGCAGCUGAAGUGGCCAAGGCUUUCUCUAAACGCCUCUUCUUUUUCUCAGCUUGUUUAAUUCGAUCCAACUCAUCCUUGACUUGCUUCUUCUUGCCUUUUCUAACAGCAGGUGCAACCUUAGCACAUUCCAUUUUGCCAACUAAUUAUGAAUCAGUAACACUUGAACCUAUCCGAGUUUCCCUUUGUUGUGGGUAUUUCUAACACAUGUUCAUUCUCGCUAUUAACUAAUUUAUUAUCCUUUCUUUUGGUGCUCUGAAAUAAAUACUAUUGGAAAAAAACUACGCUAUUCAAUCUAAAGCUUUUACUAAAAGUACACCUACACAAACUCGGGUCUAAAGGAAUACCGGAUUUUGCGAACAAUACAGUCCCAGACAGAAACACCAGGAGAUUGAAGAAGAGAAGACUGGUAAUCACUCACAGGCCCGUCACUCACCAUUCUUCCUCGUUUGCCACAACCCUUGCAUUUACCCAUCUGGCAGCAACAAACCAAACUACUAAACUCACUGAAAAAACAAAAUGAUGUCUAUACUUCUCUGAUUGCAACAACUCACAUGGCCUUCCCCCUGCAGAAUUUGCAACAAACUUAUUAUGUAAAAUCCAGACAUCAUCUGAACAAAUAUUUUGGAAAAACAAUCAAGAGAAUUCAUUCUACACAUAUUCAGAUCACGACAUAUAUACAUAUAUACAUACCUACAUACAUACGCGUGCGCACAAAGAACUAGAUGGUUCUCAAAACUACCUAACCUCUGUGUAAAUGAUAAUCCAUAAUACUCAUUCAGCUCAUUAGAUAGACUAUAAAAGCAAUAAUCCCAAUCUUGAUAUCAAUAACAAAUCUACCACCAAAAGCGGAGGGGGAAUUUUAAGAGAGAAAAAUCCCAACAGCAACAUAGACAAAUCAUUAGUGUCUUCAAGCAUUGACAUUAAACAACAUACCUAGUGUAAGUGUCUUCAAGCAUCCAUACAACAAUAACAACAUACCUAGUGUAAUCCCACAAGUGAGGCCUGGGAAGGGCAGCAUGUACGUUACCCCUAUCACGUGGAGGUAGAGAGGUGCUUACGAAAUACCCUCGGCUCAAUUGCAACAAAUCAAAGACUCAAGCAUCCAUGAGAGCACCAAUCAAGUCACAUUAAAAAUCCUCUAACUAUCUAAUUAACAAUACAGAGAUUGAAUCCUGGACAAUCAUGUUUUCAAAUAUGAGCUUAGGACUUUCUUAAGACUCUUAGUCAUAAUUCAGUCAUUUAAUCUAGUCAUCUACUAUCAUCUACGUUGUUUUAUAAACGUAAAUCCAUUUUUACACUAUUCUAAUAUUUUCCAACAAAUCAAAAGCUGUCACAGUGGUCAAUCAACUAAACAAAAACCCUAAAUUCACAAAAUUGAAAUCAUAAAAUAUCCCUCAAUAUCAAAAAUUGACUUCAUCAAACCAAAUCAAAAACUACAAGAAGGCAAUAACCCCAAUCAAAUUCAGUUCAUAUCCAGCAUCAACAUCUAACUUCAAUAUAAAAAUUUUAACAAUUGAAGCUAGAUGCUAUAUUUAUAUAUGAUUAUCAAUAAUCCAUUAUCGACCCACGUACAAAAACAUCAAAUCAAGAAUACCCAGAAGCCAAAUCAGAGAAAAAAAACCAAGGUAAAACUACAAAAAGGCAAUAAGCCCAAUCAAAUUCAGUUCAUAUACAAAUACACAUCAACUUCAAUAUAUAAUUUUUAAUAAUUGAACUUCAAUAAUCUAUUCGACCCACAUAAAAAAAAAACACCUCAACUUUCAAUAAAAUCAAUUACUUUCACAGACUUUUAACAUCAGAUCAAGAAUACCCAUAAUCCAAAUCAGACAAAAAAACCCAAAAAAACUCAUAAAAAUCAAAUCUUUCAGAUCUCAGUUGAACACAAAAGCUCUAAAAAAAUCAAGAAAACACAAACCUGUAAGAGAAAAUGGCCAACAAAAAAGCUGUUCCAGAGAAAGGUCAACUAGAAAUAGAAGAGUAUAAGGAUGGGUAGAUCUGAAGGAUAAGAAAGUGAAAGAGAAAAUUGAGGGGGCAAAGAAAAUGAGAUGAGAGGAAAGAAAAAGAGAGAGGAAAAAGGAUAAUAUAAUAAGCAAACUGAUCACAUGAAUUUGCCGGUUGGAAGAGACGGGGAUGAGUAGGAGAAGGAAGGAUACAAUUGUCAAUUUCAAAAAUUUGAUUGUAUGAGACACGUGGGAGAUGAGUUAGGGUAAUUCUAGAAUGUGAUCAACGACACCUGCUAUGGACGGCUGAGAUGGGACUGUUAGGGCCCCGUUUCAAAAACGGAAAAGGUACAAAUAUACCCCGAGUUUUGAUAAAUGAUAUAAAUAUAUUCCUCAUUAUAUUUUAGGUAUAUAUAUACCCUCGCCGUCAAUGAAAAGGUACAAAUAUACCCUUAUUAUUAACAGAGGGACACGUGUCGAUUUCCUAUUCACUAACCUUUUUUUAAUUAAAUUCAAUUAAAAUAAAUCUCAAAUUCAACCCAAAUUAAAAUCAAAUCCGACCCAAAUUAAAAUCACACCCGACCCGGUCACUUGACCACUCAAACGCUUCUUCACUCUCACUUUCAACCCAAGAAAAACCCCAAAAAAGUCUCACUUUCUCUCGCGUCUCUUGUAUUAGUUGAUUAGGCCUAGGGUUUGCAAUAUUUUGAAUUGUCUUAUAAUUGCAUAAAGAUUUCUCUGUUUUGUACAACAAUUUUUUUGUCUCGUUUUUCUUUGAUAUAGCUCAAAACUAGGCAUUAAAAUUGAUAAAUUCUGUUCGAUAAUUAAGAUAGAACAUACUCAAUGUAAUUCCACAAGUGGUAUCUACGAAGGAUGGAUAUACGAAAUUCGGAUAAUUUGGAUGCUAUAUACAAAUGGAUUAGGUAAUAGUUUUCAUCCUGGGAUUUCCAUAGGUUUGCCUUGGUAAUCAAUAUAGAAGUUGUAUCAUGGAAAGCCUUUUCCCAUUUGAUUUUUGUUGGUGCAUUUUAUUACUAAAAUAAAUUAAAGUGCAUGACAUUAGUAAACAUAAAGUGGAGAAAGUGGUGUCAUUAUUCUUGUAACUUAUCACAUUAUCUUUUUGAGUUAGUGGGUACAAAUUGUGGUAAAGAUGACCAUUAAUCUUGUAACUUAUAUAGCCAUUAGUUAUCGUAACUCUCAUGGCUAUUAUUUCUUGUAACUUAUAUGGCCAUUAGUUGCAUGUAACUCUUGUAACAUUUGUAACCUAUAGAUGAUUCAUGUACUCACUUUACUAUACCAUAUUCUUCCUUUUCAAUACGAGGAUGAAUUCCUCACCUAUAAAUAGAGAUGAUCUUACAUGUACAAGAAAAUAUGAUAAGUGUGAAAAAGAUUAUAGUAUGUAGUAGUGAAAGUUAGUGUUGGGACAAAGAAAAUAUUUUAAGUCUACAACUAUAUUCACUAUACAAAAUAGAGUAACUAUAUUAGUGAAAGAGAGAGUUGAGACUAAGAAAAUAUUCUAAGUAUUUAACUAUAUUCACUAUACAAAGAGGGUAAAUAUAUGUUGAAGGAAGGUGUUCUUAUGGUGGAACUUUGGACUCUUCAACUAAUUCGGAGUUACUUGAGUUAUACAUUGUUGAUGGAUUAUCGUAUUCUGGAGGGGAUAAGUCAAGAGAUAUACUGCCGGAUCGGUGUAGAUUAUGCCGUAGUGGGCUUAAAUCUCCUAAGAAAGCGAGAUAUUCGCGCUUCAGCCAAGAAGAAGACAUUCUUUUUUUUUCUUCACUUAUAAUUUUCAGUUGUAAUAUUCUUGUACUUUCACCAUCAAUUUUAAGGAGGUUCAUGUUUUGUUACAGUUUAAAAAAUUGUGGAUAUCAAGAUGGAGAUUAUCUCAACAUCUUAACGUCACUAGUUUCUUCAAGAGAUGGAAGAAAAGAGAUGAAAGUUUGAAAAAUCACGGAUCUCAAGAUGAGAGAUCUCAAAAUAUAAAUGGGAAGAGAUAGCCACGUAAAGUAUCUUUCUACUUCUCAACUCAAGCGGAUGAAAGAUAAAAACUUUUCUAUUUGUUGCGGAGGAAAGGUAAAAAGUUACCUAUUAUUUUUCAUGAAUAAAAUGAUACUUUUCAUGAAAGUUUAUUUUCUUAAAGUCUCAAAAUAGCGAGGGAUAAAGAAAUGAAAAAAAUCACCAUAAAAAAUAUGAUUUUUGCAUUUUUAAGAAUGCUUUUAAAAAAAAGUUACAAGUGCAUAUAUUAGUCUUGGAAUAAAUCACAUGUUUACUAUUUGUAUAUUUAUUAAUGUCUUUGGCUGUAACAUGCAUGUUAUUAAAUAAAUGAUAAAUUGAAUAGCCAAUUUAACAUUAAAUAUUUGAAUGAGAUAAAUUUCAAUUUUGGAAUGAAAAAUACCUAAAUAAUGUGACGACUUUUCCUUGACAUGUCACAUUAUGGUGAAAAAGAAAAAUUGUGAAAUACAUUUUGUUGAUUGUAUGAGUCAUGCAACCUCUUUUGAUUCAAAUAUGUGAAAGUGGUGUGAAAUAAAAAAGGAGUUUACUAGCCUAAUUAAAAAUUGAGAUAUAUGACUAAUUGCACUUGGCAUGAAAUUAUAUAAAAGUACUUAAAUAGGUUACACAAGCAAACCAGGUAUAUUUACUUGGUUAGAAAAAAAAAGUUGUGGCUUGUUGUACUUAAAAGUGUUUUUGAUGCAAAAUGAGAAAAAAAACUUGGUGCUAUUUGUUGAAAUGAAAAAGCAAAUUAUUAUUUGCUAACUUUAAUGUGGAGGUUGAACUAAUUAUUUUAGAUUCAAUUAGUGAAAAAGUGAAUUGAUCAAUCAUUUUAUUUUGAAAAAGUAAUUUGUCUAGUUUGAGUUAUUUUGAUAGCACUAAUAUUAUCGAUAAAGUUUGAAACUGUUAUCACAACAACAAAUUCAGACCCAUGAGAAUAAAGAAAUACUAUUGUGAUAUUAUAUUUGACAAGUGGUACCACUAACAUUGAGUAUGUCAAAUUAUAUGAUUAUCUUGCGGAUGAACUAAGCAAGGCCUUGGCAUGAUAAAGGGUCUGAAUCACAUUAAGGGGGAGAAAGGAAGACUAUAAAAAAUUAUGAGUCAUAUAUGAGGAAACCCAACCUGUGAACUAGAGAUCCUAUAACCAGGUUCAAUGGGAAGAACGAAUCAUAUGAUGGCUUGGUGUGGGAUGCACUAUUGUUUAAUUCUUUCUAUGAUGUGAGUGUAUUAUUUCUGUAAUAAUUUGUGAAGGUUUAGUCUAAGAACUCUUAAUGAAAUUAUGUAUCUCGUAUGAGUGGGGUGUCGAUAUUACAAGACCACCCUUGACAGAUUUCACCUAUGUAAGCAUGGAAGUAGGUCGCUUCCUAUGAGAAUAAGACUUAUUCUAAAAAAUGUUCAUGAAAAAUUGGAAUAACACAUGGCCGUAAUGUGCUGGCUAUUAAAGCUUAUGUCAAUACCUUGACUAUUGUGUGUUGACAGUAAUACUUUAUUUCCCUUAAGCAGUCAUAGUUCAAGUCUGAGACCACUACUGACUCUGGAGUAAAUGUUAUUAUUUUACUAAGUGAAGGUUCAAUGCGGAGCACACCUUUAUUAUGCAUAAUAGUCUCCUUUCAACUAAAUUGAUGAAGAAUUCUCUUAUUUAAAUAUUAAAAUGAGUGGAGGAAUAUUGGUGCAUUUUAUUGCUAAAAUAAAUUAAAGUGCAUGACAUUAGUAAACAUAAAGUGAAGAAAGUGGUGUCAUUAUUCUUGUAACUCACCACAUUAUCCUUUUGAGUUAGUGGGUACAAAUUGUGGUAAAGAUGAUCAUUAAUUCUUGUAACUCAUAUUGCCAUUAGUUAUCGUAACUCUCAUGGCUAUUAUUUCUUGUAGCUUAUAUAGUCAUUAGUUGCAUGGAACUCUUGUAAUAUUUGUAACCUAUAAACCAUUCUUGUACUCACUUUACUAUACCAUGUUCUUCCUAUUCAAUACGAGGAUGAAUUCCUCACCUAUAAAUAGAGAAGGUCUUACAUGUACAAGAAAAUAUGAUAAGUGUGAAAAAGAUUAUAGUAUGUAGUAGUGAAAGUUAGAGUUGGGACAAAGAAAAUAUUUUAAGUCUACAACUAUAUUCACUAUACAAAAUAGAGUAACUAUAUUCAUGAAAGAAAGAGUUGAGACUAAGAAAAUACUUUAAGUAUUUAACUAUAUUCACUAUACAAAGAGAGUAAAUAUAUGUUGAAGGAAGGUGUUCUUAUGGUGAAACUUUGGACUCUUCAACUAAUUCGGAGUUACUUGAGUUAUACAUCGUUGAUGGGUUGUUGUAUCAUGGAAGGAACAAGUCAAGAGAUAUACUGCUGGAUCGGUAUAGAUUAUGCCGCAGUGGACUUGAAUCUCCUUAAAGAAAGCGAGAUAUCUGCGCAUCGGCCAAGAAGAAGAUUGUUUGAUUUUCUUCACUUUUAUUCAUUUUAUUUUCAACUGUAAUUAUUGUAAUUUGUGGUAUAUUACGCCAACAAUUUUUCUUUUGGAUUGAUCACAAGGGAAUAUCAACUUUGGGGGAUAAGAGAAGUUUUUGUCUGAACGCAAAAUAUCCAACUUCUAGGAAGCCAAAUUUUGGAGUAAGAAUAAAACUGCAUUAAGUUGGGGUAUUUUUCCAGUAGCUGAGUAUUCUGGUUUAGGCUCUUACAAGCAAGACAUAUACUUCUUUGGUGUUGUACUUCUUGAGCUGGUAACUGAAAAAGAACCGCAUGAACUCACCAACUCAAGAAAUCUGUUUGAUCACUCGCCUUGUCUACUUGAUGUAGAUAUAAAUUUUCUUGGAAAGGAGUUGACGAUUUGAUCCUCCAAUUUGUAGAGUUAGCUUGUCAAUGUGUGAAGUUCUUGACUAUAGCUUGUCAAUUUGCAGGUGUAGUGAGAGAGUAAGAGAUAGUGAGGUAAAGUGAGACUUUUGGAGGUUUUUUUUAAGUUGAAAGUGAGAGUGAAUAUACGCGUACAAGAGACGCGUUUGAAUGUUCAAGUGACAGGGUCGAGUGUGGUUUUAAUUUGGGUUGGAUUUGAGAUUUAUUUUAACUGAAUUUUAAUUAAAAAAGGUCAGCGAAUAGGAAAUUGACACGUGUCCCUCCGUUAGUGAUAAGGGUAUAUUUAUACCUUUUCAUUGACGGCGAGGGUAUAUAUGUACCUAAAGUAUAACGAAGGGUAUAUCUGUACCAUUUAUCAAAGUUAGGGGGUAUAUUCAUACCUUUUUCGUUUUAAAAAAAUGAUGUUUUAUCAUAAAAAUUUUAAAUAUAUUUUGGAGUGGUAUUUUUAAAAAAAUAGUUUUGAUCUUUUGUACUUUUACUUAUCUCAGAAAAAUUCAAAAACAACUCUAAUUUAUAUUCAUGGCCAAAUAUAACUCAAACUCUAAAAAAAUAUAAUUUUUAUGAUCAAACGCCUAUUAAAUUUGAUAUUACAUUUAUAUCAUAUCUGAUUAGUGGUAUAAAUUUAUAGUAUCAAUUAAAUAUGAUAAAAAUUUAAUAUCAAAUAUGGUCUUGUGAUAUCUAAUUUAUCUCUUCUAAUAAAGAUUAUUUUAUACCACCUUCCAUAUAAUAUAAAGUAAUUCAGAAAUUAUUAUUUGAAAGAUUAUAAUUUUAAGAUAAUUUAGUCAUAUAUCAAACGAAUCUCUCAUUUGAUAUUAAGAAUUAUUUUAAAAUUAAUUUUAAAAUAAUUUUAACUUAUUUGAUUGAAAUAAAAUAAUAAGACAAUUUAUUUUAAGAUUAAUUAUUUAGAUUAUGACAAUAUUGUUUUAUUACUACAUAUUUAGCAUAGAGUAACAAUUCUAAAUUAAUUAAUCGCACAUAACUUAUUUUCCAAUCCUAUGAGCUGGUAGUGUGUGGAGUGGGACCCAUAAAGAUGGAGAAGUUAGCGCCGCUUGAUUUGUGAAUAACAAGGUGUUUGCUUUUGCUUUUUCUUCCUGAUAAGGUGUUUGUUUUGGUAAAAGAGGGAAAAAAAGGGUUAUUGGUUGGAGCAGAUGAGGAAAUCAAUAAGAUUGAUUGUAAGGUUGGAAAUGGACGGCUGUGAUUGGAUAAACUCAUUCACACUGUCGUCACUCGUCACAUGCCAAAUCCACAAAAGCAUGCAAAUAUGGUGAGGGAUGAGAUGGGUAUUUCCCUUAAAUAAAAUCGGGGACCGCUGGCUAGCUCAAUAGGUUGGGUCAUUUGUACUAGUAAUAGCACUUAUUUUGUUUGGAUCGUCGUUACGUUUUUUCUUCUUCAAAAUAUAUGGUAUUAUGUUUAGAAAAAAUUACAUAAAUUAGCAAUUCUAACACAUUAAUUACAAUUAAUAGCAAUAAUUUUUCAAAUUAUAACUAAUAACAAAAAAUAACAAUAUUUUAUCUUUGUUAGAGAAAAACGCGUGUAUUGAACUCCUCUUUUUACCUAUUCCUUUUUCACGCUACUUUACCAAAUUCAAUUCCCUACAAUCUUUAAUUUUUUUUUUUUCAAAAAUCAUUUUUAUCUCUCAAGAUAUUGAUAAACAUUGCAUCCUUAAUUUAAGGUAAGUUUAUUUUAAAGUUAAUGCAAGUUAUAUUUUUCAUAUAAAUUUUUUUAUGUAUUUUAUUGUCAAUUUUUUUUUUUCAAUUUUUUCAUUCUUCUUUGCCGAUUUUGUUUAUUAGUUUUUUUUUUGUGUGCGUAUUGAAAUUUUUCGGAGUUCCGCUAUAAUGACACAACAUGCAAAUCGUAGUAGUUUCAUUAAAGGUAUUCAACCGAUGAAUUUGAUUUCCGAUGAACUACCAUCGUUUAGUCUUAUGUUAACACAAGAUGAAGAUUUUAACUUGUGUUCUACUAAUAUUCAGCCUAAGGGAGGUGUUAGCAGUGAAGAUGUGAGAUUGAGGCACCGUAACAAUCCGGAAAACUUUGAAAAAAAUGAAACGAAAAGAUUUGAGAAAAUCUUCAUCCCCAAAAUCCACAAAAAUUCAAAAAUCGAUGAAAAGAUGAAGUUGAAUGAAAAAGGUGAAUCUAGUAAAAUUGCAAGUCCUGUUUCAUCUGAUUUCGAAUUUGAAGAAGAGAAAGUGGAGAAGAUAUGAUGCUAUUUGUAAAAUUUUAUAGUUUCUGGACAACAUGUUCAUAUAUGUAUUUUAUAUAUACAAUUUAUUAGUUGUGUAUUUAUUUUUCAGUUUUGGUAAGAUAUGGAAUUGUAGUCCCUAAUGUGUUGUUAAGAUAUGAAAUUGUAGUUGCUAAUUGUAUUUAUUUUAUAUCUGUUCUAUGUAAGUAAGAUAUGUAUUUUGUACAAAGGUUUGUUACUAAUAGAAUUGUAUAUGUUAUGUAUUUUGUAUAUUUUUGAUAUGUAUUUGUAUUUAAGUUAUGUGUAUGACAUUAGUAUUUGUCACUGAUAAGGUUUGUAUCUGAUGUUUAGUAGUAUUAUAUUAUGGUUACUUAAAUUUGGACCAUUCAUGUAUUCAUAAAAUACAUAUGUAUAUAUUGUAAUAUAAGUAUAAUAUGUAUUAUGUAAAUACAUAAAUGACACUAUUUUGACAUGUAAAGUAUAUACAUGCUACAGUUUAGAUAUGUUUUUGUUUUGUUUACUGCUAUGAUUUGUAUUUGAUGUUAAGCUGUAUUUGUUAUCAUUAGAUUUUGACUAUGAUAUGUACUUCUUUAUUCUUAAUAAGCAUGAUUCUUGUGCCAGUUAUGUAUAAAUAAAAUACAUAUGUAUUUGACCUGCCUGAAAUAUAUGAAAUGUAUUUGUUACAGGUUAGAUAUGUUUUUUUUGUUAUUCAUAAUAUUUGUAUUUUUUGCUCAGUUGUAUUUGUUAUUCAUGAGAUGAUAACAAUAUUUGUAUUUUGAUGUUUGAUAACUAAGAUAUGGACCAGCGAUGUAACUUUAAGCUGUAAUGUAACUUUAAGAUGUAUUUUCGUAAACAUCUUAAUUUUAUAACAGGUUCUUACUUAUUGAUACAUGUAUUUGUAGGGAUUGUGGUUUAUAUAUGCUAACAUAUGCUGAGUGCCUUACUUUUGGUGAAGGUGUUCCAUCUGUUGGUUUUGACCCCGAUCUUAUUCGCACAAGAUAUGCUUUACUUUUGUGGGAUUAUGGUUCGAGGAAAGAAGAAGCGAAGGCACAAAGUGAUGAUGAAGUACCAAUGAGGCCUCCUCAAAAAGUUGGGAUAAUAGAAGACACUGAAGUGCAUGAUCUUUGCUGUGUAUUUUUAUUUUGUUGAAGUUUACAACAGUUAAAAUUAGGUUGAUACACAAUAUGUUGAAUAUUUCUUAAGUUUCAUAUGUUACUUUAAUAUUCAAAGAUGAUAUAUUAAUAUUUAUUUACUGUUAUAUCAAGAUUUUUGAUGUUUAAUCUUCUAAACUCCAAUAUUUUCAUGGUUAGUUUAUGUAAAUGUUAGCAAUAUGUCCUUAUGAACUUCUAUUCUAUCCAGUUUUACAUAUAUAUUUAUGUCUAAUACAUAUGUAUUUAUGUAUUUUUACAGAAUUGCACAUAUAUUUUUGAACAAUGCAUAGUUAUUGUGGACUGAAGCAGAAUGCCAUAUAUAUAUUUAUGAGUCAUAUGUAUUUAUGAAUAAUACACAUGUUCAUUCCAGUGUACAUAUGUAUUUUUAAUAACGCAUACGUAUUUUUUUACAAGUCUGAAAAUAUAAUUUUUCUGAUAUGUAUUCAUACUCUUUUGUAUAUGUUUUUGUCUGCAAUGAAUAUAUCAAUAAGUAAGUUUCUGUAUAUUUAUAAAUAAAGCAUAUGUAUUUUUUAAUUAUGCUUAUAAAUCCAUCAAUAAUACAUAUGUAUUUAUUACAAGAUGUCCAUAUAUUUUUGUCUAGCUAAAACACAUACAAACAUAUAUACUUUUACAGAUUUGCAAUUGAGGUUUUGAACAAUAUAUAUUUAUGAUUAAUACAUAUGUGCAUUUCAGUUUGCAUUUGUAUUUAUGUCUAAUGUAAAUAUAUUUUUUCGAAAAUACGUAUGGUUUCUUGUUAUUACAUGCAGACGUAGUUUUAUGCAUAAAACAUAUGUAUUUUUUACUAACGAAAAAUACCAGUAGUAUGUAAUUUUGAAAGAUUCGUCAUUUUCAGAAUCUAGUACACUAUAUGUUAAUGGAAAUAUAUGGCCUGCAUAUGAAAAAAAUACACAUAAGAGUGUAUGUUUUAUACACAUAAAAUACUGCAUAUAUAUAUAUUAUAAAUACAUACAGCUGGAAACAUAUGUAACUGCCAGUGAACACAUAAACAUACUGCAUAUGUAUAAUAUAUAUACAUAUAGCUGGAGCCAUAUGUAACUGCCACAAAAAAACUGCAUAUGCAUAAUAUAAAUACAUAUAGCUGGAAACAUAUGAAAUUAUUAGUGAGCACAUAAAUAAACUGCACAUGUAUAUUAUAAAUACAUAUAGCUAAAAAUAUAUAUAUCUGUUAAUUCAUAUUCAAUUUGAAUACUUUUGCAGGUCACAUUUACAUCAAUGUGUGAAGCCAGUAGUGUGUAGAGUUGGUUAUACGAAGCGUUUAUGCUCAACAAUAUCGCAUCACUGAUGUAAUCUUUAUAUUGUUGUUCAUAUGUCCAUCUAUCAGAGUGUUUAACAAGAAAAGGUAUACUUUCCAUUUUCAAUGUCCGUAACACUACAAAUUUGUAAAUAUAACUUCGAUUAUCAAAUGCGUACUACAUACAAUAAAUCAGUCGUAUACACAAAACUAGAAAACGAAUUCCAACAAAAACAAUUCUUUUAUUUGAAUACUAUGUAUCCUUGUCUUAAAUUCAAAUUUAACGUAUAACAAUUGUGAUUUAGUUUUAUAAAUACAGAACGACAAGGACAACUUUGAAUUUUGAAAAAAAAAUCACUGCCAACAUUUCAUCUCAGAACUGAUAAAAGUCAAAAUACGAUCUCAACUUUUGAAAUAGAUGAAUGUUAUGACUGAGUUAUAAACUUUUCAGAUUUUUUCGCAAUUAUAUUUUAUAAAAUUCACAAACACAACAAAUUUGAUUAUCGAUACUUGUAAUCGGAACGUUGUAUUUUCACUAUCUUUAUCAAAAUUUUAGGCGACCAUCAAUAGUAUUGGAUGCACUAUAUUUUUUGAAUUUGAUUUGAGUUGUUGAUUAUGGAAAAUAUUUUUUGAAUUUGAUUUGAUCAGUUGCUGAUUAUGGAAAACGUUUUUUGAAUUUGAAUUUGACUUGAGUUGCUGAUUUGAAUUACCAUUUUUUUUAUUUAAAUCUACGUUUGUGGUAAAAAAAAGAGUCAUAUAAGGUAAAAAAAUCUAAGUAAUUAAAUGUUGCUUGAAUUAAGGAACAAUUUCUUCCAUUUUAAACUCUAAUUGAUUAGAGUUAUAUUAGGAAUGGAUUCUUUAUUUGUAUAUGUAUUUAUAUAGCAAUAUUUUACUUAAAUACAUAAUACAACUUGCUAUUUUUUGUAAUUUUGAAACUGUUACUAUAAAAGUUAUAAUUAAGGCUCUAUAGUUGCUAUUUCUGAAAUUUCCCUUAUGUUUAUACUGUAUUGUGUUGCAUUAUAUUAUAUUAUUUUAAUAAAUAUAAAUUAUUAAUGUAUUCUAAUAUUUUAAUUGUAUUAUAUUAAAUUAAGUUUGGAGUCAAAACAAUUAAUUUUUUGAUAAAAAAUUUCAAAAGAAAUAAUUAAUUUGAAAAAAAAAUCAAAGGGGAUAAAAUGUUCUUGAUUGAGCGAUUUAUCCCAUGACAGUGAUGACAGUACUAACAAAUUGCUUGGUGUUCAGUGAUUUGAAAUCACCUGGUGUCCAGUGAUUUGUAAAUCACCUUGGUGUCCAGAGAUUUGUAAAUCACCUUGGUGUCCUGCAAGUCGCAUAAUUUCCAAUAAUUUGCAAUUUCCUUGAUGUCCAACUAUUUGCAUGGCAUGAUUUCACCAAGCCAUGCAACAUGUGUGUCUGGAUGUGAGUUUCUUUGUAAAAUGCAAUACGUGAAGGUCUAAAAUGGAUAAAGUUAACUAAUGUCGUACCUAUAUAUAUUCUCAAUCUCUAUUCACAAGUACAGAAACAUUGUAAACAAAAAAAUCUUUCUAGAAAUAUUCUAUCAAAACACAAGUUAAGGUAUUCUCAGUAAGGUAUGUAAAUGUAUAUUUCUUAUGUUAUCUUUUAUUUUAAAGUAUAAAAUUCUUAAGCUUAAAUAUUAUAUUUUAAAAAUAAUUUUUAUUAUUUUUACUUUUGAUCAUAACAAACCUAUUUUUUAUAUAGACAUGAAUUCUUUGUUAAAAUUACUAGAACACUGAUCUCAAGCAGUUUGGGACGGUGCAAGACAAGAAGUGUGUUUAAGUACAUAUUGUGCCGAUAUUGAAUUUUGACAGCACAUAAAGCAUCAUUUAUUGCAUUAUCGAAUCCUUCAAUAUUUAAGUUUGUGUGUAUUUAGAGGAAUUAUGAAAGUAGGAUAUAUUUCUUACAAUGUUGGACUUAUAACUGCAUUAGUUGAGAGGUGCGGUUCAGAAACUCACACAUUUUAAAUGCGAAUUGAUAAGGCAACCAUUACAUUAUAGGAUGUCAAAAUUAUGUUCGACAUGGUUGUAGAUGGAAGUCCUAUAAUUCUAGAAAUUGCUAGCAAUUUAGGGGUUGCAGCUAAACGACAGAUGAUGCAUGACCUAAUAGGAUGAGAACCUCCUAUAGAUUACUUUUCUGGAAUCAGCAUAAUAUAUGUAUCUUGAUUAGCUUAUCAGGUAAAUGACUUAGGCAAUAUUAUUAAUGAUACCCUCUAAAUUAAUGUGCAACAGAGAGUUAGGUUGUACUUUCAUGAUUAUGUGGAGGUAUAUUAUUUUUUGGAUAAGGUCAAUUUCAAAAAUACUUUGGACUAUUAAAUUGGGAUGCAAGACUUAAAUGCAAUGUCAACAAAGGUUUGGGAUGCAACCAUAUUGCCAUUUUUAUAUUAUUGUUUAUAUCGUGUAUCUAUGUCUUCAUCUAGAGAUGUAUGUGGAUUUCUUUUCUUAGUCCAGGUACGUGAAACUUAAUAUUUGUGUUUAAAAAUUUGUACUACUUAAUUUUAUUGUGUUAGUAGAAUUAUUUGAUUUUAUAUUGUUGUAGAUAUGAGCAUGAGAGCGUAUUAUUCCACUUCAGCCAACACCGCUCCCUCUGAGGGCAAACUACCAUGAGACCUCAAGUCUACUUGCACUUAAGCAGAGUUGAAGUAAAAUUCAUCAAAAUGAGGCGGGAAAUGUACUUGCCAUAAUUAGGGAUGUCCUAGAUAACCUAACUAUUGACAGAUAAUUGAACUUCUAAUACUAAUGAUUAGUCGACGUCAUACUGAUUAAAAAAGACUUAUAAUGUGAGAUUACCAUACUUGUUACUAGUCGAUUUUCUUAUAUAUAAUUUUAAUUAUUAAUAUUAUUCCUAUUUGAAAGAAUCAAUAUAAUAACUAUUUCUUUUACAAUGAUCUAUUUGUUUUAUAGUUUAUUCGAGAGCCUUAUCCAGAAGAAGUACGUAAUGAAUUGUUUGAGUGGUGCUAGAGGUGACAACCUAUUUGAAUGGCUAGAGUGACACUUAUUUGUGGAAUAGUCCAUGAAUGGCAUAUAUGUCACGACUCGAGGCUACUCCCUAGUCGCGACAACAGUGCUUACGACCAUAAGUGACCAUAAGCUAACCUAUGAACUGGUUUUUUGCUAUGAGUACUGAACAAAAUAGUAAUACAACACAAGUGCGGAAGGUAAGAUGAUAAGAUACUAUAAAACUGAAUACUAAAUACGUAUCAAAACAUGUAUGAAAUAUCUGGUAGAACACUAAAAACCAACUGUCUAUCUGAAAAUAAAUGAUAACACUGAAAUGACUAAUUGACUAUUUAAAUGAGCGUCUAAAAGCCUCUAAACAUCGUGAGGAGUUUAUGGGACAGACCCUAACUAACUCCAACUGACUGAACAUAAGAAAACACUAAAAUAACUGAAAUAAAAACAUCGUGAGGAGUUUAUGGGACAAACCCUAAACACUCCAACUGACUCACCACUAUUGCUGCUGAGUAACGCUGAGCUAUCUAAGAACGGUCGUGAAACUGUGCGUUCGAAUCUAUGUUAUAAAACAACAUAGCGCAAAGAAAAAGUACGCGGCCACUACUUUGAAUGUACUGGUAUAUGAGACGAGGACUGACUGAAAUGCAUGGGGUAUCUGAGCAUAAAUGCAUGAUAUGUAAUAUCUGAGAAUGCAAGACCAAGCAUAAACAUGGUUCUGAGAUAAUCUGUAAUCUGAAAAGACUGAAAGUUGUAUAACUGAAUAACUUAAAACCUAUACACUUGGUCAAGUAAACCUGAAUUGAAAUACACUGAUUAUUGUAUUGAGACUUUGGGAGGUAUCAGGUAACCGACAUACCCCGAUCUGAGCUAAUUGGGGUCCAACUUGUAACCCCCAGUUGAAAGGGUGUUAGUACCUUGCCACGGGUACUAGCAUUGGCCGUGUGGGUCUACUGAACUGGUGUUUCAAAGGACUAAAGAGUUACCCUCUAUUGGCAGGUGAUCUCAUGAGAUAUGUAUCAAACCUCAAUUGGAAGAAAGACAUCUCAAACCUACAUUGGCUACGUAGUUCUGUAACUCAGGGACUGCUACUAAAGGUUAAACCCACUACUGGUCAGUAAGCCCACAUCCCUGGAUUCACUCGGUGCUAAAAUCCUACUCCCAACUGAACUAACACUGGUACUGAACUGAACUAAGUUUAACUGAACAUUAUUUUUGAUAGUACUUAUCAUGAUCAUAAAUAUCAUAGUAUAAAGACAAGAUUCAUGGUUUAACUGAAUUAUUACUCAAAAAUUUAAAAUUAUGCAAAACACAUAGGUAUUGGGUAUUCAUAACCCAUUAGCACUGAAUAAUGACAAAAUACAACAACAAUGCUUUAAAAUAGUUGUAUGGAAUCAUGGUUAAAAGACCCAAAACAUGAGCAUUUCAUCAAAUAAGUGGAAAACAUGAACUUUAGCAUAGACAUCUUUACAUGGUUUAAUUCAUAACUUGAGGAUUUAAUAUGAAAUAAGUUGAACACGACAUGGGAAAUUAAAAUUCCAAAACAUGAAGUAUCUUAAUUCACAUGGAAACACAGGUAAACACGACUUGUUUUUGAUCUAAUAGGAAGUUCAUGGAUUAUUUUAUGAGUUUUAUGGAGGAUUUCAUAAAAUAGGAUUAGAUUCAUACUUUUAAAUAAAGAUAGGGUUGUUGGGAUGAAUGGGUAAAAGGGACCCACUGAUGAAUACCCCACAUACCUGAAGUAAAAGCUUUGGGAAAAUUUCUUUAAAGUUGUUCUUGACCUUGAGAAAUCCUAACAGCUUGGGGAAGAUGAAGAAACCAUUUUCUCUUGAUUUUAUUUAGUAAAUUGAUGUUUUAUGAUGUAAAUUAGAGAUCUGGGGCCUUUUAUCACCCCUUGUGAAACCAAAACGAUAUGGGUUUAGCUUUUAAGGGAGUGGGAAAAACAUAAAAGCCCCUAGAAAAAUAUGCAGAAAAUCACGUUCCCAGUCAGUAUGAGUCGACCUUAUGACUCGUAUAUUAGGGUACGACUGUACUGAUGAAUCAUAAGCUUGGCAGAUUUCAUAUAACAUAUACUGGUCUGGAUACGUCAUAUUUCCAAAUUGUAAGAUGCCUAUAUGAUUUGGUAAAGUCACUCGUAAAAUGAACGGACAACUUAGGGAACCAAUACUAUUAUUGAUACGAAUUCUCUCUAUACGAGUCGUACCUUUGUAUAUGGCUAGAUACCCCCUUCUUGUAUCCUGGACAGACUCUCAAGGGGUCAAAACUGAUGUCUAUACGGCUGGGUUCAUACAAAUUGUACCUCUCUUGACGACCCAUGGGGUCAAGUCAUACCUGCAACAGAAUGUUCAAUAUGCUAUACUGACUUAGGUAGAGUCUAAUAUACGACUGUACACUGGGCUAUGAUCGAGGAUCAUGAGUCAUAUGCUGCACAGAGAUCGAAAAAUAUAUGGGGUAUUACAAUAUCUCCCCCUUAAAAAUAUUCAUCUUUGAAUGAGACUGGUUAAAUAUAGAGUGCUAAGGCAACCACGAUCAUAUACCAAAUAUGCAAGACUUGGAACAUGAUGAACAUGAUUAAAUAAAUGAUUUUGAAGCAUGCUACAUAAUCUGAACUGAGCUGAUUUUGUGAAUAUAUGCAAUGACAUGAGAUUGGUUACAUAGCUAAAAUUGAGAACGAAAAAGAGAUAGCUAAAAUUGAGAAUGAAAAAGAGAGUCAAUCUAAGAAAGAUCGAUACCUUAAGCUGAAUCUAGGUUUGCGGAGAAAAGAUGAGGGUACUUGGUUCACAUAUCUGCUUCUUCUUUCCAAGUAGCUCCCUCAAUAGACUGAUUCCACCAAAGAACUUUAACCAAAAGAACUUCUUUGUUCCUCAACCUACGAGUUUGAUGGUCAAGGAUCUCAACUGGGAUUUCUUUGUAGGAUGGACUAUCUUCCACCUCCACACUCUCUAAGGGCAUGAUUGAAGCUGGGUUGCCAAUAAAUUUCUUCAAUAAAGGGACAUGAAACACCGGAUGCACUGAUGCCAGAUUUGCAGGCAACUCCAACUCAUAAGCUACCUGUACAAAAUGAAUCAAGAUUCUAUAUGGGUCAACAUAGAGAGGAUUGAGUUUUCCUUUUUUUCCAAAUCUCUUCACUCUUUUCAUAUGUGAAAUCUUCAAGUAAACCAAGUCACCAACAUCAAACUCAAGAUCUCUUCUUCUUACAUUUGCAUAAGAUUUCUAAUGACUUUGGACUAUCUUCAGCAACUCUCGAAUUAACUAAACCUUCUCCAUCGCCUCAAACACUGAAUCUGGCCCUAUCAAAUCAGCCUCAGCUACUUUAAAAUAACCAAUAGGAGAUCUACAUCUCCUCCCAUAGAGAGCCUCAAAUGGAGCCAUCUGAAUACUAGAGUGAUAACUGUUGUUGUAGGCAAACUCAAUCAAAGGUAAGUGGUCAUCCCAACUACCUUUAAAGUCAAUAACACAGGCCCUCAACAUGUCCUCUAAAGUAUGAAUGGUUCAUUCUGCCUGACCCUCUGUCUGAGGAUGAAAAUCUGUACUGAGAUUAACUUGGGUACGAAGACCCUUAUAAAAGGCCUUACAAAAGUAAGAGGUAAACUCAGUAUCUCUAUCUAAAAUGAUAGACAAUGAGACUUCAUACAACUGCACCAACUCCCUAAGGUAAAGCCUGGCAUAAUUAUCAGUUGAGUACGAAGUAUGAAUUGGCAAGAAAUAAGCUAAUUUUGUCAUUCUAUCUACAAUGACCAUAUCGAAUCAUGCUGCCAACACGUAUGAGUCAACCCUGUUACAAAAUCCAUGUUCACCACUUCCCUGAAGCAUCCCAGGUUUGGAACCUUAGAAAAUUUCCUAGAAUGUCAUUCUUCGGAUCUAUUAUGACUUAUGGUAUAAGCUGUAAGCUGGGGUACAAGUGGUGAAGUCCUAUCGUAAGCUUACUAGUGUUAUUUAGUGGGAUGAUCUUGGAUACUAGAAUGGAUACAACUUGAGGGUAUGAGUUGUAAGGCAUAGGUACGAAUCGUAUAUGUGACGCUAAGGUGGACAAUGUUUGAUUUUUCUGGUGUUAUAUUCUGCUAGGGAUACAGGUUAUGGAUACGGAUCAUAUGCUGAGGUUAUGACUUAGUUAGAUGAGUCAUAUACUGGAUAGCGUAUGAUCCAUGGUUGAGGCUUUGUUACGAAUUGGGUAGGUAUCAAUUGUAAGCUAGGUUACGACUCGUAAGGAGGUCAGCUGUGACCCUGUGUCUGGUUUUAUAGGAUUUAAGUGGGGGUAUUUUGGAUAUUUUUCUACUUACCCUAAUAAAUACCCACGACUUCUAAUACACUUAGGAGGUUAUUUACCCUAUUAUUUUACUCUUACACACUUAAAAUCUCUUCCAAAACAUAUCAUAAUUCUCUCAAGAGCUUUUGGGGCAAAGAGCUUGGGUUUCAACUAAGGGAUUUCUUUGGGGCUUUUCUUGGUGAAUUCUUCUAUCAAUCUUCUUGGUUUAAGGCAUGAUUCUCUUCCCUACUUGUGAUUUCAAUUAAAGGCAUGGUUAUAUGGUUGAUUUCAUGGUUUUACUCUUGCAUGGUUUUUGUUUUCAACUAUUGAUUUGGGGGUUUUGAUGUUAAAGACUUGGUUAUGAUUUCUUAUGGUUUUAAUUAUGCUUUCUAUGCAUUAAUGGUGGUUUUGGAUAAUGGAAAUACAUGGUAAUGGUUUAAUGGUAUUGGAAUUUGGUUUUGGAUAUGUUAUGCCUCCAAGGUGUUUGAUAAAUGCUUAUAAAGAUAUGUUCAUUGCAUUGACUCUUUUAAAUGAGACUCUUGCUUGUUUUUGGAUUAUGCAUGAAACUAUAAAUGGUUUACAAAGGUUAAUGGCUAAUUGGUUAUGCUUCUGGAGAAUAUGGUAGUCUCCCAAGAGGUUGAUAUGGUAAACGGAAAGGGCACCGAGAGUCCUCUUAAUCUAAAUAGUUUGGCUAAGGAUAAAUGCUUGAAAGUAUGUGGUAUGACGAUACCACUGGUUUAUUAAAUAGCCUUGGUUAAUAAAUAGAUAAUUGAAUUAUUUGGACAUGGUUUUAAUUGGGCAUUAAUGGUGAGAAGUUUAAGCUAAGCCAUGGAAGGUGGCGAUCCCGGGGGAUCAAAACCUGAAACUCAUAUCUGCAGAUAUGAGGGGUCUUCGAUGGCCACAUGCGAGUGUUAUAUUUAUAUUGGAGGGAUGUACUAGUCAUCACAGGGUUAUUUACUGGUCGUGUGACUACAAGCACUGGGACCCUUUCAGUAGGGGAAGUUGAACCCAUAUGGCCCGUGGGUGAUAAGACGGCUAAGCUACAUAACUCAGGUUAAGACUUUAAACGGCAUGAUAAACCUAGUCCCUUUUCCCAGCACUUAUAUAUGUAUGGUUGUUUACAUUGGAUGGUUUUCACUUGGUUUUGGUAACUGGCAUUACUUUAUCCUUAUCCCGAGAUUCAUGCUAGUGUUCACCCACUAACCCAUCUACUGGCGGCUGUAUACCUAUGCUAUGCAGGAACAGGACGUUCAACUCCUCUUUUUUAGUACUUGAUUUGGGGAUAGAUUAUUGGACUGAAGUGGUGAGCUUUCAUUUUUUUGGAAGGCAUCAUUUUAUGUUGGACAUUUUUAGAUAUUUUACUUUCUUUUCGGAUAGUGGUUUUGGCCACUGUUGGGGGCAUAUCCUAAUCGAAUAUUUGUAUUAUUUCGGAUAGAGGCUUUGUGGUCCUUCUGAGGGUUGGAAUAGGCGGAAUCGGUAUUGGUGUCAGCCUUAGCAUUGGUAUUAAUACUGAGGCUGGUAUCAUCGGACAUAAUUUCUUACUAUUAUAUCAUAUUACAUUUUGGGUUUGAUUAUCAUAUUAUGUUUGAUAUUAUCUUUGGUUUGGUAUGGUAUGGAUGGUUGGUUUGGUAUGGUUAGACUCGGUUGGGUUGGUCACGGUCGUGAUCCUAUCCCAAAAUCUUGAUGUGAACAAUAAUGCUAUCUUGUUAUAUAUUUGAGAUUCAGCUCAUCUGAGGCCAUAUAAGAUGGUUAGGUUGGGUUAAGGGGGCGGUCCUCAAUCCUAUGUGGACUUGGGAUGCCUAUUAUGACAAGGCUCCAAUUCGGGCUGCGUUAUUCCCAUUUCAAAGUGGGGAUGCUAAACUCUUGCAAAGUACCACUAGGCCUUUGGUGCCCAAACUUGACCUGCUGACAAUUUGGAAACUUAGCCACACACCCUGUAAUAUCCUUCUUCAUAUCACUCCACUAAUAGAUUUCUUAAAAAUUACGGUACAUCUUAGUGGCUCCUGGGUGGAUAGUGUAUCACACGCCAUGUGCUUAUGCAAGUACCCGCUGCUCAAGCCAUCAACACACAGAACACAUAACCUGCCUUGACAAUGAAGCACACCAUCUUCCCUUUGAGAGAAAACCUCUACCUUCUAAUCUUUAACAACCUCCUUCAACUUAAACAAACUAGGAUCUUUGUCCUGCUUAGCUUUCACUUCAGCCACUAAUGAAGAUUUUGGACCAUUUUGAACCCAUAUACUACCUUAAGUUGAAUUAACCAAUCGAACACCCAAUCUUGUAGGCUGAUGAACAUCAUGGACUAACUUCUUCUUAUCUCCCUCUACAUGAGCAACACUACCCAUAGACAACCUACUAAGGGCAUCUGCCACUAUAUUAGCCUUGCACGGAUAAUACAACACACUUAUAUCAUAAUCUUUUAACAACUCAAGCCACCUUCUCUGACGAAGAUUCAGAUCUUUCAGCAUGAACACGUACUGUAAACUCUUUGGUCAGUGAACACAUCAACAUAAACCCUAUAGAGAUAAUGUCUCCAAAUCUUUAAGGCAAAGACAACAACUGCCAACUUAAGAUCAUGGGUUGGAUAAUUUUUCUCAUGAGGUUUAAGUUGCCUAAAGGAAUAGGCUAUGAUCUUGCCUCUCUAUAUCAAAACACGACCAAGACUAAAUCUGAAAUCAUCACAGUAAAAUACAAACCCAUCUGAACCAUUUGGCAAAGCCGAGACUAGAGCAAAAGUGUGUCGAGUCUUUAACUCCUGAAAACUCUUCUCACAGGAAUUUGACCAUUGAAAUUUGAAUUUCUUCUGAGUUAGUCUCAACAUGGGGGAAGAAAUAGAAGAAAAACCUUCAAAAAACCAUCUGUAAUAGCCAGCUAAACCCAAAAAACUCCUGAUAUCUGAUGGAGAAAUGGGUCUAGGCAAGUUUCUCACUGCUUCAAUCUUUUGAGGAUCAACUCGAAUACUAUUACCAGAAAUGAUGUGACCAAGGAAUGCUACUGAUUUCAACUAAAAUUUGCACUUACUGAACUUAGUGAACAACUAAUGAUCUUUAAGAAUCUGUAACAUAACUCUCAGAGGGUCUGCAUGAUCAUUUUCACUACGAGAAUAGACAAGGAUGUCAUGAAUGAAGACUAUGACAAACAUGUCCAAGUACUGCUUGAACACCCUGUUCUUCAAGUCAAUGAAAGUUUUAGGGGUAUUUUUUAGUCCAAAAUACAUAACUAGGAAUUCAAAGUGACCAUAUCGAGUUUUGAAGACUAUCUUCAAAAUGUCAUAUUCUCUGACUCUAAGUUGAUAAUAUAUAGAUCUAAGGUCUAUCUUAGAGAAAAAACUUGCACCCUAAAGUUGGUCAAACAAGUCAUUAUUUUUGGGUAAUGGAUACUUAUUCAUGAUGAUGACUUUGUUCAAUUGAUGGUGGUCGGUGUACAUUUUAAGAGAACCGCCUUUCUUACACAUGAAUAAAACUGGAGCACCCCAUAGGGAAAUAUUAGGCCUGAUGAAACCCUUAUCUAAGAGCUUCUUCAACUGUUCCUUCAAUUCCUUAAGCUCAGCUGGAGCCAUUCUAUACGGUUAAAUAGAGAUAGACUGGAUAUCUGGAAGGAGAUCAAUUUUGAAGUCAAUUUCCCUCUCGAGAGAAACUCUGAAAGAUAUUUAGGGAACACAUAUGGAAAUUCCCUUACAACUGGAUUUGAAUCGAGACUCGGGGUCUCAGAAUUUGAUUCUUUGACUCAGACAAGGUGGUAAAUACAUCUCUUGGACUUCAGCUUUCUUGCUCUAAGAUAGGAAACAAUCUGACAUUUAGGCACUGAAGUACUACCCCUCUAUUCAAUGAUUGAUUCAUUAAUAAACAAAAACUAUACAACCUUAUUUCUACAAUAAAUUGAGGAAUAACAUGAGUGGAGCGAAUCCAUGUCAAGAAUGACAUCAAAAUCUGUAAUACCCCACGAUUUCCCUAGCUUAAACUCAUCCCAAAAAAUGUUAAGGACUAAAUUUUAGAGUAAAUGAUGUUUAAUUUAAGUGGAAUUAUUUAUAUUUGAACUUUCCAUGACGUAGGAAAUUAAAUAAUAUUUCCAACGAUAUAAGAUUCGCCUAAAUCCGAUAAUCGGGUAAGAAGUUAUGGCCAUUUUAAGUUCUAGUCGUAAAACACCAUCAUUUGGACCCUUAGCGCGUCGUUGAGCAGUGUUAAUUCUUAAUUGUCAUUUUUCAGUGGCCCUAUAGGAUAUUGAUGCAUCAUAGAGAGGUCCAAUUUCCCGCUGGUUAAUUUUUAGAGGUCCAGCGCGAUAAUGACGUGUCCCGCCAUGUGCCAAAAUGGCAUUCCAAAGGCGAUGACCCCGCGUCACGGAGUCUACCUAGUUCCCAGUUGGCAUUUUCUAGUGGCUUUAGGUGAUUAUGGCGCAUCGCUGUAAGGGAAAAAAUCGAGGCCCUAGUUUAUUUUUCUAGUUUCGUUCAGGAGUUAAAGGAGGGUAUUUUGGACUUUUCCCCAAUCCCUAAUUUGUCCAAACACGAGAUUAAAUACCUUUUAGAAGCAUUAUAUGCUAGGUUUCAUCAAAAUUACUCUCAUCCAAAACCCUAAGCUUCAACAUUCAUCUCCAAAAAUCUCAAGAUUCCACCAUUCUUUCUCCAAAUUGAUUCAAGAUUUAAGAUCCCUAGACCAAGAGCUUCAAGAAUCUUCAUUCAAGAGUGUGAAUAGAGUCUCAAAAAGUAAGCUUGUGUAUCUAGUUCAUCAUCUAUGGUAUGUGGGGUUUCAACAAGGACAAUACUUUCGUCCUUGUGCCCAAAACCUAUUUUUAAUUACAAAAAUACAUGAUUUUAUAUGUUUUCCUAUGAAUUUGAAGUUGGGUUUAUACCCCAUAUUUCUAUUUAUGAGAUUAUGAGAUUUUCAAUGCUUUAGAAGUUGAAUUACAUGAGUAUGAAUAUAUUUUUAUGCACAUAGCUGAAAUUUCCAGAUUUUAUGAUGAAUUAUAAAUGUUUAUGUUAUCAAGCAUGACUUUUGAGAUGUUUUAUCAUGAGAUUUAAACAGGGGUCAUUAAGCCCUAUUUAAGAUUGUUAUUUUGAGAAUUGUUGUGCUAUAGGCACCCCAUGAUUAGAAUGAUUUUAGAUUGUUGAGAAAGAUUUGACUUUUUGGUCUCAGACCAGAUUUGAAAUCCACUUUACAGAUUCAGAUUAUAGAUUUAUAGGUGGUUUUCAUUAUAAACCAUUAGAUUACUUUUAAAGUGGAUUUUCUUGAUAUUUUGUGCAUGAGAAUGGGAGUAGUAUUUAGCAUCGAGAUGGGUAUGUUACUACGGUUUCAUACCCUAGAACUAUAUGCCAAUGUAGGAUUUAGAUUAUUCCCACUUCUAUAUGGAUGACUUAGAUUGUUAUCACUGCGAUGAGAUUGUUCUAUUUCGAUGGCAAAGGUAGAACAGUCCUAAUCUUAUGGGGGCUAGUCGUGGGACACCAUGAUGCUCACAUGGUGUACAUGUUAUUUAGAAGAACCUUCCAAAUAGAUGUCCCCCACUCUUAAAACAGCUUUUGAGAUAAAGUAUUUACUACGCAGAAUGAGCUUCAGAUUUUAUCUAACUUACAUGAUUUGAGAAAAAAAAGAGAAUAAAAUUUUUUCGAGCUAAGUGUAAUGACUCAAAAGAUUCAGAAUAUAUGCAUUACUAUUUAUGAUUUAUGAUUUUAGUAUUUCAGAUUUACUCGAGCUAUGUGAGUUAUUUACAUUUAGCAUGCAUGAUUUAUAAACUAUGAUGAUAUUAUUUACUUAUUGCAUACACCCUCAUAUACUCAGUACAUUAUCAAAGUACUGAUCUACAUAUAUGUGUCCAUGUGCUACAUUAUCUCAUAAUAUAGGUUCAUGUGCUCAGUCUCAGCAACGUGAUUGAUCUUUGAGCAUCUUAUCUACAUUCUUGCAGUUGGUGAGUCCUCAUAGUUUUGAGGGCUUAUUUAUUCAGAUUUCCAAGUUACUAGUGGAUAUGUCUUUACUCAUUUCAGAUAGUUGAUCCAACUGGGGCCAGUCCCAAUAACUCUCUAGAUUCAGAUAGUAGAGGCUUGUCGAACUAUUUGAUUCAGAUUUAGACCUUUGAGUUAGUAUUCAAAUUUUUCAGUAUUUGUUUAAUCAGAUUGAUGAGAUUAAUACUUUCUGAUAUAUUCAGAUAGUUUUUUGUAUUUCAUCAUGAUUUAUACUUAUAUUCCCUGUGUUGAGAUUCAGAUAUGUUAGAAGGCAGCCAGGGUUAGCUCAAGACUACUUGUAGUUCAGAGCAUCGUGUGGCAUCCCAAGAACUAGAUUUUGGGGUGUUACAAACUUGGUAUCAGAUCCUAAGGUUUAUAGAGUCCUAGGCAGUCAGACAAGCUGUGUUACAUAGAGUCUUAAUCAUCGGUGUGAAGCGCAUCACAUCUAUGAGCAAGAGGCUAUGAAGCGUUUUAGGAAAUUCCUUUGUUUCUUUCAUAAUCCAUCGUGCUUACAGCUAUCUCUAUCUGCUAUUAACUCAUGCUUUUUUAUGAUAGAAUAUGCCUCCUCGUAGAGCAAAUUCCCAUAGGGAUAAUAACCAGCCACCUCAGCCCGCAUAUCCUUUGAAUAAGAAUGUGUCACAUAUAGAGUCUUAGGCAAUUUUUUAGGCGCUAGCCUAAGCUGUGAUAGCUAAUAUUCAAGGUACUCGUCAGGCUAUAGUCCCACCUUAGCAGGAUAGGCAUUUAGCUGCAGCUAAAAUUUGAGAUUUUAUGAGAAUGAACUCGCCAGAAUUCUUUAGGUCGAAGGAAGGUGAGGACCCACAACUUUAUCUAGAUGAGGUGAAGAAGAUCACCCGAGUUAUGCAUAUUUCUAAGGAAGAGAGUGUAGAAUUAGCAUCCUAUAGGCUGAAGUAUGUUGCUUAUGAUUGGGUGGUGAUGUGGAAGAAGAGUAGAACGGAGAUUGCAACCCCUAUGACUUGGAAAAUAUUUUAGGAUGCGUUCCUAGACAAGUUCUUCCCACUUGAGAUAAGGGAAUCUAAGAUAGAAGAGUUCAUAAACCUGAGGUAGGGCUCUAUGAUAGUGAAGGAGUAUUGCCUCAAGUUCAACUAGUUGUCUAAGUAUGCCCCUGAUUAGAUGGCUGACCCUAGGUCAAGCAUGAGUAAGUUUGUGACCGGUGUAUAUGGGAUGGUAGUUAAGGAGUAUAGGAUGGCUAUGCUUAAUAGUGAUAUAGAUCUUUCUAGAUUGAUGAUGCAUGCUCAGUAGAUUAAGGUAGAAAAGAUGAAGGAAAAAGAGAGAAUAAAUAAGAGGGCUAGAAUAGGGCAGUUUGAUCACGGUCAGAACAGGUUUGGAGGAGGAAAUCAUUCAUAGUUUUAGAAUCACUCAUCUAUGCCUACACCUUCUUCAGCCAGUGCUCCUGUGCCCAGAAAUAGGCAAGAACAAUCGGGUAAGUCUUCUAUAUCCAGAUCUCAGAAUAGUAUGAGUGGAAAGCCCAAUCGUCCCCCAUGUGCUAAGUGUGGUAAGAAUCAUGGAGGUAAAUAUUUGUGAGGUUAGAAAGGUUGUUAUGGUUAUGGCUCAGAGGGUCAUGGUAUUAGAGAUUUCCCGUAUGCCAGGUAGGGAAUAGAUAUGUUUAUCCCCAGACUCAGGCUAACUAUGCACCAGCUCCUUUAGGUCACCCAACUCCUUCUUGGGGUGCAUCAUCUAGUACUGUUGGCGGUCAACGCCAGAAUAGGUUCUAUACUUUACCAUCAUGCUAGGAGCAUAAAGAUUCAUAUGAUGUUGUUACUGGUAUACUUUGUGUCUUUCAUUCUGAUGUGUCUGUAUUACUAGAUCCCGAGUCGAGGUUCUUUUAUGUGACCCCAUUAGUUGUUGUGAAUUUUAAGGUAAACUCUGAAAAUAUUCCCGAGCCUUUCUUGGUUUCUACCCCAUUAGGUAAGUUAGUUGUUGCUAAGAAAAUCUAUAAGAAGUGUCCUAUCACUGUCCUUCACAAAGUCAUAUUAGUAGACUUGAUAGAGUUAGAUAUGGUUGACUUUGAUCUUAUUCUUGGUAUGGAUUGGAUCCAUUCCUGUUAUACUUCUAUAGAUUGUCGCACCCGAGUGGUGAAGUUUUAGUUUCUAGAUGAGCCAAUCUUUGAGUGGUCUGGUAAUUCAGUGUCUCCCAAGAGUCAUUUCAUAUCUUAUCUUAAGGCCAGAAAGUUGAUAUCCAAAGGUUGCAUUUAUCAUCUAGUUUGAGUUAAAGACACUAAGUCUGAGACUCCAACAGUUUAGUCAGUUGAUGUAGUGAAUGAGUUUCCUAAUGUUUUCCUAGAAGAUCUCGCAGUGGUACCUCCCGAAAGAGAGAUAGGAUUCAAUAUUAACCUUCUUCUAGAUACUCAGCCUAUCUAUAUCCCUCUUUAUCAUAUGGCUCCCACAAAUUUUAAGGAGUUGAAGGAGCAACCAAAGAUCUUUUUGAUAAAGGUUUCAUAAGGCCUAGUAUUUCUCUAUGGGGUACUCCCGUCCUAUUUAUGAGAAAGAAAGAUGGUUCUUUACAGAUGUGCGUUGACUAUCGUCAGCUAAAUAAGGUCAUAGUCAAGAACUAAUAUCCUCUUCCUAGAAUUGAUGACCUGUUUGAUUAAUUGCAAGGUGCAAGUUAUUUCUCAGAGAUAGACCUUAGAUCCAGCUAUCACCAACUUAAAGUUAGGGAAUGUGAUAUUUCGAAGACAACCUUUAGAACCCGCUAUGGUCAUUUUGAGUUUCUAUUCAUGUAUUUUGGGCUAACCAAUGCUCCAGCAGCUUUCAUGGACCUCAUGAAUCGACCUCAUGAAUCAAGUGUUCAAGUAGUAUCUAGAUAUGUUUGUCAUAGUAUUCAUAGAUGAUAUCCUUGUAUACUCUCGUAGUGAGGAUGACCAUACAAACCACCUUAAAAUUAUCUUGCAAACUCUUAGAGAUCAUCAAUUAUUCGCCAAGUUCAGAAAGUGUGAAUUUUGGCUAAGGUCAGUAGCCUUUAUCGGUCAUUAUUUCCACCGAUGGAAUUAGAGUUGAUCCUCAAAAGAUAGAAACUAUAAGAAAUUAGCCUAGACCUAUCUCUCCAUCAGACAUUAGGAGUUUCUUGGGUCUAGCUGGCUAUUAUCGUCAUUUUACUAAAGGUUUCUUGUCUAUUGCAUCUCCUAUGUCUAGAUUGACCCAAAAGAAAGUUAAGUUCCAAUGGUCAAAUUCCUGCGAUAAGAGUUUUCAUGAGUUGAAGACUCGACUUACUUCAGCCCCAGUAUUAGCAUUACCUAAUGCUACAAAUGGUUUCGUGGUGUAUUGUGAUGCCUCUAGAGUUGGUUUGGGUUAUGUAUUGAUGCCGAGAGGUAAGCUCAUAGCCUAUGCCUCUAGACAGUUGAAGCCUCAUGAGAAGAAUUACCCAACCCAUGAUCUAGAAUUAGCUGCUGUGGUGUUUGCUUUGAAAAUCUGGAGACACUAUCUAUGUGGUGUUCAUGUUGAUGUAUUCACAGACCACAAAAACUUGCAAUAUGUGUUUACUCAGAGGGAGUUGAAUCUCCAUCAGAAAAAGUGGUUAGAGUUGUUGAAGGACUAUGAUAUGAGUGUGUUAUACCAUCCGGGCAAGGCAAUGUAGUGGCAGGCGCCCUUAGUAGAUUGUCUAUGGGCAGUGGUUCUCAUAUGGAGAAAGAUAAGAAAGAAUUAGCUCGAGAAGUUCAUCGUUUGGAUAGGUUGGCUGUUAGAUUGGUUGAUUUAGCUGAAGGUUAUAUUUGGGUUCAGAGUAGUUCCAAAUAUUCUUUAGUUUCAGAAGUGAAGGAAAAUCAAGAUAUGGAUUCUAGCUUGGUCAAACUGAAGGAGUCAGUUAAAGACCAAAAGGUAGAGGUUUUCUACAAAGGGGGAUAUGGUGUGUUCAGAUACCAAAUUAGAUUGUGUGUGCCUUGUGUUGAUGAUUUGAGGUAGAGAAUUAUGGAAGAAGCACAUGGUGCACGUUAUUCUAUUCAUCUAGGUGCUACCAAGAUAUACCGCAACUUACGGGAGAUCUGUUGGUCGAAUGGUAUGAAGAGAGAUGUAGAGGAGUUCAUAGCUAAGUGUGUAACUUAUCAAUAGGUUAAGGUAGAGCACCAAAGGCCUAGUGGUAUAUUGCAAGAGUUUCGUAUCCCCACUUGGAAGUGGGAAGAGGUGAAUAUGGAUUUUGUGACUAUUUUACCCUAAUUCCAUUGUCAUCAUGAUUAGAUUUAGGUUAUUGUAGACAGAUUGACUAAGUCAGCGCAUUUUUUGCCACUUUAUACGUCCUAUACAACUGAAGAUUAUGCUAAGUUUUAUAUCCGAGAGUUAGUCAGAUUGCAUGGAGUUCCCUUGUCUAUCAUCUCGGAUAGGGGUACUUAGUUUACUUUCCAAUUUUGGAGAGCUUUUCAGAAGGUUCUGGGAACCCAAGUCCAUCUUAGUUUAGCUUUUCAUCCUUAGACAGAUGGUCAGGCAGAGAGGACUAUUCAGACUUUAGAAGAUAUGUUGAGGGCAUAUGCUCUUUAUUUCAAGGGGAGUUGGGAUGAGCAUUUGCCACUAAUUGAGUUUUGUUAUAACAACAGUUAUUAUGCUAGCAUUUAGAUGGCUCAAUUUAAAGCUCUUUAUGGGAGGAAAUAUAGAUCACCCAUAGGUUAGUUUGAAGUGGGUGAGGCCGCUUUGCUUGGGCCUGAUUCAGUGUUCGAAACUAUGGAGAAAGUUAAGCUGAUUAGAGAGAGAUUAAAAAUAGCCCACAGUCAUCUGAAAUCCUAUGCAGAUGUGAUAAGAAGGGACCUCGAGUUUGAAGUGAGUGAUUUUGUGUAUCUGAAGAUUUCACCCAUGAAAAGGGUGAAGAGGUUUAGCAAAAAGGGGAAGCUUAGUCUCCGCUAUAUUGGCCCUUGUAGAAUUUUGAGUUGUGUUGGGAAAGUAGCUUAUGAGAUUUAGUUGCCCGCAGUCUUGUCAGCAGUUCAUAUUGUAUUCCACGUCUCUAUGCUUUAGAAGAGUAUCAGUGACUCCACCAUUGUAGAUCCUUCAUAAAGCUCAGAUAUUUAGAAUAGCCUUUCAUACGAAGAGACUUCAGUUGAGAUUUUAGAUCAUCAGAUCCGUAGACUAAGGAACAAAGAAGUUCUCUUAGUCAAAGUUCUUUGGUGGAAUCAUUCCAUUGAGGGUUCCACUUGGGAAGCAGAAGUAGACAUAUGAGUCAAGUACCCUCACCACUUUUCUGCAACCUCAAAUUUAGCAGAAGGUAAUACUCUUCCUUAAUUUAGUCCUUUUCCAAUCGCAGAUUCAACUAUAUAGUUGUCCUCAUGUAAGCUCAUGCACUCUUAGAUUUCUUAGAAGCUCAGAAUGAUUUAGAUUUACAUAUUCAGUUUAUUUCAACUGUGCAUGCUAUCUUAUGCUCUCAGGUUCCUUAGAAAUUUCAGCUUAGCUAGACACAUUUAAGGACGAAUGUUCCUAAGGGGGAGAUAUUGUAAUACCCCACGAUUUUCUUAGCUUAAACUCAUCUCAAAAAAUGUCAAAGAUUAUCUUUUAGAAUAAAUUAUGUUUAAUUUAAGUGGAAUUCUUUAGAUUUGAAAUUUCCAUGACGUAGGAUAUUGAAUAAGCUUUCCAACGAUAUAAGAUUCACCUAAAUUUGAUAACCGGGUAAGAAGUUAUGGCCAUUUUAAGUUCCAUUUGUAAAACACCGUCAUUUGGACCCUUAGAACAUCGUGGAGCAGUGUUAAUUCCUAAUUGUCAUUUUCCAUUGGAUCUCUGUGAUAUUGGCACAUCGUGGAGAGGGACAACUUCCCCUUGGUUAAUUUUCAGAGGUCCAGCGCGAUAACGGCGCGUCGCGCCAUGUGCCAAAAUUGCAUUCCAAAGGGGCACCGCGAUGACCCCGCAUCGCGGAGUCUGGCUAGUUCCCAGUUGGCAUUGUCCAGUGGCUUGGCGCGAUUGUGGUGCAUCGCUCCAAGGCAAAAAAUUGAGGCCCCAGUUCAUUUUGCCAGUUUCAUUCAGGAGUUAAAGGGGGGUAGUUUGGACUUUCCCCCAACCCCCAAUCCAUCCAAACAUGAGAUUAAAUCCCUUUUAGAAGCAUUAUAUGCUAGGUUUCAUCAAAAUUACUCUCAUCGAAAACCCUAGGCUUCAACAUUCAUCUCCAAGAAUCUCAAGAUUCCACCAUCCUUUCUCCAAAUUGACUAAAGAUUUAAGAUCCCUAGACCAAGAGCUUCAAGAAUCUUCAUUCAAGAGUGUGAAUAGAGUCUCAAAAAGUAAGCUUGUGUAUCUAGUUCAUCAUCUAUGGUAUGUGGGGUUUCAACAAAGACAAUCCUUUCGUUCUUGUGCCCAAAACCUAUUUUUAAUUACAAAAAUACAUGAUUUUAUAUGUUUUCCAAUGAAUUUGAAGUUGGGUUUAUACCCCAUAUUUCUAUUCACGAGAUUAUGAGAUUUUCAAUGCUUUAGAAGUUGAAUUACACGAGUAUGAAUAUAUUUUUAUGCACAUAGCUGAAAUUUCCAGAUUUUAUGAUGAAUUAUAAAUGUUUAUGUUAUCAAGCAUGACUUUUGAGAUGUUUUAUCAUGAGAUUUAAACAUGGGUCAUUAAGCCCUAUUUAAGAUUGUUAUUUUGAGAAUUGUUGUGCUAUAGGCACCCCAUGAUUAGAAUGCUUUUGGAUUGUUGAGAAAGAAUUGACCUUUUGGUCUCAGAACAGAUUUGAAAUCCACUUUACAGAUUCAGAUUACAGAUUCAUAGUUGGUUUUUAUUAUAAACCAUUAGAUUACUUUUAAAGUGGAUUUUUCUUGAUAUUUUGUGCAUGAGAAUGGGAGUAGUAUUUAGCACCGAGAUGGGUACGUUACUACGGUUUUAUUCCCCAGAACUACAUGCCAACGUAGGAUUUAGAUUAUUCCCACUUUUACGUGGAUUACGGAGAUUGUGAUCACUGAGAUGGGAUUGUUCUAUUCCGAUAGCAAGGGUAGAACAACCCUAACCCUACGGGGGAUAGUCAUGGGACACCAUGGAUGUUUACAUAGUGUACAUAUCGGUUAGAAGAACCUCCUAAAUAGAUGUCCCCUACUCUUAAAACAACUUUCGAGAUAAAGUAUUUACUACACUGAAUAAGCUUCAGAUUUUAUCUAAUUUACAUGAUUUGAAAAAAGAGAUUACAGUUUUUUAGAACUAAGUUUAAUGACUCACAAGAUUCAGAAUAUAUGCAUUACUAUUUAUGAUUUUAGAUUUCAGUAUUUCAGAUUUACUCGAGCUAUGUGAGUCAUUUAAGUUUAGCAUGCAUGAUUUAUAAACUGUGAUGAUAUUAUUUACUUAUUGCAUACACCCCAUAUACUCAGUACAUCAUCUAAUUACUGAUCUAAACAUAUGUGUUUAUGUGCUACAUUGUCUCAUAAUGUAGGUACACAUGCUUAGUCUCAGCAGCGUGACUGAUCUUCGAGUAUCUUAUCUACAUCCCUGCAGUUGGUGAGUCCUUAUAGUUUUGAUGGCUUAGUUAUUUAGAUUUCCAAGUUACUAGUAUAUAUGUCUUUACUUAUUUCAGAUAGUUGAGUUAGCUGGGGCUUGUCCCAGUGACUCUCUAGAUUCAGAUAGUAGAGGCUUGUUGGAUUGUUAGAUUCAGAUUUAAAUCUUUGAGUUAGUAUUCAGAUUUUCAUCAUUUGUUUAAUCAGAUUGAUGAGAUUAGUACUUUCAGAUAUAUUCAGAUAGAUUUCUGCAUUUCAUCAUGAUUUAUACUUAUGUUUCCCUAUGUUGAGAUUCAGAUGUGUUAGAAAGCAUCCAGGGUUAGCUCAAGACUUCUUAUAGUUCGAAGCACCGUGUGGCAUCCCGAGAACUAAAUUUCAGGGCAUUACAAAAUCAAUCAUAUCUAACUCCACAAAAUCCACUGAAGUAACUUUCUGAGACAUUAUGACCGUAUAAUUUCAUUAUACCUGUCUGGCUAUAAUAGAUUUAUCUACUAGGGUAGAUACUGAGAAAGGCUCUGCUAACGCUUUUGGAUUGACACCAAAGUUGACGGCUAUAUAAGGAGUCAUAAAAGAAAGUGAAGAUCCGAGAUCUAACAAUGCAUAAACAUAAAGAUGAAAAACUGUAAUGUACCCAUAACCACACAAGGAGAACUUUACUGACCAUGCCGAGUCUGGAGAGCAUAUAAUCUAUUCUGGUGCUGUCCACUGGUUGUACUAGAAGUGACACUUUAUUGAGUCGGGUGAUCAGCUGGAGCUAAAAAAUGACUGGACUGACCCUGCUAAACAGCCCUUGGGCAAUCUCUGACUCUGUUGCCUGGCUUUCCACAUCCAAAAUACACAUCACUACCAGUUCUACAUACAUCCUAUUAAUUUUUACCAUAUUUCUGAGAAAGCAAAUUAGUACUACCACUGUUCACAAUGCUCUUGAACUUAGAGCCUUGAACUCUAUCCUGACUAUCUUUCCUGAACUUAGGCACUGGAGCACUAACUAAAGAUGGAGCUGGGGCUGAAAAUUUUUGAUGGAACUGAGAAUGAUUACCGCCUUCUGACCUUGGCUAAGAAAAAUUAAAACUACCUGUUCUGGCCCUUUUGCUCUUCUCUUCCCCUCCGUACGCUUCUCCUCCUCAAUCUGCUGAGUAUAAACCAUGAUUUUAGAUAGUUCCAUCUCCUAAAUAAAUAUGGCAACCCUACACUUCUUAACCACACUAUCAGCUACACUAUAUACAAACUUACUCAUUCUAGACCUAUUGUCUGCCACCAUAGUAGGAGCAUACCUUGCCAACUGGGUGAACCUAAGUGAGUAUUCCUUCACACUCAUACUACCUUUCUUUAAAUUGAUGAACUCCUACACAUUAGAUUUCCUCAACUCUAAUGGAAAUAACCUGUCUAAGAAAGCCGUGGCAAAAUCCUCCCACUCAAUAGGCCCUACCUCUACACCUCGGUCCUCCUUUCACUGCUUAAACCAGGUAUGAGCUACAUCCUUUAAUAGUAUGCAACCAACUCUACACUCUCACUCAAAGUGACGCCCAUAAUAUCAGUCACCUUCUGCACCAUGUCCAGAAACUCUUGCGGAUCCUCCUCAGACUUGGAUCUAGAAAACAGAGGGGGGUUCAUCUGAGUGAAACCUUAAAUCCUUACUACAACUGUAUUUUCCACUAGAUUGGAUGAGGAAGUUGCCUGCUGUUGUUCUGAUCAGUUACAGAAUGGGCUAGGGUAGUGAAAGCGGCCCUGAAUUCGGCGUGAUAGACAUGCUCAUUUAGGGGAUCUUCCUGAAUAGGCGGAGGUGCGGGCUGAUCCUCAUUUCUUUUUUUGUUGUGUCUUAUAGGAGGAAUUGUCUGUAAACAGAAUAAAAGAUGAGUUAGAAAAAGAGUUUAAAUAGAGCUCAUGCUCUUUCGCACAACAUGAACACUGAAAGAAGGGAAAAUUUCCUAAAAAUGUCUCAUAGCCUUUUCUCCAUAAGUAUGGCGUGCUUCACACCUAUGUACAUGAGUACUCAAUGCGGAUUAUAGACACCCUAGGACACUUUAAAAUCUUAGGCUCUGAUACUAAGUUUUGUCACGGCCCGAGGUUACCUUCUAGUCGCAACAACGAUGUUUGCGGCCAUAAGUGACCACAAGCUAACCCAUAAGCUGGUACCUGCUAUUAGCACUGAAAAAAAUAUUAAUAAACAUAUGUGCGGAAGGUAAGCUGAUGAGAUACUAUAAAAUUGGAUACUGAAUACGUAUUAAAUCAUGUCUGAAAUAUCUGGUAGAACACUAAAAACCAACUGUCUAUAUGAAAACAAAUGAUAACACUAAAAUGACCGACUUACUGUCAAACUGAGUGUCUAAAAGUCUCUAGAAAUCAUGAGGAGUUGAUGGGACAGACCCCCAACUAACUCCUACUGACUAAACAUAAGAAAACACUAAAAUAAUUGAAAGAAAUACAUCAUGUCCUUGAUGGAUGAGGACUCACCACUAUUACUGGUGAGUAACCUAAGCUGUCUAAGAGCGGUCAGAAAACUGUGCGUUCGAACCUAUGUUAUAAGACAACAUAGCAUAAAGAAAAAGUAUGCGGUCAAUACCUUGAAUAUAAUGGUAUAUGAGACGAGGAUUGGCUGUAAUGCAUAGGGUAUCUGAGUAUAAAUGUAUGAACAUGUAAUAUCUUAGAAUUCAAGACCGAGCAUAAAUAUUGUUCUGAGAUAAUUUGUAAUCUGAAAGACUGAAAGUUGUAUAAUUGAAUAACUGAAAACUUAUACACUUGGUUAAGUAAACCUAAACUGAAAUACACUGACUACUGUACUAAGAUUGUAGGAGGUAUCAUGUAACUGACAUGCCCCGAUCUGAGCUAAGUGGGGUGUAACUGACAUGCCCCGAUCAUGUAACUGACACCCUAGUUGGAAGGGUGUCAGUACCUUGCCAUGGGUACUAAUACCGGCUAUGUGGAUCCACUGAACUGAUGUCCUGAAAGACUAAAGAGUCACCCUCUACUGGCAGGUGCUCUCAAAAAAUAUGUGUCAACCCUCAACUGGUAGUACGAUAUCUCAAACCUACAUUGUCUACAUAGUUCUAUAACUUAGGGACUGCUACUAAAGGUCACACUCUCUACUGGUAGGUAAGCCCCCAUCCCUGGGUUCACUCGAUGCUAAAGUUCUACUCCUAAUUGAACUAACACUGGUACUGAACUGAACUAAGUUCAACUGAACAUUAUUUCUGAUAUUGCUCAUCAUGAUCAUAAAUAUCUGAGUAUAAUGAAAAUAUUUAUGGUUUAACUGACUUAUUACUCAAAAAUUUGAAAUCAUGCAAAACAAAUAGGUGUCGAGUGUUCAUAACCCGCCAGCACUGAAUAAUGAAAAAAUACGAUAAUGAUUCUUUAAAAUAAUAGUAUGAAAUCAUGGUUCAAAGAUCCAAAACAUAAGCAUUUCAUCAAAUAAGUGGAAAGCAAGAACUUGAACACAGGAACAUGUUAAUUAUGAAAAAACAACAUCUUUACAUGGUUUAAUUCAUAACUUGAGGAUUUAACAUGAAAUAAGUUGAACCUGACAUGGGAAAUUAAAAUUCCAAAACAUGAAGUAUCUUAACUCACAUGGAAACACAGGUAAACAUGACUUGUUUUUGAGCUAAUAGGAAGUUCAUGGAUUAUUUCAUGAGUUUCAUAGAGGAUUUCAUAAAAUAGAAAUAGAUUCAUACUCUUAAAUAAAGAUAGGGUUUUGGGGCUCAAUGGGUGAAAGGGACCCAUUGAUGAAUACCCCACAUACCUGAAGUAUAAGCUUUGGGAAAAUUUCUUUGAAGUUGUUCUUGACCUUGAGAAACCCUAGCUGCUUGGGGAAGAUGAAGAAACUAUUUUCUCUUGAUUCUAUUUAAUAAAUUGAUGUUUUAUGAUGUAAAUUAGGGAUCUGGAACCUUUUAUACCAGCCCUUGUGAAGCCAAAAUGACAUGGGUUUUCCUUUUAAGGGAGUGGAAAAGGACAUAAAAGCCCUGGAAAAACAUGCAAAAAAUUACGUUCCCAGUCGGUAUGAGUCGACCUUGUGACUCGUAUGUUAGGGUACGACUGGUCUACUGACUCAUAAGCUAUUUACUAGUCUAGAUAAAAGUCGUAUUUCCAACACAUAAGAUGCUUAUAUGAUUUGGUAAAGUCACUCGUAAGAUGAACGAAUAACUUGGGGAACCAAUACUGUUAUUGAUAUGACUUCUCUCUAUACGAGUCGUACCUUUGUAUAUGACUAGAUACCCCCCUUUCGUAUCCUGGAAAAAACCUCAAGGGGUCAAUACUGAUGUCUAUACGGCUGGGUUCAUACGACUUAUACCCCUCUUGACGACCCAUGGGGUUAAGUCGUACCUACAACAGAAUGUUCAACAUGCUAUACUGACUUAGGUACGAGUCCAACAUACGAUUCGUAUCUGGGGUACGAUUGAGGAUCAUGAGUUGUAUGCCACACAGAGACCGAAAAAGAUACAUGGUAGUACAAUAGGAUUGAUCGUGUAGUUAGUCAAUUUGAUUAUCUUCAAUAUAUGUCUGGAUCAUGUACUUAUUUUAAUAAAUACUAUUUUAAGUGUGAUAAGUGCAAUAGAUAACACACAAGAUGCUUUAAAUAUAUUUAACGAUACAAAAAUUAAGUGAAAAGUACGUCAAAAAAUAAUUUUUGAGCCCCCUCAUAUAAGCAAUCAGCAAAAGUAUAUUUAUUGGUAUUGUAAUCAUGCUCACUUGUUAAUUGAAAAUCUAGAACAUGUUGUUUAAAGAGGAUACCAACUCAUAGCAGGCGGACAUGAGGCCUUGGUAUGUAUAUACAAGAAAUUUUUAAUACACAUCAAUGACCUUGUAAAUACAUGCUAGUGACCAUUCUAUUUAUUUUGUAUUUUUAUUCUAUUUGACAUGAAAUCAUUUAUCAAUUGGCUUAAAAAAUUUUAAAUGAUCCAAGAACAUCUAGCGAGAUGUAUCAAUUUAUAGAAGAGGUUGUCCUUGUUUCACUGGAACCAAUGAAUUUUGCCUCUCUAGAAAAAUGAUUGAGUUUUUCUCCUUAUUAUGCACCUUUGACUGAAUCUAAGGAAUCUCCAUCAGUGCAAGUUCAUUGCCAGGGACGUCAAUCAACACCUAGAGAUGGUAUGCAUUGGGGUAGAAGAGGUGAUCGUAGAGCAGAUAAUGUGGUUGAUCGUAAUGAAGAACUUAUUGAUAAUUUUGGCUUGUCUUGUCUACUACUAACGAGGCCUAUUAUUCCACAUUUGACUUUAGUGAGCCCUCAACGACUGUCUUUGAUUUUUCAAAUCAAGAAACAGUUAGUUUUGUAACAUCAUCCGUUGCACAAUAUGAUUUUUAUUAGGACUUGUGAAAUUUUGAUGAUUGACAAAAGGCCAUGGAACAAGUAAGCAUAGUUCGUUCAUAAAAACUUCUUCAAAAGAGUCCAGCUUCCAACAAAAUUUUUUGUGGAAAAUUUCACAUGAGAAAAAAUAAGAAAAAGAAAAUUUGUUACUUCAGAUAAACAUUAGAAGAUCAUCAUGUGCUGAAAGAGAGUUAGUGUUUAACUAUGACACUCAAGAAGAGAGUCUAAGAAGGGGUGUCCUCGUGGAUUUAAGAGUCUACUUGGUUGUGAAGAUUACUAGAAGUUAUAAAUAUUCAAGGGCUUUCAAAAUAAAUUUUAUACAUAUAUACUGCGAAAAAAAAGGGAGAACAUGAGCAAAUAAGUAAGAUGAAUAUUUGAGAGAGUUCUGCCUAGCUAUCGAAGUGUAGCCUAAUACAGUGAAUCAGAUUGAGGUGAGAUAGUAGAAUCUGUUUCAUUCAUGUGCCCAACAGUCUUCUAUUCUAAUUAAUAUGUAUUAGGAAGUUUACUGAGUUGUAAUUUUCAUGCUUUCUUAGUGCCAAUGUGUUAUAAAUUGGUUUAGAAGUUUAGUCUUCAAGUUGGAAUAACUCAAAGACUUGAGAACAUAAAUCUUGGGAGGUUUGCGUGUUUUCAGGGAUUAGAGUUAGUUCCUAGGAUUGCUAGAGUUUUGUAAUCUGAAUGGGUGAACUUGAAGUGGUUUUCAAUAGUUUGGGGAGAUUGUUGAACAUUAGGAAUUAGAGUUUAUAAUUUCUUAGGUUACAAAGCUGUAAUCUUUUAUUGAGAGGCUCAUUGUGUUUAAUGAAGUUGGGGUUAAAUCCCGCAGAGGUACAUGUCGUGAUUUUUUAUACCUUUUUUGAGUCGGAUAUUUUUUACGUAAAAUCAUCGUGUUCAUUAUUUAUUGUCUUUACUGCUUUUGUUGGAACACGUUAGGAAACCUUGUCCAUCCAUAAACAAAAAUCAGGUAUAACUCACGUGAGUUAUUAGGACAUGUAGAAAUGACAGUUUUGCGCAAUUGUCUUUCAUCAUGCUCCCCAAUUCAAAAUGUGUGAAUUUUUCAUGAAUAACUCUCCAUUUUCUGGGGUGUUGAGUUUUUCCGAUAUGAGUCGCUAAUUCGUAUAGUAUAUUUAAUAAUUUAUUAUUAAUUAAUUAAUCUUUAUUUAAUUAUAUUUCAUGUUGCUACAGAAAAUAAUUUCCUCUACAGGAACUUUUCAAUCAUAUGUAUGAUGUCAUUUUCUGAUUUACGUACAUCAUUUUAUCUGUGAUCUUAAAUAAUCUUAUCAUAAAAAAUAACUUUUAUAUAUUGUUAUUAGAGAAGAUGAUCUACGAAGAUCAAUUAGGUCAAAUGUACCAACUUAUUGUGGCAUGGGUAAUCGUCACGAUCACGUUAUAGAACACUGAUGAAGAUUUUAUUGCCUUGAUUUAUAUUAUUAUGUUUGAUGUAUUACUUUUUUGUUUAAUGUGUAAAAAUUGCAAUAGAAUUCUUAAUUUUGAAUUCAUUUGCCAUUUGAAAGAUAAAGUGUAGUAGUUUGAAACCUCUCUAUGUUACAAACAAGUAUUUAAAUAAGAUGGAGUCAUGUAUCAUUCCAACUAAAUAGUAGACUAUUUACUUCAUUCCUAAGUACCAAAAGGACAAAAGGUUAGCAAAAAUUUGAAUGGAACUCCUUUAUGUAACUAACGAAAAUUUCAAGUCUUAGUUAGAGAGUAAAAUUACUUUUGUUUCAUUUAGAACUACAAUAUCACUCAAUUAUUUUUAUUUUUCUUAAAAUAAACUCACACAAUAAAAAUUUUCUUCACUCAGAAUAUUAUCUUUUUUAUGGUGCUCAUGAUAUGCAACUCUAACAUAUUAUAUAGAAUAAAAUUGACAUACAAGCAGUACUCGUUCAACAUCGUAGAUCAGCGAAGAAAAAUUAUCCAAAUAAACUAGUUCAACAUCUAAUUUAAUUGUAACCCUUAAAACCUUUUUUAUCGAGCAAGUUAGAAGUUAUCUUAAAAAUUACUGUGAGUCCAGCAACUUAUAAGUCACUAAGUGUCCAAUGAUUUUCAAGCCUUCCAUCAGAAAUCUUGAAAUCUUAUUAGGCAUUUCUCAAGAAUCUAGUUUGUAUUCAUCUGCAAAAUUCUGUAAGAAAUCUUGCAAUAUUUUUCAUGAAAAUAUUAGCUGAAAUUUCAAGAAUCUCACUGAAUUUGCAGAUAGAUUUGAUAUAACACUGUAUGUGAAUAUAAUAUUUCAAAGCACAUACUCAUUCAUUCCUUUUUAAUUGCUUCUUUUUUUUCGAGAUACAAAUUUUGAUCAAUAUUGUAAUAUGCAUUUCUUAAUAUAGUACUUUUCAUGUAGUUUUCGAAUAUUUAAAUUAAAAUUUUAAAAAAUUAAAUUAAUUUUGAAACUUAGUCAAAUGACUCUCAAAAAAUGAGAAAAACAAUUAAGAAAAUGCAGAGAGUAAACUUUAUUUUUUUACAAAAUUGAUUUGCAGUGUUGAUUCUUGUGCAUUAGUAAGAUUUGCAAAAUUACGUAAGAAAUCUUAAGAUAUUUUUGACGAAACUAUUAAGUGAAAUAUCAAGAAUCUUACUAAAUUUGCAGAUGAAUUUGAUAUAAUACUGUAUGCAAAUAUAAUAUUUCAAUGCAUGUUAAAGCUUGUGAACAUAAGAGGAAAGCUUUUAGAGAAAAAAAUGAAAAGUCAUGACGAAGAAAAAAACGUGAUUUUAAUGAAAUAUUUUGCUACUGAUAUUCCUGUAGGAUCAUCAUUUCAAUGAAUAUUUUAGCAACAAAAAAAUUAGAUAAACUUUAUCGUUUUGACAGGAUUAAUUUGUAGUGUUGAGUCUUGUGCAUUAGUAAGAUUCUUGAAGGUUGUUUAUAGCAAUGUCUAAGGAUUUAUGUGAAAAUUAGGCAUAAAAAUCUUAUUAUCAAAGAUUUUGCUACCCAACACUAUAGAAGUCACUGGAGGUCCAACGAUUUAUAAAUCAUUGUGACCAAGUGAUUUGCAUUAGGGUUUUUAGGGUUGAUUCGUUAGAGCCAUUUAUUAAGAUUUAUUUUAGUAUUCAUGAUCAAAAUAAAUUACGUUAAGUAGAAAGUAACACAAAUAAAUCACUUUUUUUUAAUUGUGGAAUCAAACUAAGUUUUUUGAAAUAAUUAAUUUUAAUUUCUAUGUUUUUUUUAACGGAGGCAUUAAUCGUGAUGAAUAAUUUUUAAAAAAUAUAAAUUGAAUUAAUAUAUCUAAAUUUCUAACUCGAAAUAUGUAUUGAGUCUCAUGCAUGAAAGAGAAAAUUGAUAUAUGCAUUUGUUUCUUCACCAAAAUGCACAACUAAGAAAGACUUUAUAGUCUUAGAUAAUCAGUGUUAAAACUUUGUGGUCAUUUUUUAAUUCUUAGAUUUUAAAAAUGAUCACAUGUCAUAUGUUAUAUGACAGGCUAAAAAUGAUCACAUGCCAUAUGCCAUGUUCAUUCAAAAAAUUAUUAGGCUAUGCCAUGCUUACUUGGUGUUAAAAAGUUCAAGUCAAUUAUUAGGUUUUGAACAAUUUCUCUAAUAUGAAUCAAAACAAUUGUAAUUUGAUUCUAUUUUAUUUAUCUUUUUUAUUCAAAAUUUUCUUCUGAUUAUUCGAUUAUUUCAUAAAAUAUUAUAUUUGCAAGCAAAUCCCCCUAUCAUUUUAGGACUCAGAAAGAAGUUCUUGGAGUUCAUUUUUACCUACACAAGUGAGAUGUAUAAGUCAGAAUUAUUAAAAAAUCACAUUUUAAGCGUUGAUUGUCUUAAAAAUAAUAUUACAUUAAAUACACAACAUAUAGACCAAUAACACAACAUAAGAACAAUAUUACAUGAAAGUCACAAACUACUGAGCUCGUUUGGGACAACGAGGCUUAGUGUGACCUGUUUUCUUGAAAAUACUAUACUUUAUAGCCAUGCGAGUCGAAAUAAUAUCCAUAUCAUUCUUAAGUCAAAUUCUUCCCUCAACAUCAGAUGUCCGCAUAUAUUCAAUGUUUGCAACUAAAGCAAAUGGGGCUGACGAUCAAUAUCGUUCAUCACCCAUGAGGUAAAACUAUCACUGUACGUUUGUUUGUAUAGCUCGGCAUUGUGGUACUUGCUAACAUAUAUAUUAAUUUCGAUGCCACAAAUACCACGAAACCUAAUACAAUAUGAGCAUGACAUAUGAUAAUUCUUUCAUUUUUUGUAAGAAUAUAUUUUUUUCCUGACAUUAACUAAGUGGACAUUUUCGCCCUUAUCAACAUAUGCAAAUAUAAGAAUCUCAAACACCCCAUCCCCAAUUUGAUAAGUCAUUAUGUCAGUGUGUGAUUUCACUCUCUUCCAAUAAUCUAAUAAUUUCUUUUCAAUGGCAAGAGUCCAUAGUUUAUUAUUCUGUAAUAAAGCUUCAGCAAAAUUAUUUCAUUCCACAAAACGACCAACAAGAGCUUUAAAAGUCAUGCGAACUAUAUCAUAACGCCCUAUCUAUGACCAUCAUCCAUAUACAUUGUCUAUUUAUCCAACGAAAAUUUAUCUAACAACAUAUGCAAUGCAGGUGACAAUAUCUUAAUUUGUUUUAUCCUUUGCGAGAACUUCUUCUUUUAAUGCUCCAUAGCGGCUGAUCACAUUAAGUUUACGAGCUCACAAUUUAAUUUUUUUAGGAUUAAAAUUGUCCUUCAAGUUUCGUACGCAAAAUCUAUGGUAUGUGUGUGGUGGAUUCAACUAAUCAUAAGAUUGAACACAAUGUAAUAUUUCUUGAUGAUGGUCAGAAAUGAGAUCAAUUUUUUUCUUUUACCGAUGACAUACCUUCACAAUAACUUGAGAAAAUAUAAUCAUGAUUCAAAACUUUCACGUGGAACAAGUGCAUAUGCAUACAGAAAAAUAUUACCAUUAACAUCAUUCCAACAAUAGUUAAGAGUUUCAAAUCAUACAAACCGUAAAGAUGACUACCAUCUAUUAAAAUGACUGGCCUGUAAUAUUUGAAAUCAUAAAUACUCGAUUUAAAAGUCCAAAAUAGAAAUUUAAAUAUUUGCUCACUCUGAAUUAUUGAAGAAUGAUGCUCCCAUUCAACAACAGGAUCGGGAUUGAAAUAUUAUAGUGUAAUCAUAUAGCGAGGUAAUGCUCUGAAUGAACCUUCAAAAUCUCCAUAAACAAUCAAUAAUGCUUUUUUAGACCUCUUUAAGCUUUUCUAUAACUGGGAGUAUAAUGAUACUUUGACUUGAUGAAUUCUCGAACUGCCUCAAUAGUGAUGUUCUAACUCUUCAUAAUAUGUUGUAUCGAUGUAACAAUGAUCAUAUUGUUGUUUAAAUUGAAAUAAUCCUCUUGAUAGUUAUCAGUCAGAAAAAUGUGUGGUUAUAUCAUUUUUUUCAUGUUUUUCACAUACCACUCGGAAUCUCUAUAAAGCUAAUCAUCCAUUUGCAUCUGAAUAUGUAACACUUAGACAUAACCCUCUGUUAGAGUUUUUGCCCUGAUUUUCUUACCAAAAUUAAGUUUUUACUUUUUCUUGAAAGGGAAAUAAAAGUAACCAUAAAUACUUUUACUUUUUCUGAAAGGAAAAUAUAAAAUUUUUCAUCUUUGGCAAACCUCUUUCUUAAGGGAAAGAUUUUGAAACUCUACAGAUAGAUGACCCCUCUUCUCAUACCACAACACAAUAGUAUCCACAAUGUAGUCUUUAAAGAGUCUCGUUUAGGGAGAGAUUUUCUCCCACUAGUUUUUAUAUUUUUUUAAUAGUAAUUUCUUGUGUAGGCCAGUUGGCCAAAUUAUAUUCAAUAAGAUGUUUUUAGUAUGUUUUUAUUUGUCAUCUGAAUUAUCAUAGUCUUGGUUUACACACUUUAAGCUUCCGCAUGACGCCCUCUCGAUUUCAAACCCAAUACCCUCCAACUCUUAGUUUUGGGUCUAUCACAAAUAUAUUCCUUUAUUAAAAAAAAAUACAUUCUCACAACAUCUUUCAUUUGUUUUUUAUUUAUGAAUAUCACACCUAAUUUUAUGUAGGUUCAAAUAAGCAUUAAUUGAUAAAAAAAGAAAUGAAAUUAAUUAUUGAAAAAUUUUAAAUUUGCAAAAAUAUAAUUUGUUUGAAAGAAUUUCGAAUUUUUGGGAUUUCAAAGUGCAGUUUUUGGAUGGAACUAUCAUCACAUGUGUAUACAAAAUUUUUUGCCCUUUCUUUGGUAUUAUUCAAAUACGAAAAUUUCACUGAAGAAUGACUAACACUAUGAACAACCAGAGUAGCACCCUCUCUAAUGAUAUCUUCAUCAUCACCGAUCAUUUCAUCAUCAUUCGUUGAUUCGUGUUCUAAAGAUUCAUCACUAUCUGACCCACACACUUCAUUAUCAACUAUGUCAUUGAUGUUUUUCACAAUUUGUGUGAGUCGAGUCAGUGUACCUUCAAAAUCAUUAGAUCUAUAAAUAAAAAAAAAUAGUUAAAUAUAAUCAGUAUAAAUUAUAACUUAAUUCAAUUAAAAAAUUAUUAUUUUUACCUAUCGAUUGACUCCAGCGGAAUAAAACAUUGUUGAUGAUUAGAAUUUAAAUUUUGCAUGUGCAUAGAAGCAUUGCUAUGUCCCCCAAUAUCAGAGAUGUGCACACUUCGAUCAAAGAUAUGAUGAUACCAAUUAUCAAAUCAACCAUCAUAUUGCGUAGUCAAGUUAUUUAUAUCAUUUGAGUGCUUGUCAAAUCCUUCCACUGUGUGUUGUUGGACUAUACUCCUUAAAGAACCAAUAUUCAGAUUUGAUAAAUAUGAAGUAUCACAAAGAUCAAAUUUAUUAUUGAUGGGUUCUUGAACGAUAAGACAAUGUUCAAUUGACGGAUAUAUGUCAAAACUCGUUAAGUUAAUGCAACUAUCAAAAAUUUUAAUAGUAUGGAGAAAUAAAGAAAAAGAAUCAUCAUUCUAAAUACAAGUCUCACAGUACGUUAUAACUCCAUUUGCAGGAAAAGACGUUGGAUAUCGUCCACUGAUAACCACUAUAUCUUUUAAACCACUUAUGCCCAUUUUAUUUCUUAUUAAGAAUUGCAAUUGCUCAUAUUUAAGAGAUAAUGAAAAUAUUUGUACAACUUCAGACCGUCGACUAUAUAUUACAGUACUAACUUCAUAUAAAAUUUUACCACCCCAAUAUAAAUUUUCUCUUACUGCAUUUUCAUUUAUUUUUAAUACAAGAAAUGAGAGUAAACUAAAUCAAGAGUAAAUUGUAGAGCUUUACUAGAGCUGAAAUGAGUGUAAAUUAUAAAGCUUUGUUAGAGCUUAAACGAAUAACUUAAACACAAUAAUAAGAUGAUUAUUCAAUGAAAAAAAUAAGAGUAUAUAUCUAGACACCAAGUAAUUUACGAAUUACUGGACUCCAAGAGAUUUACAAAUUGUUGGAUACCAAUCAACUUGCAUAUCGUUGGACACCAAGUGAUUUACAAAUCGCUGGACACCAAACAAUUUGUUAGUACCGCCAGUAACGGAACCAAUAUCUCAACCAAGAGCAUUUUAUCCUCUUUGGUUUCUUUCCAAUUCAAUUGUUCCCUUUGAAAUUUUUCAUAAAAAAGUUAGCCCCUUUGACUCCGACCUCAUAUUAAAUUGAUAAAGUGUGCUGCUGAUGGUUGAGCUUCUCCGAUACAUGUUAGUGGAAUAUUUUUAAGAUCAAAAGUGCGUAUUUUCUUUGUGUAACUCUUAUAACCACCAACACUUCAUUUCAGUGAUUAUUUUUUUAUGAUAGAAUGUAACAUUUAGUUUUUAUAAAUUUUACCCGUAUUCUAUCUCAUUACACUUGUAACUUACAUAGCACUUGUAACCUAAAGACCAUUGAUGUUUCCUCUUUACUAUCCCAUUUUUUCUUCAUAUUCAAUAUUAUGAUGAAUACUUCACCUAUAAAUAGAGGUAGUCUUAUUUUUUUUUAAAGUACAAGAAAAUACAGAGUGCAUGCGUGAUUAUAUUAGUAAAAGAGAGAGAGUUGAGACAGACAAAAAAAAUAUUCUAAGUCUCCAACUAUAAUCACCAUACAAAAGAGAGUAAUUAUAUUAGUGAAAGAGAGAGUUGAGACAGAAAAUAUUCUAAGUCCUUAACUAUAUUCACUAUACAAAGAGAGUAAUUAUAUGUUGAAGGAAGGUGCUUCUGUGGUAGAGUUUUGGACUCUUCAACUAAUACAAAGUUGCUUGAGUUGUACAUUGUUGAUGGACUAUUAUAUCCUGGAGGAGAUACGUCAAGAGUUUAUACUACUAAAUCGAUAUAGAUUAUGCCGCUGUGAGUUUGAUCUCCUUAAAGAAGCGAGAUAUCCAUGCCUCAACCAAAAAGAAGAUUAUUCCUUUUUUUUUCAUUUUUGUUCAUUUUAUUAUUUCAAUUGUAAUUUUAUUAUUUAUGGCAUAUUACACCAACACAAUAUUUGGAUAGAUUGAUCAUUUUUUAUUAUUACAUAAUCUCCCAUAUCAUGAUAAAAUAGACAUAUAGGGAUUUUGAAUUAAAAGGGGCCAACAAGUUUGUCAAUUAAGUGGGGUUCUUCAAGUUUUAAAAAUUAGAUAAAGGGAUAAAAAAAUUCAGUUUUUUAAACAUUUUCGCUCCAACAACUAAAAAGAUUGUCUCAACAACUAUAGAAGUUGUCUCAACAACUAUCUAAGUUGUUCCACAACUGUACAAAGUUGUUGGACAACUUUGAUAGUUGUUGGGACAACUAAUGAAGUUGUCAAACAACUGUCCCAGUAAUUUAAGCGACUUUAUAUUUUUAACUUAUAAUAUUGUGGGACCUACUUGUAACCUUUAUCUAUAAUAUAUUAAUAUAUUAAAUAUAUUAAAAGUGUGAAGACCCUUAAAAAAAUGAUUUAAAUUUUUACCCUUUAUUAAAAUCUCUGUAAUAGAUAAAAUCAUCUUUUCACUUAUUUUCUUCAAUUAUUAUAUAAUUAUAUUUUAUUAUGUUUAAAAUUAAGGAGUAAAAAUAUACGGUAAAAGAAAAUAUAAUUUUAAUAAUUAAGAAAUUCUAAAAUAUAUGAUAAAAGGUAUUAGGAUAAUUAAUAAUUAAAGAGUCCAUAAAUAUUUGCUAAAGGAUCUAAAAAUUUUUGGUAAGAAACUCUUAUAUCCUAAACUCACAUUCUUUAUUUCACUUCACACACACAUUGGACAAGUUCUAGAUAUUGCAUGCAACAUGAAAUAUAGAAAAUACCUGACACACACAUGACACAUGCUCAACUCAAUAGGAUCAUUAUAGACUCCCAACCAAACAAUAACACAAAUUCAAUUUUAAGCCAAAAAGUACAAGAGUCACAAACAUGAGCCUAAGAGUCUCAAAAGUAUCAAUUCAUUCAAUCAACAUGCUUUUACAAACAAACUCACUUGCAUCAGGUAAUCGAAAAUAGCACCAACAAGAAUAUCUCACUUAUUCCUAACCUAAAAUUUUUUAAAUUGAGCCAAAAUUUGUGAAUUUCCCACCCCACACUUAAAAAUCUACUUUGUCCCCAAAGUGAAUUUAAAAGGUAAGAGAUAGAAAUACUCCUUGAGGCCUCUAGGCCUAGCUAGUAGCAUCUUCACAUAAAGGAGAUCCAUAGGACCCCACACUUAAUCUUUACCAUACUUCAAGCUCUAGAUUAUGGUACUCAGACUUCCCAUUAGCCUGUGACUCAACCAAAAACAAAAACUACAUGAAAUAAAAACUAAAAUCUAAAAAGAAAAUAUACCUACUUAACUUGGGUUGCCUUUCAAGAAGCGCCUAAUUUAUUAUCGCGGCACGACCCAAGUCAACUCAACCAUAUUCCUUCACCCUUUUACUCCUUUUCGGGAGCCAUUUUUUCUUUCUUCUUUGACCUCUUUUAUCUUUUAACAUGUUGGGAAUUGGUGGUUUUAUCUUAGGCCGCUCAAUCAGGCAUUUGGAAAAGGUCUUUAGUGGCUUAGGCACCCCACACUCAUCCCUUUAAAAAUACAUUGAUCAUGUAUAAAUCUUAAUAUAAAGGAUUUUCAAUUGGGGCCUUAUAAACAUCAAAUACCACCUCUUCAUCAUCUACCCUCAUCUUGAACGUGCCUUCUCUAACAUCAAUUAAAGCCUCUCCAAUUGCAAAAAAUGGAUGCCCCAAGAUAAUUGGUACCUGUUCGUCUGCCACAAAAUUAAGAACAAAAAAGUCAGCAAGAAUAACAAAUUUACCAACCUUUAUAAGGACUUCCUCAAUUAUUCCAUUCGGAUAUUCUAUGGAGCCAUCUGCUAGCUGCAAAACCACUUUGGUCGAUCUAGGCUUUCCCAAGCCCAAUUUUUCAAAUAGCGAUAAGGGCAUCAAGUUUAUACUUUCCCCUAAAUAACUCAAUGUAUGGACCUCUUUACUUCCAAUUUGAAUAGGGAUGGAAAACUUCCCCUGAUCUUUUAAUUUCUCAGGGAUUUUUUAUUUUAUUACCAUACUACACUCUUCAGUGAGUGUUAUAGCUCCCACAUCUUGCAAUUUUACCUUCUUCGCACUACAUCCCUUAAGUAUUUUGCAUACUUAGUCAUACUCUGCAGAACAUCUAGCAAAGGUAGAUUAAUAUACAACUCUUUGAAUGUGUCAAUGAACUUUUUGAAAAAUGCAUCCUCCUUCGAUUUUAUGUACUUUUGAGGAAAGGGCAAUGGCAACAUCUUCUUUUUCUCUGGUUCAUCAAUUUUUUUAUUGAAGUACUCAGACUUCCUUGAAUUUUCAGCAACUUCUUCAUCAACCUCUUGGGUCACCACAUCUAUAUCUACCUCCUUAGUUGCCUUUGGAGGUUCUUUAUGAAGCUCUAUACUAUUUCUCAAGGUGAUUGCCAUGACUUGUUUUGGAUUUUCUGUAUCAACGGGCAAACCACCUUGUGAUCUAGUAUUUAACACUUGUUGUAUCUGCCCAACUUGUAAAUCUAAAUUUCUUUGGGUUACUUUCUAAUUCUGUAAUUUCGCCUAUUGACUGUUCAGAUCCGCAAUCAAUUAUGCUUGUCUAGCUACGAGUUGCUUCAACAUCUAUUCCAUGUUGUUAGUUGACUGAUUCAAUUGGGAAUGUGGCUGUGGGGCAUUCCAUAACUAAUUUGGUGGUUGAGUUUGCCAUUUCAUGUUGCAGGUAUUACCUUAAUUUGGCCUUUGAGCAUUUCCUACAUACAUCAUAGAUUUCAGAUUUAAAGAACAUAUUGUAGCCGCAUGACCACUAUGUCUGUAUACUUCACACCAACUUGCAGCUUGUCAGAUGACAUUAACUAUGGUUGUAGGUUAUGUUGCUCCUAAUUUUAUGCUGUUGAAUGAUGUGUUGAUCAAAUUCUAUAGUGCAGACACCUGAGCUGAUAGGGCUGUGAAUUGAUCCACCUCCAACACUCCCGCAAUUCUUUUCGUGGAAAUGCUAGAAUCUGAAUGCCAUUUUGGAUUUUCUUAUACUAUGCGGUUCAACAAUGUGUACAGCUCAUCAUAAGUUAACUCCAACACUUGACCACCUGCGGUUGAAUCUAGCAAAAUCUUCAUACUGUGACGUAUUGUGAUCAAGAGAUUCUACAAAAUUAUGAGCAAAUACCUCAUUCGACUAUUGGUGGUGUGGACAAUCCCGAAGAAGGGCAUUGAAAUGUUCCCAAGCAUGAUAAAGAUUUUCACCAGGCUUCUGUUUGAAGCUCACUAUCUCAUUGGAAAGUCUCGUAGUCUUGCAUGAUGUAAAGAAUCUAAUGAGGAACCUUCUGGAUAAAUCAUCCCAUGUUGGGAUUGAACUGGCCGGCUCUACAUUCAACCACUUUUUAGCUUCCCCAAUAAAUAAAUAGGGGAAGGGUGUCAGCCUCACAUAAUCUGGAGUCACCCCGAUUGGAGUAAAUGUAUAUGUAAUCUCAAUGAAGGUCUACAAAUGGAAUUGUGGAUCCUCAUGUGAAAGCCCUGCAAACUAUCCACUGCUAAUAAGAGGUUGCACCAUAUUGUAUUUUAACUCAAAAUUCUCCCAGCUGUCGGUCUUUGUAUUGGGGAAGUCAAGUUCGUUGGGAGUGGGACUGGCACUUACCUAACCUUCUUACCAGCUGCUUGUUGUUCAGCCAUAAGAACAAUAUUUUCUUGGUCUUCUUGAAAUUGAGGAAUUCUAGGGAGAAGGACUGCUUCUCUCCUGCGUUGAUGGUAAAGUUGCUCAGGUUCGGAGCAUGGUUCAAUCAAGUCUUGAUCCCUUGCCAUUUUUCUACUUUGAAAACCAAUUUUCUACAAAACAAAACCAAGACCAAGUGUAAAAAACACCAAAUAAAUCUAAAAGUAAAAAUAAAAUAAACAAUUGCCAAAUAACAAGUCCUCGGCAACGGAGCCAAAAACUUGACAGCGUCCAAGCGCACACGCAAGUGUACGUGGUCUACCAAGUAAUAUAGUGGCCUUUAAAACAAAGACAAAUAUCGAUCCCACAGAGACUUGAUUUGGCAACAAUUUAAUUUUAGUUCACCGUCUUGAUUAAUUUAGUGCAAAGGUAACCAAAAAAAGAAUUUUGAAUUAUUUUAUAAAUUAAAAAAUAAAUAAUGCAAAAAUUAAAUUUUUGGAGCAAUCAAUGGAAAAAUUCCAGGGUUAAAGCACUUCGAACAAUCAUACUACGUUAUUGAAUUUCAUCCGUUAAUUCGCUUAUCUUGUUUGUUGCUUCGUAGGGUUAAUUGCAUGAUUAUGGUUUCCCAACCUAUAAUAUUUUACCUAAUGUGGAUAUUACAACUUCAUCAUUGAGCGGGGAUGUAAUAAUCUAAUUAAGUGAAUUAAAGCUAUCAUCCUACAUAUGAAUCAAGUAAAACAUCUAAGUACAUCCCUGUCCUAGACACUAAGUUUAAUUUUUUAUAUUAUAAAAGAAUAAAAAUCCAAACUUUGUUUAUUCCUAUGUUCUAUCUCCCUAUUCCCUCUCCCGAGAUCAAAAGGUCGACAAUAUAUGUAUUUUAUGGGUGAUCAAUCCAUAAAAUAAUUAAAACAAGAAUAAACAAACAACCAAAUAUGAUAAGCAAAUUAACGAAUUUAGUUCCAAAAUAAUAGUACUCAUUUUCUUGGCUUUAACCCUAGAAGGAGGGUUUUUAGCCACUAAUAUUCAUAAUCACUAUCCAAAUAAUUGAAUAAUAUGAUAUAAAAAGUUAAAGAUUAAAAAUAAAAUAAAAACCUAAUUAACCAUGUAGAAGCCUCCGAAUAAAUUCUCCACCGCUUCAAUGUAAAAACUUCCAUGUCCAGGUGUUAAUCAUGAUCCCCCAAAGCUGUCCAUGCAUUGUCUAUAUAUAAUAGGGGAUCUUUCAAAAAUAGUAGCAUUUUGCUAUAAAACCCACCUUUCAAAGCGACAUUCUACAUAAUUACCAUUUUUAGCCGCUGUAUUCGAUUUAUGCUCGCUAUAUUUGAUUUUACAGAUUGUAUGUAUUUAUAUAAAAUAUGAAUACAGUCCCUAUUCAGUCACGGAAAAAAUGGAAUUCAAUAUUUUUAAAAAGAAAAAAAUCUCAAUCACGCUUAUCUCAUUGAGCUGGAUAUUUUCUUGCCUAACAUUGCCAUUAUCUUUUUUAUCUUUUUUGUGUUUUUUCCUUUUUUCUUCUUCUUUUUUCUAUUUUUUCCUACUUUUAUUUUUUUUGUUUCUUUCUUUUUGUUUUUUUCUUUUUUUUCUCUCUUUAAUCGCUAACUUCUAUUUCUCUUUCUUCUUUAAUUUUUUUAUUAUCUUUUUUGUACUUAUUUUAUUUAUUAAUUUUUUGUUAUAUUUUAUAUUUUUUGUAUUUUUAAAUAAUAUAACUAGUCGAGCACAAGUCAUGGAUGAUAACGUAAAUACCACAAUUGUUUAUCAUAUUUGUAGUCACACCGCUAUUUAUAUUUUUAUAUUUUGAUAGAACUAUAUUCAUAUUUGUAUUUUAAAGUUCACACUUGUAUUUAUAUUUUAUAGUUCGCAUUUGUAUUUGUAUUUAAUAGUUCGUACUUGUAUUUGUAUUUGUUAGUUUAUGCCAUCAUUUAUAUUUUAUAUAAUUCACACUUGUAUUUUAAAGAAUUAUUUUGUCUUUUUAUUUGUAUUUUAUAAUUGAUUGCAUAUUAUAUUGGAUUAUAUUUAUAUUAUGGUUUUAUUGUGUUUGUAUAUUUAGAUUAUAUUUGGAUUAUACUUGUAUUUGUAUUCUAUUUUCUUCAUUACCUUUUUAUUUUUUAAGAAAUUAUUUUGUAUUUGUAUGUUGAUUGCAUAUUGUUAUUAUUCAUAUUUGUAAAUAAACAAAUAUCACUUGAUACAAAUACAAUGACAAACAAAUGAAACAAAUGAUUUUACAAAUACAAAUACAAUAUGUAUUUGUAUAUAUUGUAUUUGAAUAAACAUUUGAGUUGUAUUUAUUUGUAUCAAUAAAUAAAACUCGUAUCAAUAAAUACAAACAAGUAUUCGGGGAAAGAAAAUCAAUCGUUCCUUUUUAAUAAUUAAAAAAUAUAAAUGAUAGUUCACACUUGUAUUUAUAUGUUAUAGUUCGCAUUUGUAUUUGUAUUUUAUAGUUCACACUUGUAUUUGUAUGUUAUAGUUCGCAUUUGUAGUUGUAUUUUAUAGUUCACACUUGUAUUUGUGUUUGCUAGUUCUCACAAAUGAAAAGAAGGAUAAAAAUUGAAAAGAAAAAAAAAGGAGAAAAAAUAAGAGAAAAAGGAGGAAAAAAUACAAAAAAAAGAAGAAGGAGAGUAAUAGAAAAUAAGGAAAAAAUACAAAAAAAAAGGAAAAAAAUACAAAAAAAAGAAGAAGAAAAAAAAAGGAGAAAAAUGAAAAGGAAAAAAAAGAAAAAGAAAAAGAAAAAAAUGAAUAAAAAAGAAGAAAAAAAAAGAAAAAAGUGCAAAAAGAAAACUAAAGAGAAAGCAACAAAAAAAGGAAAAGAAAAACUGAAGAAAAAAAAUCAAAAAAGGGAAAAAAGAAAAGAAUAAUAGAAAAUAGAAAAAGAGAGAAAAUACAUGAGAAAAGCUAUAUAUUGUAAUUAGGAAUAAUUAAUAGGAAAGAGGGGGCUAUGAAUUGUAAUUAAUAAAAAAUUAGUCUUUAAGUGGUAAUAAAAAUUCAAUAAUAGUUAAUUCGGGUAAUUUUCUCUAUAUAAUAUUUAAUAUUUAAUUCUCAUUUCAUGUGGGAUUAGCAUAAAAAACAGCUGGCAUUUGGCCCACCAAAUUUUCCCACCAAAUUUCCCUUAAACCGUGUGCCCACUUUUGAAUAAAAAUAGAACUAGUUUUGUCCGUGUCAGCGUGUUUUACUAUUAUGUUUUGAAUUAUCGAUGCGACGUGUAACUGCAUGUCGCUGGACUGGUAUUAAUGGGAAUAUCGAUGCUACGUGUUGAUUUCGUGUCUAUUUAUUGAAAUUUGCAUUCAAAAAUCUGGUUAAGUGUAGAACGUCCUAUCCGUUACCCAUGCCUUUUAUAGUAUAUUUCUAAUGAAUUUUUGGCCUUUAAAUCAUCAAUAUAUUACUGUAUUUAGUUCAAAAAUCCUCCUAUAAUAUCAUACACCGUAUAAUAAAGAUCAAAACAACACAAUAUCCUCUACGAUAAAUCAAAACAAAAGCUAAGAUAAGGAAAAUUCGCAAUGAUCUUCCACUUAUUAUUUUGAUUCUUGACUUAAUUAAAUUAAGCUAUGCACAUUAAAAACAAGUUAUUCCAUUUAUAAUUAUACCAUUAAAAUAUUUGGAACAAAUUAAACACAUUAGAAUCCACCAAGACUAACUAGACACACACCUAGCUCAAGCUAGUAAAACUAGUUUUCCGGGUUGAACUCUAAAUUACUCAAUUAAGCACAAACUUAUUUUCAAAAUACUUUAUACAUUGUAAUCACACACUUGGACACUUAAAUGCUUAUUUAUAUCAUUAUGAACACUUUAAGCACACGAAUUGCUCUCAAAAUAAGGCAAAAUAAUCUAAAAUAAUGAUACCAAAGAGUAUAAAACCACCUCAGAUCAGUAUGUUCAAAAUUUAACUAACUCAAGGUAUGAAUUUGGUUGUUGGGUUAUGUAACGGGGGUGGUUAUCGAUCCUGGUUGGGCUUAGGAUUCCCCAUUACGUUUAGGCCCCGGUUUGGGUUGCGAAAAAUUGGAUCAGAGCUUUAGGUUUUGGUUUCAUGGGGUUUCCACAAAGUCGUGUCGAGUAGAGCCUUAAUUAUGGGUGUGUCGUACACCACACUUAUAAUCAGGAGGCUACAAGGUAUUUAUGAAUGUUUCACUUUCUUGGUUGUUUUACUUUCAGGAUAUGGAGUAUAAGGUCUUGAACUCUUCUCUGAAUCUUCUACGGUUCAUCUUUUUGAUAAUGUCCUCUCAACAAUCUAAUGUCUGUGGAAACUUACCUAUCCCACUCAAGGACAACAUGGAUGGAUAUAGUCCAACUUAUGGGGCCUCAAUUUUCCAAAUAAUCGAGAGGCCAAUAGUUGGUGGUAAAUGGUCCAAGGGGAAGGGUUGGGUGAGUCCUAACUCAUAUUCUCUGGUUGGUUCUUCCUAUCUGAAUCUAUUUGGAGGUAGGUGUUUUAGGAUUGGGUAAUGCUUCUAGGACACAAGGUUUCCAAUUUUGGGCUAAUGAGGCCCAAUCUGUAUCAUCCUAUUUUCUUUAUAAAUCUUGUGGUAAAUUGGUGAUUUGGUUUUGGUCAAUUGGGCCAUAUCCUUCAAGAGUGUCCCAUAAGGAUUGCCUCUUGGGAAAAUAUAAUAUCAAGGGUGCUACUUCUGGCUUCACUUGGGUUGGUAUCGUCUCAAUAACUUCACCAUUAUUCAGGAGUCUGAGGCAUCUAUUGAUGCCGAUAUUGGUAUGUGGGGAACUCUUUUCUUUGUGGUGUGUAUGGUUACUUGGUUUGGGGUCCUCUCUCCUUUGUAACCCCAUUGGUGGUUGUGUGUUCUGGUUUUGUUCCCAAGGUUAUUUUGACCUCUUUCUCUAUUUAUUUCUACCCUGGCAGGUGACUCUAUUGUUGUCAAAAGAGUCUACGGGGGUGUGUGGUACCUAUUGGUGAUAAAGUGGUCCUGGUGGAUUUUGUUAUCAUUCGAGAAUAGAUUGGUUGCACUCAUCCUAUUCAUUAUUAGAUUAUUGGAACCGUAAGAAGGUUGUCUUUAGGAUCUUUGUCGAGACGAUUAAGGAGUGGGAGGGCAGUUUCACUCCUUACUUAUUAAGGGAAAGGUUAUAUCAUAUCUUAGAUCCCAUAGAUUUAUCUCCAAAGGGGUUUCCUUCUGACGAUCCUCAUGGUGUCUUUUUAAUAGAGAGGUUAGUUUAGUAUUGGUCUUUUUUCGGGCAAUUGUCCAAAUUCUAUUCUUUCUUAAUAGUAUGGUUUCGGUGGAGUUAAGGGAGCUUAAGGGAUAGUUAAGGGAUCUCUUAGAUAAAGGUUUCCUCCGUCAUAGUGUUUUUCUGUGAAGUGUCUUCUUUCUUGCAUACAUAAAGGGAAUAGUCUCCCCACGAAUAGAUAGGUUAUCGGUGGGUGACUAAGGAAUUUGGAGAAUCCUCCUUCUGGGUGGGACCAUGCUUAUGUAUAUUCCAUGAGUGUACUUUUCUAGUAGUGCACGGUGGUUGGUUGAUCCUAGGCUUGAACCUAGAUGCUUGAUUUUGGUAAAGGGAGUAUGUUAGCUCGGGCAUAGCAAUGCGGGAAUUGCGAGGGUAAAUAGGUAGGUUGGAUGAGGUUGAUGACUUGAGGAAUAAAAUAGUAGAAAAGUUGUACCAUAUAGGCUGGGAGUUUAGGUUGAACUUGGAGAUUUGGGGGUCUAGGCAUUGGAUAGGUUUGAUCAUAGAGCUUGCAUGUAUCUUUGUCCCUAUACUUGUACUUUAUGGUUUGAAUGAAAUUGGUUAUUAAAAUUCAUGGUUUUGAAAAUGGGUUUUGGCACAUAUUGGGGGAUUUGACAUGGCUACUCAUUUAAUUGAUUUUCCAUGGAUUAUGAUGCAUUACUCACAUUUUAUUAAUGUUUAUUAACACUGUGGGAUGUAUGGGAAUGGUAAAUAAAUUUUGGGGUACUAUAGACUCCCCAAUUCCUUGGUUUUGGUUUUGGAAUUACAUGUCCUUAAAUUAUUUUUGAAAAUUGCCAUUAAGUAUAAUUUUGUCAUAUGGUUUGACUAUUUUUAAAUUUUUUGCAUUGCCUAAAUAAUUAAGGGAACAUGAAAUGGUUUUGGUUGAAUUCAAAUAAUUUUGAAAGGCCUUGGUGGCCAUAGUUUGAUUUUGAAUAUUUUUUUUUAAUUGGAAAACCUUGGAUUCAUUUUGGUCUAAUGGUUUUGCAUAUCUUUGCUAAGUUCUAGGUAGCCUUUGGGUGGAUGAUAUUUUGGUUUAGGAAAGCCAAGUGUCACUAGUGUACAUCCUUGUUGAUACCCAUUAGGGUGGAGUGUUGUGCUUGUAGGUGUAAUGGGAUAAAGGUUGGUGGUUAGUCUAAAAUUUCCUUUUAGUAGUGGACUUUAGGGGAAGAUCAGUUUGCAUACUCUAGUGAUUCUCUUCUAUCUUAGUUAAAAGAGUACUCUACUAGUAUUGCAUGUACUGUCAUAGCGCUUAUGCUUAAGGGUUGAAUUUUGCAUUCACUUUGUUCUUGGGAUGUGAUUCUUGACUCUACAUUGCAAUACUUAUGGUAUAAGUGGUUGUGUUUCUUUUGGUGUCCAUUUCUAAGGACUCUUUUGGUGGUAUGGUUUAGUCGGGAUGAUUCUUCAUUAGGACCCAGGCAGGUGUUAUGAAGUAUUUUGUGCCUAUGGUGUCGUGCCUUAUUUUUGGGGUUCUUUUUCUUACUUUAGGUAGAAUGGAUAACUCUUGUACUUUAGUUAUUUAAUGGUUCUUCUUAUGUUAGGAUGGUAGUGGCUUGGGAAGCAUGGUGAUGUUUUGUAUUGGGGAACGUAGAUAUCUUUAAGUGAGGGAGAGUCUCGGGUGGCUACUGGAGUUAAGGUUUUAGAAGGUGGAGUAAGGCUGUUUUUAUGAGAAAUAGUUAGGGUAGGAAUAGGUUGUGAAAAUUCUUGGUGAAUUUAUAAAGGGUGCUAGAUAUUUUGAUGGAUAGAUUGUGCCGCGGGUUUAUGAGCACCAGGCUUAAAUAUUGUGAUUAGUAGAUAUACCCAUAUUGUGUUGGGUAGGUAAGAGGUUUGGUAAGGCGUAGUUUUACCAAUUUCCUUCAUGACAUAAUAGUUGUAUUUAAAUUGAGUGUUCAAUUAUAGGUUAGGGGUUUUGGUUAUAAUGGUUGGAUAUAGUUGGUCCAUGUCCUUUACUCAUGGUUUCCAUAUAAUAAUAGAAUGGUAGUGGAGUUGUAUUUCGGGAUAGAGCUAAGGAGAAGAGCCCGGUGGCCUAGGUUAACUCUUUUUUGUUUUGAAUACGAUUGAACAUGAAAGUGGUGGUGUAUAGUUUGACUCAAUCUCUCAAAGGGAUCUGUCUUGGUAAAUUCUAAGUUGGAUUGGACUUACUCUCUAACAUGAGUCCAUUCAUUCAGUAUUCUAUGUGUUUGUGUUGUGGUAAGGUGUGAUUGGUUCGAAUUCCUUGUAAUUUAAAGGGGAAACUUGGAUUGGUAAGUUAACCAGUUGCAAACAAAAGGUGUGGCUUCGGUAAAGGUUCCAUGGUGGAGCUAAAAGCCUGAGAAAGCCAUUUGGGAUGUGGUAGUUAACAUAGAAGUCCAAGUGUUCUCGUUGGUUCUUUGUUCCAGAAAUUCAUGCGUAAGGCGUGUGUUCUUAAAACACAUCUUUGUUUUCUAACUUGGUUAAGAGUGAGGAAUGGUUUCACUUGCAUCUUUGUUUUCUAACUUAGUUAGAGGUGAGAAUGAAAGUGUUUGGGAGUGAAUCGUGCUUGGGGUAUGUGCUAAUCUUCUCAUCUUAGUUGGUGUUCUUGUCCUUCAUUUUUGUUGGAGGAAAUUUUAAUGUGUGUUGGUGUAAUACCUCGUGCUUUUUCUUACCCUUGCCCAUCAUUCAAGGACGAAUGAUCCAAUUGGGGUAGAAUGUUACAUCUUAGGAUUUGGACCCUUGAAAAUUUCUAAAGUUUGGACCAUUUUUGACUUGGUACGACUCAAGAGAGUAACUCGUACCCUUGCUUACGAGUUUUUAGGUGCCUAGGUGGUCCAAUCGUACCCAAGGAAGUAAUUUAGGCUUAUCUACUACCCAAGGUACAACUUAGAUAUGUAAGAGUCGAAUAGGAGGUUACGAGUGGUAUAGGGCAAGUUGUAUGGUGUAUAUGUGUGUUAUCUAGUGUAAUCUGUUCACUAUAUGGUUAGUGGAUACGAUUAAGGUUUCCACUUGUACCCUUAGGUACGAGUUAUAAAGGGUAAGUUGUAUAGAGGCCAGUGGGUAAGGUCUUGGCAAGGUUGGAUAUGAGUUGGGGUACGAGUUGGGGUGUCAAUCGUACCCUUGGAUACGAAUGGUAAGGUGAGUCAUACCCCUGGAUGAGAAUUGUUUUAAUUUUUAAGCCAAAGGUGGUUUGGACAUUUACUACUCCUAAAACCCUAUUUUUCUCACAUUAUAUAACCCUAUGUGUCCUUCCAUAACACAUAUAAAAGGAUCAUAACACUUCAAAUAUACUCUAAAACUCUCUCUUGGAAGAUUAGAGGCUAGGGUUUCUCGCGUGUUCUUCAAAUGGGCUCAAGGGUUAUGUUUCUCUUUGGAAUAUUUUUGUUCAAGGAAUGUAGUCCUUCACUCAUUGUUAUUGCAAAAUAAAGGCAUGUGUAUUGUGUUAUAAACAUUGGUUUAUGAAUAUAUAUUUGUGGAUUUCAAAAUAUUGUUGAGGGUCUUUAUGCAUAUGGUUUGGUAUUGGUUUAAACUAUGUUUUUACAUGUUUUUUGUAAUGGUUUUCAUAUGUUGUUGGUUGUUCAUUAUGGUUUAACUAAUGGGUCUUGAUUAACCCUAAUUAUGGUGAUUUACACAUUUGUUUUGCUCUUGGUAAAGGUGUGCCCUCAAUAUGUUCGAUAAAAUAUCUCAAAGAAUGUUUUUACUCUAUUGUUGAACUUUCAUUAGAACUUCUGCAUUAUUUGGUUUGGUAAUGAAACCUGAAAGGGAUUUAAAUUGUUUUGCAUGUUUUUAAUGGUUUAAAUGAUAUAAAUUCUUUAAAUGUUUGUCAUGGUCUUAAAUGGUUUGAAAUGGUUUAAAGGUUAAAGAUUUGGUGGUCAUGGUUGGUCUAUUUUGAAAACCUUAUGGGAUACAUAAAAAUCCCCUAAGUUAAUGAAUUAAUGGAAAAGUUUAAAGGCUAAUGGGUCAUGCUUGUGGAGAACAUGGUAGUCUCCAAAGAGGUUAAUAUGGUAAACGGAAAGGGCACUUUAUACUCACCUUAACCUAAAUGGUUUGGCUAUGGAUGAAUCUUGCAAGUAUGGUUGGUAUGACAAUACCACUAAUAAUUGGCCUUGGUAAUGAAUGGUAAUUGUAUUAUUUGGACAUGGUAUUAAUUUGGGAAUUAAUUGGAUGUGUAACUAAUCUGUGGAAGGUGGAGGUUUUGGGUGAACCAAAACUGGAAACUCAUAUUUUCUGAUAUAAGGGCUCUUCGAUGACCAUGUUCGAGUGUCACGUUUUAUAUUGGAGGGAAGUACUAGUAAUCCCGUAGGAUAUUUCUUGGUCGUGCGGCUACAUACACUAGGACUCUUUCAGCAGGGGGAGCUGAACCCAUGCGGCCCAUGGGUAUGGUUAAAUGGCAAGGUUACACAGUCCAGGUAAAAAGGUUUUAACUACAUGCUAAAAAUGGAUUCCCUUUCACGUCACUUAUGUAUAUGUAUGGUUGUAUUCAUAUAGAUGGUUUAACUUGGUUUUAUAAAUGGAAUUAUUUCAUCCCUAUCCUGAGUGCAUGCUAGUGCUCACCCUCUAACCUUCUAUUGGCGAUUGUAUACCAAUAAUAUGCAGGAAUCGGCUAUUCUACUCCUCUUGCUUAGUGAUUGGAUUUAGGUACAGUCGAUGUUGGAUUAAAGUGGUGAGCUUCCAUAGUUAGAAGGCAUCUAUUUCAUGUCAUGGUUUACUUUACAUAUUUAUUAUCCUUGAUAAACUUUGGUUUUUGGCUAUGGUCGGGGUUAUGUCCCAACUAGGUACUCUUUGGUUGAUAUAGAGGCCUUGUAUGGACAACUGUGGACUUAGGGUAUGUUAUGGAUUGUUUAUGUCAUAUACAUAUACAUACUUUGAAUUAUUCUAUGCAAUUUUGUUUUAUGGUUUCUGUAUUAGUUUGGUUGGUUAUUGGGUGGAUGGACUUGGUUGGGUUGGUCUCAUUUAUAAGACUUAUCCCAGAGUCACCACUUAGUUGUACAUACUAUCUUGUUGUAUGUUCAGAAUUUAACUGACUCAAGGUACGCAUUUGGUGGUUGGGUUGGGUAACGGGGGCGGUUCCCAAUCCUAGUUGGGGUUGGGAUAACCUAUUAUGUCUAGGCCCUAUUUCGGGCUAUGACAAUAAGUCAUCAAUCCUAGGGAUUGGAUACUUAUUCUUGAUUGUGACUUUGUUCAAUUGAUGGUAAUCAAUGCACAUUCUGAGAGAACCGUCUUUCUUACGCACGAAAAGGGUUGGAGCGCCCCAUGGGGAAACACAGGGCCUGAUGAAACCCUUAUCUACAAGAUCUUUCAACUGGUCUUUGAACUCUCUAAGAUUAGCAGGAGACAUUCUAUAGGGCGGAAUAGAGAUAUGAUGGGUAUCUUGAAUGAAAUCUAUUCUGAAGUUAAUUUCUCUUUUAGAAGGAUAUCCAAGAAGAUAUUUAGGGAAAACUUCUGGAAAUUCCCUUUCUACUGAAACUGACUCGAGAUGUGGAGUCUCAGAACUAGUCAUUAACUUGGAAAAGAUGGUAAAAACACCCCUUAGAUAGCAUUUUUCUUGCCUUACGAUAAGAAAUAAUCUAAUCCCUAAGCACUGAAGUACUACCCCUCCAUUCAAUGACUGGUUCAUUAGGAAACUGAAAAUGAACAACCCUAUUUCUAUAGUCAACUGAAGCAUACCAUGAGUGGAGCCAAUCCAUGCCAAGAAUGACAUCAAAAUCAAUCAUCUCUAACUUCAUAAGAUCAACUGAGGUGAUUUUCUAGGAUACUGUAACCGGGUAGUUUCUGUAUACCUGUCAGGCUAUAAUAAACUUACCCACUGGGGUAGACACUAAGAAAUGUUCUGCUAAAGAUUCAGGAUUGACAUUGAAAUCUACUGUUAUAUAGGGGGUUACAAAAGAAAGUGAAACCCCAAGAUCUAACAAAGCAUAAACAUGAAGAUAAAACACCUGUAACGUACCCAUAGCCACACCAGGAGAACUUUCCUGAUCCUAUCGGGUAUGGAGGGAAAAUAACCUAUCCUGACGCUGCCCACUGGUUGCACUGGACGCGGUACCCUGCUUAGUUGGACAACCAGCCAAAACUAGAGGACGACUGUACUGACUCUACUGAACAACCAUAGUACAUUCUCUGAAUCUGUGGCCUGGCUUGCCAUAUACAAAACACACAUCACUAAAAACCCUACACAUAUACUGAUGAUUCCUAUCAUAUUUUAUGGCAAAGUGAGUUAUUACAACUACUGUUCACACUACCUUAGGACUCGUGCCCUGGCACUCUAUCCCAACUAUCAUUUGUGAACAUUGGAACUGGUGCACUAGCUGAAGAUGGAGUUGGUGCCAAGAAUUUCUGAAGAAAUUAAGAACGGUUACCACCCUAUGACCUCGGCUGAGAAAAUUAAAACUACCUAUUCUAGCACUCUUAUUCUCUCUCUCUCUCUUUCUCCUUAAUAUUGUAUUUCUCAAUAUGCUGAGUAUGAACCAUAAGUCUAUAUAAGUCCAUCUCAUUAUUCUGAAUAGCUACUGAAUGAGAUAAUGUAGUGAAGGCAUCUCUGAAUUCAGCGUGAGAGACAUACUCAUUCAGGGGAUCUUCCCAAACAAGUAGUGGUGCGGGCUGAUUCAUGUUCCUUCGCUUGCUAUUUCUUUUAAGAGGCAUUAUCUAAAAAUAGAAUGAAGUAUGAAUUAGAAAGAGAGUUUAAAUAGAGCUCAUGCUUCUUUACACGACAAGAAUACUUAAAGAAGAAAAACUUUACCUAAAACGUCUUGUAGCCUCUUGUCCGUAUGAAUGGCGCUCUUUACACCCAUGCCUAAGACUCUACUCAAUGUGGCUUUCAGACUCCCUAGGACUCUCUAAAAUGCUUUCAGACUCCCUAGGACUCUCUAAAACCUAGAUCUGAUACCAAUUUUCAUCACGACUCGAGGCUAUCCCUUAGUCACGAUAAUGGUGCUUACGAUCACAAGUGACCACAAGCUAACUCAUGAGUUGGUACCUGCUGUAAGCACUGAAUGUAAUAGUACAAAACACAUGUGCAGAAAAUAUACUAAGAAAAUAAUAACAAAUUGAAAUACUAAAAAUAUGAUGCAACCACAAGACUGAAACCUCUGAUGAAAUACUAAAAGCUAACUGUCCAGCUAUAACAACUGAUAAUACUAAAAAAUUUGAUAAACUAAAUAACCAUCUAACUAUCUGAUAGUUUGAAAAGCCUUUAACUUACUCACUGAAAUACUAAAGUACGGAAUGAGAGAUAAUAUGUCCUCGAUGGAUGAGGACUCAUCAAUGAGCUGCUCAGUAGCGCUGACUGUCAAACUGUGGUCGGUAAACUAAGCUUCCAAACCAAUGAUAUAAGACAUCAUAGAAGAAAGAAGAGUAUACAGUCAAUACUUUGAAUGUACUGGUAUAUGCGAUGAGGAUCGGCUAAAAUGCAUGGGGUAUUGUGCAUGCGAGAUAAUAACCAACUGAAAAGCAUGAGAUAACUGAAAAUGAAUGCAUGAAAACUUUAAAAUCUAAGAAUGUAAGACUACGUGUAUAUAUGUUAUGUUACUGAGACAAUCUAUAAUUUGAAAGACUGAAAUCUGUGUAACUAAAUAUCUACAAGUCUGUACACAUAGUUAAGCAAACCUAAAAUGAAAACACAUUGAGUACUAUACUGAGACUGUGCGAAGAAUUAUCUAAUUGACAUGCCCCAAUCUAAGCUAAUUAGGGUCCAACCUAUAACCCCAGUUGUAAGGGUGUCAGUAUCAUGCCAUGGGCACUAAUACUGCUUAUGUGGAUCUACUAAAUUGGCAUCUCAAAGGACUAAAGAGUCACUCUAUACUGGCAGUAUUACUCAUGAGAUAUGUGUCAACCCUAAACUAGCAGGAAGACAUCUCAAACCUACCCUUGCUACGUAGUUCUUUAACUCAGGGAUUGCUAUUAAGGGUUAAACCCUAAACUGGCAGUAAAGCCCUUAUCCCUUGGGUUUGAUUAGUGCUGAAUCCUACUCCCAACCAAAUGACACUGAUUACUGGAUUAACCUAAGUUUAGCUGAGCAAACAACUAAUCAUAAUAACUGACUGAAUGAUAAUGCUCAUGGUUUGUCUAAAAUCAUUUUGAUGAUACUAAAAUUUUGUGAGCAACUAGGUAUCGGGUGUUCAUAACUCUCCAGCACUGAAUGGAAAUAACAAUAAGGACAUAUAAAAGCUUUGACAACUAUAUAGGGAAUUACUAUUCAAAACCCCAACUUAGGCAAUUCAUUAAACACAUAAGAGUCAUGGACUUAAUCAUGGGAAUAGGUAAAGCACACGAUAAUUUACAAUACUAAAACCAUGAAUUAGGGAUUUCAGUGUGAAUAUUUCAAUAUCAAAACAUGUAAUGGUACAUUCCACUAAAAACAUUUAUAAUCAUAACUUGAAAUCAAAUUAUCAAUACAUUCAUGGACAUAAUUCAAUUUAACAUGUAAAACCCAUAACUUUUAAAGCAAAAAGUGAUUCUUGGACUCCAGGGGUUAAAAGGGCCCAUGGAUGAACAUAACACUUACCUUAAACCUUUAGUCUUGAAAGAUAAACACCAAUUCUUGGAUUUGGGAAUAUCAAUUCUUGUUUUCCUUAGAGAUAAAGUAAUUGAAUUGAUGAUCUUGGGGGAUGAAUUGUCUUUCUUUGAGAAGAGAAUUGAAGAAGAAGGGCAAAUAAUGCCCUAACUAAUGAUUUAAGUCCUGAUAUUAUGAAUUGGGUUGAGGGGAAAAGACACAAUUUCCCCUUAGGUAAUUAAAUUCAUAGUUGAACUGCAAUUUCCAAGCCCAUCGCGAUGCAGUGUAUGUGCUAACGGGAAUGGCACUGUGACGCAACACUAUCGCGAUGAGUUGCUGGAUUUAUGAUCCAAACAUGACCGAAUUCUCAUCUGAAAAAUCUAAAACUUAUCUGAAACAUGCUUCUUGCACCCCUAAACAUGAAUUAACUCAAAGACCAAUACCUCGGUGUGGGGAACACCAAUUUAAAAAUCCUUGAAUUUAAGAGGCCUUAAAAAUGACUAAGUCCCCAACACUUAGUGAAAUUCUUAGGAUUUAGGCCCCUAUGCACCCAAAUAGAAGCUGAACUGAGCAAAGAUUAAUAUGAGGCACUACAACUGAUUAUGGUAUAAGGAGGUAAUUACUUAACUAAAUAUCCUAAGGUUAAGUUAGGCUAAGGGUUAGGAAGUAAAAGAUAUAAAAGUGUAUGGCUAAAUCUAGAUUAUAAGUUUAAUUAUUGAGUUGAAUAAUAGGUUAAUAGAGUAGGUCUUGAACCUAGUAUGACUUGAAUGUAGGAUGUAAUGACUUGAUUCUGUGAACUUGAUCUCUUAUGUAUUUUGACUAUUUCACUCCUCCCUAAAAUUUCUAAGCGUUGUUCUGGGGUAUGGGGAUGGUUGGCAUGGUUUCCAAUGCAAUCCAGAAUGUUUUGUGCAAGUUUGUAGUUUUUAGAGGUUAAAAAGGGCGUAUAGUUGACUUUACACAAUAUUUGUGGUUUUGUGUGUCGGAUGGAAAAAUGGACUAUGCCAGUAAAUCUAGAACAUCAAUUUUGGGUUGGUGGCAUGGUUGGCUUAAUUUUAUAGCUUUUUGAUCUUAUUUCGACCCUUGGUAUGAAAAUUAGUUAAAUUGCAUCUCAGGGGUUAAUUUAAUGAGAACAAUCUCUUUUCAAAAACCUGAUGUCACCAUUGAGUCUGAAACAUUGUAUUUAGCCUAGUAGCAUUUUUUUGCCUUCACGGGAUUCCAAAUGAAUCUUGGGGGUGAUCGAAAACUUUGGAACUUAAGCAAACAAAGGACUGCUUAAGUUGUAUUCGCAUAAGCUGCCCAUGCACCGCUUUAGUUUUCACUAGAAGGCUAGGCAACUGCCACUCCAUUUUAGCAAUCACCACUUUAGCGGUAGGGGGUCCGCUUAAGCGAUGACCAUUUUAGGGGUCAUAACUGGACAAGUAUAAAAGUCCUUUUUGUCAUACUUUCUUCCAUUUUUUAGACGUUGAUCUUCAGUUUAAAAGAGUUUUGGAUGAUUUCUUCCUUCCUCAAGCUUGGAUAACCCCUAAAUCACUAUGUCAGUCAUUUUACUUUGAUUUAUGUCAUUUAAAACUCUCUAAAUUGUGAUUUGAAAGUAGGAUUGACUUGGAAGGCCUAAAAAGGUAUUUAUUUGAUUUAAACCUCAUUCUUAAACUAUUUUUACUUGAGUUUUCUCCUAUGGCUUCCUUUAUCAAGGGUAAGACUUUUCUAAUAUAUAUAUAUAUAUAUAUAUAUUUAUUGAAUGGAUUUGAGAUCUUUAUACUAGUUUAAUUGUGAGAAUUACAUCCUCAUAUCACACAUAAAUUCAUGAUACAAUGGUACCAUUAAGAAAACACUAGUUUUUGAAAGAAAUUCGACAUUAUCUUUACAAAACCCCCUGUCCACGAGUCUUAAAGGAGAUAUGGACCAUGAGAUUUGUAUUGAGUAUUGAGAAAGUAUAUGGGUUGCAAACCCCCAUGGGUCCUAUCUAAAUCUUUGAGGCUCAGUAGGUGUAUAUGGAGGUUAUGCGAUAACCUCAAUCAUAUCACAUUAUGAUCACCAUCAUCAUUGCAUUUCAUACAUUAAGCAUCUUUUGUGUUGUGAUUCUGUGUGUUAUUCGUUGCAUAUAUAAUCUAUUUCUUUUACGCACAUGUCUAUUUGUUAUGUGCUAUAUUUACAAUUAUUAGUGAAGAUGGUGUGAGCGAUCAUUUGAAAUAUUUUCUGAUUGCAGGUUAUGUGCAUAUAGUCUGUAUUUAUAUACCCUAUUUUCUAAUUUUGAUACCUACUAAGCACAAGUGGACCAUACUCACCGCUACUAUAUAUUUUUGAUGUAUAUCUAGAUACGAGUGUAUCGCAUGGCAGUUGAGAUCGUGCAGUUGAUUAUUAGUACUUUUAUGGUAGUGGCCUCAGUAUGCCUUCAAAGUUGACCUCAGACCUCUUCCUAUUUAGUUGAUGUCUUUAUUUUAUAUUCAGAGACAGACUUGUAGUUUUUUGGAUUCAGUUAUAUUUUUAAUUUUGUGUUGUAUUUGGUUUAUUUUUUUUACUGUGACACCAUAUUUGGGGAUGGUUUAUGGUAUCUUUAUUAUUCAGAAUACUAUUGUUAUUAUACAUACAUGGUCUGGCUUCACUUUAGAAGUAUCACCUUGGGAAUUAUUGUACUGUUUUCUUCUUACUUAUCAGUUUAUGUGAUUGGCUUACUUAUCAAGGCUUAGCCGCGAUAUAUGCCAUCAUGACUGUAGUUUUUGGGUUGUGACAUAAGGGUUGUUGGAUAUUAGCAUAAUCUCUGGUUUUGGUAUGAAUUAAAGACGAUAGGAUUAGUGAAUGAACUUAUGAAUGUUGAACUAGAGUGUAGACUCCUUGGGGUUGAAUGUACCCUCUUAAAAUAAGUACUUGGAUUUAAUGAAUAUGGCUUGGUAAUUCUUACUUGAAUAAGUCCUGGAUUAGUAUUUGGUCAUGUUGAAAUUGAUGAAUAUGAAUUGAUAAGGCCUAAGUUAUGAGUUAUUGACUGGCUUUUAGACAUACUUGCAAUUUUUUGUAUUAAAUUAUUAUUUACAUAAAAUGAUUAGCUUGAGUUUGACAAACUAUUUAGAGUGUUUGUCUCUUUUUUAUGAUUCAUGUUCAAGAAAGAAAUUUUUUGAAUAAUAUCCUAAGUGUUAAUCACAUGUAAUGAGGAGAUUUCUAGGGUUUUUCUACCAUUUUUGGACCUUGGAGCUUCGGGAAUAGGAGAUUUCUAUGGUUUUUCUCACCAUUAUUGCUUAGGUAAGCUUUUAAUUUAUCUUUCCAAUAUUUUCUAUUGAUUAUAUCUUCAAAAAUACUUUAGUUGAAGGGGAAAAACUCCAUGUUGAGGGUUCUAGUCUUUGAUUUUGGUACCUUGAGGUAGGUUAUGUUUUAACUUCAUUCAGACUAGGCUGGGUAGUUAAUGAACUUAUAAGGCAUGCUAAUGGUUAGGGCUAUAGAUGUGGAAUUGUAUUUUAAGAGUACUUUAUCUUAUCAUGUUGCCCACACGGGGGCUUGUAUGCAUGUUAUUGUUGACUUGAGAGGUGUUAAAUUAUGUGAUGUCCAUGCGGAGGUUUUAUUUGAUUAUUGCAAGACUUACUUGUGCAUUAUUUUCUAUAUUUUCAUGUUGUGUCACUCGAGUGGGGUCUUGACUAGAUGUUAUAGGACUUAUUUUUUUUGAAUAUUUUUUCCUCUAUCAUGGUAAAAUAUACUCGAGUAAUGGGUUGAAAUAAUAUUAUCAAUGUCUUUUCUAGUGGUGCCAAGAAAGAACUGAUAUAAUGAACUACAGACACAUUGAGUUAAUUUUGAGCUCACUUAUACGUGUAUUGAAUGAUAAUAUAUUUCUACAGGUUGUGUCAUGACUCAAAAUAGGCAUGUGAUGGUACUUGUCACACCCUCCAGAUAAUCAAGCCUAUCCUAAACAAAACUCAAUAAUCAUGAAAAUUAGAAGCAAAAGAAAAACAAUAAUCCCCCAAAAAUAUAUAGAGAGGAAGUAAAUAUUCAAUAUACAUCCCAUAUCUGGUUGUCACUAGUACAAGACUUCAAUAUAGAAUGCAAAUAAUAAUUUUCUAGAAUAUCCUAGAUGCAAAUAUAUCAUAAGACAUAAAUAAAGAGAUCUAAGAAGUCCUGAAGACCCUCAGCCACUUCCUUGAUCUCCGUAAUGCUAAUACCAGAAGAAGAUGAUCUACAAACUGCAACUUGAUCCAAUAACUGUACCGGGUGCAAAAAAAUAAGUAAAAAAGCAAGAGUGAGUAUGAAACCACAUGUACUCAGUAAGAAUCGUCGAUAAUGGACCCUAAUACAAGUGAUGGCAAGAACCACCACCCCAACUACCGAAGGUUUCCCAAUCAGUCUAUACCCAACCAAAUCAUCGUACUUUAUCCUAUCAGGGUAACCUAACACAAUAGACAAUAGACAUAUCUAAUACAGGGCAGGCACACUAAUAUAGAUUAAUCAAUACUACUCAUUUAUAUUUAACCACAAGGUAUUUCAUUUAUGAAGAAGACUUACAAAUGCACUAUUACAGGCUUAAUCAAUUAUCAUUUACCAAUACAAUAGGAUAACAUACGGAGAGGGUAUAUAUAAGGGUGUAUCUCAUGCUGCCAAAAGGUACCACCUAUCUAUCUUUUGAUCAAACCGCCGUCAUGCCCCAAGUCUCAUAAUACCUCAACCUCUCAAUCAAUGUACAAUUAAAUAGGAUAAUGUAAUGAAGUAAAAUGAAUGCUCAAAAAUAAUAUCACAAAUAAGGUUCUAUAAUGGCAUUACAAUACAAAAGUAAAUACCAACAAAAUAUCAAAUCAAAUCAAGGAAGGUAAUAUAGUGCAAAUGAAGAAAUUCAAUAUAGUGAUAAUGACGGGAUGAUGAUGAAUAUUUGAAAGUUAUCACAUAACUUUCUAUAUAAACCCACCAAGUUUGUAGCUACCAGGUAGGACACAUGGGGGUAGGGGGUUCACAACCCAUAUACUUUCCAUAACUCGAUCCACCUCUCUAGACAAUGUUCAUGGAUCAAGGUUACAAUAAUAUCUCAUAUCAACCUUAACAACACAUCCCUCAAGAUAGGCCUUUUAUGAAGUGUCUUAUUUUCUUACAAAAAUAAGAAUGUCUUAGUGGUGCUAAUGUAUCAUGAAUAUACAUGUGUGAUAUAAGGAUAUAACCCUUAUGACCAAUCAGUAUUAAGAUCUAAAAUCCAUUCAAUACAUGUAUAAGUAAGCUCAGAAUCAAUUCAAUAUAUCAAUAAUUCAUGAUAUUAGUUUCCACUUGGUACCAUCAGAAUAAGCAGUCAUGUAUUCAAUCAAUAAUAUCAUUUCCAACCUCUCACUUGAGCAUCAUUAUAAUGAUAAUGCAAAUAAAUACUCAAAUAAGGCCUACAAUGUUACGUCAAGCCCCCACUUAGGUGACACAAUUAUAGAUAAGGCAUUUUAAUACACAUAUAAGGCCUAUGAUGACAACUCAAGCCCUCACUCGAGCGACAUAAUAAUAAAUAAAAUAUUUAAUGAAUAAAGAUGACCAACAAUAUCAAGUCAAGUCCCCACUUGACCAUCAUAGUAGUAAAUCCUCUCUUAUUAAAAAUCAAUACACAUAUAAGCCCCUAUUAGACACAUGAUCAUAAAUAAUUACUCAAGUCUAUAAUGAAGUUCACAUAAGCCUCACAUGGGCAAUACGAAAUUACCAAAAAUCCUGAUAAUAGUAUAUUAUGGACUAUCCAAACCUAACUUAGUCCAUACAUUAAGCCUCAACUAUAACAAGUAUAUUCAUACUUUAUGUAUGCUCUAAACCUCAACCAUUCAUCAAUAAUUAUAAUGCCCCAUAAGAUCCUAAGCUUGAUUCAUCUCUUAUUUUCAUGCUUAAGGGUUCCACGCUUUAAAGUUUCAUUAGGUGUUGAGGACUUAGUCAUUUUCAAGACCCCUAAACUUUGUAGAUUUUUAUGAUAAAAUAUUAGUUUUUAAGUGGAUUCAUGGUUAAGGAGUUUAAUAGUAUGUCUCAGGUGAGUUUUGAGAUUUUCGGACGAGGUUUGGGAUAUUUUGGAUAGCAAAAAUAGUAAGGCAAUGUGAUUGGGCCGCGAUGUGUUGCUCUCUCCCAUGGUGAAGUGCAUCGUGAUGCGUUGAUCUCUCCCCCAAAGUAAGAUACAUGGUGCAUUGCUCACUCCCAUGGAGAAAGAGGCAUGACGUGUGGCUCUAUCUCGCAUAGUGCCAUUGGUUAAGUGCCCAAGGGGCAUUUAAGUCAUUUUCCUCACCCUAUUUUGUCCUUAACACGAUUUUGAACUCCUAAAAAGGGAAUUAAUUCACCCUUUCACCCCAAAUUGCUAACAAGAAACCCUUCUUGUUCCCCAGGAAUAAACCCAAGCUUCAUUCUCAAGAAAUCAAGGGUUCAAGCUUCGAAGUUCAAGAAAUCUUUAAGAUUAUAGCUAUUAAGGUAUGUGAGGUGUUCAUCCAUGAGUCCCUUUCACCUAUGGAUCCCAAAAACCUUUCUUUGAUUUAUAAAUAUGAAUAUUCCCCUAUUAUGAAGUUGCAAAUGUUUAAGAUGAGUUUAAUUCAUGUUUUUCCCAAGUAAUUUGGCUCAAUUCAUGUCCUAGUAUGAUCCUUUGGAAUGUUAGGGAAUUUUAUGUUUAGAGUUUUGAAUUCCCAUGUUGUAUUGAAUUGAAUUUCUUGUCAUAAUAUCAAAUUUGUGAAUUUGGCCAUGAGGUCAUGUUGUUUUCUCACGUUUUAUGACAUUGCGAUAUCCAAGUUCAUGACUCCCAUAUGUUUGAUGAAAUGUUUAUGUUUUGGGUCAUUGAACCAUGAUCCCCUACUAUAGAUUAAAAGCUUUGUUACUGCAUUUUAUGGUCAUUUAGUGCUGACGGGUUAUGAACACCCGCUACAAAGUGCUUUUACAUGAUUUUUGUUUAUAAGGGAUGAUUUAGUUAGGCCAUGUUUUACCAUCAUAUUUAGAGCACCAUAUUCAUAUUGAGUGCUUAAAAGUACGUACCAUAUCAUUUUAAAUAACUAAUAACACCUACGUUAUUCAGUUGGGAGUAACACUUAGCACCUAGUGAACAUAGGGGUGGUAUCUCCCCGCCAGUUAGGCAUGAGAAUUUAGUGGAAGUUCCUGGGUUCUAGACCUAUGGUGCUAUCAUAAAUUAUAAGGGGUCCCCCAUCAGUAGAGGUAUAACACCCUUAUCCUUCAGGACAUCAGCCUUGUGGAUCCAUACCGUCAGCCAUGUAUUGGUACCCUUGGCAAGGUACUAGCACCCUUCCAACAAGGUUAUAGGUUGGGCCCCAAUAGCUUGAAUUGGGGAAUAUUUGUUAUAGCUAGCCCCCACGCUCUCAGUACAAUAUUUAGUAUAUUUUAGAUCAGGUUUGUUUGACCAAGUGUACAGAUUUUUAGUUAUUUAAUUAUACUGCUUUCAAUCAUUUAAAUUAUAGAUUAUCUCACCAACAUUAUAUUUUAUGUUCAUGCAUUCUUGUUUAGAUAUCCAAUGCAGUAUAGAUAUUCCUAACCUAACGAGCCAGUUCAUUCAAAGUACUGAUCGCAUACUCUUUUUUGCAUUAUGUUGUCUUAUAACAUUGGUCCGAAUGCUCAGUUUCAUAACUAUUCAUAGACAAAUCAGCAUUACCCAGCAGCAAUAGUGGUGCAUCCUCCUCCAUCAAGGACAUUUUUUUUACUUAUUUAUCAUAGUUAUUUCAGUAUUUCUUUAUGUUCAGACAAUUGGAGUUAUUUGAGGGCUUGUCCCAUCAUCUCCUCAUGAUGUUAGAGGCUUUCAAACAUAUCAGUUAGACAGUCAUUCGGUUUAUUCAGUCUUUAUCAAAUAUUUUUGACAAGUUCUUAUUACAUAUAUCAGUAUUCAGUUUUAUAGUAUCUUAUCAGAUUACCUUUAGUGCAUGUUUUGUAUUGAUAUUUUGUUCAGUGCUCACAGCAGGUACCAGUUCUUGAGUUAGCUUAUAGUCACUUGUGGUCAUAAGCAUCAUUGUCACGACUGGGGGUAGCCUCGGGCUAUGACAAAACUUGGUAUCAAAGCCUAAGGUUUUAAAGUUUCCCAGUGAGUCUUAAAAACGCAUUGAGUAUAUUUUUGUACAUGGGUGUAAAGCACGCCACACUUAUGGACAAGAGGCUACAAGUCAUUUUAGGAAAGUUUCCAUUCUUUUAGUGUUUUCAUGAUCUCUAUUUAAUCUCUCUUUCUAAUACAUCCUUCAUUCCAUUGACAAAUAAUGCCUCCUAGAAGAAACAACGUAAGAACAAAUGGGGAUCAACAUGCACCACCACCUAUUCAGGAAGAUCCCUUGAAUAACCAUGUUUCUCAUGCUGAGUUUAGGGCUACUUUUAUGACCUUAUCCCAUUUUGUAGCUGCUCUGAACAACCAAAAAGUUGUUGCCCCAUCCAAACCAGUGUUAAAUACAACUAUAUUUAGGGUUUGAGAUUUCACUAAGAUGAAUCCCCCUCUAUUUUCAGGAUCCAAGUCUGAGGAGGAUCCAUAGGAAUUUUUAGAUAUAGUAUAGAAGGUGACUAAAAUCAUGGCAUCACUUUGAGUAAGAGUGCAGAGUUGGAUGCAUAUUAGUUGCAGGAUGCAACUCACUCUUGGUUUAAGCAGUGGAAAGAGGACUGAGGUGUUAAUAUAGGGCCAGUAGAGUGGGAGGAUUUUUCUUUAACUUUCUUCAACAUGUUCUUUCCACUAGAUUUGAUGGAAGCUAACAUUCAGGAUUUUAUUAUUUUGAAGUAAGGUAGUAUGAGCGUGAAGGAGUACUCAUUUAACUUCACUUAGUUGGCGAGGUAUGCUCCUACUAUGGUGGCGGAUAACAGGUCUUGAAUGAGUUAGUUUGUGUCUAGUGUAUCUGAUAGUGUGGUCAAGGAGUGUAGGACCACCAUGUUGAUUAAGGAGACAAACCUAUCUAGACUCAUAGUUCACGCUCAGAAGAUCAAGGACGAGAAGCUUAAGGAGAAAGACAGAGAAUAAUAGGGCCAGAAUAGGUAGUUUUAACUUUUCUCAGCCAAGGUCUAAAGGUUGUAAUCGUUCCUAGUUCUAUCAGAAGUUUUUAGCCCUAGAUCCAUUGUCAUCUAGUGCUCCAGUGCCUAAGUUAGGAAAGACAGUCAGGACAGGGCACCAGGCUCUAAGUCCCAGGGUAGUAUUAAUAGUGGUCAUACCAAUCCGCUCUAUAGGAAAUGUGAUAAGAAUCAUUUAUAUUAAAGUAGGGCUGGCAGUGAUGUGUGUUUUGGAUGUGGCAAGCCAGGACACAAGAUUAGGGAUUGCCCCGUAGGUAUGUGGAAGGGUCAAAAUAAUCAUCAAUAGGGCCAGAAUACUUCUUCAGCAGCACCAGCGGGUCACCUAACUCAGCAGGGCUCCAUUCCAAGUGCCACUAGCGGGCAACAUCAGAAUAAGAUAUAUGCUCUCUACACUUGGUACAUUAUAGGUUUUCCAUCUUUAUGUUUAUACAUUGUUAGAUCAUGGAGCUUCACUUUAUUUUUGAUUCUUUAUAUUGCUAUAGAUUUUUGUGUGAAUCCCAAAACAUUAGUAGAGACUUUAUUAGUGUUUACCUUCGAGGGUAAAUCUAUUAUUGCCAAAUGGGUGUAUAGAAAUUAUUCGGUCACAGUAUCUCAUAAAAUUUCUUCAGUUGACCUUGUAGAGUUAGAGAUGACUAAUUUUGAUGUCAUUCUCAAUUUGAAUUGGCUCCACUCAUGCUAUACCUUAGUUAAAUGUAUAAAUAGAGUUAUUUAGUUUCAGUUUCCCAAUGAACCAAUCAUUGAAUGAAAGGAUAGUACUUCAGUGCUUAGGGGUCAGAUUAUUUUAUAUCUUAUAGCAAGAAAGAUUAUAUCUAAGGGGCGUGUUUACCAUCUCGUCCGAGUCAAAGAAUCAACUACAAAGACUUCAAUUCUUGACUUAGUUCUUAUAGUAAAUGAAUUUUUAGAUGUGUUCCCUGAAGAUUUUCCCGGAGUCCCUCCCGAGGGAAGUUGACUUUGGAAUAAAUCUCCUUCCAGAGACCCAACCUAUAUCUACUCCACCAUACAGAAUGGAUCCAACUGAGCUUAAGAAGUUGAAGGAAUAGUUAAAGGAUAUCUUAGAUAAGGGUUUUAUUAGGCCUAGUGUUUUGGCAUGGGGCGCUCCAGUCUUGUUCCUGCGUAAGAAAGAUGGUUCUCUAAGAAUGUGCAUUGACUACCUCCUAUUUAACAAAGUCACCAUCAAGAAUAAGUAUCCACUCCCUAGAAUUGAUGACCUAUUCGAUAAACUUUAGGGUGCCAAUUAUUUCUCUAACAUAGACCUUAGAUUCGACUAUCAUCAGCUCAGAGUCAAGUGACAUUUCGAAGACAACUUUAAGAACUCGGUAUGGUCACUUCGAAUUCUUAGUUAUGUCAUUCAAAAUAAAUAAUUCCCCUACAUCUUUAAUGGAAUUGAUGAACAGGAUUUUCAAGCAGUACUUGGACAUGUUUGUCAUAGUAUUCAUUGAUGACAUCUUUGUCUAUUACCUUGGUGAAAAUGAUCAUGCAGACCAUCUGAGAAUUAUGUUGUAGACCCUUAAAGCUCAUCAAUUUAUUUUUCUAAAUUUAGUAAGUGUAAAUUUUGGCUAAGAUCAUAGCUUUCCUUGUCCAUAUUAUUUCUGGUGAUGGCAUUCGAGUUGACUUUCAAAAAACCAAAGUAGUGAGACAUUAGCCCAAACCUAUCUCUCCCUAAGAUAUUAGGAUUUUCUUGGGUUUGGCUGGCUAUUACGGAUGGUUUGUUGAAGAUUUUUCUUUACUUGCACUCCCCAUGUCUCAAUUAACUCAGAAAAAAUUCCAAUUUUAGUGUCAAAUUCCUGUGAGAAGAGUUUUCAGGAGUUGAAGAAUCGCCUCACUUUUGCCCCCGUCUUAACCUUGCCAGAUAGUUUAGAUGGAUUUCUAUGUUACUGUGAUACUUUCAGAGUUGGUCUUGGUUGUGUUUUGAUGCAGAGGGCCAAGGUCAUAUCCUAUGCCUCUAGACAACUUAAACCCCGUGAAAAUAAUUAUUGUACCUAUGAUCUUGAGUUGGCAUCUGUUGUCUUUGCCUUGAAAUUUUGGAGGCACUAUCUUUAUGGGAUUUAUGUUGAUGUUUUCACUGACCAUAAGAGUUUACAGUAUGUGUUCUUGCAGAAAAUUUUGAAUCUUUGUCAGUGAAAGUGGCUUGAGUUGUUAAAAGAUUAUGAUAUGAGUGUGUUGUAUCAUUCAGGCAAGUCCAAUAUAGUGGCAGAUGCCCUUAGGAGAUUGUCUAUGGGUAGUGUUGCCCAUAUAAAGGAUCAUAAAAAGAAGUUAGUCUAUGUGGUUCAUCAGCUUGCUAGACUAGGUGUCGAGUUGGUUGAUUCAACUGAAGGUAGUAUUUGGGUUCUGAAUGGUUCAAAAUCAUCAUUGGUUGCUGAAGUGAGAGAAAAAUGAGAUAGGGAUCCCAGUUUGGUUAAGUUGAAGGAGGUUUUCUCCCAAAGGGGUUAUGGUGUGCUUCAUUGUUAAGGUAGGUUAUGUGUUUCAUGUGUUGAUGAUCUGAUAUAAUGAAUACUUGCAGAAGCGCAUAGUGUGCAGUAUUUUAUUCAACUAGGAACCACUAAGAUGUACCGUGAUUUGCGUGAAAUCUAUUGGGGGAAUGGUAUGAAGAAGGAUAUUGCAGAGUUUGUGGCUAAGUGUUCAAAUAGUUAGCAGGUCAAAGUUGAUCCCUAAAGGCCUAGUGGUACAUUGUAGGAGUUUAGCAUCCUCACUUGGAAGUGGGAAGUGGUGAACAUGGAUUUUGUAAUAGUAUGCAUCAUCAACAUGAUUUGAUAUGGGUCAUUAUGGAUAGAAUGACCAAAUUAGCUUAGUUUUUGCAAGUUUAUAUUCGUAUUUAGCUAAGAAUUAUGCCAGGCUUUAUCUUAAGGACUUGGUUAAGUUGCAUGGGAUUUUAUUGACUAUCAUUUCAGAUAGAGGUACUCAGUUUACCCCACUUUUGGAAGGCUUUUCAGAAGGGUCUUGGUACCCAAGUUUAUCUCAAUACAAUAUUUCACUCUCAGAUAGAUGGUCAGGCGGAGAGGACCAUUCAUACACUAAAGGACAUGUUAAUUGCAUAUGUUGUUAACUUUAAAGGUAGUUGGGAUGACCACUUACCUUUGAUUGAGUUUGCCUAUAACAAUGUUUUCACUCUAGUAUUCAGAUGACUCUAUUUAAGGCUCUCUAUGAAAGGAGAUGUAGGUCUCCUAUUGGUUAGUUUAAAGUAGGUGAAGUUGCUUUGAUAGGGCUAGAUUUAGUAUUUGAGGCAAUGGAGAAAGUUCAGUUGAUUUGGGAGAGGCUAAAGAUAGGCCAAAUCUAUUAGAAAUCUUAUGCAGACGUGAUGAGAAGAGAUCAUGAGUUUGAGGUUGGUGAUUUGGUCUAUUUGAAGAUUUUGCAUAUGAUGGGAGUGAAGAGAUUUGGCAAGAAGGGGAAACUCAGUCCCCACUAUGUUCACCCUUAUAAAAUUUGGAAUCGUUUUAGAAAGGUAGCCUAUGAACUUGAGUUACUUGCAUAUUUGGAUUAAGUGCAUCCAGUGUUCCAUGUCUAUUUGUUAAGGAAAUAUAUUGGUGAUUUAGCUAUUGUUGUUCCUCUAGAAAGUAUAAAUGUUCAGGAUAGCCUUUCCUUUGAGGAAAUCUUAGUUUAUAUUCUUGAUCGUCAGAUUCAUAGACUAAGGAAUAAAGAAGUUUCUUUGGUUAAAUUUCCAUGGUAGAAUCAGUCUGUUGAGGGAGCAACUUGGGAAGCAGAAGCAUACAUGUGAACCAAAUACCCUCAUCUUUUCUCUGCAAAUUCAGAUUCUGCUUGAGGUAAUAAUUUUCCUUAGAUUGACUCUUUUCCAUUCUCAGUUCAUCUGUGUAACCAUUCUCAUGUAAUUGCAUACAUUCACAAAAUCAGUUCAGUUCAUGAAUUAUGCUUCAGGAUCAGUUAUGUAAUCUUGUCCCAAGUCAAGUAUGUUCAAUAAUGAUCUAAUUUUCCUCAAUAUUCUCAGCUAAAUCAGUCUCAUUUGAGGAUGAAUAUUCUCAAGGGAGAGAUAUUGUAAUACCCCGUAAAAUCCUAAGCGUGAUUUAACUCUUAGUUACAUGCUUAAGUGUCCAAGGCUUGAAAAUUUCACCAAGUUUUGAGGACUUAGUCAUUUUCAAGACCCCUAAGCUUUGCGGAUUUUUAGUUUCAUCUUCUUGACCUUGAAACAUUGGUUUUAAUGUUGAUCAAUGGUUAGGGAAGUUAAAAGUAUAUCUCGAGUGAGUUUCAAGAUUUUUGGAUGAGGUUUGAGAUGUGCUUACAUAGCCAAAAUAGUGAAGCAACGCGAUUGGGCUGCGACGCAUUGCUCUCUCCCAUGGUGAGGUGCUCUGUGAUGCAUUGCUCUCUCCCCAAGAAUAAGCUACGUGGUGUGUUUCUCUCUCCCAUAGAUGAAGAGACGCGACAUGUGGCUCUGUCCCACACAGUGUCAUUGGUUAAGUCCCAAGGGGUAUUUGAGUCAUUUUCCUCACCAUAUUUUAUCUUUAACGCAAUUUGGAACUCCCCAAAAGGGUAUUAUUUGUCCCUUUCACCCUAAAUUGCUCUCAAGAAACCCUUCUUCUUCCUCAGGAACAAACCCAAGCUUCAUUCUCAAGAAAUCAAAGGUUCAAGCAAUCUUUAGGAUUAUAGAUACUAAGUUAUAUGGGGUGUUCAUCCAUAGGUCUCUUUCACCCAUAGAUCCCAAAAACCUUUCUUUGAUUUACAAAUAUGAAUUUUUCCCUAUUAUGAAGUUGCAAAUGUUUAAGAUGAGUUUAAUUUAUGUUUUUCCCUAGUAAUUUGGCUUAAUUCAGGUCCUAGUAUGAUCCUUUGGAAUAUAGGGUAUUUCAUGUUACAAGUUUUGAAUUCCCAUGUCGUAUUUAAUUAAAUUUUAUGUCAUAAUAUUGAAUUUGUAAAUUUGUCCAUAAAGUCAUGUUGUUUCCUCAUGUUUUAAGACAUUCCCAUAUUCAAGUUCAUGACCCCCACAUAUUUGAUGAAAUGUCUAUGUUUUGGGUCUUUGAGUCAUGAUCCCCUACUAUAGAUUAAAAGCUCUGUUAUGGUAUUUUAUAGUCAUUUAGUGCUGGCGGUUAUGAACACCCAAUACCAAAGUGUUUUUACAUGAUUUUUGUUUAUAAGUGACGAGUCAGUCAGACCAUAGUUUUACAAUCAUAUUCAGAGCAUCAUGUUCAUGCUGAGCGCUUACAAGUACAGUACCAUAUCAUGUUAAACAACUAAUAGCACCUAUGUCAUCAGUUGGGAGUAACACUUAGUACCGAGUGAACAUAGGGAUGGUGUCUCCCCCAUCAGUUAGGUAUGAGACGUUAAUAUUAGUUCAUAGGUUCUAGACCUACGACGCCACCAUAGAUUAAGAGGGGUCCCUCGACUGUAGAGGCAUGACACCCUCGUCCUUCGGGACAUCAACCUUAUGGAUCCACAUCGUCAUUCAUGUGUUAGUACCCCUGUCAAGGUACCAGUACCCUUCUAACUAGGUUACAAGUUGGAACCCGCUAGCUGAAAUUGGGGCAUGUCAGUUAUAGAUAGCUCCCACGAUCUCAGUACAGUAUUCGACAUAUUUUAUAUAAAGUUUUCUUGACCAAGUGUACAGAUUUUUAGUUAUUUAGUUAUACAGCUUUCAGUUAUUUAGAUUACAGAUUAUCUCAGUAACAUAAUUAUACUUGGUCUUGUAUUCUCAAAUAUUUCAUGUUCAUGCAUUCAUGUUCAGAUAUUAAAUACAUUAUAAAUAGUCCUUACCUCACAUACCAGUACAUUCAAAGUACUGAUCGCAUACACUUCUUUGCGCUAUGUUGUCUUAUAACAUAGGUCUAGACGCUCAAUUUCCCAACCAUUCUUAGACAUCUCAGCAUUACCGAGCAGCAACAUUCGUGAGUCCUCCUCCAUCAAGGACAUUUAUUUACUUAUUUAUCAUAGUUAUUUUAGUAUUUCCUUAUGUUUUGACAGUCGGAGUUAGUUGAGGGCUAGUCCCAUCAAAUCCUCAUGUUGUUAGAAGCUUUCAAACAUAUUAGUUAGACAGUUAGUUAAUUCUUUCAGUCAUUAGUAGAUAUUUUAGAAAAGUUCUUAUUACAUAUAUCAGUAUUCAGUUUUAUAGUAUCUUAUAAGAUUACCUUCCGUGCAUGCGCUGUAUUGUUAUUUUGUUCGGUGCUCACAGCACGUACCAGCUCAUGGGUUAGCUUGUGGCCACUUGUGGCCGUAAGCACCAUUUUCACGAUCAGGGGUAGCCUCAGGUCGUGAUAAUAAUGAUGAUAAUAAUGUAAUUCCCCCGAACAAAGAAUUAAUCCAUAAUCAUAUAAUAAAAUCUCCUUAGAAGAUUAAUGCUCUAAAAUAGGAAUUCCAAUAGCUAUUAUUUGAUAUUAAUAAGUUAUCUAUCUAUAUUCUACUAUAAGGAUAAUUGAAAGUAGUAGUACAAACUAAUUAAGACAAUAAUCUAGCUACAAUCCAUCAAGGACAUCAGUACCUGUGUAGGGUGUUGUUGUAACAAUUUUUGGUAGAUAAUUAGGAGUAAUACAGGUACUUGAGGUAUUUAGCUUGUUUUGUGACUUUUGAGAACCUCUCCAUUGAUCUGAGUUUAUAACUGUGUGAAUUGCAUUCAUCUGUGAUUGCGGUGCUUCUUUUUUUGGCAUUAGUAUGGCAACUUGACAUUUGUUGCUGAUCAAAUUGCAUGAAUUGGAUAAGUAGUGAUAUGCAACGUACUUGUGUGCCAUGUGUGUGUGAGUUCUUACUCAGCUCCUGCUGUGUGCUGAAUCUAGAACUUGCCCUGUUAGUCAUACCUAGGUUGUAGGAUAAGGGUUAGGAAAGGAUCAUAGGCCAUUUUUGAUUGUAACCCACUUUCAGCCUAAAUGACCUUCCCAAUAUGAAUAAUAUCCCUUGAUCCAUGAUUUGAGCCUAUAUGCCUAUUUUUUUCUGUGAAACCUCUCACCUUCCUGUUUACCUCACAAUGAACCUGUUUUGGCCCUAGUCCUUCUUGGACAGUAUGCACCUUGACUUAUGCAAAUAGUCUAAGUUGAGGGUGGCUAUCAUAGGGGUGUGUGAUGCAAAAUGAGCAUGAAGAGAGGUAGAAUAAGAGAAAAGAUAAAUAGUUGGGUGCGGUAAAAAAGUAAUAAGAAAAGAGAAAACUGUGUUAAACAUAAUAAAAAGAUAAUAUGAUGAUUGAAAAUACCGUAUCCAUAUUGAGCAUGUGUGAUCAAUAAAGAGAGGAAGAAAAGAAGGUUGACAAGUGAAACCCUAAGAGUUUAGUAUAGUGUCUAGGAGGCAUAGUCACUCUAAAAUAUCCAUGAAUAUCAUACCAGCCCUGACCUACAUUACAAGCUUAAGAAAAGUCCUAUCGUGAUCCUAACCGACCUGUCUGAAGACUUGGGUACUGACAAUAAGGGUAAGCCUAUGGCAUUUGACAUGCAGUGUUUGGAACUUCAUUUUGAGAGUGAGUCUUGUGAUUAUACCUAUGUUUAUGUAUGUGAAUUCUGAUAUGAGUUAAAAAGGGAUUUCUUUAUUGUGAGGGCACACUGGGUAUGUUGCUAGUCACUGACUUGUUCAGAUAGUAUGAUCUUGGUAUGUCAUGGUUGUUAUUGUUAAAUUUUUGCCACAUCUUGAUUCUUGUGAGUAGCAUGGGUGUUCUUCAAAACAUCAACAGUGAGUUUUAAAUUGACUGACCUUGGAGAUGGUGAAUGUAUUCUGAACUAAUAUGAGUAGUUAACUGCCAAAGUGUACUUUGUAUUCUCUUAGUUAUGUCAUGGUUUCUUGAGGACAAGCAAUUAUUUAAGUUGAGGGUGUUGAUGUGUGAGCCUAUGCUAACACAUUUGAGGCUUUUAACACUAAAUAAUUGCAAGAUCUUGAGCAACUUUAGUUGUUUUUGAUUAGUUUACUUUGAUUUUGUAGUAAAUAUUGAGAUGCAGGGGAACCAAAAAUAAUAGAAGCAAAAAGGCUGAAAUGUGAAGCAAAUAAAAGUGUGGUUGACGACAUUCAUGAUAAGUCGUCAACCCAGUGAUAAGCUAUCAAAGACAAUAUCAGCCUUAAAUAGGAGAUGAGUUUCAGCUGGAAGAGUUGACAAAAUUUUGUGAUUGGCCUUCAGGAUGGUGAUAAGGCGUCAAGGAUACCGUCAGACGUAGACAGGACAUGAAAAUUGGAGCAGGAAGAUGACGAUGUUCUUGAUAAGCCGUCAAAAUUCUGAUAAUCCAUCAUCAUCGUCGUCAGUCUUAGACAGCAAGAGCCAAAAGUGAAGAGGAGCUGACGACAUCCGUGAUAAGUCAUCAGACUCCUGAUAAGCUAUCACGGAUGUCGUCAUUUAUUUCGAGGAAAAGAUGUAACCUUGAUUUUGUUUCCGUAAUUAGGGUAAAAUAUUUAAAGCUUUAUUUUAGGGUUUUAUAGGGGGGAUUCAAAACAUUAUUCGACAUUUUGACUUUUGACAACAUACUCUAAUAUUUUCUCUUUUUACUCCUAGACUUUAAAAACACAACUAUUUCGAGAGAUUAUUAGCAGUAUUUUUGUGACUUUUCUUUGUGAUCUAAUCUAUGAUUCACUGUUCAUUAUUCAUCUCUAUAAGUUUAUCUUUCAAAACAUGAAUUCAAUUAUGUGUUUCGUUCAUUGCAUCAUAAGUGGCUAAAAUCCAUUAACCUGAGUUAUGGGAUCUAGGGUUAGGUCUUGAUAAGGUGCUAAGUAUUCAAGAUUCAAAAGACGGUAAGAUUUCUUGAUAAUUCUAUUUUAAUUAACAUUUGUUGGUUGCAAAUAGUAGACACACCUUGUUUGAUUUGCUUGAGAAUGAAAUCAAAUAUAGUAGGAAGUGAAUUAUCAAUAGGGACUCAGAAAUACUUCAAUUAAAAAUCAGCGCUGUAACAAGGUUGGUUAACCUGAGAUAAAAUCUAGGCAGUAAAUAGAAAUUUCCUAAGUCCGAGAAGAUUAGGGAGUUAAACGCUUAAGUAGGUCGAGAUACAUUUAAGCAUAAUAUUGAUAAAGAUAGCUUGUUAUCCUACCCACCAUGAGAAUCUUGAACCACUUUUAGCAUCUGUCAUGUACCGGAAGCCCUAGUGAACAUAAUUCUGGUUAUUUCAUAAACUCUUGAUUUACAAACACUGAAAGUAAAGUGACAAACAACAACUUGUUAAACCUAAACCCCCCAUUUCAGGAAAUAUUAAACUAUCAGUGGAUUAAAUUGCAAACAACUUAAGUUCACACCAUAUUCCCUGUGGGAUUCUACCCCAACCUAGUUGGGUUUUAUAUUGACAACGAUCGUUUACUCCCAUUCAAGAAUGUAAUUUAAGUGUUAUCACCCAACUACCUCUGACUACUGAAAAUACUGAGUCUACUGUAAAACUAAAAUAAAAGUAUAUCCUUGGUAGAUGGGGACUCACUACGGUAUAUGAGCUUUUAUUGAAGAUGAAUACUUAUUUUUGAUACUGAGUAACUGAUAUUUGAGAUUAAUGAUAACUGAAUUACUGAUAACUAGGUGAUUGUGUCUGAUAAUCUUGAUUCUGUAGAACUGAACUAAGUUUUAUACUAAGACUGAAACUAAAACUGUGGGAGGUAAUAAUCUAACCGACAUACCCCUCUCUGAACUGAUUGGUGUCCAGCCUGUGACCCUUGUUGGAAGGGUGUCAUUACCAUUCCAUGGGUAAAUACAAGUUGCUAAGUCACCCUCAUCUGGCAGGUGCUUGGAAUGAGAAAGGUGGUACCUUCAUCUAGCAGGUAGGACACCUCAUCAACCCUCAAUUGGUAGGUUGAUGUCUCAACCUAUGCUGGCUACGUAGUUCUAGAACCCAAUGGCUGCUUCUAAGGAUCACACCAUCUAUUGGCAGGUGAGUCCUCAUCCUUGGGUUCACUCGAUGCUGAAUCCUACUCCCAAAUGAAUAAAUCAUGGACUGAUUACUAGACUGUACUGGAUUUAACUGAACUAUUACUGAUCGUGUUGACUGACUGAACUGGACUGAGUUUACUGAGUUCUAUAACUGACUGAGUACUACUGAUCGUGACACUAAUGAGACUAUUAUGUAAAAACUGUAUCUCUAGGUAAAUAGCUAGAUUUUUGAGUAUUAGAUAUCCCCAAGACUCAAUAGCGUGAAAGUAAAGCAUAACAUAAUCUUAAAAAGUAAAACAAUGUCCACUUGUUCAUAAUUCAUUCAUAGAGAUAUUUUAUCAAACCUUUGUAGGGCAUAAGCUUGUACAUAUGCUAGCAUGUCAUGAUUUCACUAUUUAAUUCACAUGGUCAUUCCAUCAAACACAUGGGGAGCACACAUUAAUGAAUAUAAUCAUGGACAACAUGUAAAUAUUGUAACUACAACACCCAAACUUGCAAAUUCAAGGAUUAUAACAUGGGAAUUAUACAAUUCAUUAUAGAUGCUAUUUCAAUUUCAUGGAAUCUACAAUUAAUCAUGGAUUAAAACUUAAUUAAUGUCAUGAACAUGAAUACAAUCCAAUUCCAAGCGUGUAAAUCAUGAAUCAAUAAUCUUGUAGUUUUAAAAAUAGAUUCUUGGACUCUAUGGGUGAAAGAAACCCAUAGAUGAACACCUAACAUACCUAGGUAUUUUAAAUUCUUGAAGGUUAUUGGAGGAAUUCUUGAGCUUUGUUCUUGUUUUUUAAAGCAAAGGUUUUCUCCUUUUUGAGAGAGAAUGGUUUAUUCUUGAGAGAAAGUGAGGAAAUAAAGACAUAUUAGGUUAUUUAGGGUACUAAUUUCGUGUUUAAGGCUAAUCUGAGUCAUGGAAAAAGACUCAAUUACCCCUGGAAAGUUUUUAACCGUAUUGCGGUAAGCCAUUGGAUUAUGGAUGAAAUUGCUGAAAAAGGAUGAGUGCGAAAAUUCACUUUGGUACGACAGAGACUCACUGGAAUUGACAAUUCUAAAAAAUGGAAUUGGCGUGACGCGAUGGUAUUACGUUGCCUCACUGGAAAAUGCCAAAUGAGAACUGGAACAAUAGUAAAGCACAAUGAUAGUGCGAUGGCACAUUAGAAAUUGGCAAUUGCCAUUUGGCCUGGCUCCGCGAAGUGGUGAUGUGCCAGUAGGCACAUUAUUUUACAAAAAUUGGUCUAACUCUUUGCCCGGGUAUCGGAUUUGGGUGAACUUUAUAUCAUUGGAAUGCUGACUGAAUUUCCUACGAAAUGGUAAGAUAUAAACUAAAAAAUUAUAAGUAUUUAGUAAAUUUUAUAUAGGAUUACCCAUGUACUAAAUAAGCUUGGGAAAUAUGAGGUAUUACACUUUUCCACUUGAAUCACCUCGACAAUGAGAUAUAGCUAAUAAAAUUAGAGUAAUGAAAGAAUUUGGAUAAAUUCCAUAUAGGCAUCACAAUGGCUUGACCUAGAGUAUGAUAGAAUGGGAAAUAUCUCCUAAAUACCUCAUAUCUUCCUUUUUAUAAGUGUGGCACACUACAAACCCAUAAAAAGGACUCUACUCGACACGGCUUUGUAAAUACACUGGGACCAUGAACCGUGCUCUGAUACCAAGAUUGUCAUGACCCAAUCUGAGGCCCUGGCCAUGAUAGAAAUCCCAAACCAUGAAGGCCCGAAAUACCCCUUAGCAUACUAUCAUAAGAAUAAUCCAUACAUAAAUCAAAUUACAUAAGAUAUAAUAAUGUUCAAUAGAAACUUAUAAUCCAAAAUGUGUCAAUGAAAUUAUGACAAUAUAAUACUCAAAUUCCAACUACGAAGCCUCUACUGAAUUACUAGUCAAUCUAGAUCAGGACAAGGCUAUCAGCCAGACCAUAAAACAACUAAACUAACAUAAGGACAGAAUGCCUUCAAAAGUAAGAGAGGCUCACUGACUCAGAACUCUUGGAACAAUCUACUAUUACUGAAUUGGACUUCAAGACUGAGCCUUAGAUCCUACAUUAUGAGACAAUGUAACUCCCAUAAAUGACGGUUAAUACUUGGAAUGUAUUGGUGUGCAGAACAAUUCAAAAGCAAUAUAACUUAUAUAACAUAAUCGAUAGCAUAAUAAAAUUAAUUUAACAUAACAAAAAUUAGACCCAUGGGCACACUUAAAAAGAGAUCUUCAAAUCAUUCUCGCAAAAGUAUUGAUUCAACUCUCUGAUUUACUUUUGAGCUAGAUGGUACACCCGACAAGUCUACAAUCCCACUGUAAUACCCUAUACUUUUCUUAGUUCAGUUCAGCUUCUAGUGCUUGUAUGAGAGGCUAAAAGCCUAAAAAUUUAGCUAUGUGUUGAGGACUUAGCCAUUUUUAAGACCUUCUAACUUUAAGGAAUUUUAAGUUGACCUUUCAAACUUUGAGAUGAUGAUUUUUGAGUUGGUUCAUGUUUAGGGGUGUAAGGAUCAUGUCUCGGGUAAGUUUUGGUUUUGUCAUAUGACGAUUGGGUCAUGUUUGGAUUUUAAUUCCAGCAUCUCAAUGCGAUUCUACCGUGUCACGCCAGGGAUAGUGAUAAAACACUUAUCGCAUCGGGGUGAAUGUGUAUUUGUCACAUUCUUGAUUCAUAAUUCAAAUGUAUGUGUCAUGAUCUUUAUCCUAUUGUAUGAAGUUCUUAUUAGGUGAAGAAUAUUCAUAAAAAUCACUUAGAGCCAAGUUGAGUUAAGAACCUUAUAUUCGUCCAAAUUUUGGUGUUCUAUUCUAAAAGGGUCAACUUUAAAAUUGUAUAACUUUUGAUGUAUGCAGAAUUUUUCAGCUCAAGAGCAACCAAAUUGUAGAUAAAUUGAAUUAUUUUUCCAAUGAUACCGAUUUUUCCUUAAUUCGAUACCCGAGUGAAAAUUUAUGACAUUUUUUGUGUGAUGCAGUAAGCCACUAUGAUUACACCGUGCCACAGUGAGCCUUAAAAUCGCAAUCUGGGUUACAAAUUUUUGGUUUAAAUGAGUGAGGAGAAAUUGGGUCUUUUACCACGUCAAUCCAAGUCGUAAAAACACAAUUUUAAGCAUUCAUUAUGGGAUUAUUUGCCCUCAUUCUCGUACUUUACUCUCAAGAAAAAACCCUAAUCAAUCCCCUUCAAGAUCAUUCAUUCCAUCACCUCCUCUUUAAGAAAAAUCAAGAAUUUAAGGUUCCUAAUUCAAGAAGUUCAAGAAAAGCAUUCAAGAAUAUUCUCAAGGCUUCCAAGUCAAGCUUUUACAUCAAAUCAAGCAUAAUAAUGUAUGUAGGGUUAUGAGUGAGGAUACUCCUUUCAUCCUUGUUCCCAAAAUUAGUUUUUACAGUUGAAUUUACAUGAAAUUAUAUGAUUUGCAGUUUAGAGUUCAUACCCAAUUAUCAUUAUUUGAAAAUUAUGAUGUUACAAGUGAUUUAAAUGUUGAAUUGCAUGUCUACUUCCACAUCUUUAUGCGUGUGACUUGAUUUUACAGAUUGAGAAUUGAAAUUCAUUAUCUUGACUAGAACUGUUAAAGAAUUUCAAGAUUAUUAUCAGUAAGUAUGAACUUUGUGAUGAUUUGAUAUGAGUUUAAAGCACGGGUUUUUAAGCCUUAAGUUUAAGUAUUGAUAUUUCAAGAAGAUUUUACUUUUAAACACCCUAUGACUAGUUUAUAUUUAGAUUUUGAACCAGACUUGUUCUUUUGAUCCUCAGUUAAGAUAUGAAAUUCACAUUUCAGAUUUUAUUAUAAUUUAAAGUAAUAAGAUGCAUAACUGGUUUUCAUUGUAAACCCUUAUUCUAGUUUUAAAGUGGAUUUCCUAUAGAAUGAGCAAACAGAUUAAAUGGAGUACUAUUUAGCCCUAUGUUGGGUAUGUGUCCAAGUUCACAUGCCCUAGAACUAUGAGCCAACGUAGGUACAAAUUUAGAUUAUUCCCAUUUAUAUAGAUGCAGAUAUAGAUUGCGAUCAUUCUACUUAGGUUAUACUCCUUGGCAUAAGUAUGAACCUCUCCCCAAUGUGAGGUUUUCCCUCUAAGGGAACUGGACGUUAGACACCAUGAUAGCUCACAUGGUGUAUGUCGGUUAGAAGAACCUCCCUAAGUCCUAAAACUGAAUAACAGAAUAGUUUUAGAAACUAAGUGUAAAGACUCACAAAUUUACUCAGUUAUUAUCUUACAUAAAACAUCAGUUAUUAGAUUUCAGCUUUCAUUUUAUAGAUAUAAAGGUGAUUCUUUUAUUUACACUUAGAUCGCAUGAUUUGAAAACAAACUCAGCUUCAGUUCUACUUAUUUUACAAACAAAAAGAGUAAAAGUACAAAUUUUAGAACUAAGUGUUAUGGCUCAUAGGAUUUACACAGUAUGCUUUAUUAUUCAUGAUUUAUGAUUUUUAGCUUUUAGUUAUUCGAGCCAAUGUGAGUCAUUUACACUUAGCAUGCAUCCAUUCUACAUGUUUAUAUGAACAUUGAUAUAUUGUUUUACUUAUGUAUUUACCCUCACAUUCUCAGGACAUUCCAAAAGUAAUGAUCCACAUAUACGUCUAUGUGCUAUUAUUUAAUAAUGUAGGUACAAGUGGUAGCAUGCACAUCAUAAUCAGACAUUUGCAGCUCUCAGUCAGCUAGUGGUGAGCCCUUUUGAUUCAAGGGUUUGAGUCAGUCAUAGAUCGAGUAGUUUUUUCUUUCCUUAUUCAGUCGUAUUGGUUCGGGAUAGUUGGGUGUCAUGUACUGACUACCUAUAGUCAAUCCUGGUAGAGGCUUUGUAGAGAAACAGUCAGUAGAGUUAAUGUAUUUAAUUUUAGUUUUGUUUUGUAUAAGUAGAGUUGUAAUCCUUUUCAAUAUAGUUUUGAAUUAAUCAUAUUCAGAAAAUAUUUAUCUUCCAUAUUAUUCUUUCAGACUUAUGUAUUUAUUUCAUUUGCUCAUGAUUUAUGCCAGUACAAUGGUUAGCUUGUAUUUCUUUCAGACUUAUGUAUUUAUUUCAGUUGCUCAUGAUUUAUGCCAGUACAAUGGUUAGCUUGGAAUCACUUGUGGUCCUGAGCAUCGUGUGACAUCCGAGGGGUAGUCUCGGGGCAUUACAAACUUGGUAUCAGAGAACGGAGUUCCAGUGUCCUAGGGUAUCUAUGAAGCCGUGUCUUGUAGAGUCUUGCAGAAUGGUAUGGAGACAUCUGUACUUUUCUUCAAAAGGCUGUAGCGCAUUUAAGAAAUAUCUCUUUUCUUUGAUACUCUAAAUCAUGCAGUAAAGUUCUUCUCUCAAAAACUUCUAUUGAUUCAUAUGUUACUCCAUAAUUCUCCAUCUAUGUUAUUUUCUUGAAAUAACAUGAUUAGCAAGUUCCAAUUCCUCCAAAGAUGAUGCUCUCGGAUUUACUAUUUGUAAAUUCAGACAUCAUACAAGGGGCUUAAGAUGUAAAGCCUUGAGAGUACACCCUCGACACUACAUGAUGCUUACAGUCACAAGUGACCGCAAGCUAACCCAUGAUACUGGUACCUACUGUGUGCACUGGGUAAAACUAAUAACAAAUUAUAUUUGUAGAAUUUAACUGAAAGAUGCCAUAAGAUUUUAAACCAUAAUUCUUUGAAUGUCUAAAAAACACACUGAGAAUAGAAAUAAAAUGGCUAAUAAUGAAAACUAAGAACUGAUUGCUGACUUACUGUUUGUACUAGUCUGAAAGCCUCUAAACUAACUAACUGUGGGGUUGAUGGGACAAGCCCUUAACUAACUCUGACUGACUAAAUAACUAAAUUUUGGAUAUACUAAAUGUAAGAUAACUCAUCUUCGAAGGAUGAGAACACACCACUAUUGAAUGCUACUGAUAGGAUGAUCUGUUUAAGUACGGUCAGGAACUCAAACUUCUGAACCUAUGAUAUAAGACAUCAUAUCACAAGAAAAUGAGUAUGGGGUCAGUACUUUGAAUAUAUUGGUAAGCUAAAUGAGGUUAGGCUAAUACACAUAUUUUCAUGUGCAUGAGUAAUAGCUGACUAAAUGUAAAGCACAAGGUACGAAGUAAGAAUACAUGAAAACUGUAAAGACUGAGAAUGCAUGACCAAGAAUAAAACAUGAAUCUAUAAUAGUUUAUGAACUGAAGUAUGGAAAUACUGAUAACUGGAAAACUAAUAUCUGUAUGCUAUGGUCAAGCAAACCUGAGACUGAAUACUAAACUAGAUACUGGACUGAAACUGUGGGAGUUAGCUAUAACCGACAUACCCUAAUAUGUUAUCGGGUUCCAACCUGUAACCCUAGUUAGAAGGGUAUCAGUACCAUACCACGAGUACUAACACUGGCUAUGUGGAUCAACUAAUCUGAAGUCCCGAAGGACAAGGGUGUCAUGCCUAACUGAUGAGGGUUUCCUCAAAAUCUAUGAUGGCACCAUAGGUCUAGAACAUAGGGACUGCUACUAGUGCCUUAUGCCUAACUGAUGGGGGAGACACAAUCCCUAUGCUCACUCGGUGCUAAGUGUUACUCAUAAUUGAAUGGCACUAAUUAAUAGACUGAUUUGAAUUUAACUGAUUAUGAAUUCUGAUAGUGCUCAUUAUGAUAAUAGUAACUGAGAAAUCAACUAUGCUCAUGGUUUAACUGAAAUCAUUCUGAGGAUACUAAAAGUAUGUAAACAGCUAAAUUUUGGGUAUUCAAACCCCCAAGACUCGAUAGCAAUAAUAGUAAGUUCAUACUAAAACUUUGAGGACAUGACAUGUAAGUAUUUAUUCAAAAACUCAUUCUAGUAAGUAUUUCGUCGAACACUUGCAAUUCAUGGCUUAAGCUAAGCAUGAGAAAUAGUUUAAAACUUUUCGUAAUAGCAUGAUUCAAUUCUAAAAUCACCAACUAAGGCUUAAUUCAACGAACAACAUUCAAACAUGUGAGGUUUAAUAACAACAACAAUUUCAUAUAAACAUAGUAUAGAAUUGCAAUUCAUGGAAAAUCAUGGUUAAAAUCAUAUGAGUCAUGUGAAAAUCAUAACUUUGAACUUGAAAGUGGGUUUCUUAGACUCCAUAGUGAUAAGAAUCCAUGGAUGAACAUCUAACAUACCUAGGUUGAAGAAUUCGUGAAGGUUCUUGGCAGAUUUCUUGAGAAUUGAACUUGAAUUUAUGAAAGGCUAGGGUUUGCUCUUGAGAAAGGAUUUGUUUCUUGGGGAGAAAUUUUGGAUAAUUAGGUAUAUAAUGCUCUUUUGGGGCUUCAAUUCCAUGUUUUGGACGGAUUUGGGGUGAUGGAAAAAAACCAAACUACCCCUUGGGGAUUUAAUCCCAUAACUGGAAUACGGAUUAGAGCUUCACCGCGAUGCAGUGACAGUCUCACCGCAAUACCCACUGUGAUACAGUCUAAUAGUGAUGGGUUACUGAUUUUGAUACUUGUUGAUUUGGCCUCCAUCGCAACGCGAUGAGGCUCUGAUCGCUAUUUCCACCACAACGCGGUGGAAUCACUGGAAAUGACCAUUGGUUUUUUGGCCUUCACUGUGACGUGAUGGACCUUCCAUCUCUAUACUCACUGUGAUGCGGUCCAAUCAUGGUGAGCUGCUGUUUUGGGAUUUCAAACGCGGUCCAAAUAUUAUCCAAAAAAUCCAAAACUUACUCGAGACAUGCUAUUAACCACCCCAAUCAUGAAUUGAUCUAGAAAUCAACAUGCCAAGUCCGGGAAGGUCGGUAUUAAAAUUAUCAAAGUUUAAGAGGCCUUGAAAUAACUAAGUCUUAAUCACUUAGAGGAAUCCUCUAAGUCAUGAACCACUUUAUCAUGCAUAGGUGAGCUAAAACUAGUUAGAAUAGUAUGGAGUAUUAAAUAAGAGGAGAUCACUAGUGCUUAUAAUUUCCUCAAAUCAAAAGUUAUAUCCUCAUCCAUAUAAGUUAUUCAGUUAAGACAGAAUAAGAUCUGCAUGCAGAUUCCUUAUUAUUCCUUAAUACAGAUAGUGCUCAUAAAGGGAGAUAGUAUGAACCUAGAUUGUUAAAUAGAGUUUGCAUUUAAGGGAUAUUGUAACCUAGUGUAACGGCCCAAAAUCACCUCUCGAGACAUCACAUGGUGCUUAAGGCUACAACUAGCCCCAAGCUAACCCUUAAAGCCAGUUUUUACCCAAAAACACCCAAUUCAAGAUAAGGAUAGACUUAAACACUCACAUAGCCAUAUCAAAAAAAAGGAAAUAAGAAAGGAUAAUGUAACACCCUAACUUAGGAAGGAUUCCCACAUCGGCAAAACACAGGAGGGAUGCUGGGUAUAUAAGUGAGAAAGCCUUACUCCCUAUGAUGCGUUUUAAAGCCGUGCGGGCUUGGGACAGAGCGGACAAUAUCACUAGUGGGUUGGGGAGUGGCAGGGGUAUCUUCAUCCUGUGUGGUUCGGGAUGCCCGUCGCGGCCAAUACCUCAGGUCGGGUCAUGACAGAAUGGUAUCAAAGACUUUCUUAUGUCAUCUUUGUCGAUGUGGGCCAGAGUUCAAAUUGAGUAUAGGCAAAUCUCGGUAAGGCGGGGAAAACCUCAGUCCUAAGAAUAAGCAAAUACCAUUUUAUGGGGAAAACCUCAGCGAGGACGCUGAGUCCGUAAAAGGGGUGUAUGUAACACCCCAACUUAGGAAGGAGUCCCACAUCGGCAAAACACAGAAGGGAUGCUGGGUAUAUAGGUGAGAAAGCCUUACUCCCUAGUGACGCAUUUUAAAGCCGUGCGGGCCUGGGCCCAGAGUGGAAAAUAUCACUAGUGGGUUGGAGAGUGGCAGGGGUAUCUCAAGCCUGUGUGGUUUGGGAUUGUCGUCGUGGCCAGGACCUCGGGUCGGGUCAUGAUAGAAAUUGUAAUACCCUACAUUUUGGACUAGAAUGAAAAUCCGUCAUUCCUAUGCAUGGAUUUCUCAAAAGCCUCAAAUCCUAUAUAAAUUUAGUGUGUUAAUCAAUUACGUAGUAUGGGAAUAUAUUUGAGCAUGAAUUUAGAUCAUAGAGGUCCCCUAACUCAAGUACAAGUUGAAAGUUUUCCUAUCAUUCAAGUUUUAGCGAGUGUCAAAACUUGGGUCAAAUUCAAUCAUCCAUAACUCAUUGUAUAUGACUAACUGGGUGGUUUACUAUAUAUCAAAUGAAAUAUAUUUGAAUUAUCUUUCCAAUGAUAAAAAUUUCACCUAAAUCAAAUAUCGGAUCAAAGAGUUAUUCCUAUUUUACUCAGUAUGUCAGGCUGGAAACAGUGUGACGACAUUCGUGAUAGCUUAUAACAUUUGUGACGCCCUAUCACGAAGGUCGUCAGCCUUAGGAAAAAACCAACUCCUAAGUGACGACAUUUGUGAUAUAUUAUCAUAUUUGUGAUGACCUAUCACGAAGGUCGUCAGCCUUAAGCAGAAACCAACCCCUAAGUGACGACAUUCGUGGUAGCUUAUCACAUUUGUGACGCCCUAUCACGAAGGUCAUCAGCUAUGAUUUUCAGCAAUUGAGAAAUUAUUUCAUAAGGGUAUUUUGGUCUUUUUCUUCACCUUCCACGACUUAUAACCCUAAAGAGGCAUAAUUUUCCCAUUUUUCUUUAGUUAAGCAUCUUAAAAACCCUCUCUUACACUCUCAACCAUAAGAUUAGUGUUUUUAUCAAACUCAUCUCUCAAAAGUAAGAUUCAGGCCUUUUUCCAAGAUAAUCAAGAAUUAAGUUUACAAUCCAAGAACUCUCCAGUAAAUCAUCAAGGUUUUCUUUCUAAGGUAUUUGUGUGUUCAUUCAUGGACUCCUUUCAUCCAUGAAGUUUAAGAACCCUUUUUUUAAAAAACUAUAUAUUAUGGUUUUCAUGUUAUGAAUGGAUUGUUGAUCAUGUUUAUGUGUUGAAUGAUUCCAAGAUAGAAUAUUUAUGUGUUAUUAUGAAUCUAUUACAUCAUAUGAGUUGAAAACAUGUAAGUUUGAUUAUUUAUGAUGUGUAAUUGUAUGAUUUACACCUAUGACUAAGUUGUGCAUGUAAGGUAUUUGAUAAAAUACCUAAGAGACUAGAAAUCAUGCAUUAUAGCUAAAUUGUGACUAAGGGAAGGAUUAAUGAUAGGCCUCUAUGAUUCAAUGUCAUCCAUAUUGAUAAUGUGUCUUGUGAACACUAUUGGAUUACUCAUGAACUAGUCUUAUGGAAUUAUGCUAUGCUUACUUGUAAAACCCACUCAUGUACAAGAUGUAGAAUACCCAUGUACUUCAUGAAAUUCCCAAAGUUAUGAUAUUAUAGAUUGUGGAUGUAAUGUGUAAUGAGCAUGAUAUUGAAAACUAUGCAAGUAUAUACAUUUUGUAUGAAAUUCCCUUCCAUGAAAUAGAUUGUUGAGAACCAUGCUUAGUAUGAAAUCCCUUAUUUAUGAUAUUGUGGAUUAUGGACUCUACUCUGAUGAUCAAGUCAGUCAUGUGUGUCAGUUUUCGUCCAUCGAGUCCUGGGGGUACUUUUACCCGAAAAAUAUAGCUGUGUGCCUAGAGCCAUGUCAUGUUUUCAUGAUACUCUCAGUCAAGCCAUGAUCUAUAGAAAUCAGUCAGUCAUGUGACUUAGGAAAACUCAGUAAUCUCAGUAGUUCAGUAUUCUCAGUAAUCUCAGUGCUCAGUAACCUAAGUAAUCAUAGUAAAUCUCAGUAACUUUAGUACUCUUAAUCAGUCCUCAGAACUCAUUAUGUUCCAUUCAUUAUCAGAAUCCUGUAAACUCAGUUUUAGCUCCGCUAAACAAUACCUUUAUUUUCAGUUCAGUUAAUCUAUAUCAGUUCAGCAAAUCAGUUCAGUUAAGUUAUUUAGUUCAGCCCAGUUAUUCAGUUCAGUGUCUUUCAGAUGGGAGUAGGAUUCAACACCCAGUGAGCCUAGGGAUGGGGACUCACCCGCUAGAUUACGACUGAGAUCCUUAGAAGUAAUCCUUAAUUUCUAGAACUACGUUGCCAACAUAGGUAUGAGAUAUCACCCGUUAGAUAGGACUGACAUACUCAGGGGUCACCCAUUGACACAUUUAUAUGUAUAGGCUGAUCCCAGGAGUCACUCGCUAGAUUAGGACUGACUCCACAAAAAUUGUCUUUACUGGUGGUGCGGUACUGACACCCUUCCAGCCAGGGCAGAUAUUGGACCACAGUAAGCUUAGCUUGGGGCAUGUCGGUUAGAUGAACACAUCCCACAGUUUCAGUUAUAGAAUUAAGGCUUUCAGACAUAGUCAACUCAGCUUAGUAGUACAGAUUCAGUACUGUUAGAUAUAGUCAAUGCUUAUCAUUGUAAAUAGACUUCAAGAUCACUCAUUAGCUAGUAAUGAACUCAACUAUGAUUAAUCAGUAUUAGAAUCAUUAGAUUUAAAGAUCACACGCUAGAUAGGACUGAUCUCAGAUUUAGUUACUCCAAGUAGAGCAGAACUCAGAUAGUUCCAUCAGAACUUAGACUGUUAGAUACAUUCGCUCAGUAUUAGUUACAUCGAUUAGGCCAAUCAUCACUGUUAUAUUAGUUAUAUCAGUUUUCUGAACUCAUGUAUCAGUUAUAUCAGUUAUCAAAAUUUAUGAUAUUAGUAUUCAGUCUCAGGACAGUCAGACACAGUCAACCAAACCAGUUCUUUAUAAUUUGAACUGUCAAAAAUAGUCGUUCAUCUAUUCAGUAUCUCAGUAUCAGUACACUCAUGUUGUCUAUAUUCAGACUCAGUUGUCAGUAUCUCCACGAGUUCAGUUACAGUUAUGUAUGCAUGUAUGUAUUCUCACGUUUAUAUUAGUCAGCAUUGUUCAUGCAUAUAACCCUUUGCAUUUAGACUACCUCACUCGUAUACUCAGUACAUUCAGACGUACUGACGCAUUUGUGCUAUGGUGCUUUCUCUUAUGUUACACCAUAAGUUCAGAGGCACAAGCUCUAGAUUAGUAGUAGCAUUUUAGUGUUUAGAGUUUGUAGUGAGUCCUUCUCAAUUGAGGAUGAUAUGAUUAUUGCUACAUUUACUAUUCAAUUUCUAGAUGGAGUUAGUUGGAGACAUGUUCCUUUAACUCCUUAUUUAGUUUAGUUAGAGGCUUUCAGACUAGAUAUCAAAUUAGAUAUUCAGAUCUCAUCAUUUUCAGUAUUUAUGACUUAGUUUGGUAUUGUUAUACCUUUUUAAGGCAUUUUGUUAUCAAACAUUUAUUCAGUUUGAACCUUAUGGCCUUUCAUGUUCAUGUUUCCGCAUUUUAUGAUAUAUUAUGCAAUAUACAGGUACAAAUAUCAAUCAUGGGUUAGCUUGUGGUCCUUUAGGAUCAUGAGCACUAUAUAGCAUUUCUAUUCAAAAAAUCGGGGUAUUACAAACUUGGUAUCAGAGCCUAAGGUUCAAUAGAGUCCUAGGAAGUCUCAAAGCCGCAUCUAAUAGAGUCUUAUAUAUGCGUGUGUUGUGCACCACACCUAUGUGCAGGAGGCUAUGAGAUGUUUUAGGUACAAUUUCCCUUCUUUCAGUAAUUAUUUCAUGCCAGUGAGCAGUCAGAUUUGUAUAGCUUAUUUUCUCAACCUUGCAUCUAUUCAUGCUAUCCAAAAUCUCAGAGAAUGUAACUAUUUCAAGGUAGAACCUCCUAGUAGUUGCAAGUUCAAUUCAUCUCAUGCAUUAUGCAUUAGUUUUAGAGUCCCAAAGUUUAGUUAUAAUCUAGUUCAUAGAUGCCCUGUGCAUCACCCAGUAUCUUCGUAAGGUAAGCAUUCUUAGAGGGAUAUAACAUCCCAAAGGGGAGAUACCCCACUUUAUCUUAACGCUCUCAUGCCUUAGAUCCUUCAAUUUCUCCUUGCAUAACGAAUUCAGUCUAGAAUAGAGGGUACUCACAAGUUGAGCUUCAAGUUAGAUCUCAGCUGUAAGUCAAGUAUUCAGAGGUUCAGUUCAGUUCAUGAUGUUCAGUCUAUACGUCACGUAGCAGAAUCAGUCAUGUUCUCAUGUUUCAGUUCAAUCUUAGUGCCUUUACCAUUGCAUAUUCAGUCACAUGUUCGUGAGUCAGUUCAGUCAUGUAUUCACGCAUCAGAUAUGCAUGGUCAGCUUAUCAAUACUUUAAGUCAUGCAUUGAUGUAUCAUGUCAGUCAUAUAAUCAUGCAUCAGAUAUGCAUGGAGUAAACUUAUCAGUUAACCAUCUGAUAUGCAUUCUCAGUUUAUCAGAACACUCAGUCCUACAUUCUUAAAUCAGCUACCCAUGCAUCAGAUAACAUGUACAGUAUAAUAUGCUCAGUAUUUAGUCAUUUCAGCCAUGAAAUCAUGAUCAGUCAUUCAUGAUAUAUAUUCAUGUAAGUUGUAUUUUCUCUCAUCUCAGCCAGUAUCAUUCGAGGAUGAAUGUUCCCAAGGGAGAGAUAUUGUAAUACCCCAUAUUUUGGACUAGAAUGAAAAUCCGUCAUUCCUAUGUGUGGAUGUUUCAAAAGCCUCAAAUCCUAUAUAAAUUUAGUGUGUUAAUCAAUUAUGUAGUGUGGGAAUCUAUUUGAGUAUGAAUUUAGAUCAUAGAUGUCCCCUAACUCAAGUACAAGUUGAAAGCUUUCCUAUCGUUUAAAUUUUAGUGAGCGUCAAAACUUGGGACAACUUCAAUCGACCAUAACUCAUUGUAUAUGAUGAAUUGGGUGGUUUAAUAUAUAUCCAAUGAAAUAUAUUUGAAUUAUCUUUCCAACGAUACCAAUUUUGCCUCAAUCCUAUAUCGGAGCAAAGAGUUAUGCCUAUUUUACUCCAGCAUAUCAGGCUGGAAAUAGUGUGACGACAUUCGUGAUAGUUUAUCACAUUUGUGACACCCUAUCACAAAGGUUAUCAGCCUUAGGCAAAAACCAGCUCCUAAGUGAUGACAUUCGUGAUAGCUUAUCACAUUUGUGAUGUCCUAUCACGUAGGUCGUCAGCCUUAGGCAGAAACCAGCCCCUAAGUGACAACAUUCAUGAUAGCUUAUCACAUUUGUGAUGUCCUAUCACGAAGGUCGUCAGCUAUGAUUUUCAGCAACUAAGAAAUUAUUCAUAAGGGUAUUUUGGUCUUUUCCUUCACCCUCCACAACUUUUAACCCUAAAGAGAAGUAAUUUUCCCAUUUUUCUUCAGUUAAGCAUCUUAAAAACCCUCUCUUACACUCUCAACCACAAGAUUAGGGUUUUUAUAAAACUCAUCUCUCAAAAGCAAGAUUCAGGCCUUUUUCCAAGAUAAUCAAGAAUUAAGUUUCCCAAUCCAAGAACUCUCCAGCAAAUCAACAAGGUUUCCUUUCUAAGGUAUGCGUGAGUUCAUUCAUGGACUCCUUUCGUCCAUGAAGUUCAAGAACCCUUUUUUUUAAAAAACUAUAUAUUAUGGUUUUCAUGUUAUGAAUGGAUUGUUGAUCAUGUUUAUGUGUUGAAUGAUUCCAAUAUACAAUCUUUAUGUGUUAUUAUGAAUCUAUGACAUCAUAUGAGUUGAAAACAUGUAAGUUUGAUUAUUUAUGAUGAGUAAUUGUAUGAUUUACACCUAUGACUAAGUUGUGCAUGUAAGNNNNNNNNNNNNNNNNNNNNNNNNNNNNNNNNNNNNNNNNNNNNNNNNNNNNNNNNNNNNNNNNNNNNNNNNNNNNNNNNNNNNNNNNNNNNNNNNNNNUUGAUAAUGUAUCUUGUGAGCACUGUUGGAUUACUCAUGAACUAGUCUUAUGGAAUUAUGCUAUGCUUACUUGCAAAACCCACUCAUGUACAAUAUGUAGAAUACCCAUGCAUUUCAUGAAAUUUCCCUAGUUAUGAUAUUAUAGAUUGUGGUUGUAAUAUGUAAUGAGCAUGAUAUUGAAAGUUAUGCAAGUAUAUACAUGUUGUAUGAAGUUCCCUUCCAUGAAAUAGAUUAUUGAGAACCAUGCUUAGUAUGAAAUCCCUUAGUUAUGAUAUUAUGGAUUAUGGACUCUACUCUUAUGAUUAAGUCAGUCAUGUGUGUCAGUUUUCUUCCAUCAAGUCCUGGGGGUACUUGUGCCCAAAAAAUAUAGCUGUGUGCCUAGUGCCGUGUCAUGUUUUCACGAUACUCUCAGUCAAGCCAUGAUCUAUAGAAAUCAGUCAGUCAUGUGUCUCAGAAAAACUCAGUAAUCUUAGUUGUUUAGUAUUCUCAGUAAUCUUAGUGCUCAGUAACCUCAGUAAUCACAAUAAAUCUCAGUAACUUCAGUUCUCUUAAUCAGUCCUCAGAACUCAUUAUAUUCCAUGCGUCAUCAGAAUCCAGUAAACUCAGUUUUAGCUCCGCUAAACAAUACCUUUAUUUUCAGUUCAGUUAAUCUGUAUCAGUUCAGUUAAGUUAUUUAGUUUAGCCCAUUUAUUCAGUUUAGUGUCUUUCAGAUGGGAGUAGGAUUCAGCAGUGAGUGAGCCUAGGGAUGGGGACUCACCCGCUAGAUUAGGACUAAGAUCUUUAGAAGCAAUCCCUAAGUUCCAGAACUAUAUUGCCAGUGUUGGUAUGAGAUGCCACCCAUUAAAUAGGAUUGACAUAUUAAGGGGUCAUUCGUUAGCACAUUUAUAUGUAUAGGACUAAUCCUAGGAGUCACCCGCUAGAUUAGGACUGACUCCACAAUAGAUGUCUUUACUGGUGGCGCGAUGCUGACACCCUUCUAGUCUGGGCAGAGAUUGGACCCCAGUCAGCUUAGCUUGGGGAAUAUCGAUAAGAUAAACAUAUCCCAUAGUUUUAGUUACAGAAUUAGGUCUUUUAGACACAGUCAACUCAACUUAGUAGUAUAGAUUCAGUACUGUUAGAUACAGUCAUUGCUUAUCAUUGUAAAUAAGCUUUAAGAUCCCCCAUUAGCUAGGACUGAUCUCAACUAUGAUUAAUCAGUAUCAAAAUCAUUAGAUUUAAAGAUCACACGCUAGAUAGGACUGAUCUCAGACUAAGUCAAAUCAUCCUUAUUAUCAGUAUACUCAUGAUCACCCGCUAGAUAGGAUUGAUCUCAAAUUUAGUUACUCCAAGUAGAACAGAACUCAGAUAGUUCCAUUAGAACUUAGACUGUCAGAUACAUUCUCUCAUUAUCAUUUACAUUGGUUAGGCCGAUCAUCACAGUUAUAUCAGUUAUAUCAGUUUUCUGAACUCAUGUAUCAGUCAUAUCAGUUAUUAGAAUUCAUGAUAUCAGUAUUCAGCCUCAGGACUAUCAGACACAGUUAACCAGACCAGUUUUUCAUAAUUUGAAUUGUUAGAAAUUGUCAUUUAUCUACUCAGUAUCUUAGUAUCAGUACACUCAUAUUGUCAGUAUUCAGACUCAAUAGUCUGUAUCUCCACGAGUUCAGUUACAGUUAUGUAUGCAUAUAUGUAUUCUCACGUUCAUAUUAGUCAGCAUUGUUCAUGCAUAUAACCUUUUGCAUUUAGCCCACCUCACUCAUAUACUCAGUACAUUCAGACAUACUGACAUAUUUGCGCUAUGGUGCUUUCUCUUAUGUUACACCAUUGGUUUAGAGGCACGAGCUCUAGAUCAACCGUAGCAUUCCAGUGUUCAGAGUUUGUAGUGAGUCCUUCUCAAUCGAGGAUGAUAUGAUUAUUGCUACAUUUACUAUUCAGUUGCUAGAUGGAGUUAGUUGGAGACAUUUUCCUUUAACUCCUUAUUUAGUUUAGUUAGAGGCUUUCAGAUUAGAUAUCAGAUUAGAUAUUCAGAUCUCAUUAUUUUCAGUAUUUAUGACUUGUUUUGGUAUUGUUAUACCUUUUAAAGAUAUUUUGUUAUCACACGUUUACUUAGUUCAAACCUUAUGGCCUUUCAUGUUCAUGUUUACAUAUUUUAUGAUAUAUUAUGCAGUAUACAGGUACAGAUAUCAGUCAUGGGUUAGCUUAUGGUCCUUCGGGGUCAUGAGUACCAUGUAGCAUUCCAAUUUAGAAAAUUGGGUUGUUACAGAUAAUUGGUUCAUAUGACCACAACAUAGAGAAAACUUAACAAAACCAUAAUACUGAUCUCUCUCGACAUAUCACAAGUCUGAUACUAGUCUGACAAAGCCUCUAUGAAUCAAAAUCUAGAGAGCCAUUGGGAUAGGCCACAACUGACUUGAAAUGAACUGAAGAUAAAACAUAGUCUCUCAAGUACGGUAAAUAUUUGAAGAUAGAUCCUUGAAUAAUUAGAACUCACCACUGUAGAAAACGUAGGCAAGGUACUCGAAGAAUUAUGAGCGAGGCUGGGACUGAGCACCUGAACCUACAUUAUGACACAAUAUAGCACAUAGACAUAUAUAUGGAUCAGUACUUUGGAAUGUACUGAGUAUUCGGCGGUGCAUGCAUAUGUAUAAAGUAGUAAUGAUAUUUUAUUCAAUAAAAUCAUGUAUGCAUAAUGAGAUGACUCACAUAGCUUGAAUAAGUGUAAAAUAUAAAACUCAUAAGUCAUGUAGAAUGAAGCAUGUAACACAAUCUCGUGAGUCAUCAUUGUUUAACUUCAAAAUCGGAAACCUUCUCUUACUCUCAAUGCCCAAAGGCUAAGGGAUUUCAAACCACACUUUCAAGUCAUGUAUAUAUCGCAAAAGAGUAAAAGUUCUUCAAUUCUCAACACUUCACAAUCAUUUAGAAACUCAUAUACUUGGAAUUCAAAAUCAUAAAACUUAAAAACAUACUUGAAGGCAUUUCAUUCACUUUAGAAAAUAUCUCAUCUCAAAUCAAUACCUUGAUUGGGGAAUAUAUUUGCAAUUCAACCAUUUAGGGAAAAUAGCUUAUAGGGAAGGAAAAUAAGCAUUUAAUUUUGAAGCUAAAAAGGCAAGGGAGGUUCUCGUAACCGAUAUAAACCAUGUGAGCUACAUGGAGUCCAAUAUUUUGUCCUCCUAAGGAAGAGACCCAAGUUGGGGAGGAGCGUCAUACUCUUUCCAAGGAGUAUAAUCUAGGUCUAGUGAUCACAAAACAAAAAUUGGCCUCGGGCUCACAUAAUCAAAUCAGCCUCAGGCCCACUCAUAAUCAUAAUAUAAUCAUCCUCAGGCUCACAUCCUAUGAUGGCACGUAGUUUUUGGGGUAAGAAACUGUAGUAGCUUACCCACUCGGUGCUAAAUACUACUCCCUUUAGAUUACCUGCACUCAUCUCAUAAAAGUACACUUUUAAAUAAUCACAUGGUUCACCACGAAUACAAUAAUCAAAUCGAUAAUCUCAUAUAGUGAAGUGGAUUUCAAAGCUUUCGGACCAUUAGGUCAAUUCAAUUUUCAACCAUAUCAAAAUACUCAAAUCAUGGGUGCUUAUAGCACAAGAGUUCAUAAUUUCAUAAUUCUCAAAUAGGGCUUACUAACCCAUAGUUCAAUUUCAAGUUAAAGCUUAUCAAAAGCAUAAUAUAUAGCAUAUAGAUUCAUAAAUCAUGUGAAAAUCUGAAAAUUUCAGCAAUUCAUCUCAAAAUCUCAAUAUAGUCAUAUGCUUCAAUAUCUCAACAUUUCAAAUAUAAGAUUCUCAAAGAGUAAAGUCAUGGGGUUUAUCCAGCUGUACAAACUUAAGAAAACAUGUAGAAAUCAGGCCAUUUAACUCUUAAUUCAUGAGAAAUAUCAACAUAAUGCAUUCAAUAAAUAUGGGUGAAAGCCCCAAUUCAAACUCAUGUAAAAAUCCCAUAAUUUUAGCAAAAUCAUGAUGUAAAUAAAUAUUUUGGGCACAAGGGUGAAAGGUAUACCCUUUUUCAAAACCUCACAUACCUUGAAUUUGAAGCUUUAGAAGAACUCUCACUUUUGGAACUCUACUCUUUCUCUAGAAUGAGGGUUCUUGAGACCCUUCACUUGGGAACCUAGAAUCUUGACUCAAUUUAGAAAAUCCAUGGUGGAUUCUUGAGAUUCUUGGAAGAGGUUUUGAGUAUUUAGGGUUCUUGUUGAGAGAAAACUUGAUAAAACCCUUAUAGGAUGCUUGCAAAUGGCUUUGAUUUAGUGUUUCCACGAUUUUAUAGGUUUGAAAAAAGUCCAAAAUUCCCUUUUAAACAUCUGUGUGAAACUAGAAAAAUUAAACUGGAACCCAAUUUUGAAGGCCUCCGCGACGCGCCAUUAAUCACAUUGGCUCUCUGGAAAAUGACAAUUGGGAAAUUGACAGCCUCCGCUAUGCGGAGUCAUGCAUUUUUCCACUGGUUGGGACCUGGGACUCCUUCGUGAUGCACCACUAUUGCGGAGUCCCACUGGAAAUUGAUAAUUGCUAAAUGCACCCUCUACGCAAUGUGCUAGGCACUCAAAUGAUGUAGUUUUUAUGACAAAGGCUUAAAUUGUCCAUAACUUCUUACCCGAGUGUCCGAUUUGGAAAAAUCCUAUAUCGAUGGAAAGUUUAUCAAAUUUCCCACGUUAUAAAAAUUUGAAAUUAGGGAAAUUCUACAUGGUUAGAACGAUACUCACUUAGGAACCACUUCUCAAUCUUUUAGGGCCAGAAUCACGUCUCACUCAACACGCCCUGAGGCUCAAACUACGAGGAAACUUUGUGGGACCUUACACCUAGAGUGUUAUGAUAGGCUCAAACUACGAGGAAACUUUGUGGGACCUUACACCUAGAGUGUUAUGAUUGAUUUGUUAGAAGAAUAAGUAUAUAAGUGUAGUGAAAAAAAAAGUGGUAAUGACGAUUGAUAGAAAGUAUAGAGAUAAGCUUAUGCAUGCUUUCGAGUUUGUGUUAAGGUGAUAGGUCUUGUGUGUCAACUUAGGGGUAAUAAAGGUGGUACAAGUUCCUUGGUAAAAGGUAGAGAAAAAGCUAUUAUUUAAGGUGAAUUAUUGUUUUCUUGAAGUAGGAAAAAAGUUAUUGAUGGUAAUUAUUGUGUUAGAAAAGUAAGGUUAUUAAUGAAAAUAUUUGGUGGUCGAGUAUUGUUAAUCUAGGUUUCCCCAUGUGGUUGUGAUAAAAAAGGAAAUUGGUUGAGGUUUAUAGAGCUAGGUGUAUAUAUGUGUAAAUAGUCAUAAUGUGUAGAAGGAGGAUGUGAUAACAUAUUUUAAUAAGAUAUAUUAUAUGAUUAUGACCGAUUAUUAUUUUUAUGUAGUUCUAGUGGACUAGUGUUUCUUGAUAUUUUAUUUUAUAGCUUCCAAGUGAGAAUAGAAUAUGAGGUUGGGUUGUUAAUCAUGUCUAGCAUUAGACACUAAGUUUGAAUAGUGGAUGAUCAUAAAGGUGGAAAUAAUGAUUUCUUGGUUGGUGAUGCUAGUUAUAUGGAAGUGAUUUAGUAGGCUUGAACAGUGUAUGGAAGAGUUUAAGUUCAUGUAUUCAUAAUUAAGUAUGAUGUUAUAGGUAUGAUGUAGAGUUGUGCCCAAGGUAAUAUGGGGCUGCAUUAUUUUUGAAGUUUAUUAAGUAUUGUGUGUGGUUAAUAGUACCCUUGAGUGGUUAAGUGGAAGAAGGCUAGCUAUAUCAUACAUGGUGUUCGUAGUAGGUAAGUUGAGAAGUUAUGGAUAGUUGGUGAUGAGUCUUUUAAGUAUGAUUUUGAUUCUUAUGAUUUGGGAAAAAUAUAAUUUUGAGAUGUGAUCUUGGUAGGCUAUGAUUACAUGUUUAGUGAGGCAAGUAUGUUUGUCGAGUUAAUAGAGUGUAAGUCUAUGAUGGUGACUAUUGAAAUUAAAUUAAGUUAAGGGUGGUAUUUACUAAGAGAGUGUCCAAAAAUGAAGUUAGUAUGGUUCAUUAAAGGUUUGGGGAUAUCCAUAGUAAGUGUUAGAAUUUAAGUUUGAAUCUUUGAAGAUUGAGCUAAUAGAAAUAAGUGUUGAAGCUCUAGAUGGUGUGAACUUAGGGUAUGGUGAUACUCAUGAAUGUUCUAAGCUAGUAAGUGUUCAAGUUAUUAUAUGAUGACUAUUGGGCUAUAGAAAGAUAGUGUUGUAUCUCAGAAAGAAGUAUUAGUAGUAGGUUUCACACUUCUAGGUGUAGUCUGUUAGGGUAAGUUUAUUAUUUAUGUGUAUUGUUAUACCCUAAACUCUAGAUUAAAGUGAUUACAGUUUAGAUUAGAGUUUAAUAAAGGGUUCCAUAGAAUUAGAAUGAUGGCUUGAAGCUAAGGGGGAGAUGAUAGAACAAGGAACCAAGUCAGGCAACCAGAUUCUAGUAGUAGUGCUAAUAUGUUGUAGAACAAUAGUAAGGGAGGAUGGUGCCCAACCCAUUCUUAUCUUGGUGCAAAGUUUUCAGUCAUCACAUAUCUACUCAUGCUACACUCCUAAUGAUCAGUGAGAUUCAUUUUAUGUCGUGAAUGCCCUUAGUUUAGACCUCUUUAAUGAAUCCAUGCCUUUGACAUUCUAUUCCUCAGGCCUCGGUUAAGUUUCAAAGUUAUGUAUAUUAUUUUUCGUGUUUCAGGUCCUUAUGCAUUAUCUCUUCAAUGACCUCUUCUUAUGUUAAGAUAGUGGUGAUGAUAUGGAUAAUUAAUGGUAUAGAUGAGAGGGAGUUGAUGACACUCAUUAUGAAAGAUCAUUUAUGCUUUUUGAUCUAAGCUUAAAGGAUGAAGAAAUAUUGAGGUAAAUCUUUGGUAUAUGUCAUAUCUAGUUGAGAAUUUUGGGUAUGCCUUCUUAAGCAUAGUGCAAGAAAAUUGUUAUUUAAAGAGGGUUAGAGAAUAUGAGAGAGAUACCUUUUUGGGUAUUUGCCUUGAAGUUCACAUGUGUUUAUAAUAAUAGUCUUGAAUGUCAUGUUGGGAUGUAAGUGGAGGAAUACAAUAUGCGCUAAUGAAUCCAUAGUAAGAGUUCAGAGUUAGUCUUUAAAGUGGUAAGGCAUGUUAUGCUUAGGGUGUGAGCUCUGCAAGAGACAUAGAAGAUUGAAUCAUGUGGUUUACACUAGUAUUAUGGUGUAGCAUGCUGUAUCUUAUGAUUUUGAGUUAGUCUUGAUCAUAGCGAGAUAAUUUAGUUCAGUUUAGACAUUAGUAGAUGGAUUUAUCAAUGCCCAAAAUUCUUUGCACCAUAAUAUUAUUAGAAUUUCUUAGAAGAAUGUUGGAGAAAUACUCUAUUUGAGUAUGGGCAGUCAGUAUGGUCAGGUCCAUAGAGCCUACAAUCUAGUUUAGCAAUCAAUAAGAUAAGCUCCUAUAGAUUUUCAACAUUCCAUUUGGUCUUACUACCCAAAGUUUCAUGAGUAAGGCCAUUCCAAGAAGUAAUUUGUUCACUUUAUAUAAUUUGUGAAUUUAGCUCAGUUCAUACAUCAUGCAUCAGUUUCAGAUCCAAAAAUUAGGUCAUGAUUUAGUCUAUAAGUAUCCUGUGUAACAUCUCAGUCUUUCCUUAGAAUUUUAGACAAGUCAAUAUCAUUCGGGGGAAGAACGAUCCCAAGGGAGAGAUAUUGUAAUGCCUUGAGUUUUCCUGUCCUAAACCUAUCAUUUUUUCUUCACGAAAUUAGAUCCAGCCUAAAUUAAUGGUUACUCAUAAGUUGACUUUUUCAUUUCUAUAUCAGCCUUAUAACCAUUUUCAUGUCAAUACAUGUAUUCAAGAAAUCAACUCAGUUAUGAUAUUCAGUUCAUAUAUCAUGUUUCAGGCUCAGUUAUGCAAUCAUGUUCCAAGUCAUGUGUGUUCGGUAUAUGAUCUCAGUUACCUUAGUAUAGUACUCUCAGUAUAACCAGUCUCAUUUGAGGUUGAAGGUUCCCAAGGGGGAGAUGUUGUAAUACCCCAUACUUUUCUUAGUUCAAUUCAUUUUCUAGUGCUUGCAUAAGAGGCUAAAAAACUAAAAAUUUAGCUAUGUACUAAGGACUUAUCCAUUUUUAAGACUUUCUAACUUUGAGGAAAUUUAAGUUGACCUUUUGGACUUUGAGAUGAUGUUUUUUGAGUUGGAUCAUGUUCAGGGGUAUAAGGAGCAAGUCAUGAGUAAGUUUUGUAUUUUUUGGAAGAGGAUUGGGUCACGUUUGGAUUUCAGUUCCAGCAGCUUAAUGUGAUUUCACCGUGUUGCGCCAGGGAUAAUGAUGAGACACUCAUCGUGUUGUAGUGAAGGUGUAUUUUUCAUAUUCUUGAUUCAUAAUUCAAAUGCAUGUGUCAUGAUCUUUAUCCUAGUGUAUGUGCUUAUUAGGUGAAGAAUGCUCAUAGAAAUCACUUAGAGCCAAGUUAAGCUAAGAACCUUAUAUUCCUUCAAAGUUUGGUGUUUGAUUCUACAAGGGUCAACUUUGAAAGUGUAUAACUAUUGAUGUAUAUAGAAUUUUUCAGCUCAAGAGCAACCAAAUUGUAGAUAAUUAAAUUAGCUUUCCAAUAAUAUAAAUUUUUCCUUUAUCCGAUACUCGAGUGAACAAUUAUGGUAUUUUUCGUGUGAGGCAGUAAGCUACCACGAUUACACCGCAUCUUAGUGAGCUUUCAAAUUGCAAUCCGGGUUAUGAAUUAUUGGUUUAAAUAAGUGAGGGUCACUUGGGUCUUUUUCCACCUCAACCCAGGUCGUAAAAAUAGGAUUUUAAGCAUCCAUUAGGCCACUAUUUGCCCUCAUUCUCCUACUUUACUCUCAAGAACAAACCCUAAUCAAUACCCUUCAAGAUCAUCCAUUCCAUCACCUCCUCUUCAAGAAAAAUUAAUAAUGUAAGGUUCCUAAUACAAGAAGUUCAAGAAAAGCAUUCAAGAACAUUCCUACGACUUCCAAGUCAAACUUUUACAUCAAAUCAAGGAUAAUAAAGUAUGUGGGUUUAUGAACAAGGAUACGCCUUUUAUCCUUGUGCCCAAAAUUAGUUUUUAAAGUUGAAUUUAGAUGAACUUAUAUUAUUUGCAGUUUAGAGUUCAUACCCAAUUAUCAUUAUUUGAAGAUUAUGUGUUACAAGUUAUUUAAAUGUUGAAUUGCAUGUCUACUUCCACAUCUUUAUGUGUGUGACUUGAUUUUAUAGAUUGAGAACUGAAUUUCAUUAUCUUGACUUGAAUUGUUAAAGAAUUUCAAGAUUAUUAUUAUUGAGCAUGAACUUUGUGAUAAUUUGAUAUGAGUUUAAAACACGGGUUUUUAAGCCCUAAGUUUAAGUAUUAAUAUUUAAAGAAGAUUUGGCUUUUAAUCACUCUAUGACUAGUUUAUAUUCAGAUUUUGAAUAAGACUUGAUAUUUUGAUCCUUAGCUAAGAUAAAAAAUCCACGUUUAAGAUUUUAUUACAGUUUAAAGUAAACAGAUGCAUAACUAGUUUUCAUUGUAAACCCUUAUGCUAGUUUUAAAGUGGAUUUCCUACAGAAUGAGCAUAUAGAUUAAAGGGAUUAGUAUUUAGCAUCGAGUUAGGUAUGUGUCCUAGUUCACAUUCCCCAGAACUUCGAGCCAACGUAGCUAUAGAUUCAGAUUAUUCCCCUUUAUAUAGAUGCAAAUACAAAUAGUGAUGACUCAACUCAGGUUAUACUCCUUAUCAUGAGUAUGAACCUCUCCCCAACGUGAGGUUUCCCCCUUAGGGGAACUAGAUGUUUGACACCACGAUAGCUCACACAGUGUAUGUCAGUUAGAAGAACUCCCUAAGUCCUAAAAUAGAAUAACAUAACAGUUUUUAGAAACUAAAUGUAAAGACUCACAAAUUUACUCAGAUAUAGUUUACAUAAGACAUCUGUUAUUAGAUUUCAGCUUUCAGUUUAUAGAUAUAUAGGUGAAUCUUCUUUUUACACUUGCCUGCAUGAUUUGAAAACAAACUCAGCUUCAGUCCCACUUUUUUCACGAACAAAAAGAGUGAAAGUAUAACUUUUAGAAAUAAGUGUUAUGGCUCACAGUAUUUAUACAAUAUGCUUUAUUAUUCACUAUUUAUGAUUUUCAGCUUUCAGUUAUUCAAGCCAAUGUGAGUCAUUUACACUUAGCAUGCAUCCUUUUUGCAAGUUUCUAUAAACAUUGAGAUAUUGUUUUACUUGUCCAUUCACCCCAACAUGCUCAGUACAUUCCCAAAGUACUGAUCCACAAAUACGUCUAUGUGCUACAUUAUUUAAUAAUAUAAGUACAAGUUGUAGCAUGCACGUCAUAAUCAUAUAGUUGCAGCUCCCAGUCAGCAGGUGAUGAGCCCUUUUAAUUCAAAGGUUCGAGUCAGUCACAGUUCGAGUAGUCUUUUCUUUCCUUAUUCACUCGUAUUGAUUUAGGAUAGUUGGAGGUCAUGUCCCAACUACCUGUAGUCAAUACUAGUAGAGGCUUCGUAUACAAAGAGUUAAUAGAGUUAAUGUAUUUGAUUCCAAUUUUGUUUUGUAUAAGUAGAUUUGUAAUCCUUUUCAAUAUAGUUUUGUAUUGAUCAUAUUUAGAAAAGAUUUAUCUUCCGCAUUAUUCUUUCAGACUUAUGUAUUUAUGUUACUUGCUCAUGAGUUAUGCCAAUACAAGGGUUAGCUUGGGAUCACUUGUGGUCCUGAGCACCGUGUGACAUCCAGGGUGUAGUCUCGGGGCAUUACACCCAUGGUUCAUAUAGAAUCCUCCAUUAACUCGUCGGCCAAUCCACCAACCCAAGUUUGCUGCAAGGGAUGAAGUUCUGAUCUCUAUUAUGCCUAAAGGCCAUCGCCAGCGGACAAUCACUUGUUUCAAGCCUAAAUUAAACCCGUGUCGGCAAAACAUGAUUUCCAGCAAUAAUCUCUUUCUCUCAAAUGCCUUCUUUUGGUAACCAUCUAACAUUCUUUAAGCCCAAUUUUAGCCUCUUAAAAACAUACUUCAUGCUUAUAAACAAUUUUUUUCUUAUUCUAUUAAGGGCAUAUCACAACAGGGUAUUGUCAUGCCCAGACUUGCAAGUCAUUCAUAUCAUACCACAUCAUAUCCAUAGCCCUUCUUACUUAAAAUCAUAUUAAUGACCACCCAAAUAAUUCAAACAUAACAUGAGAGUUCUUAUUUCAAAAGCAUAUGAAAAUUAUGCAAAACACUCUUUUUUUCAUAUUAAAACAUGUGAUGGCCAAUUCUUUCAUCAAUCAUAUGCAAUUUCUUUAUUAAAACACAAGAGGCUUUAGCAUAAGAAUCCCCUCUUUGAAAACAUGUUAAAUAACAAAGCAUGAUUGGUAAAGAGGCAUUUAUAACUCGACAAAUAUAAUCAUUCAUAAAUACGCCCCAAUAUUAGACACACAUAAAUCUCAUGAUCAAAAGAGGACUCACAAUUCAUGCUCUCAAACCCAUUUUAGAAAUCAUAACAUGUUAGAGACCAAAAAUUUCAUCAUGUGGAAGGGAAUUUCACAAAUCAUGCUCUUAAAUAACUUUUCGAAACUCAUAUCAUAUAUGCACAUGAUUAUAAAUCAAUUUUAUGGAAAACCACAUGAUAAAUACUUACUUUCAUCAGAUUGGAUUCAUGAUGCAUGCUCUUCAACGAUUUCCAAAACCCAUUAAAAUACAUACAAAAGUUAUUCUUUGAAAUUCAUAAAGAAGACACAAUUUAGCCCAUGAUAUUUAGAAUAGUUCUAAACACCUUGAAUUUGAGAAGAGUAGAGUAAAAUCUGACCUUGAAGCUAAAGAUCCUCAAACCAUAGGUAGUUUCUUAUUUUUUACUUAAGGGAAGAUGAUUUGGGAAUUUGAGAAGUCAAAUAACAUGUUUAAAUACCUAAAUUUCAUUCAUAAGGGAUUAGGGACAGUUAUAGGGGUGAAAAGACCUUAGUUCCCUUAAAUUAGAUCACAAUGGAGCAUUUUUUGACGCUUGGGUCUUUCUUGGCAGCGCACAACCAAACCAAUCUCAGGGUUGGUAGUGCACAGCCAAAGCCAACCUUAGGGUUAGAGGCACAUAACCUGAUCCAACCUCAGGGUUGGCGGCUCACAGCGAAAGCCAACCCAUUCAAGUGGCAUUUGGAAAUCCCUUUGUGGCACAGAGCUUUUUUGAAGGGUCCCCUUUAUGAUGCCCACCCAUUUUCAACACUCAAAAGUACCCCCAACACAACUUAAAACUAUUAUACUUAGUUUUCCAUCGAUAUAGGGUCCCUAUGGAUUAUUUUUAUGGAAUUACUAGAGCGUUCAAAACAAAGGGUGUAAUAGUACAUUGAUUUUUCACUUGAAUAAUGUUUGGGGAUGUAAAAAGGGUGUUUUGAAAAAGUUUCAUAAUUUUUGAAAGGGGUUCAGGGCUAUUUUUGAACUCCAAGGUAGUAAGCCUCUGCAAUAGUGGUGUGUCACGACACUUAGUUAUUGAAAUAAUGGCGUGGCACAGAGGCUAAGCUUUGCAAUAGCGACGUGACACGUCGCUAUGUAAAUUUAACCUAGUGUUUGUUUGUUUCACAUGGGGUGAGGGGUUUUUGGUAUUUUCAUCCCUUGAACAACUUUUAAAACUAAAAAAUUCCUUUUCAGUUUUCAAAAAUCAAAAACCAUUCUUUUUCCUCUCUAGCUCUAAACAGAAGAAAGCUCAACAUUUUUUCAAGAAAUCAUUACUCUAGGCUCCAAACUUUGAAUUCUCUCAAAUUUCUUCUAUAUUUUAGGCAUGUAUCUCAUUCCCUAACUUUAAUUUUACAUUGUGACAUUUAUUUACUAGUUUGAAUUCUUGGGUUUAAAAUUAGGUUGAGGGGUUAUGAUUGGUAUUACUUGAAUUACUUUUCCCAUAUUUUAAAUUGAUGAUUAAUGCUUUAAUUUAUGGAUUUUUGACUAAAUGGGUGCAUUGUUAUAUGUAAUUCUUCGAAAUUACACCCUGGAAGCCACACGGUUCUUAUGGUUACAAGUGACUAAAAGCUAACUCAUGAGUUGGUAUCUGCUGCAAGCACUGAAUAAUAUAAUGAUAAUAAGGACAUUUGUGGAAAGUAGCUGAAAAUGCCAUAAGGUUUUAAGUAUUUAAAAGAAUAACUAAAGUCACAAGACUAAAAAACAUCUGCAAAAAUAGUGCAAUAUGACUAAUAAAACUGAUAAACUAACUGACUAUCUGAAAUGUUUGAAAAGCCUCUAAAACUAACUGACAGGGGAGUUGAUGGGAAAAACCCCCAACUAACUCCGACUGACCAUAUAACUAAACUUCUAAAUCAACUGAAUAAACAUAAACUCGUCCUCGAAGUUAAGGACUCACCACUACUGUUGAUGCUGGCUAAUUGAUCCUGUCUAGGUCUGAUCGGGAAACUGAGCAUCCAAACUUAUUAUAUAAGACAUCAUAGCGCAGGAAAUGAGUAUGCAAUCAGUACUUUGAAUAUACUAGUAUAUGAGAUUAGGUUAGGCGGUAAUACAUGGGCUAAAUGAACAUAAAGUAAUGACUAGCUGAAUAUCAUGAGAUAACUGUAUAAGCAUGCAUGAAAACUAAAAUACUUCAAGUGCAAGGCUAGGUUUAUAAUGUUUUUGAAAUGAUCUGUAAGACUGAUAUACUGAAAUACUAAAAUACAAAAGUUUUAUAAUUGAUUAACUGAUAAUCUAUAUGCCUUGGUCAAGCGAUCAGAAUUGAAUUUUGGACUGAGUACUGACUAACACUAUAGGAGGUAUCAUUUAACCGACAUGCCCCGUUCUAAGCUGAUUAGGGUCCAACUUGUGACCCUAGUUUGAAGGGUGUUAGUACCGUGCCACAGGAACUAACAAUGGUUGUGUGGAUCCACUAAGCUACUGAAAAACUAUAGUAUCAAGCCUAAACUGAUGGAUGAUACCGGAGAAGGAUCAAGCCUAAACUGACGGGUAACCCCUGGGAAGUAGUCAAGCCUAAUCUGACGGGUGACUUCUCAAAACCCACGUUGGCUCCGUGGUUUUAGAAUAUAGGGAAUGCUACUAAUGACUUUUCCUAACUGACAAGGAUGCCGCCAUCAUGCAUUCGCUCGGUGCUAAAUCCGACUCCCAAUUAAAAAACACUAAUUACUAAACUAAACUAUGCUUAUCUGAGCCAACAACUGAGCAAUGAUACUAAUUGAAUGACAAGGGUCAUGGUUUAUCCAAAAUCAUUCUAAAUAUUCUAAAAAUUAGGUAAACAACUAAGUUUUGGGUGUUCAUAAACCCCAACACUGAAUGAAAAUAACAAUAAAGGCAUGUAAAAAAGUUUCAAAACCAUAAUUGGGAAAUCAUUCUCUUUGGCAUUUCUUUGAACACUUGGAAUUUAUAGACUUGAGCAUGGUAAUAGUUAAAACAUGUGAUACUAACAUAAUUCCAAAACUAAAAUCCUGGUUUAAGGAUUCACUAUGAAAAAAUCACCAUUCAAACGUUCACAGACAAAUUCCAAUGAAAACAUAUGGUAAACAUGAUUUGAAAUCAAAGUUCAUGAUAGCUUUAUGCAGAUAAUUCAUAACAACAUGUAAAAAUCAAAAAUUUAAACUUGAAAAUGGAUUCUUUGGCUCCAUGGUCAAAAAGGGCCCAAGGAUGAAUAUCACACAUAUAUUUAAUACUUAAAUCUUGAAAGAGAACAACUUUCUUAAAAACUUUCUUGAAUUGGAACACUUGAGUUCUUGGUUUUCUUAAAAGGAAGAUGAUUUAAAUUGAUGAAAUUGGAGAAAGGUUAGGGUUUAUUUGAGAGAGAAAUUUGGCCAUAUAAUGCACUAACAGAAGUUUAAUCCCAUGUUUUUACCAAUUGGGGUGCUAGGAAAAGACAAGGCUACCCCUAUGGGAUUUAAAUUAAUAACUAGAAUGCCGAUUGAAUCCUUGUUGUGAUGCGAUGAACCCUUCAUCGCUAUACCCACAGUAACACGGUGUAAUCACGUUGAGCUGCUAGAAACAAAAACCAAAUGUGCCUCAAUCCUCAUUCAAAAAAUCUGAAACAUAACCGUGACAAACUCCUAACACCCCUGAACAUGAAUGAACUUAAAAACAUACAUCUCGGGGUCAAGAAUGUCACUUUAAAAAUCAUCUAAGUUAAGGGGACAAAAAUAAGGUUAAGUCCCUAACACUUAGCUAAAUUUUUAGGCUUUAAGCCUCUUAUGCAUGAACUAUAGGCUGAACUAAACUAGGAAAAUAUGAGGUAUUAUAAUAUCUCCCCCUUGGGAACAUUUAUCCUUGAAUGAGACUUAUUAAGCUGAGAAUACUAAGGAAAAGAGAUUACAUACUAAACAUACAUAUCUAGAAACAUGAUUACAUGACUGAGUUGAAUUAUGAUACAUGACUGAAUUGAUUAGUGAGUGCAUGCAAUGUCAUGAGUACAAUUAUAUGGCUUAAAUUGAGAAUGUAAAAGAUAUAACCCAAGGAAAACUAUUAUCUUAAGAUGAGUUUGAGUUUACGGAGAAAAGGUGAGUAUACUUGGUUCGCAUAUCUACUUCUGCUUCCCAAGUGGCUCCUCUACGGACUGAUUCCGCCAAAGAACUUUGACCAAGGGAUCUUUUUUGUUCCUUAGUCUACGAAUCAAAUGUUCAAGAAUUUCAACUGGAAUUUCUUUGUAAGAAAGGCUCUCCUAAAUAUUUUUACUUUCUAAAGGAACAACCAUAGCUGGGUCACCAAUACACUUUUUUAAGGACACAUGGAACACUGGAUGCACUGAUGGCAAUUCAACAAACAACUCAAGCUCGUAAGAUCCUUUCUAUAACAACUCAAGAUCUUAUAAAGGCCAACAAAUUAGGGACUAAGCUUCUUCUUCUUUCCAAAUAUCUUCACUCCCUUCACAGGAGAGAUUUUCAAAUAGACUAAAUCUCCAACUACAAACUUGAAAUAUCUCGUAUGCACAUCUGCAUAGGAUUUCUGAUGGCUUUGGGUUGUCUUAAGCCUCUAUUUGAUUAAAUUAACCUUCUCCAUUGCAUCAAUACUGAAUUUUUCUUAAUCAAUGCGGUCUCACCUACCUCAAACCAAACUAUAGGAUAUCUACACCUCCUUCCAUAGAGAGCCUCAUCUGAAUACUAGAAUGAUAACUGUUAUUAUGGGAAAACUCGAUCAAAGGCGGGUGAUCAUCCCAACCACCCUUUAAAUCAAUAACAUGCCCUUAAUAUAUACUUUAGGGUCUGAAUAUUCCUCUACCUGACCAUCUAUCUGGGGAUGAAAAGUAGUACUAAGAUUAACUUGGGUAUCGAGACCCUUCUAAAAAGCAUUCCAAAAGUGAGAGGUAUCAAUCUGAAUUAAUAGAUAAUGGGACUCCAUACAACCUAACCAACUCUCUAAUAUAAAGCUAGGCAUAAUACUCUGCUGAAUAUGAAGCAUGAACUAGCAAGAAAUGAACUGAUUUGGUCAUUUUUUCAGCAAUAACCCAUUUCAAAUCAUGUUGAUGAUGCAUACGGGGCAACUCUGUCACAAAGUCCAUGUUUACCUCUUCCCACUUCCAAGUGGGAAUGCUAAACUCCUACAUCAUUCCACUAGUCCUCUGGUUCUCAACCUUAACCCGCUGACUAUUAGGACGCAAGAAAAUCUACAAUAUCUCUCUUCAUGCCACUCCACUAAUAGAUUUUCUACAAAUAAUGGUACAUCUUAGUGGCUUGAGGGUGAAUAGAAUAAUGUGAACCAUGGACUUCUUCCCAAAUUCAUUAUCUCAUACCAUCAACCCACGACACACAUUACCUACCCUGACAUCAAAACACGCCAUCUCCCCCUUGGAAAAAAACCUCUACUUUCUGAUCUCUAACAAACUCUCUCAACUUAACUAAACUAGAAUCCCUAUCCCGCUUCUCCUUUACUUCAACAACCAAUGAAGAUUUUGAGCUAUUCUGAACCCAUACACUACCUCAACUGAAUCAACCAAACAAAUGCCUAAUAUAUCCAACUGAUAAACCUUUUGAACUAACUUUUUCUUAUCAUUCUCGACAUGAGUAACACUACCCAAAGAUAACCUACUAAGGGCGUCUGCCACAAUAUUGGCCUUCCCAAAUGAUACAACACACUCAUAUUAUAGACUUUUAACAACUCCAACCACCUUAUUUGAGGAAGAUACAUAUUUUUUAUAAAAAUACAAACUGCAAACUUUUGUGACCCGUGAACAUAUCAACAUGAACCCCAUAAAAAUAGUGCCUCCAAACUUUUAAGGAAAAGACAACAAUUGCUAACUUAAGAUCAUGGGUAGGAUAAUUCUUCUCAUGGGGUUUAAGAUGUCUAGAGGCAUAGGCUAUGACCUUACCUCUCUGCAUCAAAACACAACCCACACCAUCUCUAAAGGCAUCAUAGUAAACAACAUACCUAUUUGAACUAUCUGGCAAUGUCAAAAGUAUGGCUGAGGUGAGUCGAGUCUUCAACUCUUAAAAACUCUUCUCACAAGAAUCUGACCACUAAAACUUGAGUUUUUUCUGAGACAAUCUGGACAUGGGGGAUACAAUAGAUGAAAACCCUUCAACAAACUAUCGAUAAUAACCAGCCAAACCUAAGAAACUCCUGAUAUCAGAUGGAGAGAUGGGUUUUGUCCAGUUUCUCACUUCUUUAGUCUUUUAAGGGUCAACUCUAAUGCCAUCACCAAAAAUAAUGUGACCAGGGAAAGCUAUUAAUCUUAUCCAAAAUUCACGAUUACUAAAUUUGGCGAACAAUUGAUGGACUCUAAGAGUCUUUAAUAUGAUUCUGAGAUGCUCUGCAUGAUCAUUUUCACUACAGCUAUUUUUGAAAUAUCAAAUUCUCUGACUCUGAGCUGAUGAUAACUGAAUCUGAGGUCUAUCUUAGAGAAAUAACUGGCAUCCUGAAGUUGGUCAAACAAGUCAUCUAUUCUGGGAAGUGGAUACUUAUUCUUGGUUGUGACUUUGUUCAACUGAUGGUAAAUAAUGUACAUUCUGACAAAACUAUCUUACUUUCAUAUGAAAAGGAUUGAAGCGCCCUAUGGGGGAACACUGGGCUUUAUAAAACCCUUAUCUAAGAGAUCUUUCAACUCCCUAUGCUUAGCUAGGGAAAUUCUAUAUGACAGAAUAGAGAUAGGCGGAGUAUCUAGAAGAAUGUCUAUUCCAAAGUCAAUUUCUCUUUCAGGAGGAACUCUGAGAAGCUCUUCAGGGAACACAUCUAGAAAUUCCCUUACUACUAAAACUGACUCAAGACCCGGGGUCUAAUAAUUAGUCUUUGACUCGAACAAGAUGGUAAACACAACCAUUGAAAAUUAUUUUUCUUGCAUUAAGGUAUGAAGCAUUUUUAUCGCUAAGCGCUGAAGUACUACCUCUCCAUUUAAUGACUGGUUUAUUGGAAAAUUAAAACUAAAAAAUUUUAUUUCUGCAAUCAAUUAUAGCAUAACAUGAGUAGAGCCAAUCCAUGCUGAGAAUGAUAUCAAAAUCAGUCAUCUCUAACUCCAUAAGAUUAAUUGUGAUGGUUGUCUAGGAUAUUGUGACCGGACAGUUCCUGUACACCUACCUAGCUAUAAUAGCGAUAUUUACUGGGGUAGAUACUAAGAGAGGUUCCGCUAAAGACUCAGGACCGACAUUGAAAUUAAUAGCUAUAUAGGGGGUUACGAAAGAAAGCAAAGCUUCGGGGUCUAACAAAGUAUAAACGUAGAGGUGAAAGACCUGUAAUGUAUCAGUAACCACAUCAGGAGAACUUUCCUGAUCCUAUCGGGACUGAAGUUCAUAAAGAUUAUUUUGAUGUUGUCCACUUGUGUCACUUGAAGUGGUGCCCUGCUGUGUUGGGCGACCUGCUAGAGGUGAUGACUAGUUGGUCUGACCCUGUUGGUGCAAGUUCCUUCCCUUCUGAGAAACUAAUCAACACUCUAUGAACCUGUGUUCUGGCUUGCCAUAUCCAAAACAUACAUCACUUCUAGAUGUAUAGAAACUUGAUGAUUUCUACCAUAUUUUUGGCAAAAAGAAUUAGUGCGACCACUUGUCAUACAACACUGGGGAUCAGAGCCCGACGUCUGAUGCUGAUUUUUAUUCCUAAACUUUGGUACUGGCACACUAGCUGAAGAUAGAGCUAGGGCUGAAAACUUCUGCCAGAACUUAGAACUAUUACCACUCUUUGACUUCAGCUGAGUAAAAUUUAAGCUACCUAUUCUUGCUCUCUUAUUCUCUCUCUCUUUCUCCUUGAACUUCUAUUCCUCAAUCUAUUGAGCAUGGACUAUAAUCCUAGAUAUGACCAUCUCUUUAAUCAACAUCACAGUCCUACACUCCUUAACCACACUAUUAGAUAUGCUAGACACGAACUUACUUAUUCUAGAUUAGUUAUCAGAAACGAGGAGCAUACCUCGCCAGCUAAGGAAACUUAAGCGAAUACUCUUUCACACUCAUAUUGCACUGCUUCAAAUUAAUAAACUCCAGUACCUUAGCUUCCCUCAACUCUAAGGGAAAGAAUCUUUCAAAAAAGGUUGUAGCAAACUCCUCCCACUCUAUAGGCUCUUUAUUUGUGCCUCUAUCCCCCUUUCACUACUUAAACCAGGUGUGAGCUAUAUCUUACAACUGGAAUGCAUCCAACUCUGCACUCUUACUAGACUUAACACCCAUAAUAUUAGUCAUCUUCUAAAACAUGUCAAUGAACUCCUACGAGACUUAGAUCGUAAAACUGAGGGGGAUUCAUAUACGUGAAGUCCUGAAUCUUAGCUGCGGCUGUAUUGGACGCUAGAUUGGUUGGAACAGUGGCCUAAUAAUUGUUCUAAGCUUUUAAUAAGUAGGUUAAAGUAGUAAAAAUAGAUCUAAACUUGGCAUGGGAGACAUGCUCAUUCAGGAGGUCAUCCUGAAUAGGUGGAGGUGUGGGCUGAUUUUUAUUUCUUCUUUUGUUAGCCUUACUGGGAGGUAUUUUCUAUAAACUAAAGGAAGAGUGAAUUAAAAAGAGAGUUCAAAUAGAAGUCAUGCUUAUUCAAAUGACCUGAAUACUGAAACAAGGGAAACUUUUACUAAAAUGUCUUAUAGCCUCAUGUUCAUAUGUGUAACGCGCUUUACACAUAUACACAAGAUUCUACUUAAUGUGACUUUUAGACUUUCCAGGAUACUUUAAAACCUUAGGAUCUGAUACUAAGUUUGUAACAUCCUGGAAGUAUACCUUGGAUGCCAUAUGGUACUUAUGGUCACAAGUGACCACAAGCUAACCCAUGAGCUGGUACCUGCUGAGAGCAUUGAAUAGUAUACUGAUAAUAAAGACAUUUGUGGAAAGUAGAUGAAAAUUCCAUAAGGUUUUAAUUACUAAAAAGUAUAACUAAAAAAAAGUCUAAACAAUCAUCUAAAAAAUAGUGCGACAUGACUGAUAAAACUUGUAAACUAACUGACUGUCUGAAAAGCGUCUAAGACUAACUGACUGGGGGAUGAUAGGACAAACCCCCAACUAACUAUGAAUGAUAAUAUAAAUCAACUGAUAACUCAAUUAAAUAAAGAUAAACUUGUCCUUGAAGUAUGAGGACUCACUACUGCUACUGAUGCUGGCUAGCUGAUCCUUUCUAGGCCCGAAUAAAAAACUGAGCAUUCGAACCUAUGGUAUAAGACAUAGUGCAUGAAAUGAGUAUGUCAUUAGUACUUUGAAUAUACUGGUAUAUAAUAUAAGUUUAGGUUGUAAUGCAUGGGUUAACUGAACAUAAAGUAAUGAUUGGCUGAAUAACAUGAGAUAAUUGUAUAAGCAUGCAUGAAAACAGAAAUACUGCAAGUGCAAACCUAGACAUAUAAUGUUUUUGAAAUGAUCUGUAAGACUUACAUAUUGAAAUACUAAAUUACUGAAGAUUGAUAACUGAGUAACAGAUAAUCUAUAUGCCUUGGUUAAGCAAUCUGAACUGAAUUUUAUACUGAGUACUGAAUUGAGACAGUGAUAGGUAUCAUCUAACCGACAUACCCCAUUCUAAGUUGAUUGGUGUCCAACCUGUGACCCCCAUUGUAAGGUUGUCAUUACUAUACCACGGCUACUAACAAUGGCUAUGUGGAUCCACUAAGCUACUGUCAAACCAUGGUAUCAAUCAUAAACUGAUGGGUAUCCCUAGUGGAGUCAAGCCUAAACUGAUGGGUGACCCUUGGAAGGUAGUCAAGCCUAAUUUGAUGGGUGACUCCUAUAACCCAUGCUGGCUACGUGGUUCUGGAAUAUAUGGAUAACAACUAUUGCCUUUACCUAACUAAUAGGAAAGCAACCAUCUUAUAUUCGCUUGAUGCUAAAUCUUACUCCCAACUAAAAAACACUGAUUACUGAACUAAACUAGGCUUAUCUGAGCCAACAACUGAGAAAUAAUACUAAUUGAAUAACAAGGCUCAUGGUUUAUCUGAAACCAUUCUAAAGAUCCUAAAAACUAGGUAAACAACUAAGUUUCAGGUGUUCAUAACCCCCAGCACUGAAUAAAACUAACAAUAAAGGCAUGUAAAAAAUCUUCAAAACCAUAAUGGGGAAAUCAUUCUACAAAAUCAUUCUCUUUGGCAUUUUAUCAAAAAAUUGGAAUUCAUUGACUUUAGCAUAGGAAUAUUUAAAACAUGUGCUACUAACAUAAUUGCAAAACUAAAAUCAUGGUUUAAGGACACAACAUGUGAAAAUCACUAUUCAAACGUGUCACAAACAAAUUCCAACAAAAACACUUGGUAAACAUGAUUUGAAAUCAAAGUUCAUAAUAGAUUUAUUUAGAUAAUUCAUAAAUAUAUGUAAAAAUCAUAACUUUAAACUUGAAAAUGGAUUCUUGGACUCUAUAGGUCAAAAGGUCCCAUGGAUGAACACCACACAUACCUUUAAUACUUAAAUCUUCAAAGAGAACAACUUUAUUGAAAGCUUUCUUAAAUUGGAACACUUUAGUUCUUAGUUUUCUUGAAAGGAAGAUGAUUUAAAUUGGUGAAUUUGGAUUACGGUUAGGAUUUAUUUGAGAGAUAAAUUAGGAAAUUUAGGAAUAUAAUGCCCUAAUAGAAGUUUAAUCCCAUUUUUUACAAAUUGGGAUGCUGAGAAAAGACAAGACUACUCCUCAAGAAUUUAAAUUCAUAACUGGAACAUCAAUUGGAGCCUUGCAACAAUGCGAUGAACCCUUCAUCGCUAUACCCAUCGCGAUGCAGUGCAAUUACGUUGACCUACUUGAAAUAAAAUCCAAACGAGCUUCAAUCCUCAUUCAAAACAUCCUGAACUUUCCCAAGACAUGCUCCUAACACCCCUGAAUAUGAAUGAGCUCAAAAACAUACAUCUCGGGGUCGAGAAGGUCACAUUAAAAAUUAUCAAAGUUAAAGGGCCAAAACUAAGGCUAAGUCCCCAACACAUUGCUAAAUUUUCAGGAUUUAAGCCUCUUAUGCAUGUACUAUGGGCUGAACUAAACUAGGAAAAUAUGGGGUAUUAUGUUAUGGGAAUUAGAAUGAGGAACAUGGAUUUUCCUAAAUUGAUGAAUUUUUGGCUUGGUAAUAGAACUAACCUCAACCCAUUUUUGUAAAUUUGGUUUUGAAAAGGGAUACUUUGCAUAGUUCAACUUAGUUAUGAACCCAUUACAUUGCAUUAAUGUAUAAAUGUAUAAAAUGAAUUUUCAAGUCCCAUGGUGGCCAUGGUUUAAGAUUUUAAAUAGAACGUAGGAGUCUAAUGGUUAUAUGGAUUAGUUGGGUUAGAUAUAUAAUCAUAAAAGUAUAUUGGUAUGAUGAUACCAUGUUGGUAAAUUCCUUAAUAAAUGACUCCUGGGUUAAUGGCUAGGUUUAUGUGUAAACUAUUUUAAUUUAGGCUUAAAUGAUGUUAUGUAGCUCACCGUGAAGGUAUAGGCCCCAGGAGGACCAAUAAUAGAAACCACAUUUGCCAUUGUGGGAGUCUACAUGACCGUACAUUAUAUUUUAGGAUGGCUAGAGCCAUGGUGUCUUUAGCCUUUCCUUUAAUUUCCUCAAUUCGUGCGGCUAACACGCACUGGGGCCCUUUCAGUAGGGGGAGCUGAACCCAUAUAGUUCGUGGGUGCUUUUAAGGCUAAUGAUUUAAACUCUCAUGUUCAUGACCCUUGUCCCUAUCUCGACAUCCUAUAUAUGUUUAUAUAAAUAUUGUGAAUAUGGUUUUUGACUAGUUUUGAUAUUGGCAUUAUUUUAUACCUUAUCACUAAGUUACAAGCUAGUGUUUGCCCCACUAAUUAUCCCUGGAUACUAUAAUGUUUCAUGAUGUAGGGUCCGAGGGCUUUUCUGUUGCUCUUGUGCAACACUAGGUGAUUUGGUAUUUCUGUGGAUUUGCUGUGAAGUGGUGAGCAUCCAUUUAAUAGAAGGUCGGUUAUUUUAUUCUUUUUAUUACUGUCUUAGUACUUUUGGAUUCCUUUGUCAUAGUUGGGGAAAUGUCCUGACUUAAUUGGUAUUUUUGGUUUUAGAGGCUUUUAUGGAAAAGUAUAGGGAUUGUUGGUCAUUUGUUUUGACUCAUAGAAUUUAGUUCUUAUAUAUCUUUAUUACUAUUUAUGGUUGUCUUAUGUUGUUUAUAUUUACUAUGAUCAGAAGGUUAGGCUAAGGGGGUGGUCUCCAACCUAGGAUGGGCUAGAGAUACCCGUCACGACUAGGUUCUGGCACAGGUCAUCACAAACUUUGUAUCAUAUCAUGAUUUAGGUUCACUGGGUGUCCACAUAUUCGUGUUAAGUGGAGUCCCUUUUAUGGGUGUGUAGAGCGCCACACUUAUAAGCGGGAGACAACGAGAUAUUUAGGAAUAUUUUCCUUUCUUGUGUUCUAUUUCGGGCUAUAGAGUCCUAUAUCAUGAAAAUUCUUUAACUCUUGGAUUUCUCGCAUUUAAGAUCAUGGUUUCUUGAAUAUUUGACGGACAUAGAAACUCUGCUGGAACCUUUGUCCCACUUAAGAAAAAUAUGGAGAGAAUUCACUCUAUUUAUGGAGUGCAGACCCAAUCUAGGGUCCUUGCACUAGGGUUCCACUGGUCCCUACUAGUCCUCCUUGGAAUUCCUGAGCUUGUGAUACCUAUUCUUAGUCACCUCAUGGAGAUAUCUCUAAUAUGGUAUUCUAUUAGUCUAUUCAUCUACUUGUCCAACUAGUGGCAUCACAGUCUCGUCAGUCUGAUCAUGUUGGUCCUGUUGUUAGUUCAUCUGAGGGCACUUAGGUUGGCCAUUAUAUGAGGUUGAAUCCCCCAACCUUUAUAUGAUCUAAUGUUGAGGAUGAUACUUAAGGGUGUAAGGAUAAGAGGGUGAAGAUUUUUAGGGUAAUGCAUGCUAUUGAUUCUGAAGGUGUAGAGUUUGAUACAUAUCAAUUAAAAGAUAUAACUUACUAGUAGUAUAAGGAGUAGGAACAUUUGAGAGAUGAUGGUGCUGAGCUGGCAAUAUGGGAUGACUUUUUAGGUGCCUUUCUUGCUCACUUCUUUCCUCGGGAGUUGAGAAAGGCUAAGGCUGAAAAGUUUGUGAACUUAAAGUAGGGAAAAAUUAGUGUGAUGGAGUAUACCCUGAAAUUUUAGUAGUUUUCCCAAUAUUCUCAUAUGUUGGUAUCUAAUAUGAGGUCCCUAUGAGAAAGUUUGUUUCUAGUUUACCUAAUAACUUGGUGCUAGAGUGUAAGGCGGCUAUAUUGAACAAUGAUAUAGACAUCUCCAAGAUGGUGGUUUAUAUAUAGUAGGUGAAGGAUUAGAAAAACAAGCAGAUAGAGAUAGGAGAGAGGCAGAACAAGAAGUUUUGAUAUUCAAAGUAGGAUAUAAAUCAGCAAAAUAGUAGAAGAGAUAGUAGAAAGUGGACCAAGAAGAAGAAUUGUGAAAUUUCUUAUUCAACCGCUAGUGCUCCUUAUCCUAAGCCUUUAGGUAUUCAUCAUUUUUAGACUAGUAGUGGUCCCAAGGAACAGGGUGCCCAAUCCCAGGUUAGUGGAGCUCAGUCAGCCCCACCUUAUUCUUUAUAUCAAUUUUAUGGACAGUUUCACUGUAGUUAUUAUAAGUAGAGGAGGAACUUGUGUUUUAAUUAUAGUCAGCCUGGUCAUCUACAGAGAAAUUAUCCCAUAGCUAAAGUUUCCACUAGAGCUAAUAAGGUUUUGGUUGCCACUUCUUCAGCUCCGACACCUAAGAGGGCCACUUCAGGUACCAGCACUGGCCAAAAUCAUCUCUAUACACUUGAUACUCAUUAGGCAUUUAAGGCAACCCCUGAUGUUGUCACUGGUAUGUAAAAUCAUCUCUAUACACUUGCUACUUAUCAGGAAUAUGAGGCAUCCCCUGAUGUUGUCACUGUAUGUUAUAACUCUUCUCUCAUGGUGUUUAUUGUUACUUUAUCUAGGUUCUAUCCUAUUUUAUGUGACCCCUUAUGUGGUUGUACACUUUGAUUUUGGUCCCAAAAAUAUUUUUGACCCCUUUUUUAUUUCCACCGAUUGGUGAUUCUAUUGUUGCUAGAAAAAUCUAUUGGGGUUGUGUAGAGUCUAUCUUUCAUACAUUGACAUUAGUGGUUUUGAUAGAGCUUGAUAUGGUGAAUUUUAAUGUGAUCUUAGGGAUGUAUUGGCUCUAUUUAUGAUAUGCUUCUCUGGAUUAUAGGGUCCAAAAGGUUAGUUUUCAAUUCCCUAAUGAACCGAUGAUUGAAUGGGAGAGAAGUUCCUUAGCACCGAAAGGGAAGUUUAGUUUCUAUCUUAGAGCCUAGAAGUUGAUCUCAAAAGGGUGCCUGUAUCAUUUAGUUCAGUUUAAUGAUUUUAACUCUGAAGAUCCCUCCUUGUAAUCUAUCCCUAUGGUUUAUGAAUUUCCUGAAGCAUUUUUUGAUGAACUAUUUAGAAUCCCUCCUGAUAGGGAAAUAGAUUUUGGGAUUGAUCUUCUACCAAAUACCCGUACAAUUUCUAUAUUAUAAGAUGGCUCCAGAUGAAUUAAAAGAGCUAAAGAAGUAGUUAAAGAAUCUCCAUAUAAGGGUUUUAUUUGUCCUAGUAUUUCUCUAUAGGAUGCUUCUAUGCUUUUCGUGCAAAAUAAAGAUGGGCCUCUUCAAAUGUGUAUAGACUAUCGUCAUCUGAAUAAGGUUAUAGUAAAAAAUAAGUACCCUCUUCUUAGGAUUGAUGGUCUUUUCGACCAGCUUCUAGGUGUUAGGUGUUUCUCUAAGAUUGAUCUUCGUUCAAGAUAUAAUUAGUUGAAAAUUAAGAAAGAUAACAUUCCCAAGAUUGCUUUUUGAACCUGAUAUAGUCAUUAUGAGUUCCUGGUUAUGUCAAUUGGGUGCUCUGGCUACUUUCAUGGAUCUUAUGAAUUGGGUGUUCAGGAAGUUCUUGAACUUAUUUGUUAUAGUCUUCAUUAAUGACAUCUUGGUGUACUCAAGAAGUGGAGAGAAUUAUAACAAUCACCUUCAAAUUGUGUUGUAGACUCUUAAGGACCAGAAGUUGUACGCAAAAUUUUCUAAAUGUGAGUUUUGGCUGAGUGUAGUGACUUUUCUUGGCCAUAUGGUUUCUAAUCAGGGGAUCAAGAUGGAUCCACAGAAAGUUGGGGCAAUUAAGAAGUGGCCUAGACUCAUGACUCCAACUGACAUUAAAAGCAUCUUAGGCUUAGCUAGGUAUUAUAGGAGGUCUGUGGAGAGUUUCUCAUCCAUUGUUGCUCCGUUGAUAAAGCUAACUCAGAAAAAGGUUAAGUUUAUGUUGUCUGAUUCUUGUGAGGGUAGAUUUCAGAAAUUAAAGGAUAAGUUGACUUCUGCGUCAGUUUUGACCUUGCCCAAGGGUACUGGUAGGUUCGUUGUAUAUUAUGAUGCAUCCCGUAUGGAUAUGGGUUGUGUUUUGAUGCAACAUGGUUAGGUUAUAGCUCAUGAUUCUAGGCAGCUUAGGGUUCAUGAAAUAAAUUACCCAAAUCACGAUUUAUAGGUGACGACUGUGGUUUUUGCUUUAAAGAUUUGGCUCUAUUAUCUAUAUCGGGUACAUAUAGAUAUUUAUUCAGUAUAUAUUCACAUAGAAGGAAUUGAAUCUCAACAGACGUGGUGGUUUGAGCUACUUAAGAAUUAUGACAUGAUCCUUCACUUUCAUCUAGGUAAAGCUAAUAUUGUUGUUGAUGCUCUUAAUAGGUUAUUCAUGGGGAGUCUAUCUCAUGUGGAUGAGGAGAAAAGAGGUUUGUUGAAUGAUAUUCAUAAGUUGUCUAAUUUAGGAGUUUAUUUUUUAGACUCCGGGGAUGGGAGAGUGAUUGUUCAAAAAGUGGUUAAAUCAUCUCUUGGUGCUGAGGUGAAGGAGAAGCAGGUUUUGGAUCCCAUACUUAUGCAUAUUAAGGAUGAUGUGGGUCAGCAAAAGGUUAUGGUAUUCGAGAUCAGGAGAGAUGGCAUUCUGAGGUAUCAAUGAAGAUUGUGUGUUCCUGAUGUUGAUAGGCUAUGGGAAAGAAUUUUGACUGAGGCUCAUGAGUCCAGAUAUAUAGUUCAUUCAAGCUUGACUAAAAUGUAUGAUGACUAAUUUUACUUGCUUCUUACUUAUGAGGACUAACUACUUAUGAGAGAAUUAUUCCAAGUUGUUUAUUUGGGAGAUAGUUCAAUUGCAUGGAGCGCCAGUGGCCACCAUCUUAGAUUAAGGUACGCAGUUUUCUUCUCACUUUUGGCACUUAUUUCAAAUAGGUUUGGGCACUCAGGUGAACCUUAGCACCACUUUCCACCCUUAAAUGGAUGGAAAAGCAAAGAAUACUAUUUGUACUUUGGAAGAUAUGCUAAGGGCUUGUGUGAUUGACUUUAAGGGUAGUUGGGUUGACCACUUUCCUCUUAUUGAGUUUGCUUACAAUAAUAGUCAUCAUUCUAGCAUUCAAAUGGCUCCUUUCAAGGCUCUUUAGGGUAGGAGGCGUAGGUCUCCUAUUGGGUGGUUUGAGAUAGGUUAGACUAGGUUGUUUAGUCCUGACAUGGUUCGCUAAGCCAUAAAGAAGGUGAAAGUGAUUAGAAAAAGGCUUUAGACCACUCAAAGUUGCCAAAAAUCUUUUGCGGAUAUGAUCAAAGGCAGUUGGAGUUUGAAGUAACUCCUUGGGUGUUCUUAAAGGUUUCUCUUAUGAAAGGAGUUAAGAAGUUUGGGAAGAAGGGAAAGUUCAGUCCCUUUAUAUUAGUCCAUAUCAGGUUGUAAAAAGGAUUGGGAAUGUCGCUUAUAAGUUACAUUUAUCGACAAGUUUGGCCUCUAUUCAUCCAGUUUUCCAUGUGUAUAUGCUAAAAAAGUGCGUGGGUGACACUCUUUGAUAGUGCUUGUUGAGGAUAUUUGUGUUUCAGAUUCUUUGUCUUAUGAGGAGGUUCCAGUUGAGAUAUUAGACGUUCAAGUUUGUAGAUUGAGGACAAAGGAUGUAGCUUCGGUGAAGUUUCUUUGGAGAAACCAAAAGGUGGAAGAAGCUACAUGGGAAGCUAAGGAAGAUAUGAAAUCCAAGUACUCAUUCUUGUUCCCCGUGUCAAACGAAAGUGCUUGAGGUAUGAGUUUUGUUUCCCUUUCAAAUUUGUCAUUUGGUUCUGAUGUAUUCUUACUGUUGUUGUGCUAAAAUAUCCUAACUCAAAAUUCGGGGAUGAAUGAUCCUAAGGUGGGAUAAUGUAACACCCUGCAAAACUUCAAUGAUUUUAUUUUUGACCCUCUCGUGUGUGUAACAUCAAUUUUUGACUUGAAUUAUGUAUAGGGAUGUUAAAAGGAUAUUUUGGUAAAGUUUUAGAAUUUUUUAAAGGGGUUCGGGGAUAUUUUGGAACUCUGAGGCAGUAAGCCUACGCGAUAGUGGCAUGCCACACCACUUAGUUACCGCGAUAAUGGCGUGGCACAGAGGCUAGUAGUAUGCGACAUUGCCAUGAAAAUUCGCCCAGAUUUUGUUUUUUCACAUAGGGUGAGGGGCUUUGGUCUUUUUACCCCUUACACGACUUUUAAACAUAAAAUAACCCCUUUUUCCUUCAAUUUUCAAAUAUCAAAAAUCAUUCUUUUUCCACUCUAACUCUAAACCCAUGAAAGAUCAAGGUUUUUUUUUUAAGAAAUCACUACUCUGGGCUCCAAACUUCGAAUUCUCUCAAAUUUCAUCUAUAUUUCAGGCAUGUAUCCCAUUCCCUAACUUUAAUUUUACAUUGUGGUAUUUAUUUACUCAUUAUCCAUGUGGUUUGAAUUAAUGGAUUGGAAAUUGGGUUAAGUGUUUAGAUUGGUAUUACUUGAAUUACUUGAAUUAGGAUUUUUGGACUGAAUGGAUGUAUUUUUAUGGAAAUUGGAAUGGACAACAUGGGUUUCCCCAAAUUGAUGACUUUUUGUCUUGGUAAUGGCACAAACCUGAACUCACUUUGUAAAUUUAGUUUUGAACAUGGAUACUUUGCAUAAUUCAACUUACUAAUGAACCCAUUGAACUGCAUUAAUGGAUAAAUAGAUAAAAUAGAUUUGAAAGGCCCUUGGUGGCCAUGGUUUAAGAUUUUAAAUAGAACGUGGGAGUAUAAUGGUCAUAUGGAUUAGUUUGGCAAAAUUAUAUAAGCAUGCAAGUAUAUUGGUAUGAAGAUACCAUGUUAGUAAAUGCCUUAACAAAUGACUACUGGGUUAAUGGAUGGGUUUAUGUGUAAACUAUUUUAAUUUAGGCUUAAAUGGAGUUGUGUAUCUCACCAUGAAGGUAUAUGUCCCGCAGGGACCAACAAUGGAAACCAUGUUUUCCAGUGUGGGAUUCUAUAUGCGAAAUUUUAGAUUAGGAAUUAUAAGUAAGAUGGAAAGGAAAAUAAGACUAUAAUUUUAAGAAUACAUUUGGAUUCUUUGUUAGUGAAACAUGAAUCUGAACAUGAUAAGCCAGUGAAUAUCUCCUUUUUUUCAUUUUUUUAAGAAAAAUUGUACAACUAAAUGUUGGUUCACAUGAGCAGGAAGAUGGUGCACAGAUUUUUCUUCAUACAGAAAUAACUAAUUUCCUUGAUUUACACCAAGAACUAAUUUAGGGCACCAAAUAAUAUUUGAAUUAGUAGAUUGAAAGUUUUACCAUUAGUUGAUGUUCUUUCAAUUCCUAUCCUUUUCCUUUUAAAUAUUACUUAAAAAUUUCAAUCAAAUAUACCUCAAUCUUCAAUUAGUUAGGUUUUUUGAUGAAUUGGUAAAAAAAAUGAAGUUUGUUGAAUGAAGUUAAAAAAAAAAUGAAGAAGGAGAAGAAAGGAGGUGGUGGGGUGUGAGAAAAAUGAAGAAAAGAAAUAUUGUUAAAUUUAAAAGUGGGUCUAACCUUUUUUUCAUUUUUUCCUAAUUACGCGCUGAAGCUUUUAAAAUUUGCCACGUCAAAGAUUAGGGUGGUAUAAAAUUCACUUGAAAUUAUCGUGUAGUUUAGGGUCUAAAGUAAAUUAUGCGGACAAGUUCAGGGAUGAAAUGAUGUAUUUUCUCUUUCUAUUACCGUCUUAGUACUUUUGGAUUCCUUUUGCCAUAGUCUGGGUAUAUGUCCUGACUUAGUUGACAUUUCUCAUUUUAGAUGCUUUUGUGUACAAGUUUGGGGAUUGUUGGCCGUUUGUUUUGACUCUUAAAAUUUAAGUUUGGGGAUUGUUGGCCGUUUGUUUUGACUCUUAGAAUUUAUUUUUCUUAACUAUCUUUAUUACUAUAUAUGGUUGUCUUCCGGCGUUUAUAUUUAUUGCGCUCUGAAGGUUAGGAUAAGGGUGUGGUCUCUGGCCCAUAGCGGGCUUAAGACACCUAUCACGACUAGGCCCUGUCUCGGAUCGUGACAUAAAAUCUCAAACCACCAAUAACAACAACAUAGGCCCCCACACAGACAUAAGAAAAAUAAUAAAACUAUUUUCAUGAUUAGUACCCACACCCAUAACAUUCUUUUAUAUUAAUAUUGACUACCCAACCCAGUCUGAAGGGAAUUAAACCAUAACCUACCUUAAUGAAGAAAACUCGCUCCAAAAGCCUCCAAUCACGAAUCCUGCUCCUCACGAAAAACCUCAAAAUCAAUUAAAACAUACAAAUAUAGGAUCUAUGUGUUAAAAGGAAACCAACAAUACCCAUAUUGCCUAUUUUUGAGUUGGGGUCAAAACGGAAUCCCAAAGUGAUUUUUUUAAAAAAAGGGUAAAAUCAAAAUUUUAGUCCAUGAAUGCAUUACCCUUGAUUAAAGGAACCCACAGAAGAGAAUUCAAGUGGAAAUGGGUUGAAAUUGGGGUUAAAUCGAAGAAAUACUAAUUUAGGCCUUCAGAUCAAAAAUUUCUAAAUUCUACUUUUAAAAUCGUGAUUUAACAAGCUUUAGAUGACAAAAAUCGAAGAAAAAAAUUAAAAUAGGGAUUUGGAUCUUAACCAAUCUUGAAAAUUCAAGAAAUCCCCCCAAAACUCUAAAACCUGAAGCUCCAAGUCUCAAAAAUAGUGAAAAAUUGAGAAAAGGAAUGUGUGUAUAUAUAUAUAUAUGUAUGUAUGUAUGUAUGUAUGUAUAUAUGUAUGUAAAUACUACCAGUAUUGACUGCUAAAGCGGUCAAGUACCGCUUUAGUGAUACCAGAUUGGCAGGGCAGCCCGCUAAAGCAGAUACAGGACUUGCUAAAGCACCCUUGCCCAACUAGAACCAGUAGCUGAAGCGGUCAAGUGGUGCUUUCCCAACCACUAAAGCAGCUAAAAUGGUGCUUUAGCGGCUAAACUAUCUGAACUCGGAAAAUUCUUCCAAGUUUUAAAUAGGUCCCUCGAGAUUCGUUCAAAAUACCUAGAACGCAAAUGAGAUGUGCCAUUAGACUAAAUUCAAUAUUUUGGACUCAAUGGGGAUUUCAAAUUUUUUAAAGUAUGACAUUUUCACAAAAUGGACCCCCCCAGACCUAAUUUCAUAACUUUCCAAAUUGAGGGUCGAAAUGAGAUACCAAAGUUAUAAAAUCAAACCAACUAUGUUAUCAAACUAGAACCAAUGUUUUGGAUCUAUUGAUGCGGUUUGUUUUGCCAUCCGAUGCACAGAACAAUAAAUUUUGAUUGAAGUCAACUAUCAAGCCUUUUAGCCUCCAAAAGCCAUAAACUCACACAAAUUACACUAAAGAGCAUUGGGAACCAUGCCAAUCACAUCCACACCCCUAAAUAAAAAAAAGAAACCACGGGGAGGGGUAAAUGGUCAAAUCAUAUAUAAAUGAAUAAUUCACAAAAAUCAAGUCGUUACAUCAUCCACCACUAAGAAUCUAGUUCAUCCUCAAAAUAUAUGCAAGGGAAAUACCUGAAUUAAUAAAAAGUUGGGGUUAACUACCACGCAUAUUGAACUCGACCUUCCAAGUAGCCCUAUCUAUAGGUUGAUGCCUCCAUUGGACCUUAACCACCGGGAUAUCUCAAGAACGUAAUAGCCUAAUAUCCCUGUUUAGAAUAGAGAUAGGCUUCUCAAUAAAAGACAAGCUCUUAUCUAAUGAAUCCUAAUGAAUGACAUACGACUUACUGGAAUGUAACACCGAAGCAUGGAAAUAUCAAAAAUUGGAUGAACAGCUAAUAAAUCUCGGGGAAAUCCUAACUCAUAAGCCACAUCCCCAAUAGUCUAAAGAAUUUCAAAUGGGCUAAUAUACCUGGGGCUGAGCUUUCCCUCUUCCCAGACCUUACUAUACCCUUUAUAGGCAAAACACAAAGGAAGACUUGAUAACCAACACUAAAUCUCAAGGUACGAAUUAUAUGAUUUUUCAUAUCAUUUCUACCUACUCUAAUCCACUUAAAUUCUAUCCUGAAUGGCUCAAAAUCUAUCUAAAGACUCGUGAAGCAAGUCCAUACCAUGAGGUCUAACCUCAGAAGCCCCAAACCAAUGAACUGGAGAGCAACAAUGCCUACCAUACAAAUCUUCGAAGGGAGACAUCUUAAUACUAGAAUGGUAGCUAUUAUUAUAUGAAAACUCACAUUGCUAGAUAUUGCUCCCACUAACCUCCAAAGUCCAUAACACAAGAACAAAGCAUAUCUUUCAAAACCUAAAUAGUCCUCUUUAGUUGGCUUCAGUAUGGGGCAAAAAGUUGUUCUAAGAUCAACCCAGUUACCCAAUUCCUCUUAAAAAGACUUUCAAAAGUGAGAUAUGAACACUGAACCUCUAUCUAAGAUGAUGGAUGCUAGUACACUAUGAUGAUGAACUAUCUCAUGAAUAUUGAUAUGGGCCAACCACUCAGAACUGAAAGAAACCUGAACAAGAAUGAAAUAAGAAGAUUUGUUCAAUCAAUCCACGAUGACCCAAACACUAUUAGAACUAUGAGAUGUAUGAAGCAACCCAGCCAUAAAGUCUAUAGUGAUCUAUUUCCAUUUCCACUCAGGACUCGGUAAUCUCUAAACCAAACCACCAGGCCUCAAAUACUCGACCUUCACCUACUAGCAAUAUAGGUAAUGAGCUACAAAGUCCACUACAUCCUUUUUUAUACCACCCCACCAGUAGAGUUGUCUUAAAUUAUGAUACAUCUUAGUCACUCCUGUAUGGAUAGAAUACGUAGAAAAAUGAAUCUCCAAAAAUAUAAAUCUCACCCAAUCACCCACUCUCAACACACAUACUCAGCCUUAAAUACUCAAAACACCAUCGGAAUCAAGCGAGGCUUCCUUAUCCUCGCCAUUCAACACCAUAUCCUAUAUCAUUAUCAACCCAACAUCAUCAAACUGAUGAGGCCAAAUCUACUCCAUCAAAUAAGAUCUAGCCUCUACAAAUGCCAAAAUACACCCAUCUGUUGCAAUAUCAAUCCUAACUAUUUGGUUAGCCAAAAUUGAACCUCUAAGGCCAAAGCCCUUUCCUAAGUCAAAAGAUGCACCAAGCCAUCCAUACUAGUCUACUUCCGACUCAAGGUAUCCUCUACCACAUUAGCCUUGACCCGAUGAUAGAUAAUAGUAUAAACAUAGUCCCUGAGCAACUCAUGUCAACGACGUUGCCUGAUAUUAAGAUCUUACUAGGUGAAGAAAUACUAAAGGCUAUAAUGAUCCGAGAAGAUCUCACUACGGACUCCAUAAAGUAGUGCCUCCACAACGUUAAGAAACUGUGCACAAUUUCAAAUCAUGGGUAUGGUAAUUGUUCUCAUGCGGCUUUAAAUGAUGAGAAGCAUACACAAUUACCUUACCCUUCUACAUCAAUACAAUACCUAACCCAAUACUAGAAGAAUCACAUUAGAGGGUAAAACCCAUGCCUUUUUUAGGCAAAGUCAAGAUAAAAGCUGAUGUCAAUAAAUCCUUGAGCUUUUAAAAGCUUGCCUCACAAGCAUCAGACCACUAAAAUGAAAUCUUCUGCUGAGUCAACUUGGUCAAAAGAGUUGCAAUAUAUGAAAAACCCUCAAUAAAGCAUCGAUAGUAGCAUACUAAACCAACAACACUUUGAUCUCGAUAGAAGUAGGCCUAGCCCAAUCAAGAAUCACUGCAAUAUUGGCUUAAUCAACCAUCAUACUAUACUCGAUCACCAUGUAGCCGAAGAAAGAAACUAAAUCCAACAAAAAAUAACACUUGGAGAAAUUAGCAUACAACUUAUCAUCCCUCAACAUCUGAAGUAAAAUUCAUAAAUUCUCCUCAUGAUCGGGCUCACUUUUGAAAUAAACCAAGAUAAUAUCUAUAAAUAAAAUGACAAAAGAGUAAAGUACUGUCAAAAUACUCAGGUUAUCAACUCCACAAAUAUGGAUGGAUCAGUUCACCAACUCUAUAAAUGCGGUUGGGGCAUUGGUCAACCAAAAUACAUGACCAAGAACUCAUAAUAACUGUACCGAGUCUGAAAAGCUGUCUUUGGAAUGUCCAAAUCUCUAAUGCUCAACUGGUGAUACUCGAACCUUAAAUCAAUCUUUGAAAACACUAAAGCACCUUGAAGCUGAUCAAAUAAAUUAUAAAGGCAAGAAAGAGGAUAUUUAUUAUUAAUUGUCACCUUGUUCAACUAUCAAUAAUUAAUACACAUAUGCAUAGACCUAUCUUUUUUCUACACAAACAAGACAGACGCACCCUAAGGUGAUACACUAGGUCAGAUAAAUCACUUAUCUAAUAACUCCUACAACUGAUCAUUCAAUUCUUUCAAUUCUGUUGGGCCAUCCUAUAAAAAGGAAUAGAGAUAGGUUUGGUGUCGACUCAACAUUAAUUGCAAAGUCAACAUCAUGAUACGGAAGCAUACUAGGAAAAUCUGGGGGGAAAUAUCCAUGAACUCAUAGAUAAUAUGAACAAAAUCCAAAGAAGGCAGCGAAUUAACACUAGUAUCACGGAUAUGGGCCAAAUAAGACAAUUACCCCCUCUCUACCCAAAAACAAGCCUAAAGAAAAGAUAUAAGUCUCUUGGAACCCAAAUGAAGUGCACCCUUCCAAGCUAUCCUUCAAACACCUAGUGAAGCUAAUGUCACAAUCUUAGCAUAAUAGUCUAGGAUAGUAUAAUAAGAAGCUAAUCAAUCCAUAUCCAAGAUGAUAUCAAAAUCUAUCUUUUCUAGUAUAAUUAGAUAUACCCAAGUCUCACAGCCCACAAAGGUCACAAUAUAGGAUUGAUGCACCCAAUCCACCAUUAAAGAGUCCCUGACUGAGGUAGAUACACAGAUAUGCAUGACAAGAGGCUCACUAGUAGAAUCAAAAUCCAAAGAAAAAUAUGCAGACACAGAGAAGUAAGUCGACCCUAGGUCAAAUAACACAGAUUCAAAUUUGAGACAAACAGAGAUGAUACCUAUGAUAAAAAUAUUGGAAGCCUAUACCUAAGGUUUGGCGGGUAUAAUAUUGUAUUAUCCACAUCCACUACCUCUGUCUUACGCAUCUCUAGAAAAACCUCUACCUCUCACUAUUGAUAUAUAAGUAGGCUUGAAAACAUAGUGAGGACAUUUCUUAACCAAAUAGACAACCUUAUAAAACACUUUGGGACUGGGACUCUUAGAAAAUUUUCUAGAUUUUUGGAUUUUAAUCAACAUAUAAUCAGUGGGUACCAAUCAUAUACUGGGUUAUGAGUGGUAUGAUUAGUUGUAUGCUGAGCAGUGUUGGUUAGUGGGAUUGGAGUGGUUUUUAGAAUGGCACGACUUAGGUUGGUAUGAGUUGUAUGGUUCGAUACAGGUCAUUUGAUUUGGGUGUUUCCUUCACUUAAUCUUAGACUUGAUAGACUAAUUUGGAUAUGAGUAAGAGGGGUUCACCAUGAUCCAUAAGCUAGGGUAUGAGUCGUACCAUGAACUUGUAUGGUGGACAAUGUUCAAACCGUUUGUGAUUCUAAUCUUCCAGUGGUAUGGGUCAUAUGCUUUGGGUAUGACUUAGUUUGGGUAAGUUGUACCUUGGACAGUAUUGGGUCCAAGUGGUAGGACAAGGGUACAAGUGGUGGAUACCACUCGUAUUGGAGGGUACGAUUGGUAUGGUUAGUCAUACCUUCUGAUAGGAAUUUUAUGCAGUUUAAGUGAGGGAAAUCUGGAUAUUUCCCUACUUAACCUAAUAAGGCCUCAUGACUUUUAACAUACUUGUGAGGUUAUUUGAUCUAUUAUUCUAUUCAUUAACACUUAGAAAACACUCUCUAAUCCUCUCUAAGGAUUUUGGGUAAAGGAAGGCUAGGGUUUCACUAAGGUGAUCAAUCUGGGGCUUGUGUUGGUGAUUUGUCUCCAUUAUCUACUCAAUUUAAGGAAAGAUACUUCUCCCAUAUUAUUAGUUCUAACUGAAGUCGUGUUUUAUACAAUGUUUUCAUGGCAUGAUUAUUGUAUGGUUUUGGGGUUUUCAAAUAUAUGUUGGGGUUUUGGUAUUAAAUGCUCGUGUUUUAAUUAUAUUUUCACAUACUUUAAUGGUGGUUUGGACAAUUUGUUGUAUAGAAUGGUUAAUUGGUAGUUGGAAUUGAUUUUGGAAAUACCACAGCCCCAACAUGUUUAAUAAAAGGCCUAUGAUAAUGCUUUUACUAUAUUAUUGGAUUAUUAAUGGAACUAUUGCAUGGUAUAGUUUGGUGAUAAAAACCUAAAUGAUAUAAAUGGUAUAAGUGAUUUAAAUUAUUUGGAAAGGUCAAUUGGUAAGGUUUUGGUGGUCAUGGUUAUGGUUUAAUUAAAUUUUCUUGUGGGGUACAAGGGAAUCCCCAAAGUAAACAUGUUAAUGAACAACUUCUGGGGUAUAUAGGAUUCCCCCAAGAAACUUAAUAAUAGAACACUUGUGGGGUACGCGGGACUCCCCCAAGUUAAUUGGGUAAUGUAAUCGAUGGGGUACAUAGGAAUCCUCUAAGGUUGGAAAAGGACAUUAUUUGCAAACUAUAGUUGGUAUGACGAUACCACUACUCAUAUUAUUUGUUAAUAAUAAUGGUUUAGUUGGAUGGAAAUAGUUUAAAUUGGGCAAUAAUGACGGGGUGUGAUAGCUAACUAUGAAGGUGAUGCAUGGAUACCGGAAACUCAUGUUUGCUGACAAAAGAGGUUGGUCGUGGAGACCAUAUAUGAUACUAUGAGGUAUGCGAGAAUUCUCUAGGCACACUGUACAUAUGCAUCAUGGAGCGUGAAGGUACUUGGGAAUACCUUACUACUAUGGUAUCUCUGGUUUGUAUGGCUACACGCAUCAGGGCUCGUUCAGGGGGUUACAUCGAACCCAUAUAGCCCAUGGGUAGUUUUAAGAAAGUUAAGAUACACAUACCCAGGUUAAUAGUUUUAAAUGCAUGCUAAACUCGGAUCCCUUUCUCAGCAUGGUUAUAUAUAUAUGUAUGGUUUUUUUUGCAUAUGAUUGGCUUACUUGGUUUUAAUAGUUGGCAUUAUUUUAUCCCUAUCCUGAGUGCUUGUUAGCGUUCACCUGAUAACCCAUCCUUGAGUAGUUGUAUCCCCAUGUGAUAUAGGAACCGACCAUUCUACUCCUCCUACAUAGUGAUCGAAUCUCGAAAUCAGCUCAGUUGGAUUUAAGGGGUGAUCUUCUAUAUUUUGGAAGGCUCCAUUUCAUAUCAUGGACAUCUUUACCUACUUUGGGUAUUUUAUGGAUAUUUGUUUUGGCUAUGGUUAGGGGCAUGUGAUAAUCGAAUAUUUUUUUUCUUUUGGUUAGAGACUUUUGUGGAACUACUAUGGGUUGGAAUGGGCAGGAUCGGUAUUGGUGUUAGCCUUAGUAUUGGCAUUGGUAAUAAGGUUGAUACUGUUAGACGAAAUGUAACGCCCCAAAAAUGGAUCUCGAGACGUCACAUGGUGCUCAAGACUAUGAGUAGUCCUAAGAUAACCCUAUAAGCCUUUUUUUUAGAUCUGAAACUUAAGUCAAGGAAAACUAAUCAAGAAAUAAUACUAAAUUAUAUCAAAACUGAACCGAAAUCAACUAAAUGUACUGUCUAAAUAACUAAUACAGAAGGUCUGAAUAAUAACUAGUAGUCCGACAACCCUUUACUACUAAGAACUAUAGAUUCGUUGGGUCAAGCCCCCAACUGACUUGAACUGAACUGAAGAUAACAAAUCAAGUAUUACGAAAUCGAGAAAUCUGUAUGAAUGGGCCCUCAAACCAUGAGAACUCACCAAAUGUCGAGAUGUAGAAAGACAUGCCCGAAAUCACUCUCACUACUAAGACUGAGCACCUAAACCUACAUUAUUAAACAAUCUAGCACAUAGACGUAUAUAUGGAUAAUUACUUUGAGUAUGUACUGAGAAUGUGGGGGUGAAUGCAUAAGUAAAAAUGAUAUCUCAAUAUUAUUAAAGUUCAUAAAAUUUGCAUGCUAGAAUGUAAUGACUCACAUGGCUUUAAUAUCUGAAAGUUGAAAAUCAUAAUUCAUGGAUAAUAAACCAUACUGUGUAAGUCUGGUGAGCCAUCACAUUUAAAGUCUAAAAGAUGAACUGUUAUCAACCAUUCUUUUCUAGUGGGGAAUUUCUUUUAAAAAUUGUUCUAUAGGGAUUUUAGGCUGUAGGGUAAUUCUGUCAAAAGCUGUUUUAUUAUUUUUACUAGUAGGGAGGUUCUUCUAACCGGCAUACACUAUGUGAGCUAUCAUAGUGUCCAAUGUCUAGUUCUCCUAAAGAGAAAACCUCACAUUGGGAGAGGUGUCAUACUCUUACAAAGGAGUAUAACCUGAGCUUAGUGAUCAGAUUUGUAACUGCUAUCCAUAUAGAAAUGGGAAUACUGAAUUUGUACCUACGUUGGCUCGUAGUUGAAGGAAAGUAUAAUGCGCUAAACCCACACUUCCUUUUCGGUGCUAAAUACUACUCCCUUUAAUUUGUAUGCUCAUUCUGAAGGAAAUCCACUUUUAAAACUAUUAUAAGGGUUUAUAUUGAAAACCUCUUGUGAAUCUGCUUACUGUAAACUGUAGCUAAAACUGUAAAGUGGAUUCCAGAUCUCGGAACACCAUACUCGGAUACCAGUAUAGAAAGAGGAACAACACCAACAGUCUAUGGAGUACCAUAUAUUGAUGUUGGUACCACUGGAGGAUCCACACUCAGAGCUGAAGAAACACCAUAGGCAGGCUCUCACACAAAUGUAGGUACAAUACUUAGAGCUAAAGGAACACUGCGUGCACUCAAAGGAACACCCUCCAAACGAGUCCUCAAAUGAAUCAAUAACUCCUCCAACACUAGGGUAGAAGAACUCUAUAUGAUCGGAGUGGGCCACAUAUCUUUAACAUGCUCAACUUAAGGCUUAGCACAAGUCCCCAUAUACUACCUUUAGAUGGGGAAGAUCCUCAUGUCUGUCCUCUACCUCAGGCCUGUCCAUGACUUGCAACUCGCCCCCUUGACUGGGCUCUCUCUUUGGAUGAUAACUCUGUAUCUCUAGCCUCAAGAGAUCUAUUCCUCACAAACUGCAGAGAAAGGAGUGAAACUCAAAUUAGAAUAUAUGGUAUGGAAAAACCUGCACGAUAAGGAACAAAAUAAGGGAAUUUUCCUAAAUAUAUCUUCUAGCCUAUCAAAGAUAGAUACAAAUAUUUACGUACAUUUGUGAGACUCUACUAGACACCCUAUUCUUACACUGAUGAGACCAAUGAACCUAGGUGCUAUGAUACCAAUUUGUCACGAUCCAAAUACUAAGGAUUAUGAUGGAACUUAUCGUGGCAAGCCUUGCUAAGUAAGCCAAACACCCAAAGUAAUACAAAAUAAUAAAACAACACCAAAACCCAAGGUAAAACUUCUAGAACAAAGUCGAACCACACGGACACAAUAAUAGUGGAAAAUAUGUAGCAAUAUACCAUAAAUCACCCAAAAUUUUCUUGUCGCAUUGUAAGAACCAACUAAGUACAUCUUGAAGUCAAAAUAAUACAACUGAUAGUUUUGAAAACAACAUAAGUCCAUCUCUGAAACAUAGUGAGACAUAAACUAGAUAAGAAGGGAUAUGAGAUCGAUUUAGAAGCAUAGAUCAAUCGCUACCUCAAAAAUACUCCAAGCACUUCUCGAGAUCAGCUACCACACGGCAUACUCAUACAUAGAUCUAUAUCGAAAGGACACAGUAAGGAUGAGUACGGUACACUUGUACUCAGUAAGUAUCAUAAACCAACUGAGCAAAAUAGAAAAUAAAGUAUAUAAAAUAUACACUAUGGGUACGUCACUUGUAAUCAGAAAAUUUCCCAAAUGGUAGCCCACACUGUCUCCACUAACUCUAAAUAUCAACAUAUAUACCAAGUACAAGUACAAAAAAGAAGCAACGAAACAUAGAUCAAUCAAGCACAAAGUACAACAUAGAAAAAUACAUAAUGUAUGAGAUGAAAUAAGAAUGAUGGUGCCCGAUAUUUUUGCACACCCUCCGUGUACACCUAUUGAGCUCUACUCCAGGGUAGGACCUAUAGAGAGUUUGCAAUCCUUAUACAAUCCAAUAACCAAACACCUUUCUAGCACAUGAUCUUUGGCAAAGGAUUUUUAAAUAUGUCACAUUUUCUUAGAAAAAUGGGUAUUUCUACAGUGGUACUAAUGCCUCAUGAUGUAUAUAAUAUGAGGAUGUAACGCUCAUAACCAAAAACAGAAUGGGAAUUUCAGAAUACAAACAGUAUACCAAACUUGAGCUGAAAAUUCACUAAAUAAGCCAACCAUCCAUGAUCCAAGAUAAUUCAUGUACCAGUAGAGUAAGAUAUGCAAUAAUAUGUCAUUGAUAAAACAUAAAUUCCAACUUAGGCAAUUUUCACCAAGAAGAAAUGUAUAAAUACCAAGACAAAACAUCAUAUAAGACCCCACACUAUCACACAUAGCAAAUAAUAUCUCAAACCGUGAAUAACAACAACCUAGGCCCCCACACUGGCAUAAAACAGUAAUAACACCAUUUUCAUGAUUAGUACCCACACCCAUAACAUAUUUUUUUGUAUCAUUAUUAACUAGCCAACUCAGUCUAAAAGAAAUUAAGCCAUAACCUACCUCAACGAAGAAAAUCUAAUCCAAAAGACUCCAAUCACAUAGUAUUUCCCUCACAAACGACCUUAGUUAAAAUAUAUAAAUAUAGGAUCUGCACAUCAAAAAGAAAACGAUGAUACUCAUAUUAUCUAUUUUCGAGUCGGGGUCAAAACGGACCCCCUAAAUGGAUUUUUAAAAGAGAAGGGUAAAAUAAAAAUUUAUUUAAUAAAUAUAUUUCUCAUGAUUAAAGAAAGCGAGAGAAGAAAACCUAAGUGAAAAUGGGUUGAAAUUUGAGUUUAGAUCUAAGAAAUGCUAAUUUAGGUCUUUUGAGCUAAAACCCUAAAUUUCACUUUGGAAAUCAUGACAUAACAAGCUUUAGAUGACAAGAAUCAAAUAAAAAUAAUUGAACUAGGAAUUUGAAUCUUAUCCAAACUUGACAAUGGAAGAAAUCAUCUAAAACUCUAAAACCCGAAGCUUCAAGCCUCAAAAAUGGUGAAAAAAUUGAGAAAAAAUCUACAUAUUAUAUAUAUACAUAUAUAUAUAUAUAUAUACAUAUAUAUAUAUAUAUAUAUACAUAUAUAUAUUGUAUGUAUAUAGAUAUUGUGGAAUAUAUAGAGAGAGAGAUAUAUGUGUAGUGCCAGCAUUGACCGUUGAAGCAAUCAAAUGGCCACUUUAGCAAUCACCGUUAAAUUGGACAAGGGUUGAUUUAGCGGCCUUCGCUAAAGUGGAUAGGGCACCGCUAAAGUUCCUUUCCCAGCUGGAGCCAGCCUCUAACAUAGCAUAGCGGCAUUUUGGUUCCUACUGUUAAAGCGGCCAAAAUGACGCUUUACCAGCUGAACUUGAAAUUUUUUUUUCAUGUUUUCGGUGGGGCCCUUGAGAUUCAUUCAAAAUUCCUAGAAUGCAAACGAGAUAUGCUACUAAACUAAAUUCAACGUUUCAUACUCUAUGGAGAUAUCAGAUUUUUUAAACAACAUCCUUUUCACAAAAUUGACCCUCGAGAUCUAAUUUCACAACUUUCUGAAUCAACGUCAAAAUGAGAUAUCAAAGCCUUCAAAUCACACCAACUAUGUUACCAACCUAAAAUUGAUGUUUCAGAUAUGAUGGCAUAGUCCGUUUUGUCAUUCGAUACACAAAAUAAUAAAUAUUGACCAAAGUCAACUAUAAAGCCUUUUUAGCCUACAAAAAAUUAUAAACUCUCAAAAAUUACAUCAAAAUACAUUAGGAAUUAUAUCAAUAAAGCAACCACCGGGAGAAGUAAAAUGGUCAAAUCACACGAAAAUAAAUAAUCACGUACAAAAAUCAAGUCAUUACAUUGAUUUUUGUGUAUUGUUAGGGGAUUCCUUGCUUACAUGGAAGGCCAGGCAGUAGCUAGUUGUUUCAUUGUCGUUUGUUGAAGCGGAGUACCAGUCUUGUAGUAAAUUUGUUGUUGAGUUAACUUGAUUGUGCGUCUGCUUUCUGAUCUUAGCAUCACAGUCCACCUUCCUAUACAUAUUUAAUGCGACAAUUGGGUUGCUAUUCAUAUAAAACCUGAUCUUCCAUGAGAAGACGAAACACAUCAAAGUGGAUUGCCACUUCAUUCGUACCAAGCUUGUUGAAGGUCUAGUUGAUUUGCUUCUUAUUCCCAUGACACGCCAGCUUGCGGAUAUCUUUACCAAGUCCUUGACUAGACUUAUCCAUCAUUCUAUUUUGCUCAAGCUGGGAGCGCAUACCGCUCCAACUUUCUCGGGGGGUGGAGCUAUCAGAUUACAUAAACUCAGUUAGUGUUAUUAGUGUGGUUGAACAUAUUACAUGAGCCCAUAUUUAUUUGUAGUUCGGGUCAAUGAGCUCGCUAGUAUAUAAUGGACAAUAGGACUUUCUAGAAGACUGACUUGGUACUCUCAAAUAAUUUUUAUUUUUGGGAAAUAGAAAAGCUCUUUCUCUCUUCCUUUUCUCUCAACAGCCCAAAUUAGGAUUGCAAGUAAUCUUUAAUUUACUGAAUUUUGACACGAACUUAUAUACUCAACAUGGAUUCAAAUUAGUCAGGCUAGUGAAUUAUUCAAAUAAUGAAUGAUAAAACCCAAAAAAGAACAAUUAAAAAUGCUUUACGAAAAGCCAAUAUAUAUAUUGGUGUUUGGUGAUAGGUUUGGGAGAUUCAGAAUACCAGUAGAGUGGAGUCCAUAUGGAGAAUUAGAAGUAGCAUUGGACUCAAAUGAACAUGAAAAUGCAUGGAUAUGUGUAGCAUGAAUCCUGCUUAUUUAGGCAAGAAAUACAGAUAGAUGAACUUUCAAAUAUGAUUAAUAUAAUUUAGUGAGAAAAUCUUAGAAGAAUUUAUUGAACCCUAAGCAGCGAAACCUCCUCAAUUACCAUGAUAGGACCCAAGUCCUGCUCAUCAGGAAACCUCUCUACUGCAAAAGAGUUUGAUAAGUGACAAUCAUAGAUAAGUUUCAUGAUAGGACUCAAUAUCCACACAUGCACCAAUCAUAGAAGAAAAAGAAGGGGUCUCUGAUUUCAUUUGAUUCCUUCAUACCCAAAUUGAUUGGACCAAUCAUAUGAGUUCUGAUAUGGAUGGUUCAAAUCUUUCACUCUUAACUAGAAGUCUUAGGUCUUAGUCCGUAAAAAUAAAAAAAAUUCUUUUAGGGAGCAUCAUUCCCAAAAUGGAUCCUACAAUGCAUGAAUCCAAAUUUAAUCAGGUCUCAAUAUGGAUACCAAACACCAAUGAAAACAAAAAGAUCGACUAGAUCUCAAUGUAUCUAUCUCAAGUCUCAUCCCCUUUAUGGGUUUUUGGAUUUUCACUAAACAAAAAGAAAACCGACUAGAUCUCAGUCUCUAUCUCAAGUCUCAUCCCCUUAUGGGUUUUUCGAUUUUCACUUUGUUAUCCGUGUAGUAUAUACUUUCGUGGGGCAUGAAUUAAUCUUGAGGUUCUUAAGACAUAACAAGUUAUGCCUCUUACAUGUUAAAUAGACGUAAGUUGUGUUCAUAAUUUAAUUCUACUUGAAUAUAUUUUCAUAGAGGCAUAAGAUUAGUUUCAUGACCCACAAAGUUAUGUCUUAAGCAACAUAACUUAUUCUCACCGAAAUUUUGUCGGGCUCUGUAAACUUAUGCCAUGAAAAUUAGAUACUACACACACUAGUGCCAAAUAAGGAAACCUUGGAGUAACUGGUAAAGUUGUCUUCAUGUGAUUAGAGGAUCACAAGGUCAAGACUUGGAAAUAACCUCUAGCAGAAAUGCAAGGUAAGGUUGCAUAAAAUACACUAUUGUGGUGGAGCCCUUGACCCUGCGUAGCGGAAACUUUAAUGUACCAAACUGCCUUUUUUUUAUACUUGUGUCUGAUAAGACAAAACUUCUCUAAACCUAUGUCUUGUGAGAUUUGGCCAUAGUUAAGGGUACUUUAGCCCAUAUAUUUUUUUUAAAUGAGCAACUGAGCUAAAGGUUAAAAACCAUCAACUUGAGAGGCAAAAAUCAAAGAUAACCCCGAAAAAAAAGGCUCCAUGCAAAAACACAUAGUAUUAGUCUUCCUACGUCCAUAUUUGACUUGAUACACUCCUUAAGAAACAAUAUAUAUAUAUANNNNNNNNNNNNNNNNNNNNNNNNNNNNNNNNNNNNNNNAUAUAUAUAUAUAUUAUACGUCAUAUAAAUAUUGAUGGAUGAAUAGUAAUAAAUAAUACGAUAAACCGUUAUAUUGAUUAUCAAGUAUUGUUUGAUUAACUGUGGAAAGCAUCAUAUCAAUAUAAUCAAAAUUUGUAACGGUUUAUACAUAUAUAUUGCAUUCAAUGUUACUUCUAGCAACACUAAAGACACAGAUUCUGUUAAUCAAGAUAUUUGACACAUGUUUCUCGCAUCAAGAUAGAUGACCCAAAAAGUGUCCCCUAGCGAAAGGCAAAAUUAGGAAUAAGAAAAUAAAAGUGAUAGUUGAGAUAUAAAGAAAAGAAAAUCUAUGUUCUAUAGCACUAAAUUAAUUUAACAGAUUAUUAUGACAAAUUAGUUAUUGUAUCUUUCAAAAUUCAAAUUAAUACUAGUCCAAAAGAACUUAUACUUGAUUUAUAAGUAUGAAAUUCUUUAAACCAGUUAAUGCAUACACAAAAGAUAAAACUCAUAUAUAAGCCUCGUUUAUAUCAUGUUAUUUUAUGAACUUCCCCCAUUUACGGUAAUUUAUAAUAUUUGUUUAGUUGAUAGUAGUAUAUAUAAUCUAUAAUCUAUAAUCUAUAAUCCAUAAUCUAUAUCUAUAAUAUAUUAAAAGUGUGAAGGCCCUUAGAAAAGUGAUUUGAACAUUUUACACUUCAUUAAAACACUAUUUUUUAGACAAAAUCGUCUUUUUAUUAUUUUUUUAAAUUAUAAUUAUUCUAAAUACUAAUAAUAUAUAUUUUUGGAAAAUAAAAAAUCACCAUUAUUAAAAGAGUCUGAAUUAUAAUACCUUAUAUUUGGCAAAUAAAUAUAAUCGUAGAAGUAAAAUAAAAUUUCUUUAUUAAUGUAGAACUGUACAACUUAUUUAUAUAUUUUUGGAAAAAUAAAAAAUUACCAUUAUUAAAAGAGGCCUAAUUAUAGUACCUUAUAUUUGGCGAAUAGAUAUAAUGUAGAAGUAAAGACUAAAAUAAUAGUUGGGCUGUCUUGCCAGCUUUUUUAAUGAAGAAGAAAAAGAAGAAGAAUAUGAAAUCGUAUGAGUCCCAGGAAGCCUUUGAGCAAUAAGAAUUUUUUUAUUAUUCUUAGCAUGAUGGUAACGUUUCUCCUUAAAUUUUGGAUGGGAGAUCAACAUGUUACAAGAUUUCGAAAUACAUUUGAAUCGAAGAAGAGAUUGAACAGGUCACCUGAUAAGAAUUUCCACUAUUAUUUCCUCAGGGAAGUAGAUUUCCCGUGCUUUAACAUUUGGAAACAUCAUCUUCUUCUUCUUCUUUCCAAUAGAAAAACAGACAAAACGAAGUGGUGAUUUGAAAAGUUAAGUGUUUUCUCCCAUGGGUUUCUCAAGUACAUAUUAGGUGUUUUUAUAGAAAAGCCUUUUUCCUUGUUUCUAGGUACAUGCUAUUAGGGUUUUUGUUAUCCUAUAACGUGUAAGUUUUCAGUCAAUUGCUGCUAUAUUUUGGUGGUAAACUUUUAUUAAUUAAAUAUUUUGUUGUCAGAUUACAUCUUUAAGCUCUGGAUAAGAGUUGAAUACUCAUCAAUAAUAUUGAAUCAAAUUGUUUGCUCCAUAUAUUUGGUGGUAAAGACAGUUUGGUUGGAGACUGAAUUUUUGCGAUCAUUAUCAUAUUGUUUUAUUGUAGUUUAUAGAUCGUAGAUUAAUGUUGAUUAGCUUUGAGUAAUUUUCUAUGUAAAGAUUAGUUUUAAUUGCAUUGUUUUGAUAUCUAUAUUAUUAUAUUAUUUUAUUUUAAUUUACAGGUAGUCGAUGAAUGUCGGUCGGCUUUGAAGAGUUUUUUAAGGUAAAGAUUAGGUUUAACUGUAUUGUUUUAAUAUCUCUAUUAGUGUAUUGUUUUGUGGUAGUUUACAGGUCGUAGAUGAAUGUUGAUCAACUUUGAGGAAUUUUUGUGUGUAAGGUUAGGUUUAAUUGUAUUGUUUUGAUAUCUCUUUAAUUUUAUUGUAUUGUUUUGUUAUAGUUUACAGGUGGUAGAUAAAUGUCGACUGACUUUGAAAAAAAAUUUUUAGGUAAAAAUUAGGUUUAAUUGUAUUGUUUUGAUAUCUCUAAUUUGAGAAUUUCUUUUAUGUAAAUGUUAGUUUUAGAUGUAUUGUUUUGAUAUCUCUAUCAUCAUAUUAUUUUGUUUAAUGUUCGUUGACUUUGAUAAAAUUUUUGUGUAAAGGUUAGAUUUAAUUGUAUAUUAUUUUCAUAUCUCUAUCAUUAUAUUGUUUUGUUAUAGUUUACAAAUUUAGAUGAAUGUCAAUCGACUUUGAGAAUUUUUUUGGUAAAGGCUAUAUUUAAUUAAAUAAAUUCUCCAUCUUUACAUAUUCAAAAGAUGUUGAAUUUAAUUAUUAUAUGCAUCUUUAUCAAUUUAAACAAAUAUCCUAUUUAGUGUAAUAUUUGAAUUCGUUAAAGUGAGAUACACGUGCGAAGCGCGUAUACCUAAACUAGUAAUAAUAAUAUCUUGUGAACGUAGGCAAGAAAGCUCUUGACGUCAUAUGACAGUGUUAAAGACAUCAUUAUUUAAUUUCCAAACCACAUGAGGAGAAACAACAACAACAUAUCCAAUGUACUCCCACAAAGUGAGGUCUGGAGAGGGUAAAGUAUAUUACUCCAUAUGAAAAAAAUUCAAAAAUAUUUUGUAUGAAUUACAUCGAAGAGCUGGAGAUAUAUAUACUCCCCUCGUCCCAUUUCAAUUGAAGAUUUAAUUUUAUAGUCUUUUCUAAUUUAUUCUUUGUUUUAUGUUCUUUUACUAGAGAUUUUUUCAUUUUUAUACGUGAGAUAUCUCAAAGGAUCAUUUUUUCUAAAAAAAUAAAAUAAGGUACAUUUUACUAAGUUUUCUUAUUUAUUAGAUUUUUUUUUGAGAAUUGAGUAAAAAGAACUACUACUUCUUUAUUAUACUAGAGUUAUAAGAAAAUUUUGGUAAUAAAAGAGAUAUAAAAAUAUGUAAUUUAAAUAAGAAGGUAGCUAUUACACAUUGUUGGAUUGAGUUAUUAUUUUCUGUAUUUGACGAAAGCAUGACUCCUACAGUCAUACUGUAUUAUAUGUUUACGAAAUCAAAGUGUUGCUCUUUAACUGCUUAUAAAUUAGUUUCUUAUCAUGUUUUACAUAGGAACGCAAUAUAGAAGGAAAUAAAAUAUUUUUGUAUAGGAGAAGAACACAUAGCAACCACAAUCAAUCUUAUUAUUUGUUCCAGUCAUGCAAAAAUACUCUAUUUUUAAUUAAGUAGAUGCAUUUAGAGAAUAUAUAUUCCAUAAACUGAAAUAAGAGAAUAUAUAAAUAAUAACCAUUAAGUUUUCCACGGCAGUCUUUAAUAUGAUGUUCAUCAUCAGUGUUUGGAUUUUUCAAAUAGGUUUAUUAAUCAUAUCUACAAUGAGUUUGGAGUGCAUCUCAAGGAUCACAUUUUGCAUUCCCAGAGAAGAACUAUAUUGAAGACCAACCAAAGCAGCUUUAAUCUCAGCCAAAUCAUCUCUCCAUCUCGAUUCAUGAUAAUGCCUCCUGCUCUCCUCAAUCCACAUAGUGAGCUUCCAUCUGAUUUGAUAUUGCACCUAAUUAGAGGAGGUUUCACCCAUUAAAUUGGGAUACUGAUGAUGGGAGGGACAUAAUUAUCUGCAAUACAACAAGUAUCUCUCCAAGACAAGUGAAGGUUAAUAUCACUACCCAUCCCGUAGUUCUAGCUUUUGUUAGGGUGUAAGUUCCCGGUUAGAGUAUUUUUGCUAGGAUGAGAGUUGCUAAAAUCUCAGGCUAGAGUGAUUUCUGUCAGAAAUCUGGUGUUUUGUAGUUUACACAUCGUUUGUGCCUCGUGGUGUAGCGUUUGAUGAUUCCGAGGUUAUUUCAGAUAGAGUAGAGGUAUAGUAGUCCAUGGAAACUUUUGGAAUGAGAAACUGAAUCAUAGUAGAACUCCAGUUGUACAUUUGCCGCGAUGGCUUAUACCUGUGUUGUCGAAAAACCAAGUGUGUGUUGUGAAAUGGCGCCGGGAAUCCUAAAAAGUCCCCCAGAGUUACUUUUAGGCACCGCUAGAGUGGUCCACUGACGCUGUAGAGGGGUUGCCAUAGCAAGCAGCCGACCGCCAUAGCGGGUAGAUAACCAUUGUAGCGGAUCGUCAUAGCGAGUAGAUGAUCGCUACAGACUGGUUCCCGAUUUUAGAAUAUAUUUUCUUCCUUACAUCCAAAAACUCAUCCUAAGGCUCGAGAGAGGCGAUUUCCUACCAACUACGGUAAUCUCCAUUGAUGAGGUAUGAUAAUUACACCAUUCUAACAUAAUUAAUUAAUUUAAGUGAAAGGGUCAAAUAUGCCUAUCACAAAUGGUCAUUUAUGUUAUCCGUUAAAAAUUGGGUUCAUUUAUGCCAUUGCCGUUACAAAACUGGCUCAUCUAUACCAUUACUUUUUAACAGCCGGUUUUUAAAAACAAUCUUGGCACGUGACAGCUUAUUAGAGGGUCACGUCAUUUUUUAUUUUUUUUUAUUUUAUUUUUAAAAUUAAUUUUUCUUUUAAAUUUUUUUUUGAUCCAUUAAAAAGAAUCCACUCAAUUUUUUGAUCCAUUAAAAAUAAUUUGAUCUGUGCUUUUAAAAUUUGAUUAAUUUUUCAUGAUCAAACAAAUAUUUAAAGAAUUUUUUUUUUAAAUCUACUACUAAAAUUUAUUUUCAAACGCUAUUCUAAUUAAGCAUAUAGUAUGUCUUAGCAUACAUGAAAUAUUUUGUCAGCCGAAUGUAAGUAACUUUUUAUUUUUUAAUUUAUUUUUUCUAUAAAUAGUAUUUAAUAUAUUUCUUAAAAUUUAUAAUUUAUUAUUACUAAACAAAAAUAGGCUCCUCAAAUUUUGGGGUCUUAGGCGGUCGCCUUUUCUCCUAAAGGGUUGAGCCACCCCUAAUCAGCAUUCAACAUUUGUACGUAACACUUUAUGCACCAUCAUUUAUCAUUACAAAAACAAGAAGGCGACAACAUGCUGACGUAUAUAGUAUACGUACAGUUGGUAAAAUGAGAAGCUAACUAUUAAUAAUAUAAUAAUAAUAUUUGAUGUUUAUAUAUCUUUCAGUUUCAACUGAAAAAUGACAAAGCUUUAGUUAACGUGAAUCUUUAAAGAAAAAUAAAAAAUAAAGUGAUAAAAAGCGUGGAGUGUAUACUCUCUCCGUUCCCUUUUAGUUACUCGCCCGUCAAUUAAAAUAGCUAUUUUAUUAUAAUAUAUUUAUUAAAUGAUGUUUACUAUUGUAUUUGAAAUUAAUUUGAAGAAAAAAAUAAUUAAUAUUAAAGGUAAAAUAUGAAAACAAUCUUAAUAUGUCAAAAAUGACAAAAAAACGAAUCGAACGAGAAUGUUUUAAGAAUAUAUUCAUGAAAAAUUAAUCAAAUUUUAAAAACAUAGAUCAAACUAAUUUUCAAUGGAUCAAAAAUUUGUGAGGAUUCUUUUUAAUGGAUCAAAAAAAAUUAUUUAUUUUUAAAAAAAAAUUAAAAAUGACGUGGCCCUCUAAUAAGUUGCCACAUGACAAGGAUGUUUUUAAAAAUCAUCUGUUAAAAAGUAAUGGCAUGGAUGAGCUGGUUUUGUAACGGCGAUGGCAUGAAUGAGCCCAAUUUUUAACGGAUGACAUAAAUGAGUUAUUUCUAAUAGUUCAGUGGCAUAUUUGAGCCUUUUUCCUUCAUUUAAUUCAUAGAAUCGUUAUAAUGGGGGUUUAUGGUGAAAUUCUUGAGUUUAGAUCCUAAUUAAGUUAAUAUUAGUGAGAAUUACGUGUAGAUUAAAUCACUUAGGUUAGAAUUUCUCUUAGUUUUAUUUCAUAAAAUCAAAAGUUUCGUCCAAAAUUUCUAAGAAGCGAUUUCGUCGAGGACUAGGGUGAUUUCCUGUUGUAAUUCAAUCUUCUGUUACCCUAGAGUCGUUAGGAAAAAUUGUUAGGAUGAGGUAGUGGGUUAAAAAUCCCAAGUUCAUGAAUUUGAGGGAAAAAAUCUAUGUUAGAUGUAAAAUCAUCUAGAAUUACUUUUAGGGUGAAAAAAAAACACCUCCUAUCAUGGAAUUAGUACUCUUGAACGUAAAUUAUGGAAAUUGUUGGACAUUUGGUGAUUGAAAAAUUCUUAGUUGAAGCCAUGGGCUAUAAAAAGAGUUAGGACUAGUUGGCUUGAAUCCCCAAGGUUGGACUUGUUUUGUUUUCUUAUUAAAUAAAUAAAACGAGCCCAUAGGGUCCAUAUACAAUCCCCUCUUCCCCAAAAGAAGAACCCCCAAGGCUUAAAUUGUAGAGUAAAUGAUUAUUUAUUCUUGUAUUUAUUUAUUUCAGACCAUGAACAAUUUGAUACAUUGAGAAAAUGAAAAGUUUUUGCAAAUUAGCUUGGACUUUACCUUCUUCGAUUGAGGUAGGUUUUGAAGGGUAUCGUAUGGUUCUCACACUGAAGGAUUAGUGUGGAUGUCACUCAUGAUCAUUUUGAUCAUGAAAAAACUGGUACCAUAGUCCUAGAUUUGUCGAUCUCAUAAUAUAAGGACUUGUCUAGUUGAAUCUUGAAGAAUAGUACAGAGACGUAUGUACUUUUCUACGAGAGGGUACCAGACAUAAGAAAAACUCAACUUUCUUUCUUUUGUGCUAUUACUUGAUUUCAAUUGGUAUCUAAUGAUCCAAAUUAGUAUCUGACCUCUAUCCCUAUUUUCUCGUAUGUGGUGAGAGCACUUGCGACAGAAGCAAGGGCAAAGGCACCCAAAUCGGCCAGUAGGGCAGCAAUUUGUGGUAGAGGGCAAGUGAGAGGAGGAGAAAAAGGCAGAGAAUGGAAGGUGUCACUUACAACCAUAUGGGCCGUGACAAAUAAGUACUCCCUCUAGUUUUUUUUUUUUGUCGUGAUUAUUGAAAUACUCGAUUCAUAAUAUGACAAGUAAAAUUAAAUGAAUUGAAUAACAGAAUGUUCAAUAUUGAAAUUAUGUAUUCUUCAUUAAAAUUAUGCAAAAUUUUAUUUCAUUAUAAUUAAAAUGUAUAAUAGUUCAUUCAGAGAUUACAUAGAGAUUGCAUUAAAUGUACUCCUAGCAACACUGAAGACAUAAGAAUUUCGUUAAUUUCAAUACUUGAAAUUAUAUGACACAUAUUUCUCACUCAAAGAUUGAUGAUCAUAAAAGUGUUUUUACAAAAAGAAAAAAUUAGGAGUAACUAGAAAUAAAAAUAACACCUAAGAUAUUUUUAAACUAUUGAUGAUAUAAAGGAAAAAAAUUGCACCAUCAAAUGUAAUUUAAUAGAUUAUUAAAAAAAUUACUUAUUCUAUCUUUCUGAUUAAUGCUAACCCAUAAGAUCAUACAAUUGAUUUAUAUGUGUGAAAAUUAUUUUAACACAUGCAUGUAUUAAAAAUAAAACUCAACUAUAAACCAUGGUAGAUUGAAAUAAUGAUUUCAAUCAUGAUAUAUUUGUUUAGUUGAUAGUAGUAUAUAUAUUAUUCUUGUGUAAACAUAAUAUUUUGACAUCAUAAUUUUCUAAAUAAUAAAAUUAGAGGAAUAUAUAUAUAUAUAUAUAUAUAUAUAUAUAUAUAUAUAUAUAUAUAUGAAAUCGAAUUGGCAGCUUCCACGGGUACCCUUGCUCUAGCUCGCUGGAGGGGGAAAUUUACCUCAAUUUUUUCUCCUUCCUUCAGUCUUUUUCAUAUUCGAUUUUGCUAUUUUAAGAGUUUGUUGAGCUUCUUGUGAUAUAUAUAUAUAUAUAUAUAUAUAUUCUAAUUGGCAGUUUUCACAAGUACCCGUGCUCUUGCUCGCUGGAGAGGUAGAUUUACCUCAAAUUUUUUUGUCUCCUUCCUUCAAUCUUUUUCAUAUUAAGUUUUGCUAUUUUAAGAGUUUGGUGAGCUUCUUGUGGAUCAAUAUUGCAACUAACUCAAUAGAAGAAUGAAAUAGGUGAGAUUGGAGAGGGAAGUUACAUCCAACUUGGGAAGCUCGUAACACUAGUAAGAGGAGUGACCAAAGAACGAGAAGCAAGCAUGUCUACAUGAGGCGAGAGAUCUAGUGCAUAUUUCUACUGAUGAAGAAUAAGAUACAUAUAUAUCAACACACAUUUAUUUUACAUUGAAACUAUCAAAGCUAACAAAGAAAUCAAAUCUGAUUUUCUUACUUGAAUUGAUUGAAUCCAAGUAAAUUGUAUUUUUUCUUUCCAUUUUAACAUGAGAUUUCAUUUUAUAGUCUUAUAAAAACUUAUUUUUAUGUUUAAAUAAAUUUUCUUUUUUUAUACGUAAUACAUAUUCAUUUCUUAGAUAAGAGAUCUCAAAAUAUAAUUUUUUUAUUUAAUUUGUAAGUGUACAUAAGAGAAUAUUUUCUCCUCUUAACCAUCGUUUUAGCUAUUUUCAUGUUGAUUAUAUUUAAAAAAAAAUAAUAAAUAUAAGUUAUAGUUACUAACUAGCCCUUUUUAUGUAUGUUAUAUUAUUUUCUAGAAUUGAGCAGUACUUGAAAGAACUAUUUCUUUAAUGUUAAGGCUAUAGCCAUUGCUAAAUUUAGUCUUGAAUUCCUAAAUUGACAUUUAUUUUUGAAUAAUUUUUUUAAAAAAAUUUAAAGUGAUAGUUAAAAUGAACCAAACGUAGUGUGUGUGUAUGUGUUUGUAUUGGUUAUAUUUAUAGUAUAAUGAACUAAAUAAAUUGAGUUAAGACAAAUUUUUCUGAGAGGGAUCAGAGUAGAUUGUCACAUUGGAUAACGACAUAAAAUAACGGAAUUAAAAAAGGUCCAUAUCUAGCUAGCUAGAAAAGCAUCAGUUCAAACUAAAAACCUACUUGGACACACUUAAUCUAAAACAAAAACAUGACUAGAAGACAAAGAAAAAAGCUACAGAUAGAUAGAGUUGCGGGAAAGGGGAAAAAAUCUGAUCUUAUUUGUGCUUUUCAUCCCCAUUCGGAGGACUUAGUUGAGUUCUUCAAAUCCCUUGGGAACAUCUUCAUUAAUAUUCUCCUCCUCCUCAUCAUCAACAUUGUUCUUCAUGGUUUCAACAAUCAUUUUAUUUUUUUUGCGAGAUGUGCUCUCAGUUUCAAGUGUAGAUGAAGCUCUAUAACGUUUACCACUCUUUGAUGAGAAAGGUGAUGCAUUCAAUUUUAAUGCUUUGGGAAUAAUAUUUAUGCCUUUUGGAAGCUUAUAUUUGGAACUAUGGUUCCAAUCAGAAAAAGAUCUACGAAUUAUGGGUGGAUCAUGGUUAUGCAUACCGGAAUAGGCUACCAAGAAAAAACAAUCAUUCUUUGAACUUUUUUCAAUUUGUUUCCUUGCUUGACAGAGCUCUGAUGUAUUACACUUAAAGUAGUUCCUGUUAUGUCAUAUAUACAAAAUAAUAAUCAGGUCAAACAUAUAUAUGCCAAGUCAUUAAUAUGUACUGACUUUUGCUUUUUGUCACACAAACUGAGAAUGAACAAAAUUUUCAAUAACAUGAAAAAUAAAUGCUAAAGAGAUCAAACCUUGGAAAUGAAGAACCUUUGAUAAACUUCUGACCAUACUUGCGCCAUGACCAUAUAUCAUCUGUGAGUUCCUCUUGAAACAAUUCAUAUGUAGUCCAUAUCGACUGAUUUUUACUAAUUUCAAAUGAAAAGAAUUAAAACAAAACGUUAAACACAAAUAUAUAAAAUAAAAUAAGGGAAAUACUUACCUUUUACGAAUUUGAAUCGGAGGAUUCCUCAUGGUCAAGGUGGAAUCCCACAUCAAGAGUUGUUGUUGCAGAUUUAUACAUUCAUGUGAUAUUGUAGUAGUUGUUGUUGUUGGCACACACUCUCGUGCUUCAACACCUGAUGGUGAAGAAAGAAAAACUUGUUGGCUAACUUGAGCUGGUUGAAUGGGUGGUAAGUAUAUUUGUUGGUUAUCAUUUUGGUUAGUGAUUUUAAAUGGAUUAGCAAUUAUAGAAACAGGAGUUGUGGGGUUUAUGAUGUCAUCAAAUUGAUCAUAUGAUUUUUCCUGACGAGAAAUUGAAAAAUUUGUAGGAGCUAUGUAAUCAAAAUUAUUGUUGUCAACACCAAAAAUUCUGUCAAGAAAAUUCAAAUCAUCAUCAUCAAAAUUUAAUGAUUCGGAGCCUAAGUUAGGAGUUAUAUCAUUACUAGGUCUAUUAAUUCCACAAUUUCUUAUAACUGCGCCUAAAUCCCAAUUGUUGUCAUCCAUUUCAGAUCUAUAUAAAUUAUAUCUAGUUGAUUACAAAAUUAAAAAGAGAUAGAAGCAAGAAAUCUAAAGAAAUUCAAAAAUAUACUUAUAAAAAUUACUAAUAAUAAUUUGGGAGUUGGAAGUGGGGGAGCGUUAAAAAAAAACAUCUAAAUGCUCAAUACCUAGGGAUGAAAAAAAAAAUAAUGAAAGUUGUUUAUUAUAUAGUGCAAUCAAAGGCUUACCUAAUUAUGUCAAGCACAUCUACAUUUAGUUCAUAUUAAUUGCACAUUAAAUAUUUUUUACUAUUUAGAGUGAAUAGGAUUGAUACAUAAGAGAGAAUAUAAAACUAACGUACAAUAAUCUUGUAUAUCUUUUUGUAUAGGAUUUUCAGAAAUUUAAUCUUCCGCCUUCAAAAAAAAAUCUCAAAUAUUUAAACAAAGGUCCCUUAAAAAUAGAAUAUGUGCAAUUUCAAUAUUUUUGUAUGUCAUUUGAUUUUGCAAGAGUAUCGUGACAUAUCGUGAUGAUAACGAAAUAAAAAGAAUAUAAAUGUGAGAUUGAUAUAGAGGUGGAUCCAUGAUUGUGAUAUGAUUGUUGAGAUUUUAAAAUUUGUGAUUAUUUAUGAUAAUUGUUGAUGGCAAUAUGACUUGUAUCUGUCAUUAAUUAACCUAUUUGAAUGACUGUUGAUUGAAACUCCUCAUUAUGUGUUGAUGAUCUUGUUUACUUAUUAUUUAAUUUGUGAUUUAUACUUGUUACCAAGUUGAGUUGGCUUACUAGUACAUAGUGACUUGUAUUAAUACUACUAUAUGAUCUUCUAAUAUUGAGUGUAGACUAUGUUGUAGAGAUUCACACACGAUCUCAUCUCUAGCGGUAUCGAUUGAUUUGAUCUAAAGGUGAGCUAUUCCAUAUUCAUGCUGCCAUGGAUCUUCUUGAUACGCUUGUAUUUCUUUCAGAAAAUGUUUUGUUAUUUUAUAUUAGAGAUAUCUGAAUUUUCAUAUACACUUAUUUUUGAUUAGCGUCCUUAUACGCUGACUUUCGAGUCUUAGGGAUGUUGUUAGUUGUUUUCUGCAUAUUUAUUUGAUUAAGUUUUGGGAUUCAUUAUUUUCUUAGAUAAUUUUUUUUAAUUGAAUUGGUUUAUUCUAGAUGAUAAUGGUACGCUAUGGUUCUCCCACAGAAGGGUUAGUGUGUAUGCAACUAAUGAUUAUUUGAAUCGUGACAAAGAUGGUAUUUGAGCCUUAAGUUCGUCGAUCUCGACAUAUAAGGACAUGUCUAAUAGAAUCUUUAGAAUAGUAUAAAGACAUAUGUGGUACUUUGUUCUACCCGACAAUAGAAAAACUUAACUCUUUCUUUAUUUCGUGCUAUUACUUGAUUUUAAUUGAUAUAUGGUGACUCAAAUUGGUAUCUGAUCUUUUUCCUUAUUUUCUCGCAUAUGGUAAGAACACGUGUAGCAGAAGCAGGGGAAAAGACACUUGAAUUGGCCAAUAGGGCCGUAGUUUGUGUUGAAAAGUGUGAGGAGGAAAAAACAUAGGACGAAGGGUGCCACUCACGUCAUUUGGUUAUGACAUAUUAUUAAUUCUUGUAGUUCAUUUUUUUAUCGUGCUCAUUAAUCUAGUCGGUUCAUAAGAUGACAAGUAAAAUUAAAAUGAUUGAGCAACAGAAUGUUCAAUAUUGAAAUAAUGUAUUCUUCAUUAAUUAUGCAAAUUUUAGUUUAUUAUAAUUAAAAUUUUUAACAGUUUAUACAGAAAUACAUAGAGAUUACAUCCGAUGUACUCUUAUCAGAAUUGAAGACAUGUGAAAAGACAGUUUUGUCUAAAGAAGAGUCUUUUAAUGAAGGAUAAAAAGUUCAAAUUACUUUUGAAAGAGUCUUCACACUUUUAAUAUAUUAUUAUAGAUAUAGAUUGAUGAUAUUAGGAAAAAAAUCUAUACUAUCAAGUAUGACUUAAUAGAUUAAUUAUCAUAAAAAAUACUUAUCCUUUCUUUCAAAUUAAUAUUAAUCCAUAAGAACAUAUGAUUCAUUUAUAAGUGUAAAUUUUUUUUAAACACGGUUAAAGCACGUAUCAAAAAUAAAACUCAACUAUAAACCAUGGCUUGAUUGGAAUGAUGAUUUCAAUCAUGAUAUCUUUGUUUUGUUUUGUUUAUAUAUAUAUAUNNNNNNNNNNNNNNNNNNNNNNNNNNNNNNNNNNNNNNNNNNNNNNNNNNNNNNNNNNNNNNNNNNNNNNNNNNNNNNNNNNNNNNNNNNNUAUAUAUAUAUACACAUAGAGAGUUUUGCAUUGUAACUCUACCAAAACUAGGGGUGUAUAGACCAAACCGUCAAGUCAAAUCGAACUGACGAACCAAACCAAACAAAAAAAAAUCGACUUAUGAUUUGGUUUGAUUGGUUUGACAUUGAAAAAAAAAACGAUCAUUCAUGGUUUAGUUUGGUGUUAGCAAAAAUAAAAUUAAACCGAACCCAAACUGAACCGACAUAAUAUACAUAAUUUUAAUUUUUUAUACAUAAAAAAUUAUUACUUAUAUUCUACUUUCUAAUUACUUUAAACUACUUUUAUUACUUUUUUGUGUUAAAAAAAUAAAUAUACAUUGUUGAGCCUUAAUUAGUCCAUUACUACUAUCGGUCUAUUACUAGUCCGUUACUAGUAGUAUCAGUCCAUUACUAAUAGUCCAAUAUGAAUAUAAAAAGUAAAACCCUAAAACAUUUCAAUUCCCUCUCUUUUCUUUUAUGUGUCCAGAGACAGAGUUCUACUCAUUUUUCCUUUGCUUACUUUCAUAGUUUCACCUUAGUUACUUCAUUCUCUUCAUUCCUCAAGCUAGAUUUAGGUUUGUUUCUCUUCUUUCUCUCCUUUUUUAAUGAAAUUAUGUUAUAGUUAAUUGCUUUAUGAAGUUGAGCUUUUAAUAAGUUGUCUCCAAUUCUUCAUUUUUUAUUUUCUUACCUCUUGAUAUGUCAUUUACCUCUUGAUUCUUGUUAAUCACAAAUCACAAUGUUGGAAUCUGUAUUUUUUUAUUUUUCGUCUAGACUUUAUUUUUAGUUUCUAACUAAUGAUUCCUUUAUGAUGUUUUGUUUAUGUGUUCAUUAGGAUUCACUACUGCUACUACGACAAGUCUUAAGUUGCUGUGUUCGCAUUCUUAGAUGGAGAGUACAGCUAGAACAGAUGUAGAAAUUAUUGUCGACAAAUCUCCGACUCUACCUCAAAAGAGAGGUAAAAGCAUUCCCACUUUCUAUUCUCCUCCUAAAAAUCAAAAAAGAACAACUCCUACAGAUUCCAAUCUCAUAGAUGGUAAUACGGGAAGAGAAAUGUCACAGAUUUGGGAUCACUUUAGUAAAUUUAUUACUAAAGAAGGUAAAUAUAGAGAAAAAUGCAAAUACUGUGUCAAACACUUUGCUGCCGAGACUAAAAGAAAUGGGAAUUCUACAUUAUGGUUACAUUUAAAUGAAAAAUGUAUCAAAUCUCCCUUUAGAGUUGUUGAUAGAAGACAAACAACAUUUAAAACUGUACCGAUCAAAGUAGGGGGACAAGAAGAUGGAACAAGUUCUAUAAAAAUAGUGGUGUAUAAUGUGGAUGAUAUUAAGAGGGGCAUUGUUGAAUUUGUCAUUAUUGAUGAGAAACCAUUUAAGGUUGUUGAAGGGGAAGGUUUUAAAAAAUUGAUGGCCAAAGCUUUGCCAAAUAAUUGUGGCUAGACACUGUUUGAAGAUUUAUCAAGAGGAAAAAGAAAAGCUUAAGAAACUAGUCAUGAAUCAACGUAUAUGUAUUACUAGUGAUACAUGGACUUCACUUUAAAAUUUGACUUAUAUGGUUGUCACUACGCAUUGGAUUGAUGAUGAAUGGAACUUAUAGAAAAAGAUUCUUAAUUUUUUUCAAACACCGGAUCACAAGGGUGAGACUAUAGCUAAAGGUAUUGAGGCAUACUUGUUAGAUUAGGGAAUUGAAAACUUGUUUACAGUGACUCUUGAUAAUGCAACUACCAAUGAUACAAUCAUUAAGCAUUUGAAGGCACAUAUUGAUGAUUGGAAAGGGGUGAUUUUGGGAAAUGAAUUUUUACAUGUUAAAUGUAAUGCUCAUAUUCUGAAUAUCAUUGUAAAAGAAGGUUUAGAUGAACAAAUUGAGCCCAUUUCUCGUAUAAGAAAUGCAGUGAAAUAUGUGAAAUCUUCUGUUUCUAGAUUUGCCUCUUUCAAGUCAUAUGUUGAGAAGGUAAAAAUAGAUACUCAUGGUCUUUUAAGUGGAAUUCUACAUAUACAAUGCUAAAUACUGCCAUGAAUUUUGAAAAGGCCUGUGAAAGAAUGUAUGUGGAUGAUCAUAACUACCGGAAGUAAUGUCUUGAAAGUGGAUUGAAAGGACAUCCUACUACAACUAAUUGGCAGAAUAUGAGAGCUUUUAUAAAACAAGAUCUCCAUGAACAUGUUAUUGUUUGUUGCAAUUGUGUUGGAUCUUCUCCCAAUAUUUAUCGAACUUAAGUUUCAUUCAUCCAGUCAUGUCAAUCAAAACAAGAUCUUCAUGAACAUGUUAUUGUUUGUUGCAAUUGUAUUGGAUCCCAGGUAUAAGAUAAGAUAUGUGAACUUUAUUCUUAGCAAAUCAUAUAGAGCUUUGCUGGAAAAAUUAAAGGCAGAUCAAGUGGAAGGAAUCUUGAAACGUUUGUAUGCUCACUAUAAUGAUUCUCCUGUUGGAACUUCUAUUGAUGAUAUUACAUGUGACACUAACUUGAUGGGUGAAGAUAUAUUGCAAUCUCAAUGGGAGAAACAUUUAGAAGAAGAGGAAAACAUUGAAAAAAAAUUAGAGAUUGAUCAGUAUUUAUUGGAUAAUGUUGAGAAGCCAAAGGAUUUUAAUAUCUUGGCUUGGUGGAAAGCUUCAUCGGGUAGAUAUCCAAUAGUUUCAAAAAUAGCAAGGGAUAUUCUUUCUAUUCCUGUAUCUACCGUUGCAUCCGAAUCAGCUUUUAGUACUGGUGGUCGUAUUCUUGAUUCAUAGCGGAGUUCCUUAUCACCAAAAAUGGUAGAAGAUCUUAUUUGCACUCAACAAUGGAUACGAUCACCUUCUAAAGAAUGGAAGGUUCAAGAUUAUUUCAAAGAAGUUCAGAAAAUUGAGCAAGUUGAAAAAGGUAUUUUACAUAUAUAAUUCUUUAUUUGACAUUUUCUUUGUCUUUCUGUGACUUGAAGUUUAUGUUUAUGAAUUAUGUUAUUUAUUAUAUGCACAUAUUAAAUGAUAUCUCAACAAGUAAAUAGCUGGUUGUAUGAAUGGUUAUAGCAAGAUGGCCGAUAUUGGAAGAGCUUUUCACCUUUAUCAAGAAAUGUUGAAUCGUGGAGUUCUUCCGAAUGUUGUUAGUUACUUUUCGUAUUUUGGUCGAUAUGCUUUGUAAAGUGGGUCGAUAUGGAGAAGGCUUUGGCAUUGUAUUCUGGAUUUAAAGUGCUCACUGAUUUUGUAAGGAUUUUGGAUAUAUCAUUGUGUUUGUGACAGAGGAGUUCUCAUUCGUUUGAGUGCUAAUAAUUUUUUUUCUUUUCAGAAUGUCCAGGUGUCUCUUUGAGUAUCGAUUAGUUUGGAAGAUAGUAUGCCAGCUGUACCAUGGUUCUUGAAGAUUACUUCCAACAUUUUUUGACUAGAAUUCAUGACUUGUUUUGAUUAACUCAAAUAUUUUUGUUGGAACUAUUUAAAUUAAGGAUGUAUAUUGAUGCCCAAUAUUGUCUAUGAGCCUAUGACUAUUGUCUAUUAUUUUUGAUCUUUUAGUGAAAACUCCUAAUUUUGGUUGUCAUCAUCUUCUCAUUACGGCAUCUCCAAAGAUCAUAUUAUAAAUGUUUGAUUAAACUUGACGUGGACGUAUGGUAGACUUAAGUUAAUAGGCAAUUUUAGAAAAAGUCAAUGGAGGGUGGAGACCUUUGGAGGAGCCUAUACCUGCUUCUACUUGCUCUCUAAGUAGAUCCAGUACAUCCGAGGUAAACAAUCGAUCUGAAAAAUUUGUUGUUGCAAAUCUGCAAUAGCUGGUGCUCGAGCAACUGAACACAGUUUUCUGAGAAUGGUAGUUUUCACUUUUAUUCCUAUACAGUUGAGGGAGGAGAUGAUUCAAAGAUAUGAAAUAUGAGAUUUGUCUCUAAAUUUACCCUGGUAUUUUGUUUAUCAAGUUAAAUGCUUGAGCUCAGUGUUUAGUUUAUUGAAUGUUACAUUGUACCAAGAGUAUGGUAAAUUUGAAUGCCCUUGAUCUUGACUGCCACUGUGGCUGUAGCAAUAGAAAUAAAAUAUUUUUUUUUGCCUUACACUGGUUUUAUCUGGUGUAUGACUUAUGUAUUCAUAAUGAUGAGAGAGUUGCUAGAAAAGUUUGGUCAAGAUAGUGGCUAGAAAAUAUGCAGACUAGUUGACCAAUAAUUGUUGUAGUGUUUGGGGGUUUAGUUUUCAGUUAGGGAUUAGCUGUUAUGGUUUGAAGUUCUUUUUGAAAUUAUGAUGUUAAAACUGCAUGUUUUAGUUGUGUAGACCUGCAACCUAAGUUAACAUUCCAUAUGUUGUAUCAUAUUCUAUUCUGCUUUUGAUCUAAUUGGCAGUUGUGAGAAAGGAAAAUGUAGGUAGCUUUCAGUUUCUGCAAGGGUGUGCUCCGUAUAGAGUUUCCCGACUUUCUCAUGUUUAGUUGGUCAAAAUUUAUCUUCCAGUUUCUUUAAGGGUGUGUUCGGUAUAGAGUUUUCUGACAUUCUCAUAACUAAUUAAAACAAAUUGAGAAAACCAAAAAAACCAAAAAACCCCAAAUAAAAUCGAAAUUUAAAAACCAACUAUUUAUUGGUUUGAUUUGAUUUAUAGAUUUAAAAAACCGACACUAUUGGUUUGAUUAUAUUUUAAUUAAAAACCAAACCGACCCGACCUAUGUACACCCCUAACCAAAACUAACAACGAAGUCAAGUUUGAUUUUCUUACUUCAAUUGAUUGAAUCCAAAAAUAAAUUUCAAGUAAAUUUUGUUUUUUCUUUUUAUUUUAACAUGAUAUUUAGUUUUGUAGUCUUAUAAAAAUGUAUUUUUAUGUUUUAUAUUCUUUUAGCCAGAAAUUUUCAUUUUUAUGCGUUAUAUAUCUUCAUUUCUUACAUAAAAUAGCUCAAAAGAUCAUUUUCUUCUAUUCAAGUUGCAAGUGGCCAUUAGAAACCAUUUUCUCUAUAUUAUCCAUAGUUUUAACUAUUUUCAUGUCCAUUAAGGAGAAACAUUAAAUAUAAGACAUAGUUACUAAAUAACGGUUAUUUGUUUGACACUGUUUUUUGUAUUGAGCAUGAUUAGAAAGAACUAUUUCUUUAAUGUUAAAGACAUAAUUGGAGACCAUCACUAAAUAGUCUUGAAUUUCUAAAAUGACAUUUAUUUUUGAAUAACUUUUUAAAAUUAAAGUGAUAGUUAAAAUGAAAUGAAGAUAGUGUGUGUGUGUGUCUAUAUGUAUUUUAGUAAGUUUUAUAAGUUCCUUAAACUAAGCUAAGAUAAUUUAGCAUAAAAUAAAUAAAUUAAGUCAGAUAAUUUCUUUGAAAGUACCAGAUUAGUUGUCACAUUGCAGAACAACAUAAAAUAACAAAACUAAAAUCUAUGAUGUGCCCAACAAACUAAAAACCUAGAAUUUCUACUUGGCCACACUAAAAUCUAAAACGGAAACAUGAUUAGAAGAUAAAAAGUACUGCAGAUAGAUAGAGUUGGUGAUGAGGAGGAAAAAGAUUAGUUCUCAUUUUGUAAUAAUCCAAAUUCGUGAAUUUUUUAUUCUAUGUAUUUUAACUAUUUUGCCUUUUAGGAAAAAGAUCAGUUCUCAUUUUGUAAUGAUCCAAAUUUGUGAAUUUUUUAUUCUAUAUAUUUUAACUAUUUUGCCUUUUAUGUAGUUGAUACAUGUGGAUUUGAGGUUUGGAAAUAGUUGGCAUGAUUUUCAAUGCCAUAAAAAAUAAAUUAUAUGAGUUUGUGGUUUUUAGAGGCUUGAGAAGUCAUAUAGUUGACUUCGUUCAACAUUUAUCAUUUUGAGUGUUGGAUGAAUAAAUGAAUUGUGCCAGCAAAUUCAAAAUAUAAAAUUUGGGUUAGUGGUGGGUUUGGUUCAGUUUUGAAACUUUUAUAUCUCAUUUCGACCUUUCAUUUGUAAAAUAAUAAAAAGGAGUCUCGAGGGGUAAUUUCAUGAAAAGAUUUAUUUUGAAAAUAUGAUAUCGUUAUUGUGUUUAAAAUAUUAAAAUUAGCCUAGUAGAAUAUAUAGUUUAUUUAUGUCGGGUCCCAAAUGAAUUUCAAGGGUCCGUUUGGAACAUUCAAAACCAUACAAAAACACAUGUUGCACAUCUGAUAUCUGGUGCAUAGAUCCUUCUUUAUGAAUGUGGGCCUCUGGCCAAAAAUACGAAGAAUAAAAUCACCCUUCAUCGUGAUCUCAAAGGUCAACGUAGUUCUUCUCUAAUAACGUGACGAGGUUGUCGUGAACGAGAAGGCUUGAUUCACCAGCCUUCAUGACUGCGAAGCCUUGGCCGCGAACGUGAAGGAAAAUUUGAUGGCCUAUUCAGCUUUGACCCUUGAGAAUCCAAAGGGUUGACUACGUUCAUGGGGUACUGUUCACUAGAUAAUAUAAAUACUCUAUUUUGUGAUUUUACUCCAUUUUGGAUGUCCAAGUUUCGAGAAAGAUGAUUUUUGAGGGUUUCUUUGUUAUUUUUGUGUGGGUAACUUCUAAACUUAUAAUUCCACUAUUUUUCAUUGUAUAUCUUCAAAAACACCUUUAAAUUAUGAUUUCAAAGUGAAAAAUUGAGAUUUUUAUCAAUAAACUUUGAAAAGGAUUUUUCUCCAUUUGGUACCUUGAUUUUAAACUGUUUUGCGUGAGUUUUUUCCUGUAGACUCUUAUAACCUUGGGUAAUGUAUUUUCAAAAUAAAAUUCUAAUUUUACCCCUUUCAUUUCAAACUCAUUUUCGACUCGGCUCAAAUAUGGAUAAUAUGGGUAUGGUUAGCUUUCUUUUGAUGUGUAGAUGCUAUAUUUGAUUGUUUUAGUUGAUUCUGAGGCCGUUCACAAAGGGAAGCCUCCCUGUUGAAGUAUUUUAGAGAUAAAUUUUAUUUUUUUGAGGUAGGUUAUAGCUUAACUUCUUUAAGAUUGAGCUAGAUUGUUAAUUAAUAAGUAAAGCAUGCUAUGGAUUGGGAAAAAUAACUAUGGGGUUUAUAUUUCAAGAUUCUUUUUACUAUUGUGUGGUCUUGUUGGGGUUUAUAUUUCUAUAGUGGCUGAUUUGUGAUAUCUUAUAUUGUGUGUUGUCCGUGUGGGGGAUUUAUUUGACAUCAUUGGCCUUAUCUGCACAUCUAAAUUCCUUUAGUCUAGAUAUAUUGUCCGUGUGGGGGUUUAUUUUGCUAAUAUAUGUCUUAUUUGAGCAUUGGUUUCUUUUAUCAUGAUAAAAUACCCGAGCUUGGGAUUUAUAUCAUAUUAAUGAUGUCUUGCUUGCACAUUUAUUAGGAUGGUGCCUAAUUGGAGUUGAUAAUCAUGAAUUAUGAACAUAUUGAGGUGAUUUUUCUGUGUUCACUAGUAUAUAUUCCAUGUUGAUGGAUUGAAUAUAAUCAUUUGAAUUAACUGUGAGUAUUACAUCCUCAUUCCAUAUAUAUAUAUACACACACACGCAAUAUAUAUAUAUAUACACACAUACACACAAAUAUUCACGAGAUAUUACUACCACUGGAAAAUACUAUUUUUGAAAUAAAAUGAGGCAUCAUUAUGAAAACCCUCUCUGUGAACAUAAGAUGUAGUAUAUGACUUUUGAACUCCCCAUAGAUCCUAUCUGGUAGCUGCGAGCUCGAUGGGUGUAUACGAAAAUUCAUGCGAUAACUUUCAUCAUUCAUCCCAUCCACAUCGCAUUGCAUUUGCAUCUUGCCUAUUUUUCUUAGUUUUAUUGACUUGUGUUUGAUUUUCGUGUAUGUAUUUUUUAUAUCUGUGUUGUUGUUGUUUCUAUGUACUUUUAUAUACUAAAAUUUUUAGUGGAGGCUGUGUGAGCUACCGUUUGAUACUUUUCUGGUUACAGGUGGCAUGCUCAUAGUAUAUUUUACUUAUCUUAUUUUUAUAUUUUUCUCAAUCAUCAUAUGAUACAUGCUGAUUAUAAGUGAACCAUAAUCACCCUUAUUGUGUCCUUUUGGUGUAGAUCCUAGUAAGAGUGAGACUCAUGAAGGUCGAUUCGUGUUGUGGAGUUGGUGAUAUUUUGAGGCACUAGCCACUUAAGGCUUGUCAGAGACGACUUCAGGCCUUUUCUAUCUAUAAGUUGUCUUUAUUCCAAUUUUAUAGACAAACUAUGUAUUUCAACUCCAGAUAUUGUAUUAGAGGCUCUUAUACUAUGACACCAAAUUUUGAGAUAGGAUUUAUGGAUUUAUUUCAUGUUCCAUUGUAAUCGUAUUUCAUAUUUGGCUUGAAUUCGUUCUAGAAGUCUCUCCUGGGUGUUCAUUGUUGUAUUUUCAUAUUACUUUAUUAGUUUUGAUUGUUGGCUUACUUAUCAAGGCUUGAUUGCGAUAAGUACUUAGGUUGUGACAAAUUUUCCUUUUCAUCCCCAUUGGGUGAACUUCAUUGAAAUCUUUUUAUCCCCAUUGGGUGGACUUCAUCGAGUUCUCUAAAUCUUAUGGGAACAUGUUUAUUCACGUUCUUCUUCUCUUCACCAUCAACAUUAUUUUCCAUGGCUGCAACAAUCAUUUUAUUUAUUUAUUUUAAGGAGGUAUGUUCCCUCAAUUUCAAGUGUAGGCGAAGCUCUAAAAUGUUUAUCCCAAUUGGUUGAAGAAGUGAUGUAUUAAUGUUAUAUCGCAAUCCAAGCGGUCAUGAUUGACAUCCGCCCUAACCUAUGGUGGGAGAACCAUUCUAACUCUAAUCCUUACUAACUCAAGUGUUACUUUCACAUUCACUUUAUAUAACUUCAUUUUUAGUCAAGUUCUAAAAGGGCUUCAUUUAAGAAAUAAAUAAAUUGUCAAGACGAUAUAAACAUUCAUAAAACUAAUAGAGUUCGAAAACCUUUAUUUAUUACAUCUCCAAACUUAAAGUCACCGUACAAGAACAUUUAAAAGAACCAAGUCUAAAAGAUAAAUGAUUAUUCAAAACAAGAAAUAAAUAAGGAAUGUCUUAUUCCUAAUACAAGAGGCAUGAACAAUGAUAAGAAGAUUCUUAUAUUUCCCGAUCAUGGUGCUCACCCUUGACCUAAAUCUAGAACUGCUUGCUAAAGUUGAGGUCUUAUCUCAAAUGUCAGAACAUGCUCUAUACUCAAUAAAAAGAAGAUCACAUGUAGCAUCAGUACAUUAACAAACAUUGAUAGGUAUCAUAGGCCGACUCAACCCGACACCAUACAAAUAAGUAAAUCAAAUAGAUGCAAAGUAAUCAUCACAAAACUUAUAAUCAAAGAAAAUUACACAAUUAUGACACUUUAUUUUAAAGGAAAUACAAACUCAUACUCAAGUAUUAUUUACACUUAAUAAAAUUUAGCAACAAGUUACAUACAACAACAACAACAACAUACCCAGUUUAUUCCCACAUAAUGGGGUCUGGGGAGAGUAGAGUGUAAGCAAAUCAUACCACUACCUCAGGUGAAGCAGAGAGGCUAUUUUCGAUAGACCCCUGGCUUAGAACCGAUAAUAGUAUAACAAACACAAAAGGUAAGUGCAAAAUAAACUAACACCGCUAGCAACAAGAUUAUACUACAACCACAAGAUAAAAACAAGAACUAUCUAACUAAAAUCAUAGACUUCAUACAGCACCACGAAUAAAAACUACAGACAUAAAAGAUAUGCGUAUCAUUCCUUUCGUUUCUCAUUCUUAUCGAUAUCAUCAUUAUCUCGACAACAUUACAAUUACCAUCAAUCCUAGGAACAUCAUGAGUUGUAUAUCAUCAUCUUGAUAACCAUCAACUUAACAACAUCAAUAUGUGUGAAAAUGUAAUGCAUCCAGUAAUCACAAGUAGUGGUCAAAAGCCAUCAGAACAUUCAGUUCACAUAUAAGCACAGAGUAAAGAAAGUCUAAUUUAUACAAUAAGUCAUAACCUUCCUUGAUUCCUUGCUCAAGAUCACUUCUAGUACACAAACUAGUCUUUUCUUCUCCUUUCAAAUUGCUCUUAAUCUGUAACAAUGAGAUUAUAUACUCAUUUUAAUUAAUGCAUCCCUUAUUAACCACUAGAUAUUUAUACCUAAUCAUUUUAAUUAUAAAAUUUCCUUAAAUUAUCAUCUUAGGAUUUUUUCCCUCUAUAAACCUUAUGAACCCAACAUUAUUUAGCAUGAACGAUCAAGAUUAUCCUCUCAUUAGUGUUUUAUAACACCCUAGGAUCAUCAUCUAUUGAUUUUACACUCAUUUUUAUCAAUUAACAUUAAUUACAUAAACUAGGUUUAAACUUUCAAAUUUUACCAUUAAUAAAUUUCAUAUUUAUUUUUAUGGAGUCGAACAAGUAAUUCAAAUUUAGGUAGAAAGAAACUUACCUCAAAAAUGAAAACCUCAAAAAUUUUGCAGAAAUCGUUCCUUGCAAAGUCCUUAGUCAUUUUUUGGAAAAGUGAGAAUGAAAAAUGUUUUCUUAGUUUUUAAAACUGUCAAAAUAGUACCUAUGUCUUACCGCUACAACAGUUAAAUUACUAUAGUGGCGGUUCAUGACUUAACACUGACUACUGCUGCGGUGGUAACUUGUGACACCCCGAUUUUUAGAACCGGAAUGCUACACAGUGCUCAUGACCCCGAAGGACCACAAGCUAACCCAUGACUGAUAUCUGUACCUGUAACUGCAUAAUAUAUACAUAAAAUACGAAAACAUGAACAAAGAGGGCAUAAGGUUCAAUCUUGAAUAAUAAGAUAUCUGAAAUAAGGUGGUAUCACAGUACCAAAACAAAACUGAAAAUACUAAAGUCUAAAUCUGAAAACUCUAUAAUCGUCUAAAAGCCUCUAAACUGUCUGAAUAAAGAGUUCAACGAACAUGUCUCCAACUAACUCCCUAAAUUGAAAAUAAACUGAAAUACUAGAAUAAUAAAUGUAACGAUCAUGUCCUCGAAAGAUGAGGACUCACUGCUUACUGAACUGCUACUGCUGAUCUGGAAUCUGCACCUAGGAACCUAUGGUGUAACAUAAAAAGAAAGCACCAUAGCGCAAAUGCGUCAGUACAACUAAAGUACUGAGUAUACAUGGGGGUAGGCUAAAUCCAAAGGGUUUUAUAUGCAUGAACAAUGCUAAUUGAUAUGAACAUGAGAAUACAUACAUACAUACGUAACUGUAACUAAACUCGUGGUGAUACUGACUACUGAGUCCGAAUACUGACAAUAUGAGCUUACUAAUGCUGAGAUACUGAAUAAUUGAGUUUACUGAUAUUGAUAUGUAAUUCACUAAUAAGUGAGGAACUGAUACUAUAUUACCGAAUACUGGGAGACUGAUACUAUAUUACUAAUAAAGGAAUGAUUGUGUUUGAUAGUUCUGAUUAUGAAGAACUGAUUUGAUUGACCGUAUAUAACAAUCCUGAAACUGAGCUCGUGAUAACAUGACUACUGAGUAUGAAUACCGAUGACAUGUAUUUACUGAUAACAUAUCAUGAAUGAUAACUGAAUUCUGAAAACUAAUAUAUCUGAUAACAUGAGUUCUUAUAACUGAUAGUAUGAAUGACUGUAUCUAACUGUCCUAAUUCUGGGAAAAACAAUAUGAGUUCCAAAAUGUAUUUGAACAUCUAAGUCUGAGAUCAGUCCUAGCUAACGAGUGAUCUCUAAAACUGAUAAUGAGAAUACUCGACUGAAUCUGAGAUUGAGAUCAAGCCUGUCUACUGGGUGAUUUCUAGAUCUAAUAAUAAGCAUCUGAAUAUGAGACCAAGCCUAUCUGACGGGAUGAUCUAGGAAUCAAUGGAACUAUCUGAGUUCCAAAUUGUAUUUGAACAUCUAAGUUUGAGAUCAGUCCUAGCUAACGAGUGAUCUCUGAAACUAAUAAUGAGAAUACUCGACUGAAUCUGAGAUUGAGAUCAAGACUGUCUGCCGGGUGACCUCUAGAUCUAAUAAUAAGUAUCUAAAUAUGGGACCAAGCCUAUCUGACGGGAUGGUCCAGGAAUAAAUGGAACUAUCUAAGUUCUUUAUUGAGAUCGAUGAUUGUAUCUGACAGUCCUGAUUCCUGAUUUCUACUUUGAAGACAGAUACUGAAACUGUAACUGUAACUGUGACUGUGGGAGGUAGUAACCUAACCGAUAUGCCCUGAUACUGUACUGGUGGGGUUCAAUAUUUUCUCUAAUCGGAAGGGUGUCAAUACCGUGCCACGGGUAGAGAGCUCUACUAUGAUCAAGCCUCUCUGACGGGUGACCCUGAACAGGAAAUCAAGCCUAAGGCAAUAUAAUAGUCAAGUAUAGCCUUAAUCUGACGGGUGACUCCUGUCCUGCGCUAGCUACGCAUUUCUGAAGUACAGGAAUUUUUGCUAACGGCUCUACCUUUAUAAUGGGAAAACUGCCAUCCCUGCUCUCACUUGGUGCUAGUCCCUACUCCCAACUGAAAGACUCUAGAAAGAUUAACUGCGCUGAACUGACUAACUGAACUGAACUGAUUCUAAGUUUACUGAGUUCCUUGGACUGACGGAACACUACUAACAUCUGAUAUCUAGCUAAGUCAUGAGAUGGCCGAUCUUACUGAGUACUGAGUUUUCAUGAGAUUUCUGAGUCUUUCCUGAGUCACAUGACUAACUGCAAUCUAUAAAACAUAGCUUGACUGAGGAUGUCUUGAAACAUGACACUAGCUCUAGGCACACAACUAUAGUUUUUGGGUAUAAGUACCCCCAGGACUCGAUGGAAGGAAACUGACACACAUGACUGACUUGAUCAUAAGAGUAGAGUCCAUAAUUCACAAUAUCAUAAGUAAGGAUUUCAUAAUAAGAAUGAUUCUCAAAAAACUAUCAAAUGAUCGGGAAUGCACACAACAUGUAUAUACUUGCAUGGCUUCAAUAACAUGGUCAUUCUAUAUCACAACAAUAUCAUGAGCAUCUCAUACAACAUCUUCAAUUCAUGACAAUAGCAUAGGGAUCACGUUGAAUAUAAACUUAGAACAUGGAAUAGUCAUUUAGGACUUAUUAUGUCAUAAAAGCAUGAUUUCUAUUCCCUUAGGUAUUUUCACAAACACCUUACAUGCACAUCUUAGGCAUAGGUGGAUUCAUCAAGAUUACAAAUAUUCAACCACCAAUUUCACAUAUUUAUACGUUAAAUACCACCAUAUCCUCACAAUAAACAUACAAAGAUCCCAUCUUAGGCAUCAUCAAACUCCAACCACAUGAACAUCAACCUCCAACAAAAUAAACAUCAUAAUACAUAAUUUAGAAGAUGGUUCUUGAGCUUCAUGUAUGAAAGGAGUCCAUCAAUCAACUCACACAUACCUUAGAAGGAAGAUUUUUGAUGAUUGACGGAGGAAUUUCCUUGAAUUUGGAUCUUCAAGCUUAAUUAUGCAACCCUAGUUGUUUUUCUCUUUUAGUGCUCUUGGAUGAUGAGCUUUGAGAUGUUAAUAGGGUUGUAAUAUGUUUAGAAGCUAUAUAUUUUGUAGGGUUAAGUUUAGGGACGUAUAAGGAGUGUUAAAAAACUUAAUUACCCUUAAAAUAACUCAAAACAGAGUGUUUUUGGAACUUGGAACUGACUUAGGCGGUACCCAAGUAAUUGCACAAGUCAGGUUGGGCGGCGCCUAACCAAUCGCCUAAGUUUGGUUGGGCGGUGCUUAACCAAUCGCCUAUCCUUACUGUCUCUCACGAAAAUGGGCAUAACCUUUCGCUUGGGUAUUGGAUUAAGGUGAAAUUGGUAUUGUUGGAAAGAUAAUUCGAUUCUCUAUAACUUGGAGGGUCUAAAUCAUCCAAAACAACACAUUAACAUCGAGUUAUACUCAUUCAAAUAUGACCCUUACAAAAUCAAACACUAAAACUUGAUAGAUUGAAAAACUCUUAGCUUGUAUUACAUUAAGUGACUCAUAUGAACAUGCUUAACGCAUCAUAAGGUAUUCUAUCGCUAGGAUAUUCAUUGUAAGUCAUGCACUAAAAUGCUACUCACAGGAUAGGAGGUUUCAUAUGUAGGAAAACUUAUUCACUUCCUAGCUUAGAAACAUGCGGGGUAUUACAUAACUUUUCUACUGCAACGAUACCCAUUCUCGCUGUUGCUAUCUUGAGGUAGAAUACUAGGGCCUCUAUUUGGUUAUGCUUAUUUUACAGCACACUAUUUGAAAUAUUACAUCAUGAACCAACCCAUCCAUGGUUAAUUUUAGAAUUAGAGUUCUAUAGUUUUGUUUUACGUGUCUAAAGAUGUUAUGGCUUCCUAAACUCGUUAUCUAUUUAAAUCAAGUCAAACAUAAUCAUCUAUACUAAUCUAAAUACCAAAUUUCCUUAGAGUAGUAUACCCUCAAAAUUUAUCUAAUUCUUGACUAGCCGUGAAUUUCUCAAAAUUUGCUUAAGGCAAGACAAGGCAAAAAUUUUACUUUCUAAUUCAACAUAACAAAGGUUUGGGUCAUUACAAGUUUAGUGCUUUGCAAACAAUAUUUAUGCCUUUUGGAAUCUUAUCAUUAAAAAUAUGAUUGUAACCCACAAUAUAUUUACGAAUCAUGGCCGGAUCAUGAUUAUGCAUACCGGGAUAGGCCAACAAAAAAAGGUAUCAUUCUUUGAACUUUUUUCAAUUUAUUUUCAUGCUCGGAAGAAUUUUGAUGUAUUAUAAUUAUAGUAGUUCUUUUUUAUGUCAUUGUAGCACUCCGGUAGUGUACCCUGGAUGCCUCACGGUACUUACAGUCCCGUAUGACCACAAGCUAACCGAUGAUUUGGUACUUGCCAUGAACACUGAAUAAAACUAAUAAACAACAUAUGAAAAAUUUCAACUGAAGUGCCAUAAGGUUUUUAACAAUCAAAAACGAUACCAAAUAAUGGUUUAAGAGAUUUGAAAACUAACUAGAAAUAUUGAUAAAAAUGCCUGAUUAUCUCAACUGAAAACCGACUAACUGUCUAUACUAGUUUGAAAGACUCUAAACUGUCUGAUGGCAGAGUUGAUGAAACAAACCACCAACUAACUCCAACUGACUAAAUAACUGAACUACUGACAUAACUAAAUAUUAGAAAAAUUGUCCUCGAAAGAAGAGGACUCACCACGACUGUUGCUAUUGAUGUACUGGAACUUCUAAGGACAAUUUGGAAUUCAAGCGUCUGAACCUAUGAUAUAAGACAUCAUAGCGCAAGAAAACAAGUAUGCGGUCAGUACUUUUGAAUAUACUAAUAUGCUAAAUAGGGUUAGGCUGAUAUGCAAGGGUUUAUGUUUAUGAGUAAUAACUAACUAAAUGCAUAGUAUGAGAUACUGAGUAAAAUGCAUGAAAAUUGUAAAGACUGCAGAUGCAUGACAACACAUAAGUAAGUACUGAAGUAGUCUGUAGGCUGAGAAUAUUGAAAUAUGAUAGUUAAAUAACUAGUAAACCAUAUGUUAGGGUCAAGCAAGACUAAACUGAAUUCUGAACUGAGUACUGAAAUUGAAACUGUGGUAGCUUUUAUUUAACCGACAUGCCUCAAUAUAGACUAAUUGGGGUCCAAUUUAUAACCCUAGUUGGAAGGGUGUUAGUACCAUACCAUGGGUUACUAACAAUGGUUGGAUCAGCCCUAAUAUGGUAGAAAGACUCAUAAGAUAUAUAUAUAUAUAUAUAUAUAAUGCUAGGAAAGGGAAUCGGGUUUAGCAUGCCGUUAAAACUAUAGGAAUGCCCUUAUAACUUAAGCCUUGAAAAGGGUUCUUGAACUCCAAGGGUUAGAAGGUACCCAAGGAUAAACACUUAACAUACCUUAAUAGUUGAAUUUGUGUUGGUUGUUGGUGACUGCUUGAAUCUUGAUCUUGGAAUUGAAGAAACUAGGGCUUUAUUCUUGAGAGGUAAUGUUUCCAAUGAGAGACAAUAUGAAUGAAGAGGCAACUAUUGUUCUUUUGAGACCCUAAUCCUAUGUUAUGGAUCACUUGCGUGAGGAAAAAUACCCAAAUUCUCUAAAUGUCACGGAUUUAAAAUAUUGAACGAGGCCUCCCAUUACGUCAUGACCCCUAGUUGGGUCAAGCAGCUGUCGCGGUGCGACCCCUGGUUGGGUCAAGCAGCUGUCGCAGCGUGACCCUAAGCCUAGGUCAACGGACCCUUACAGGACUGCCCUAUUGUGACCCCCUAUUGUUUUGGACAUCCAAACACACCCUUACGCUAGUCCAAAAAAUCCAAAACUCACCCGAGAUGACCUAUAAGUGACCCACAGUCUCAAGUCAUCUACACAUGGCACAGAUAGUCUACCCUGACAAUGCAACACACCACCUCCCUCUUGGAAGAAAACCUCUACUUUUUGAUCUCUGACAGACUUCUUCAACCUAACCAAACUAGAAUCCAUAUCCUAUUUUUCUUUCACUUUGGCAACCAAAGAAGAUUUUGAACUAUUUUGCACCCACACAUUACCCUCGGCUGAAUCAACCAAAUGGACGCCUAGUCUGGCAAGCUAAUGAAUUUCUUGAACUAUCUUCUUCUUAUAAUUUUCAAUGUGAGCAAAGCUAUCCUUGGACAAUAUGCUGAGGGCAUCUGCCACUACAUUGGCAUUGACUGACUAAUAAAAAACACUCAUGUCAUAGUCAUUCAACAACUCUAACCUCCUCAUCUGGCGCAAGUUCAAAUCCUUCUACAAGAAUACAUCCUGUAAGGUCUUGUGAUCCGUGAACACAUCAACAUGUACCCCAUACAAAUAGUGUCUCCAAAUCUUUAAAAUAAUUACAAAAGUUGCUCACUCAAGAUCAUAGGUAGGAUAAUUCUUUUCAUAGGGUUUAAGUUGUCUAGAGGCAUAAGCUAUGACCUUACCUAUCUAUAUCAAAACACAACCUAAACCAACUCUGGAAGCAUCAUAAUAAAAACCAAACCCAUCUGAACCAUCUGGAAAGGUCAUUACUGGAGCUGAGGUGAGUCAAGUCUUCAACUCCUGAAAACUCUUCUCACAAGAAUUUAACCACUGGAACUUGACUUUCUUCUGAGUCAAUAUGGAUAUGAGGGAUCCAAUAGACAAAAACCCUUCAAUAAACCAUCGGUAAUAGCUAGCCAAACCCAAGAAAUUCCUGAUAUCUAAUGGAGAUAUGGGUCUAGGACAAUUUCUUACUGCUUUGAUCUUUUGAGGAUCAACUCUAAUACCAUCGCCGGAAAUAAUGUAUCCAAGGAAAGCUACUGACCUUAGCCAAAAUUUGCACUUGCUAAAUUUGGCAAGCAACUAAUAGGCUCUAAGAUUCUGUAAUACCAUUUUGAGGUAGUCUACAUAAUUAUUUUCGGUACAGGAAUAGACAAGAAUGUCAUCAGUGAAAACUAUGACAAACAUGUCCAGGUAUUUCUUGAACACUCGAUUCAUCAAGUCCAUAAAGGCUGCAGGGGCAUUUAUGAGACCAAAGGAUAUGACAAGAAACUCAAAGUGACCUUACCGGGUUUGGAAAGAUAUUUUUGGAAUGUCACAUUCUCUUACUCUAAGUUGAUGAUAGCCAGAUCUGAGGUCUAUCUUAGAAAAGUAACUGCGACCCUGAAGUUUGUCGAAUAAGUCAUCUAUUCUAGGAAGUGGGUAUUUAUUCUUGAUUGUGACUUUUUUUAACUGAUGGUAGUAAAUGCAUAUCCUAUGAGAACCGUAUUUCUUAUGCAUGAAUAGGACUGGUGUGCCCCACAGGGAAACACUGGUCCUGAUGAAUCCCUUAUCUAGGAGGUCUUUCAAUUAUUGUUUCAAAUCUUUGUGUUUGGCUGGAGCCAUUCUGUAUGGUGAAGUAAAAAUAAGCUGAGUAUCUAGAAGAAGGUCUAUUUUAAAGCCAAUUUCCCUUUCGGAAGGAACUCUGGGAAGAUCUUCAGGGAACACACCUAGAAAUUCCUUUUCCACUGGAACUAACUCAAGAUUAGGAGUCUCGAAACUAGAGUCUUUGACUUGCACAAGAUGAUAGACACAUUCCUUAGAUAUCAUUUUUCUCACUCUAAGGUAUGAAAUAACCUGACCCUUAGGCAUUGUGGCACUACCCUUGUAACACCCCAUACUUUUAACUAGCUUAAAUUCGUCCCCAAAAUGUCAAAAGCUUUCUUUAAAAGUUAAUACACUUUUAUACAUGUGAAAUUUUUAAUAUUUUGAGUUUAUGUUGUGUAGAAAAUUCAAUAAGCUUUUCAUCGAUAUAAAAUUCGCCUAAAUUUGAUAACUGGGUAAGAAGUUAUAGUGGUUUUAAGUUUCAGUUGUUAAACACUAUCAUUCAGGCCCAUAGCGCAUCGCGGAGUGUGUCAAAUAGCAAUUGUUAGUUUCUAGUGUUGCCCCACAAUAUUGGAGCAUCGCACCAUAGACCCGAUUUAUGAUUAUCAAUUUCCAGUGAGGCAACGAGAUUCCACCGCAUCGCGCCAAGGACCAAAAUUACAUUCAGCGAGACAUCGUGAUGGAGCCGCAUCGUGCCAUCAACCCAGUUCCCAGUUGUCCACUUUCCAGUGACACGGCGCGAUAGCACCGCAUCGCGCUAAGGGCCCAGAUCAGGAUUUUUUUAGUUAAUUUCCAAUUUUAAGUUUCGAGAUUUUAAAUUAUUCCAGGGGUAUUUGGGUCUUUUUCCAUGGCCCUAGUCAUCCUUUAACACAAAAUUAAACCCUAAUAAACCUAGUUACACCAUUAUUUAUUCUAUUUGUUCCAAAUUAAAUCAUUCUCACUCAAGAGGCAAAAACCCUAGUUCAAGAAUCAAGGUCAAUUCUCAAGAAUCUCUCCAAGAACCUUCAAUAACUCUUCUUCUCAGGUAUGUUAGAUGUUCAUUCAUGGGUCCUUUUCACCCAUGAAGUCUAAGAAUCUUUUUUCAAAGUACAAAGAUCUCAGAUUUAUGAUUUCCAUGUUUGAUUAGAUUGAUUAAUGUUUCUAUGAUGUUAAUUGGGUUUUAAUCCAUGAUUAUUAUAUGACUCAUGAAAUUAGAUUAGUAUUCUUAUGGGAAUUAUAUGAAUAUCAUGCUAAACUCACAGAAUUGUAAUUUGGGCAUUGUAGUUUCCAUGUUUAUAUGUUAUCUAUGAUUAUGUGCAUGAAAUUCUGCCCCUCAAGUAUUUGAUAGAAUGUCCAUGUGAAUAAAGUGAUGAAAUCAUGACAUGUUAGUAUAUGAACAAACUUAUGCCCUACAAGUGUUUGAUAAAAUGCUUAUGUGAAUUGACUAGUGAAGGCAUGACAUGUUAUUAUGUGAUACCAUCCAUGUACAAGUGUUUGAUGAAAUGUAUCUAUGAAUGAAUUAUGACCAAGUGAACAUUUAUUAUUUUAUUCAAGAUUUAGCUUUGCUUUACUUUUCAUGCUAUCGAGUCCUGGGGGUAUUUAAUACCCGACAAUUUAGCUGUUUAUCUAGAGCCAGUGUCAGUUAUAGAAUAGUAUCAGUCAUGUCAUGAUUAGCAGUACUCUCAUUCCAUUACUAAACUCAGUCAAUUACAGAACUUACGAAAACUCAAUAAACUCAGUCUCAGUCCAGUCCAGUCCAGUAUACUCAGUUCAGUGUCUUUUAAUUGGGAGUAGGAUUCAGAAUCCAGUGAACCCAGGGAUGGGGGAAUUUCUGUUAGUAUAGGGUAUGACCCUUAGUAGCAAUUCCUGAGUUACAGAACUACGUAGCCAUCGUAGGUUGAGAUGACAUCCUGCUAGAUAAGGGUUGAAACAUCUCUCAUAAGUUUUUCUGUCAGUAAGGGUUGACAAAAUAUCUUCCUUCUAGUUAGGUUUAAAUCAUAGCCAAUGUUAGUACCCGUGGCACGGUAUUAGCACACUUCCAACUAGGGUUACAAUUUGGACCCCAAUCAGCUCAGAGAGGGGCAUGUCGAUUAGAUGAUUACCUCCCAUAAUUUUAGUUUUAGUCUUCAGUUUAGAACUCAGCUUAUCUCUAUAGAAUCAGGACUGUCAGACACAGUCAAUCAUUAUCAGUAAUUUUAGAUAUCAGUUAUACAAUUAGCAGAACUCAGUACUUAGCUUCAGAAAAGCUCGGUUAUAGUAUACACGUACUCUUAUAUUCAGUUACUCUAUAUCAUUUUGUCAGUUAUUGUUCAUGCAUAUGAAUCCUUGCAUUUAGCCUUACCUCAUCUAGCAUACCAAUACAUUCCCAUGUACUGACGCAUACUUUCCUGUGCUAUGAUGUUUCAUAUCAUAGGUUCGGACGCUCAGGUUACUGACCACACUUAUCUAGAUUCAGUCAGUAGUAACAAAUUUAGAAGUGAGUCCUCAUCUAUCGAGGAUAUGCUUUUAUUUUAGUACUUUAGCUUAGCAGUAUUUUAGUAGAUAGAGUUAGUUGGGGUAUUUUACCAUCAACUCCACUUUCAGACAGAUUCAGUUAGAGGCUUUUCAGUCUAAAUUUUCAGAUAGUAUUCAAUUUUUCAGAUGUUAUAAUUUAUCAGUAUUUUAGAUGUUUUGAACCUUAUGACAUUUCAUCCCUUUUAUUCCAUAUUUAUUCCAGUAUAUUGUUUAGUUCUCACAGCAGAUAUCAUUCAUGGGUUAGCUUAUAGUUCUUUGGGGUCGUAAGCACCGUGUAACAACUACAGGAUAGUCUCGGGUUGUUAUAACCCUCCAAUCAAGGAUUGGUUCAUUCAAGAAUAGAAAAUGAACAAAUCUGUUUCUACAAUCAACUAAAGGAUAACAUGAAUGGAGCUAAUCCAUACCGAGAAUGACAUCAAAAUCAGUCAUAUCUAACUCCACAAGAUAAACUAAAGUAACUUUCUUGGAUAUUGUGACCAGACAGUUCCUGUAUACCUGCCUGGAUAUAAUAGAGACACCUACUGGGGUAGAUACUGAGAAAGUCACUAUUAAGGUUUUGGGACUGAUUCUAAAGUUGACCGCUAUAUAAAGGGGUUACAAAAGAAAGAGAAGCUCUAGGGUCAAGCAAAGCAUAACAUGUAAAUAAAAGACUUACGACGUACCAGUAACCAUAUCAGGGGAAAUUUCUUGAUCCUAUUGGGACUAAAGUGCAUAGAUCCUAUUUGGGUGCUGCCUGCUGGUGGCACUGGAAGCGGCACCCUACUGAGAUGGGCGACCAGACUGAGUUGGAGGACCAUUGUGCUGACUAUAUAAACCUACAUAUGGACAUUCUUUGAUUCUAUGACCUGGCUUGCUAUACCUAAAACAUAUAUCAUUUCCAUCUCUGCAAACACCCUAAUGGUUCCUACUAUAUUUCUGGCAAAGAGGAUUUGUUCAAGCAUUGUUCACACUACCCUAAGACUUAGAGCCUGGUGCCCUGUCCUUGUUAUCGUUCCUGAAUUUGGGCAUUGGUGCACUAGACAAAUAUAGAUCUAGGAUUGAAGAUUUUGGGUAGAACUAAGGAAGGUUACCACCCUCUGACUUUGGCUAAGUGAAAUUAAAGCUACCUGUUAUUUUUCUCUUGCUCUCUCUCUCUCUCUUUAUUUUUCUCCUCUUAUAUCUGUUGCGCAUGGAAAAUCAACCUCACUAAGUUUAUCUCUUUGAUAAAUAUCAUGGUCCUACACUCCUUGACCACACUAUCAGAUACCCCAAACACAAAGUUGCUCAUCCUGAACCUAUUAUCACCUACUAAAUGAGGAGCAUACCUAGAUAACUUAGUAAACUUGAGGGAAUACUCUUUCAUACUUAUGUUUCCCUGUUUCAAAUUAAUUAAAUAUAACACCUUAGCAUCGGCUUCAACGGGAAGAAUCUAUCUAAGAAGGUUCUAGCAAACUCCGCCCACUCUAUAGGUCCUGCCUUUGCGCUCCUAUCCCCUUUUAACUGCUUAAACCAUAUAUGAUCUACAACUUGCAGUUGGUAAGCAGCUAAUUUAGUACACUCACUGGAAGUCACCUCCAUAAUUUUUGUUACCUUCUGCACCAUGUCUAAGAAUUUUUAUGGCUCCUCUUUAGACUUAGAUCCUGAAAAUAAAGAAGGGUUCAUUCGGGUGAAGUCUCGAAUCCUAGCUGCGGCAUUAUUGGCCACUAGGUUGGCCUGAACAACAUCUGGCUGCAUAUUUUAGGCUACUAUGGAGUGAUAUAGAGUGGUGAAUGCAUCUCUGAACUUUGCAUGAGAAACAUGCUCAUUCAGGGGAUCUUCCUAAAGAGGCAUAGGUGCUGGCUGGUUUCUGAUUCUUCUUCUGUUAGUCUUUUUGGGAGGCAUAUUCUGUAAAUGGAAGGAAAAGUUGAAUUAGAUAGAGAGUUUAACUUGAUCUCCUACUUAUUCACACGUUAUGAGUAUUGAAAGAAGGGAAAUAUUUCCUAAAACAUCUUGUAACCUCUUACCCAUAAGUGUGGUGCGCUAUACACUCAUGUAUAAGACUCUACUCAACAUGGCUUUUAGACUUCUUAGGAUGUUUUAAAAUCUUAGGCUCUGGUACUAAGUUUGUAACGCCCUGAGAGUACACCCUGGAUUCCACGCGAUGCUUAUAGGCCUGUGAGACACAUGCUAACCCAUGAGCUGGUACCUACUGUGAGCACUGAAUAAAACUAAUAAACAACAUAUGUAGAGUUUCAAUUGAACUUCCAGAAGGUUUUUAACCACUAAAAAUGAUACUAAAUAAUGGUUUAAGACAUUUGAAAACUAACUGACAAUACUAAUAAAAAAGCCUGAUAAUCACAACUGAAAACUGACCAACUAUCUGUACUAGUCUGAAAACCUCUAAAUUGUCUGAGGUGGAGUUGAUAGGACAACCUAUAACUAACUCUAAUUAACUAAAUAACUAAAAUUCGACAUAACUGAAUAUAAGAAAACUCAUUCUCAAAAGAAGAGGACUCACCACGGCUACUGCUGAUGAUUCAUUGGAACGUCUGAGGAUGAUUGGGGAUCCAAGCGUCUGAACCUAUGAUAUAAGACAUCAUAGCACAAGAAAAUGAGUAUGCGGUUGGCACUUUUGAAUGUACUGGUAUGCUAAAUGGGGUUAGGCAGAUAUGCACGGGUUCAUGUUCAUGAGUAAUAACUAAUUGAAUGCAUGGUAUGAGAUACUGAGUAAAAUGUAUGAAAACUGUAAAGAUUGUAGAUGCAUGACCACACAUAAAGAAAGUACUGUAGUAGUCUAUAGGCUGAGAUACUUAAAUCUGACUGUUAAAUAACUGGAAAACCAUAUGCUAUGGUCAAGCAAGACCGGACUGAAUUCUGAACUAAGUACUGAAACUGUAAUUGUGGGAGUUUUCAUCUUACCAACAUACUCCAAUAUAGACUGAUUGGGGUCCAACCUAUAACCCCAGUUAGAAGGGUGGUAGUAUCAUUCCACGGGUUACUAACAAUGGCUGGUUCAACCCUAAUCUGAUAGGAAGACUCAUGAUAUAUAUAUGUGUAUGUGUGUGUGUAUGUGUGUGUGUACGUCAACCCUAAACUGGCAGAAGGACAUAUCAACCUAUGCUGGCUAUGUACUUUUGUAACUUAGGGACUGCUACUAAGGGUCACACCCUAAGAUGGCAUAAAUUCCCCUAUCCCUGGGUUUUCUCGAUGCUGAAUCCUACUCCCAACUAAAUCGACAUUGAUCACUAAACUGGCUAGACUUAACUGAAUCCACACUAAUCAUGUUAAUGGACAUGUACUACUGCCCAUGAUUUGAUUGGGACCUUUCUAUGACUACUGUAAACUAGGUAAGCAGCUAAAUUUUGGGUAUCAUAAUCCCCACAACUUGAUAUCACUGACAAUAGGACCAUACCAUAACUUUAAAGCAUAACAAAUAGUCACAAUUCCACUUUCACUUAUUUAGUCAUCUUAUCAAACACUUGGAAGGCAUAACCUUGUACAUGGGAAUGAACAACAUGCUAAUAUAUCAUGACUUCAACAUCCAAUUCACACUUUAAGGAUUAUUCAACAUGAUACUUACAUCAAUAAACAUAUGCAUUAGUUUAUUCCACAAGAAAUUUAUAUAUUCUUAACUUGACACCCAAACAAUAACACAUAUAUGGACAUAAUAGAUCUAAAUCAAGCGAACUCAUAACUUAAGCUUUGAGAAAAGUUCUUGAACUCCAAGGUUUGGAAGUGACCCAAGGAUGAAAACUUAACAUACCUCAGUAUUUGAAUUCAUAUGGGUUGUUGGUGACUUCUUGAAUCUUGAUCUUGGAAUUGAAGAAACUAGGGCAUUAUUCUUGAGAGGUAAUGUUUCCAAUGAGAGAAAAUAUGAAUUAAGAGGCAACUGUUUCUCUUUUGGGACCCUAAUCCCCUGUUAUUUACCACUUGCAUAAGGGAAAAAGACCCAAAUGCCCUAAAUGUCAUGGAUUUAAAAUGCUGAAUGAGGCCUCCCAUCAUCCCACGACCCCUAUUUGGGUCAAGCAGUCGUCAUGGUGCGGCCCCUGGUUGGGUCAAUAUACCAUCACGAUGCAACCUUAAGCCUUGGUCAACUGACCCUCAUAGCGUGGCCCUAUCGCGACCCCUCGAUGUUUUGGACAUUCAAACUCACCCUUACGCAGGUUCAAAAAAUUUGAAACUCACCUAAGAUGACCAAUAAGUAACCCUAAUCAUGAAUCAACUUGGAAAUCAGUAUUUUAAGGCUGAGAAGGUCAAAUUAAAAUUCAUCGAAGUUGAGAGGCCAAAAUAAUACUAAGUUUCUAGUACUUAGCUAAAUUUUAAAAGUCUUAGACCCCUUUAACAUGCAAUACAAGGAUGAAAUGGACUAGAAUCUUACGGGGUCUUAUAGUCAUACAUACAAAAUAAUUAUCAGGUCAAAAGUUGUAUAAUUCCCAAACCAUUAAUAUGUACUAGCUUUUAUUUUUUCAUGCAAAAAUUAAAAAUGAACGGAACUUUCUUUGACAUAAAAAAUAAAUGCUAAUGGGGUCAAAACUCAGGAGGAGAACCUUUAAUAAACUUCUAACCAUACUUAUGCCAUGACCAUGUAACAUCUGUGAGUUCCUCUUGCAACAAUUCAUACAUAAACCAUAUUGGUUGGCUUUUACUAGUUUCAAAUCAAAAGAAUUAAAACUAAAACUGUAAACAUAGAUACAUAAAACAAAACAAAGGAAAUACUAACCUUUUAUGAAGUUGGAUCAAAGGAUUCUUCUUGGUGAAGGUGGAAUCAGGAGGAAAAUUAUCCCACAUUAAGAGUUAUAGUUUCAGAUUUAUAGAGUCAUGUGAUAUUGAAGUGGAUGUUGCUGUUGGCGCACACUCUAGUACUUCAAUGCUUGGUGGUAGAAGAAGAAAAACUUGUUGGCUAAGCUGAGACAGUUGAAUGAGCAGUAAUAUGUUUGUUGGUCAUCAUUUUGGUCCGUAAUUUUCAGCAGAUCAGCAAUUAUAGAAACAAGAGUUAGGAGGUUUAAGAUGUGAUCAGAUUAAUUAUAUGGUUUUUCCUGAUGAGCAACUGGAAAAUUCAUAGGAGCUAUGCAGUCAAAACCAUUGUUAUAACACCAAAAAUUCUUUCAACAAAAUUCCAAUCAUUAUUUUCAAAAUUUAAAGGCUUGGAGCUUACAUUAGGAGCUACAUCAUUACUAGGUCUAUUAAUAUCACAAUUUCUUACAACAACACCUAAAUUCCAAUUGUUAUCAUUUAUUUCAAAUUUAUAUAAAAUUAUAUCUAGUUGAUUGCAAAAUAAAAAUAGGAUAGAAUCAAGAAAAUCUUAAGACAUUUCAAAAUAUACUUAUAAAAAAAUUUAAAGAUGUUUUGUGAGAGGGGAUUGGGUGGGCCUUAGCGAGAACAACAUCUAAAAAUGGAGAAAGUGGCUUAGUUAAAAAUGAUUUGAGUGAGUAGAAAAUUCAAGACCCUGAGAUGAACAAAACUGAAAAAAGUUGUUUAUUACAUAGAGGAACUUAAAGGUGUACCUACCCACCUUUGCAUAUCCAUAUUUAGUUUGCAUUUGAUGCACAUUAAAUAUUUUUUUUCUAUUUUAGGUGAGUAAAAUUGACAUAUACUGAAGAUGAUAAAGCUAACAUCAAGUAAUCUUGUGUACCUUUUUGUUUAGGAAUUUCAAAAUUUUAAUCCCCCCCAAAGAUAUAAAUCUCAAAUGGUUAAAGAAAGAUUCCUAAGAGAAGAACAUUUGAAAUUUCAAUAUCUUUUUAUGUCCUUUGACUUUGCAAGAAUGUCCAAAAUGGAACCAAUAGUUACAAUCAACAUUUAUUAUGUGGCAGAUAUAUUUAGUGCAGUACAACCACAGUAUAUAAGCAGAUGUCACAAACAAUACUGAUGUAGUAACAUAUUGUCAUGACCCAAUUUAUCAGGUUAAUGAUGACACCUAUCAUAAUUCGCCAGUAGGUAAGCCAACUCAUAAUUCGGAACAAUCAGUAACGAAUUAAUAGAAAAAAAGUAAACUAAAUAAAAGAGAAAGAAGACAAAAGGGCAGUAAAUACAUACCCAAAACCUGGUGGCAUCAAUACAAGAGUUUUUAAUACAACAAGAGUACAAAGUGAAAUACAGAGUAAUAUAUAAAGACAUUUCUAAAAUACAAAAAUAAAGAUAAGUCUAACAAUAAAAGGAAGAGAAGAAAAAACUCUGAAGGCCAGGAUCUCACCUCAAAUCUUUGAUCUAUACCACUCAACAUGAUGCACAAAUCAAUGGUGAGAACUCAUACUAUGAUCUGCAGGUUGCAGAAAUGUAGUAUGAGUACCAAACGCAAGGUACUCAGUAGGCAUCGUCUGACUGAGCUCCAAGGAUAAUGCAAGUAUAAAUAGCAUGUAAAGCAAAGAUAUAAAUUAUAGGCAACUAUUUAAGAAAUAAAAUAUGAUAAUGCUAGUUGAGAGCUAAAAGUAAGAUAUCAGAUACUAUAAGUAGUCAGGGACUAAAGCCGAUACCAUAAGUAUCUAGUCAAUAUACAAUAAUAAAAUGAAGAAAGAGAUGUACUACAUAAUAAUAGUAGGAAGGAUGAAAAUUAUAUACAAGAGUAGCUAGAGAAGAAUAGAUAUGCAGGCGCACUGUACAAAUACCAAAUGGAAAGGUACUACAUUGGGGGAUCUAAUCGAACAUCACAAGGAUCAUAAACGAUAAGGGGGAUAACUAUAGUAUGUUUAGGGUCUUUAACUAAAAUGUGAAACAAUCAUAAGAUAGUUUAACCAUAAUAAAUUUUACCAAAAUAAGGAGUAAAGGAACUAGGAGGCGUACCUUCAACCUCAGUACCGAUCCAUAGACGACCUACCACGAACUAUAAAAUAAUAAUAAUUGAAGAAAAAUAUAACUGACUAGCGCAGACAAACAAUAACUUAACUGGACCCCUAUUAGACUGGAAGAUAUAUAAAGACACUCAGCAAAUAGCAAUCAUAACAUGAAACUAUAUAUUCCCCUUGAGGACUAAUAGAUACAGGUGCCAAACAAUUAUACUAGUAACAGACAAUGUAUAUGAAUGAAUGAAUAAAAGCCAUUAAUAAGGUGAUGCAAGAUAAACCAUAUUCCAUAUCCAACACAAGUGUCACCUCCUCCAGCUAAGUAGCUCGUAAAAGUAGGACCUACGAUGACAAUCCUUCUUUGGUACUGUGAAUAAUUGGGUGAAGGGGCACACAGGGGAUUUGAUAUAUUGAUAUACAAUGCCUAAAUCCAAAUCAGGACUUUCAUGAUCUAUAUCUAAACUACUCUAUCUAGUAUUUGAGGGAAAUAAAAGUAUAAAAAGGGUUCUCAAACUAAAACUGAUGCUAAAUGAGUAUGAAUCUGUAAAUUUUUUGUUUGAGAUUAAAUUUGACAUUAAAAUGGUAGAAUAAUGUAGAAAGACUCGAGAUCUCCCUUGACCAAAGUGAUUAAUUAACGGUCAAAGAGCGAAUUAAUAAUGGACAAAAAUCAGCCAUGACCUGAUUCUCAAAGUAGAAAGUUUAGGUCAAAAGCUCAUAAGUCAUUAAUAAAGAUGGAAUGACUUUCAUUUGAAAAUUGGUAAAGUUAAAAGGAAGGAAUAAUCUAGAAAAUAGUAGUAAAAUUAGGAUUUCAGCUGAAAUUAUGCCACUAAUAAGCAUAAAUAUCAUUUAAAUAUAUGCAUGUCAUCACUAAUAUCAAAACAAUACAAUUGUAAUCAUCUAUAAACUACAACCACAACCUUUCAAAGGAUAAAAUACUGACCUAGUAUCCAACUGGUAUCAUACCCACGACCUUGGGUCUAACAAUGUAUAACUCAGUAACAUAUUAAUACCAUAAAUUGAAAAAAUAAAAUAAACAAGAGCAUAAGAUACUAUAAGGGUCUAAUCAAGGAAUAUCAUCCAAUUCACCAAGCUAUAUGAUAAGUUUUAUAUAAAGAGAUCUUUCAUAUUAAUCUAUAGCUAAAUGUAAUACCCCAAAUUUUUUAAAACCUUUGUAUAUCCAAUUUUGUAUAAAAGUUAGGUACAUGUAAAAAUAAACUUCAUUUAUUUGUAGUAUUGAAAGUGAUUAAUACAUAUAUUAAGGCCUCAAGUAACUCCAAACUCAUAGCCAAGUCAAAACCUCCCUUACAGAUUGAUUUCUCGUUAAGUGUCUUGCUAUGGUCACAUUCAAAUUCAAAUAAUUACUAUAUUAUAUAGUAUUUUAGCAAGACCGAUAAAAUGAUAGAUAAUUGAAUUAUAUUUUGAAUACAUCGAGUUUGCCUUAAUCCAGUGUUGGAGUAAAAAGUUAUGGAUAUUUUACUGAAGUCCUGUUGUCUACCUACUUACGAUCCCUUAAAUUACAGGCCGUAAGUGGGUUAUAAAUAGGUCUUGAGAGAAGAAAAAUGUUAGAUAAUUAUGACCCUACUUAUGGGGGUCGUAAGUGGGUACGUAAGUAGGUUUUGAGAGCUAGAAAAAGGGUUUGAUACCUACGCCCUACUUACGGGUCAUUGGUACUACUUACAGGGGUGAGGUCAUACAAACUUAUUUUUGGGAAAUUUGUUUGGGUAAGCUCAGGGGUAUUUUGGUUAUUUUCUUAUAAGGUCCGACCCUUAUAUGAUUAAAACUUUUUUGAACACUGAAUUAAGAUCCUUCUAAAAAAGAAAACAACAUCAACUUUUCUUUCUCCCUUAAAAUAUUCUUAAGUGAAAGAACACUUAGGGUUCCAAUUCAAGACUCAGAUUCAAACUCUAUUAAUUAAAAAGGUAUGUUAAACACUUCCCACUUCUAUUGUUAUCAUAAACUAUGGAUUUUAAAUAUUUUUAUUUAUAAUUAAAUUGAUGAUUUGAAACUAGAGUUGAGGAGAUUGUUGUGAAACACUUAAUAUUGUUUUCUCUUCUUGUUUUAGGGGUUUUCUAAGCACUAUUAAUGGGUUUUAAGAUGUAAUAUGUUAUAUGAAAAUGGUGAACUUGUUAACAUGGACUUACAACCUUUAAGAAUUUUGAAAGAUAAAUAUAUGACCCUUAAACCACUUCGAAACUUGGUUUUGUACAUGGAAAUUAUGAUUUAUUCAGACCAUCUUUAGAAUAGGGUAUGAGAUUGUAAUACCCCACAUUUUUGGGCUAAAACCUGAAUCAUCUUUUCUACAUAUAUAGAGCCAAAUCCAAUAAUUUCUAUUUAGAUAUAAGUGUGAAUAAGAUUCUUUGGUGUGAUAACAUCUUUAGAGAUGAAUAUAAGUUAUAAAAAUCUCCUAGAUCAAAGUUAAGUUGAGCACUUUCCUACCAAUUUGAGUUUUAGUUGAAAAUUUUACUUGGAUCAACUUUAAGAGAAUAUUACUCCUAUAAUAUAAUGAGUUAUAUGGUCCACUAUGUAUAAAAUUAAAUUACUUUGAGUCUUCUUUCUAAUGCAACUGACCGUUCUUCAACCGAAGUUCAGAGUAAGAAGUUAUAGGCAUUUUAGUGAGGUACUGUCCAGGGUAUGCGAUGGGUCACGCGGGGAAAUAAUCAUGGUGUGUGAUUGGGGUUGCGGGGCAUAUCUAGUUCCAUGAUUUUGGGUCCACGGAGUGACCCUCCCUUUCUAGAUGUUAAAUUAUGUUUUCCCUCUUUAAAUCAAGGGCAAAAUGGUCAUUCACCCCCAUAAUUCCCCCAAUAUGUUUUUAUAACCCUAGAGUCGUACAAUACUAGAAAAAAAUCCCCACUUCCUCAUUCUCUUUCUCCCAAGAACAUCAAUGGGAAUUUUCCAAUUCCAAGUCUUUUGGUUUCCAAUCUCAAUGCUCUUCAAUUUUCCUUCACCAAAUGGUAUGUAGAACUAUACUAACUCUCAUGGGCAUAAGUAUAAUGAUUUUAACGAUCCCUGUAUUGUUUAUGUACUUGAAGGAUAUGACAUUCAUUAGAAAUCAUGAAUAAUGAAAUCUCUUUUAUGAUGAACUUAUGUAUUUACUAUGGACUUUUUUUAUAAACUUGAGAUUUUAUUUAUGUGCACAUAUUAUGGGUUUUAAAGUGUGUGAAGUGUUUGAAAUAUGAACCCCCAUUUUAUGAUAAGAGAUUUGUGAUUAACAAUUGUUGUGGAUUCUCAAAUAAACAUGGAAUGUGUGCAUGUAUUAUGGAUUUUGAAGUGGAUUUGAGAGCAUAAACUAUAAGUCCUCAUUUUCGAUCAUAAAAUUCAUUUGUGACUAGUAUUAGGGAUAUUUUUAUAAAUGACGAUAUUUCUUGAGUUUUAAAUACCUCUUUAACUAUUAUGUAUUAUUAUUUUGUAUGUUUUCAGAGGGGUGUUUAUCAUGCUAGAUGCUUUUGUGUUCUAAUGAAGAAUGCAUGUGAUUAAUGAAAGAAUUGGCCACCAUAUGUUAAAGUCUUGUAAAGAGAGUGCUUUUCAUAAGUUUCAUAUGUUAUUUAACAUAAGUAAUCUCAUGUGAUAUUUAAAUUUUUUGAUGGUCAUUAACACGAUUUUGAAUGAAAUAUCUAUGAAUAUGAUAUGAUAUGAUAUGGCUUGUAAGUCUAGGUAUGACGAUACUUAUUAUGGAAUGGCCUUAACAAGAAAGAAGUAAAUAUUUGAGCAUGGAACCUGAUUUUUAAAGGAAUAAAAUUAGUCUUAAAGAGAUCUAAAUGAUUACAUGUGGGAUUUAUGAUAUGUUAUCCUAUAUGGAAAGAUAAUUAGGACAUCUCACAUGGGGGAUGCCUAUGGUAUGAUUACAUAGGGGGUAUACCAGCUUACAAAAAGUCCGAUCCUUGUGGAAAACUUGGAUUUGAGGCUUGGCCAAUGAGUAAAUGAAGGAUUUCAUAUAACACGUGGAAUUGUAGAGAUGUAGAGUGUACCAUCUAGCUCAGAAAUAAAUCAAAGAGUUAAGUCAAUAUUUUUGCAAGAAUGUUUUCAAGCUUUUUAAUUAUGCCCUAUGUUUUGAUCUCUAUUAUGUUAAAUUAUUUUUAAAUAUUUUUGAUUAUUCUAUAUGAAAUAUAUGUUGGUUUUUGAUUGUUAUGCAUACUAAUAUAUUCCAAGUAUUGACCUUCCUCGGGCAACUACAUUAUCUCAUAAUAUAGGUUUUGAGGCCGAUCUCAUGGUUCAUCACAUCAGUAGAAUCUUUGAAUAUAUCAUAGUUCAUGAUCCAUCUAUAUUUUAGAAGGCAGUUUAUUCAUAUGUUUAUUUAUUUUAGUUUAUGGUCCAGUCAAGGGCCUUGUCCCGGCCUAGACAUUAGUUUUCAGUAGAAGUUUCGUAGAUGAUAUUUGGUCAUUGUAUUGUCAUAACAUUUUUGACAUAAUUUGAUUAUAAGUUUCCCUUGAGUUUUAUUAUAUCUUCUGCACUUCUGUUUAUAUGAAUUAUGCUUAUGAUAGCAUGCUAAGGGGUCUCUUAGUAAGUCGUGGUUUGGGAUGUCCGUUACGGACAGGGCCUCAACUCGAGUCGUGAAAAUCUUGGUAUUAGGGCACAAUUUAGGGUCCUAGGUUAUCUAUGAAUCCGUGUCUACUAGAGUUUUGCUUAUGGGUGUAUUGUGAACCGCACUUAUAAUAAGGAGGCUAUCAGGCAUUUAGGAGAUGUUUUCCAUUCUUUCAUACUCUAGAUCGUGCAUAGUGCCAUCUAUAUGAAAGUUAUCCAAAUUCCUUCCUUACUCUAAUUUUAUUAGUUAUGUCUUAUUGUCGAGAUGUACAAGUGAAAAAGUUUAGAGUCUAAAUGAUAUGGUCCUUUUCGAUUGAGUCAUCAAAAAGUUAUGAAACAUCACUAGAACUUGAGAGAAGUUCGUUAGUGCUUCAAAGUGUGUUUAUUCAAGUGUAUUCCCCUAUCUAUCUCAAUUGUGUGUUUGAUAUUGAGGUAAUAAGUGUAUUCAGUUCCUAUCAAAAGCUUUGUUGCCGAUGUCCCACUUAAGGGUAGAGAUAUAUAACCGAAUAUUUGAGUAGUAUUUUCACCAGAGAGGUAAAUAAGUUAAGGUCUUAUAACCUAUGAGUAGUACGAUGAUUAUAGAGUUAGUGAUAUGAAUCCACAAGUUUAGAAGUUAGAGUGAAGGUAACUUUUGAGUCAAGGAGGUCAUUUUAGUCAUAUAACCUUUGAAUGAAGGGUGGUAUGCCCUUUUAUGGUGAUUGGCUAAAGUUCUAGCAUGAUUUAUAGAUUUAUGGUAGUUAGAAGAGGACGUGAUUAGUUAUGAUGAUUAGAAUUUAGUUGAAUUUUCAAAGGAGCUUAGGAUAGAUAGUUAUUGUGGUUGUAAGAUCAUUUAUAGGUUAUGAAUGGAAGGAUAGAGUGGUUGGUAAUUUAUAAAUUUAGACUUCCUUGGGGUGAUAUUAGAAAAGGGGGAACAUAGUAAUGUUUAUAGAAUGUUGAAGGUAGUUGGGAAGUACGUAUGUGUAAGUAGAUAUGAUAUGAUAAAUUAGAAUAUGUUAAUAGAUCAUAAUGGGUUAUAUUAUAAGAUUAAGAUCGACUGUCCUUAUUAUUUAACUUUACCCCUUUGAUUCUCUUUUUCUCUAGUGAUUGUACACUAGUACAAUAUAUGAGAAGGAGUGUAAUGAAUAUUAUGGUGUAGUACUAAUGUUGUGAAUAAAAAUGUGUUGGUAUACCAUAGUCAAGAGAAAUUAGGAAUUUAGGUUGAUUUCUUUGUACGGGGGACUAGAAUUUUAUGGGUGAUGUUUCAUCGGUUGUACAUGGUUGGUGCUAGACACUAGGCUUGAACUUUAGAUGAAGAUUAUAAUAAUGUUAACUCAUGAAUUAUGAUGUAAUAUUUGUGGUAGUGAGUUAGUAGGCUUGAUAUAAUGUAUGAAAGGGCCUUGUGACAUACCCGAUUGGGGGCCUUGUUGUAAUUGGUGUCCCAAGUAUGACUAGGACCGGAGACCACCCCCGUUACCCAACCCAACCUUCAACCGCCUACCCUAAGUUGGCUGAAUUCCAAAUAUAUAACAAGAUGGCGUUAUUGUUCAUAUCAAGACUCUGGGAUAGGAUCACAAUUGUGACUGACCCAACCGAGUCCAACCAUUCUAUACCCACCAUCCAACCACACCAAUCCAAACCAAUAACAAAAUAAGGGCUAUAAAUAGGCCAUAGAUAGAUAGUUUCCAAACAUAAUAUAAUUAAUCCCAAAAUGAAAUAUGAUGGAACAACCAACUAUACCGUCCAAGGUUGUAAGCUCCAACACCUAUACCAAUGUCAAGGCUAACACCCAUACUAAUCCCGCCCAUUCCAACCCAUAGAAGUACCACAAAGCCUCUAACUAAAAGAGUAAUAAAAUUCGAUUGGGACAAGCCCCAACCAUAGCCAAAACCAAUAUCCAAAAUAAAAUCAAAAUGUCUAAAAGUAUUCAUAACAUUAAAUGGAGCCUUCCGGAUAGAUGGAAGCUCACCACUUUAAUCCAAACAAAUGCCCUCAAGUCAAUCACUAUGUAAGAGAAGUAGAACAGUUGGUUCGUGCAUAGAACAGGGAUAUAACCGUCAGUAGACGGGUUAGUAGGUGAACGCUAGUAUGAUCUCAGGAUAAGGAUAAAAUAAUGUCAUUUAUAAAAUUUAAGUAAAACCAUCUAUAUGCACACAACAAUACAUAUAUGUAACUUUUCUGGGAAAGGGAAACGUUUUAGAAUGCCAUUAAAACCUUUACCUGGGUUGUGUAGCUUUGUCGUCCUAAACCACCCACGAGCUAUAUGUGUUUAGCUCCCCCUGCUAAUAGGGCCCAAGUAUGUGUAUCCACACGACCAUAAAAAAUAUGCUGGGAUGACUAGUACAUCCCCCAAAAUAAAGUGUGACAUUAUGCACACGGUCACCAAGCCCAAACCUUAUAUCGGCAAAUAUGAGUUUUCAAUUUUGGUCCCCCCCGGGACCUCCACCUUCCACGGCGCUACUGCACAUCCCGCCAUUAAUGCCUAAUUAAAACCAUUUUCCAAAUAGCCAAACCGUUAUCCAUUUAUUAACCAAGUCCAUUAAUAUUGGUAUCGUAAGACCAAUCCUUACUUGCAAGUAUUAUCCAUAGACAACCAUGUAUAGGUUUAAGGGGACUUUUAAGUGCCUUUCCAAUUACCAUAUUAAGCCACUUGGGGAUUUCCAUAUAUCCUGCAAGCAUAACCAAUUAACCAAAACCAUGGCCACUAAAGCCUUUCCAGUGUAUUUAAACCAUUCCAAAAUUAUUUAAUCAUUUAGGUUUCCAUUACCAAGUUUAAAACAAGCAAUAGUUCCAUUAAAAUAUAUCAAUACAAUGAAAACAUUAUUAUAAGCAUUUUUUCAAACACCUUUGGGUAUGAUAUAAUCAAAACCAAUUCCACUUACCAUUUAAACAAUUCUCAUGCAACCGAGUAUCCAAAACCACUAUUAAUGCAUAUUAAAGCAUAAAUUAAAUUAUGGGAAACCAUUACGAAUCAUUUAUAACCAAAACCCCCAAAUCAUAUUCAAAAACCAAAAUCAUACAAUCAUAAAACCAUGAAAAUAUUAUGUAAAGCCUAUAUUUAGUUAGAAUUAACAAUAAGGGAAGAGAACAUGCCUAAACUGGGAUGAUGAUGGAAGGAAAUCACCAAGACAAGUCCCAAAUUGAUCCUCUAGUUGAAACCCUAUCUUUCUUGUCCAAAAGCUCUUGAAUGAAUUAUGGAGUGUUUAGGAAAAAUUUCUAAGUGUUAAUAAAUAAAAUAUUAAGGUAAAUAACCUUCCAAGUGCCAUAUAAGUCAUGAGACCUUAUUAGGAUAAGUGGGAAAAUAUCCAGAUUGCCCUCAAUUAAAUCCCACAAAAAUCUCAUCACAGGGAUACGAAUGACCCUUAAAAGUUGUAUCCUCCCUAUACGAAUGGUACCCACCACUAGUACACUUUGGCUUAACCCUUGGACCCAAUACUUUUAAUAUACGACUCAUCCAAACCAAGUCAUAUUCAAGUAUAUGAUCCGUACCCUUUAUUCAUAUCCCUGGUAGAAUCAAAUACUAAGAGGAUUAAACAUUGAACACUAUACUAGUCCUGGGUCAGCUCGUACCCUAGCUUAUGGCUCCAAGAGAGCCACUCAUAGUUAGAUCCAACUUAAGUAACCAAGUCUAAGAUUAAAUUAAUAAACCAAAUGAUAUGUAUCCAAUCAUACGACUUGUACCACCAAGUUGUAUCCAUUACAGUAACCAAAAUCCACCCCACCAAGCAACACUGGUCGCAUACGAAUGGACCACACCAUUCGUACCCCAGAAUAUGACUCGUAACCAUGAGUCGUAUUGGGUCCAGAGACCAGAAUGCCAUGAAAUUUUUUAAGGUCUAGAAGCUAGGGUGUUUCACCUUGUUUGAUAACUUAUGAAAGGUUUGAGUUGAUAAUUAUGAUAUAUAUACAAGGACUAGUAUUGGAGCAAUGAGUUUAUAGAACUCCAAUUGUUUAGGGAGUUUAAAUUGAGCAUAAAAUGAGGUUAUGUGGUCCCUAAAUUGAGUAUAAGGUACCCUAGGAUAGGUUUUAAUAAUUGGGAAAAGUUUGGGCUUUGAAAAUAGGUUGGGUGUUGUGAGGGGUCUAAUUCAUCAUGGAAAUACACUGUAAGGGGCCCCACAAGGGAUCACUACCUCGCCUUUAUGCCUGGUAUCACACCACGAAGGGGGAGCCUGUGAUGGGCCUGACAUUGUAAGGCUAGGCCUCUGUGUUAGGGUCCGUACCAUGACUCCCUCUCUUUGGUCGAUGGUUUGAUGUUCUUAAAUAUUUUAAGGGUACUUGGGUUCUUUAUAUGCCCUAUAAAUUAUCCCACCUUCACAUAACCCGUAUCUAAUUCUUAAAACAUUUGUAAUCACUUGAAAAAAGGUUAUUAUUGUCUUCAAAAUGUAACUUGUGAACUUUAUAGUUGAGGUUAAAGCUUAGAAGGUAAAAAAAGUUAAGAGUAGUGCCCUUGAAGGAAUUCCACAGAAAGAAGUUAGUACUCUCCCUAGGAUAGGUUAUUAGGGCGAGUCUAACAUUGAUGUGUGUGUAGUGAUACCUCCAUUGUGUUGAGCAGUAUGCUUAUAGAUAUAAUGAGAGGAUAUGUCCACAAGUUUAGGAUUGUGACUUUCAUAUAAGGGGGAGAUGAUGAAUUUAGGUAGAUCUUGAAUUUUCUCAUAGUGGUGAGUUUCAGGGAAGAGUCCUGAUUAAUCUAUUCUUAUUCUAGCAAACUCCUCCCAGUUCAAUUUAAGAGGACAAUUCUACCCAUGUCUUCUGUAUCCAAGUCAUGCCUAUGGCUAUGUUUUGAGUUUUCUAUGAAACUAAUGUCCAUGUUCUGACUCCAAACUAGAAGAAACAAUGUCUCUCAACAAUCUAAGCUUCUAAGUAUUCAAGCUCUAUGUUAUGACACUUAUGAUCCAUAAAUCCAUGUCUUGCUUUAUGCUUAGUUAUAAGAAACUAUACUUUGUACAUAUUGUCAACUUAUUUUAUGUCAUAUAUUAUCCCAAAGUGAUACUAUCUAUGCAAACUCAUAGCCAUUCGCCAUUCUUAAUAUGAGGAGCAAUCACUUCAAACAACAAUCCUUGUCCUAAUCCUUGAAUAUGUGAAUUUCAGCUUUAUGUUAUAUAACUCAUGAUACACGCUCAUGUUUCUCACUGUGCCCUAUUCUAAGGACUUAUGUUAUGUUAUGUUUAUACCUAAAUUACACUCUGUUUAUAACCUAGGUGGUUGUUAUAUGAAGUACUUCAUGCUUAUUGUAUUGUAUCUUUUCUCAUAAGCCUCACCUUGAAUAGUGCAGCGAAUAUAAGUUAUAAUUAAUUAAUGUCACUCUCUUUUUCUGUUGCUUGUACUCUAUUCCCUCAAUGACCCUCCUUAUGUUAGAAUCAUAGUGGUUAAGGAAGUAUAGUAAUGUUUGAGAUAAGAGAGUAGAUAUUUCUUAUUGUGAAAAUUUUGGUAUGACUACUCAAGUUAAUGUUAUAGACAAAGAGCGAAGAGUGAGAUUACCUUUUGUUAUAUAAAAUAUUUAGGAAGUGAGUAUAUGGCAAAAAUCUUUGUGAAAGUGAUUGAAGUUGCUGGUUUUUGGUCGGGAGAUCGACAAAGUAGGGGCAGUAAGGAUAUGCUUGAAUGUUGUGAUUUAUAGAUACACAAAACAUUAUUCUAUAUAGCUAGUAAUCCUUGAUUAAGACUUGAGGUUUUUUGAUUAUAGUGAUAAGAUGGAGUAAUGUUCUUACAGGGAUGUAAAGUAUAGGGUCCCAUAGCUUAAGCUAGUAUCUGUUAACUCUGAGGUACGCUUUAAUAUGGAAGUACUAUAUAGUAGACUCAAAAUAUUAUAGUUAGGUAUGCUGCAGGGGAAUUGUAAGUUGGAAAUAAUAAAGUGAGUUAUUCAUAUUAGAAAACAUAGUUGAGAAGUGUCUCUUUAUUUAAGGGCUAUUUGGCUGUAUCAUGUAAGGUAGAGAGUACCUCUAGUCCUUUAUCUCGCGAAACCUUAUUUCAUGUUAAGUAUCAAUGUAUAUCAGAACCUAUGAUCACCAAAUAAAUCCAUGCCUUACUUUGUGAUGACUAUGAUAUAUACAAAUCAUGUCUGAGGUCAUCUCUAUGUCAAUUCUCAUUAUCUCAUGCUUCAUGCUUACACGUUUCACUUGGGGUUGUCAUAAAGAUUUGUUGAGGACUAUGUAUGUUUCGUUGAGGGAGAAAUGCGUAAUGUGAAGUUAUGUACUUUAUUGGGUACUUCAGAGCUUCAAAGAAUUCCUAUCCAUCAUUAGAGGAUGAAUGAUCCCAACGGGGAAAUAAUGUAACACCCUGCAUUUUCAAGCUAGAACCUAAAUCAUCUUUUUAUAGACUCAAACUCAAUAAUUUCUAUUUAGAUAUAAGUGUGAAUAACAAUUUUUUAGUGUGGGAAAAUCUUUGGAUAUGAAUAUAAGUCAUAAAAAUAUCCUAGCUCAAAGUUAAGUUGUGCAAUUUCCUAUCGAUUGAGUUUUAGUUGACAAUUUUACUUGGGUAAAUUUUUAGAGAUCAUUACUCCUAGAAUAUAACGAGUUAUGUAGCCUACUAUAUAUCAAAUUAAAUCCCUUUGAGUCUUCUUUCCAACACAAAUGACGGUUAGUCAAUCCAAAUUUCGAGAACGAAAUAUGUAUUUUAGUGAGACAUUAUCCAGGGUGCGUGAUGGGCCACGUGGGGCAAUGUAUUUCUAUGCGAUUGGGGUCGUGGAGCACAGAUGGUGCAAUGCUUUUAGGUCCACAAUUCGACCCUUCCUUCCCAGACAUAAAAUUAUGUUUUUCCUCUUUAAAUCAAGGGAAAAAUGAUCCUUUCACCCUUCAUAACUCCCCCAAUAUAUUUUUACAACCCAAGAGUCGUACAAGACUAGAGGAAAAGAUCCAAAUGCUCAUUCUCUUCCUCCCAAGACCACCAAGGGUAAUUUUCCAAUUCCAAGUCUUAUGGUUUCCAAUCUCAAGGUUCUUCUUCAAUUUUCCUCCGUCUAAAAGUAUUUACAAUGGGAUUUUCUAUAAACUUGAGAUUUUAUUUAAGUGCACAUAUUAUGGGUUUUAAAGUGUGAAGUAUUUGAAAUAUGAACCCACAUUUUAUGAUAAGAACUAUGUGUUUAACAAUUGUUGAGGGAUCUCAAAUAAACACGGAAUAUGUGGAUGUAUUAAGGAUUUUCAAGUGGAUUUGAGACCAUGACUAUAAGUCCUCAUUUUUUAUUAUAAAUUUCAUUUGUGACUAGUGUUGAGGCUGUUUUUAUGAAUAAUGAUAUUUCAUGAGUUUUUAAAUGCCUCUUUAACUAUUAUGCAUUGUUAUUUUGUAAUUUUUGAAGGGUUGUUUCUCAUGCUAAAUACGCUUGUGUUCUAAUGAAGAAACUACAUGUGAUUAAUCAAAUAAUUGACCAACAUAUGUUAAAGUCUUCAAAAGAGAGUGUUUUGCAUAAGUUUCAUAUGUUAUUUAAAAUAAGUACUCUCAUGUGAUGUUUAAUGGUGAUCAUUAACAUAAUUUUGAAUGAAAGGGAUAUGAAUAUGAUAUGGUAUGAUAUGACUUGUAAGUCUACGUAUGAUGAUACCUAUUAUGGAAUUCCCUUAACAAGAAAAAAGUAAAUAUUUGAGCAUGGAACAUGAUUUUUAAAUAACUAAAAUUGAGAUUGAAGAGAGCUAACUAGUUACCCGAAGAAGCAUGAUCUUAAGGGGUCGUUGCUGGAAAUUAUGUUUUGCCAACAUGUGGUUUAUGAUAUGUUAUCCUAUAUGGUAGGAUAAUUAGGACAUCUCACAUGGGAGGGAUACCUACAGUAUGCUCACAUGGGGAGUAUACCAUCUUAUAGAAGCUCUGAUCCUUGUAGCAAACUUGGAUUGGGGGCUUGGCCGACGAGUAAAUAGUGGAUUUCAUAUGGCCCGUAGGAUUGUAUAAAUAUAGGGUGUACCAUCUAUCUCAGAAUUAAAUCAAACGAUUGAGUCAAUGUUUUUGCAAUAAUAUUUUGAAGCUCUUUAAUUAUGCAUGUGUGUUUUGAGCUCUAUUAUGUUAAAUUAUUUUCAUGAUGCUUUUGAUUAUUCUAUAUGAAAUAUAUGUUGUUUUUGUAUUGUUCUUCAUAUCAAUACAUUUCAAGUGUUGACCGUCCUUGAGCAGCUACAUUGUCUCAUAAUUUUGGUUUUAAGGCUCGGUCUCGUGGUCCAUCACAUUAGUAGAAUCUUUGAAUAUGUCAGAGUUGGUGAGCCAUCCAUUUUUUGGAAGGAGGUUUAUUCAUAUGUUUAUUUAUUUAAGUAUAUGGUCUAAUCGGGGGCCUUGUCCCAGCCUAGAUAGUUAAUUUAUAGUAGAGGCUGCAUACACAAGAUUUGGUCACUGUAUUGUCAUAACAUUUUUGACAUAAUUUGAUUCGAAGUUUUUCUCGAAUUUCAUUAUAUAUUUUGCACUUCUAUUUUAUAUGAAUUAUGCUUAUGAUAGUUUGCUAAGGGAUCUCUCUGGCCUUCGUGGUUUAAGAUUCCUAUUAUGACCAAGGCCUCAGUUCGAGUCGUGACAGAGAUGAAAGAAUGAAAGGUUAACUGACAUUUUAAAAACACUUGAGGUUUAUUUUUAUGAAUUUUAAAGGUGAAUUUGGGAGUCUAAAACAUUAAAUGAAAACUCUAUGGCAUAAUAUAAAUGGCUUGUAAGUCUUGGUAUAACGAUGCCAAUAUGGGAAUGCCUUAAUGAAAGACUCCAUGGAUUAAUUAUUAUGAAAACAUUUUAAUUGGGCAAUAAAGGAAAUUUUAUAGCUUUACCGUGAAGGUGUAGUCCUUGUGACUAAUACUUGAAAUCAUAUUUUUCGAUUUUUGGAGGUCUUGUCCUGAAUGAAGUAUGACCGUGGUAUGUCUACUUCGUGCAGUAGUACAUAGUUAUGUAUAUGGUGUCUAUUGAUUGUAGGUGCCUUUAGCCUAAUCUCAGUCCAUGUGGCUAACAUGGAUUAAGGCCCCACUAGUUGAGGAGUACUGGACCCAUAUAGCCUGUGGGUUAUAGGAUGAAGGUGAAAAACUACGUAGGUUACAGAAUGAUGGUGAAAAGUUGUAUAGUACAGGACUAAGUCUUACAUGGUCAAGUCUUUAUGUUCGUGUCCCCUAUUUCAUACUUUAUUAUUAUUAUUAAUGAUGAAAAUAAGCUUUGAAAGGUUNNNNNNNNNNNNNNNNNNNNNNNNNNNNNNNNNNNNNNNNNNNNNNNNNNNNNNNNNNNNGACACUACAUAAUUUUAUAAUGUAGGUCAGAGGCAUUUUUCCAUUGUUUUGUGUAGCAUUAGGACACUCGUUUUCUCUCUUGGACAACUAGUGAUAAUCGAUUAGCCCUCUAUCAUAUGAAAGGCUAUUGUUCAUUUCUCUUAUGUUUCUAUUCUAUCAUUUUAAGGUUUCUUUUGACAUAGUCGGAGCCAUGUCCCAACAUAGGAGUAUUCUUAAAGUUAGAGGCUUCGUGGAUAGGUGUUAGGUAAAUGUUUGAAGUUGGUUCUUAAGACAUAGAAGUUUCUUUAUUUAAAUGUUGAGCCCUUCUUUUUUUAUAUUUAUGGUUUUGUUUCUGCAACUUUAAGUAUGAUUACACUUAUGAUAUAAUGCUAAAGGGUCAUCCCAGGCCUUCGUUGGUUUGGGAUGCCCGUCACAGCCAGGUCUCCAGUUUGAAUUAAGACAAACUUGGUAUCAGAGCAUGGUUCAAGGUCCCAGGGUGUCUACUAAGCCAUGUUGAGUAGAGUUCUCUUUAUAGGUGUGUAGCAUGCCACACUUAUAAGAGGGAGGCUACAAGGCAUUUAGGAAAUGUUUCUUAUUUUUUCAUACUCUAGAUCAUACAAUAGUGUUGUCCAUAUGAAAGUAUCCAAAUUCCUUAUUGACUCUAAUUAUUUUGGCUAUGUCCCAUUAUCGAGGCGAUACAAGUGCAAAAACUUAGGUUCCUCACAAUGUGGUCCUUUUUAAUUGAGUCAUCAAAAAGUUAUGAAAUAGCAUAAGGACUUGAAAGGAGUCCAUUAGUGCAUCAAAGUGUAUGGAUUCAAGCGUACCCGUCUAUCUUUAUGAAUCGUAUGUCUCAGCCUAAGGUAAGAGGUGUAUUCAGAUCCUUUCAAAACCUUUAUUGAAGGUGUCUCGCUUAAGGGGAAAUAUAUGUAUUUGAAUGUUGGGAUAGAAAAUUCCACCUGAGAGGUAGUAUAAAUUGGGAUGCCAUAACCUAUGAGUAGUAAGAUGAUCCCAAGGUUAGUGAUAUGAAGUCGUAAGUUUAGAAGCCAGAGUAAGGGUAUUUUUUGAGUGAAAUUGUGGUUUUAUUCAUGUAACCUUUAAGUGAGUGAAGAGGUGGUAUGCUCUUAUGGUGAUUAGUUAUGGUUAUAGAAAGACUUGUAGAUUUUAUGGUAUUUAGUAGAGGAAAUGAUUAGUUAUGAUAAUCUAGAAUUUAUUUGAAAAAAGAAAGGAGCUCAUGAUGAAUAGUUAUUAUAGUAGUAAAAAAAAUUAAUCAUAGAAUGUGAAUGGAAGGAUAGAUUGGAUAAUAUUUUGUAAAUUUAGCAUUCAAUUAAAAAAUCUUAGAAAGGGGGAAUUAGUGGUGUUUAUAGAAUCUUAAAGGUAGUUUAAAGGUAUGUAUGGGUAAGUUGAUGUGGUGUGAGGAUGGAGAAUAUGCUAAUGGACCAUAAUGGAUUAUGUGAUCAGAUUAAGAUCAACUAUAAAGUCCGUUGAUUUUAUAUCUAGAAAUUAUACGGUAGUCUACUAGGUGAAGAAGAUGUGUAGUCAAUUUUAAGGUGGAGGAGUAAUGUUGUGAAGAAAAUUUGCUUGUAGGUCGUAGUUAAGUAGAAUAAGGAAUUUAGAUUGAUCAAUUUGUCAUAUAUUUUGAUGGACUGGUAUAGUAUGUAGGAUGUUGCAUUGACAAUUCAUGAUUAGUAAUAGAUGUUAAGCUUGAACUUUAGAUGUUGAUUGUGGUGAUAGGAAUAUUAGCUUGAGGAUAGUGAUGCGAGAUUUCUAUGAGUAAGUUAGUAGGCUUGAUUUGAUGUGUGAAAGAGAUUAGGUUGAUGACUACGAAAAAUUUGAGUGAACAAUUAUGAUAAAUAUAUAUAUAUAUAUAUAUUCAUGUCUCUCUCUCUCUCUCUCUCUAUAUAUAUGAAUAUAUAUACAUGAGGACUAUUGUUGAAAUGAUAAAUUGUGAUUAAGUAAAUAUGUGGAUAAGAGCGUUAGAGUUAUAAGAAUAAGUUGAACCCCAGGUAGCAUGUUGUUAGAUGAGGUUUUAAACUGUAUAAGUUCCAUGAGUUCCUAGUUCAUGUUCUUGAAUUUAUGAUAUAGAGAAGUCUAGGGAGUUGUUAUAUGGUGUUCUUUAGAGCUGAAUUGAGGAAAAUGUAGAUAGACGAUGUAAGUCAUUGGUAUAGUUUAAAAAAAUAUUAAGUUGUGAGGCUAUGCGAUAAGAGGUUUAUGCUAGUAACUAAGAAGCGGAGAAUGGGUGGUUAUGUAUUAAGAAGUGUGGAUAUGUAUGCUCAUGAGAGUGUGAGUUAUAUUGUGAUGAUUGUGGAUCCUAGCAAAAGUGAAGAUUAGUAUCCCUAGAAGGGAUAUCCUAGAAACAACAUAGUGUCAUCAUAUUAUAGUUAGCAAGGGGGAGUUUGGCAUUCAUGUGUAUGGUGAUACCUACAUUGUGUUGAGUGUUGUGCUCAUAGAUUUAAUAAGAGGACAUGUCCUAAUUCUAGGAUAGUGACCAUUGAUCUAAGGGGGAGAUUAUGAACUAAGGCAGAUAUUGAAUUUUCUCGUGGUGGUGAGUUUUAGGAAAGAGUCGUGAUAAAUUCAUCCUUAUCGUAGAAAAUUUCUCCUACUUUGAUUUAAGAGGACAUCCUACCAAUUUCUUAUGUAUCCAAAUACCGAUGCCUAAGGUCUGAGUUCCCUAUACAACUUAUGUCAAUUCUCUAACCCCUGAACUAGAAGCAAUAACGUCUCUCAACAAUCCAAGAUUCCAAGUAUUCAAGCCCUAUGUUAUGACACUUAUGAUCCAUAAACUCAUGUCUCACUUAAUGCUUAAUUCUAAGAAACUAUACUCUUUAUAUGUUACAAUAACACCCCAAAAAUGGGUCCCGAGAUGACACAUGGUGCUCAAGACAACUUGUAGCCUUAAGCUAACCUUGUAAGCCUUCUACUAAAUCUGAAGAUCAAAAUAAAGAGAUGUAGAUAUAUAAUCAAAACUAAAAUGCAGAAUUCUAUCUGAGUAAAGCUGAAAUUAUCUUAACAUGAUAGCUGAAAGUACUAGACGUAAGAGUCUGAACAAUCAACACUAGGAAUCUAAAUCAUAACUAGCAGUCCAAGAAGCCUCUACUACUAAUAACAAGAUAGCCACUGGGAAAAGUCCCCAGCUGACUAGAACUGUCUGAAAAAUAUUAAAUCAACUACUGAAAUAAACUAGAAAAUUUGAAUAACUGGAUCCCCAGACUAGAAGGACUCACCAACUGUCGGGAUGUAGGUGGAGAUGCUCAAAUUCACUUACACUACUGAAACUGAGCACCUGAACCUACAUUAUGAGACAAUGUAGCAUAUAGACGUAUAUGUGGAUCAGUACUUUGAGAAUGUACUGAGUAUGUGGGGGUGAAUGCAUAAGUAAACAAAUAAUAUUUCAAUAUUAUCAAAAUUCAUAAAAAUGUGCAUGCUAGAAUAUAAUUACUCACAUGGCUUACUGAAAACUCAAAAUUAUAAAUCAUGGAUAAUAAAACAUACUAUGUAAAUCUGGUGAGCCAUCACAUUUAAAGUCUAAAAGAUGAACUAUUAUCUGUCAUUCUUUUCUGAUAAGGAAUUCUUUUAAAAGUUGUUCUGUAAGGCUUUCAAGCUGUAAGAAGUUCUAGUAAAAGCUUUUAUAUUUUUCAUUUCUAUUAGAGAGGUUCUUCUAACCAACAUCCACUAUGUGAGCUAUCAUAGUGUCCAACGUCUAGUUCCUCUAUAAGGAAAACCUCACGUUGGGGAGAGGUGUCAUACUCUUGCCAAGGAGUAUAACCUGAGCUAAGUGAUCAUAUCUGUAACUGUCAUCCAUAUAGAAAUGGGAAUACUAAAUUUGUACCUAUGUUGGCUCGUAGUUCUAGGAAAGUAGGAUACGCUAAACCCACACUUCUUUCUCGGUGCUAAAUACUACUCCCUUUGAUCUGUAUGGUCAUUCUAUAGGAAAUCCACUUUUAAAGCUAUUAUAAGGGCUUAUAGUUAAAACCUCUUGUGAAUCUGUUUACUGUAAAGUGUAGCUAAAACUAAAAAGUGGAUUCCAUAUCUACGCUGAGAUCAAAAGGUCAAAUCUUUAUCAAAAGCUGAAAAUAACUGGUCAUGGGAUGCUUAAAGCAUAAUCAUUCUUGAAAUAUCAAUAUUCAACUAAGGCUUGGUAACCCAUGCUUCCAUUUCAUGUCAAAUCAUCAUAAAGUUCAUGCUUGAUAAUGAAAAUAUUCAUAAUUCAACUCAAAAUCUAGAAAAUAUAGUCACACACAUAAAUUUACAAAAGUAGAUAUGCAUUUCAACAUCCAAAUCACUUGUGAUCUCAUAAUCUUUAAAUAGCAAUAUUUAAGUAUGAACCCUAAAUUAAAAUUCAUAUAAAAUUAUGUGAAUUUGUAUUUAAAACUGGUUUUGGGUACAAGUGUGAAAGAAUUAUCCUUUUUCAAAACCCAACAUACCUUAAUUGAUGAAAUUGAUAAAGAAGCUUGAACUUGAAUUCCUAUUUGUGCUUUUAAAGAUGAUUUCUUGAAGGCCUUGGAUUGAGAAUCUUGAAUUUUGGGUUAUCUUGGAAAAAAAUGGUGAAUCAAUGUCUUUCUUGGGGAUUAAGUUUUGAGGUUCUAGGGUUUCUUGGAGAGAAUUUGAUGAAAAGUGAGCAUAUAAUGCUUAGAAUAGGUUAAAUCUAGUGUUUUUCACGAUUUGGGUCUUGAGAAAAUAACUAGAUUGCCCUUUAUAAAAAUUACAAGGAACUGAUAAAAAUCCUGAUUUGGCACACCACCGCGAUGCGACGCUAUCGUGGUGGCUUACUAGAUUAGGGACAAUUGCCAAUUUAGGCUCUGGCACGAUGCAGCGUAAUCCCGUUGCGUCACUAGAAAAGGGACGUAUCCCAUUUUAGCCAUCACCGCAAUGCGCAACGAAGUGAAAUCACGUUGCCUUACUGGAAAAAGGGCGAGUGCUAUUUUGCAACCCACCGCGACGUGGUGUCUUUCCAAUUAGAAAUUUUGACUCGAUAUAUGCUGAUCGAGGUGAGAUACUAGAAAGGGACAAACGAGAAUUGGAACUUAUCAACGAAGUGGGCUAAUCACGGUGCUCUACUAGAAAUCAAACAAUUGCAAAUUUUUCCUUCAUCGUGGCGCGGUGCUUAUUGCGGUGCUCUACUGCUUUCUCAAAAAUCGUUAUAACUUCUUAAUCGAGUAUCGGAUUGAGGCAAAAUUGGUAUCGUUGGAAAGCUAAUUCAAUUAUCUACAUAAUGGUGAGUCUAGAGCUGGAAAAUUCUACGCGAAUCAAAAUUUAUUAAUUUUUUAAAAGUUGACCGUUGACACACUAGGAGUUAAACUGAGCAAGGAAAAGUACGAGGUAUUACAAUAUCUCCCCCUUGGGAACAUUCGUCCUCGAAUGAGACUAAUUAAGUUGAAGAUUAUAGACACGUGAUUUUGUCCAUUCAAAAUUAUUUUUUACUAUCUACUCCGUCUUACCGCGUAUCCUAUCCGCGUGGUAAUUUUUCCACAAGAAAAACAAAAUAAAUAACCACCUCAUCACUUUAUUUAUUUUAUUUAUUCUUUAUCCUUAUCCCAAAUAAAAAAUUCUAACAACAAUCUCUCUAAUUAAAAAAGGACACCUUACAACUCACCACCCAGUACCCUUCUACCCUACCUACCCACGUGACCUACCCUCCUAACAUUUUUUGUCCACAAAGAAAAAAAGAGGAUAAACAUAAACACUACAAAAAGAGAGCCCACAUGAUUACUGAAAAAUUUCCAUUCUUGAAUGGAAUAUAUAGGCACGGAUCUAGGAAGAGGAAUUGACCCCCCCAUCGUCACUCUCUAUAGACGAAAACUCCACACAUCUCUCUCAAAAAUCGCACACACACACUUAUAGCCAAUCAAAAAACACACUUCCAUCACCAUAUUCACAUACACUCACACAGUAGCACACACAAGAACCAUAAAUCGCAUACUACACACAAUAAUAGAGUGAUAGAGAGAGAGAGAGAGAGUAAUGGAGAGACAAAAAAUGCAGGGUUUCGGGAGUGGUUUACUGUUCCGAUGAUAGACUCACUGGAAUCAUCUUCAGUUCACCGUGUUCGAAAGAAAAUGCACCGGAAUUCGCUCGCUCGUCAGUUUCCCCCCUUUUGUAGUUCACCGAAGCUCAGGGUUGCUAGGUUUCUGGUUUUCCAUUGUGUUGUUGGGAGAAGUUCGUCUUAUUGCCGUGCUUCAUCUUUGAUAUCAGGUCUUGAGGUUUUCGAAGUCAUAUUAGAUCAACGUCCAUGAUCUGAAUUUCGUAUUAAGAAUUUCCUUCCCAUUGUUUUGAAGAAGUUAGAUUAUUAUUUUUUUGAUACCAAGUUCAUCGCUGUGGAGGUUCCUGGCAGAGGAUUUUGCUUAUAGAUUUUCUUUAUUAUCGAUGAAAACAAGUUUUUAUUGAGGUCCAUUUCUUGAACCUAUCCUCUUUUCUUUAUCUUGAUUUGUUGAAUUGGCUAUGAUUAUGUAUUUGUUGUUUAUUAUUAUUUGAUUUUGUUGAUGUUUAUGAAUUUGAUGAUGAAAUUUGAGUGAUGUUGAGUUGUUGCUUGAUUUCGUUAACAAAGAAUGAUUGAGAAUUGUGGAAAUUAUGUAGUAAAAGGGAAUUUGGGGCGGGAAUUGAAAGUUGAAAAAGUGAAUAUUGCCGUUUUGAUUCAUUAAUGUUGAUGAAUUCAGUAUUAUCAUGAUAAGACUGUUAAAAGCGUAGGCAAAAGGUAGGUUGGGUAAGCAAAGUUUAAGAUCCGUGAUUGUUGAAUGAUGAAAUAUUGGUGGAGUGGUUUUGAUUUAUGCACUGAGAUCUAUUGUAUUCAAUUGGCCGAGGAAUGCCUCGAGGGAUUUGUAUUGAUUUAUUCGGGGAAUGCUCCGAAGUAUCAUGUACUUGAAGAUGACUCACGAUCAAGGCCCGGAACGUCGGGUGGAGAAAGCAAUGGAACGUAGUUAGUAUUAGCCUAGAAUUGUGUAGGUUUAUAUUUCCACAUUUUUUUUUAUUAUUUCGGGACUGUAUAAUUGGACUGAACACUAAAUUUUGGAUUGUUUUGUUUGUUUUGCUUGAUUAAUUGUUUUGUAUGCUUUGUGUGGUUUAUACAUUUGUAGUGUUAAAUUAGCCGAUAUGCUCCACCAAGCGACCGUGGUCGAACCACGGGAUCGAGGGGUGCCUAAUACCUUCCCCUCGGUCAACAAAUUCCUUAGUUGGAAUCUCUGUUCGUUGACUAGUUUUAUAUAGUCAACCGUGUUGAAAAAGAAUAUCCAAGGGUGACUUGGCACACCCGAUUUAUGCCAAGUGGCAACUCUGAGUUUUGAAUAUAAAUGAUCUUUUUCAAAACAAAUUCUUAUAUUUUUUCACUUAAUAAUAAAACCCUUUUGAACUUAAAAUUAAUCUUUUUGGAGUGAAAAGGGGUAUGACCGCUCUGGCGACUCUGCUGGGGACUUUUCAGAAUUCAAGCUUAUUUUGGAGUUGUAUCAACUUAGUUUGGCACUAUAGGUGUAUGGACCUUCUGUUUGUGUUGUUUUGAGUUAUUGUAUUAUCAAUGUUGAGUGCCUACAUGCUCUUUGUUUACAGUUUUUAUUUUAUAUGUUACCGCUUUAUAUCUGGCAUCAUAUGCAUAACCCGAGUAAUUCUUUCUGCAACAAGUCCAUAGUACAUGUGUUGUACACAACUUCUAGUUGAGUCACCCUUAUUUUUUUUGGGGGGGGGGGGAGCCGUUGGUAUUAUGGAGUAGGUGGAAAGCAAAGCAACCACUAUCGACCAUACGCUCCCCCGAACAACCUUGUUAGUGAACCCAAACGUAGGUCAGCCUUUAGGUCAGGCUUAUGUGCAUCAUAUUGAAGACCUAGCGGGGCCCACUUGGCCUUUUUUAGGAGACUCGCCUCUAAAGCAUCUCUACGUGCUAAACGUUGCAUCUUUGAAGGUAACGUGGUCAUUUACGGACUGAUUUGGGGAAAACAUGUGUUAAGGUAAAAUAUGUAGACAAGAAACCGUUUGAAAAAAAAGUUUCGUAGCUUUUUGUGUUCUUUAUGGCUUUUGUUUUUCACAAUUCAAAAAUUCAAAAAGAUUUCUUUAUUUUCUACACUCAUUUGUUCAAAAAUCAAAAAAUCAAAAAGAUUUCUCACUUUGUCUCCUUUAGCAUACAUUCAUAAUUUGAAAUUUUCAAAAAAGAUUCUUUAGCAGUUUUUAUAAAAGAAAAUGAAAAAUGAUAGAAAUUUUGUGCAUUUCAUAUAGCGAAAAUGCCAAAAAGAUUUUUUUCUCUUUCAUAGUUGUUGGUGUCAGUUUUGUGUGAAGUAUCUAAUUGAAAACCCAAAAAGAUUUUAUUUCUCAUCGUCCGUCUGUAAUCACGUCUCUCAAGUAAGUCUUAGUUCGUUUUAAUCCUUAAUUGUCCAAUUUGGAUGAACUAGGCACCCCUGAUUCUCCUCUCUUGGGAGUGAGAUAUGUAGGCAGCCUAUUGUUGGUUCGGGGAUCUUAUUUGAAAAAUUCAAAAAGAUUUUCUUCACUCUUUAUUUAGAGUAAGUGUUUCAUAUACAUCUUUAGAAGAAAAACUGCAAAAAGAUUUUCCUUUAAUAGGUUCAAGUUUCAUUUUCAUAUGAAAUUUAAAAUUAAAAUCCAAAAAAUUUUUCUUUGGUAAUCAUAGAUUUCAUUUUGUAUAGGGAUGUUAAACCUGAAAAAUUCAAAAGAUUUUCGUUAAUUCUUUAGACAAAUUGUUAUUUUCUUUUUUUCUUAAAGUUUUAAGAAAAAGAAAGAAAAAGAGCUUAAUUGGCCAUUUUGGCAAGACUUCAUGAACUACGCACACCUGAUUCUACUCUCUCAGGAGUGAGAUACGUAGGUGCCCUUCUUGGGUUCGGUGAUCUUUUCAAAAGAAAGUCAGAAAAAGUUUUGAAAAAUGGUUGAACUCUAACACAUUAGCUAUCUCUUGUUCAAUUAGUUUAAGGUGGUUGGUUUGUGGCAUUUUGGCUGGUCCUCAUAUUGCACCAAGUCAUAGAGAAAGUUAUGGCCAACAAGGAUACCGAGUUUGUUGUAACUAAUCAGAUAGGGAGUUUGGAAAAUGAGAAUUUAAGAACCAAUGAAGAGAUUCAAAAAUUAAAGCAGAAAAUGAUAGAAAUGCAUCGAUCUUGGGCAAAUGGGUUGCCACCUCUGUAACGACCCGAAAUCGCCUCCCAGGACGUCACACGGUGCUUAAGGAUACAAGUAUCCCCAAGUUAAACCUCAGAGCCGGUUUCUACCCAAAAACAACCAAUUCAAGAUAAGGAUAGACUUAAACACUCACAUAGCCAUAUCACAAGAAAGGAAAUAAGAAAGUAUAAUUGGUUCAUAUGACCGCACCAUAGAGAAAUCUCAACAAAACUACAAUACUGAUCUCUCUCGACAUAUCACAAGUCUGAUACUAGUCUGACAAAACCUCUAUGAAUCAAAAUCUAGAGAUCCAUUGGGACAGGCCCCAACUGACUUAAAAUAAACUGAAGAUAAAACAUAGUCUCUCAAGUAUGGUAAAUAUCUGAAGAUCGGUCCUCGAAUCAUGAGGACUCACCACUGUAGGAAACGUAGGCAAGGUACUCGAAGAAUCACGGGCAAGGUUGGGACUGAGCACCUGAACCUACAUUAUGACACAAUGUAGCACAUAGACAUAUAUUUAGAUCAAUACUUUGAAAUGUACUGAGUAUGCGGGGGUGCAUGCAUAUGUAUAAAGUAGUAACAAUAUUUUCUUCAAUCAAAUCAUGUUUGCAUAAUGAGAUGACUCACAUAGAUUGAACAAGUGUAAAAUAUGAAACUCAUAAGUCAUGUAGAAUGAAGCAUGUAACACAAUCUCGUAAGUCAUCAUUAUUUAACUUCAAAAUCGGAAAACUUCUCUUACUCUCAAUGCCCAAAGGAUAAGGGAUUUCAAACCACACUUUCAGGUCAUGCAUAUAUCGCAAGAGAGUAAAAGUUCUUCAAUGCUCAACACUUCACAAUCAUUUAGAAACUCAUAUACUUGGAAUUCGAAAUCAUAAAACUUGAAGGCAUUUCAUUCACUUUAGAAAAUAUCUUAUCUCAAAUCAAAACCUUGAUUAGGGAAUAUCUUUGCAAUUCAACCAUUUAGGGAAAAUAGCUUAUAGGGAAGGAAAAUAAGCAUUUAAUUUUGAAGUUCGAAAUGCAAGGGAGACUCUCGUAACCGACAUAAACCAUGCGAGCUACAUGUUGUCCAACGUUUUGUACUCCUAAAGAAGAGACCCCACGUUGGGGUGGACCUUCAUACUCUUGCCAAGGAGUAUAACCUAGGUCUAGUGAUCACUAAACGAAAAUUGGGCCCGGGCCCAUAUAAUCAAAUCAGCCUCAGGCCCACUCAUAAUCAUAAUAUAAUCAGCCUAGUGUUUGAGGUAAGAAACCGUAGUAGCUUACCCGCUCGGUGCUAAAUACUACUCCCUUUAGAUUACCUACGCUCAUCUCAUAAAAGUACACUUUUAGAAUAAUCACGUGGUUCAUCACGAACCCAAUAAUCAAAUCAAUAAUCUCAUAUAGUGAAGUAGAUUUCAAAGCUUUCGGACCAUUAGGUCAAUUCAAUUUUCAACCAUCUCAAAAUACUCAAAUCAUGGUUGCUUAUAGCACGACAGUUCAUAAUUUUAUAAGUCUCGAAUAGGGAUUACUAACCUAUAGUUCAAUUUCAAGUUAAAGCUUAUCAAAAGCAUAAUAUAUAGCAUAUAGAUUCAUAAAUCAUGUGGAAAUCUGGAAAUUUCAGCAAUUCAUCUCAAAAUCUCAAUGUAGUCAUAUGCUUCAAUAUCUCAACAUUUCAAAUAUAAGUUUCUCAAAGAGUAAAGUCAUGGGGUUUAUCCAGCUAUAAAAACUCUAGAAAUCAUGCCAUUUUACUCUCAAUUCAUGAGAAAUAUCAACAUAAUGCAUCCAAUAAAUAUGGUUGAAAACCUAAUUUCAAACUCAUGUAAAAAUCCCAUAAUUUUAGCAAAAUCAUGAUGUAAAUAAAUAUUUUGGGCACAAGGGUAAAAGGGUUACCCUUGUUCAAAACCCCAUAUACCUUGAAUUUGAAGCUUUAGAAGAACUCUCACUUUUGGAACUCUACUCUUGCUCUUGAAUGAGGGUUCUUGAGACUCUUCACUUGGGAACCUAGAAUCUUGACUCAAUUUAGAAAAUCGAUGGUGGAUUCUUGAGAUUCUUGGAAGAGGUUUUGAGUAUUUAGGGUUCUUGUUGAGAGAAAACUUGAUAAAACCCUUAUAGGAUGCUUGCAAAUGGCUUUGAUUUAGUUUUUCCACAAUUUUAUAGGCUUGGAAAAAGUCCAAAACGCCCUUUUAAACAUCUGUACGAAACUGGAAAAAUUGAAUUGGAACCCAAUUUUGAAGGCCUCCGCGACAUGCCACUAAUCACGUUGGCUCUCUGGAAAAUAACAAUUGGGAAAUUGACAGCCUCCGCGACGCGGAGUCAUGCAUUUUCCCACUGGUUGGGACCCGGGACUCCUUCGUGACGUGCCACUAUCGCGGAGUCCCACUGUAAUGCACCCUCUCCGUGAUGCGCUAGGCUCUUAAAUGACACAGAUUUUACGACGAAGGCUUAAAUUGGUCAUAACUUCUUACCGAGUGUCCGAUUUGGGCAAAUCUUAUAUCGAUGGAAAGCUUAUCAGAUUUCCCACGUGAUAAAAAGUCGAAACCAGGGAAAUUCUACAUGGUUAGCAUGAUACUCACUUAGGAAGCCACUUCUCAAUCUUUUAGGGCUGGAAUCACGUCUCACUCGACAUGCCUUAAGGCUCAAACUACGAGGGAACUUUACAGGACCUUACAAUAUCUCCCCCUUGAGAACAUUCGUGCUCGAAUGUCGCGAGUUAGGCUAGAAAUAAAGGAAAAACUGAGUACACAUAGUCAAAACAAUUACUAAACAGUUCAAGAUCUUCCUAAAAUCAUGACCACUCCGGAUAUCGGAAGAACUCAUACAAAGAUAGAUUCAUAGCUGAACUUUAGAUUAGAAAAGGUGAAUCAAGAAAGAAUGGUACCUUCGGAUUAAUCUGAACUUGUGGAAAAGAGGUGCAGGUAUUUGGCUCGGAUGUUUGCUUCUACCUCCCAAGUAGCACCCUCAACAGCUUGGUUUCGCCAUAAAACUUUAACCAAGGGAAAUUCUUUGUUCCUUAGUCUACGGAUCUGAAAAUCUAGGAUCUCCAUGGGAAUCUCAUCAAAGGAAAGGUUGUCCUGAAUAUCAACACUCUUUGAAGGAUCAACUAUAAUGGAAUCACCAAUAUGCUUCUUAAGUAUCGAGACAUGAAAGAUAGGAUAAACGGCGGACAACUCCGAGGGCAACUCAACCUCAUAAGCCACUUUACCAACACGACUCAAAACUCGAUACGGGCCAACAUAACAGGGACUAAGCUUUCCUUUCCUACCAAACCUCUUCACCCCUUUCAUGGGUGAAAUCUUCAAGUACACCAAAUCACCUACCUUAAACUCAAGAUAUCUUCUUCUCACAUCGGCAUAAGACUUUUGAUGACUCUGAGGUCAUUAACCUUUCUCUAAUCAACUUAACUUUCUCCAUAGCUUCAAACACUACAUCAGGCACACACGCGACAGCUUGGCCCACUUCAAACCAACCUAUGGGUGAUCUAUACCUCCUACCAUACAAAGCCUCAAAUGGUGCCAUCUCAAUGCAAGCAUGGAAACUAUUAUUAUAGCCAAACUCUAUCAAUGGAAAAUGCUCAUCCCAACUUUCUUUGAAAUAAAGAGCGCACGCCCUCAACAUAUCCUCUAGGGUCUGAAUGGUCCUCUCAGCCUGACUAUCUAUCUGCAGGUGAAAAACUGAACUCAAAAGAACUUGGGUGCCAAGACCCUGCUAAAAUGCCCUCCAAAAUAGAGAAGUAAAUUGAGUACCCCUAUCCAAAAUGAUAGACAAAGGGACUCCAUGUAGUCUUUCCAACUCCCGGACAUACAAUCUAGCAUAAUCCUCAGUCGUAUAAGAUGUAUACACAGGCAAGAAAUAUGUGAACUUUGUCAACAUAUCCACAACAACCCAAAUAGAAUUAUGAUGACGAUGCGAAAGAGGCAACCCAGUCACGAAGUCCAUAUUCACCAUCUCCCACUUUCAAGUGGGUAUACUAAACUCUUGCAUCACACCACUCGGUCUUUGGUGCUCUACCUUAACCUAUUGACACGUCGUACACUUUGCUAUAAACUUAGCGAUGUCUUUCUUCAUGCCGUUCCACCAAUAGAUUUCUUACAAGUCAUGGUACAUCUUGGUAGUACCGAGAUGAAUGGAAUAACGCGUGCCAUGUGCUUCACCCAUAAUCCUCCACCUCAUAUCAUCAACACACGGAGCACACAACCUACUAUGCACCCUCAACACACUAUCUCCCCCUUGGGAGAAAACCUCAACAUUUUGGUCCUUAACUGACUUUUUCAGUUUGACUGAACUAGGAUACCUAUCCUGCUUCUCUUUCACUUCCAAAACUAAAGAAGAUUCGGAACUACUCUGCACCAACGUACUCCCCUCUGCUGAAUCAAGCAAUCUAACACCCAACCUAUCCAGACAAUGAAUAUCAUGAGCUAACUCUCUCUUACCUUCCUCAAUAUGCGCAACACUACCUAUGGACAAUCAGCUAAGGGCAUCCGCCACCACAUUAGCCUUACCCGGGUGAUACAACACACUCAUAUCAUAAUAUUUCAACAACUCUAACCACCUUCUCUGCCUAAGAUUCAACUCUUUUCUGGUAAACAUGUACUACAGGCUUUUAUGAUCAGUAAACAUAUUAACAUAGACACCGUAAAGAUAGUGUCUCCAAAUUUUUAAAGCAAAAACCACAGCAGCUAACUCAAGAUCAUGGGUCGGGUAGUUCUUUUUAUGCGGAUUCAACUGUCUAGAGGCAUAGGCUAUAACCUUACCCCUUUACAUCAACACACAACCCAAACUAAAUCUAGAGGCAUCACAAUACACCAUAAAACCAUCAGUACCAUCAGACAAAGUCAAUACAGGGGAUGAAGUAAGUUGAGUCUUCAACUUCUGAAAAUUCCUCUUACAGGAAUUAGACCACUGGAAUUUAACCUUCUUUUAGUUCAACUGGGUCAUAGGAGAUGCAAUGGAAGAGAAACCCUAAAAAACAAUGGUAAUAGCCCGCUAGACCUAAGAAACUUCUAAUGUUUGAUGGAGAGAUAGGUCUAGGCCAAUCUCUAACAGGUUCUGUCUUUUGGGGAUCAACUCUAAUACCCUCGACUGAAACAAUGUGACCCAAAAAGGCUACAGACCUUAGCCAAAAUUCACACUUACUGAACUUUUUGAACAACUGAUGAUCCCUAAGAGUUUGCAAGACAGUUUUAAGGUGAGUUGCAUGGUUAUUCUCAUCACGGGAGUACACAAGGAUGUCGUCUAUGAAGACAAUGACAAAUGUAUUAAGGUAUUGCUUGAAAACUCAAUUUAUGAGGUCCAUGAAAGUUGUUGGGGUAUUGGUUAGCCCGAAAGACAUGACUAGAAACUCAAAAUGACCAUAAUGGGUUUGGAAGGCUUUCUUUGGAAUAUCACAUUCUCUCACCUUAAGCUGAUGAUAGCAGGACCUAAGGUCUAUCUUGGAGAAAUAACUUGAACCUUGCAACUGAUCAAACAGGUCAUCAAUUCUUGGAAGAGGGUACUUAUUUUUGAUGGUGACUUUGUUGAGUUGAUGGUAGUCAAUGGACAUACGCAAAGAUCCAUCUUUCUUUUGCACGAACAAGACGGGUGUGCCCCAAGGAGAAAUACUGGGCCUAAUGAAACCUUUAUCUAAGAGAUCUUUGAGUUGCUCCUUCAAAUCCUUGAGUUUUGCAGGUGCCAUACGAUAUGGCAGAAUAGAAAUAGGCUGAGUUUUGGGAAAAAGGUCAAUCCCGAAAUCUAUCUCUCUAUCGGGAGGUACUCUUGGGAGAUCUUCUUAAAAGACUUUGGGGAACGCAUUAACAACAUCAACCGACUGGAUGGUUGGAGUCUCGGCCUUAGUGUCCUUGACUAACUAGGUGGUAGAUGCAACCUUUGGAUAUAAUAUUUCUGGCUUUGAUAUAGGAGAUAAAAUGACUCUUGGGAGAUACCGAACUCCCAAACCACUCAAACACUGGUUCAUCAGGAAACUAAAACUUGGCAACACGGUUAUGACAAUCUAUAGAUGCAUAACAAGAAUGAUGCCAAUCCAUACCCAGAAUAAGGUCAAAAUCUAUUAUGUCUAACUCUAUCAAAUCCGCAAGUAUGUUUUUAUGAAACACAAUAACAGGGAAAUUUCUAUACACUCAUUUACAAACAACAGACUCUCCGACUGGUGUGGAAACUAGAAAAGGCUCGGAGAUCAUUUUGAGACUCAUUUUGAAAUUCACAGCUACAAGUGGGGUCACAUAAGAGUGACUUGAUCCGGGAUCCAACAACACAUACACAUUAAGACAAAAGACAUAGAGCAUACCAGUAAUAACAUCAAGGGAAUCCUCCUGCUCCCGAUGGGGUGGUAAGGCAUAGAACCUGUUCUGGCGCUAACCGCCAGAGGUGCUGGAAGAAGCACCCUGAGCAGGGGCGGGACGAAGUACUGGAGCUAGGGCACUAGAAGCCUGUGCCUGAGGUCGGGAAUCUCUGUUCCCCGGUCUAGCAUGGGGGCAAUCUUUAAGUCUGUGGCCCUGUUUACCACAACUAAAAUAACUCCUCAAAUCCCCAAAGCACUCCCCAAUGUAGUUCCUACCACAUUUAGCACAAGAAGGAUAACGGGGCUUGUUACCAACACUAUCCUGCGGCCCAGACAUGAUAGGCCUACUACCUUGAUCUGGCCUACCUUUAGGUGUGGGAGCACUAGCAUUAAGGAACUGGAAUAGGUGGAAGUCUCUGAAACUGAGGGCGGCUCCCUUCAAGGAACCUAGGCUGGUUAAACUUGUGCUGAUAAGAUCUAGUUCUCUUGUUACCUCUCAGCCUAUCUCUCUCUAAGAUUAUCCACCUCCAUCUGUUAGGCAUAAGUCAUCAACCUAGCAAGAUCCAUAUCCUUAUGAAACAUCGUAGCAUUGUACUCCUUCAGUACUAUCCUAGAAACACCGGUCACAAACUUACUCAUACCAGCCUGAGUGUCAGAAAUCAAAUUUGGAGCAUACUUGGCCAACUGAUUGAACUUCAAGUAAUACUCCUUAAUAGUCAUAGAGCUUUGCCUCAAGUUCAUGAACUCCUCAAUCUUAGCCUCCCCAAUCUCAAGUGGAAAGAACUGAUCUAAGAAGGCAUCUUGGAACAAUUGCCAAGUUAUAGGAGCGACAUUCUUACCUCUACCCUUCUUUCAUGAUACAACCCAAUCAUAAGCAAUGUCUUUUAAUCUGUAGAUGCAAAAGCAACACUCUCUUUUUCCAAAACCUGCAUCACAUCAGUGAUCUUCCUCACCUCCUCCAAGUACAACAGGGGGUCCUCGUUUGUCUUGGACCCAUAGAACUCAGGCGGAUUCAUCCGCAUAAAGUCACGAAUCCUAGCCGUAACUGCAUCACUACCCUGUCGAUUAGCAACUGGGGCCUAGUUAUUGGCCCUAAUAUUUGCGGUGACCACUUGGGCUAACGCCUGAAAGGCUGCCCUAAAUUCAGCAUGGGACUAUAUGGCUAAGAUAGCAAUGAGAGUGUCAACUUAUGAGUAACCAUUACUUUGCGCUGGAGCUGAUCUCAUAAGAAAGGAUGAGAGGUUUGUGACAUGAAAACUCAGGGUAUUACAACAUCCCUCUCUUGGGAUUGUUCAUUCCUGAAUGAUAAUAAUUUGAUGAAAAUACUAGGAAGAGACUGUGAUACUACACAGGAUACUUACAAACUGAAUCAUGACUUAAUAUCUGAAACUGAAAAUGAUGCAUGAACUGAGAUGAAUUCAUAAUUUAAAUGGAUACAAACACAUUGCCUCUUGGAAUGUACAUACGUAUAAGACUGCGGAUAGUAAGACUAGCUAGAAAAUUAAUAAUCUAUAGGAUCUUAUCUCCUUGCUUGCUAAACUAGAUUACAGGCUAUAUGGACUGGAUCAUACUGACUACCCAUACUCAAAUAGAGUAUUUCUUUAGCACUUUUCUACGAAAUUCUAUUGCCAUUAGGGAGCAAAGAAUUUUGGGCAUGCUCUGAACAAGACAUUUGACUAAGGAAUUAGAACAUUGAUAUAACUCUAUAUCAUGGAAUAUAAUUAUAUAACUCAUAAACUAGGAUAGGAUUGCUAGGCUGUAGGCAACACAACUUCUUACUUUCAAGCUUAGCAUCACUUCUCAAAUGCUCUCUCAACUAUACUAUUCCCCUUAAAUACCAUACUUAUUUGAUUCAACUUAUAAUUCUCAUAUUGGCACUGCGAAAUCUUUCUACUAGGGUCUAAACUAAACUAAGUUCUCUCACCAUGAUCAAGCCUAACACUAAAUCAUAAGAUACAACAUGCCAAACCACAAUACUAGUCUAAACAACAAGGUUCAAUAUUCUAUAUCUUCUUAGAGCUCACAACCUAAGCAUAUCAUGCCUUACCACUUCAAUGACUAAUUUAAAACUCUUGAUAUGGAUUCANNNNNNNNNNNNNNNNNNNNNNNNNNNNNNNNNNNNNNNNNNNNNNNNNNNNNNNNNNNNNNNNNNNNNNNNNNNNNNNNNNNNNNNNNNNNNNNNNNNNNNNNNNNNNNNNNNNNNNNNNNNNNNNNNNNNNNNNNNNNNNNNNNNNNNNNNNNNNNNNNNNNNNNNNNNNNNNNNNNNNNNNNNNNNNNNNNNNNNNNNNNNNNNNNNNNNNNNNNNNNNNNNNNNNNNNNNNNNNNNNNNNNNNNNNNNNNNNNNNNNNNNNNNNNNNNNNNNNNNNNNNNNNNNNNNNNNNNNNNNNNNNNNNNNNNNNNNNNNNNNNNNNNNNNNNNNNNNNNNNNNNNNNNNNNNNNNNNNNNNNNACUUCACUAGUAUCAUGAGUUUAAAAACUGGUCAUACUCUGAAACAUGAGUUUAUACUUAUCAUGAGCUAUUGAAAAUAAGAUUGGAGUUUAUAGAUUCAUAAGAGAUAACUUGAAUCACAGAGUGAAGCUGCUACAUACUUGCUAGAAGCUGAGAAUGGGCUUGAGCACACAUAAUAGGUAUAAGCAUAGGCCUGUGGCAUGGAUUUGUCAAGCAAGUGAUGGAUUUGGUGUUGUAAUGACUAAAAUCCAAAGAAUACUCUAGAGUAAGAAGGGAUCACUAUCUCAUCAUAACUCAUUAUUGACAUGUAUCACAAUCGAAUUCUCAAAACUCGAUUUGGUUCUUCACUAACCAUCUCCCCCUUAGGUCAAAGCAAGUAUUCUAAGUAUGAUGGUCUACUCCAUAUCCUCGAGAUUAAGCCACAAUUUCAUCAUUCUAUUAUCUACACAUAAAUGCUAAACUCACAAGAAUAAACUAAUUUCGAACUUACCGACUUCAUUCUUGAACAACCCAUCCAUAUGUGAUCCUUAACUUUCUAUCUUCAAUGCUCAUCAUCAAAGACUUACACUCUCAUUUGCAACCAUACCUACAUCUCUAAUCACAUAAUCAUAGCCUACCAAGAUCACACUUCUAUACUUAUAUUUUUCCCAAACCAUGAGAAUAAUAAUCAUACUUAAAAGGCUCAACAUCUUCAAUCAUAACUCCUUAACUUAGCUAUCAAGAACAUCAUAAAUUAUCUAACUAGCCUUUCUCCACCUAGCAAUGCAACGUUACUACUAACCACACAAUAUGCAAUAAUUCUUGAAAAAUAAUGCAACCCUAUAGCACCUUGGGCACACCUCUACAUCAUAUUUAAUUACGAACAUAUGAUCUUACACUCUUGCAUACACUGUUCAGGCCUACUAGAUCACCUCCAUAUAACUAGCAUCAACAACCGAACCAUCAACUAUUCAAACUUAAUGUCUAGAGCUAAACAUGAUUUACAACCNNNNNNNNNNNNNNNNNNNNNNNNNNNNNNNNNNNNNNNNNNNNNNNNNNNNNNNNNNNNNNNNNNNNNNNNNNNNNNNNNNNNNNNNNNNNNNNNNNNNNNNNNNNNNNNNNNNNNNNNNNNNNNNNNNNNNNNNNNNNNNNNNNNNNNNNNNNNNNNNNNNNNNNNNNNNNNNNNNNNNNNNNNNNNNNNNNNNNNNNNNNNNNNNNNNNNNNNNNNNNNNNNNNNNNNNNNNNNNNNNNNNNNNNNNNNNNNNNNNNNNNNNNNNNNNNNNNNNNNNNNNNNNNNNNNNNNNNNNNNNNNNNNNNNNNNNNNNNNNNNNNNNNNNNNNNNNNNNNNNNNNNNNNNNNNNNNNNNNNNNNNNNNNNNNNNNNNNNNNNNNNNNNNNNNNNNNACUAAACUAACAAACAAGGGUAUAUCACUUCAUUACUAAUUCAAUCAUAAGCAAAAAUUCAGUUAUACAUAUUCAAUAAAUUGCCCUUACCACCAUUCUUCGCACUACACUUCUAAACCCAUAAGUUCAACUAAUACAAGACUUUCAACUAAGUCUUACUACUUCUAUCACUACACAGAAACCCACACUUUCAACUAACACCAGAAUAACAAGAUAAACAACAAGUUGCUAGUAAAUCAAAAUAUGCCUCACAUGGCUUCACUAGACUUUGGUUUUGUAUUUUGAUUAAGAAAAUUAUAUGAAUAACAAAGCAACUAUGCUAGUGAAUUGAAAUAGGCCUCACACGGAUUCACUAGACUUUGAUUUUUCACAAACAUAAUGAUAACAAGAUUAUAUAAUACAAGAGAUAGAAACUUGACACACAACAUUCAAUGAUCUAAGAAGACACCAUACUCAGUCUUAAUUGAAUAACUCAUCAGAACGAGGGCAUAACUUUAAAUUUAAAGGACUUAUAACACACUAUAAGGCUCCUCUCAAGCCACUUUAUGAAACUUCUGAAACUUCUGCCAGAAAUAUAAGAGCAUUAUUUGGGGAGGAAAUUAGAACUUGCCGAACAUGUUACCUCAAGAACAACACAUAGAUAGAGAAGUAUAGAUUAUCAUUAUGGAUUUUGAGGAGAAAUUUGAAAGCAUAGCUGACUCGAGCUUAGUGCACUAUUUCUACAGGCCUGAUAAAGUACUUCAAUUUUCUAAAACUCAAAAGUACUGAUAGGAUACUUUUGUAGCUCUUUUACAAUUCCAUAACUAUCUAUGAAGAAUUAAGCUCAACUAUUUUUGAUACCUUGGAAAUAAGACAGAGAUAACCUGACUAAAGUAAGAUAAGAAUAUGUAUAAGUUUCUUGGAGAACUUUUCUAUAUCAGGAUUUAAGACUUGAAAGAAUGGAGACAUUUCCUGAAUGCCUUGUAGCCUCUCAAAGAAAAGUACAGAUAUCUCUGUACUGUUCUGCAAGACUUUACUAGACACGACUUCAUAGACACCCUAGGACACUUGAACUCUGUGCUCUGAUACCAAGUUUGUAACGCCCCAAAAUUGGGUCCUGAGAUGUCACACAGUGCUUAAGAUCACAAGUAACCCCAAGCUAACCCUUCUACUGGCAUAACUCAUACGUAACUGAACAAAAAGUAUAAAUCUAUACAAAUCUGCAGAAAAUAACUCUUUUCUAAAUAUGAUAGAUACAAAACUUAAUUUGUAAGAUUACAACUUUGCUUUUACAACCAAAACUGAAAUGGAAUACAUCAACUUCUAAUGACUGUCUAUGAAGCCUCUACUAGUACUGACUAUAGGUAGCUGGGUCAUGACUCCUGACUAUCCCAACUCAAUACGUCUGGAUAAAGAAAAUACAACACUUCUCGAACUGUAUAACUAACUCAAGCCCUUGAAUCAAAAGGACUCAUCACCUGCUGACUGGAUUCCGCGAACUGACUGGAUCUAAAGAUGUACACUAUACCUUGUACCUACAUUCUGAGAAAAUGUAGCUCACAUACAAAUAUGUAGGUCAGUACCAUGGAAACGUACCAAGCAUAUGGGGGUGCAAUGCAUAUAUAAAAUAAUAUCUUAAUAUCAUCACAGUUUAUAAAAUUGUGCAUGCUGAUAUAAAUGACUCACUUAGAUCGAAUUAAAAUCAUCAUACACUUCCAUCUUGAUUCCAAAUCAUCAAAGCAAUCAAAUCUUAUAUUAAUUCUCUUUGGAAUAUAUGUUCAUUAAAUCUUUCAAAAACAAUGACUUUCUCAAACUCAUUCUUUCAAACAAAUAUGUUUUCAUCUCAGAUAGAAGAAUAAGACUUUUCAUAUUAAGAGAAUACACACACAUACAUUGGGAGUCUCUUACAACCGACAUAAACCAUCUGACCUACAUGGAGUCCAACGUCCAAACCACGUUGGGGAGAGCUGUCCUAUCCUUGCCAUGGGAGUAGGACCUUAAUCUUUUGUUCACUAGUGAUCACUAUAUCAAUCAGCCUUAGGCUCACAUCCUAUGGGGGCACGUAGUUCUAAGAAAGUACCAAUCACAGCUAUACCUCCCACUCGAUGCUAAAGACUACUCCCGGACUUAGCUCAGAUUAUUUCAAAAGAAAAUCCACAACUACACAAUUCAACAAUUUAUAUCGGGCGCCAUCAUGCUACCCCUUUUUCAUAAUAAAUCAAUAUGUGGAUUUCUUUUCUCAUUCGAGUUCAAAAAUAACUUUUUCAAGACCAAAGGUCAAAUCAUUCAAAUAUCAAGGUGUGUAUAUCACAUUACUUCACCAAAGAUCAUAAUCCCAAAGAGGGUUUAAAUCCCAUAUAUCAACACUUGAGCAAAACAUUUCAAGAUUCAUAUUUUGUAUAGAAAACAAGUAUAACUCAUAUGAAAAUCUGGAAAUUCAACUUUAAACAUGAUAUUAACAUCAAAACUCAAGAAAUUUAUCUUUAAGACAUCACAAAAAGAUCAUAGUUUCUUGAACAAGAAUAUAGGAUAAUAGUUUCCAUCUCAAAUUCAUAAUUAAACAAGUAGAAUCAUGUAUCUUCAUAAAAUAACACAAAUUUUUGGGCACAAGAAUGAAAGGAUGUUCUUGUUGAAAUCCCCACAUACCUCUAUAGUAACGAAAUUGUUGAAAGAUUGGACCUUCAAAUCUUGAUUGUGCAACCCUAAUUGUUUUGCUUGUAUUUUGCUCUUGAAUGAUGUUCUUAGACUGAUAAUAGGGUUAUGAUGUGUUUAGGAGCAGUUAAAUUCGUAGGGUUAUGUUUAGGGACGUGUAAGGAAUGUUAAAAGGCUUAGUUAUUCUCGAAAUAACUCAAAAAUGGAGUGUUUUCAUUGCUGGAACUCUAAGUGUGCGUCACACACCUGAUUGCAUAUGCUAGGGUAUGCGCCGCACACCUUAUCACAUAAGCUAAGGUAUGCGUCGCAUACCUUAUCGCACAUCCAUACUACCUCUCACAAAAAUGGGCAUAACUCAUCACUCAGGUAUCGGAUUUUUGCGAAAUUGGUAUCGUUGGAAAGUUAAUUCAAUUAUAUACAAUUUAAUAGGUCUUGGGAUGAAAAAUUCCAUGUAUAUUAAGAGAUAUACACGUUUGAAGUUGACUCUUGUAGAAUCAAAUGUCAAACUUUGGAUGAAUCAAUUGGUCUUAGCUCAACUUUGUUCUUGGUCAUUUCUAUUAACAUUUUUCACCUCUAAACUACUCUAUAGACUAGUAUAAUGAUCAUGAAACUUAUAUUCACAUGAGAAUAUCUUGGAUUAGAGCUUAGACACGUAAGAACGACAGUUACAAUUUUAGCAUAGAAAUACGGGGUAUUAUAGUAAUGAACCGAAAUCGCCUCCCGGGACGUCACACGGUGCUUAACACUACAAGUAGCCCCAAGCUAAGUCUUUGAGCCGGUUUAUUCCCAAAAACACCCAAUUCAAGAUAAGGAUAGACUUAAACACUCACAUAGCCAUAUAACAAGAAAAGAAAUAAGAAAGGAUAAUUGAUUCAUAUGACCACAACAUAGAUAAAUCUCAACAAAACCACACUACUAAUCUCUCUCGACAUAUCACAAGUCUGAUACUAGUCUGACAAAGCCUCUAUGAAUAAAAAUCUAGAGAGCCAUUGGGACAGGCCCCAACUGACUCAAAAUGAACUAAAGAUAAAACAUAGUCUCUCAAGUAUGGUAAAUAUCUAAAGAUUGGUCACCACUAUAGAAAACGUAGUCAAGGUACUCAAAGAAUCACGGGCGAGGCUGGGACUGAGCACCUGAACCUACAUUAUGACACAAUGUUGCACAUAGACAUAUAUGUGGAUCAGUUCUUUGGAAUAUACUGAGUAUGCGGGGGUGCAUGCAUAUGUAUAAAGUAGUAACAAUAUUUUCUUCAAUCAAAUCAUGUAUGCAUAAUGAGAUGACUCAUAUUGCUUGAACAAGUGUAAAAUAUGAAACUCAUAAGUCAUGUAGAAUGAAGCAUAUAAUACAAUCUCAUGAGUCAUCAUUAUUUAACUUUAAAAUUGGAAACCUUCUCUUACUCUCAAUGCCCAAAGGCUAAGGGAUUUCAAACCACACUUUCAAGUCAUGCAUAUAUCGCAAGAGAGUAAUAGUUAUUCAAUGCUGAACACUUCAUAAUCAUUUAGAAACUCAUAUACUUGGAAUUCAAAAUCAUAAAACUUGAAAACAUACUUGAAGGUAUUUCAUUUACUUUAGAAAAUAUCUCAUCUCAAAUUAAUACCUUGAUUAGGGAAUAUCUUUGUAAUUCAACCAUUUAUGGAAAAUAGCUUAUAGGGAAUGAAAAUAAGCAUUUAAUUUCAAAGUUUGAAAGGUAAGAGAGGUUCUCAUAACCUAUAUAAACCAUGCAAGCUACAUGGAGUCCAACAUUUUGUCGUCCUAAGAAAGAGACCCCAUGUUGGGGAGGAGCAUCAUACUCUUGCAAAGGAGUAUAACCUAGGUCUAGUAAUCACUAAACAAAAAUUGGCCUCAGGCCUACAUAAUUAAAUCGGCCUCAAGCCCAAUCAUAAUCAUAAUAUAAUCAGCCUCAGGCUCACAUCCUAUGGUGGCACGUAGUUUUUGGGGUAAGAAACUGUAGUAGCUUACCCGCUCGGUGCUAAAUACUACUCCCUUUAGAUUACCUGCGCUUAUCUCAUAAAAGUACACUUUUAGAAUAAUCACAUAGUUCACCACAAACCUAAUAAUCAAAUCGAUAAUCUCAUAUAGUGAAGUGGAUUUCAAAGCUUUCGGACCAUUAGGUCAAUUCAAUUUUCAACCAUCUCAAAAUACUCAAAUCAUGGGUGCUUAUAGCACGAGAGUUCAUAAUUUCAUAAUUCUCGAAUUGGGCUUGCUAACCCAUAGUUCAAUGUCAAGUUAAAGCUUUUCAAAAGCAUAAUAUAUAGCAUAUAGAUUCAUAAAUCAUGUGGAAAUAUGGAAAUUUAGCAAUUCAUCUCAAAAUCUCAAUGUAGUCAUAUGCUUCAAUAUCUCAACAUUUCAAAUAUAAGCUCCUUAAAGAGUAAAGUCAUGGGGUUUAUCCAGCUUUAAAAACUCAAGAAAACAUGUAGAAAUCAUACCAUUUAACUCUCAAUUCAUGAGAAAUAUCAACAUAAUGCAUUCAAUAAAUAUGGGUGAAAACCCCAAUUCAAACUCAUGUUAAAAAUCCCAUAAUUUCAGCAAAAUCAUGAUGUAAAUAAACAUUUUGGGUACAAGGGUGAAAGGGUUACCCUUGUUCAAAACCCCACAUACCUUGAAUUUGAAGCUUUAGAAGAACUCUCACUUUUGGAACUCUACUCUUGCUCUAUAAUAAGGGUUCUUGAGACCCUUCACUUGGUAACCUAGAAUCUUGACUCAAUUUAGAAUAUCCAUGGUGGAUUAUUGAGAUUCUUGGAAGAGGUUUUGAUUAUUUAGGGUUCUUGUUGAGAGAAAACUUGAUAAAACCCUUAUAGGCUUGGAAAAAGUCCAUAAAGCCCUUUUAAACAUCUGUGCGAAACUGGAAAAAUUGAAUUGGAACCCGAUUUAGAAGGCCUCUACGACGCAGCACUAAUCGCGAUGGCUCUCCGGAAAAUGACAAUUGGGAAAUUGAUAGCCUCCGUGAUGUGGAGUCAUGCAUUUUCCCACUGGUUGGGACCUGGGACUCCUUCGCGACGUGCUACUAUUGCAGAGUCCCACUAGAAAUUGACACUUGCUAAAUGUACCCUCUCCACGAUGCACUACGCUCUCAAAUGAUGCACUUUUUAUGAAAAAGGCUUAAAUUGGCCAUAACUUCUUACUCGAGUGUCCGAUUUGGGCAAAUCUUAUAUAGAUGGAAAGCUUAUCAGGUUUCCCAUGUUAUAAAAAGUCAAAAUUACGGAAAUUAUACAUGGUUAGAAUGAUACUCAUUUAGGAAUCCACUUCUCAAUCUUUUAGGACCGAAAUUAUGUCUCACUCAACACGCCCUAAGGCUAAAACUAUAAGGGAACUUUGCAGGACCUUACAGCCUACCCAGUUCCCACUGAUAAUCUAGAAUAUCUUUCUAUCUUUCUUCCUAUGUCACAUGCAUAAUUUCCCAUUUUUGUUGAUGUUCCACAAUAUGUAUCAGGAUCAAUUUCAGGGCAACAAUAUCCAACCAUUUCCAAUGUUCAUUUCCUCACUCCCCAAUCCAAGACUACUACAUACUUAGCUCCAUCUUUGUUCAUGCUUUUGCAAUGAAGCUCUUACUUUUUAUGUUUAUCCACAAGUUAUGUCUACCUACUCUACAAGAGAGCCUGUAUUGAAUAUUACUGGUGAUCAGCGUUAUACUUCCAAGCCUACAUUCAAGUUGACUGGUCUUUAUUGUGACACUCACCCGCCUAAAUUUCCUCCUAACACUGAGAAGCCUGUUAUGAUAGAUGAAAAAAAGAAAAUAACCAAAAAAUUGAGAAGUUUGGAAAUGGCUAUGAAGAACUUGCAAGGACUUAGGGGUUACAAAAGUGUCUCAUAUAAGGACUUAUGUAUGUUUCCAGGUGUCAACCUUCCUCCUGGCUUUAAAAUGCUAAAGUUUGAGAAGUAUAAUGGACAUGGGGACCCAGUGGCACAUUUGAGAAGCUAUUGUAACCAAUUAAGAUGCGCUGGAGGGAAGGAAGAACUACUCCUAACUUAUUUCAGGGAGAGUCUUUUAUGCCUAGCUUCGAAAUGGUUUGUUGACCAAGACAUCGACAAGUGGAAUAGUUAGGAUGACCUGGCUAUUGAAUUUGUAUAACAAUUCUAAUGCAAUAUGGAGUUGGUUCCUGACGAGGAACCCCUAAAUAAUAUGAAGAAAAAGACUACUAAAACUUUCAGAGAUUAUGCGAUUAGAUGGCGUGAACAAGUUGUUAGGGUGAAACCGCCAAUGAAAGAAAGUAAGAUAGUGGAAGUGUUUAUUCAAGCGCAAGAUAAGACCUAUUUUCAGCACUUGUUACCUGCAUUAGGCAAGCCAUUUAUUGAGGUCCCUAAAAUCGGGGAGAUGAUAGAGGAUGGAAUUAAGACCGAUCACAUUAUGAGUUUUACAACAUUGAAAGUGACUACUCAAGCAAUUCAAAAAGGUUCGAGAAGUGUCAGAGGGAAGAAGAAUGAGGAGGAUGCAUCUUCUAUUGUAGUUGGACAACAGGCACAGUCAAGAAGACCCCAUCGUCGUCACUCUCAGGCUCAAACCCAAGUUCAUUCCCAAGCUCUACAUAAUCACUCCCAAAAUCCAUUAUAAUCUACUCCUCUACCUUUAUAUCUAAUAAAUAAUGCCUAGACACAUAUUCAACCCCCAUCCUACCCACAGUGGAACACACCAACUCCUCAGAGUCAUCCUCUAACUCCACAAACAUACCAAAAUCCAUCUAGGCCUGAUUUAGAUCCAAGUCAAAUAAUAAAAUAAAACAGAAGUUGAGAGAAAGCCUUACGCCAAUUGGAGAGUUAUAUGCCAGUUUAUUUCAGAGAUUGUUAUAGUGGGGUAUGAUCACUCCUCUCCUUGGGAACACUCUAAAUUAGCAUUCUAGAAAUUUUGAUCCUAACGUAUGAUGUGCGUAUCAUUCUGAUGCUCAGGGUCAUAAAAUUGAAAAUUAUCGAGAUUUGAAAAGAGAAAUUGAAAAGAUGAUUCAAGAUGGAUCGAUUAUGGUGCAGAACAUUAACAAUGAGGAAAGCUCUAGUCAUGAUUAUAUGCAAACUAGUGGAUAAGAUGUCAGGCUGAGCAAUUGAUAAGUCACUCCUCUCCCUACUAGAAAGACGUCUGGUAGUUUGUUUUCUUUUCUUUUCUAUUUUUUGAAUUAUUUCAGGGUUGUAGUUCGAGAUCUAUCUUAUUUUAUUUCUUUGUCAUCUUUUUUUAAACCCUUUGUCUUUUCUUUUAAUGAAAUGUGGCAUCCUUUGUUAGUUUUGUUUUAGGGAUAGAUUGGGUCGCUAGUGUAGGGUUUUUUUUUUAUUUUUUAUUCCCGUUAUGAUUCUGUAGUCAGUGUUCCAUGCUUAUUACAUAUCUGUGUGCUUUCCUCUUCUUUCCUCUGUUUUAUAUUCCUUAUGGGUGCCAUAUUUAUGUUAUGUCAUCUGCUUCUGUGCUUUACUAUGUGUUUGUGUGAUAUCUUGUGCCUUGAGCCGGGGGUCUUUCGGAAAUAGCCUUUCUACUUCAUCAGAGGUAGAGGUAUGGGCUGCGUACAUCUUACCCCCCCC